AUGCACGACACCGACAUCAGCGAGAAGAAGGGCGUCAUGGAGAACAUCAAUGAAAAGCUCCCUGGUGGCCAUGGGGACCACCAGCAGACUGGUGGAACCUACGGGCAGAAGGGACACAUGACCGCGGCGACGCAUGGCGCCUCAGCCACCGGCGCCCCGGCCACUGAUGGUGCCUACGGGCAGCAUGGACACACCAGGGCCACCGGUACAGGGAUGCACGGCGUCGACACGGGCGAGAAGAAGGGCAACAUGGAGAACAUCGAUGACAAACUCCCUGGUGGACAUGGGGACCACCAGCAAACUGCUGGCACCCACGGCCAUCAGGGACACAUCGCUGCGACGACGCAUGGCGCCUCGGCCACCGACGACACGUAUGGGCAACAGGGAAACACCAGCNNNNNNNNNNNNNNNNNNNNNNNNNNNNNNNNNNNNNNNNNNNNNNNNNNNNNNNNNNNNNNNNNNNNNNNNNNNNNNNNNNNNNNNNNNNNNNNNNNNNNNNNNNNNNNNNNNNNNNNNNNNNNNNNNNNNNNNNNNNNNNNNNNNNNNNNNNNNNNNNNNNNNNNNNNNNNNNNNNNNNNNNNNNNNNNNNNNNNNNNNNNNNNNNNNNNNNNNNNNNNNNNNNNNNNNNNNNNNNNNNNNNNNNNNNNNNNNNNNNNNNNNNNNNNNNNNNNNNNNNNNNNNNNNNNNNNNNNNNNNNNNNNNNNNNNNNNNNNNNNNNNNNNNNNNNNNNNNNNNNNNNNNNNNNNNNNNNNNNNNNNNNNNNNNNNNNNNNNNNNNNNNNNNNNNNNNNNNNNNNNNNNNNNNNNNNNNNNNNNNNNNNNNNNNNNNNNNNNNNNNNNNNNNNNNNNNNNNNNNNNNNNNNNNNNNNNNNNNNNNNNNNNNNNAUCAGCGAGAAGAAGGGCGUCAUGGAGAACAUCAAUGAAAAGCUCCCUGGUGGCCAUGGGGACCACCAGCAGACUGGUGGAACCUACGGGCAGAAGGGACACAUGACCGCGGCGACGCAUGGCGCCUCAGCCACCGGCGCCCCGGCCACUGAUGGUGCCUACGGGCAGCAUGGACACACCAGGGCCACCGGCACAGGGAUGCACGGCGUCGACACGGGCGAGAAGAAGGGCAACAUGGAGAACAUCGAUGACAAACUCCCUGGUGGACAUGGGGACCACCAGCAAACUGCUGGCACCCACGGCCAUCAGGGACACAUCGCUGCGACGACGCAUGGCGCCUCGGCCACCGACGACACGUAUGGGCAACAGGGAAACACCAGCACGGGGACACAUGCCGCGCCGGCCACCGAUGGUGCCUAUGGGCAGCAUGGACACACCGGGGCCACCGGCACGGGGAUGGAUGGCGCCGACAUAGGCGAGAAGAAGGGCGUCAUGGAGAACAUCAAUGACAAGCUCUCUGGUGGCCACGGGGACCACCAGCAGACUGGUGGCACCUACGAGCAGCAGGGACACACCGAUGCGGCGACGCAUGGCGCCUCAGCCACCAGCGGCACCUAUGGGCAGCAGGAAAACACCGGUACGGGGACACAUGGUGCCCCUGCCACCGAUGGCGCCUACGGGCAACACAGACACACCGGGGCCAUCGGGACGGGGUUGCAUGGUGCCGACACGGGCGAGAAGAAGGGCGACAUGGAGAACAUCGAUGACAAACUCCCUGAUGGACAUGGGGACCACCAGCAAACUGCUGGCACCUACGGCCAUCAGGGACACACCGCUGCGGCGACGCAUGGCGCCUCGCCCACCGACGACACGUAUGGGCAGCAGGGAAGCACCAGUACGGGGACACAUGCCGCGCCGGCCACCGAUGGUGCCUAUGGGCAGCACGAACACACCGAGGCCACCGGCACGGGGAUGCACGGCGCCGACAUAGGCGAGAAGAAGGGCGUCAUGGAGAACAUCAAUGACAAGCUCUCUGGUGGCCAUGGGGACCACGAGCAAACUGGUGGCACCUACGGGCAGCAGGGACACACCGAUGCGGCGACGCACGGCGCCUCAACCACCAGCGGCACCUAUGGGCAGCACGAAAACACCGGUACGGGGACACAUGGUGCCCCUGCCACCGAUGGCGCCUAUGGGCAGCAUGGACACACCGGGGCCAUCGGGACGGGGUUGCAUGGCGCCAACACGGGCGAGAAGAAGGGCGUCAAGGAGAACAUCAAUGACAAGCUCCCUGAUGGCCGCGGGGACCACCAGCAGACUGGUGGCACCUACGGGCAACAGGAACACAUCGAUGCGGCGACGCAUGGUGCCUUAGCCACUGGCGGCACCAAUGUGCAGCAAGGAAACACCGGUACGGGGACACAUGGCGCCCCGGCCACCGAUGGUGCCUACGGGCAGCACAAACACACCGGAGCCACUGGCACGAGGAUGCAUGACACCGACACCAGCGAGAAGAAGGGCGUCAUGGAGAACAUCAACGACAAGCUGCCUAGUGGAGACGAAGACCACCAGCACACCGGUGGCACUUACGGUCAGCAGGGACAAACCGGCGCGGUGAUGCAUGGCCAGCAGGGACACACCGAAAUGACCGGCUGGGGGACACACGGCAACACUGAGAAAAAGGGCGUCAUGGACGACAUCAAGCCCAAGCUCCCCGGUGGCCACGAUGAUCGCCAGCAGACCGGCGACACCUAUGAACAGCAGCGACACACCGACACUGCAACACAUGGCACCCUUGCCACCGGUGACACCUAUGGGCAGCAGGGACACACCGACACGGGGACAUAUGGCACCGGCGAGAAGAAGGGCGCCAUGGGUAACAUCAAGGAGAAGCUCCCUGGUGGCCAUGGUGACCACCAACAGACUGGUGGCACCUACGGGAGCCAGGAAGACACCGAAAUGACUGGAAUGGGGAUGCAUAGCACCACAGCCACAGACGACACAGAUGGUCAGCAGGGACACACCCGAAUGACCGGCACAGUGGUACACGACACCGACGAGAGGAAGGGUGUCAUGGAGAACUUCAAGGAGAAGCUCCCCGACAGCCAUGACGACCACCAGCAGACUGCUCGCACCGACGGGCACCACGCCGGCACGGGGACGCAUGACACCCCGGCCACCGACGGCACCUAUGGGCAGCACGGACACACUAGAGUGACUGACACAGAGGCGUACAGCACAGGCGGCACAGGCGAGAAGAAGGGCAUCAUGAAGAACACCAAGGAGAAGCUCCCCGGUGGCCACAAUGACCGCCAGCAGACCGGUGACACCUUUGGGCAGCAAGGACACACCGACACGGCGACACAUGGCACCCCGUCCACUGGCGGCACCUACGGGCAGCACGAACACACCGGAGUGACCGAUAAGGGAACACAGGGCACCGGUGGCAUCGACAAGAAGAAGGAUGCCAUGGAGAACAUCAAGGAGAAGCUCCCCGGUGGUCAUGGUGACCACCAGCAGACCGCUGGCACCUACGGGCAGCAUGGACACACUGGAAUGACCGGCACGGAGACGCAUGGAACCACGGCCACCGACGGCGGGCAGCAAGGACACAACGAAACAACUGGCACUGGGACACACGGCACCGACGGGACCGGUGAGAAGAAGAGCUUCAUGGACAAGAUCAAGGAGAAGCUGCCUGGACUGAACUAAGCCCGGUCUGCCUACGGCCGCUACCUUUGCAGAAUAAUACUCCACCGCAUAUAAAUUGAUUGAGUCUAGUUCACCUAGCUCACUUGGUCGUUGGAGAAGCGAAUGUAUCUUGGUUUAAGUUUUCAUGGACAACAUGUGUUCACAGUUUUUUUUUCUUUUUAACAUUGUCGUGCAAAUUUCCUUCUGGUUCAACCCAUGUAUGUAUGCUAUGAUGCCUAUGGCAUCUAAUAUAUCAGUAUAAUAAAGUUACUAAGCUUCCAGAAAUUAGAGCCUCGUGGUUGAACGUGGCAUAUGAGACCACCUAUUGCCUAAUUUUCAGUCGGUAAGAGCAUCUUUAGUAGAUCCCGUAAACCAUUGUUCUUGAAAAAUCGUUUACGGUAUCCAAUAAACGAUUUUUGUAGGACGCCGGCCGCGCUGCAAGAACAGAUCCCGCAUAACGAUCCUGCAUAUGACACAAAUUUAAACAAACUAUACUCCACGCUAAAAACAUCUCGCCGGAGUUCAUCAAACCAACGUAGCAUAGCAUAGCGCACGGGAGUUCAACACACAUAGCAUAGCGCAUGGGAGUUCAGCACACAUAGCAUAGGGAAGUUCUUAGUACAAACCAUAAUUAAACAUAAUCAAAACAUAGCAUAGGGGAUUUACUCGUCGCCGGAGUCCUCGCCGGAGCCAUUGUCGCUGUCGUAGCACUCGUCGUCCUCGUCGUUGGAGCUGACCUCGGCGGGCAGCGGCUUCCCUCCAUGAAGCAUAUCGUAGAUCAGCGAACCAAAAAUCGGGGAUUGGGGCUGGUACUCCUCCCAGGACGCCGGCGGCAGCUGCAGCCGCAUCUCCAGCGUCGGUCGUGCUCCAAUUUUGAUAGUUUCCUAUUAGUAAAUAGUAAGCGUUAUUAAGAAAUAUUUUUUGAUGAUGUAUAUUACGAUAGUGGUAAAUGAUUGAUCUCGCUUAUUGUCCGUUGUUGUCUGGUUGUUAUUAAUGCUUUGAGUGUCAUCAUAUUUCGUAGGUGUAGAAAUUCCAAUAAUUUUUUAGUGCGAAGCACGACAUACAUGAAUUUAGAAUACUGCGAGUGUUAUAUUUGGCUUUACAUCUCCAAACAAGAGACAUGUUGAUAAAGUGUUCUAUACAUGGGCUGACAAAAAAAUUUGCUUGUUGGAUGCAGUUGAUUUCAAUGUUGAUAGAAAUUAUGUUCAACGAAGUUACCGUUAGCAUAGAUUUACCAAAAUGAUAAUUUCCACGCGUGUGACACGAAGCAAUCCCGCCUUGACAUUUUUACAACUAAAUUGCCAUCCGAAAAGGAAAAAAAAGACAAAAAAUACUAAUAUUUGCUAUCCGAGUCAUCCUCGCGUCAAUAAACUUGUCAUAGAAAACGUUCAGAGUUUUUCUUUUAGUUUUGUGUUUUCCAUUUAAUUCUUUUUCAUUUCAAACAUAUUUUACGACACUACAUAUUGUACACGUUAUGCAAAAAUCCAGCUAUUUCCUCUUGGAUUGCUCGUACGCGAGCCGCUGGUAGGAGCUUAUCCCGCAUCUCCUUCAUUUUUAAAGAAAGAGAUCAAUAUGCAUGUAUUAGUUGUGUGUAUGUAUAUUAGAUAAUAAUGUAAAAAUUAUGAAUAGUGUUCUGACAAACGUACCCAUUAGUCUCUAUCAAUUCUAGUCCUUUCGGAUGCCAUCAUGCGAAUGUUCUUGCAAACAUAGUAUGCACAUAAAUCAGUCCCCGACGUCUGCUUCAGGGCCUUUAGGACAAUAGAAUUCAAUCAAAUAAUAAUUAAUCAAGCAAGAUAAUGGUAUUAAAACUAGAAUUAAAGAGAUGAUAGCUAGCUGAUAGGUACUUAAUUAAUUACCUUGGGUAGACACCAUUUCAGCUUUUUUUCCAUUGGCCAUCAACCUGUUUGAUGAACUUUUCCCAAGCCCUGCCCGCCGGCAAGUAAAAUGAAUAAAUGAGUUAUUAAUUAGUUGAUAUCAGGAAAUGACGAACUAAACAGGCCGACAUAUAGUUCGAUAAUGAUUUAAAUUACCUGUCGACCAUCCGGUGGAAACCGAUUGAGUAGUCGUUAACGUCUUUAAGAAGUGAGUCCAGUACUUGAACUUUUCCCUCGUUAAUUUCAAUGAUUAACAAGAUCCAGUGGAAAUGGCAUGCGCAUAGCUUGCAUGUACAAUUAAGCGGGCAUGCAUGUAUAAUUAAGCAGGCAUGUGCAUAACUCAUCAACUACCUAAACCCUCUGUACACUUAUUAACAUCUAGCUAUUAAGCAAAAAUAUAAUUUUUAGUACAAGACAGUGUGACUCAUCUGAAGUUGUAAGGAAGUAGUAUUUUUGGACAGGUAUUUAGGCACACCAAGAACUCUAGCAAGCUUUUCUCUGUGUCUUUUCGUUCUUAUGGACGUGUCCAUAUAUCUUGAUUAAUGGUAUUUGGGUCAAUGGGCUCAUUUCAUACAUCUUCAUUCUGCAUAAUAUCACAAAAAAGAAUAUAGUGGGGAUAAUUACAGGUAAUGAUCAACGAGCACUACAGCUAGCUAGAAACUUAAUUAAAUUACAGAAAAAAAACAUUUACAAACAACAACAACUUACGAUAUAUUUGUCAAGUGCGUCUUGAUUGAAUAACUAAAACAAUUCUUUAAACUCAACAUAUAGAGCAUUUUCAUGGUAGUAAUGCUCUGGCGUGACUCUCGCCAUGAGGAACUCUCGAUCGGUAGUCUUGGUUUCUUUGAUGUACCAUUCAUGCAAUUCAUACGUUCUCGUUGAUAGACUCUUGAUGUCCUCAGGCUUCACCAGAGGUUGGAUGCGAGCAUAUUUCUGUUUUAGUUGCUCCUUGGUAAAAGUUUCCAUGGGCUCGAUGCCUAGGAGUUGUCUACAAUGACACCGGCCUCUUCAGCAUGCCUUCUAUGAUCGUCAGUUAUUACCAACUGAUCNNNNNNNNNNNNNNNNNNNNNNNNNNNNNNNNNNNNNNNNNNNNNNNNNNNNNNNNNNNNNNNNNNNNNNNNNNNNNNNNNNNNNNNNNNNNNNNNNNNNNNNNNNNNNNNNNNNNNNNNNNNNNNNNNNNNNNNNNNNNNNNNNNNNNNNNNNNNNNNNNNNNNNNNNNNNNNNNNNNNNNNNNNNNNNNNNNNNNNNNNNNNNNNNNNNNNNNNNNNNNNNNNNNNNNNNNNNNNNNNNNNNNNNNNNNNNNNNNNNNNNNNNNNNNNNNNNNNNNNNNNNNNNNNNNNNNNNNNNNNNNNNNNNNNNNNNNNNNNNNNNNNNNNNNNNNNNNNNNNNNNNNNNNNNNNNNNNNUUGCAGCUGCUUGGCUUGAGCUCGAGCUCGAUGAUGUCUUUUGAAGCUACGUUGGUAUUUCCCAAAGAGGAAGGGAUGAUGCAGCAGAACGGCGGUAGGUAUUUCACUCAAAUAUGAAAUCAAGGUUAUCGAACCAGUAGGAGAAGCAAGCAACACAACGUAAACAGCCCCUGCACACAUAUAACAAAUCCUCACAACCCGACAUGUCAAAGGGGUUGUCAAUCCCUUUCGGGUAACGGUGCCAGAAAUUGGUGCGUGACGGGAAGUUGUAAUAGAUUGAAUAAAUAGAUCACAAAUAAAAUAAAGUGCAGCAAGGUAUUUUUGGGUUUUUGGAUUAAUAGAUCUGAAAAUAAAAGCAAAUAAUAUGAGAAAGAGACCCGGGGGCCGUAGGUUUCACUAGUGGCUUCUCUCGAGAAAAAUAUCAAACGGUGGGUGAACAAAUUACUAUUGGGCAAUUGAUAGAACUUCAAAUACUCAUGAUGAUAUCCAGGCAAUGAUCAUUACAUAGGCAUCACAUCCAAGAUUAGUAGACCGACUCUUGCCUGCAUCUACUACUACUACUCCACACAUCGACCGCUAUCCAGCAUGCAUCUAGUGUAUUAAGUUCAUGGAGAAGCGGAGUAAUGCAAUAAGAACUAUGACAUGAUGUAGACAAGAUAUAUCUAUGUAGAGAUAGACCCCAUCGUUUUAUCCUUAGUAGCAACGAUACAUACGUGUCGGUUCCCCUUCUGUCACGGGGAUCAAGCACCGUAAAAUCGAACCCACUACAAAGCACCUCUUCCCAGUGCAAGAUAAAUAGAUCAAGUUGGCCAAAUAAAACCCAAAUAUCGGAGAAGAAAUACGAGGCUAUAAGCAACCAUGCAUAAAAGAGAUCAAAGAAACUCAAAUACUUCCAUGGAUAUAAAAAGAGAUAGAUUUGAUCAUAAACUCAAAGUUCAUCGGAUCCCAAAAAACACACCGCAAAAGAGUUACAUCAUAUGGAUCUCCAAGAGACCACUGUACUGAGAAUCAAGAGAGAGAGAGAGAGGAAGCCAUCUAGCUACUAACUAUGGUCCUGAAGGUCUACAAAGAACUACUCACGCAUCAUCGGAGAGGCACCAAUGGAGGUGGUGAACCCCAUCCGAGAUGGUGUCUGAUACGUCUCCAACGUAUCUAUAAAUUUUUGAUUGCUCCAUGCUAUUAUACAACCUGUUUGGAUGUUAAUGGGCUUUAUUUACACUUUUGGGACUAACCUAUUAACCGGAGGCCCAGCCCAAAUUGUUGUUUUUUGCCUAUUUCAGCGUUUCGUAGAAAAGGAAUAUCAAACGAAGUCCAAACGGAAUGAAACCUUCGGGAGCGUUAUUUUUUGAACAAACGUGAUCCAGGGGACUUGGAGUGGACGUCAAGAAACAAUCGAGGAGGCCACGAGGCAGGGGGCACGCCUACCCCCUGGGCGCGCCCUCCACCCUCGUGGGCCCCUCGUUGCUCCACCGACCUACUUCUUCCUCCUAUAUAUAUCUAUGUACCCCGCAAACAUCCAGGAGCACCACAAAAACCUAAUUCCACCACCGCAACCUUCUGUACCCAAGAGAUCCCAUCUUGGGGCCUUAUCCGGAGCUCCGCCGGAGGGGGCAUUGAUCAUGGAGGGCCUCUACAUCAACUCCAUGGCCCCUCCGAUGAUGUGUGAGUAGUUUACUUCAGACCUUCGGGUCCAUAGCUAGUAGCUAGAUGGCUUCUUCUCUCUCUUUGGAUCUCAAUACAAAGUUCUCCUCGAUCUUCUUGGAGAUCUAUUGGAUGUAACUCUUUUGCGGGGUGUUUGUCGAGAUCCGAUGAAUUGUGGGUUUAUGAUCAAGUUUAUCUAUGAACAAUAUUUGAAUCUUCUCUGAAUUCGUUUAUGUAUGAUUGGUUAUAUUUGCAAGUCUCUUCGAAUUAUCAGUUUGGUUUGGCCUACUAGAUUGAUCUUUCUUGCAAUGGGAGAAGUGCUUAGCUUUGGGUUCAAUCUUGCGGUGCUCGAUCCCAGUGACAGAAAGGGAAAUGACACGUAUUGUAUUGUUGCCAUCGAGGAUAACAAGAUGCAGUUUAUAUCAUAUUUCAUGAGUUUAUCCCUCUACAUCAUGUCAUCUUGCUUAAGGCGUUAUUCUGUUCUUAUGAACUUAUUAUUAUUGUCUUAUUAUUAUUAUCUCUAUCAGAUCUCACUCUUGCAAGUGGCAGUGUAGGGAUUGCCAACCCCUUUAUCGCGUUGGUUGCGAGGUUCUUAUUUGUCUGUGUAGGUAUGAGGUGACUUGCGCGUGGUCUCCUACUAGAUUGAUACCUUGGUUCUCAAAACCUGAGGGAAAUACUUACGCUGCUUUGCUGCAUCACCCUUUCCUCCUCAAGGGAAAACCAACGGUGCUCAAGAGGUAGCAGUGUCUAGAUUGGAUCUGGUGGUUCUAGACUCUGCGGCGGCUGGAUCAAUAUUUUGUUGACUCACCUAGGGUUUUGGGAAUAUUGGGGUAUUUAUAGAGCAAAGAAGCGGUCUGGGGGGCACUGGAGGUGGGCACAACCCACCAGGGCGCGCCUGGCCUCCUGGUGCACCCUGGUGGGUUGUGCUCCCCUCGGGGCACCCCCCAGGUGCAGCCAGGGCCCGUUGUGUUCCUUCUGGCCUAUAAAAAAUCUUCGUAAAGUUUCGUGGCAUUUGGACUUCGUUUGAUAUUGUUUUUCUGUGAUGUAAAAAACAUGGAAAAACAGCAACUGGCACUUGGUACUCUGUCAAUAGGUUAGUACCAUAUAAAAUGACUAUAAAAUGAUUAUAAAACAUCCAAGAUUGAUAAUAUAACAUCAUGGAAUAAUUAAAAAUUAUAGAUAUGUUGGAGACGUAUCAACAUCCCCAAGCUUAACUCCUACUUGUCCUCGAGUAGGGAAGUGAUAAAGCAGAAUUUUUGAUGUGGAAUGCUGCCUAACAUGUCAUAUCAUAUUUCUUUCUUUAUAGCAUGGACAUUUGGACAUUUAUAUUGUUCAAAGAAAUAGUGUAGUUUUGACAUGAUAAUUUAAAUACUCAAGCAUAUCAACAAGCAACCAUGUCUUUCAAAAUAUCAACGCUAAAAUAAACUAUCCCUAGCCCAUCAUGCUCAACCAUUGAUCCAUUCAUGAAACACACUCACAUAUUAGCUACAUCCAAUACUCAAGUAUGAUCAUAUUGCUUCCUAGUUGGUGCUUUUAUAAGAGAAUAUGGAGACUCAAAUUCAAAAAUAAAAAUUGCAUAAAGUAAAAGAAAGGCCCUUCGCAAAGGGAAGUAGGGAUUUGUACAGGUGCCAGAGCUCAAAGCGAAAAACUUAGAGAUAAAAACAUUUUGGGAGGUGUAUCCAUCCCACCAAUGAAAACGAGUUAGAGUUCCCAAUACUUUACAUGCUUAGAAAUAUCAUAGGCGGUUCCCAAACAGAAAAUAAAAUUUAUUCCUUUUUCCACCAUACUUUCACUUUCGAUGGCUAGUCGUAUCCAUGGUUGCCCUUCAUACCAACACUUUCCAAGGAAUUUAUUAUUUGACAACAUAAAGUAAAUUCAUUUUUUUUCAUUUCGGGACUGGGCAUCCCUAAUACCUUUGCCUUACUCUCGUGCAAUGACAAGUGAAUAAACACUCAUCGCGAGAAUAACAUAUCUAGCAUGGAAAAUAUUAGCCACCCAUCACCGCUCCGUGAGCAAAAUUAACACACAAAAGAGAAGUUUAUUUUUGAAAAUUAGAGAUGGUACAUGCAAUUUUUCUUAGAAUGACAAAAGAAUACCACAUAUAGGUAGAUAUAGUGGACUCAUGUGAAAAAACUGGGUUAAAGGUUUUUGGAUGCACAAGUAGUGAUCAUACUUAGUGCAAAAUGAAGGCUAGCAAAAGAUUGAGAAGCGACCAACCAAGAAACGAAUAAUCUCAUAAGCAAGCGUUAAGCAUAACUAACACCAAAUAAUGCACCACAAGUAGGAUAUAAUUUCAUUGCAUAACUAUUGACUUUCGUGCUUGCAUAGGGAAUCACAAACCUUAACACCAAUAUUCUCACUAAAGCAUAAUUACUCAUCAAGAUGACUCACAUAUCACAUCAUCAUAUCUCAAAACUAUUACUAAGAAUCAAGUUUAUUUUAUCCAAUGAUAUUCAUGAAAGUUUUUAUUAUAUCCUUCUUGGAUAUCUAUCACUUUGGGAUUAAUUUUCAUUUGUUGCUUUUGACAAGCUCAAACAAAUAUAAGUGAAGAUCAUGAGCAUAAUUUUUCUUUCUCUCAAAUUAAUAUAAGUGAAGUAAGAGAGAAUUUCUUGAAAAUUUUACUAACUCUCAAAUAAAUCUUAGUGAAGCAAGAGAGCAUUUCUUCAAAAAUACUAAGCACACCAUGCUCAAAAAGAUAUAAGUGAAGCACUAGAGCAAGUCCAUAGCUCAUAAAAAAUUUAAGUGAAGCAUAGAGAGCAAUUCUAACAAGUCACGACAUAAUUUUGGCUCUCUCAAAUAGGUGUGUCCAGCAAGGGAUAAAGACUUAAAACGAAAAAUAAAACAAGCAAAGACUCAUAUCAUACAAGACUCUCCAAGCAAAACACAUAGUAUGUGACGAAUAAAAAUAUAGCUUCGAGUAAAAUACCGAUGGUCGUUAGAAGAAAGAGGGAUGCCACUCGGGGGCAUCCCCAAGCUUAGUUGGUUGCUCAUUUUUGGAUAAUAGCUUGGGAUGCCGGGGCAUCCCCAAGAUUAGGCUCUUCUACUCCUUAUUCCUUCAUCCAUCGUAAGAUAGCCCAAAACUUGAAAACUUCAAUCACACAAAACUCAACAAAACCUUCGUGAGAUCCGUUAGUAUAAGAAUAAUAAAUCACUACUAUAAGUGUUGUAUUAAACCAAUUCAUAUUUUGUUAUUGCAUUAUAUCUAUUGUAUUCCAACUAUUCUAUGGCAAAAAACCAUAAAAGAAAACCAUAGAGCCAUCAAAAUAAGAACACAACACAAAGAAAGCAGAAUCUAUCAAAACAGAACAGUGUGUAGCAAUCUGACUAUUCGAAUACUUCUGUAACUCCAAAAAUUCUGAAAAAUUAGGAAGACCUGAGAAAUUUGUAUAUUGAUCUACUGCAAGUGGAAUGGGUAUUUUAUUGCUCUCUGGUAAAAAAAUGAGAAUUAUUUUCGUGAGCGCAAAAGUUUCUGUUUUUUUAGCAAGAUCAAACAACUAUCACCCAAGAAGUCUAAAGGCUUUACUUGGCACAAACACUAAUUAAAACAUAAAAACACAAUCAUAACAGUAGCACAAUUGUGCUAACACUCGAAAACAGGAAGCAAAAAAAGCAAAAAUAAAUUUUAUUCAUUGGGUUGCCUCCCAACAAGCGCUAUAGUUUUCCGCCCUUAGCUAGGCAUAAGAUUUCAAUGAUGCUCACAUGAAAGAUAGUAAUAGAAACACAAAGAGAGCAUCAUGAAACAUAUGAAAAACACAUUUAAGUAUAACAUACUUCCGAUGCAUAGGAAUUUUAUAAGCAAACAAAUUAUCAAGACAAGAAACAUCUAACAUAUGCAAAGAAGAGGAGUGAAAUAUUGACGAUGUCAACAUAACAAGAGGUAAUUUAGUAACAUGCAAAUUUAUACAACCAUAUUUUCCUCUCUCAUAAUAAUUACAUGUAGGAUCAUAAUCAAAUUAAACAAAAUAACUAUCACAUAAAUUAUUAUCUAUAUGAUCCACAUGCAUGCGACGUUGACACUCUUCCAAAAUAGUGGGAUUAUCCUCAAAUAAAGUCAUGACCUCUCCAAUCCCACUUUUAUCAAAAAUGUCAUAAGAUUGAACACUCUCCAAAUACGUGGGAUUAUUUUUACCUAGAGUUGAUGCUCUUCCAAACCCACUUUCAAUAUUAUUGCAAAAAUAUUCAUGAGGCUUAAAUAAAUUUUCAAGAUCAUAAGAAGAAUCACCCCAAUCAUGAUCGUUGCAACAAGUAGUGGACAUAGCAAAAUUAGCAUCCCCAAGCUUGGGGUUUUGCAUAUUAUUAGCACAACUGACAAUAAUAGAAUUUAUAGUAAAAUCAUUGCAAUCAUGCUUUUCAUUCAAGGAGCUGUCAUGAAUCACUUCAUAAAUUUAUUCAUCACAAUUUCCAGAUUCACGAAUCUCAAGCAAAACUUCAUAAAGAUAAUCUAGUGCACUCAACUCACUAGCAAUUGGUUCAUCAUGAUUGGAUCUUUUAAAAAGAUUAGCAAGUGGAUGGGGAUUCAUAUCAAUAUAUUUUUAGCAAGAGAAGAUGAAAGCAUAUAGAAGACACAUGGCAACACAAGCAAACAUAAGAUCGAACUAGAAAAAGGGAAACAAAAAAGAGGGCGAAUAAAACGGCAAAUUUUUGUGAAGUGGGAGGGGAGGAAAAUGGGAGGCAAAUGGAAAAUAAUAUAAAUUACGAGGAGAUGAUAUUUGUGAUUAGGAACCUGGUAUGUGUUGAAGAUCCUCCCCGGCAAUGGCGCAAGAAAUUCCUUUUGAUGUCGCUUGAAGCUACGUCGGUAUUUCCCCAAAGAGGAAGGGAUGAUGCAGCACAAAGGCGGUAGGUAUUUCCCUCAAAUAUGAAACCAAGGAUAUCGAACCAGUAGCAGAACCAAGCAACACAACGUAAACAGCCCCUAGACACAGAUAACAAAUCAUCGCAACCCGACGUGUUAAAGGGGUUGUCAAUCCCUUUCGGGUAACGGUGCCAGAAAUUGGUGCGUGACGGGAAAAAGUUGUAAUAGAUUGAAUAAAUAGAUCACAAAAAAAUAAACUGCAGCAAGGAAUUUUCGGGUUUUUGGAUUAAUAGAUCUGAAAAUAAAAGCAAAUAAAAGUAGACCGCAAAGGCAAAUAAUAUGAGAAAGAGACCCGGCGUAGGUUUCACUAGUGGCUUCUCUCGAGAAAAAUAGCAAACGGUGGGUGAACAAAUUACUGUUGGGAAAUUGAUAGAACUUCAAACACUCAUGAUGAUAUCCAGACAAUGAUCAUUACAUAGGCAUCACGUCCAAGAUUAGUAGACCGACUCCUGCCUGCAUCUACUACUAUUACUCCACACAUCGACCGAUAUCCAACUUGCAUCUAGUGUAUUAAGUUCAUGGAGAAACGGAGUAAUGCAAUAAGAAUGAUGACAUGAUGCAGACAAGAUCUAUCUAUGUAGAGAUAGACCCCAUCGUUUUAUCCUUAGUAGCAACGAUACAUACGUGUCGGUUCCCCUUCUGUCACUGGAAUCAACCACCGUAAGAUCGAACCCACUACAAAGCAUCUCUUCCCAUUGCAGGAUAAAUAGAUCAAGUUGGCCAAACAAAACCCAAAUAUCGGAGAGGAAAUACGAGGGUAUAAGCAAUCAUGCAUAAAAGAGAUCAAAUAAACUCAAAUAAUUCCAUGGAUAUAAAAAGAGAUAGAUCUGAUCAUAAACUCAAAGUUCAUCGGAUCGCAACAAACACACCGCAAAAGAGUUACAUCAUAUGGAUCUCCAAGAGACCAUUGUAUUGAGAAUAAAGAGAGAGAGAGAGAGGAAGCCAUCUAUAACACCUCGAGAAUCAUGCUACAGUAAUCUCCCCUCUAAUCUUGCCAUGUCAUCAUGUUUCUCAAGGUUAAGUGCCACUUGGUCAAAUUCAAACUCCAAUUCAGAUUUAUGUUGAAAGUCAAAUUAAUGUUUUUUCAAACUGCAAAACUAAAAUGUUCAUAGUGUUGCAAAUAGUCCCUGAAUAAUUGUCAUGGUGAAACCAACAUGUUAUGAAGUGGUUAAGUGCCCUAAAAUAAUUAAAACAGGGGCCAAAACAAUGUUCUAAAAGCUUUUUCAAAUUAUGAAAAAUUCAAAUGAAACUAUACUGACCUCAAACUUUUUGUGGCAAUGCUCAAUAUUUCCUAGUAUUUGUUUUGACUAGCUUCACAAUUUUGCAAGGUCAUCUGGUGGCUUAUUUAAAUGCAAACGGUGACUGUUAAAAGAAAAAAAAUAGAACAAAUCAAAAGGCCUCAGCUACUGGGCACUUUUGGCCCAUCUAGCAACUUACCCAGGUCAGCCCAUCUCUCCCUCCUUCAACCUGUAGCAGGGGCAUCGUGGAGCACAUCCACGGACGCCAUGGUGUCGUGGCGCACAUCUGCGCCCCCUCGCCCUACUUAACAUCGCUAGGCCCCCUCCCUCCUUCCCCUCCUAACCCUAGCACCAACCACUCACUCCCUCACUCCCGGUCACUCUCUCCCGAACGCCUCUGGCGCCGCGAUGCCGUCGAUCCCACGGCCUCCAUUCACCCCGCGCCUCAUGCAGACGUCCCGGAGAACCACCGUCGUUGUCAACGUCAGCUCCGCCCUUCGGCUCAAGCCGAGGCCCUCUCCAUCAACGGGAUCUAACCCUCCUUCAACCUCUGUCGCCUGUCGUCUUUGUCGGAACCGCCACUCAAGUGUUGCCCCGUGCACCCCGAGCGCAUCCCGACCUCCCCGGGGUGAGCCACCGCGUCCCCCACUUUUCCCCCUCGCCCCUGUUGUCGAAGCCCCUGCUGUAGGCCGCCUCCGGCCGCCGCACGCCCGCGUGCCUCACCCGAGCAACCCACGCCCGCCCCGUGCUCGCCUGCGACCCGUCGCGCACGCGACGCGCGCUCGUGGCCACGCCCAGCCGCCUCCUGGAUGCACUGCCGUCGUGCUCCGGCCGCUUGGACAGCCCAGAGCCCGUGUGUGGCCUCGCCCAGCCUCCCGCACUCUGUCACCGCUGCUUCUGCGUUCUGCUGCUAACACUGCUACUGCCUUCUCUUCCAUGUUGCUCACUCCACGCGCCGUGCUCUUGCACCGCUGCCAGCUGCGACCCAGCCGCCGCUGGCCUCGCCUGGCCCGUGCCCGCGCUCCCCCUGCAGCUCGCUGUAGUUGCCGCUGCAGCCGCUGCCACUUCUGCCGUCGUGGCCAGCCCUUGCCUCGAGUAUGCAGGCCCCGAGGUUGGUUGUACUAGAUCAGGUCGACCCUUAAUGAUUGGGGAUUAGCCCCUGUUAAGUUACUUUUUAGUUUGUGUUUAGUUAAACUGCUUAACUAAAAUAUUUUCAAUAGAUGUACACUGACACAUGGGCCACCCUCUAAUAACCCCUAAAUUAGGAAUUAACUAAACAUUGUUAGAAAACUACAGGGUAUGACAACUGGGCCCCACCUGCCAUAUUUGACUAGUCAAUAGUCAAACCAGUUGACUAUUGACUGGGCUGUUGACUUGGUCAAUUAGGCCCUCUGGACCCACCAGUCAGCCUCUCGGUGGGUUUACUUUUGGGCACUCUUAGCAAAUUCUGUUUUCAAUUUCGAAUUAAUAAUAAAUCCAAGAAUUUCAGAAAAACUUUAAUCCGUAACUCGGAUGAAAAUACUUUGUACAUGAAAGUUACUCAGAACAAAGAGACGAAUCCGAACAUGCAGUCCGUUCGCCCGCCGCACAUCCCUAGCAUAGCGAACAUGCAACAACCCACCUUCGUUUCAUCUGCCCGAAAACGUCAAACACCGGGAAUACUUUCCCGGAUGUUUUCCCCCUUCGCCAGUAUCACCUAGUACUAUGUUGGGUCACCCCUAGCACCACAUAUUGUCAUGUUAUGCUUUUGUGAUGCUUUGAUUGCUCUGUUAUUUAUUGUGUCCCCCUUCGUUACUUCUUUUCGGUAGACCCCGAGACCGUGGUUGAAAGGGUGAUCGACUACUUCAUCGUCGAGGAUCUGAAUCUGUCUACAGAGCUUCCAGGCAAGCCACCCCCCCUUAUUCAUCCUGAUAUCACCUAUUCUUUUCCUCUACUAUUUGCAUUAGAGUAGUGUUGUUGUUUCAUCGAUUUGAUCCUAUACUGCUGCAUAGCCUGUCCUUGUUACUACUGUUGUUACCUUUACCUGCAAUCCUAAAUGCUUAGUAUAGGUUGCUAGUAUUACAUCAGUGGCCCUACACUCUUGUUGGUCUGCCAUGCUAUAGUACUAGGCUGUGAUCACCUCGGGGGUGAUCGUGGGUACAUAUACUAUAUACUUUUACAUUACUUAUGGUACUGUUCAGAGAUUGGGGCUGAAGGGGCCGGUCGUUCCACCCAGGUAGUGGUCGGACUAGGUUCCUGGUGGCCCCCGAGUGAUACUUUGUGGCAGAGCGACAGGGCAGGUUGAGACCACCUAGGAGGCAGGUGGGCCUGGCCCUGGCCGGCAUCCGCGGAUACUUCAAAUAACUCGCUUAACAAGAUCUGGAUAUUUGAUCCGAGUCUCGCCACGAGCCUAUACGCACUAACCAACUACGCGGGAAUAGUUAUGGGCACUCGACGUCGUGGUAUCGGCUGAAGCUUUCUUGACAUCAGCGACUGAGCGGUGCAUGCCGGAUUGGACUGGAACGCCUGCUCUUGUAUUAGGGAGGCUAGGUCUGCUUACCGGUCGUGUUCGCAACGUGCAGGUGUGCAAUGGGCGAUGGGCCCAGACCCCUACACGAAUAGGAUUUAGACCGGCGUGCUGACCUAUCUGUUGUGCCUAGGUAGGGCUGCGACAUGUUGAUCUUCUAAGGCCGGCCAUGACCCAUGAAAGUUUGUCCGGCCAUAGGGAUCGAGCGUGUUGGGUAAUGUGGUGCACCCCUUCAGGGAAGUUUAUCUAUUCGAAUAGCCGUUUCCAUCGGUAAAAGGAUGACCCAGAGUUGUAUUCCGACCUUAUGACAACUAGAAACCGAAUACUUAAUAAAACACACCCUUUCAAGUGCCAGAUACAACCCGGUGAUCGCUCUCUCACAGGGCGAUGAGGAGAGAAUCGCCAAGUAGGAUUAUGCUAUGCGACGAUACUUGGUUAACUUACCAUCUACUCUCUUCUACUGCUUCAAGAUGUAGGCUACCCGUUGUGUUCCUUCUGACACAUAAAAAGUCUCCAUAAAGUUUCGUGGUAUUUGGACUCCGUUUGAUAUUGAGUUUCUGCGAUAUAAAAAACAUGGAAAAACAACAGCUGGCACUUGGCACUAUGUCAAUAGGUUAGUACCAAAAAAUGAUAUAAAAUGAUUAUAAAACAUCCAAGAUUGAUAAUAUAACAACAUGGACCAAUCAAAAAUUAUAGAUACGUUGGAGACAUUUCACUCAACUCCUUUUUGUGUGCUUGAUAUGGCUUCUUGAUUUGGCGCUCAUAAUCUGAGUCCCUAUACUUGGGAGCUGGUGGUUCAGCCAUACGAAUAAAGUGGUCAAUGACAUGCUCAGGUACUUUCUCCUCUGACGGCGAUGGCGAUUUCGGUCCAAAAUGGGCCUUCAACUGGGCCCUCACUUUGGCUUCGUUCUCCUCUUCGGUCAGGUCAUAAGGCAACCGAGGAAGAGUCUUAAGGCUUGGACCAAAUUGGUAUCUCUUGCCUCCUGUUGUACCACUAGCCGCCGUAGCUGCGGCGCCUCUCUUCUGCUGUUGCUUAGGCGGCGGAGACGGCUGACGUGGCGCCUGACUUGGAGGAGGAGGACUGGGCUGACGCGGUGCCGGACUUGGAGGAGGAGGAGUGGGCUGACGCCGGACUUGGAGGAGGAGGAGGAGUGGGCUGACGCAUUGGUGGACUUGGAGGAACUGGAGUCUACUAGGGCGGUGGCUGACUUGGAGGAGCGGGAGUCUGCUGACGCGGUGGCAGACAUGGAGGAGGAGUCGGCUGACGCGGUGUCGGUGGCCUUGGAAAGAUGAUGCAAUCCUUUCUCCAUAGAAUGAUACGAUGUAUGACCUCUCCCAGUGUGCGCUCGUCGUCACCUCCAGGAAUGUCAAGAUCUAGCCUCGAAUAUUGUGCCACCACUUCAUCAACCGUGACACAAGCAUAGCCACCUAGAAUCAGAUUGCAAAGGAAGGUUGCUUUUGGGGGAUUUGUAUAAGCAAUGCCAUCCGCCACCUUCAUGGAUAUGUUCUUCAUUUUAAAGUGUAUUUCACAGUUAGUGUUAUCCAUGAUGUCAUCCACAUGGUAUCUAUCCAACAGUGCCCCAUCACCCGAGGCGAAACCCAUGCUGCUUCUCGGCAUGGAUGGGACGGUGCUAUCCAAUGCGGGAUCCACUUGCCGCUGCCGCUGCUGAGAUCCCCUUUCCUGGCUAAGUGAGUCGAUCUGCUGCUACUGCCGCUGGAAAGCGAGUUCCAAAUCCGCGUGCUUUGAUUCUACGAUGUGAAGGCGGUCUGCUUCCUGCUUUCUCUGCUCCUCCUCCACCUUCCUCUUCUUCUCCUCAUGCAUCUUCUUUCUCCCACGACUUCUGUAGUCGGCGUUCUAGUCCGCAAACCCCUCAAACCAUGGAACAACACAUUUGCCUCAUGUUCUUCCUGGGUGUUCAGGAUUUCCUAGGGUGCACGUAAGCUCGUCGUUCUCUUUGUUGGGCGUGAACACCCCCAUUCGAGCCUCUUCUAUUGCAACAAGUAUACUAAGGUCGACUCCUUUAAGACUUGCCCGCUCCAAAACCUUGCAUGUCUUUGGCUCCAACGCCCCCAUGCGCAUAGAACCAAGUCCUGGACCUAGGGUGCCAGCUCAACGUAACUGGAAUGACCCCUGCAUCCACCAUCUGUUGCUCAGCGAGAUCCCACUUAGGUCGGGCCACCUCGCAGCCACCUGGCCCCAGCUUAUGGUGCCACUCCUUUUUCGCGGCAUUGAUCUUGUUUAUUCUUGACCGUUCCUGAGCUAAUUCUGAUUCCUUGAAUUUCAUGAAAUUGUCCUAGUGAUCUCUUGCCUUCUCCAGUGUUCCCUUGAAUUCUGGAGUCAUCUUUCCUCCUUCGACGUACUUGGCCCAUAUACUUUUCUUGAAGUUGUUGAAUGCUACCGCCAUCUUCCUAAGAGCAGCAUUCUUGACUUUCUCCACAUUUGCAUCUGCGAAAAUGAUCUGGUAGGGUGAAAUGUGACAUGAGAGAUUCCCAAAGCCGAUCUUUUGCUCUUUGGUCGACAAAAGAAAGAUCUGGACGUUCCUUUGUUGGCUUUUUCCAUUCUUGAAUGGAGAUCGGGAUUAUUUGAUCCUUCAUAAGAAAUCCGCAUUGACGAAUGAACUUGUUCGCAUUAUUCUUAGGUUCGCCCGGUUCGCCAUUAGGUUUGAUGGCAUCGAUGUUGUACUUUACGCCAUCCUUCAACUUUUUGGCCGGGCCUCGAACUGUCCUGCUGCUUGUAGAAGAUUUGCUCGAUCCGGAGGGCUGAAAGAAGAAAGAUCGAUCCGUUAAUAUAUAUAUAUAUAUAAAUCAAUUAAAACAUGUGAUGAUCACCAGAUGCCUGCUUAUAUAAAUAUACCUCGCCGGUCUUUGUUAUUUCAAGAACAACAUUUUCUUCGUCAUCAUAGUUCUCGACUUUAUCUAUUCGUUCCUCUUCAUCAAAUAUCAUACCCUCACGGGUAGGUUACAAAUAUUGCGAGCCGUCAUCUUUUUCAAACUCAUGUGGGCGAGGGGAUGAGCGUAUGAUGUUGAACAUGGCCUCCUCUCCUUCUCUGUCGGUAUUGUCCAUAACUUUUAUUUAACUAAUAGAAAAGAAAUAUAAAACAAUUAAGUAUUCAAAUUAGAAUGCAUGCAUACAAUCAAUAAAGAAAAACUGAAUCAUAGUACAUAAUAUGCAUCUUGAAUAAUCCAGAUAAUUAGUAUGCAUCAUCGAAUAUAAUGUCGAAUACAUCGUCUCGAAUAUUAUCGAAUAAUAUAAUCUCAAAUACAUCGUCUCGAAUAUCUUGAAUACAUCACUAGCUAAUACAGAUCGAAUACUAUCGAAUAAUCUAGUUCACUCAUGGUUCCUGAGGUGCGGGCGGUGGACACCCAAAGAGAAGGAAUCAUCAUAGGAUCAUAGCACGGGUGAGAUCCUCAAAGAACCUGCCAGGUAUUGGAGAACCUGACAUCGAACGCAGCCAUGUAGCAACGGACAUGCUCGUCCUCCUACCUGACACGACGAUGUACCACCUCCGGCGGGGCCAGCUGCCUCCGCACCGAAAGUGGCCCGCGCAAACGCCACCAAAGGAGCUCCGAGUCGACGACGGGACCCGGGGCCAGGUUCCUCACCAAGCGGCGCCCCCCUGAAGGUAGCACCUCCCAAUGCCAGCCCGGCGGAGCCCAAUCCCGGACAUGGCUCCUCUGAAACAGGACAUCGUUGCGAACGGGUCGACAGCGAGGAUGCGGGCCGGGCAUCGUUGACAUUGAGAACAAAUUCUAUGCAAAUGUAACUUUUCUAAAUGAUUGGAUUGUGAUUUCUUAUAUACGAGGAAAACCUUUAGUCCCUGGCUAUAGGAACAAGAUUCAGAAUCAUAACGGAUUCUCUUAACCUUGAAGGGAUUUAACAAAAUGGCGCCAUUCUGGAUGUGCAGAAAAUGGUCAAUAUUUUUCCUAAUCUCAUCUACCCUUCUAUAUGUCAUGUUGUCUAGUGUCAAAUGAUUCAAGAAAAAUAUGGCUUCAUCAUUAGCCGGAAGAACAGGCGUGUGACGGUACGAAGCUCUCCAAAGUUGUUUUGGAACGGAGUCCAGGAUAUGAUAAUUCGCUUUUUGGUAUGAAGUUCAGCAAGAGCCUUCCGAAUAUCGCUAUUUGGAAGGCCUUUGUUGAACUUCGUACCAAAAAGUGAAUUAUUCUAUCAGGAACUCCGUUCCAAAAUGACUAUGGAGAGCUUCAUACCAUCAUGCGCCUGUUACUUCCGGCUAAUGAUGAAACCAUAGAUUUCUUCAAUACUUUGACGCAAGACAACGUGACAUAGAAGCUAGGGUACGUAGAUGAGAUUAGAAAAAAAAUGGAUCAACUUGUGCACAUCCAUAAUGGGGGCAUUAUUCUUGAUAAAUCCCUUAUUUUUAAAGGACUACUAAGAGAAUCUAUUGUACUAUACAUACAUAUAAUAAUUAAUUGCAAAUACAUAACAAACUUUUGCAAAUACAACAUUAAAUUCUAACUUUGCAUAUGAUCAAACUUUGACAUAUGAACAAAUGUUGCAUAUGUCAAAAUUCAAACUUUGACAUAUGAUCAAACUUUGACAUUUGUCAAAAUUAUUGCAUCUAGUUACAUUGGAUAAAAUGUUGCAUCGUGAAAUAUGCAACAUUCAAACUUUUUUCAAUAUGACAAACUUUUAAUACAUUCAAACAUCUAAAACAUCUAAAACAUCAAAACAAACAUAUAUACAUAAAAAAUUCCUACUCAAUAAAACAUCAAAACNNNNNNNNNNNNNNNNNNNNNNNNNNNNNNNNNNNNNNNNNNNNNNNNNNNNNNNNNNNNNNNNNNNNNNNNNNNNNNNNNNNNNNNNNNNNNNNNNNNNNNNNNNNNNNNNNNNNNNNNNNNNNNNNNNNNNNNNNNNNNNNNNNNNNNNNNNNNNNNNNNNNNNNNNNNNNNNNNNNNNNNNNNNNNNNNNNNNNNNNNNNNNNNNNNNNNNNNNNNNNNNNNNNNNNNNNNNNNNNNNNNNNNNNNNNNNNNNNNNNNNNNNNNNNNNNNNNNNNNNNNNNNNNNNNNNNNNNNNNNNNNNNNNNNNNNNNNNNNNNNNNNUACAUCGGGGCGACGGCCGGCGAGGCGACAGGGCCGGCGACGGGGACGUACGGCGACGGGGAUGGGGGGUGGUGACGAUGCGGAAGGCGGCGAGGACGGGGGCGGCGAUGAGGACGAUGACGACACGCGAGGCGGCGACGGUGAUGUCGAAGCAGAGGACGAAGAAGAGAAGAGAAUAAACUAAUUCCUUUUGAAGUGUCAGUAUAUAUAGGAGGGACCUUUAGUCCCGGUUCGAGCCACCAACCGGGACUAAAGGUCAAUUUUGGCCAGGCCAAGUGGCGGGAAGCGCAGGCCUUGAGUCCCGGUUGGUGGCUCCAACCGUGACUAAUGACUCCCCCCUUUAGUCGCGGUUGGAGCCACCAACCGGGACUAAAGGCAUGUGCUUCCCGUGUGCGUGGUGCAUGAAGUUUAUUCCCACCUCGCCGAGCGAAGGGCAGCUGCACUGGUUUAUAAACCCAGCCGCGGCUGCUGAUACGUCUCCAACAUAUCUAUAAUUUUUGAUUGUUCCAUGCUAUAUUAUAUUCUAUUUUGGACAUUAUUGGGCUUUAUUAUACACUUUUAUAUUAUUUUUGGGACUAACCUAUUAAACGGAGGCCCAACCCAGAAUUGCUGUUUUUUUGCCUAUUUUAGGGUUUCGCAGAAAAAGAAUAUCAAACGGAGUCCAGACGGAAUGAAACCUUCGGGAACGUGAUUUUUGGAACAGACAUGAUCCUGAGGACUGGGACCCUACGUCAAGCAUCAACCAGGAGGCCAUGAGGUAGGGGGCGCGCCUACCCCCUGGGCGCGCCCUCCACCCUCAUGGGCCCCCUGUUGCUCCACCGACGUACUCCUUCCUCCUAUAUAUACCUACGUACCCCAAACUACCAGAUACGGAGCCAAAACCCUAAUUCCACAGCCGUAACUUUUUGUAUCCACGAGAUCCCAUCUUGGGGCAUGUUCUGGAGCUCCGCCGGAGGGGGCAUCGAUCACGGAGGGCUUCUACAUCAACACCAUAGCCCUUCUGAUGAAGUGUGAGUAGUUUACUUCAGACCUACGGGUCCAUAGUUAUUAGCUAGAUGGCUUCUUCUCUCUUUUUGGAUCUCAAUAGAAAUUUCUCCCUCUCUCUUGUGGAGAUCUAUUUGAUGUAAUCUUCUUUUGCGGUGUGUUUGUUGGGACCGAUGAAUUGCGGGUUUAUGAUCAAGUUUAUCUAUGAACAAUAUUUGAAUCUUCUCUGAAUUCUUUUAUGUAUGAUUGGUUAUCUUUGCAAGUCUCUUCGAAUUAUCAGUUUGGUUUGGCCUACUAGAUUGAUCUUUGUUGCAAUGGGAGAAGUGCUUAGCUUUGGGUUCAAUCUUGCGGUGUCCUUUCCCAGUGACAGUAGGGGCAUCAAGGCACGUAUUGUAUUGUUGCCAUCGAGGAUAACAAGAUGGGGUUUAUUUCAUAUUGCAUGAGUUUAUCCCUCUACAUCAUGUCAUCUUGCUUAAAGCGUUACUCUGUUCUCUUGAACUUAAUACUCUAGAUGCAUGCUGGAUAGCGGUCAAUGUGUGGAGUAAUAGUAGUAGAUGCAGGGAGGAGUCGGUCUACUUGUCUCGGACGUGAUGCCUAUAUACAUGAUCAUACCUAGAUAUUCUCAUAAUUAUGCUCAAUUCUAUCAAUUGCUCAACAGUAAUUUGUUUACCCGCCGUGAAUACUUAUGCUCUUGAGAGAAGCCACUAGUGAAACCUAUGGCCCCCGGGUCUAUCUUCCAUCAUAUUAAUCUUAGUUAUUUUUAUUGCCUUUUAUUUUACUUUGCAUCUUUAUCAUAAAAAUACCAAAAAUAUUAUCUUAUCAUAUCUAUCAGAUCUCACUCUCGUGAGUGACCGUGUAGGGAUUGACAACCCCUUAUCGCGUUGGUUCCGAGGAUUUAUUUGUUUGUGUAGGUAUGAGGGACUCGUGCGUGGCCUCCUACUGGAUUGAUACCUUGGUUCUCAAAAACUGAGGGAAAUACUUAGGAUACUCUGCUGCAUCACCCUUUCCUCUUCAAUGGAAAACCAACACAAGUGCUCAAGAGGUAGCAACUGCUCCUUCGAGCUCCUCUCCAAAGCAGGCCUUCUAGGCCGACCUGUGCUGCGCUGCCCUGUGGGCCUGCAUCCUGGCCCAACUACAGGUUGGGUUUCUAGUCGUAUGCAGGCCGUUGUGGCCCAGUAGGCGGGCUUUUUUAAUUUAUUUAUUUUUCAUUUAAUAUUAGUCUGUUUUAUCAUUAUAUUCAAUUUGGUAAUACCUAGGUUAUUUUAAAAAAUGAAAUGCCUUUGUAACAGAUGAGUUUUCGUCCGAAACCCUAAUACUUUGAAAGAGAUUGUCCAUUUUGUACACGAAGUGGAUCCAGUUUUUGUCGUAACUGUCGGUGUCAAAACCGGCAGAUCUCGGGUAGGGGGUCCCAAACUGUGCGUCUGAGGUUGAUGGUAACAUGAGACAUGGCACACAAUGUUUACCCAGGUUCGGGACCUCUCAAUGGAGGUAAAACACUACAUCCUGCUAGAUUAAUAUUUAUCGGUAUAGGGGUUACAAGAGUUGAUCUAUCACGAGAUCGUAAUGGCUAAAACCCUAGAAGUCUAGCCUAUCUGAUUAUGGUUGUCCCUACGGACUAAACCCUCAAGUUUAUAUAGACACCGGAGAGAACUAGCAUUGUACAAAGUCGGUUACAUAGAAAGGAAAUAGUACAUCCAGCCGCCUAGCUUGCCAUCCACGCAAAGGAGAGUCCUAUCCAGACACGGGAGAAAGUAUUCUAUCUUGUAUCUUCACGGCCCAAUAGUCCGGCCCAUGUCCAACAGAUCGGACGCCUGAGGACCCCUUAGUCCAGGACUCCCUCAGUAGCCCCCGAACCAGACUUCAAUGACGAGGUGUCCGGCGUGCAGAUUGUCUUCGGCAUUGCAAGGCAGGUCCCCCCUCCGAUUACUUCAAAGUCCCUGACUUAACACUACAAAAAAAAUACACUUCUGUGAUGAUACGUGUUUGUCAUAGUAGGUCACAUUUUCUGUCAUGCAUGUACAUCCAUGACUAAUUUAUGACAGAAUCAAGAUAGUCAUACCCGUGCUGUCGUAGAAGUGUUCCAUGACAUUAUCAAAAUUAUCAUCACGAAAGUGUCCACUUCCAUGACGAUAAAUCACGCAUCACAGAAGUGCUUUCGUCAAGGGUGAGCAACAUGUGGCAUCCACCAUAAUGGAAUGCCGUUAAGCUAUCGGGUCCGGCUUUGGAUCCGAUAACCCGUUAACAGCCCCGACCAAUGGGGAUUUUCCACGUGUAAAAUCAUCAUUGGCUGGAGGAAACACGUGUCGGCUCACCUUUGGGACAGAUGUCAUCCACUCAUUGGACCCAAAGUUCCUAUGAUACGUCGACACGUGGCACGACCCAACAAAGGCCCAUUCCUGUGAAAAGGCCGGCCCGUUUGACUUGGUCAAAAGGUGGCGGGCCGGCCCACGGCAAGCCUGUUAACGACCUAUUCGCAUAUAGCCCAUUUACAACCCGCUAACCCAGGGCCCGUUUACGGCCUAUCCGAAUUAGGCCUAGUAGCGUCAUCUGGAACGUCCAAUAUAAUUCCAGCCCGUUUUAACUUCUGGCCCAUGUAUGGCCCAUGACGUCUUUCGGCCCAUAUGAGGCCCUUAGUAACCCUCGGCCCAUUAACGACACAUGGUGAAACUGGCCCGUAAUGACUAGUGUAUCACUUUAUACCCAUUAACGACCCAUUAUUCCGUUGGGCUGUUUCCAGCUCAUGUUAUCUUUCGGCCUUCUCAGGGCCCAUUUAUUCUUGGGCUCAUUUCUAGUAUUCGUUUACUUACGGCCCAUUAUUGUCAUUUUCUGCUUGUGGGCCAAAUUCAUCCCGUGGUUACAAUCGGCCCGUUUGUGGCCCGUUAAUAUGUUGGGCCAUUUUCAUAGCGUCAUCAAAUACGGCCGAUUAACGACGGCCCGUUAUGGUCGGCCCAUGAACGGACGAUUUCAACUCUAGCCCAUUUACGACCAUAAUGUGGUCUGUUGUUGGCUCAUGUUUGGCCAACCGAUCAUACGGCCCGGAGAAGGCCCAUUGAUGAUACGGCCCGAAGAAGGCCCAUUGUGUCUACGGCCCGUAUAAGGCCCAUUGUUUCUACGCCCCGUAGAAGGCCCAUUGUUUCUACGGCCCGUAGGAGCCCCAUGUUAACUACAGUAAAUAUGUAGCCCAUGGUUAUUAUGGCCUAGUUUUAAAAAAUAGGUUAUUGCAGCCACUAGCAAGCCGCGGAAAAAGAACUGCACUAACUACAAGAAAACAAAUAAACAAGACAAUAAGGAAAUAAAUUAGCAAGCAACUUACGCUAGGCUAUCACGGCUAUUGCACAUAUUACAUCCACUGGGCAUCAAAGUUUGCCACCAGUGCAAAUAUAGGGAACAAAGCAUCAUAUAAACACCGCAACAAAACAAGUCCAGAACUGAAACCACUUCAGAAGAGCUCAAGAAACAAUAUCCUGGGUACCCAUAAUGCUGGCAAGAUGCUUAGCAAGCUUAUUAACUUUCUCUUGUUUGGCGCUUAAAUCCUCCAGCACUUGCUAUUGAACCAGAAAGUAUGCAUCUGAAUUCUGCAUGGACUUCCUCAGUCCUUCGGCUUCCUGUCGCAUAAUAUCUGAUCAAUGUCUUUCAACUUAAAGUUGAGACUCAAGAAGCCGAACUGACUCAAGCAGCGAGUUCGAAGAGCUGGUGCCAGCAGUAGUAGCCAGUAACUCGAACACUACAUCAAGACAGGACUUUGGGGUUGUCUCAGUGUCUUCAAUAUAGUUUUUAUCAGCUUUCUUGGAGACCAACAGGGAUGUCUCACUAUCUUGAACCUUAUCUGCAUUACUUCCUUUACCAUUGCAUAACGGGGUACUCUUCUCCAAUAUUUUAUCCGCGUUCUAAAAGAGAAACAAACAAACACAUCACAUGUGUAUAAUUUAGUAUAUGAAACUCAUUUUGGUAAACCAGUUCAGUAGUAAGGUGGAUAGGAUAACAACAUGAAACAAACAUAUAUCUAUGUAGUAUGUUCACUAUAUGGUCUAUAUCAUUCUAGUUUAUGUUGCCAAAUAAAGAUAGAUACAGUUCAAAUCAUAUCUAUUUAAGACAAAGCAGCAUAGACAGAAUAUAAGUGUGGAAACUACACAACAAUCACAACACUUGUAAUGUGCAUGGCAUGAGCACAUAACUAUUUAUUCAAUUGAAACUGAAAUCAACAUAGAGCAAGUUACAACAGCAAACACGUUAAAGAAACAGGUUUAAAACAUACCUGUUGCGCCAUUGGAGUUUCAAUUGCAUCCUUCAAAUUUGAAAUUAGUUGGUAUGUGUAAAUACAGUGAUGCAAGAGCAAAGUAGUAUGAACCAUAGCUAUGGAACCUGACCUGAGAACAAUUCUUCUUCUGCUUUAAGCGUUGACUUGGGGUUCGGAGUGGUGGUCCUCGUGCUUUGGGCACUGCGGUUGCCUUACUAACUGCUCGUGUUUGGGUGCUCUAUGGUGGAGACGGUGCUGUGUCAACGGGGACAAGGUUACUAUCUGCUGGGGUUGGGGUUAGAAGGGGUGUAGCUGGUUCUCUGUCCAACUGGGCAAGGGUACAAUUUGCGUGAGUACGGGUUAUGUGUGGUGGGGAUGGUUCUUGGGCAAGUAUAAUCGUGGUUCUAUCUCCAUCGGUAGGUAGCACGAUCUUUUCUGAAGACUGUGUUUUUACUCCCACAUAUACUGUCAUCACCCCCUCCAAUUGAAAUGGCUGAUAAACAAGAAAAGUAAUUGAAUGUACAUACAUUGUAAGAUAGACAUGUGCAAUGGAUAGUAGGGAAGAAAACAGGGCAUGCAAUAGUUCACAUUUAUGUGGUCUAACCAAACAGAAUAGCAUGACAUAAUUUCAUAUAUAUGAUGGCUAAUUAAACAGGAUAACAUGACACAUUUUCACAUGUAUCAUGGCUAACUAAACAGAUAGAAUGACAUACUUCAAAAUAUGAUGCCUAUGUAAACAGGAUGACAUGAUAUAACUAUACGAUGUGUCUAUUAAAGUGGCUGGCAUGCCAUAAAUCACAAACAUGCUGUCGAUGGAAACAUGAUGGCAUGAUAUAAUUCACGGAUAGAAUGACAUAAUUCAAAAUAUGAUGACUAUGUAAACAAGAUGAGAUGAUAUAACUAUAUUAUGUCUUUAGAAAAUGGGUUGGCAUGCCAUAAUUUAGAUACAUGCUGUCUAUGUAAACAUCAUGGAAUGAUAUAAUUCAAAUAUAUGAUUUAUAUACUAAGGAAGUGAGCAGAGGGCAAUCGCAUAUAUGAUGUAUCUACUAAGGAGAUGACAUUUAAUAUCGUGUAUAUGAUGUAAAAACUAAAGAUUGCAAUACAACAUAUGCAUGAUAUGAGUAAUAUAACCCUGCCAAGUUUGAGCAUACACCUCAGGGGGAUAAUAGGACUGGUCAUCUGCCUUUGAAUCCUCCUCUGAAGAGCUAUCUGUAACCAGCAAGAUAUCUGCUUCAGCAGGUAGCAUUGUCUACUCUGAAGACCUUGUUUUCACUCCAGAUUUCUCCAUCACCAAUUCAAAUGGCUGAUGCACAGGAAGAGCAGUUGAAUAUACAAACAUUGUCGACAAAAGCAAUGAGAAAUACAAAAAAGGACAACGUGAUAUAAUUCACAUAUAUGACACUUGGCUAAACAACAUGACAUUGCAUAAUUCACAUAUAUAAUGCCUUGCAACAAGAUAGCAUUGCAUAAUUCACAUAUAUAAUGUCUUGCAACAAGAUGGCAUUGCAUAAUUCACAUAUAUGGUAAUUAGACACUAAACAUGUGGCAUUCACCCAAAGCAUGUCUAAACUAAGCAAAUGACAUAGCAAUGCAAGACACCAUACGCACGAUAUGAGCAACAUAACCCUNNNNNNNNNNNNNNNNNNNNNNNNNNNNNNNNNNNNNNNNNNNNNNNNNNNNNNNNNNNNNNNNNNNNNNNNNNNNNNNNNNNNNNNNNNNNNNNNNNNNNNNNNNNNNNNNNNNNNNNNNNNNNNNNNNNNNNNNNNNNNNNNNNNNNNNNNNNNNNNNNNNNNNNNNNNNNNNNNNNNNNNNNNNNNNNNNNNNNNNNNNNNNNNNNNNNNNNNNNNNNNNNNNNNNNNNNNNNNNNNNNNNNNNNNNNNNNNNNNNNNNNNNNNNNNNNNNNNNNNNNNNNNNNNNNNNNNNNNNNNNNNNNNNNNNNNNNNNNNNNNNNNNNNNNNNNNNNNNNNNNNNNNNNNNNNNNNNNNNNNNNNNNNNNNNNNNNNNNNNAUGCGCUUCGUUAGAUAACAUUGUCUGCUUUGAAGACCGUGUUUCCACUCCAGAUUUUUCCAUGACCGUGCCGAAUGGCUGAUGCACAGGAAGAGUAAUUGAAUGUACUAAAAUUGUUGACAAAAGUAACACGUAAUAAAAAAAGAUGUCAUGAUAUAAUUCACAUAUAAGAUGACAGGCUAACCAGGGUGGCAUUGCAAAAUUCACAUGUAUGGUAUGGCUAAACAAGAUGGCAUUGCAUGAUUCACAUAUACGAUAAAGAAACUAAACAGAUGGCAUUGACACAAAGCAUGUCUAAACUAAGCAGAUGACAUCUUUGAUGUAUACAGUAAGCAAUGCAAGGCACCAUAUGCAUGAUAUUACCAACAUCAGCAUGCCAAGUUAGAGCGAAGACCUCAUGGGGUAAAUUGGAGUGGUCUUCUGCUUUUGAAUCCCCCCAGAACAAUUAUCUUCCUCUUGAUUACGAUCCAAAAUGGGUGGAGGGGGGCUGCCUUUGCACCCACCAUGGAGCGACGUUUGCAUGAAAUUUUAUUGCCACGCAAGGCUCGUCUCUUUUGCUCUACAUGUUCAGUUCCAUUGUGUACAAUAACUGACAUGCAUAGGAAUAAAACAUAGUGAGAUUAUAUAAGGAGUGCAUGCACAAAUCCAGAGUGAGGGUAGAAAAAUGUGGAUAGACCCAAAACCAAUGAUAGGAGGCAUAUAAUAGUUUUAGUUAAAAAAUACAGAUAGUAGACACCCGAGAUUAACCAGAUAGUAGACAAAUAGUAUUGAUUGCUGCCCCAAUAUGUACCCCACAACCAUUUAAAAACUCAAGUUUCAGCAUAAGUUUGGACCUGACUCGGAGUCUAGGUGAACACGAUGAUAAAGUAGCAUGUCAUCAUAUUAAGCGAUGCAUAACAUAAGCAGACACGGAAGAGUGCGACCUCUCUUGCGGACCCGUGUAGUCCUCAAGGUCAUCUGCUCAGUUGAUGAUGGUAAUGCAGUUGUCAUGGCUGCCGGCAGCGGGGAAGAAGAUCUGAGGCGGCAAAAGACAGUCUGGAGAGCGGAUCCCUGCUGUGGUGAACCCUUCCGUCGUUGGAGUAGCUGAGCUGGGGUGGAACACAGCACCACAGGAGCAGGACAAACCACACAAGGUUUUUUUUGACACAUAUAUGUAAGAAGUAAUUGUGUAAGGGCUUGUUUGAAUUUGAGGAUUCUAACAAUGCAGGGAUAGGAAAUAGACAGGAAUAGGAUAGGAAUGCACGUGCAAAACAGAGAAUUUAAAAACACAUGAUUUUUGCCAAUCUGGGUGUUUGGUUCACAAGAAUUGGAAGAACACAGGAUGCAAAGAAGCAUGGUGAGAUUAAGUCAAACCACAAGAAAAUGUACGGUUAUAAUGCUAUUACGCUCUCUUAGUCUUGUUCUUCAUGAAUAGGAAUUUGAAAAGGAGGACAAGUGGAAAUUAAAAUUCCUACGGUUUUUUCUUUCAAGGAGACAGUAAAGGAACAAAUCCUACAGUUUUCCUUUGCUCCAUUCCUUUGCACCAAAUUCAUGAAAAGUAGUACCAUAGGAAACUUUCCAAUUCCUAUGUUUUUCAUUCACUUUUCCUUUCAAGCACUGGCGAUUCUAGUAGGUGAUACGUCUCCAACGUAUCUAUAAUUUUUGAUUGCUCCAUGCUAUAUUAUCUACAAUUUUGGACAUUAUUGGGCUUUAUUAUCCACUUUUAUAUUAUUUUUGGGACUAACAUAUAAACCGGAGGCCCAGCCCAGAAUUGCUGUUUUUUGCCUGUUUUAGGGUUUCGAAGAAAAGGAAUAUCAAACGGAGUCCAAACGGAAUGAAACCUUCGGGAACGUGAUUUUCUCACCGAGUACAACUCAGGAGACUUGGACCCUAUGUCAAGCCAAUUAACAGGAGGCCACGAGGUAGGGGGGCGCGCCUGCCCACCAGGCGUGCCCUCCACCCUCGUGGGCCCCCUGUUGCUCCACCGACGUACUUGUUCCUCCUAUAUAUACCCACGUACCCCCAAACGACCAGAUACAGAGCCAAAAACCUAAUUCCACCGCCACAACUUUCUGUAUCCACGAGAUCCCAUCUUGGGGCCUGUUCCGGAGCUCCGCCGGAGGGGGCAUCGAUCACGGAGGGCUUCUACAUCAUCAUCCAAGCCCCUCCGAUGAAGUGUGAGUAGUUUACUUCAGACCUACGGGCCAUAGUUAGUAUCUAGAUGGCUUCUUCUCUCUUUUUGGAUCUCAAUACAAUGUUUUUCCCCUCUCUCGUGGAGAUCUAUUCGAUGUAAUCUUCUUUUUGCGGUGUGUUUGUUGAGACCGAUGAAUUGUGGGUUUAUGAUCCAGUCUAUCUAUGAAUAAUAUUUGAAUCUUUGCUGAAUUAUUUUAUGUAUGAUUGGUUAUCUUUGCAAGUCUCUUCGAAUUAUCAGUUUGGUUUGGCCUACUAGAUUGGUUUUUCUUGCCAUGGGAGAAGUGCUUAGCUUUGGGUUCGAUCUUGCGGUGUCCUUUCCUAGUGACAGAAGGGGCAGCAAGGCACGUAUGCAUUAUUGCCAUCCAGGAUAACAAGAUGGUUUUUUUAUCAUAUUGCAUGAAACUAUACCUCUACAUCAUGUCAUCUUGCUUAAGGCGUUACUCUGUUUUUAACUUAAUACUCUAGAUGCAUGCUGGAUAGCGGUCGAUGAGUGGAGUAAUAGUAGUAGAUGCAGGCAGGAGUUGGUCUACUUGUCUCAGACGUGAUGCCUAUAUACAUGAUCAUACCUAGAUAUUCUCAUAACUAUGCUCAAUUCUGUCAAUUGCUCAACAGUAAUUUGUUCACCCACCGUAGAAUACUUAUGCUCUUGAGAGAAGCCACUAGUGAAACCUAUGGCCCCCAGGUCUCAUUCUCAUCAUACCAAUCUUCAUAACUUUAUUAUUGCUUUGCUUUUUUACUUUGCCUUUUACUUUUCACUUUGCAUCUCUAUACCAAAAAUACCAAAAAUAUUAUUUAUCAUCUCUAUCAGAUCUCACUUUUGUAAGUGACCGUGAAGGGAUUGACAACCCCUAAGCGCGUUGGUUGCAUUGAGCUAUUGUUUUUGUGUAGGUACGAGGGACUCGCGCGUAGCCUCCUACUGGAUUGAUACCUCGGUUCUCAAAAACUGAGGGAAAUACUUACGCUACUUUGGUGCAUCAUCCUCUCCUCUUCGGGGAAAUCCAACGCAGUGCUCAAGAGGUAGUAGUAGGCAGGCUUGAGCAAGGAAAAGUGUACACUAAAAAAAUGUUUUUGUGCUACUUCUAUUACUUUGGGCCCAGGCCACUGCCCUACUAGCUCAGCUCCCAGGGCCAUCGACAAAUGCACAGCUCAAACGCGCAGAGAUAAAUAAUGAUGGCAUUCAAGAGAGUCCAUCACGGAUAGCUAAGUUGCCUGGUACCUCACUGCUUGUCAUAUAGUAGGAUAAAAUAAUAGUAUUUGCCGUUACUCCGUGUUCUCAGUGGACAAUAUAUAUAACAUGUAGAGUAAAAAAGAGAUGCAACAAGUGUACAACCUCUUUGGUGAAGCCAUGUCGAUCUCAGCGUGCUUGGGUUGGCCGGUGAGGAUGCUCCGGCUGACUUGGCUGUAGGAGGAGGGGAAGAAGAUCUUAGGCGUCUGGAGAUGGAGCCCGAGGUACUGCUCCACUAGGAUGGAGGGUUUCGUCGUUGAAGCAGCUCCGGUGAGUUGUAUGACACCGAGGCUAAAGAAGGACAACAGAGACAAUGUUAACCUGAGUGGAAUUCUAAUAGCAUCUCCAAUAGAUGACGUAAAAUACAUAACCACAAAGUGCUAGAUGUAAAAUACAUCUGUCAUUCAUCUCUGAACUUAACUGUCGAAACUGAAUUUUGCUGUCAAAACUGAAUUUUACUGUCGAAACUGAAUGCGGUAGAGGUGAGGCUACAUGUCAGUCGACUGACUUUUUCAUCUCUAGUCAGUCGAUUUUGCAGCCAUUGGAUACGAAAUCAAGGGCCUGCAGAUCAUCUUCAACCUCCACCCCCUGAGCCACCAGCCACCACCGGCCAAACAGCCGCCCGCCGCCGCCCGCGGCCGGCGGAGCGCCGCCCCGCCCGUCCCGAAAACACUCCCCACCACUGGUCCGCCACCGCCCCGGCAAUCCCUCUACCCCCCCGCCCCCGUGCCGAGCUUUUUCGCUGGCAAUCCCCACACCACCGCCCCACCACCGCCGGCGACCACUGCCCCCACCCUAAACUCUAAGAUAGAUAGUGAGGUACCUCUCCGGCGAGCCCCUCUCCCUGCUGCGGCUGGUUCUUCCUUAACUCUGGCGAGCCUCCCCACCCCUGAAAAUCGACUGACCCAAAAUUCGAUUUAGUCGACUGAAGUGUAGCUAAAUCGGAGCAAGCAAGAGCAAGAGCAGACAAGGCAGGGGACCGACAGCAAGAGCAGAGCAGCAGCGCGAGCGAGAGCUAAAGCAGCAGCAACUCCUACUGAUGUGGACAUCGCCGCAGAGGGAGCGACGCCAUGGAGGAAGUGGCCGGCAACACCGCCGUGGAUGGAGCCGCGCUGUGUCGGCUUGGGACCGAGCGCCGGCAGCACCGUGAGAUCGAAUCAAGAAGAAAAUGCGAUGAUCAGUGUACAACCUCUUUUGUGGCACUGAUUAGGCCGCAUCUUCAUCCGAGGAAACGGUGAUGAUGAUGCUCUUCCGGUGGUGCGGGUGAAGACGGCGGCGUGGGAAUGGAGGUGGCGCGAAAGACGAGGGGAACAUCGGGGUAGCUCCUUGGACGUGGAGGACGGGGUGGCUGAACUGGCAAGACGACCAGAUCGACGAUGGAUCCUCAUCCGGUACGGUGGAUGAAGGAUGUCAAGGUGUUGCUGUGGACGACGUCGUCAGGGAAGAGGCUCCGGCUGGGUGGCAUACUGAGGAGGGUGUGGGGCUUCGCGGGUUUACCCGGCCUUAGUGUACGAAUGGGUGGGCGGAUGGGAUGGGAGUGGGGAACCAUGGCUUAGGGACGCGCUUGUCCGAAAUGUGGGGUAAGUUACAAAAGUACCUGAGGGAGUCUUGGACUAAGGGGUCCUCGGGCGUCCGGCCUGUUAGCCAGGGGCCGGACUGAUGGGCUGUGCAGAUACGAAGACUGAAGACUACACACGUGUCCGGAUGGGACUCUCCUUGACGUGGGAGGCAAGCUUGGCGACUAAAUAUGUAGAUUCCUUUCUUUGUAACCGACCUUGUGUAACCCUAGAUCCUCCCGGUGUCUAUAUAAACCAGAGGACUUAGUCCGGAGGAUAGACAUUAUCAUAGCCAUACAAGCUAGACCUCUAGGGUUUAGCCAUUAUGAUCUCAUGGUAGAUCAACUCUUGUAAUAGUCAUAUUCAUCAAGAUCAAUCAAGCAGGACGUAGGGUAUUACCUCCAUAGAGAGCGCCUGAACCUGGGUAAAACAUUGUGUCCCCUGUCUCCUGUUACCAUCGACCUUAGACGCACAGUUCGGGACCCCCUACCCGAGAUCCGCCGUUUUUGACACCGACAUUGGUGCUUUCAUUGAGAGUUCCACUGUGAUGUUGACGACAGGAUCGAUGAUUCGCCUUGUUCUCAAGGAUAAUAUCACCACCGGAGGAACGCUGGCUCCAGGCCAAACCCUCCAGCUGGGCGGCUUUACCAUGACUGCCCGUUCGGUCGUUAAGCCGACGAUGACCUCUCGGGUCAUCGAAAACUCCCUUCGUGUCGAUUCCGAACACUCCAAGCAAAUGGAUCCAGCGGAGCUUUCGUCCUUAAACGAGCUCCUAGAUCGCAUCGCCGCCCUGGGGGUUGCCAUAGACUAUGAUUGAAUCGGGAUUAAACCCGAUCAGAGAGAAAUCAAAUCUCCACCGAUCACCCACCAGAUAGCGGUAGUCGAGGAGUGAGUCGACAACUCUUCCUCCAUACUAAGGAUGGACUAUGUCUAGAUCUUCGGUCUCGAAGAGCCGGACACCUACCCGCGAGGAGAUGCAUCCUGCCCUCCGAACAUAGAAUCGGACGAUGGGCCUAAGAAAUUAGUGGACAUCCCGGAGCCUGAUCUGCUAAGUUCGGAAGGCCUUCAGACUCCGAAUCCAAAACUGGGCCAGGUUUCAGAUUUAAACCCCCCACCCACCUGAAUACAAGCGCUCUGAUGAGCAUACAAUAGCAGUCUCAGGAAAUGGUCCACCACUUCUGGGCUAGAUUCCUUCUUGUCAAAAACAAGAUUAAAGACUGCCGCGACAAGGAAGCGAUCUCAGUGUUCCGCAACAAUUGCAGGGAUGAAGGAAUCCUCAAUGCCAUCAACCGCCGUCGCAUCCUACACCUCGCUGACUUGGCAACUAUCGUACAGAAGUACAACGCAAUGGAAAGCGCCUGGAAAACUCAAGCAUCCCAUUGGGAAUCCUCGGUCCCCACUCAACCCCUCGUUCAGGCGAAAAGGGCGCACCAUUGCAACACGCCCGGUUCAAUAGUAAAGAAAUACAAGUCCAGCACGGGGUGCAGAACUGUUCUAGAAGGAUGGCUCGAUGGGUCAUGCAAUAUACAUGCAACACCGGAUAACAUACCAACACAUAGCCUUAGAGCAUGUUGGAUACUCCGGCAAGUGGCCAAGAGCGGCGAGGAUAUCCUCACCAAAAAUAACCCAGAACAACACCCUCCCCCUAGGUGACCAUGACCGCAAAGUACUGACGGUCUUUGAGACAUUCGCCUCCAACAAUAGGCGCAAAAGAGCACUAUAUGGACUCGCCGAAGUCUGUCAAAUAGCAGCACUAAACCCUUGGAACGACACGGCUAUAACUUUUAAUGCCGGUGACGAACCAAAAUACAGGACAGUCCGAGCACCAGCCGCCUUGGUCCUCAGUCCAAUCGUGGACGGCUUUUGGCUCACCAAGGUCCUCAUGGACGGCGGCUGUCGGUGUCAAAACUGGCGGAUCUCGGGUAGGGGGUCCCGAACUGUGCGUCUAGGCCAGAUGGUAACAGGAGGCAGGGGACACAAUGUUUUACCCAGGUUCGGGCCCUCUUGAUAGAGGUAAAACCAUACAUCCUGCUUGAUUAAUAUUGAUGAUAUGGGUAGUACAAGAGUAGAUCUACCACGAGAUCAGAGAGGCUAAACCCUAGAAGCUAGCCUAUGGUAUGAUUGUAUGUAUAUGAUCUAUCGACUAGCCUGGCCUCGGUUUAUAUAAUGCACCAGAGGCGUAGGAUAACAAGAGUCCUAGCCGAAUACACCGGUGGGGAGGAGUCCUUGUCUUGAUCGCCAAGUCUUGUGGAAUCUUCCUUGUAUGCGACAAAUGUUCGGACUGGCCCAUGAGUAUACGACCAUGGGGGUCCUCAGCCCAAUCUAACAGAUCGGGAGAUGACGUGGUGAGUACCCCCUAGUCCAGGACACCGUCUGUAGCCCCCUGAACCGGUCUUCAAGUUAGGGACGCUCCUCGAUUCUUCUGAACCGUUCUUCAUCUUCGGUCGUCGGUCUUGAAAACUGGUAUUGAGGAUCACCGAAAUGCAUUCGACGAGCUUACACGUCGGGUAUCCGAGGAGCCCCUUUAAGUUUCCGUCCUUUAUCAAUGCCUUGUUAUUUUUAUGCCACACCUCGGGUUUGAAGUUGUUCCCGGGCGGUAGCGUCCUCUUGCGCCCGAGCUCCAACGCCGGACUGCAUUCGAGGUAUCUUUUGCAGCCGAGCACCAAUGUCUGACCGCUUCCCAGCUCUAAUGCCGGAAUGUAUCCGAGCUCCAACGCCGGACUAUGUAUCCGAGGUCCAACGCCGGACUGUAUCCGAGCUCCAACGCCGGACUAUGUAUCCGAGCUCCAACGCCAGACUGUAUCCGAGGUGUCGUAAAUCACCUUGGUUCAAAGAAGUUUGAAGGAGUUUAGCCGAGUUUAAUGCUGGAAAUGCCCUCUAUGGAGCCAGCCACUAGCGCCCGAGCUUUAUGCCGGACUGCUUCCGAGGUGGUGCACCACCCCGAAUGUGGAUCGAUUUUUGUCAAUAUUUUUGAUUGGUGCAAUUUAUUCUCUGUCGAGAUAUAGAGCCAGUAGCCCUCAAGGUGGGUAUCGGUCUAAAACCCGAGAUGCACAUGAAGGAUGACAUAAGACCGUUGAUCCUAGUAGCCGCUGAGACUCAGGUUGAUUUACAAAAUCGGCCUAAGGAUCAAGUCCUAGCUCGGCAGAAUACUUCGGGACACUAAAAGCGGCGUGCUCAGUCCUCGAGACUCAGGUUGGGUGCGGCCGACCAACCUGAGGAUCAAAAUCUCCUCGGAAACUAUAUUGCACAUAAAAUUUUCUGCAUUGAACCGGCAAUGCAGUAGCCCCCAAGACACUGGUCGGGUGGCAACACCAGAUCAGGGGAUCGAUGUGCCCCUUCAAUAUUUGUAAAUAAUAAGCCCGAAGCCCAGUAGCCCCUGAGCCUUAAUGCGGGCACGGGUGGCCGAAUUAAGGAUCGAUAUCCAUAGUAAAAUCACAAAUUAUGUGUAAUGACUCUAUGUAUACAAGUACUUUACGUCAUUAAUGCUCGGAUCCACAUUGUACAAAACUUUGUUGACUGACCAUCGGCUUCCACCUCCUCGGCCAGUAGCCAAGGAGUGUUUGUCCUACUUUAUAAAGUCUUUAUGACGGCAAAGAUUUAUGACAAACAAGGCAAUCUGGCCACACGGUUUUAUAAACAAAGGUACGCAGAGAGAUAUGUUAUAUUACUGUUUAACAGAAGAAAUGUCUUCCAAAGAAAAUAGUCCCGCUAUCGGUUCCUUUCUUUGGGUUGUCAUGCUAAGCAUGAUCAUGAAACCUCAGCUCCAAUGUAAGAGCAAAAUAUCGAGGAUUUAGUUUGGGAGGCCAGUUAAUAGCCCCCGGUAGUGUUCGGCGACAGUCGAGGUCAAGCCGUAAACACUUCGGCCAUUGUUAUGAAUGGCCCGUCAUUUAACACCGUCAUCGGAUCGCUGACCAGUUUACGCUUAUUGUGACAGUCAGUUUUCGGCUUUCUCCACUGAGGUGCUUAACCAUGUGAGCUGGAAGCACAAUCGCAGUGGUUCUCCCUUUGCACACCUAGCCGAACAAAGCGGAACGUACGAGGCAAGCGCAGGAGCCGGGCAACCCAACUAUUGACCGAAGACACAAUUCGAAACCGAUGCAUAUAUAGCAAUAUCCGAGAAUGUUUUUUCCGAAUCUCUAAAGGUGUCCGACGUUGCACUAUGAGACUUGUGCUGAAAACACACAAAUAGUUUAAAAGUGCCAUAAGCUUGGAAAACCAAAAAACAUGAGUAAAAACUUGACGUCCGAACAAGAUCAAGUGUUCGGUGCCAAUCCAAAAAUUGGCCUUAGCAAAAGAAGUGCUUCUGUCGUGCUUUAACAUGAUACAUCCUAUCUCAAGACUUCAAGCGGGUCAGCCUAUGGCUUCAACCUCCUAUCCCGAGGGCGGAGUACUUCUCAUUAGGCCAGUUUAGCAAACUAAACUCUAGCGGCUUUGAGAGAGAAAUUAGGCUCCCCGGCUAGUGACCACACGCUCGUGUCAAAAACAGGAGUGAUAGAUAAUAAUAAUAGUAAUAAAACUUUGCAACGACUAAGAAGAAGAACAUUUAUCAUAAAACGGCUCAUAUAAAUUUAAGAGCCCCCAAGUGACUUGGGUAAAAGAAUGAUUGCAUGUACCGAAGUACUUAUAUCAUAUCCAUGUUCAACCAAACUUUAAACGCGUCUUAACCGACCGUCGGCUUCUCCCUCUUCGGUCAAGGACCGAAAAGUGUUAUGUACUCCAUCUGUCGAGAAUAUCGACGGUGUUUCCAAUAACCAGGCAAUCAGGCCAUAAGCCUGUAACAGACAAAGCGCGCUCAGGGAACUUAUGCUAUAUUACUAUGAAGUGUAAGAAGCAUCUUCGAAGAAAAUAGUACCCCCACCGAUACCUUUCUUCGGUGCUCAUUCUUAUUAUGAGAAUUGUGCAAUAGAUUUUUUGUACUCAUGAGUUCCGUUGUGUGCCGAUCAUCAUUGAAAACUAUGAGAGCGCUAGCUUUCGGCUUCACCCAGUCUGAGGUCCGGCUCGGAUGACCCGAUUGUGACAAUCGCAGAGAUGCUCCCUUUACUCCCUAGCCGAACAAUCAGGAACGUAGGGGUAAACACAGGAGCGAGGCAACCCAACUUGCAAAUCGCUUAAGUCAAUAUGGUGCAUAUUGUGGCGUAAUACACGAACAAGGAACGAAACCGUACAAGUAUAAUCAUAUGCAAGAGGAAAAGCUUCAUGAAGGAAGCCCCCAAAUGAAUUGGGUAUUUGAAUUUAUGCGUCACAAACAAAGUUUGGACAAGGAAAUUUUUUACAAGCAACUUUUUUCCAAAAAAGUAUAAUGCUUGGUCGAACCGAACACAAGUUAGAAAUUUAAGCUUUGAGCAUGAAAGCGACUUAGCUGGUUAAUGUGUUCGGUAUUGAUGACGCGGUCCGAGCUUGAUGCGGGGCGAGGUUCCAUCCCCCAAGCCGGUCCCGAGGUGGUGGAGCGGAGAGCUCGACACGCCGAAGUGGUGACAUAGCACGGUCAAUGCAGACCGGCAGAGUGACGCCGAAGUCCCCGGAUCAUUUUCCUGUGCACAAAAAAUAGUGCAAACCAGAGAUAAUAGUAAUAAUGAUAAUUAAAAAAAUCAUUGCAUAAUAAAUAAUUUAUGCAAAGUGAGUAAUUAAAGAAAUAUGGCCUGGCGCCGAAGUCAAUGUCGAUGCAGGGCGUCGGCGUAAUGCGGUAAAGGCGUGGCAAAGCCUGAAUUCGCAGGCCGGUCCGAGCUUCGGAUGCGGCGUUCGCCGGACUAUGUACAGAAACUGACCGAACCACCAUGCGACUGUCGUUGAUGCGGCCACCAUUUGAUAGACCUGUGUACAUAUGAUAGACAAACCAGAGUAAUAAUUCCUUGGGAAAAAUGAACCCAAACAAGCAAAAAAUACUGGGAUUAAUAGCACCUGGUUUAUUUGUUGUAGCAAUCCGAAGGAAGGUGAUUCCCAAAAUUGGGACUCGAUCCACACACCUAUUGCCUGAUGGGCGAUAAAACAACGACAUGGCAAUGCUGGCAAAGGUUGGCUCGCCGAGGCAAAGCCCUCGGCCCAGCUAACAUGACGGAGCUGGUCGGCUAGUGACCCUGAAGUGUCCGGAGUAGGUUGAUGAAGAGAUGGCGAAGGCCCCGGUCCAGCCAAGAUGUCGAAGCCUCGAUGUCAGCCGAUGAGUCGAAGUAGGUCGGCGUGAUGGACACCAGCUUGAAGAAGCAAUAGUGCGGCCCUGCCGAUGCAGGUCGUGACAUGGUCGAUGCCGGCUUGAUGAAGCGAGCGUGCGGCGAUGCCAGUAUGCCCGCUCCGUGUAAUCCGUGGGGCGGCAAUGUUGGUGAUGAUUUAUCCUUUGCGAUGCCGGACUCUUGUUCGGCUUGCCGAGAUGAUGAUCCGAAGAAGUUGAGCUCGGCUCAACAAAGUGACGAUGUGUCUAGCGCAGGUCGGCAGCCGUGGAGCAAUAUUGCCGGACUGGUUUGACACCAGCAUGAUGUUGAAGAUCAUGUUCAAAAGAUCUUAAAGUUAGUGGGAUGUGUUCAGGAACAAAACACAAUACCCCAUACAAAACUUCCUUUAAAAGGGAUGUCCAAAAUCCCGUUCAUAAAAAAGACGAACCGGGGUCGGAUUCGUUUUCGCGCAGAAAACAGAUCCGAAAAGUGAUGCACUAAUCGGAAGGUUCCCGGAGUUUGGACGGUCGGAUCGAGCUGAAAUUGUGAGAGGUGGUAGAUAUAGGAAUUCCUCAGCCGAUCAACGGUUGGAUCUUCCAAAGGACGUCCGAGCUAGAAGCUGGACACCACUCCCUAAACUCAUCGAGAUUCCCGUUCAGAUUUGACAGGGCUCCGAUAUAUCAUGGAUUGCCAGAGAUUCCUCCAUCGGAACUCGACGAAAUUUUCCAGGAUUGUUGUAGACUCAAUUACGCACAAUUCCAUCAAAGCGAUCGUCAAAGCGAUACUCGAGGAGGUGUUGGUGGCAGAUAUGAGUUUGCUGUCCAGAAAAACAGCACGGUCGCUUGAGGGCAAUGUUGACGUUGAGCCCCCGAGCUCCAUGGAUGAUUCCGCCAUGAUCUUGAUAGAGAUCGGAGUUGAUGUUUGAUGAAGGCCCUUGUCCGAACAUGGUGAUCCGAACACGGGGCGCAGUUCUUGGUCGAACCAAGGUGACCAGUCGAGCUAGUGACGAAGAUGCCGAAGUCGCAGUUGAUCUGCAGACAAGCCAUCGAUCCUUUUGUCGAUCACAUAGCGGAACUCUCAAUGAAAGCACCAAUGUCGGUGUCAAAACCGCGGAUCUCAGGUAGGGGGUCCUGAACUGUGCGUCUAGGCAGGAUGGUAAUAGGAGGCAGGGGACACAAUGUUUUACCCAGGUUCGGGCCCUCUUGAUAGAGGUAAAACCCUACGUCCUGCUUGAUUAAUAUUGAUGAUAUGAGUAGUACAAGAGUAGAUCUACCAUGAGAUCAGAGAGGCUAAACCCUAGAAGCUAGACUAUGAUAUGAUUGUAUGUAUAUGAUCUAUUGACUAGCCUGGCCUCGGUUUAUAUAAUGCACCAGAGGCCUAGGAUAACAAGAGUCCUAGCCGAAUACGCCGGUGGGGAGGAGUCCUUGUCUUUAUCGCCAAGUCUUGUGGAAUCUUCCUUGUAUGCGGCAACUGUCCAAACUGGCCCAUGAGUAUACGGCCAUGGGGGUCCUCGGCCCAAUCUAACAGAUCGGGAGAUGACGUGGUGAGGACCCCCUAGUCCAGGACACCGUCAGCGGCAGCAGACUAAACCUCCUCUAUGAGGAUACAAUAUGAAAAAUGGAAAUAGACAGGAGCCGUAUCGAGCAAAGCAACACGACCUUCUGAGGAAUCAUUCCUAGUCGGGAGGCACGGUGUGCGGGAAAAAUCACACUCGACAUGGUAUUCGGCACAUCGGAGAACUAUUGGUCCGAAGAAAUAACCUACCAAGUGACCCUUUCAACAAUGGAUAUCACGCCCUCUUAGGGCGAGAUGCAUUUACGCGCUUCCAAGCGAUACCCCAUUAUGGAUACAUGAAGCUUAAGAUGCCUGGGCCCAAUGGUAUAAUCACUCUAGCUAGUGAUCCAGACAUAGCACUCCGCGCCGAGAAUAAAACAGCAUCAUUGGCCCUCGAGGCCUUAUCUGAAGCCCUCGCGGCCGAAGAAUUAACCACGCUGCGCUCCAUGGUGGACAGGGAUGAUGUGGUCCUGGACAAACGACCCAAAUCCACCUCCUUCAAACUAGUAGAAGAAUAGUCAAAUUCCAAGUCCAUCCAACGGACCCCAAGAAUACAGCAUCCAUUGGAGCACAACUAGACCCAACGGUUGACGCCGCGCUACGAGAGUUCCUACGUGAGAAUUGGGAUAUAUUUGCCUGGCACCCUUCUGAUAUGCCAGGAAUCCAACGCGAGUUGGCCGAACACAGCCUCAAUAUAUUGAAGGGAUAUAUAAACCGGCCAAGCAAACACUGCGGCGCUUUUCCGAACCCAAACGUCAAGCUAUGGGGGAGGAGCUAGCCAAGCUAAUCGAGGCAGGAUUCAUUAGAGAAAUAAAACAUCCGGAUUGGAUGGCAAACCUGGCGAUGGUUCCAAAGAAAGACAAAUCCUAGCGCCUGUGCGUCGAUUUCAAAGACCUCAACAAGGCUUGCCCUAAGGAUCGCUUCCCCCUCCCCCGCAUUGACCAGAUCAUUGAUGCUACCGCAGGACACGACUCAUUAUGCUUCCUCGACGCAUAUUCCGGAUACCAUCAAAUUAGAAUGAAGGAGUCUGAUCAAGCUGCAACAACAUUCAUCACCCCAUAUGGGCCAUUCUGCUUCAACACCAUGCCCUUUGGACUCAAGAACGCCGGCACCACUUAUCAACGCAUGAUCCAAACAUGCCUGGAGAAACAGAUCGGAAAGACAGUUGAAGCCUAUGUGGAUGACGUCGUAAUCAAGACAAGGCACGUCAAAACAUUGAUAGACGACCUAUGCCUCACAUUUGACAACCUCCGCGCAUAUGACAUUAAGCUCAAUCUGGAAAAGUGCGUUUUUGGCGUCCCCAUAGGAAAGCUGCUGGGCUUCAUCGUUUCCAAUAAAGGAAUUGAAGCAAAUCCAGUCAAAAUUCGAGCUCUGUCACAAUUGUCUACGCCAACAGACCUUAAACAAAUCCAAAAACUCACGGGUUGCAUGGUAGCUCUAAGCCGCUUUAUCUCCAGAUUGGGAGAAAAGGCACUGCCACUCUAUCGUCUUCUAUAGCGAACCGAUCACUUCGAGUGGACGGACGCGGCAACAGCCGGACUGGAAGAAAUAAAAACCCUCCUAGCGAGCAACCCAAUCCUGGCUGCACCAAACAUCGGCGAACCCAUGUUGCUAUACAUAUCGGCAACACAUCAGGUGGUGAGUGCCGUACUCGUCGUUGACCGAGAACAGGACGAACACAAAUUCCCGCUUCAGAAGCCAGUAUACUACAUAUCCAUUGUCCUUACUCCAUGCAAAUCCCGGUACCCCCAUUAUCAAAAGAUAGCAUACGCAGUGUUCAUGGCAUCCCGAAAGCUACGACACUACUUCCAGGAGUGUUCAAUCACGGUGGCUUCCGAAGUACCACUCAACGACAUAAUAAACAGCCGCGAUGCCAUGGGCCAGAUUGCCAAAUGCGCCAUUGAGCUCCUCCCAUUUUACAUUACAUAUAAACCACGUCAAGCCAUUAAAUCCCAAGUACUGGCUGACUUCGUCACCAAAUGGACAGUGGCCGAACUCCCUAAAGAGUACGAGACAUAUUCCAAUUGGGUCAUGUAUUUCGAUGGCUCCAAAAUGCUAGCAGGACUAGGAGCGGGCGUCGUUUUAACGUCCCCUACCGGAGACGUCGUUCAGUAUGUACUCCAAAUACUAUACACAGACUCCAAUAACGCAGCCGAAUACGAGGCCUUAUUGCAUGGUCUCCGGAUGGCUGUCUCCAUGGGCAUACAGCGCCUGGAAGUGCGCGGGGACUCAAACCUCGCAAUAUCUCAAAUAAAUGGGGACUUCGAUGCCAAAGACCCGAAGAUGGCAGCUUAUCGUAAUGCUUUCCUAAAAAUGUCGGCUCGGUUCGAGGGACUCGAGUUCCAUCAUGUGGCUUGAGAGAGUAAUCAAGCGACGGACGUUCUUGCUCGCAUAGGUGCUAAGCACGACCCCGUCCCACCCAACAUUUUUCUGGAACGACUUUUUAAGCCAUCCGUGGUGUGGCAGGGCGAGGGUGGCAACACUAGUUCGGAUCCGAACACAACCGAUAUCGUCAGAGGCUCAACCACCGAAAUAACACCCUCGGCCCAUCUCAUUAUGGUAGUCAUUGCCCCAUGGACCGAACCAUUCCUGGCCUACCUUAAUAAGAAGGAGCUUCCCGAGGAUCAGAAUGAGGCCCGUUGCAUUGUCCGGCAUUCGAAGGCCUACAAGGUUCAUGAUGGAGAGCUCUAUAAGAAAAGCGCUACCGGAGUUCUUCAAAGAUGUAUCUCCGAGGAAGAGGGGCGGCAGCUCUUGGUGGAAAUUCACGGCGGACUCCGCGGUCACCAUGCCGCAGCUCGGGCCCUUGUUAGUAAGGCCUUUCGUACAGGGUUUUAUUGGCCGACGACCCGAUCAGAUGCACAGGACCUUGUCCAAUGUUGCGUUGGAUGCCAACUCUUCACCAACCAAAGCCAUAUGCCCCCACUGCCUUACAAACAAUCCCCAUCACUUGGCCCUUUGUGGUCUGGGGACUUGAUAUGGUCGGACCCCUUAAAGGAAGAAGCCAUAAGAGAAAUUAUCUGCUGGUCAUGGUAGAUAAAUUCACUAAGUGGAUAGAGGCCAAACCAGUCAAAACGGCUGAGGCGGGGCCGGCAAUAGAUUUCAUAUCCAGCGUGGUACACCGUUAUGGUGUCCCACACAGUAUCAUCACCGAUAAUGGCUCUAAUUUCACAGCCGAUGAAGUGAAAACUUGGUGUGCUAAUCUGGGCAUUAAGCUCGAUUAUGCCUCUGUCUAUCACCCGCAGACAAACGGUCAAGUCGAACGGGCUAAUGGUUUUAUUAUGAGCGGCAUCAAACCUAGACUAGUGUGGUCUUUGAAAGAACCGGACAUGCACUGGGUGGAGGAACUUGACUCCGUACUCUGGGGGCUGCGAACCACGCCCAACCGCACUACUGGAUAUACUCCUUUCUUCAUGGUGUACAGUGUGGAAGUAGUGUUACACCCUGCGACAUUAUUCAUGACUCACCUCGAGUGCGCAUGUACUAAGAGAGAGAGAGAGGCCGAGUUUGAUCGGCAGGACAGCUUAGAUGCCCUGGAGGAGGAGUGCGACGUUGCAAAAGCCCGUUCCACAUUUUAUCAACAGCAGGCUCGCAGGUAUCAAAGCAGACCAGUGCGGGCCAAGACUUAUAACGUUGGUGAACUCGUUCUACACCUGCCGGAGAAGAAAAAUGACAAACUCAAGCCCAAGUGGGAGGGUCCCUUCAUCAUUGACGAAGUUCUCACUGGAGCAGCGUACCGACUGCACGAUGCGUCAGACAAUCACUUGGAGCUGAACCCCUGGAAUGCGGCCAGACUCCGACGAUUCUAUGCCUAGCGCCGAACUCUGUGUUCGUCUCCUUCCUCCUGUUAUUACCGUUAUUUUUUCUCUCUUUUCAUUUUUCUCUCUCUUUUUGUUUUGCUCUUUAGCCCUACGGCUUUAGUAUGGCCAAACCGUGCUGCCGUGAUGCGUACAUAUCCAAAUAUGUACGUCCAUUAUACCUGGGGGCUUCUUGUACAGAAGCUUGCUAUUAUCCUUCGAGCAUCAAGCUCACGACAUAUGCGUUCUUCUCAUAUGUACCUUUUCUUCGCCAUUAUAUGCAUCGAUAUGACUUAAGUUUUGGCCAAGCUGGGUUACCUGGCUCCUGUGCUUAUGACGUACGACCCUAUUAGUUCGUCUAGGGCAUAAAGAGAGCACCUCUGCGAUUGUUACUGUCGGGUCAUCCGGAUGUGUACCUCAGACUGGGUGAAGCAGAAAGCUAGCGUUCUUAAGGGAAUAUUCGGUCGGUGAAUUAAAGACGUUUCCACAUUCACUCCAUUGUGAAACCCCAGAAGUUACUUUGCGAUUUUUUUCAAUCACAGUUCGGACAUGCACAUUAAACGCAUGCACACCCAGGGAAAGGAACCCUUAAGGGAACUAUUCUCUCUAGAAGAUGUUUCUUACAUAAUGUAAUAUAACAUAACUAGCCGGAUACACAUUGUCUGUUCAAUCAACUAUGACCCCUACGCCUGGUUCCCAUGCAUACCUUGGUAUAUUCUACCGCUAGGGUAUUCGGAAACACUCUGCACCUUUGGGUCCAGAGGUCAAAGCGAAAAGGUCGGCCAUGACAAUUGUUUUUAUAAUCCAGCUAGAAUCACAUAUGUCAGGGAAAGUACAUACUCAGUACGACUCAAAAAUUUCCUCCUCUAUGCCGUCCAGUAGGCAGUCUAAUUUACAAUCCUGCUGGGAAUAUCUGGCGGCUACUUCUACUUGUUCAUAUACUAAACUAACAAGAAUUUCUUCCCCAUUUGACCCUAGUGGUCCGACCCGGGCCAUGUGAUGCGGAUCCAGCUUGGUAUACCGUGUUCUUACCAUGGCCCAGGCCUCUCGCGCACCCUCUCGGCAGGCCGGUAUCUUCCACAGUCGGAUACGCUAUCGCGCUCCCUUGAACCGCUCUACAAGCUUCUGCAUACUCCCUAGAGGGGAGGCGGAUGGCCAUAAGGCCUUAUCUACACUCUGCAUUGCCUGCCGAGCUUGCUCAUGUAACUAUGACAACCCUUGCAGAAGAUCACUUGAUGAUCCGGACGCCUCCUCUUCAGGACGGCCCGUCAACAUACCUACAAGCACAGCUAUAUCAGCUAAUUGUACCCCCAAACUGUUACAAGGUAAAUUCGGCCACAUACUGAAUAUGCUGCCUCACAGCUUUUUGUUCUCCUUCACGGAGUUGGCUAGAUGAGCUCGCACAUCUUUCAGUUCUUCGCCCAGUUUGAUGUUUGAAUCAUGGAGUUUGUUUUUCUCCUCUCUGACUCGGGUCAGAACGCGCUCGCCUGUGACAUGUUGUCUCUUCGCCUCUUUUCGCUCUUUUGAGUGGCCUUCAGUUCCUCUCCCAGUUGGUCCGGUGACCCUGUUAUGAGAGAAGCAACAGUUGCAAUACAACUGGCAUAUAAUUUUUUGUUUCUCGAUGGAGGGAAAUAUUACCAGAGGAUGCCUUCUUGAACUUUUCCAGUUCGGUGUAGCAGCAGUUAGAUGUGUCCAGCACUGCUCCAGCUCUUGGGCUAGCAGGUCGUUCUUCUCCGUAAGAACCUGGUUAUACGACGAUCCUUAAAACAUUUGUCCCAACUGCUUCAAAUCUCGGGGGCUACAGGCACAUGGUUAUCAAAUUUGGACAAGGUAAACUUACCUGCACAUCUUUCAAAUGUUGCUCGGUGGCUCGGUUAAGCCCAUCUCGAGUAGCUCGGAUGUAUGCAUCAACUGAGCUAAAGGCAUUGAACGCCUCUUUUGAGAAGCGGGGAUUUCGUAAAAUGGCCCUCCGGCGCCGGUGAUUCAUGGCGCUCUCCACUUCUGAAAUGGUGACGGACAUAUUUUCCGAACCCUCGGCAGAAGGACAGUCCGGUGCCGCUCCCAUAUCGGGCCCCAUCUCUUCAGGUAGGACGAAACCAUGGUGAUCAGGAGUAUGACUGGUCGGGUCCCCGGACACAGUCCGUCGAGCGUUUUCCCUGAUACAAAAUGAAUAUAUAAGUCACAACUGGACACGACCGCUAAAAAGAGCAUAGUUGCAAACCCAUACCUCUUCAAGGAAGGCCCGACCAUAUCUCUGUUUGCCUUCCUCUUCGAAGGCCUGCCCGCCGCGGGAGCCGCUCUCUCUGGAGAUGCCCCCAGGGCAGUACGACGCGCCAAACGCCUCCCCUUCUGAGCACAGGAUAGUGCGGUGAGUGAGGAAGAAUGAGAAAACCCUCUCGGAUAAAGUGUCUCCUGAUUACUUACGUGCGAAACAGGAAGGAGGCCGGGGUAAUCGGCGACGAUGGGUACAUCCAUGCUAUCAUAACUCGUCUAAUAGAAAACUCCAUCUUUGAGCUCCAUGAAUAUGUCCGGAUCUUCCUCAUAUCCGGGGUCGAGAUCUCGGUUGUGAUUCUCCGGCUGAGGGGCAGGGUCAUGGAUCCCCUUGACAGCCUUUCGCCAUUCUUGUCAUGAAUGAAUAAGAUAUCACCCUUCAAACAUAAUUCAGGGAGAAGGGUCGAAUAGUGGAGUUAGAGCUUACCCAGCUAGGAGAAUUGUACAUAGAAAACCCGUCUCGAUUUUGGAGACGGGCGAACUCCUCCUGCUCCCCUUUAUACAGUUCGGCCAGUAUUUUGGCCAGAGCAGCGGGAGUCUUCGGGCCCUUCCGACUAUAGUGGGAGGCGUCGUCUUUCCCAUUGAAAUGCCACAUGGGUAGCCCUCUAUAUUGGAGUGGUUGGACCCCCUGUGUUAUGGAGACCGCCAUUACCUCGACUAUUGACAAUCCAGACUGGGCAAGCAUCUUGAUCUUGCCUAGCAGCAGACUGAUCUUUGCGUUAUCCUCUUCCUCGAGGCUCCGAGGAUGCCAACUAUGGAGUUUCUUCAAUGGAGCACUUGAAAAUUCGGGGAGGCCCAUCCAGACUGGGUCGGGAAGUGCGACGUCGUCAAUAUAAAACCAUUCAGAGGUCCACUCUUCGGAAGCUUUCUUCGGUGUGCCGGAUAGGUAUCCGGUCUCAACAAUGUGCCAUAUUUCAGCCCUGCCCACUUCAAAUAUCGAUCCCUCAUGGUUGCACGGGACAAGACAAAACAACCUUCUCCAUAGAUCAAAAUGGGCCUCACAACCCAGGAAUGAUUCACAUAAAGCGACAUAGCCCGCAAUAUGCAAGAUGGAGGCUGGGGUAAAACUGUGUAGCUGGAGGCCAUAAUACUCCAGAAGCCCUCGGAGGAAUGGGUGAAUCAGAAAUCCCACGCCCCUCAGCAGAUAGGGGACGAAGCACACUCGUUCCCCCAUGGAAGGAUUGGGGAAAUCCUCCACCUGGGUUUUUCCAUUGAAGGAAGCCAACCCUGCUCGAACAGGGACCAAACCCGCAGGGGGGAGAAAUCCCUGCAUUUGCAACUUCGCCAAUCGACUGUGGGACAUGGAGCUCCUCUCCCACUCACCUUUCUCCGGGUUGGAACGGGAGGAGGAGCUGGGAAUGCUGGCCAUGUUGGAAUGGUCUUUCCUGGCAAUCUUUGAGGAUUUUCUCCAUAUGAUGCCGAAUGGAUCUCAGACCCAAUCUCCUUAAAUAGAUGCUCUUUCUCGCAUGGCUAGGGUGUUAUUUGCAAAAGGAUACCCGGACUGUCUGCAUUUGCCCGACGUGUGGCGGUUGAAGUCAUCGAUGCACAGAAGCCAAGGGGUGCAGCCUUGAAUUAAAAACCGAAUAUGUUACUUGAAAGUUGUCGGAGGAGGAACCCGCCUUGCAAUGCCGAAGACAAUCUGCGCACCGAACACAUCGUCAUUGAAGCCUGGUUCGGGGGCUACUGAGGAAGUCCUGGACUAAGGGGUCCUCGAGCGUCCGGCCUGUUAGCCAUGGGUCGGACUGAUGGGCUGUGAAGAUACGAAGACCGAAGACUACACACGUGUCCGGAUGGGACUCUCCUUGACGUGGACGGCAAGCUUGGCGACUAAAUAUGUAGAUUCCUUUCUUUGUAACCGACCUUGUGUAACCCUAGAUCCUCCCGUGUCUAUAUAAACCAGAUGACUUAGUCCGGAGGAUUGACAUUAUCAUAGCCAUACAAGCUAGAAUUCUAGGGUUUAGCCAUUACGAUCUCGUGGUAGAUCAACUCUUGUAAUACUCAUAUUCAUCAAGAUCAAUCAAGCAGGACGUAGGGUAUUACCUCCAUAGAGAGGGCCCGAACCUGGGUAAAACAUUGUGUCCCCUAUCUCCUGUUACCAUCGACCUUAGACGCAUAGUUCGGGACCCCCCUACCCGAGAUCCGCCGAUUUUGACACCGACAGACCCCCACCGAUUUGAGGCGGUUCUUUCGGUUCAGGGGUAUCAUGGGCAUUUCGUGUGUCGGGAUUUCAUAGGAGGUGGGAGUUUUCGCGUGCGUUGUAAUUUUGGAAUAGCAAGGCGCGGGUUGAGAUGGAGGGUGUUGUCGGAGCACAACCAGACAAAAAUAUAUCUUAAAUAUUUCGGGCUAACAAGGCGCGGGUUGAAAUUUCCAGACAAGCCUAAUGUGUACUGUACCGAAUCAAUUCGCACUACAAAUGUCAUUCAAAACUUUGAAUUCAUGUUAUGUUCAAUUAAAAUAUUUCACUACGUGUAUAAUGCAUGCAACCUACUACUCAAAUGAACGUUUUAGUGCAUUCCAAACGUAUAUACUACCGCUUCAAUAUGAACUAAAUUUGAAUUCGUUUCUCUAUUUGAAUAAGAUCUACAAUAACACUACUAGGAAAAGGCCUACUAAUGGCACACCAGUUUUUCCUACUAAUGGCGCAUCACUGGUGCGCCAUUAGUAUUUGGUAUACUAAUGGCGCACCAUCCAGUGCGCCAUUAGUAUCUGGUAUACUAAUGGCGCACCAUCCUGUGCGCCAUUAGUAUAUAACACCAUGCGCCAUUAGUGUGCCUCCCAGGGGCCAUAUUUAACCAUGUGCUUUGGCACACUAAUGGCGCACUACGGAUGGAUGCACCAUUAGUAUACUUGGCAUACUAAUGGCGCACUUUGUAGUGAUGCGCCAUUAGUAUGAAUAUUAGGUUUUUUUUUACUUUUCUGAUUUUUGCACAUGUUACAAAAUAUAUUAUUUGAUAGAAUAUAGACAGUAGCACACAGCAACAACAGAUUCAUUGAAUACAAUAGAAGAUUAGUCUGCGAAUACAAUUCCUCAUAUUAGUCUCCGAAUUCAAAAGACCGAACAAAGAUAAAACAUGACAAGUCUCGAGACCGCGAGUAUCGAGUUUAUCGGAAGUAAUACUAAUCCUAACAAGUCCUACUAAUCAUCAUCAUACAACUUCUACUCGUUAUUCAUAACAAGUCAUACGAUCAUCAUCUUGAUAGUCAUCGAACCAACCCUACUUAAUUGUUCUUAGCACAUGAUCAUCAGUAUUAGGCAGGACCUAAAUACCCUAUUUAAGCGAAAAUAGCAUAAAACAAUAUAGACCCUGACUCUCCAUUAUGGAGAAUGGAGAACAUCCUGUCUCCAAUUCUUGCGCUUCGCUUCCUUUUGCUUCCCAGAAGCUCCUUACGACUGUCCAUACAUUUUUUCCAUCCUUUGAUUUUCAGGUCUCCACUUCUUUUAGAAAUCUCGUAUGGACAGUUGAAAUUCGUAGGACGACUUGGCUGUAUGUUCAAAACAUUAACACUACCUUUCAGAUACAUCAUAUGAGGCACACAAUUCUCUGGGAUUAUCUGUUGAAAAACAUAGUAAUAACUUCAUAGUUAGCAAUGAUGUACUAUUUUUAGAAGUAUGCAAAAGAUGCACGAAUGUCGUAAUAGUAAAAAUCUUACCAGGGUAUCUCCAUGGUAGUUACCGUAGUUUAACACAUGCACUAGUGGCACGUAUUUACCAUAAUGUUGAGGAGUUUGAUUGUGGAUAGUGUAAUUCUCAAUGUCAGUACAAAAUCCGACCAGAUGAUUUUUCUCCUUGUAAGUUGUUAAUUCGGAGCCAUCGGUGUAGUGGGUUUUGUCUACCAUCUCCCGUACAUUCUUUGAACAAUAAAAAUAAGCUGUCAAUGGAAAUAAGCUGUCAACUAUUUUGAAAUAAACAAUAUAAAUUAGCUAAUAACUAUGUUUGAGAAACUCACAUAGCGGUAGAACUGGAGGCGUCUCAACAAGGACCCAAAUGUCCAUAUUGUCUUGGUUGAUGUCAAGAUUACCAAGAUCCAUGGUGAUAAGCAUACCCUCAUCAAAACCAUACAUCUUGCAAAAUGCUUCCCAAUUUUUGCAACCAAAAUGGGUUACGCUCUCAGAAUUAUAUAGAUUUACUUCAAAGUCCACAUCGUGAUGAGUCCUUAGGUGAAUUUUCUUUGUUUCGGAAAUUUCAUGGUCUUCAAAAUCCAUCCUCUCCAAGACAUAGCGUCUUGCAUGGCAUGGCAUAAGCUAUACUCUAAUUGUAAAAGAUGAAAAUUACACGUUGAAAUAGUUGAAGUCAUGCUUAAUUAUGAAAAUAACACUUGUCGUUGUUGUGUACCGUUUCAACUUCGAAGGUCUCCUCGAGCUUAAUGCUGAAGCGCCGAUCAUCGUCCAGGUGAGGCAUGUCGCACAGACCUCGAUCAUCGUGGCACCAGUCGCACUCCGCCGGGAGACUUUCGUCGUCCGAUGAUGAUGAUGACAUAUCCUACGUUCAUAAUUCAAAACUACAUCAUUUAGGGUUUGUUGACACCGAGGCAUCCUAAAAACUAAGCUUUUAUCAUUUAGGGUUUGUCGAUGCCGAGGCACCCUACAAGCCUAAGCUUUCAUCAUUUAGGUUCUUAUCGACACCGAGGCACCCUAAAAGCCAAGGUUUUAUCAUUUAGGGUUUGUCGACGUCGAGGCACCCUAAAAGCCUAAGCUUUCAUCAUUUAGGUUUUGUCGAUGCCGAGGCACCCUAAAAGCCUAAGCGUACAUCAUUUAGGUUCUCAUCGACACCGAGGCACCCUAUAGAAGCCAAUUCAAGUUUUCAUCAUUUAGGGUUUAUCGAUGCCUAGGCACCCUAGGUUGGGCCUAAUCACUUAGCACUAAUCACUUGGCUCUAUUGACACCUAUGUUGGGUUUAUCAUCUAGGGUUUAUCGAUGCUAACGAGAAUUCUAAGUUGGGCCUAAUCACUUGGCUCUAUUGCCACCUAUGGUUUAAUGCAGCAAGAAUGGCGGGGCAGUUGAUCCUACUUAAUUAAGUACUAAGAUACCCCGACCCAUGCAUUAGUAGCAAGUACCCCAUACGUCCGAUUUUUAGCAAAGUCAUGCUAAAAUUCACAGAAAAUUUCAGCAUGACCUUUGCUGAAAAUAAGACAUAUGGAGUACCCGAAUUUUCCGGAACGGAAGUUAAUCGACAUUCCGGCAAACUCAAGGGCCUCUCGGGGUACCUGCAAAAUCAUCACGACACGAUGGUCGGAGACAAAACCCAACAAACUAGCACCAUAAUGUGCCUCUACUUUCAUAUGGAUGAAAAGGCCACAGACCAUAUGGUCCUCUGCUUUCAUAUGGACAAAAAUCUGCUCAACUUAUGUGAGCUUCCAUUCCAGAUCUAAUAGGUCACCCAACAAAAAAUCAUGAAUAGUUUUAGCUGAAAAAAAAUCAUGGAUUGUUGUUAACUGAAAAUUAGUGAAAGAAACUGUUGCUGAUCAUGGAUUACUGUUAAUUAAAAAUAGAGCAUCUGGCUUGUCUUAUCAUGUUCACUAAGUCCACAAAAAUGAAUAGGUUCAAUAAACUUGAAGUACUCAACACUAAACAUGGUUCAGAGCUCACUACACUACACUACAUCGUGCAAUGGUUCAGACCUCACUACACUAGAACAAGCUCACUACACUACACUACACAUGCUUAAACUCUGAACAUAAACAAACACCAGCAAUGCAAUAUGUAAACUACCUCUGUUUCUAGGCAACAAGAGUUAUCAUCAAUGCUUUUGAGUUUAUUAAGUACCUUCAGUUCUGAGUUUUAAAUGUCAAAAGAGCUUCACAGAAUCUUGAAUCCUCCAAAUCACUCUUAACAGUUCUGCAUUGCACAAAGGCAGCAAUGAGCCAAUGAUAUCAGUAGCAAUAAUAGGUGCUUACAUUCUCAUAACGUCAGUAUUAGUUAACCAAAAUUCAACCUACAGAGUUCUAGUACAGUGAGUAACUCCCAAUUCUUUUAAUAGAAGCACAAUUAACAACACAACUAGGGAGUCUAGGACAAUGCCACGAGAUAGAAUUUGAAGGAAAAACGUUCUUCCAGAACCUUCAAGCCACAAUCAUACAUAGAGUGGCUGAUCAUAUAAGCUAUAUUUAAAUAAACAUCAACUAAACUUGAUGACAAGAAAAACUACAAUCACAUUGAUACAAACUAGAGCAUAUAGCAAUAGUAAAUUGCUGCUCCAUAUAGCAAUAGUAAUGCACCUAAUCAACAUUGUAGAGCAUCCUGUUACAAACUUGUUCUGAUCCUGCAAAUUAAUGGGGAGGAAGAACUAGGGAGGGAGGGAAUGGUAAUGGUUCAGAGAAGAACAAUAGUAAUGCUCCAUAUAGCAAUAGUAAUGCUCCAUAUGUUCUGAUCCAUAUAGCAAGAAGAACUAGGGAGGGAGGGAAUGGGGAGGAAGGGUGGAGAGGGAGGAAGGAGGAGACGUACCUGGGCGGGCGUGGCCAGUCGCCGGAGGGGUCGGGGUCGAGGUCGGCGGCGGCGUCGAAGGGGUGACUCGAGGGCGUCCGAGCUCGUCCGGGUCCUCGUAGUCGAAGAGGAAGACGACGGCGGUCCUCCUGGGCCCCUCGGUUGGUCGUGGGGAGGCCGGCGGCCACGUGCUUCGUGGGUCGGGGGGCGCGGGGGCGACGGCGCGGGGGAGCCGGAGCGGGUGUGGCGAGGGAUGGAAGGGGAUCUGGCGACGGAGAGGGAAGGAGGUAUCGGGCGAAGGGCCGGCUAUCCAGCUAUAGAGGGGGGAAUGUUAGUAAUGGCGCACCAUCGAGGGGUGCGCCAUAAAAACACUCAUAGCAAUGGCGCACCAUUCUCUGGUGCGCCAUUGGUAACUUUUUUUUUCUGAUAGCAACGGCGCACCCUCCUCUGGUGCGCCAUUAGUAACUUCUUUUUUUCAUUAUUUCUUGUUGCAUCUAAUAAUUUGUUUUUUUAUCAAAUUUGUUAUUUUCAUGAGGACUAGAACAAAAUAUAUCAUCAAAUUUGUUUUUUUAAUAUCAUCAAAUUUGUUUUUUAUUUUUGAUUGAAAAUAUCAUCAAAUUUGUUAUUUGAAAAUAUCAUCAAAUUUGUUAUUUGAAAAUAUUAUCAAANNNNNNNNNNNNNNNNNNNNNNNNNNNNNNNNNNNNNNNNNNNNNNNNNNNNNNNNNNNNNNNNNNNNNNNNNNNNNNNNNNNNNNNNNNNNNNNNNNNNNNNNNNNNNNNNNNNNNNNNNNNNNNNNNNNNNNNNNNNNNNNNNNNNNNNNNNNNNNNNNNNNNNNNNNNNNNNNNNNNNNNNNNNNNNNNNNNNNNNNNNNNNNNNNNNNNNNNNNNNNNNNNNNNNNNNNNNNNNNNNNNNNNNNNNNNNNNNNNNNNNNNNNNNNNNNNNNNNNNNNNNNNNNNNNNNNNNNNNNNNNNNNNNNNNNNNNNNNNNNNNNNNNNNNNNNNNNNNNNNNNNNNNNNNNNNNNNNNNNNNNNNNNNNNNNNNNNNNNNNNNNNNNNNNNNNNNNNNNNNNNNNNNNNNNNNNNNNNNNNNNNNNNNNNNNNNNNNNNNNNNGGGAGGGUGCGGGGGGUCGGCGGCGGCGGCGUGGGUCGGGGCAGCGGGGGGAAUUAGCUAGGGGGGCGAGGGAGAGGGAUGAAGGGGAUCUGGCGAGAGGGAGGGAAUUAGCUAGGGGGAAUCUUACUAAUGGCGCACCAGCGGUCGGUGCGCCAUUAGUAAUCUUUUUUUUACAUAGCAAUGGCGCACCGGGCAGGGGUGCGCCAUUAGUAAUCUUUUUUUACAUAGCAAUGGCGCACCAGGCAGAGGUGCGCCAUUAGUAAUAUUUUUCUAUGUAUAGCAAUGGCGCACCAGUCAGAGGUGCGCCAUAAGUAAUUUUUUUGUUGCAUGUAAUAAUUUUUUAGAAAAUGAAUAUGAAUAUGAAACAGUAAUAUUUUUUUUAUAAAAACAGUAAUAAUUGUUGUUUAACAACAAUUGUAGUCUACACUUUUUUUAUAUGAAGAGGGGAGAGAAGGCGCGGGUGGGAUCGAGAUCGAGAUGGAGGGGGAAUCGAGAUCGAGAUGCAGGGGGAUCGAGAUCGAGUGUCCUCAUGAAUAUUCAAUAUUUUAUCGUAUUGAAUAUGAAAAAAUAUCAUCAAAUUUUAAAAAAUAUUCAUGAAUUCAAAAAGUGCCCAUGAAAUUUAAAAAUAUUCAUGAUAUCAAAAAGUGCCCAUGAUAUUUAAAAAUAUUCAUGAUAUCAAAAUAUAUACUAAUGGCGCACUUCUACAGGGUGCGCCAUUAGUAGUUUAAACUAGUAAUGGCGCACUGUGAGGCGGUGCGCCAUUAGUAGUUUUGCAAAAAAAAAGAAAAAAAAAUUCAAUACUGGCGCACUCCUUGUCUGGUGCGCCAUUACUAGUUAGAACUAGUAAUGGCGCACUUCGGUAGGAUGCGCCAUUAGUAUGUAUGUAAAAAUGAAAAAAAAUUAUCACUAGUGGCGCACCUGUUUUCUGGUGCGCCAUUAGUGUCUUCCACACUAAUGGCGCAUCACCAACUGGUGCGCCAUUAGUAUAUAGUAGUGGCGCACUGCCUCCCUGGUGCGCCAUUAGUGUCAAUCCUAUCUAUAGCCCUUUUCCUAGUAGUGUAACGAUUGUUCUGAAGUCAAAGAAUUUGAAUUCGUUUCUCUGUUUUAAUAAGAUCUACAAUCCUCAUUAUUGUCAAGUUAAACCAUCGUUUGUGUAUUAUCUUCACAGCACACCACAUGAUUAGUUUCAAGUUACAUAUGAACUAUGUGUACUAUAUGAACUCGAACUCAAUUUUUUGAAUCUACUUUAUGUUGAUUUCAAAUCAUAGUACAUUUCAAGCUCUAGCUAGAUCUUCAUAAUCUAAACCAGGUCUCAUAUGUAUAAUGCGUUUAUCACAUUAUGUAUGGUGCCCCGCCCCCUACCCCUACAAGUAUUUAGAUGUGAGUUGCAAACACCACACAUUACCACAAAUUCAAAUAAAAUGUGAGAAUGUUCGAUAUAUAGUAUUGUUUAGAUUGUUCGAUAUUUAGUUGUAAGCUGCAAACGCCACACAUUAUCACAAAUUCAAAUAAAAUGUAAAGAUUGUUCGAUGCAUAGUAUGGUUUAGAUUGUUCGACAUUUAGCUGUGAGUUGCAAACGCCAUGCAUUAUCACAUUAUGGUAUAACAUGUGCAAAACCACAACAUAUGUAUCACCGCUAUAUUCAUGCAUGCAUAUGUUUAAAACACUAUGAUCUCCUAUUCAAAUAUAUGAAUCCACUUUCAUAUCAAAUUAUGAUCUUUGUUAGUCUCUUACACCCACACAGUCCUCUAACCUUUGUAGCUACCAGCAACUUUCUCUCGUGCAUGCAAACGCCCUCCUCGCCCUCCCCCUCCCUCAACAUUCCAUCGCGCACAUUCAUUUUUUUCUUUAGGUCAUUCUCCCACAGUCUCCACAACUCCUUUUCGACACACACCGAUCGAUAAACCUCUCCAGCGAUGUCUGCCUACAACAUACACAUGCACCUUCAAUCUCCUCCUUUAUGUGUCCUUGCCUCGUGUCUCUCAUACGACCCCACGCAUGUGUAAACUCUUGCCCCUCUUUUCAUCGAUCUCACAACCGCACACUCCUCUCCUAGCUAUCUAGCUAGUAGCUGGGCCUCUCGCACCACCUCCUAGCUCCAUUCUCUCUGUCUAUCCGUCUCGCCGGGCCUUAUUUGCCUCUAACAAAUGGACGUACACCGACUGAUCUCCCGCUAUACAUAUAGCUAGCUAGGUCCUUAUAAAUUGUUAUUCCCACGCGUCGAUCUAUCUACCUCAUUAGUUAUGUCCCUCCCUUCCUCCGACAAACAACAAUUUAUCUACCGAUCUAGUUAGGUUUGCUUACCAAACACAUGGUUACCCUUCAUCAUCCAUGGAUGCGUCCCGAUAGAUCUAUCACGCACAGGCACACACAAAAACACAUCCCCACUCUUAUUGAUAAUAUUGCAGUUCCACCCUCAGUUUGUCUAGUUGGCCUCUCCCACCAUCUUCGAGAAGCAACUCCAUCACCCAUCCAGCACUCUACCCCUCUCCCUCUCUCCCCCCUCUCUCUUUCUGUCCCAUCCUAUUUCCCGUCCUUCAGUUAUGUAUGGAUGUCGACCGAUCUUCCUCAACACAUAGCCGGGUCUCUCCUUCUCAACACAUACACGAGUCGUUCUACCUCCAUAGUUAGGCCUCUGCCUACCCCUUCCCCCACCCCUCCCCCCCCCCACACACACCGAUACAUCGAGCGCUCUAGUCAUGUCUCCCUGCCACACACAAACUUGACAUGUGCCCUCUGACAUUCUGGUAGGUCAGUCGCCCUAUAUCUUUGACUUGCACACACACACAAUUUCGAUGGCUCUCUUCAUCGAUCUCGCAUCCACCCACUUGAUCCUCUCUUCGACUCUAUCGAUAUCUAUGACCCCUCCCUCUCUUCUCGUGGGUCACCCGACCCUCUAUAUAUGAUAUGGAUAGGCCUCCAUUUCACACACAUUGCAUGCAAAAUUUUGUUUGAGAUGUCAUCGACACAUAUUCCCACAAAUACAUUCACGAAACCAACCUCCCCCCAAACAAAAAACACUCACGAAUGCACAAGCCAUUUGUCUAGGUUUGUAUCUCUCACACACACCCACGUAAGUGGGGGACGUGCACGAAGAGAAGAGGUGCACGCACGGCGCACGUACUCCCGUCUCUUUCCCAACUACACCCGCGCGGGUACACGGUGGAGCUCAUUUCUGUACGAAAAGGCAGCCCAUGUGGUAAUUUGACACGUGUACUGGUUGUCCACUAGAUGGAGGGAGGAUCAUUUACCACGGGUGAACAAACAAACUGCGACUUGACGUGUUAUGUUAAAAAAGAGGCAAACCAUGUGGGGCCUACCUUAUAGGCAAGGCUCUAUACACACUGGAGUACUUUUGAUGUGUCCCGUCAACUCGCAGAACAAGGAGAAGCUUGCUUAGUACGCCGUCUCCCCUGCCCACGAGCGCGGUGUCUCGCAGGAUGAGGUGAAGCUUGCUUACUAGUAGUAGUACUUUACGCCUUGCGCCUGCUCCCUCGCCCACGCGCGUGGUGGCUCGUAGGACGAGGAGAAAUUUUACUACUCCCUCCAUUUACUCCUCGUCCCUACUACCUUGGUUAGAGAGAUUAUCAUAUUGUUUGGAAUAUAUAUAUGUCCUUUAGUAGAUUUCAAUACGAACUACUAGUACAUACUCCAAACACUGAUGUAUAUAGACGUAUUUUAGAGUGUAGAUUCACUCAGUUUUCUCCGUAUGUAGUCCAUAUCGAGGCCCUGUUUGGUUCAUAAGUCCUAGGACAUUUUCUAGUCCCAACUAAAAAGUCCAUCCUUGAUUGUUUUCAAGGACUAAAAAGUCCCUAGCCCUCCCUAGAGGCUAUUGAAUGACCAUGUUACCCCCAGCAUACAGAAAAAUAACAACCAAACAACACCAUGGGGCGGCGGGGCAAUGGGUGCAGGGAGGGGCAUUGUUGGAGAAGUCCCAAAAAAGACUCUCCUUGAGAGUCUUCUUAAUUAAGUCCCAAAAAGCAAGUUUUAGUCCCUAGUAGUCCCUCCUGUUUGGUUAAAAAGUCUCUAAGAGGGACUUUUUCUAGUCCCUACACUAAAAAGUCCCUAGAAACAAACACCCCCUGCAUAUAGUUGAGACACUUAUUUUGGAACGGAGGGAGUACAUAUUUGCUAUGAUCUGCCAAUCAUUGAGAUGCAAUAGCAUGCAUGUUAGUCUCCUUUGUAUUUGAUGAAAUGUUGCAACGGGCAACCUUGGACACAAGAUACAUGUAACAGAAGCUGGAAGCUUCAUAGCAUUGUACUAUCUCGCUGAUAAAUUACAGUACAUACUAUACUAGUACUUCCUCCGAUCCUAAAUAUAAGUCUUUGUAGAGGUUUCACCAUGAACCACAUACAGAUGUAUAAAGAUGCAUGUUAAGUGUAGAUUCAUUCAUUUUGUUCUGUAUGUAGUCCACCUAGUGGAAUCUCUACAAAGACUUAUAUAUUUAGGAACGGAGGGAGUACUAUGUAAAGAGUUAGGUGUCGCACGGUGUCUAGAAAAUAUGGUGAUAGUGUGAGGUGGGCCAUGUAAUCACUAAGCCUGCGUGUUUUCACUGCUCUUGCACUCCUCCGCCGUAAGAAUGGAGAAAAUUGUAAUCUAGUAGUACCUCCUUUAGCCGAAAGCAUGGGACAUCCAGCAGUCCUACCACCUCACUAAUAAUGACCAAUGAGCCGUCAAAUCACAUAGACCCAACAGUAAGUUGGACGGAUGAAGCAACCAUCACUCUUGAAUCCGCUUCUCCCUUCAACGCAAGCGCUAGUGAGAGGUCGCAUCUGCUCUGCCCGGGCAUGAUGCAGCACCGAUUCUAUGGAGCGGCGCUGACCGUUUUGGGCAGGAAGCACGCGCGGGCGAUGGAGGGGCUUUGGGUGGGCCAGGCUGGUCAGGAGCGGGCGUGGUAGCUGUCCACCUGUCCUUAGCGGACACUCGAAAACGAGAGGAUGCACCGACUCUCACGGCUAAAAUCGUGCACUACACACCAUCUCUCUGUAGGAGUAGGAGUAGGUCGAUCUGUCGCUCUCUCUAACACACACAUGAUGUUAAACACACACACACACACACACACACACAUGCACACGCACACACAGGUUCAUAGAAUAGGAAAAUCGUGCGAGUGCGAAGCCACAGGAACUGAGAUACAAAUGGAGUACGUACAAGAAGCGAAGAGGUGACGAAUAUUCCAUCAAACCUGGACUGAGGAGUAGUACUAUGUAACACCGACAAUGCGGCUAUAUCUCCCACAUGUCGGGGCACGACUUAGAGGCAUAGCCGCAUGGUAGGCUUGUCACAAGAGGGGUAAUCUUCACACAUCAUAUGCACUGAAUAAGAAAGGGAUAAAGAGUUGGCUUACAAUCGCCACUUCACACAAUACAUAAAUAGUUCAUACAUCAACCAAGGACAAAGGUCCGGCUACGGAACCAAAAUAAAAGAAGACAACCCCAAAUGCUAGAUCCCCUAUCGUCCCAACUGGGCUCCACUACUAAUCAACUGGAAAAGACACAACACAACGAUCAAGAUCUUCAUCGAGCUCCCACUUGAGCUCAGUUGCGUCACCUGCACUGGUAUCAUCGACACCUGCAACUAUUCGGAAGUAUCUGUGAGCCACGAGGACUCAGCAAUCUACACCCGCGAGAUAAAGACUAUUUAAGCUUAUGGGUAGGAAAAAGGUAGUAAGGUGGAGCUGCAGCAAGCACUAGCAUAUAUGGUGGCUAACUUACGCAAAAGAGAGCGAUAAGAGAAACAACGCACGGUCAAGAAUUUAGAAGUGAUCAAGAAGUGAUCCUGAACUACUUACAUUCAAGCAUAACACAAGAACCGUGUUCACUUCCCGGACUCCGCCGAGAAGAGACCAUCAUGGCUACACACGCGGUUGAUGCAUUUGAAUUAAGUUAAGUGUCAAGUUCUCUACAACCGGAUAUUAAAAAAUUCCCAUCUGCCACAUAACCAUGGGCACGACUCUCGAAAGUUUAUACCCUGCAGGGGUGUCCCAACUUAGCCCAUCACAAGCUCUCACAGUCAAGGAAGGAUAUUCCUUCUCUCGAGAAGACCUAAUCAGUGUCGGAAUCUCGAUUACAAGGCAUUUCGACAAUGGUAAAACAAGACCAGCAAAGCCGCCCGAAUGUGCCGACAAAUCCCGAUAGGAGCUGCACAUAUCUCGUUCUCAAGGCACAUCGGAUUGUCCAAAUUUCCGGUAGGCCAACCCAGAGUUGCCCCUGGUGGCCACCAGCGGCUGACAGGUUGGACCAACACUCAGAGGAGCACCGGCCCGGGAGUUUAAAAUAAAGAUGACCCUUGAGUCUGCAGAACCCAAGGGAAAAAUGCUUAGGUGGCAAAUGUUAAAAUGAAGGUUGGGCCUUGCUGGAGGAGUUUUAUUCAAAGCGAACUGUCAAGGGUUUCCCAUAACACCCAACCACGUAAGGAACGCAAAAUCAAGGAACAUAACACCGGUAUGACGAAAACUAGGGUGACAAGAGUGGAACAAAACACCAGGCAUAAGGCUGAGCCUUCCACCCUUUACCAAGUAUUUAGAUGCUUUAAUUAAAAUAAGAGAUAUUGUGAUAUCCCAACAUAUCCAUGUUCCAACAUGGAACAAACUUCAACUUCACUUGCAACUAGCAACGCUAUAACAGUGGCUGAGCAAAAGAGGUAACAUAGCCAAACAACGGUUUGCUAGGAAAGGUGGGUUAGAGGCUUGACAAGGCAAUAUGGGAGGCAUGAUAUAGCAAGUGGUAGGUAGCACUACAUAGCAAUAGAGCGAGCAACUAGCAAGCAAAGAUAGAAGUGAUUUCGAGGGUACGUAUGGUCAUCUUGCCUGCAAAGUUCUCAGAGUUAACGAAAGCUCAAUCCUCAUUAGCGUACUCAACAGGUUCCUCGAACAUGUACCCAUCUCCCGGCUCUACCCAAAGCAAGAACACAAGCAAAGGAACAACAAUCAACCAUGGUGUAAUGCACAAGUAACAUGACACAAUAUAUGGCAUGAUAUGCGAGAUGUGAAAUGCAAUGCAUAUGCAUGCUUCGGAAGGAAAAUGAUGAACAAGGCAUCAACUUGGCAAACAAAGUGUGCCGCUGGAAAGAUGAGAUGAUUUCGGGUGAAAUCGAAAUAAAGAUCACCGGAAACGGAUGCAUGGUUUGCAAAUGGCAAGCAAAAUAAGAAUGGCACAAUUCUGCGAUUAACAGCACGAUGCCAUCUAGAAUGCAACAAGAUACUAAGCUACUGCACUCCAACAUAGCAACAAAGCAUAUGGUAGUGAUGUACUGAAGAUGCUUGACAAAACAUGAACACUAAGCUACGGCUAAAUCACACGAGAGCAGGUUCAAACAAGCAUGACAAAAGUGCAAAAGAUAUCAGCUUCAUAGACUUAGUGAAAAUACUAACAUGCCAAAAAUACAUCAGGAAGCCAUGUUUAGAGCAAGCAAACAAGAUGCUACAGGAACAUAUCAUAGCAAUACAAGGCAUGGAAUGAAUAUACUAAAUGCAUAGAUCAAAAGUCUCUUACUGCUCAUUAGCCAAAAAGGCACAGAAGAUAUGAUGGCACCCAUGUAAACAUAGCAAAUUUUAUUAACAGUUUCAGACUUAGCAGAAAACAGAGCAUGGCAUAAACAGAAUCAUGAAGGCAUCUUUGCGAGCUCAAAACACUCACCACAAAGCAUUUCAUGACAAAAAAAUCAUGGCAUCAGCAACAUGACAUGUUCAUGAAGCUAACCAUGGCAAGAGAAAGUUCAUAGCAUGCAUGGAUCACUAACAACAACCAUGGCAAAAUUGAUUAACAUGUAAGUAAUCUACCAGGAACAUUUUAUAGCAAAAGUAGAGCAAGAUUAAGACAUGCUAGGGCACUCCAUAAUUGCAAACAGGGGCAUGGAUGGAUAGAGAAUAACCAUAUGUCCAAAAUAUCCUUACUGAAGGAACUCAAAACAAGUAUGGAUCUCACUGUAGCAUCAUGUUUACAUGGCAUAAAAAUAACAGCAGGAAAAUGACAGUAAAAACCUAAGUCCCUGAAAUCAGCAAUAUCACGAAGGCUACUUUGCAUGCUUGUGCUAGUCACCACAUUGAUCACAAAAAUACAUGGCAAGCACCUCUGUAAAGAUGGCAUGACAUAACUCAAAGCACAUGUAGAGCUCAUGCCCAUAUGAUGCACACAUCAAAAGUGACAAAAAUGACAAAUCAUCAUAAUCUGUGAAGUAACAGGAGUAAGCAUUUUAUAGCACUCUUGAACCAAUGAUUUGGGCAUCCAUAUGAACUCAAACAAGCAUGCCACAAUGUAAUUAAAUGAAGAUAAUCUCCCAAUGAACAUUUCUAUAUCUUAUAAGCAUGAAAAGGAGCUACAGUCAUGGAGUUAUGGCAUGAUGAACAGGGGCAUAAAAUGUUACAGAUCUGAGACUUGGCCAUAUUUCACCUCGCGGGAAAACGGGAUGGAGUGGUUUGGGACGGUGCGGUGCGGCUCGGGGAUCAUGUUUGGAUGGCGGGUCCCAGCGGAUCUGGAACGACGACGGCCCAGCGGCGAGGGCGGACUCCGGCGAGCGUGCGGGAUGCUCCGGCGAGCAGAGGAAGGCGAGGGGGAGGCCAGAGGAGGGCGGAUCCGCCCGUCCCCCGUUCAGAUCCAGGGGCGGGCGGCGGCUCUGGCCACAUCGACACGGACCCGAGGCAAGGCGGGCCCACGGGCCCGCGAGGAUGCGGGAGCUCCGAUGGGCGAGCUCCGGCCGAUGAGCACUGAGCGGGACGGCGAACUGUGGGCGGCGAAGGUGGUGCGCGAAGGUGGCGGCGGCGCGGCGCAACGGCGGCGGGGGUCGCCGGAGAAGCCAAGGUGGCGAGGAAGGGGCUCUGGCGAGCACCUAGGCGGCGGAGGCGGCGAACGGAGACCGGGCCGGGCGGUGGGCGCGGUCGGGCCUACACGGGCCCGCGAUGGGCUCCGUGGGCCGGUGGCGGCGGAGGUGAGAGAGAGGCCGGUGGAGGACUCGUGGCACCGCGGGAUUGGUCCGGGCACGAUGGCGGACAUGUCCGGCAGCGGCGGGGGCGAUUUCUAGGGUUUGGAUUACGGGAAUUUCGGAGGGAGACACAUAUUUAUAAGUAGAGGGAGUUUGGAGUGUCCAAAUGAGGUGUAGUUUUCGCCCACACGAUCGUGGUCUGACAACGGAGGGCAUGGAAGUGGUUUAGAUGUGUUGUUGGGCUGUUUAGGAUGGGUGUUGGGCUGCAACACAAAAGAGUCCAUUGCGGUUACCCGAUUAACUGUUGGAGCAUCAAACAGACUCCAAAUGGAACGAAAUUUGACAGGCGGCCUACCGGUGAUGUACCAAGGCCACUUGGCAAAUCUCAGUCCAUUCUGAGAAUGUUUAACACCCGCUCACGAAAGGAGACAAGAGGGGUGCGCCGGUGCAAGUAGGAGUGUCAGAUUGCAAAAUGGACAACGGGGAAAAUGCCCGAACGCAUGAGACGGACCCGAAUGCAAAUGCGAUGCACAUGAUGACAUGAUAUGAAAUGCAUGACAUGAACAAAAUGCAAAAAAAGACAAAACCCAAACACGAAGGGAAUAACAUAUCGCAUCUUCGGAAAAGUCAAGAGUUGGAGUUAUGAAUAUGGAAAGUUGUAUCCAGGGUGUUACAUACUCCCUCCAUCUAGGUGUUAAGUCAUCUUACAGAAAUUGGAUAUUCCCAAAAUGUUGAGGCGUCAUCCAUUAACUUCGCAUCUCAAUCCCCUCCCGGCCUCGUUGCUAGCGAGCGUUGUUACUUACGGAGUGUUUGGAUCCUUAGCAAGAAUAGCUUAUAGCAUAGCCGGGCAAGGUUAGGCGUUUGGAACUGUUAAAAUAUGUUAGCUUUUGUGGGCAGCUAGCUUGGGUGGCCUAGAAAAACCUUGCUAGCUCAGGAGAGCCAGAUCGGCUCCCUUCCAACGGCAAACUUCGCGUAGUAGUAACAUAGACUAGUAACAUAUGCAUGUUACUAGUCCAAGUUACUCACCACUAUGACCAGCCUAAGCAAUGUAACCAAACGCUCCUUACUCUGCCUUGUUAUCUCCCCCGGAAACCCAAUGCAUGGAGCGCAACUAUGCGUUGAUCAGUCAAGAAAUCAAAGUCGGCAUGCGUGCGAGUUAAUACGUGGCCCUGGAUGGUAGCUAAAACGACAUCUCUUAGUUGUUUGGAUUAAUUGUUGCAUUUAGAGACAGAAAUCAGGGCUUUGAUUGGAGGAAUGACUGGUCAAGUUUCUCCUUCUCCUCCAAUCUGCUUGCACCUUGGUCCUGCUGCACCUUCUAACGUGACUUAUUACACCUAGACGGAGGGAGUCGUACGAGAUACGGUGGCACACUAACUAAGGUCGAAUACAAGUGCCCUAAAUUGUGUGCAUGUUAUAAUAAGGAUUCACUUAAAAUAUUAUGUGAGCGAACAGAGGGAUCAAUUGGACAGUGUUCCCGAGCAGUAGCGAGAUGUGUGAGGUAAGAUACACCGCUGGCGCUUUUAAUUUUUCUUAUUAAUUUUUUUGUUUUACCCUCUGGCUGGUGGGACCCAACGUACUAUGUGGAGAGAGGUAAGGUGACUACGGCUGCAUUAUUUCUGCACCACUAUAGAUAGUCUUACCACCAAAGCCACAUGACACAAUUAUGAUUUAAAUCCCAAUGACUCCCACAAAAAAAACACGGCAUGCUUGUCACACGAAUGUAGGAAUGUAUAAAAGGUUAUUUUCCUCUCGUUGAACAUAACUGGAGGGUUGUGUAGCUGGUUAGCCUGUUCGCUCAUCAAACUUGAGGUCUCAGGUUCAUUAACUACACUUGAGCAUAAUUCGUGCCAGGAGGAUUCUUUGACUGCUAAAAUGGACGGAUACGAAGCUAUAUGAUCAGCUGCAGCCUCGGCGCUUGUUUUCUAGGGUUUGCACUCUUCACACUCUCUCGAGUAUAUAUAUACACGCUGGAGCCUCAGCGCUUUUAGUUGCUCUCUUCACACUCUCUCUCCCUCUCCAGAUCUAAACAAGACUUCGUUGGCCUCUCUCUCUCCCCUCACUGCUGGUCUGCUUGUAGUUGCUCUCUUCACACUCUCUCACCCUCUCUAGAUCUAAAAAAUACUUCGUUGGCCUCUCUCUGUCCCCUCACUGCUGGUCAAAGAGCCGGCAGGAUCCGUCCGCCGGGAAGGGAAGGAGGCUUAACGCUGUCUCCAUCGACGAGGGAGGGAAUCCACUACCGGCGCAGUUGUUCACUUUCACCCAACAGCGGCACGGGAGGGCCUCCGACCCCUUCCUCUUCGCCGUCGUACAUAGUGUGGUUCGAACGGUCUCCGGUCACCCACCGAACCACACCCCAAGAACCUUAAGGUAUACUCCCUCCUUUCCGAUUUAUAAGGCUUAUUUCAACUUUUUUGUUUUUCCAAUUUAGAGGGCUCGUCUCCAUCUCAUUUUUAGUUUCCAAUGCGCAUUAAAUCUUUGCAUGCAAGAAUUAAAGAGGAACACACCAAUGCAUGUAAUGUUCCUACUCAUCCAGGGGCCAAGCAUGCAUGCACUGAAAUUAAUCCAAAUUAAUGCAUGAGUUUAAUUGGGGUAGUUUUGUAAAGUACACGAUACAUUCCUCCACUCACAAAAUACCUUGGUAGAUGAGAUUUGAGAUUUGAGCCUUAUAAACCGGAAAGGAGGGAGUAAUUUACUUAUUCCACAUGCAUUGCUCUAGCUGCAUGUGGGCUUUUUCCGCUUCUGCACUCGAAUCUAGGUGUUGGAUCAAACAGGAAAGUAGUGGGGAAAGUUGUAUACCAUGAAUCUAGGAUGUGUUUCAAAGAGGAAAGGAAUGGGGGAAAGUAGUGGGAAAAGUUGUAUAGCAUGAAUCUAGGACGUGGUUCAAAAAGGAAAGGAACGUGGAAAAUAGUGGGGAAAGUUGUAUCGCAUGAAUCUAGACGUGGUUCAAAGAGGAAAGGAAUGGGGGAAAGUAGUGGGGAAAGUUGUUGUAACGCCCUCGAUGCGGCUAUAUCUCUCACAUGUCGAAGCAUGACUUAGAUGCAUAACCGCAUUGAAAGCAAUGUCGCAAGUGAGGUAAUCUUCACAACAACCCAUGUAAUACAAUAAGGGAAUAAGAGUAACAUAGUUGGCUAACACUCGCCACGUCACACAAAUACAUAAAUAAGUCAUUACAUUCAUCCAAUACACUCAGGGUCCGACUACGGAACCAAAAUAAAGAUCAACCCCCAAAUGCGACAAAGUCCCCGAUCGCCCCAACUGGGCACCACUACUGAUCAUCUGGGAAAGACACAUAGUAACAACAAGAUUGUUCAUCGAACUCCCACUUGAGCUCGGUCAUAUCAUAUGGAGCGGUAUCGUCGGUCCCUGCAUCUGGUUUUGGAAGUAAUCUAUGAGUCACGGGGACUCAGCAAUCUCACACCCUCGCGAUCAAGACUAUUUAAGCUUAUAGGUAAGGCAAAGGUAUGAGGUGGAACUGCAGCAAGCGACUAGCAUAUAUGGUGGCUAACAUAUUCACAAAAGAGAGCGAGAAGAGAAGGCAAAAGCACGGUCGAACAACUAUGAUCAAGAAGUGAUCCUAGAACAACCUACGUCAAGCAUUACUCCAACACCGUGUUCACUUCCCGGACUCCGCCGAGAAGAGACCAUCACGGUUACACACGCGGUUGGUACAUUUUAAUUAAGUUAAGUUUCAUGUUAUCUACAACCGGACAUUAACAAAUUCCCAUCUGCCCAAAACCGCGGGCACGACUUUUGAAAGUUCAAAUCCCUGCAGGGGAGUCCCAACUUAGCCCAUCACAAGCUCUCACGGUCAGCGAAGGAUAUUCCUUCUCCCAAGACAAACCGAUCAGACUCGGCAUCCCGGUUACAAGACAUCCUCGACAAUGGUAAAACAAGUCCAGCAAGACCACCCGCUGUGCCGACAAAUCCCGAUAGGAGCUGCACAUAUCUCGUUCUCAGGGCACACCGGAUAAGCUAAGCGUACGGGAGCCAACGUAACCCAAGUUGCCAAGGGACGACCCCGCACGGUGCUCUGGGUUCGACCAACACUUAGAGAAGCACUGGCCUGGGGGUUUAAAAUAAAGAUGACCCUUGAGUCCGCGAAACCCAAGGGAAAAAGGCUAGGUGGCGAAUGGUAAAACCAAUGUUGGGCCUUGCUGGAGGAGUUUUAUUCAAGCCAAACUGUCGAGGGGUUCCCAUUAUAACCCAACCGUGUAAGGAACGCAAAAUCCGGGAACAUAACACCGAUAUGACGGAAACUAGGGCGGCAAGGGUGGAACAAAACACCAGGCAUAAGGCCGAGCCUUCCACCCUUUACCAAGUAUAUAGGUGCAUUAAGAUAAACAAGAUAAUAUGGUGAUAUAUAUCCCAACAAUAAACAAGUUCCAACAAGGAACGAUCUCCAAUCUUCACCUGCAACUAGCAAUGCUAUAAGAGGGGCUGAGCAAAGCGGUAACAUAGCCAAACAACGGUUUGCUAGGACAAGGUGGGUUAGAGGAUUGACAUGGCAAUUGGGAGGCAUGAUAAGCAAGUGGUAGGUAUCGUAGCAUAGGCAUAGCAAAAGAGCGAGCAUCUAGCAAGCAAAGAUAGAAGUGAUUUCGAGGGUAUGGUCAUCUUGCCUGCAAAGUUCUCAGAGUUGCCUUGAUCCUCGUAAGCGUACUCAAUGGGCUCCUCGUUCACGUACUCGUCUCCUGGCUCUACCCAAACAAGAACAACAAGCAAAAGGGAACACAAUCAACCACGUGCAAUGCUCAAGCAACAUGAUGCAAACAUGGUAUGAUAUGCGGGAUGCGAUAUGUGAUGCAUAUGCAAGAUUUGGAAAAGAAUGAUUGAACCUGGCCCCAACUUGGAAAUUCAAGAGUGCCACUGGAAAGAGGAGUUGAUUUCGGUAGAAAUAGAUAUAAAGAUCACCGGAAUCGGAUGCACGGUUUGGAAAUGACAACCAAAACAAAUAUGUCACCGGUCUGCGAUAAACAGCAAGUAGCCAUCUAAAUGCAUCAAAAUAAAUAUGCUACAGCACUCAAACAUAGCAACAAAAUAAAUGGCAGGGAUCCACUCAUGAUGCUUGACAAAAGAUGAACACUGAGCUACGGCUAAUUCACUCAUUAACAGGUUCAAACAAGCAUGAUAAAAGUGCAAAAGAUAACAGGUUUCAGACUUAGUGAAAUUAUCAGCAUAUCAGGCAUUUAUCAUCAGGAAGCAAAGUUUAGAGCAUGAUAACUACAUGCUACAGGAACAUAUCAUGGCAAAGCAAGGCAUGGCAUGAAGCUACUCUAAGCAUAUAACAAAAGUCCAUUAGUGACCAUGAGCGAGAAGGGAUCAGAAAAUACAAUUGCAAGCAUGUGAACAUAGCAAAAACAUAAACAGAUUCAGACUUAGUGCAAAACUGGAGCAUGCAAAAUAGAUUAACAAGUAGGCAUGUUUACGAGCUCGAUGCACUCACUACAAAGCAUUACAUGACAAACUAAGAAUACAUCCAUCAAGAAGACAUAACAUAGAAUCUAGACAUGGCAAGAACAACAACAUAGCAUGCACGGAUCAGUAGCAACAACCUCGACAAAAUUGCUAAACCUGUUAACAAUCUGUCAGGAACAUUUUAUAGCAAAAGUAGAGCUCGAUUGACUCAAGCUAGGGUGCUCCAUAAAUGCAAACAAAGACAUGGAUGGAUAGAGCACCACAAUAUUAACAAAACAUCCUUACUGAUCAUCCUCAGAAGAGGCACAGAUCACUAGGAAACAACAUGAACAUAUGGCAUAAAAAUAAAGACAUGGCAAGGACUUAGAAUAAUCCAAGUCCCUGAAAUCAGCAUCGUUGAGUAAGCUACUAUGCAUGCUUGUGCUAGUCACCACAUAGAUCACAAAAAUACAUGUCAUACACCUUUGUAAAGAUGGCAUGGCAUUCUACAAAACACAUGUAGAGCUCACGAUCAUAGCAUGCACACAUUAAUCAUGGCAAAAAUGACAAAAUGCCAUUUGCUGAAACAGAUCUAGAAUAAUCCUCACAUAGCCCUCUUCCAACAGCAUUACGAGCAUCAAGAUGAGCUCAAAUGAAAAUUAUGCAAUGAGAUGAAAUGAUGUACUCGUCGAGACGAACAUUUUGAUAUGCCACACGCACGAAUCAUAGCUAAGGAUGCGGAGUUAUGGCAUGCCAAAGUAUGCAUAAAAUUACUGGGAGGAGGCAAAAGUCAACCCGAGAAUUAGGGUUUACUAUAGCGGUUUCAGACCUGGAUCGCGGCGCGGAAGCCGAGGUUCGCCGGCACUGGAGUUCCUGUUUGCCGGUGGACGAGGUGGCCGGAGCUCGUAUCCGCGGUGGCCGGCCGGAGGAGGACGAGGACGGAGAGGAGGCGAACGGCGGCGGGAUCCGGGCGGCGCGGCGCUAGGGCGGCGGGGAAGCUCGCCGGAGUGGGGCGGCGUGGCUCGCCGGAGCUAGGCGGAGGUCGCCGGACGGCGGUGGCCGGCGAUGGCAGCGAAGGGCGGCGUCGGGCGCGGUGCUNNNNNNNNNNNNNNNNNNNNNNNNNNNNNNNNNNNNNNNNNNNNNNNNNNNNNNNNNNNNNNNNNNNNNNNNNNNNNNNNNNNNNNNNNNNNNNNNNNNNNNNNNNNNNNNNNNNNNNNNNNNNNNNNNNNNNNNNNNNNNNNNNNNNNNNNNNNNNNNNNNNNNNNNNNNNNNNNNNNNNNNNNNNNNNNNNNNNNNNNNNNNNNNNNNNNNNNNNNNNNNNNNNNNNNNNNNNNNNNNNNNNNNNNNNNNNNNNNNNNNNNNNNNNNNNNNNNNNNNNNNNNNNNNNNNNNNNNNNNNNNNNNNNNNNNNNNNNNNNNNNNNNNNNNNNNNNNNNNNNNNNNNNNNNNNNNNNNNNNNNNNNNNNNNNNNNNNNNNNNNNNNNNNNNNNNNNNNNNNNNNNNNNNNNNNNNNNNNNNNNNNNNNNNNNNNNNNNNNNNNNNNNNNNNNNNNNNNNGGCGCGGUGCUGACCCGCGGCGGCGGAGGGAGUGGGCCGCGGGGGCCUGAGUCGGGCUCGACGGGCCACGGCGCAGGGACGGCCGGCGGCGCCACGUGGCAGCCUACCACUGGUGCGGGGCAGCGGCGCGAUGUGUCCGGCUGGAAACGGACACGUCCGUCGUCGGCGCGAGCGGAUCUAGGGUUUUAGGGGUGUUUUGACCCGUAAUUUUUGGAGGAGGGGCUAUUUAUAGAGAUAGAGGGAGCUAGGAAGCUCCAAAUGAGGUGCGGUUUGCGGCCACGCGAUCGUGAUCGAACAGCCUAGGUGAUGGGAGAGGUUUAGGUGGGUUUUGGGCCACUUUGGAGGGGUGUUAGGCUGCAACACACACGAGGCCUUUUCGGUCCCUCAGUUAACCUUUGGAGUAUCAAACGAAAUCCAAAUGGCACGAAACUUGACAGGCGGUCUACCGGUAGUAAACCGAGGCCGCAUGACAAGUCUCGGUCCAAUCCGAAAACGUUUAACCCCCACACACGAAAAGAGGUAGAAAGGACCACCGGAGGACAUAGGAGCGCCGGAAUGCAAAACGGACAACGGGGAAAAUGCUUGGAUGCAUGAGACGAACACGUAUGCAAAUGCAAUGCACAUGAUGAAAUGAUAUGAGAUGCAUGACAAGGACAAAACACACGGAGACAAAAACCCGAGAACGAGGAAAUAUAAUAACUUAGUGCCGGAAACGGCAAGAGUUGGAGUACAAAUAAGGUAAAUUACAUCCGGGGUGUUACAGUUGUAUAGCAUAAAUCUAGGACGUGGUUCAAAGAGGAAAGGAAGGGGGAAAAGUACUAGUAUAGACUGGCUAUCCAGCACCUACGUUGGUCGAAAAUGGAAAAUAAUGACAAACGCAGUACACACAUAUGUAACGAACUGAUAUUUUGUUUUGGGGGACAAGGCUGUAGAGUUUGAGCAGGACUAGAUUUGUUGCGCUCACAUAGGGAAGGUGUCUAAAGAUAACAAAACUGGGACCAACACAAAUAUGCUCCUUAGUUGUUUGUUCUUUGUUGCAACUGACUGUGCAUCACCCUAGUACAUCGGUAGAUGCACAUGGUGCCGGUGCAUCCACUGUCCCGUGCAACUCUUUAGCUGUUGUUAAUCUAAGGCCUUGUUUGGUUAAAAACUCCCUAGUCCCUACCUGCUUGGUUCCAGGGACUAAACAUGGAGUAGAUGUUAUUAAAUGACAUGCUAAAAGACCAUGUUACCCCUAGUAAUGAACUAAUAGAGACAAGGUGCGAUGUGUGGCAGGGUCUUCUCUCUUUAGUCCCAAAUACCCACUUUUAGUCCCUAAAAGUCACUUCUGUUUGGUUUAGAUGGGACUAACACUGAGUUUUUUUAGUCCCUCCACCAAAAUAUCCCUGUAAUAAAACACCCUCUAAUAAUGCCACUGGAAAAUUGAUGCAAUGCCACAGUUAAAAGCAAAUUAAUGUUUAACGAAUUUAAUUAUUAAUAUAAUCUCUCUGUUAAUAUUAAUCAAUGCCACCGUUUGAGAAAUGCUACUGUCUUGCUUUCUUUCCCAUUUAGAUAAGGUAGAUGCUUCUUUUUGUUGGCUUCUGUGUCAUCCGCAGUUAUUCACCACUAGUUGUUUCCUUUGCACCUCUGUGUAAACAGGGUUAUCUACUUCACCUUGUUGCCAUUGUGACCUUUUGUUGCACUGCACAAAACACUUAUGUUUUAAGAGUGUUUUGUGCAGUUCAACCAAAAUAUCACACCGACAACAUUGCUUGAUUGCUUGAUCUUAGUGGAACUGCACAAGAGGAGAUCUUACUUCCUAUCCGUGUUGGCAAAUUUGGUUCAGAUCUUCUUCUUGUGAGUUGUUUGAAUUCCGUGUCAUGAGAGGUUAGUACUAGCCUUAUUUCGCAUGAUUCUGCAGUGUGCUUUCAUGUGUUCUGCUACUUGUACGGUAAUGUUGCUUGAUUUUAGUGAACUGCACAAAUGGAGACAUGACUUCCAAUCUGUAUGUGCACCGUAAUAUCCCAUUGAGGUAAGAUAAGGAUAUUUCACAACUGUUGGCCUGUAUUUUGCCACUUUCAUCAGAAAAUUAAUGCCAUUGUUUAGUGCUAUACUUGUGCAACCUAAUUGACAUGCCAAAUCUUACAUUGAAGGCGAAGCUUGUCUGUUAUUGAACCAAGUGAUGAAGGGGAAGAACAAGCGGAAGAAAAACAAAAAUCAACUGUCGGUGCUAUAAUGAAGCACUGGAACUGUGGUGACACAAGUAAUGAUAUAGUUUUGCAUCUUAAUUUAUUGUUAUGGCUGGAACGAGCAAUUGUUUCACCACUGAUUUGAUGCCACUCUUAAUGUAAUACAUAAUUAUCUCUACUUGUGCAAACAGGGAUCUUCUUUGAAGAUACCAUAUACUUUAGUGGAACUGCACAAGAAGAUGUUGGAAACAUUAAACUAAUCGAGGAGUAUAUAGUAAGCAUGGCCACCACAGUAGAAAGCAACAGAUGGUUCCGGAGAAAUGCUUCAUCUGUAUGCUCUACACAAUAAGCGUCCCGACAAAGGUUGGUACUCGCCCACUGAUUUCAUCCAUAUGAUUGAGCUUUGUCAUCUCUAUUGGUGUUGUGCUACUCUUUAGAUACUGUCAUCAAAAAGUGGUAUUGUCCUUGAGAAGUGCUUCAUCUGUGAUGUUUUAAAUAUUUCCUUUCCUUUUUCUCGAGCAAACAUGGACACUAGCAUUUAGUUGUCCUCUUGUCUUUGCACAACAGGAUCAUCCUCCUCUGAAGAAUAAUAUGGAGUACGUGAAGUGACUAGUUCCGAUUAUGCCAGGAUGAAGAAGCCCUGUCUAUCUUCUCAUUAGAAGGAGCAAUUGAAGGAUCGUUACAUUACCCCCCACAAGACCAAACUAACUGCAGCCCAGAAGGACUGACAAAUCUCCAUUUUCUUCCUGUGUUGCGCGAGCACAAUGUUGUUCUAGGAUUCUUUUCGGUGAGUUCCAUUUUUCUAAAAGUGUGCUCUACAUUUACCAUGUAGGUGCCUGUUUAAACUGUUAAUUCAUAGUAAACUUUGCUUUAUACUAAUGACUUUUUUGUAUUUGUGCAAACAGGGGUGCUCAGCUUGAUUUCAAUGGGAACUACACAAAAUGUUCAUGAAUACAUCAAAUCAUUCAUUUCCACCACAACAAAGGAGGUGCCGAGCGAAUUUGGUUGAUUUUGGUGGAACUGCACAAGAAGAACAACUAGUUUAUUUAGCAUGAGGUGCCAUGUCAAUGUCCGAACUGAUGGCAAACCAUGCCCAUUCCACAAUCGUAGGCAUUUGAUAUUUUGGAAUGGGUCAACCUUGUCAAAUUUUGCUCAUUGAUUUUAGCAAGAAGACAUGCGUUUGAUAUUUUCGAAUGGGACGCCCUUUGCUAUCAGCAGUGUCGAUCCAUUUUUUCUUUAUUCUUUAGUUGUGAAGUAAAUAUUGGCUCUGACAUGUGAAUCGCUGAGAUGCAUAAUCAUCGAUUGUGUUGAAUGUUCUCUAUGAAUUGCCAGGCUUGUGUGUUUGAUUGCAAUGUACAGGAACGCUAAAAAGCUACUCAAACUCUUUGUACUCCUUCUGUUCCUUUUUACUUCGCACAUUGUGAAAGUGCAUACUUUUUUCUAUAAUAUUGGUCAAAGUAGAGAUACUUUGACUACAGACAAAACUUGUAUGCAGACUACAAAGGACCGGAGGGAGAACAUGUGAAACUGCUGCAAAUGAGGUGAUCACCCUGGGAAUAAUGCUAGUAUGUAUUGUUUUGCAUGUUCAUCCAAUGCCAGUGAUACAAGAAUUCGAACUAAUUGAAAUAAAUUCAUUCAUACACGGUCGGAUUUCAUAUAAAUAUGCCGGAUUUCAUUACAUUUCAUACAUUCUUCAAAUAAAAGGGGUGCGUUGGAUGUAUAAUUAAUUAACCGAAGCUACCCAACUGUGUCCGGUAGCAUACAACUAAAGUGCUCAAGUUCUCUAGCAAAUGACUGUAUCUCAUGAGCUUGCUGAACCACGGAGCGGUCUUCAAUCAUCCUGUAAUCAUAGAAUUGCUCCAUGAUGUACAGCUCAGUGCCAGCAACCGAAGGGUAGCAGCGGUGGCCUUACUUGGACCCGAGCGGCGGUGACCUAUCAUGUUCUACUCUUCCUCGUUUUCUGUGUGGCGCGGCCUCGUUGGUAGCGGGGCGGGGCCUCGGCGGAGCCGGUGAUGUCCUCUGUCUCGUUGCCGGCGGGCGGCGCCUCGACGGAGCGGGGGAAAUUCUCCCCCUCGUUGCUGGCAGGGUGGGACCUCGGCAGAGCCGGCGGUGUCCUCUGCCUUGUUGUUGGCGCCGCGGAGCCUCGACGGAGCCAGCGGUGUCCUCUGCCUCAUUAUUGGCGCCACAGGGCCACGACGGAGCAGGGCCUUGUUGACGCCAGCGGAGCGGGGACUCGUCGGAGCCGGCAUUGUCCUCUGCCUCGUCCUCGGUCUCGCCAAACAGCGCCUCGCACGCUUCAUCGCCCUCUUUAUAGGCUGCCGCAGCCUCCGGCACCCACAUGUGGUACCGCCAGCGCUCGAGGCGACCCUCGCGGGCAGAGCGGUACGAGUCGAGCAGCGCCUCCUGCUCCGCCCGCUCCAUGGCGAUCUGCUCCUCCGCCUGCAGGUGCUCCUGGAGGAGAUGGCGGUUGUAGGUGGUGUCGGCCAGCGCCUCCCGAAACUGCUCCUCACGCUUCUGCCUCACCGUGUCCAUAUAUUGGGCACGGUUCUCGCCGAUGGUCAUGGUGCAAUUGGGACGUCAUCGACUAUCAUGUACUCCAUUGGGACGUCCUCGUCCUCCGGCUGCCUGUCGGCUAGCCAGUCGGCAGCAAUGGCUGCCAUCUCCUUGUGGUCUGUCGUCCACCCGCCCCGAAGAGCGCUGGAGCGCGAGGAAGCCAUGGUGGGCAGUAGUGGUGUGGACAGGAGAAAGGGAACGGAUGCAGAUGACUGCGGUUAUGGCAGGCGCAUCAGUUUAUAUAGCAAUGGUGGGCGACGGAGGGAUGGACGUGUGGCGCCGGAUUAGCCGCAUCGGCAACCGCAUAUCAUUAAUGUGGGCGGCAGAAGGACGGACGGACGGCACUUGUGUCGUUUGAAGGCGGAACAAUCGCCUGUACCGAGAAGCGGGGCGGGUGGCGCUGACCAUUUUGGGCGGAAAACGCGCGCAUGUGAGGGAGGCAGUCUGGGUGGGCUUGGGCAGUCAGACUCAUGCUUGGCAGCGGGUCGGUCCAAGGGCCAGACAUGCUGGCUUGCCAGCUAGCUUGCCGAGCUGAGCGACGACAAUCAGACGAUGGACGUAGCUUUCGACCAGGAGCUGGCGCCACUGUCCAAGCCGGUUCAUGCCGUGUUCACCAUAGAGCAGGUGCCGCCGCACUUCGACGCCCUAAUGGCGGAAGAGCUACCAGCGUAGGAGGACCUGUGCUGCAACCUCUGUCUCCUCAACGAGCACCUGUGAACAAGCGAAUGACAAUGCUGUCGUGGACAUGUGGCCCUAGGAUCCUAGCUUCCCGAAUGAGCAGCGGGCGCUGUAUCAGACCAUCUGUAGGGCCCGCGAGGCCCUCUCUGUCGUCCUUCGAGUUGCUGCGCUCGUCAUGGCGUCGUCGUCUCGCGUUGUCAACAUGGUCAACGGACAUGAGGAUGAGGAGAUGACUUUACUUGGAGAGGAUGACAGUGGGGACCCACCAGGGCCACAACCGCACGUAUGCAAGUACCUCCUUAUUAGUAUAUAAAACUAUAAUUUUUUUGCUUCCUCCUGGUUUCCUGACAUCACGGUCCCACACCAUUGUCAACCUAUGUAGUCAAUAAACGAGAGAAUUGCACAAGAAGCAGCCGACAGCUGGGACCAAGCAGCUCGAGCAGUAUUUGUGUUUUUGAGGUGUUAGCACUGCAGAGUUUUUCUUCAGCGAUGUUUAGCUCAGAUAUUAAUUUUUCUCCUAUGAACAACAAUGAAAACAUCGCUGCAGGUAUUAACUGGGCGGGCUGUGGCCCGUCUAGCCCAGGCGAGAUAUCCAACCCAGAUAUUAUUUUUUUUCAAGCUGAAAAUGGCUAGCCCGGCUAUACUUUUUUUAGGAAUACCCAGGCAAGCUCAAGUUGUUACUCUCCGCCCCGCUGGGCUGCAAAUCUUUCCUAGGAGGGAUGCAUUAGGCUUAACAAGAAAAUAGGCUUUAGGAAAUAAUAAAUGGGAUGUAAUUAUAAAAAUUGAUCAGUAACUAUAAAAAAUGCACCAAACAUGUAAUUACUUUAUAAAAUAUAAUUUUUGGAUAUUGAAAAAUUUAAUUUCAUUAAUUGUUGCAAGCGCAAUGUUUCGUUGGAUUUUUACAUAAUACAAAUUUAUAUUAAAAUUUUAUUUAAUCUGACUAGAAAUUUCGGGAUAAAAAUAUUUAGGAUCCCAUCAAAAUGUGGGAAAUUUUAUUGAAUUCCAUUUUGAACGGUUGGUUGAAGUGGGCUGUACUUUUAACAAACUAUAAAUGGGCUGUAGUAAAUUCCAUUAAAAUUCAAAAAUUGGCUGCACAUUCUUACAAAUCUCAAAUGGGCUAUAAGUUCUCUGCCACACAGUUGUGGCCUUUCUAAGUUGACGCGUCCCCUAAAAAAAAGAGUUGACGCGUAUGCAAGGCUUUGUCAACUUAUAGUCAACACACGGUUCUAACAGCAGUGGCCGUUGGAUGUCCAUCCAACAGAUGUCGUGCUUCUUCUUCAAUCUCGGAUAUUCUAGCUUCACCCGCCCAAAAAAUGAUUCCUCCCCCUGACAUCUGGGGUGCACCAUUUCGGAAGUUGACCUAUGGGCCUACUAAGUUAACCCGUACCAAGGGCUUUUUCAACUUAGUCAAUAUAAAUGAUUCUAGCUGCAGUGAUCGUACGAUGUCCAUCCAACGGUCGUCGUGCUUCUUCAACCUCUGGUCUUCUUGCUCUAGCCGUCCAAAGUAGCACCAGUCGUGCCACCUGCUCCUACCUCCCGUGGCCGGCUGUGCUGCCGCGGAGGCCUCACCGCCCCUACUACUCCCACCGCUGGCAAGGCCAUCCCUCCACUCACCCACACCCCCUGUUAUUCUGCGUCAAUGGAAGCCUCACACCACAGCCGAACCUGUGAACCCUCGUACUCCUCUCCGCGCGGGCUUCCACUAUCGCGUCUUCGUCGGCUCUGCGUCGUCCCCUUCCAAGGCCUCGUCGUUGUCCACCGCCCUGGAGCUCUCGGCGCGGCAUGGUCAACAUGGUCAAGGAACGACUUCCGUCGGAAGAGUACUGUACGUGGAGAGGCUGACAGCUGGGUCCACGGCGGCCACAAGGAAGUGCCUCCUUAUUAUGCGCAAAAUAAUUAUUCCUCCACCUGACAGCAGGGACCCACCGGAUGGGCCACCGUAUUUGGCAGAAAAAAUGUUCCCCCCUGACUGUUGGGACCCACCAGCUACAUCUUCGCACGUAAGGAAGUGCCUUAUUACGCACAAAAAAAUGAAUACUCCCCCUGCUAGCUGAGACCCAGUAUAGUGGGAGGCUGACUUGUGGGCCUACUAAGUAAACGGGGACGGAGGGCUUUGUCAACUUAAUCAAUAUGCAUGGCUCUAGCUGCAGUGACCGUACGAUGUCCAUCCAACGGCUGUAGUGCUUAUUCAACCUCUGGUCUUCUUGCUCUAGCCGCCCAAACCAGCGCCGGUCGUGCCUCUGCUUCCUGUGGCCGGCUGCGAUGCUGCGGAGGCCUCACCGCACCCUACUACUCCCACCGCUGGCGAGGCCAUCCCUCUACUCACCCACACCCCCUGUUAUUCUGCAGCGACGACAGUCACACACCGCAGCGACCCAGUGAACCCUCAUACUCCUCUACGCAUGGGCAUCCACUACCACUUCUUCCCUGGCUCCACGUCGUCCCCUUCCUAGGCCUCCCCGUCAUCCACCGCCCUGGUGCUCUCGACGUGGCGUGGUCAAGAAACGGCUUCCAUCGGAUGUGGACUGUACAUGAAGAGGCUGACAGCUGGGUCCACGGCCGCAGCAAGGAAAUGCCUCCUUAUUACGCGGAAAAUAAUUAUUCCUGCACCUGACAGCGGGGACCCACUUGACGGGCCACCGUAUUUCGCGAAAAAAAUGAUCCCCCUGACUGCUGUCACCCACCAACUAUAUCUUCACACGCAAGGAAGUGCCUGACAGUCGGGACCCACCUGGUCGAAGCAUACGUAGCGUUGUCAUUCUGGUCGCGAACAUGUACACACAUACUGGUCCAUGUAGAGGCACGCACGUGUCGUGGUAGAGGCGCGCACGUAGCAUGUACAUGUACGUACAUGGUCCAGUGUGCAAGGAAGAAAAUACGGCCACAUACGUACAUACAGGCAGGGUCUCGAACGCCUACUCACGCAUACAUACGGCCAGGGCCCGUGUACAUGGCUGGGUUGGAAUGGAGAAACUGCGUCAUCGUCAUGUUCAUGGGGAGCUAACCGGCUGGGUCGGAACAGAAUGCGUCGUCGUGUUCAUCGGUUGGGCUUGGACGGAACAGCCGAUGGAAACGAGGCAUGGCGUACCGCAGAACGGAGGAAACGGCCUUGUGUUCGACCGGCCACGUUCAAAACGGGAUCUUGUUCAUCGAGACGGGUCUGGUGUACCGCAAAAUGGAGGAAAUGGACCUCCUACGGUCGAAACGGGGGUCCUGUUCAUCGGGAGGGGUGUGGCGUACCACAAAACGGAGGAAACAAACUUGUGUUGGAGUGCUACGGUCGAAACAGGGGUCCUGUUCAUUGGGAGGGGUGUGGCGUACCGCAAAACGGGACACCACAGGAUACUGUUCAUCUCCACCGUCGACCCCCUCUAGCCUCCACGGGCUACUGUUCAUCCACCAUCGACCUCCUCCAGCCUCCACCUGCGACUGUUCAUCCACGGGCUCCUAUUCAUCCAGCCUCCACCGCGCGCUACUCCACCGGCUACUGUUCAACCAGCCCUCUUCACGGGCUCCUGUUCAACCACCCCUCCAUGGGCUACUGUUCAUCCAGCCCUCCACCGUCUACUGUUCAUCCAGCCCUCCAUGGGAUGGUCAUGUUCAUCCAGCCCUCCACGGGGUCCUAUUCAUCCAGCCCCAACCGGCUCGAUCGAUCGGGGUCAUGUUCAUCUAGAGGCAACACCAAGGGGUCCUGUUCAUCCACCCCCACCGGGAACUUUUCAUCCACCCCCCCCAGCAACGCUCACUGUUCAUCCAAAGGCAGCAUCAAUCGGCUACAGUUAGCAGCAAUAGCGAAGGAAUCGCUUGAUCAGGUUCAGUUAAUAGCCAUCGAUUGAUCGCUCGGGUUCAGUAACGCGUAGCCUGCAGUGCAAUCGCUUGGGCUCAGUAGGCGAACGCCUUGCUCGGGUUCAGUUAGAGCCCAACGCCUCGCACCCACGCGUGUGCGUCUAUGAGAGAAACACGCAAACGUCUGUGCAUCGCUCGGCCCCGACCACCCACCGUAACCGGGAACACCCCGAUAUUUUCCUCGCCCUCGCUUCUACCACGGUUUUUCCGUCAUGGACGGCCCAAGGAAUGUCAUGCAGCUGCGUCUCCGGCCCGCCCAGGACGAAAAGCCCAGUUUCUGUCAUGAAUUUUUGUCAUAGAAGUAGGAGCCCACAACAUCUAUGAUGAUACCGGGUUUUGUCACAAUUAUCGUCAUAGAAGUGUCAUAAGUACGACAUAAUUUUUUUCAUUCGGCCCAAAAUGUCACGGAUGUGUCUUUUUCUUGUGGUGUAAACAUCGGUAUUCGGCUUUCCCAUUUAAUGUCGCGCCCAUCGGCUUCCACGCCUUGCUGACUUCAGCUUCCACGCAGCGAGUGAAUACGAGAGGUCGGGGUAUUUUUGCACAUACCACCCUGACCAUACAAGAGAGGUGCCUACUUAAAGAGAAUAGAUCUUAGAUCCAUUCCACACCCUGCGAAAAAAAAUCCUCAAAGCUCGCUAGGAGGAACCACUCCAACAUGGCUAGCACUCCCAGCUCUUCCUCUCAUCCCCACGGCUCCGAAAAGGUGAUUGGGAGAGAUGUUCCGUAUCUCACGGUCAGCUAACGAAGCUGCAAAAACAGGGCUUUCUUCCCCCCGCGGAUCUAGUCCCUAUCCGAGCAGGAUUGACGUCCUUCAAUGGCGGAGUUCAGGUGGAGAAUUUUCCCAAUCCGUCCAGGGGGAACGAGUAUGCUUCAUUCCCUUCUUGCUAAGAGGUGUCAGAUUCCAAUCCACCCCUUCCUCCGAGGACUUCUGGAGUAUUAUGGCCUCCAACUGCACAUUUUCACUCCCGCCUCCAUCCUGCACAUCGCGGGUUACAUUGCUCUAUGUGACCUAUUCCUGGGCUAUGAGGCCCAUUUUGGAUUAUGAAGAAAACUGUUCUGCCUCAUCCCUCAUAAUCAGGGGGGAUCAAUAUUCAAAGUGGGAGGAGCCGAGGUAUGGCGCAUCGCCGGGACCAGAUACAUGUCCGGCACGCCGAAGAAGGCUUCUGAAGAGUGGCCUUCCAAAUGGUUCUAUAUUGAUGACAUCGCUCUUCCUGACCCAGUUUGAAUGGGUCUCACCGAAUUUUCAAGUGCUCCAUUCAAGAAACGCCAUGCCUGGCGCCCUCGGAGCCUCGAGGAGGAGGAUAGCGUGGAAGUCAGUCAGUUGAUGGGCAAGAUUAAGACGCUCACCUAGUCCGGAUUAUCAAUAAAUCGAGGUAAUGGCGAUCUCCAUAGUGCGGGGGGUCCAACCACUCCAAUACAAAGGGCUUCCCAUGUGGCACUAUAAUGGGGAAGAUAACGCCUCAGGCUGCGGUCGGAAAGGUCCGAAACCCCCGCCACUUUGGCCAAAAUAUUGGCCAAAUUGUACAAAGGGGAGAAGGAGGAGUUCACUCAUCUCCAAUGUCGAGAUGGAUUUUCCAUGUAUAAUCCUCCUAGCCGGGUGAGCUCCAAUCCCACCAUUUUACUCCUGUCCCUGAAUCAUUUUUGAUGGAUAGUAACCUAUCCACUCGCAACAGGAAUGGCGGAAGGCUACCGAGGGGAUCCAUAGCCGCGCCCCCCAGCCAGAGGGUCACAACCGGAACCUUGACCCCGGAUUUGAAGAAGAUCCGGAUAUAUCUGUGGAGCUCGAGAAUGGAGUAUUCUACCAAACGAGCUACGAUGGUACAGAAGUACCUAUCAUUGCCGAUUAUCCCGGACUCCACCAUGCUUCGCAUGUAAGUAACAUAAGAGACACCUUCUUCGAAAGAGUUUCCUUAUUAUGCCUCACCCACCGCACUAUUUCGUGUUCCAAAGGGGAGGCGCUCGACGUCACAAUGUGUACCAGAAGCAUCUCCAAGGAGAGCGGCGCCCAUGCUGAGCACGUCUUCAAAGAGAAAGGCAAACGACAAUACGGCAAAACCUUCAUCAAAGAGGUAAGGCUUUCUUUUUGAAAAUACAUCUCCUAAUCACCACAUCAAAUUGUGAUGCCAUUCGCAGCAUUCUAUCAGGAAAAGUGUCCGCCGACUAUGUCCGGGGAUCCUACCGGUCAUGCCUCCACUAGUCAGGUUCGAGAGCCUGCCAUAAGGACGGGGGCUGAUAUGGGAGUGGCGCCGAACUGUCCUUCCGCAGAGGAUUCUGACGAUAUGUCCAUCACGAACUCUGAAGUGGAGAGCGCCAUGAAUCAUCAUCGUCGGAGGGCAGCUCUCCGUGACCCUGGCUUUUCAAAGGAGGCAUUCGAUGCUUUUAGCUCGGCCGUUGCGUAUAUCCGAGCUGCUCGGGAUGGGCUUGCCAGAGGCACGGACCAGCAUCUAAAAGAUAUGCGGGUAAGUGUAGAUUUAAUAAUCAUACACCAGUAGGCCCCGAGACUUAAAGCAGGUGAUACAACUGAUUUAAGGAUCAUUGUGUAAUCAGGAACUUAUGGAGAAGAAUAGCCUGAUGUCUCAAGAGCUGGAAAAAUGUCAGACUCAACUAACUGCGGCUGCCCUGAAUUGGAAAAAUCCAAGGAGGCACCACCUGGUAAUGUUUCUCCCUAGCGGAAAGAAGUAUAAUCAUACACCAGUUAUAUUAACACUGCUGUGUUUCUGCUGACAGAAUCAGUAGAGCAACUGAGAGAGAAACUGAAGGAUGCCCAGGCUGGUGAACAAGAGGCCAAAAGGCAACAUGCGAAAGGCGAAUGUGUUCUGAUGCGGGUCUGGGAUGAAAGGAACAAGCUGCAGGAUUCCCAUACCCAACUGGGAGAAGAACUAAAAGAUUAGCGCACCAGGCUUUGACCUCAUCGGCUAUAAAAUUAGAGCCGUUGUUGGUGAUGAUGUUGUGUGGGACACCGUAAUGAUGCACAACACCAGAUAGAGAGUCUAUCAAUGUUCUAGUUUUAGCCGUUUUAACUGGUUUGGCCUCUAUCCACUUAGUGAACUUAUCUACCAUGACUAGCAGAUAUUUUUUCUUAUGGCUGCCUCCUUUAAGGGGUCCAACCAUGUCAAGCCCCCAGACCGCGAAAGGCCACGUGAUGGGGAUUGUUUGUAGAGCAGUGAAUGGCAUAUGGCUUUGGUUGGCAAAAAGUUGGCAUCCGACGCAAUGUUGGACAUGGUCAUGUGCAUCUGCUCGGGCCGUCGGCCAGUAGAAACCUGUACGGAAGGCCUUGCUUACAAGGGCCCGAGCUGCGGCGUGGUGACCACCGAGACCGGCAUGAAUGCCAGCCAAAAGCUGCCUCCCCUCUUCCUCGGAGAUACAUCUUUGAAGUACUCUGGUAGCGCUUUUCUUGUAGAGUUCUCCUUCGUGGACCUUUAGGCUUUCGAACGCCGAACAAUGCAGCGAGCCUCAUUCUGAUCCCGAGGGAGCUCUCGCCUAUUGAGGUAGGCCAAGAAGGGUUCGGUCCAUGGGGUAAUGACUGCCAUGAUAAGAUGGGCCAACGGUAUUAUUUCGGUGGCUGGGCCUCUGAUGAUAUCAGUAUGUUCGGCAUCUGGGGUUAUGGUCGGGUCCGGACUGACGUUGCCGCUCUCCCCUUGCCACACCACGGAUGGCUUGAAAAGCCUUUCCAAAAAGAUGUUAGGUGGGAUGGGGUCACGCUUGGCGCCGAUGCGAACAAGGACAUCCGCCGCUUGAUUACUCUCUCGAGCCACAUGGUGAAACUCGAGCACCUCGAACCGAGCCAACAUUUUGAGAACAGCGUUACGGUAAGCCCCCAUCUUCGGAUCCUUGGCAUCGAAAUCUCCAUUUAUUUGAGAUAUCACAAGGUUCGAGUCCCCGCGCACUUCCAGGCAUUGUAUGCCCAUGGAGACAGCCAUCCGAAGACCAUGCAAUAAGGCCUCGUAUACGGCUGCAUUGUUGGAGUCUGUGUAUAAUAUUUGGAGUACGUGCAUAACUGUAUCUCCAGUGGGGGAUGUUAAGACAACGCCCGCCACUAAGCCUGCCAGCAUUUUGGAACCAUCGAAGUGCAUGACCCAGUUGGAAUAUGUGUCGUACUCUUUAGGGAGUUCAGCUUCUGUCCAUUCGGCGACGAAGUCUGCCAGUACUUGGGACUUGAUGGCCCGACGUGGCUUAUAUGUUAUAUCUAAUGGGAGGAGCUCAAUGGCCCACUUGGCAAUCCGGCCCGUGGUGUCACGAUUGUUUAUUAUGUCGUUCAGUGGAACUUCGAAAGCCACCGUGAUCGAGCACUCUUGGAAAUAGUGUCAAAGCUUCCGGGAUGCCAUGAAGACCGCGUAUGCUAUCUUUUGAUAAUGAGGGUAUCGGGAUUUGCAUGGAGUUAGGACAGUGGAUACGUAGUAUACCGGCUUCUGGAGCGGGAAUUUGUGUCCGUCCUCCUCUCAAUCGACGACGAGUACUGCGCUCACCACCUGGUUUGUUGCAGAUAUGUAUAAUAACAUUGGUUUGCUGACGCUUGGCGCGGCUAGGAUUGGGUUGCUUGCUAAAAGAGCCUAUAUUUCUUCCAAUCCGGCCGUUGCUGCAUCUGUCCACUCGAAGUGAUAGGUGCAUCGGAGAAGUCGAUAAAGUGACAAUGCUUUUUCUCCUAGUCUGGAGAUAAAGCGGCUUAAAGCUGCCAUGCGUCUAGCUAGUUUUUCGACCUGUUUAAGGUCUGUUCGUGUAGCCAAUUGUGAUAAAGCUCAGAUUUUGGCUGGAUUUGCCUCGAUUCCUCUAUUGGAAAUAAUGAAGCCCAGUAGUUUUCCAGAGGGGACGCUGAAAACACAUUUUUCUGGAUUGAGCUUAAUGUCAUAUGUCCGGAGAUUGUUGAAUGUGAGACGUAAGUCAUCUAUUAAUGACUCGACGCACUUAGUCUUGAUGAUGACAUCGUACACAUAUGCUUCAACUGUCUUCCCGAUUUGUUUUCCAGGCAUGUUUGAAUCAUGCGUUGGUAGGUCGCGCCGACGUUUUUGAGCCCAAAGGGCAUAGUGUUGAAGCAGAAAGGCCCACAUGGGGUAAUAAAUGCCGUUGCGGCUUGAUCGGAUUCCUUCAUUUUAAUUUGAUGGUAUCCGGAAUACACGUCGAGGAAACACAGUGAGUGGUGUCCUGCAGUGGCCACUACAAAAAAAUACACUUCCGUGAUGAUACGUGUUUGUCACAGUAGGUCACUUUUUUGUCAUGCAUGUACAUCCAUGACAAAUUUAUGACAGAAUCAAGAUAGUCAUACAUGUGCUGUCGUAGAAGUUUUCCAUGACAUUACCAAAAUUAUCAUCACGGAAGUGUCCACUUCCAUGACAAUAAAUCACGCGUCACAGAAGUGCUUUCAUCAAGGGUGACCGACAUGUGGCAUCCACCGUAACGGAACGCCGUUAAGCUAUCGGGUCGGGUUUUGGAUCCGAUAACCCGUUAACAGCCACGACCAAUGGGGAUUUUCCACGUGUAAAAUCAUCAUUGGCUGGAGGAGACACGUGUCAACUCAUCCAAUGGGCGAGACGCGCCUAUGAUAUGUUGACACAUGGACCGGCCCAUCAUGUUUAAAUGGGCCGGCCCAACUGAAGGCCCACAAGAUUUUGCGAACCAUAAUGGGCCGGCCCAGCUAAAGGCCCACGAGAUUUUGCGGACCAUAAUGGGCUGGCCCAGCUAAAGGCCCACAAGAUUUUGCGGGCCAUAAUGGGCCGGCCCAGGUAAAGGCCCAUAAGAUUUUUGUGUGCCGUAAUGGGUCGGCCCAGGUAAAGGCCCACAAGAUUCUUGCGGAUCAUAAUGGGCCAGCCCAGCUAAAGGCCCACGAGAUUUCGCCAACAUUAAUGGGCCGGCCCAGCUGUAGGCCCACAAGAUUUUGAGUACCCUUUAACGGCCCGGUUUGCAUCCGGCCUGCUCGCAGCCGAUAUCUGAUUGGGCCAAACAAGGACCGAGACAAUUUUUCGGCCUGUUAAAAGCCCGUGAUUUGAUUCGCACAAUCAUGGGCCGGGGUUCAUUUUGGGAUGCUGUCGGCCCGUGAGCUGAUCGGCACAUUUCAGGCCCAACCUACAUCAUGAUUGCAUGACGGCCCGAUUAUGUACCAUAAUUUUAUGUUUUGGCCGGUUUACUGCGAAGACAGGAUAUAUAUAUACAGUAAAAUAACUGCAGCAUCAUGAAUAAGAAAAAACCUAGACUAUACAAUAAAGAAAUUACGACAUAUUACAUCCACUGGGCAUCAAAGUUCGCCACUAUGAUAAUAAGGCACAAGCAGACAGCAGAUUACAUACACUGGGCAUCAAAGAUCGCCACCAGUGCAAAUAAACAUGCCGACAAAAUAAUAUACAAAGCCGACAGCACUUCAAUAGAGUUCAAGAAAGGUUAGCCCUACUGGGGAGCUGCAGGGCAAGCAGCUGAGCAAGAUGAUGAGAUUGCGCUUGUUCAACACUUGUAUCUUCCUCACUCUGAAAGAUAAACAAGCAGACAAAUGACAGGUUUUGCACAUAAAAGUAUUAGUGCUGACAAUUCGUCACAUUUCUUACUGACGAAUAAAGUGACACAGUUUAAAUUUGCAUUAACACAAUAUGGUAUUGUUCAGGUCAAGACAUGGCAGGAAAUGACAUUGUGAAGGAGUUGGCAGCUUCACGACACCACUGGAUUAUAGAUCAAGAACUCAUAAGUAUCAAUGGUUAGUGUGCUGUCAAUUUAUACCAUUUCAGAUUGGCAAACAAAGAGACAGUUUAAAUAAUAGUAGAAUGAUAUGAAAUUGUUCAUACUUAAUACAUUACCGAAUAUGACAUUGUGUUGUAGUGGGUAGGUUCACCACACCACUGGAUUACAGAUGAAGAACAGAAGCAUACAUGAAGUGCAAAAGAAGAUCACUUGCUCUGUAUAGUUUAAUUUACAUGGUAUGAAGAAGGAACUUGGUUGUACAACUGAAAACUUAAAUUGAGAAAGGACGAACUUUUGUUUAUGAACUACAUAUAAUAAACUUUAAACAAGCAAUUUGAUGCAAACACCAAAAAUAAACAGCUGUUGCAGUCAUGCCUAACCAAAUAUAUACAACAAAGUUUGAAGGCUUGAGAUGGACAAACUUACAUUAUUGGUGAAGACAGGCUCUAUAAAGGCCUUGUCCAUGCUGAUGGGGGGGAGCAAUUCAAGAAGUUUACCACAGAAUCUUCUUCAAAAGCAUUGCCUUUAUUCUACAUUUUGUUAAGAGUAAAUAUAGAUGUGAUAAUAUACGAAAAAAUGGAGAAUAUUUAAGAUAAGAUGAAGAGUGAUGCUACAUAACCAAGUAGCUAUAAAUGUAAGUGCAGCGAUACAGGCAAAAAGUACAGCCAAGAGCAAUGCACAGCUAAGCUUCUUCAGUACCAACCUUAUGGUAAGAGUAAAUAUAGAUCUGAUGUGUAGAAAAUGGAGGGCAAAGGAAAAUAAGCUGUAGAGUGAUGGUACAUGAACAACUACCUGUCAUUAUAAGUACACUGAUAAAGGACAGCAUGUACUUACAAGAGCAAUGCAGAGCUAAAAAACAUUGGCAUUGGAUAUAUUCUACACUAAUGUAACCAUUCAUACAGAUCAGAUAAUUUGGAGAGAACAAUUGAUAAGCAAGCUAUCAUGCAUACUGCUGUCACAUAAUGAACCAGGUAUGUAUGCAAGUACAGUGAUAUAGGACAACAAGUACUAACAAGAGCAAAGCAGCGGGCAGCAUAUUUGCGAUAUCCUGUCGUUCUUGUCAAACCGGAGUUCUUCUUCGAGCAGAUUUCCUGCAAAAAAGCUCCGUAAGGCACAUGCGGAAAAGUAGAAGUUCAAAUUUUCAUGUGAUUUCAUAGACAGUACCUCAUCCUGGGAACAAGACCAGUGCAUAACAAGGUUUUUCCAUUCAAUGUCUUCUAAAUUUAGCACAGGAGACUUCACCAGAAAUUCGUUUAUAGACUUGCCAUCAAAGUGUGAUUUCCUCAGGUAACACCGAUACUGCUGCAAUGCUUCCUUGAAAAGCACAAGCAAGCUUUGCUCAUCAUGACUAUCCAGAUUGACCCUCGCCUAGUUACAACAAUGUAAUGUAAAUCACUCAUGUGUUCAAUCAGCAGAAAACAGGAAAAUAAUAACCAUGAAUAAUAGCACUUACACAUAAGUUGGGCAGGAAGAUGUGAAAAUGGUGUUUGUCUUCACAAUAAUCUUCCCAUGAUGGGAUAUGCACGUAGUCCCUAACAACAUUGAAAGCAUUGUCUUUUAAACUGGGAAUAAAUGGAAUGGAGUUCCAAUCUGCAGGAAUUGGCCGUCUCUGCAGUUGGGAUAGGUCUUUGACCGGUGGACUUGCUGUACUUUUUGCUGGAGUGGAUUUUUCUAUGGUACAGCUGGUGCUAUGGCAAAUGAAAUCGGUAUACCUUUUGCUGGAGUGCAGGUCCUGUGUGGUGGGGCUAGUGGUGUGGCCAGUGAAGUAUGGGUACAGUCUGCUGGAGUCGGUCCUACGUUUUGUGUCACUGGUUGUACAACCAAUAUAAGUGGGGUGUUGUCUGAUUUCUCCGGCACCACCACGUUUUUCAAGGACUUUGCUAGUGCUCCUUCAGGUUCGGCAAUCACCCUCUUCCUUUUUGAUGUCUGAUGCACCAGAACAACAUUUGAGUGGAAAAACAUGGUACGAUGACAGAUGGAAUAUGUAUUGAUAAUGGAUGGGCAUGGCAUCUCGACAUAUAUGAUGAGUAAACUAAGCAGAUGGCGGUGCAACAAAGUAGAAGAAAUGCAAGACAACAUAUGCAAGAUACGCGCAAUCAAUAAAACCUUGCCAAAUUAGAACAGGCACUUUGAUGGGUGAAUAGGACAGGCCAUCUGCCUUUGACUCCUCGAGGUUAGAAUAGUCAUUAGGAUGAUAUUCUGAACAAGAAUCAACAGGUGGGGAGCGUACGAGUUUCAUUGCUUCCAGGAUGGCAGUCAAUGCCUUGGUGCCAAUUUUGUAAGUCAUUCCAGUGUUCCACAAUAUUCUUCUGAUGCGCAGAUUUUGAUAUUCACUGUAAUUGCGUAUGAUAUCUGAGAACCAUGAAAACAUAAAUAGUUGUGAGAUUAUCUUUGUAAUGCAGAUGAUAUUCUAAUAUAGGGGCGCCCCUAUAAACACUUGUGUGCUAUCACUGGAUUCUGAUGAGAGAGCUCAUGUGUGCUGUAAUAUGGUGCGUGCAUUUAUAUAAUCUGGCACAAGUACACAAAAAAAUAGGCUCCAGAAGUAAGGAUAGCUGGCAGAUGAUAGGUUCAUAAUAUACUGUAUAGAGAGUUUAUUGCCAAACCAUGAUAACAAGAGCACACAGCAACUAGGCAGAUCAUAGUGUACAUAACAGGGGUACACCAUAACCAGGAUAUAUAAAUCGGGAACGUGGAACUGGCUGGAAAUUACGGUGUUGUAUUGCUGCUAGUAAUUGAAAGCCUAUCGAUCACGUACAGGCCAACUCUAUCAGCUAUUAGACUGCAGAUGUCCCUGCUCCCCUUCCUGACAAGGAACAUACUGUGCUUCCCAUACAGAACACCGCACGGGCCGCCGGUCGAAUCACCGGCCCCACCGCCUGUGUUCCUCCGCCACCCCCACCCCCACCCCCGCCCCCACCCGCGUCGAGUUUUCUUUGUUCGAUGAGGCCCCACCACCGCCCCCCAUAACCACCAUCCCCACCCGAGCCCCUUCGAUCGCACCGGCGAACUCUGGCGAGCUCUGAAAAAUUGACUGACCCAAUUUUGAAAUUUAGUCUACUGUGAUUUAACUAGUGUGGAAUAUAAAAGGGGAAAACCAUGAGCAUUGCAAGUAUGGUGUUGAGCGUGCCAUGGCGGAUCUGAAGGUGCAAACCGGACAAAGGCAACUUCGCAACCAAGACAAGAAAUCGGAGUAAAGCAGUGGCGAUCUAUUUUCUUGAUGCGAUAAAUAAGUUGAGCAGAUAUGAAAGAGUACCGCCUCUGGUGCGGCGUCGUGUACGCAUCUGCUGAGAAUUUGACGGUGCUGCGGCAGCGAUGGCUAUCGACACCGUGGAAGCAGAUCUAGGAGGGUAGACGGUGGCGGCAGGGCGCGGUGGACGAGACGGUCGUAGGAGCGGCGCCGGCAAGGCGGACGACGGCGGGGAUGAAGCGAGAGGACGGGAUGCAAGGAUUCCAGUCCGAAGCCGUGGAUGAGAGAAGUCGAUCUCUUGUAAUGGACGGCGGCAUAGGGGUAUCAGCUCCGGCAUGGUGGAGGAGGACGGCGGUGGAUGGGGUGGCGGACGGCGGCGGACGGAGGAGGGUGGGGUGGAGAGGGUGUUUUGGCGCCCACAGAGUACGAAUGGGGAAAAGGGAGGUAGAGAGGAAGGGGGGAACCAUGUAUUCAGGGCGCGCUUGUCUCAAAUGCGAGGAAAUUUACAAACUUAGCCCCCGUUUCAAAUUUCUACUACAUCACAGCAACACUAGUCAGUUGGGGAUAGGACAGUAAUCUCGCAUACACUGAAUAUUUGCCGACGAGAGUUUGUUUUUGGCGUCCGCCGUGUUCGAAUAUGAAUCGGGGAGGGAGUCGAUUUCGGCCGAGGACACACUCUGUUUUGGCGCCCACCGUGUAUGAAUCUGGGUGAGAGGCGGUUACGUCACAUUUGGGUGAAAUUACAAACCUACCCCUAUCGAAACCUAUAGAAAUCCAGCAUAUAGGCUUUGCGUGGCAGGGAUAGGCAGUAGUGAUUUCCAUCUCGCAGAUUUUGGUUUCGGGCGAUUACUGCGACUUUCCCCACUUCGUUCAAAUUUUGCAGAGUGCACGUUUACCGUGCCAACUCAAUUCGAAUCCUGUUUGUAUUCUAUAUUUUUUUCGGGUGGGAUCCAUUUUCAAUUGGAAUUACAUUCUAUAUACAUCAUUUUUUAUAUACUUUCAAAAGCACAACAAAGAAUUCUGCUCCUUUAUAUGUAUAGUAUGAUUUACAAAUACGACGAUCUCGAAAUCUUAAGGUUGAAUUCGAAAAAAUUUAACCUAAUUAUGUUCUACUAAAAGGUAUGGAUCAUUAAUAUCUACAUAUUAAAUAACAUAGAUGUGCGUGAAUUCAUAUGAGUAUGCAUGUUUGAUAGAUCAAUUUUGGUUCGAGUAUGGAUUACAUGUAUCAUCAUCUCGAAUUCAAAUAUUUGAAUCCCUUUUUUGUUCACUCCUUUCACGCCCAUCUCUCUCGCAUGCAUGCUCCUUCAGGUAGCUAUCACUCUCUUUUCUCCAGCUCACCCGCACGCUCACUUCAUGUUGCUCCUAUCCUCGCAAACAUGGUCUCUCGAGGUCUCCCUUGAGAAGUGUCACACUCUCCCUAUCAUUAUACAUUACACGGUUUUCCUUAUCUCUCACGUCUCUACUGUUCUCUGGUAUCACUCGGUACCUAAGCUUUCUUUUUCACCGCCAAACACACAGUCUCCACUCGUCUUUCACUUUGUCUUUCUCUCUAUGGGAUUCUCUCACACACCCUAUAUGUCUCUACAUAUGACUGAUACCACUAAAAUUACUCUCUCUAUCUCUCCCGUAGACACAACAUUUGUCGCGGUCUCCUUUUCGUCUCCAUCCCAGACUGACAUUAUUCAUUUGUUUACCGAUCAGACAACCCCGACUACCGUCUCCUCUCUCUCUCUCUCUCUCUCUCACAGACACACACACACACACAACUCCUUCUUCCACUCCCCUUCCCGACUACCGUCUCUCUCUCACACACAAAACUCUCGCUUUCGCACCCCGACUCAUAUUUCUCUCACAAACAUUUAUCGACUAGCUAGCCUCUAGAUAGGUUUAUACACCCGCACACUCGUGCUUCCACCAUCGCAUACAUGUCUCUCUCCCGCUCCUUGUAUCUAUGUAGAUUUUUCUUCCCUUCUUGAGACACACCCUCUCGAUCAUGCACACGCACACUAUCGCCUCAUUUUAAGCUGAUACCUAUCGCACACACACUCCUUGUGUGUUUGUCACACAUGCACUCCGUCCUCCUCCACUCGCCCUCUCUCUCACACACACAUGGGCUUUUUGCAACAACUAGCAAGAUGCCCGUGCGUUGCACGGAACAUCACGAUGCAUUUGUAUGAGUAGUUUAUCUUGUGGGGGAAAAGGAUGAACAAGGGAAGGCCUUAUUUGCAAAUGUGGAGAGGCGUGUGGGUAUAUUUUUGCAAAAUUGCCAUAGUUUCCUUCCUAUCCGUCAGAUAUAGAUCGGAUGGCCUAUAUUGCAGGAUGGCAGGCACACGAUCGUCACCGACAAUGCUUAUUAUAAGAGUAGGGAUAAAAAUAGAGUUGGUGAUGAUGGUGGGCCUGCCAUCCUGCAAUGUAGGUCAUCUGAUUUAUAUCUGACGGAUAGGAAGGAAAAUAUGGCAAUUGACCCGCACUCUUCACCACAUUUGCAGAUAAGGCCUUUCCUCGUUCAUCCUUUUCUCCCACAAGAUCCUGAUGUUCCGUGCUACGCACGGGCAUCUUGCUAGUAAGAGUAGAAAUUAGAUAUAUACCACUUCUCGAAUCUUGAAACCAACAACAUUCCUCCCUUAUCUCAUCAAAACCGCCAAAGGAAUAUAUUUUGAGUGAAACAUAACCUAUUUUUAGUGAUAUACGUAUUUCAAAGCUAGACUUUUUUUCUAUCAAAUCGGUGAAUAUGUAUUAAUCCAGUGGCGGAGACAGACCUGGGGCAGCUAGGGCUAUAGCCCCAGGCCUAGAAACAACUUCCUUUCUAAUUUCUUCAUGCAAAGCAUAGAAAAUCAUAGAAGUUUAUCACUCAACAUAGCACAGCCCUAGGCGUAAUCUGCAUCUAGCUCCGCCACUAUAUUAAUCUACUUUGAUCGUGUGGCAACGCAUUGGCACAUUGCUAGUAGUUAUUAUAAUUUUUUGGACACUAGACAAAUGGUGGAGUACAUAUACGAAGAGAAGAGGCGCACGCACGCAGUUGGCCUCUCGCUGUCUCGCACACAUGAGUGUUACGUAAAGGCGACAUUAACAAAUAAACUAUAAAACCCUAGGGGCACGAUUGCUGCAUUCGCGGGUACCGGGUACGUGGUGGAGCACCUUUGUAGGAAUAGUUAGCUCGCGUGAUAAUUUCAUUUGUAGGAGUUGAUGGUCGGGACCACAGGUGAACGACUUGGAGCGUGGUGGCUCAACAGUUGCCACAUAUCGAGUAGCCACGUCUAAAAUAUUGUUUUCAGAGGGGUUAAGAGUUCCGAUUUUCAAUGGCGCGUUAUAAGUAGUAAGUAGUUUUUAGAACGAUUGGUAUGGAGCGAAAAUGGAAUUCAUAGUACUACGUACCUCCUUGGCAUAUGGUUGUAUGGUUUUUUUUAUGGAGGUUGUAUGGGUUUAUGUUGCGAGAUGUUGAACCUGGUAGUUCUAGGGCAAAUACUAUGGUUUAGAUUUAGAUUCUGGUUUCUCUAAUGAAAAUCGGAAGGGGAAACCCUUCUUUGAUUAAAAAAAACUACUACCUCCAUUCUGGUUUACUAGUCCCCAUCAUACUUUGGGUCAAAGUUUGUCCACAAACUUUACUUGUAAAAUGUGAAUGGAAAACGAGAUUUUGUUAUACCCAAACAAAAAACGACUGGAGGGAGUGAUUGCUCUGACACGGACGCGACCUGUCAUAGCGCAGGCAUUGAACCGGCGCGCCGGCCAAGAGGGCCGCACUCGCUGCAGGCCCGGCUGAGCACGCCUCCUCGCCGCGUGCAACCAGCUUAAGACUGCCUCGCCUGCCUUCAUUGAAUCCGCGUGUGUGCCGGCAACACGUCCUUCCGUGAGCCGGCAGGCAUUUUAGAACACAAAAAAUGACUAAAAUAUAAUUAAUUUACGCAUGGUCUUGACUUGUUGUGCUCGCACUGGUAGCAGGAACUAGUAGAGGAUUUUCUUUAUUUAUAACUCUCCUCACAUUUUUUUUGGCUUUGAAGUGAAACAUGGUUUUGGACAUUAUGUAUGAAUGUGCAGAUAUCUGUGAACAUGAGUUUGAUGUGGAAGUUGAACUUGGAAUGUCGGGCUUGCGCGUGAACUAUACCAUGUCCAAUGCUUCGUCUGUUAUUGUUUGGGAAGUAAUUGCUAUUAUUACAUGACCCGAAAAAAAACAUUUUGUGCCACAUCAGUAGAUGCACGGACAUCACAACAGGCAUGCUGACAAGAUAAACAUUUGAACCUAGCUAUUAUGAAGGAAAGUUUGUAUUGACAACAGUUUUAGAUAGCAGGAGACGCCUAGCCUGCUCUGCCUCUGCUAGCUUAUUUCUAGCUUCUUCCAUCUCUUCUUUGGCUUGGGUGAAGAGAGCAUCUGAUUGCUCUUUUCGCGUCUUCAGGAACUCAGCUACAUUCUCAACGGCUGCUGCACGCUUUCUUUCAGCCUUUACUAAUGCCACGAGGACACGAACAGCUGACGACUCCACCUGGCUUGUGUGUAAUCCAGCAUCAUCUGGGAAUUUGCACCUUGUGUCUAAUCCAGCAUCAUUAGGGAACUGGCACCUUGUGUGUAAUCCAGCCUCAUUUUGGAAACAUGAUCUCGAGGUUGACCAUACUUCCCUCCUCGCAGGAACUGCAUCCUGACAUGAAGUUACUUCUUUUUUAGAUCAAUACUCAGAGCAACCUAGAUCCAUUUAAUAGAAGCCAGAUAAACAGAACUCGGAGAAGUGAAUUCAAAAGGAAAAAAUAAAUAAAAACAGACUACAAGGUGAGAACACCCACUUCCUACAUCAAGCUAAAAAUGAAAGCAUUAGGAUGAUUAAGACUCUUCUUAUUACACAUCGAAGAACACCACGCUUAAGAGAAAUAGAAACUACAACAUAUACACAUCGAAGAACACGAGGCUACACGAAACUAAUUGAAAGGGUGUUACUUACCAAAGCUUGUUUUACAAGUUCGGUGCAGCUCCUCUUUAACUUGCCAUGCUCCUUGAAGAUGUCCCAAAUAUCCCGUGUUUGGUCUUCAUUGCUCCUCUGCAUGUUCGCACUCAUGGUUUUAAAAUCUCAACAUGGCAAGAAAAAUAUACUACUAGUAAUACUCGCGCAUCUUGUGGGAAACAUUAAAGCACUCGUCUGCCAUGUUAGAGCAUCUCCAACAAGAUAAACUACUCAUACAAAUGCAUCUUGAUGUGUGCAACGCAUGGGCAUUUUGCUAGUUCUAAAAACAUUUCCAUCAGUUGCCACACUAUUGGUUGCAGAUAAAAAACCUACCCAAGCACAACGCAAUACAGGAGCGACGCACAAUUACAAGAUGAUAUUCUAUUGGACAAUGGAGGCUAUAACCAAUUACUUUUAAGGGAACAAUAGCACCCAGGAAAUUUGAAGGGUAGGUAUGAAACUACACAUGUACUGCUAAGUGAUUCAAUACACACAUUACCAAUCGAGGAGGGGAACGAUGGUCGUGGCGGCCUCUGUGAGUCAUGGUCGGCAACGGGAGUCAGUUCAUUAUCCACGACGGUGGUACUUCUGCGCUUCGCAUCGGCUUCCAGGAAGCAGAUCCAAGACCAUGGAAGACGAUGCCGGGGAAGAGGCUCUGUGUACAACGACGACGGUGGACCGGCUCCAGUGCGGCGUGCGAGGUCAUCGAUGAGGCAGAUGCGCUGCGGUGGACGAGUGUGCCGAUGUAAAGGGGAGGAGCACGAAGGCUGCGGUGCCGUGGCGAAGUCUAUUUUGCGAUGGGGAUAGAAAAUGGGGAGUAUUUAGGUGUACUACUCUGGGAGCCGGGGUGGGGUUGGCUGGGUAGGGUGAACCUAAAGUUACGAAAACAGCCCCCUACCAAGCGUCAUCUGUAGGCCUAUUCCGAAGGCUAUGAUGGUAACUUCCCACUGCUCGAAUCAGGGUCGCGGGAGAUUUUCCUGCCGACCUCAAAAUUUUGUGACACUGGAUCCCCAGUGUGGUGUGUUCAGUGAUUCGGCUAAGCAACUAGCGAGUAGUAGUAGUAGUAGUAGUAAACUCUGCAUAUUAGGUUUGACCGAAGUCAAACUUCCUAAAGUUUGACCAAGUUUAUAGAAAAAUAUAAACAUUUACCAUAACAAAUAUGUAUGAUGUUAAAGUACAUUCAAUAAUGAAUCUAAUAGUAUUUAUUUGUUAUUGUAUAUGUUAAUAUUUUUUGUUAUAAGCUUUCUGAGAGUUUACAAAACUUGACUUUGACCAAUGCUAAUACGCGGACUUAAAUAAAAACGGAGGGAGUACACAUUUGUUUUCUUAGUUUGUAGUGAACUAAUCAUUUGUUGAAAUUGUGAAAUAAAUAUAUUAGGCUAUUGACUUCGAAUGUAAUGGUCUAUACAAUUCAAUAGUUACAAUCAUUGUCGAAUCCCAAGAUGUAUACAAGAUCUAUAGUACUCCCUCCGUCCGAAAAAACUUGUCAUCAAAAUGAAUAAAAUAAGAUGUAUCUAGAACUAAAAUACAUCUAGAUACAUCCUCUUUUAUCCAUUUUGAUGAAAAGUAUUUCCGGACGGAGGGAGUACUUCACAACAUGCUCAAACUCACAUAAUCCCAGUCAAAUGAGAAUCUAAAUGCAUUUCAUAGUUAUUACUUUGUAGGAUGCAACAAGAACAACCAUAACUCUACAUCAGCCAUUAUAGAAGCAACAUUUUGACAUAUCCCAAUGUGUGAAUGAAACGUGCAGAGAGAGCUUUUGAAGAUGGAGCAGAUAGGGCGGGAAAGAUUGUAUGUAUGUGGACGAGAGAGUAGGAAUCAAACCUAAUGAGACAGACAGAGAGAGAGAGAGAGAGAGAGGAAGAAGUUAGGUCUGUGAGAAAGAUGCAUACAUGUAAUAUACAUGAGAUGCGUGUGCAUCUGGAUUCUGUAUACGUGGAAGGAGAAGAGAAAACAUGUUUGAUGAUAGAGCAGGAAAAACAUGGAAGAGAGGGGAAGGAUCUCGUGGGUUGAGGGAUUGACAAUUUUGUGCGGGGGAGAGAGGGAUUGGUAAUUUUGUGCAAGAGAGAGAGAGAGAGGGCGGGGGGAGGAGUCAGUCAGCCGUCGUCACAUCACCCUGCUUCCAAAUGACCCCGCAUUCUCUAGCGCGGUGUGGUCGCCGUCUUCGAUCUUCUCGUUGCCCUCUUUGAAUUGAGGUGUUGUGCAUGUUGGGGUGCAAAGAAGCACAAGCAAGAGUGGUCGCCGUAUAACCUUGGAUGGGGAUGAAUUGUGUGCUCGGGGGAGUGUGUGUGUGUGUUGUGUUGCGUGUGUCUCUGUGUGUGUGUGUGUCAGAUAUUGAGAGAAAACAAACCUAAGGAGAGAAAUGGGUAUUCACGAAGAGAUUGUGCGGGCCUUGAGGUGGGCAGGGGCCGGGUGAGGGUGUCAAAAUGUGCUUAUUGAUGCAUGUGUUGCAUGCAACCGUGCAAGGGACGGACGAAUCGAGAGAGAUGGUUGUUGUGUUACGGAUGCUCCUCUCUCUGUCUCUCUCUCUCUCACACACACACACAAGUAAACUAGAAGACCGUUCUCUCAUGUAUACACAACGUAUCGGCAUCUGUCUAUGUCUCACUCAUGCAUGAUCAUUUGCACAUUCACACCUCUCUAUGUCUGUAUCACACGCACACCGUCUCCACAUUGCCCUUCCGCCACAACACACAUAUGGACACAUACACAUGUUCUCUCUCGGUCACACACACACAAAAUCAGUAUUAAAAAAACUAGGGCACACCUAAAACGUCUAAAUCCAAAUAAACACGAACUGCAGCUAAAUUCAAAUAUAUGGAAAUAUUGCAGCGUCAAGAACUUUCACAGGAAAAAAAAGUUGAGUAAUACUCGAGGAUUGUUUUCACACACAAAAAGGUUUGGUGGAUGUCCUUCGAGCACGACACGGUGACGCACCGUUCAAUCGACCGCGCGGCCACGAUUCACCGCUUGCACAGGAUUCCGUAUCAUGGCUAUGGUACUAACUAAUAAAAGCGCUGCCUAAGUCUAAUUUACGUGUACUAGUACGGUUUUAUUUUAAGUUUGACCAACCUUAUAUUUAAAACUAAAGUAAGCUCCCACACGCGCACUCAUCAAUAUGCCUCCGCCGCCUUUGCACAUGCCGGCGCCCGCCUGCUUCGGCAAACAAUUUCUCGCCCAUCACCGCCGUGUCGCCACCAUCCCUGUGCCAUGAAGCCGAAGGCUCGCCCGCUCACGUCGUCUGCAGUCCCUCCUCGCGAUACCGCCGCACUGCCAAGCACGCGAGCAGCUGGUGGAGCUGCGUCUAUGCACACAGCGUACGGAGAGGAGGAUGAGCACGUGCUCCAGCACGCCAGUGAGGAGGAACUAGCGUGUCAUUGUCGUCUCCGCCCGUGCGGAGGAGGCGCGCAUGGUGGCUGUCGCGGCGGAAGCCGGUCGUGCGCGCGUCGAGCCCGCAAACCGGGUGCGGACGGGGAAUCUACCUUCGAGACCUUGAAUGCCACAUGGAUCCUGCAAUCUAAAAGAGCAAUUUGGGUCAGUCGACUCAUGUGAGCCGUUUGAUGCAACAUGGAUGGCUAGAAGGGCUUCUUCCACCUCUUCUGUCGUCUUCUUCCUUCGCUUCGUCGAACUUCUUUCACAAAUCGACUGACCCAAAUUAUACUACUAGUACGAACGUAUUAAGUACAGUAGGAACACGAAGAUACGAGCAGUAGUACCAACUGCAAGAAGAACAGUAGUAAGACAUAGUACUAGUACUACUAUACAUACUAAAGAGUUCAAAUAACGAGAAAGAACAUAAACAUAGUUCUGAUGGGGCCUCAGCACAACACACCCUUGAAAAUAAACUAAUAAGCAACUAGUCCGCUUGACACUGGAGUAGAACCAGCAUGAGCAACGGCACUGCCACCUAUUUGGAGUCCGAGUCCACAUCCUCGACUUCGCCCUCGUCCCUCUUCCUCUUCCUCUUUGCCGACGCUUCUUUGCUUGAACCGGACACUGAGCUCUGCUUCUUCAUCCAACCCCUGUAGAUAUUUAAACAAAGGUAGGCAUCCAUUGCUGCGUACAGGAUGUGAUCUUCAUCUAAUGUCUUCGACUCCCAUGCAUUAUGAAACUCGUGAUGAGGUUUCUUCAGUUUAGCGUACGAAGGAUCAAUCAUGGCUGCUGCCAGGGUCAGCAUUGAAAGUUGAGAGGAGGACACCAGGCUUGCCUUCUGGAGAUCGAAGGGCUGGCCUACAACGAGACCUAUCCGACGCAGGACGUCAUUGUCGUUCUUAAAGCCUACAGUAACGAAUUUCACUCUUUUGUCCUUGAGGAAGUUCUUAAAAUCCUGGCACUCAACGUCGGCAUGGCAUAUGUGGUAGAGCAAGCAAACGUUAUGUACGCAAACCUGGAUCACGGCGGGCUUCUUCCUCUCUUCGUCCUUUAGAUCCUUCUCUCGUCCCAGGACUGUGGUGUACUCAACAUCUAGCCCAGCGACCCACUCAUCCAUUGAGCUGUUGAACAUGCGUAGGAAGCGAGCAAGCCAUUCUUUCACCGUCUCGGAUCCACGUGUGUAGAUGAAGAUGAACUGAUCGCCGGUGAUGGCUCUAACCUGGUACUCAGCGGCGACCAUGGAGAUUUGGGAGGCCAUGGAUUUUGGAGGAGGGUUAGGAGAAGUUGAACUGUUGUACCCCGCAAAAAAAACUAGGAGCGAACUAAUGUGAAAGGACGGGACGACUGGGAGCGAACUGUUGUAAGGUAGAAGACGGGGACGAGUAGGGCGUGCGAACGGCAUGGGGUUGCUGGCUUGCCCGGUGGAUAAACGGCUGCAAGGCCCCAAAGAGUUCUCGAGAACUAUGCGGGACCCACUAGAUGUCAUGUCUACUUGACCCAUAUCGUAGGCCUGACGGUAUAGCUUCUGCCUGUUCGCACGCCAUGCCGGCGCGUGGAUGUAACUUCACUUAAUUUCGUCAAACGUCGCGCCUCCCACGACCUUCGCCUCCCUCGUGCGGUCGCGCCCUUGGAGACUUCGACCGGCUAUAAAUGAGCAAUUUGUUUUGCCUUUUUUUAGACAAGCAAUUUUUUUUGCCUACUCCGCAUGCAUGAUACUCCCUCUCGUACCUUUUACUCCCGUCAACUGUUUGCAAAGUGAUUGACCAAAUUUAUACUUUUUUUGAACACCACCUUAUAUUAAUUAACCAGCCACCCCAGUACACUCAUUCGAUACAAUAUUCCCAAAACACUUAGGCGCGGUGCAUUAACUUCUACCUCGUUUCUUGUUUCUUGACAUAUCAACCAAUAGGAGAUGUGGGUGUGCAUGCUUUUAAUGACUUGAGACUACCAAACACGACAUGCAGUGGUUAGUUCAUUGCAUGCAAUGCUAUUAAUUAGCAAAUAAACAUUAAGAUCUCUCGUUUUCCCCUCCUCCUUGGUCACAGUGCACAAUCUAAGAUGACUUGCUCACCUAGAUGGAGGGAGUAUUGAUUAUAAUGAGUAUAAGAACUACGUUUUAUAAUGAGUGUAAAAAUAUUGAUUUGACAUUGUGAAUGUUGACACAUUGUGGAAUAGUUUUUGAAGUCUGCAAAAGUACUCAACUAGUGCUGUCGUUCUCCACAAAAAAAUGUGUUUACCAAUGCAUGCAUGAACACUAGUUACUCUAACCCCCCUCUCUUCUUUAAUUCUUUGCCACAUCAGCAUGUUUGCUAUUCCCGUGUGCUAAGAUACCGCCAUUAUGGCCAGCCUUAAUCAUCGCAUGCAAUAAUUUAGUGCACCUUGAAAUAUGAACAUGUCUGGGGCGUGUUUGUUUUUAAUGACUUGAGACUAUACCUAGCCCGGCAUGCAAGAUGACUUAUUAUGCACCGUUCCCCAUACCUACAGGAAGCCAUUCAUCUCCAAAUCUUUUCCUCUCCAUGUGUGGAAAAUAUGCCUGCCAAACUCUCCUUCUCCCUCCGGCGGUCCCACCACUCCACCCCGUGUGAAAAAAUCUACAUGCAUGACUCUCCACCCCCCACGCUCGUCCAAUCCGUUGUGACCAGCAAUAUUUCCACCCCUUCGCUCACCCGUAAUUUACUCCAACAAAUAAGCCCACGUAGUUGUUACUUAACUGCAGGUGCAUUCAGUCACUGACAUAUGGGCCCAACAUGGGUCUGGCCCAUAUGUCAGUGACGCAACUGGACCUGCAGUUAAGUCAGUGCAGCUCAGUCCAUAUCUUACGUAGGUGUGCCAUUGCUCGCUAUAAAUACUGCGCCUCCCACGACAUCGCUAUCUCCUCCCCCUCAUGUUCACACUCAUCGCUAUCUCCUCCCCCUCCCUCUCACGUCGACCACCAUGGAAUCGCCCCUCCCAAGCCCUAGGAGCCCCUCGCAGCACCGCGCGGACGGUCACGCGUCGCCGUUCCGUUCCUCGCCGCCACUAGUCGAUGAGGAUGCGUCGGUGUUCCUUUCCUCGCCACAACACAUCGAGGUGGAUGCCUCGGCGUUCCCAAUCUCGCCAGCACGCGCGCCGAGGGACGCGUCGGCUCCCCGCUACGAGGAGAACGCCGCGCCGCCCGUCGAGCCCCCCAGCCUUGAGGAGCUUUGGAAAUAAAUGGAUGUCACCUUGUGGGAGGCUUUGCCUCCAGCAGAGCGCGCCAAAAUAGAGGUAGAGAAGAAGGCCGAGGAAGAGAAGCGCACCACGGAACAAGCUGCCUGGGAGGCCUAUGUCGCGUCCGAGAGAGUCAGACAAUUGGCUCUUUGGCAGAAGGCUCGUGCGAGGGCCGUGAGGGUGGCGGAGGACGCCCAUGCCGAUGCCCUGAGUGCAGUCGGGUCCAAGCGCAUCAUCUACGCUUGGCGGUACAUGGACCGGGUGCACGCUUCCAGCAAGGAGGAGUACCUGUUGGCGCCGGAUCACCACACCGGUGAGAUCGCGCUCGCCCGCCGGCAAGCCGCCAAUCAGCACCUCGCGAGUUGCGAGGCCGAGGAAGAGGCAUUGUGUCGGCGCGCUGGGAAACGGUCGUGCACCAGGGCACUCGUGGCGCGCCGCAAGCGCUCCUGCGAGCGCCGUGGCUUUUAGGAGGAGUAUAAUUUUUGUUUCGUAAGGAGAUCUCAUUAGUUUUGGGACGCAAAUGAUAAAUCCUAAACGUUCAGGAAUUUUUAGCGUCCUUAAUUAAGUAUGUAAAAGGGAAAGUUUGGAAACCUUGUGUAUUCGUAUGCAUUUUGCAAGUACAUGCAUAUAGCACAAACUUUACUAUAUACUAUCACACUACACGUCUCUCUCGAUAUAUGCUUGCAGACUGUGUUACUCCCUCCAUCCAGGUCAAUAAGUCAUCUUCGGUUGUGCACCGUGACCAAGAAGGAGGGAAGACUUAUACACCUAAACGGAGGGAGUACUACUAUUACUUAUGUACAUGCAAAUGCACGUUUUAACAUUACGAUGCAGUUUUUGUAAAAGUGGAAAAACAACACUAGUCAAGCUUGUGAAACGAUUCAAUGCAAAACAAAUGCAAAAGUGCUCGUUUGAUUGUUUACUUUUAGCUUCCUUCUCUGUGGUUAUUUCUCUGUCGUACUUUGUACGGAGUAUCUCACUGGUUGGAAAGGCAUGCAAAUUCCCAAACCGCUUCCUACACCCUGUAUCGAAUUUUUUGCCUAACAGGUUGUGUCGUGCAAUUGGAAUUCCAACUUGAGUACUACUACUAGUAGGAGUACCAGGGGCCAGUUCUUUUAGGCUUCUAGAUUAGUAAUCCCAUAACUACUACCUCCGUCCUGGUUUAUUGGUCCCCAUUGUAAUCUGUGUCAAAUUUUUGGUCAAAAUUUAGCACAAAUUACAAUGGUGAGGAAAAACCAGUUAAAUCUUUGGUCAAAAUUUAGCACAAAUUACAAUGGUGAGGAAUAAACCAGGACGGAAUAGUAGUUUAGAAGCCCAAAUAAAUGAGUGAGGCGCCUUAUUGUUACUCUCCAUUGUGACUAGUCUUGUGGGAAAAGCUGGGGAAGCCGCCAAAAGAACUGGCCCUAGGAGUAGUAGCUGGGGAUCGAGUGUGCGAGAUGAACCGGAGAAAGUAAAUGCAGAGAGAUGAAAUGAAAAAAAGACGGAGGGAUGUGAUGGUUGCUUGUCCGUUUAUUUUACCAGGCCACUUAUUACUGGGAGUGGUUGGGUUUUGUGAUAUGACGGCUUUACUGCCGCGCCACGAGCGGGGUGAGAGGUGAGACUCCCGUGUAGUGCCGCCCUCUACAUGUACUACUACUCCCUCCAUCCAUUUUUAUAGGGCCUAACUUUUCAAUCUUUCGUACCAAGGCAUGUCCGCAAAAAGAGGAACUGGUUUUGGGACUAGUAUUUGGAUCCCAUGUAAUCUUGCAUGCAGCCUCCUUUGAAUGCCUAGCCGUUGGCCUACCUUCCUUUAAUCCCUCGCAUGCAAAUUACUCUCCUCCCUUUUCUACAUGCAUGCCCAACCAUAAUUCCUCAAAUCAUGCAUGCCUUGGCUGAAAUAUAGAGCUCGUUUCUCCUUUGAAAAUAUGGUGGUGCUAUCCAUGCAUGCAAAUCAAUGCGAUGGCCAGAGCAUUUUCACGAUGAAGGGACCACGCACGACUUGCAAGAGAAAAUUAAGAUGGAGAUGCCUCGGUUAGUUCAUUUGGGUAGGUUUGUUCGGAUAUUAUUUCAUCUCUAGAGCUCACAAACAUCCGGGUGAAAUAGAUAAAAAGUAUCUUUUGCAAACAAAAGCGUUCAACUGUUCAACCUGCAUCCAAAACUUGUGAGGAAAUAACUCUUAUUGUGCUUUGCAGGAAAUGAUCUUCAAGAAUUAGUUUUUGAGUAUCCAUUGUUAUACAUGUUGGCUACAGAUGACAUGGCACUUUCUUGUAACCAACAGUUGGCUAUACUAUUUAAGUAUUAACCAUGCCCUUAUACAUCUAGACGGAGGGAUUAAAUCAGGAUGACUUGGGAGGGGGCAGGGGAUAUGUAAGAAAUGGUUCAUCAUAAGUCUUUCACCAGUACUGUAGUAAAAAUUCAUACAUGGAAGAUUCUAGACUAAACCAUAAAUGGAUACACUUUUAUUCAUGUGCGAUACUCCAAUAGAGCAAGAUCAUGCAUGGAAGUCUCGACAUGCUUAGACAGCGGAUUACAUUGAGCAAAGACUAAUGAUCAACAUUUAACUUGAAAAUGCAGAUGUCCAGGUGAACCUCCUUGGAGUCCCCGUGCACAUUGUUGGAGUCCAAAUAACACCAUGGGUUUUCCAUGUCCACAUCGGCGGGAAAGUCCCAGCUCCGCAGAGUCCAAGUAUGCUCGGCGUAGCCAGUGUCGCCGCCCACGCGUGUAGGUCUCCUCUUCUCAUGCUCAUACAAGUGGUAGAAGACCUCACCUUAUAAAGACCUACUAGCAAAAUACCAACAUCGACCAGGCCGUCCAUGAAACGGGAGUGGCUGUAGGGGACGUUGCGCCAGUUGAAUAUAUGAGCAAGUUACUACGAGAUUUAAUCCGAAUAAGAACAAAAUAAAUCAUGACGGCUAUAACAGAGAUGAAACUAAUAAUGUGGACUAGCAUAGUAGUAGCAUACAAAGUAGAAACAUGAAUUCUACCACGAUUUCGAACAGGAAGGACAGAAACACAUACGGUGCAACGGGAGCAGCACCGUUGGCGUUGAGGUUGUCGCCCAUGUCCAAACACCACGUAGACACGGUCUUUGAGCACGGUUCGUAGUUGUUCCACGCUCGAACAUUGAAGUUUGUAACUAUUUUAGAUUAGAAUAUACUACUCCUCCGGUGCUAGUAGUAGAGCAGAGUCCUACUCUACUACUCUACUCAAGCAAGUUAGGGCAUAGCACUGCAGGGAGUACCAGUACUGUGAUCACUCAAGCAAGUUGUCUGGCAUCGACAUGACCCUACGCUGAUGGUAUGUGUCUCGUAAGUCAAGCAGCGUGCUGUAGUCAUCAUCACAUGUCCACUUCCUGCAGCACAUAUUCGCUUCUCCAUCUUUGUCCGCACAUAAUCUCGUCCAAUGUUCCAUCCCCGCUAAGGUGCCUCCCCUCCUCGUCCGAAACCCAAGCACUAACAAUGGUAGAACCAAGCAGCGUCCGCCGAAAGAGUGGCUGGAAUUCGCUCCCCACAGAGGUAAUCAAGCUCAUUGUUUCAUGUGUGGACAAUCUCAGUACCAUGCCGCUCGCCACGUGCUCGUCGGGGCUGUACCGUUUACUCAAAGCCCUCAGGCCGGAGCUUUUUAAGCCAGCUCCUUGCUUGCUGAUGCCGCCUGAUCUUCAGAAACGGCAUGUCACGCAGCAUAACGAUCGUAGGGUGGCGAGCAUCAACCCCCUUGACUGCGAUUCGAUCCCCGUCAGCCUCAAGUACAUUAACGGUAUGUACUGGGUCGGCAUGAACACGUCUUGGAUGGUGCUCGUCGACAGUCGCGGCAGCUGGAUGCUCGUGGAGGUCUACACCCGGCGAUUGAUCCCCCUUCCUUCGAUUAACACUGCACUGCUUUGGCACCGCGGCCCAGAAUACUCGAAUCUUACAGUAGCCAACAUGAUACCAAGUUUGAUUUGCUCAAGGUUGCAAUCUGCCAAGUGCCCACAAGAUCUGUGAAUUAUAAAGACUCCGUGCUAAUUGCGUUCUUCAACCGCGGUCUCGCCUAUCUGACAGGUCACUGCGGUAAGUGGAUAAAUCUGCACGUCCAUCGCAGGAUCAUACAUCCUCCAUGGUUCUCUGAUGCAAUUGAACACAAGGGCUUCAUUUACGCUGUCGACUCCUUCUAUGGCUGGACGUAUUGCUGGCCUACUCCAGUCAUCGCUACAAACGGCUGUUACAGCAGUAUGUUACUUUCCUAUGAUAUCAUGAUGGCUUGCUUAUAUUACUGUCAACAUUUGCUGAAAAAAUAUUCAUGCUCAUAACAUGUUGUUCUUAAGAUUAACUAAACCAAGGGCCCUUUUUUAUUUGACUCCAACUUGAUAUGAUGUUGUAGGCCGCCUGGUGUCCCUACCCUUCCUAAUCCCAGAACCUUUCAAAGAAAAGCGGCAUGGCAGUUGCAGGUGGUUCCUGGCUCGAUCAGACGACGGCGAAAGAUUGAUGAUCGUUCGCACGUACCAGACGUGUUAUUUCGCGGAAUACAAUCACAGUCACUACAAGGUCUUUGAGCAGGAUCCCAGCUUCUUUGGGCCUUCAGGAAUUUUUUACUGGAGGCUGGUAAGUAGCCUUGGUACACGCUCUUUGUUUGUUGGAAUGAAUUAUCUGAUUAACUAGGAGAUAACCGACGGCAAGGAUCAUGAUGGCAGCGCGGUUUCGUUCAUCAGGCAAAACUGUGUGUACACAGCGUACCAUGCGUCUCUGCAUGCACCAUGCCCUGAUAUGUCCCGCCACGCUCUGCAACCCAAAGUAGGAGAGAGGGUCGCAAGUAUCAGACUUCGACCUGCUGGCUGGAGUUUCCCCCGUCAGGCACCCAUCUGGUUCAAGCCAUCAGCCAAUCUCCACAGCUUAAUAAAUAGUAACGUCUAACUGAGCCAGUUAGUUAGAUGCGUACACUUGGUGUAGUAGGAACUUUAUUUAGUUUGAUGCAUACACUUGUUCAUUUUGGUAGCCCUUUUGUAAUGAUGGCUGAUGUUUGGUUUGGAAGAGAGAGUUGCGUCUUCACUCUUCUGGCCUGCUUACUGCUUCUGUUGCACCCCAACCCUGGUUGCUUCUGCUGCUGUUUUCAAUGUACAAUCAGUAGUAUAUUUCAUCUGUUGGUUGAAUAAAUGUGUUAUUAGAACGACAAACACAAUGUUUUGGAAGUCGUUGCACGGUUCGAUCCUUUAGUGCCCCGUACCGUACGUAGCGCAUACUAUUUAUCAUACGGAACACAUUUUUUUUUGAAACUCGGAACACAUUUUCCACUUGUUGAUAACAUGCAGCCCAUUGAUGAAGGCCCAAUAGAGAAUCCCAUAAUUAACUGGAAGGGAGGCUCUCACAUGAAUCCGGCCCAGGUACAUGCUCAUGGUCCCCUAAACAUAAAUAAGUAAAUAAAUAAAUAAAGCUAAAUGCUCAUGCACCAGUUCUUUGGGAAAAUAGCUAGCCCAGUAUUUCUUUUUGAAGAAUACCCAAGCUAGGCCUAUUUGUUUUCUCCCAAUUACUAGGCUGCAAAUCUUUCAAGACGAGGAGAGAUGCAUUCCGGCCUGGCUUAAGAGUACGGUCAAUGUCUGUUAAAAGUAAUAUCAAAAGGGGUUGAAAAUUCCAAAAAAAAUAUAGCAAAUGGGAUAUAAGUUUAUUUUUUUUGUUUUUGUUCUUCACUGAUAUCUUAUACAUAUUUCAUUAGAUUUAACAUGACAUAGUACUAAUUUAUUUUUAAAUUUGUUUUACUAUGGCUAUUAAUUUUUGGAUUAAGAAUAUUUCAUUUCCCAGCAAAAAUUUGCGAAUUUUCAAAAUUUCCCACAUAUUUAGUUAAUUUUUUGACCCUGGUACUGACCAGAAAAUGGCCAGCAAUUCUAAAAAUGGAAAACGGGCUGCAAUAAAUUCCAUAUGAAUUAGAAAAUGAGUAAAAAUAUAAAAAUAAUAGCAAAUGGGCUGUACAUGCCACGGAUUUCGAGGCUGACUUGUUUACGAAAGGCUUUGUAAGUGAACACACGAUUCUAGCAGCAGUUAGUGUUGGAUGUCCAUCCAACGGCCGACGUGCUUCUUUAAUCUCUGAUCUUCCUGCUCCAGCCGCCUAAACUAGCGACGGCAGGACUGCCUGCUCCCUCCUCUUGUGGCCCGCUAUGAUGCCGCGCAGGCUUCCCCGGCCCACCCUACUCCCUCUGCUGGCCUGGCCGCACGCAAUCAACUGCCUCCUUAUUACGCGGAAAAAAUGAUUCCUCCCACUGACAUCUGGGGCGCACCGGUUGGGAGGCCAACCUGUGGGCCUACUAAGUUGACGCGUACGCAGGGCUUGUCAACUUAGUCAACAAACGAUUCUAGCAGCACUAACCGUUGGAUUUGAAUCGAACGGUCCUGCUGCUUCUUCAAUCGCUGCUCUUCUUGCACCAGCCGCCCAAACCAGCGCCGGGGAGACCGCCUGCUCCUGCCUCCAGUGGUCGGCUGUGCUGCUGAUGAGGCCUCAUCGCCCCCUACUACUCCCACCGCUAGCCAGGCCCUGCGGCGACGGCAGCCUCACACCGCAGCCGAACCAGUGAACCCUCGUACUCCUCUCCGCGUGGGCAUCCACUGCCGCGUCUUCCCCGGCUCUGCGUCGUCCCCUUCCUAGGCCUCACCGUCAUCCACUGCCUUGGUGCUCUCGGCGCGGCGUGGUCAACGUGGUCAACGACAUUCCAUCAGAAGAGUACUGUACGUGGAGAGGCUGACAGCUGGGUCCAUGACCACAGCCCAGUUUUUUUGUGAUUUGCCAAGUAAGUUGCUUUGUCACGCCUGUUGGUCUGUAAAUCUUUCAAGAUGAGGAGGAGAGCUUUCAUUCGGCUGGCCGAGAAAAUGGACCAUCAGUAAUGAGAAAUGGGCUGUACAUUUUUAAAACACAUCAAACCGACAAUUAGUUUCAAAUAUCUUUUUUUCAUUUCGAGAUUUGAAAUUACAUUAAUUUUUAUGCAUGGAGAAUUUGUUGGAUUUUAUAUUGAUAUACAUUUAUUUUUAAAAUCAGUUUGAAUGUGAGUCGAAAUUUCGGGAAUAAAAACAGUUCGGACUGCACCGAAAUAUGCAAAAUUUCCUAUAAUUUUUUAACCGUGGCCACAAUAUGGGCUGUAAUGCUAACAAAAAGAAUAUGGGCUCCAAAAAAACCUUAAUAAUUAGCAAAUGGGCUGUAAAUUAUUAGAAAUAAUAGCAGAUCCAGAUGGGUUGUAUGCUGUUUCCCACAGAUUUGAGGCUUUCCUAAAAAAAGGUUGACGCACAAGCAGUGACUGUUGGAUGGCCAUCCCACGGCCGUCGUGCUUCUUCAAUCUCUGCUCUUCCUGCUCCAGCCUGCUCCCUCCUCAACAUGGCCGACUCUGCUGCCGUGUAGGCCUCACCGCCCCACUGUACUCCCAUCGCUGGCCUAGCCAUCCCUCUACUCACCCACACCUGAUGUUAUUCUCCGGCGACGACGAGGCCUCGUACAGUCGAAAUGUUCCCCCCGCUAUUAGCUUGGACCCAUUGGAAGUUCCUCCUUAUUAUGCACAAAAAAAAUGAAUACUCCCCCGGCUAGCUGGGACCCACCUUGGUGGGAGGCUGACAGGUGGGCCUACUAAGUUGAUGGGGACGAAGGGCUUUGUCAACUUAGUCAAUAUGAACGAUCCUAGAUCCAGUGACCGUACGAUGUCCAUCCAACGGCCGUAGUGCUUCUUCAACCUCUGGUCUUCUUACUCCAGCCGCCCAAAGCAGCGCCGGUCGUGCCGCCUGCUCCUGCCUCUCGUGGCCGGCUGUGCUGCUGCGGAGGCCUCACCGCCCCCUACUAUUCCCACCGCUGGCCGGGCCCUGCGGCGACGGCAGCCUCACACCGUAGCCGAACGAGUGAACCCUCAUACUCCUCUCCACGUGGGCAUCCACUGCCGCGUCUUCACCGGCUCCGCGUCGUCCCCUUCCUAGGCCUCGCCGUCGUCCACCGCCCUGGUGCUCUCGGUGCGGCGUGGUCAACGUGGUCAAGGAACAACUUCCAUCGGACCUGGACUGUACGUGAAGAGGCUGACAGCUGGGUCCACGGCGGCAGCAAGGAAGUGCCUCCUUAUUACGCGAAAAAUAAUGAUUCCUCCACCUGACAGCAGGGACCCACCGGACGGGCCACCGUAUUUCACGAAAAAAUGUUUCCCCCUGACUGCUGGGACCCACCAACUACACCUUCGCACACAAGGAAGUGCGUCCGGGCAAAAAAAUGAUUCGCCCCACUGACUGCUGGGACCCACCAGCUACAUCUUCACACGCAAGGAAGUGCGUCCGGGAAAAAAAUAAAAUCAAAACGAUUCGCCCCCCUAACUGCUGGGACCCACCGGCCCCCCGACUGCUGGGACCCACCAGCUACAUCUUCGCACGCAAGGAAGUGCAUCCGGGCAAAAAAACGAUUCGCCCCCUGACUGCUGGGACCCACCAGCUACAUCUUCGCAGGCAAGGAAGUGCCUGACAGUCGGGACCCACCUAGUCGAAGCGUACAUAGCGUUGUCAUUCUGGUCGCGAACGUGUACGUACAUACUGGUCGAUGUAGUGGCGCGCACGUGUCGUAGUAGAGGCGCGCACGUAGUAUGUACACGUACGUACAGCGGCCAGGGUGCAAGAAAGAAAAUACGGCCACGUAUGUGUACAUACGGGCGGGGUCUCGAACGCCUACUCGCGCAUACGUACGGUGAGGGCUCGUGUACAUGGCUGGGUCGGAACGGAGAAACAGCGUCGUCGUCGUGUUCAUGGGUCGGAACGGAAUGCAUGGUCGUGUUCAUCGGGAGGGCUUGGACGGAAGAGGCGAUGGAAACGAGGCCUGGCGUACCGCACAACGGAGGAAACAGACCUCCUACGGUCGAAACGGGGGUCCUGUUGAUCGGGAGGGGUGUGGCGUACCGUAAAAUGGAGGAAACGGACCUCUUACGGUCGAAACGGGGGUCCUGUUGAUCGGGAGGGGNNNNNNNNNNNNNNNNNNNNNNNNNNNNNNNNNNNNNNNNNNNNNNNNNNNNNNNNNNNNNNNNNNNNNNNNNNNNNNNNNNNNNNNNNNNNNNNNNNNNNNNNNNNNNNNNNNNNNNNNNNNNNNNNNNNNNNNNNNNNNNNNNNNNNNNNNNNNNNNNNNNNNNNNNNNNNNNNNNNNNNNNNNNNNNNNNNNNNNNNNNNNNNNNNNNNNNNNNNNNNNNNNNNNNNNNNNNNNNNNNNNNNNNNNNNNNNNNNNNNNNNNNNNNNNNNNNNNNNNNNNNNNNNNNNNNNNNNNNNNNNNNNNNNNNNNNNNNNNNNNNNNNNNNNNNNNNNNNNNNNNNNNNNNNNNNNNNNNNNNNNNNNNNNNNNNNNNNNNNNNNNNNNNNNNNNNNNNNNNNNNNNNNNNNNNNNNNNNNNNNNNNNNNNNNNNNNNNNNNNNNNNNNNNNNNNNNNNNNNNNNNNNNNNNNNNNNNNNNNNNNNNNNNNNNNNNNNNNNUCAUCCCAUCGACCGUCUUCAGUUAGCAGCAGUAGCCAAGGAAUCGCUCGAUCGGGUUCAGUUAACAGCCAUCGGUAGAUCGCUCGGGUUCAGUAACGCGUAGCCUGCAGUGCAAUCGCUCGGGUUUAGUUAGAGCCCAACAUCUCGCACACACGCGCGUACGUGUACGAGAGAAACGCGCAUCACUCGGCCCCCAACCUCCCACCGUAACCGGGAACUCCCCGAAAUUUUCCUCCCCCUCGCUUCUACCACGGUUUUUUUCGUCAUGGACGGGCCAAAGAAUGUCAUGCAGUUGCGUCUCCUGCCUGCCCAGGACGAAAAGCCCAUUUCCUGUCAUGAUUUUUUGUCAUAGAAGUAGGAGCCCACCACAUCUAUGAUGACACCGGGUUUUGUCACAAUUAUCGUCAGAGAAGUGUCAUAUGUAUGACAGAAAAAAAAUCGUUCGGCCCAAAAUGUCACGGAUGUGUCUUUUUUUGUAGUGGGCAUCAAUAAUUUGAUCGAUGCGGGGGAGGGGGAAUGGAUCCUUAGGGCAAGCUUUGUUGAGGUCUUUGAAAUCGACGCACAAGCGCCAGGAUUUAUCCUUCUUUGGCACCAUCACCAGGUUUGCUAGCCAGUCCGGAUGUUUUAUUUAUCUGAUGACCCGGCCUCAAUUAGCUUGGCUAGCUCCUCCCCCAUAGCUUGUCAUUUCGGUUCAGAAAAGCGCCGCAGUGUUUUCUUAACUGGCUUGUAUCCCUUCAAUAUAUUGAGGCUGUGCUCAGCCAACCUGCGUGGGAUUCCUGGCAUAUCAGAAGGGUGCCAAGCGAAUAUGCCCCAGUUCUCACGUAGGAACGCUCGUAGUGCGGCGUCCACCAUCGGGUCCAGUUGUGCACCGAUGGAGGUUGUCUUCUUUGGGUCCGUCGGGUGGACUUGAAAUUUGACUAUUUCAUCUGCUGGUUUGAAGGAGGUGGAUUUAGAGCGCUUGUUGAGGAUUACGUCGUCCCUAUCUACCGUUGAGCCCAACGUAGUUAACUCUUCGGCCGCAAGGGCCUCAGAGAGUGCCUCAAGGGCCAGGAAGGCUAUUUUGUUUUCGGCGCGGAGGGCUAUAUCUGGAUUACUAGCGAGAGUGAUAAUACCGUUGGGCCUGGGCCUUUUGAGCUUCAUAUACCCGUAAUAAGGUAUGGCUUUAAAGCGUGUGAAUGCAUCUCGCCCCAACAGGGCAUGGUAUCCACUGUUGAAAGGGGCCACUUGGAAGGUUAUCUCUUCGGACCGAUAGUUCUCUAGCGUGCCGAAUACCACAUCAAGUGUGAUUUUUCCCGCGCAUCGUGCCUCUCGACUGGGAGUAAUUCCUUGGAAGGUCGUGCUACUUUGCUCGAUACGGCUCCUGUCUAUUUCCAUUUUACUGAGUGUAUCCUCGUAGAUGAGGUAUAAUCCGAUGCCGCCGUCCAUGAGCACCCUUGUGAGUCGAAAGCCGUCCACAAUUGGAUUCAGGACCAAGGCGGCUGGUGCUCGGACUGACCGGGUUUUUGGUUUGUCACUCGCAUUGAAAGUUAUGGCCGUGUCAUUCCAAGGAUUUAUUGUUGCGACUUGACAGACUUCGGUGAGGUCGCGGAGUGCCCUUUUGCGCCGAUUGUUUGAAGUGAAAGUCUCGAAGACCGUCAAUACUCUGUGAUUGUCGUGUUCUGGGGGGAGUUGUUCCGAGGUAUUUUUGGUGAGGAUAUCCUCGCCACUCUUGGCCACUUGCCAGAGUAUCCAACAUGCUCUAAGGCUGUGGGUAGGUAUGGUAUCCGGUGUUGUGAGUAUUUUGCACGGCCAUUCGAGCCAUCCCUCCAGAACAAUUCCGCGCCCGUAAUGGGUUUGGAUUUCUUUACUGUUGUGUCGGGUGCCCCGUGAGGUUGCAUCCUUUUUGUCCGGACGAAAGGUUGAGUGGGAGCUGGCAAUUCUUCCUACCUCUUGAGCACUUGCGUUGGUUUUCACUUGAAGAAGAAAGGGUGGUGCAGCAAAGUAGCAUGAGUAUUUCCCUCAGUUUUUGAGAACCAAGGUAUCAACCCAGUAGGUGGCUACGCGCCAGUCCCUCGCACCUACACAAAACAAAUAAAUCCUCGCAACCAACGCGAUAAGGGGUUGUCAAUCCCUACAUGGUCACUUACGAGAGUGAGAUCUGAUAGAUAUGAUAAGAUAAUAUUUUUGGUAUUUUUAUGAUAAAGAUGCAAAGUAAAAUAAAAGCAAAGUAAAAAAGCAAAGUAUUGGAAGAUUAAUAUGAUGUAGAUAGACAUGGGGGCCAUAGGUUUCAUUAGUGGCUUCUCUCAAGAGCAUAAGUAUUUUACGAUGGGUGAACAAAUUACUGUUGAGCAAUUGACAGAAUUGAGCAUAGUCAUGAGAAUAUCUAGGUAUGAUCAUGUAUAUAGGCAUCACGUCCGAGACAAGUAGACCGACUCCUGCCUGCAUCUACUACUAUUACUCCACACAUCGACCGCUAUCCAGCAUGCAUCUAGAGUAUUAAGUUCAUGAGAACAGAGUAACGCUUUAAGCAAGAUGACAUGAUGUAGAGGGAUAAACUCAUGCAAUAUGAUUAAAACUGAAGGAAAUAUGCCCUAGAGGCAAUAAUAAAGUUAUUAUUUAUAUUUCCUUAUAUCAUGAUAAAUGUUUAUUAUUCAUGCUAGAAUUGUAUUAACCGGAAACAUAAUACAUGUGUGAAUACAUAGACAAACAGAUUGUCACUAGUAUGCCUCUACUUGACUAGCUCGUUGAUCAAAGAUGGUUAUGUUUCCUAACCAUAGACAUGAGUUGUCAUUUGAUUAACGGGGUCACAUCAUUAGGAGAAUGAUGUGAUUGACAUGACCCAUUCUAUUAGCUUAGCACACGAUCGUUUAGUAUUCUGCUAUUGCUUUCUUCAUGACUUAUACAUGUUCCUAUGACUAUGAGAUUAUGCAACUCCCGUUUACCGGAGGAACACUUUGUGUACUACCAAAUGUCACAACGUAACUGGGUGAUUAUAAAGGUGCUCUACAGGUGUCUCCAAAGGUACUUGUUGGGUUGGCAUAUUUCGAGAUUAGGAUUUGUCACUCCGAUUGUCGGAGAGGUGUCUCUGGGCCCUCUCGGUAAUGCAUAUCACUUAAGCCUUGCAAGCAUUGCAACUAAUGAGUUAGUUGCGGGAUGAUGUAUUACGGAAUGAGUAAAGAGACUUGCCGGUAACGAGAUUGAAUUAGGUAUUGAGAUACUGACGAUCGAAUCUCAGGCAAGUAACAUACCGAUGACAAAGGGAACAACGUAUGUUGUUGUGCGGUUUGACCGAUAAAGAUCUUCAUAGAAUAUGUGGGAGCCAAUAUGAACAUCCAGGUUCCUCUAUGGGUUAUUGACCGGAGACGUGUCUCGGUCAUGUCUACAUAGUUCUCGAACCCGUAGGGUCCGCACGCUUAACAUUACGAUGAUAGUUAUAUUAUGAGUUUAUAUGUUUUGAUGUACCUAUGGUUGUUCGGAGUGCCGGAUGUGAUCAAGGACAUGACGAGGAGUCUGGAAAUGGUCAAUACAUGAAGAUUGAUAUAUUGGAAGCCUAUGUUUGGAUGUCGGAAGUGUUCCGGGUGAAAUCGGGAUUUCACCGGAGUACCGGGAGGUUACCGGAACCCCCCGGGUGCUUAAUGGGCCUACAUGGGCCUUAGUGGAAAUAGAGGGAAGCAAGGAAAGUGUGCCCCCAAGGCCCAAACCUAAUUGGUUUAGGGCAAGGGGGCCAGCCCCCUCUUUCCUUCUUCCCCUCUCUCUUUUCCUUCUCCUGAAUCCUAUUCCAACUAGGAAACGGGGGGAGUCCUACUCCCGGUGGGAGUAGGACUCCUCCUAGCGCACCCUCUCCCUGGCCGGCCGCACCCCCCUUGCUCCUUUAUAUACGGGGGCAGGGGCAUCCCAUAGACACAACAAUUGAUCAAGUUGAUCUUUUAGCCGUGUGCGGUGCCCCCCUCCACCAUAGUCCACCUCGAUAAUACUGUAGUGGUGCUUAGGCGAAGCCCUGCAUCGGUAGAACAUCAACAUCGUCACCACACCGUCAUGCUGAAGAAACUCUCCCUCAACACUCGGCUGGAUCGGAGUUCGAGGGACGUCAUCGGGCUGAACGUGUGCUGAACUCGGAGGUGUCGUACGUUCGGUACUUGAUCGGUCGGAUCGUGAAGACGUACGACUACAUCAACCGCGUUGUGCUAACGCUUCCGUUUUCGGUCUAUGAGGGUACGUAGACAACACUCUCCCAUAUCGUUGCUAUGCAUCACCAUGACUUGCGUGUGCGUAGGAAUUUUUUUGAAAUUACUACGUUACCCAACAAUGGCAUCCGAGCCAGGUUUUAUGCGUAGAUGUCAUAUGCACGAGUAGAACACAAGUGAGUUGUGGGCGAUAUAAGUCAUACUGCUUACCAGCAUGUCAUACUUUGGCUCGGCGGUAUUGUUGGAUGAAGCGGCCCAGACCGACAUUACGCGUACACUUACGCGAGACUGGUUCUACCGAUGUGCUUUGCACACAAGUGGUUGGCGGGUGUCAGUUUCUCCAACUUUAGUUGAACCGAGUGUGGCUACGCCCGGUCCUUGCGAAGGUUAAAACAACACCAACUUGACAAGCUAUCAUUGUAGUUUUGAUGCGUAGGUAAGAACGGUUCUUGCUAAGCCCGUAGCAGCCACGUAAAACUUGCAACAACAAAGUAGAGGAUGUCUAACUUGUUUUUGCAGGGCAUGUUGUGAUGUGAUAUGGUCAAGACAUGAUGCUAAAUUUUAUUGUAUGAGAUGAUCAUGUUUUGUAACCGAGUUGUCGGCAACUGGCAGGAGCCAUAUGGUUGUCGCUUUAUUGUAUGCAAUGCAAUCGCCCUGUAAUGCUUUACUUUAUCACUAAGCGGUAGCGAUAGUCGUGGAAGCAUAAGAUUGGCGAGAAGACAACGAUGCUACGAUGGAGAUCAAGGUGUCGCACCGGUGACGAUCGUGGUCAUGACGGUGCUUCGGAGAUGGAGAUCACAAGCACAAGACGAUGAUGGCCAUAUCAUAUCACUUAUAUUGAUUGCAUGUGAUGUUUAUCUUUUAUGCAUCUUAUCUUGCUUUGAUUGAUGGUAGCAUUAUAAGAUGAUCUCUCACUAAAUUUCAAGAUAAAAGUGUUCUCCCUGAGUAUGGACCGUUGCCAAAGUUCAUCGUGCCUAGACACCACGUGAUGAUCGGUUGUGAUAAGCUCUACGUCCAUCUACAACGGGUGCAAGCCAGUUUUGCACACGCAGAAUACUCAGGUUAAACUUGACGAACCUAGCAUAUGCAGAUAUGGCCUCGGAACACUGAGAGAGAAAGGUCGAGCAUGAAUCAUAUAGUAGAUAUGAUCAACAUAGUGAUGUUCACCAUUGAAAACUAAUCCAUUUCACGUGAUGAUCGGUUAUCGUUUAGUUGAUCUGGAUCACGUGAUCACUUAGAAGAUUAGAGGGAUGUAUUUCUAAGUGGGAGUUCUUAAGUAAUAUGAUUAAUUGAACUUAAAUUUAUCAUGAACUUAGUACCUGAUAGUAUCUUGCUUGUCUAUGUUUGAUUGUAGAUAGAUGGCCCGUGCUGCUGUUCCGUUGAAUUUUAAUGCGUUCCUUGAGAAAGCAAAGUUGAAAGAUGAUGGUAGCAAUUACACGGACUGGGUCCGUAACUUGAGGAUUAUCCUCAUUGCUGCACAGAAGAGUUACGUCCUGGAAGCACCGCUGAGUGCCAGGCCUGCUGCUGAUGCAACUGUAGACGUUAAGAACGCAUGGCAGAGCAAAGCUGAUGACUACUCAAUAGUUCAGUGUGCCAUGCUUUACGGCUUAGAACCGGGACUUCAACGACGUUUUGAACGUUAUGGAGCAUAUGAGAUGUUCCAGGAGUUGAAGUUAAUAUUUCAAGCAAAUGCCCGGAUUGAGAGAUAUGAAGUCUCUAAUAAGUUCUACAGCUGCAAGAUGGAGGAGAAUAGUUCUGUCAGUGAACAUAUACUCUGAAUGUCUGGGAACCAUAAUCACUUAACUCAGCUGGGAGUUAAUCUUUCGGUUGAUAGUGUCAUUGACAGAGUUCUACAAUCACUGCCACCAAGCUACAAGAGCUUCGUGAUGAACUAUAAUAUGCAAGGGAUGAAUAAAUCAAUUCCCGAGCUCUUCGCAAUGCUAAAGGCAGCGGAGGUAGAAAUCAAGAAGGAGCAUCAAGUGUUGAGGGUCAAUAAGACCACCAGUUUCAAGAAAAAGGGUAAAGGGAAGAAGAAUGGGAACUUCAAGAAGAACAGCAAGCAAGUUGCUGCUCAGGAGAAGAAACCCAAGUCUGGACCUAAGCCUGAGACUGAGUGCUUCUACUGCAAGUAGACUGGUCACUAGAAGCGGAACUGCCCCAAGUAUUUGGCGAAUAAGAAGGAUGGCAAGGUGAAUAAAGGUAUAUGUGAUAUACAUGUUAUUGAUGUGUACCUUACUAGAGCUCGCAGUAGCACCUGGGCAUUUGAUACUGGUUCUGUUGCUAAUAUUUGCAACUCGAAACAGGGACUACGGAUUAAGCGAACACUGGCAAAGGACGAGGUAACGAUGCACGUGGGAAAUGGUUCCAAAGUCGAUGUGAUCGCGGUCGGCACGCUACCUCUACAUCUACCUUCGGGAUUAGUAUUAGACCUAAAUAAUUGUUAUUUGGUGCCAGCGUUGAGCAUGAACAUUAUAUCUGGAUCUUGUUUGAUCCGAGACAGUUAUUCAUUUAAAUCAGAGAAUAAUUGUUGUUCUAUUUAUAUGAGUAAUAUCUUUUAUGGUCAUGCACCCUUGAAGAGUGGUCUAUUUUUGAUGAAUCUCGAUAGUAGUAAUACACAUAUUCAUAAUGUUGAAGCCGAAAGAUGCAGAGUUGAUAAUGAUAGUGCAACUUAUUUGUGGCACUGCCGUUUAGGUCAUGUCGGUGUAAAGCACAUGAAGAAACUCCAUACUGAUGGACUUUUGGAACCACUUGAUUAUGAAUCACUUGGUACUUGCGAACCGUGCCUCAUGGGCAAGAUGACUAAAACGCCGUUCUCCAGAACUAUAGAGAGAGCAACAGAUUUAUUGGAAAUCAUACAUGCAGAUGUAUGUGGUCCGAUGAAUGUUGAGGCUCGUGGCAGAUAUCGUUAUUUUCUCACCUUCACAGAUGAUUUAAGCAGAUAUGGGUAUAUCUACUUAAUAAAGCAUAAGUCUGUAACAUUUGAAAAGUUCAAAGAAUUUUAGAGUGAAGUUGAAAAUCAUCGUAACAAGAAUAUAAAGUUUCUACGAUCUGAUCGUGGAGGAGAAUAUUUGAGUUACAAGUUUGGUCUACAUUUGAAACAAUGCGGAAUAGUUUCGCAACUCACGCCACCCGGAACACCACAGCGUAAUGGUGUGUCCGAACGUCGUAAUCGUACUUUACUAGAUAUGGUGCGAUCUAUGAUGUCUCUUACAGAUUUACUGCUAUCAUUUUGGGGAUAUUCUUUAGAGAUGGCUGCAUUCACGUUAAAUAGGGCACCAUCAAAAUCCAUUGAGACGACACCUUAUGAACUGUGGUUUGGCAAGAAACCGAAGUUGUCAUUUCUGAAAGUUUGGGGCUGUGAUGCUUAUGUGAAAAAGCUUCAACCUGAUAAGCUCGAACCCAAAUCGGAGAAAUGUGUCUUCAUAGGAUACCCAAAGGAGACUGUUGGGUACACCUUCUAUCACAGAUCUGAAGGCAAGACUUUCGUUGCUAAGAAUGGAUCCUUUCUAGAGAAGGAGUUUCUCUCGAAAGAAGUGAGUGGGAGGAAAGUGGAACUUGAUGAGGUAACUAUACCUGCUCCUCUAUUGGAAAGUAGUUCAUCACAGAAACCGGUUUCUCUGACACCUACACCAAUUAGUGAGGGAGUUAAUGAUGAUGAUCAUGGAACUUCAGAUCAAGUUACUACUGAACCUCGUACAUCAACCAGAGUAAGAUCCGCACCAGAGUGGUACGGUAAUCCUGUUCUGGAAGUCAAGCUACUAGAUCAUGAUGAACCUACGAACUAUGAAGAAGCGAUGGUGAGCCCAGAUUCCGCAAAAUGUCUUGAGGCCAUGAAAUCUGAGAUGGGAUCCAUGUAUGAGAACAAAGUAUGGACUUUGGUUGACUUUCCCGAUGAUCGGCAAGCAAUUGAGAAUAAAUGGAUCUUCAAGAAGAAGACUGACGCUAACGGUAAUGUUACUGUCUAUAAAGCUCAACUUGUUGCAAAAGGUUUUCGACAAGUUCAAGGGAUUGACUACGAUGAGACCUUCUCACCCAUAGCGAUGCUUAAGUCUGUCUGAAUCAUGUUAGCAAUUGCCGCAUUUUAUGAUUAUGAAAUUUGGCAAAUGGAUGUCAAAACUGCAUUCCUGAAUGGAUUUCUGGAAGAAGAGUUGUAUAUGAAGCAACCGGAAGGUUUUGUCCAUCCAAAGGGAGCUAACAAAGUGUGCAAGCUCCAGCGAUCCAUUUAUGGACUGGUGCAAGCUUCUCGGAGUUGGAAUAAACGCUUUGAUAGAGUGAUCAAAGCAUGUGGUUUUAUACAGAAUUUUGGAGAAGCCUGUAUUUACAAGAAAGUGAGUGGGAGCUCUGUAGCAUUUCUGAUAUUAUAUGUGGAUGACAUAUUGCUGAUUGGAAAUGAUAUAGAAUUUCUGGAUAGCAUAAAGGGAUACUUGAAUAAGAGUUUUUCAAUGAAAGACCUCGGUGUAGUUGCUUACAUAUUGGGCAUCAAGAUCUAUAGAGAUAUGCUAUCUCUUGAGCACUGCGUAGGAUUUCCCCGAAGAGGAGAUGAUGAUGCAGCAAAGCAGCGUAAGUAUUUCCCUCAGUUUUUGAGAACCAAGGUAUCAAUCAAGUAGGAGGCUACGUGCGAGUCCCUUGUACCUACACAAAAACAAUAGCUCAACGCAACCAACGCGCUUAGGGGUUGUCAAUCCCUUCACGGUCACUUACGAAAGUGAGAUCUGAUAGAGAUGAUAGAUAAUAUUUUUGUUAUUUUUGGUAUAGAGAUGCAAAGUGAAAAGUAAAAGGCAAAAUAAAAGCUAAGCAAUAAUAAAGUGAUGGAGAUUAAUAUGAUGAGAAAGAGACCCGGGGGCCAUAGGUUUCACUAGUGGCUUCUCUCAAGAGCAUAAGUAUUCUACAGUGGGUGAACAAAUUACUGUUGAGCAAUUGACAGAAUUGAGCAUAGUUAUGAGAAUAUCUAGGUAUGAUCAUGUAUAUAGGCAUCACGUCUGAGACAAGUAGACCGACUCCUGCCUGCAUCUACUACUAUUACUCCACUCAUCGACCGCUAUCCAGCAUGCAUCUAGAGUUUUAAGUUAAAAACAGAGUAAUGCCUUAAGCAAGAUGACAUGAUGUAGAGGGAUAGUUUCUUGCAAAAUGAUAAAAAAAAACCACCUUGUUAUCCUCGAUGGAAACAAUACAAUACGUGCCUUGCUGCCCCUUCUAUCACUGGGAAAGGACACCGCAAGAUUGAACCCAAAGCUAAGCACUUCUCCCAUGGCAAGAAAAACCAAUCUAGUAGGCCAAACCAAACUGGUAAUUCGAAGAGAAUUGCAAAGAUAACCAAUCAUACAUAAAAGAAUUCAUAGAAGAUUCAAAUAUUAUUCAUAGAUAGACUUGAUCAUAAACCCACAAUUCAUCGGUCUCAACAAACACACCGCAAAAAGAAGAUUACAUCGAAUAGAUCUCCAUGAGAGAGGGGGAGAACAUUGUAUUGAGAUCCAAAAAGAGAGAAGAAGUCAUCUAGCUACUAACUAUGGACCCGUAGGUCUGGAAUAAACUACUCACACUUCAUCAGAGGGGCUUGGAUGAUGAUGUAGAAGCCCUCCGUGACCGAUUCCCCUUCCGGCGGAGCUCCGGAACAGGCCCCAAGAUGGGAUCUCAUGGUUACAGAAAGUUGCGGCGGUGGAAUUAGGUUUUUGGCUCCGUCCCCGAUCGUUUGGGGGUACGUAGGUAUAUAUAGGAGGAAGGAGUACGUCGGUGGAGCUUUGAGGGGCCCACGAGGCAGGGGGCGCGCUCCCUUCACCCUCGUGACCACCUCGUGGCUUUCUUGACGGAGGGUCCAAGUCUCCUGGGUCUUAUCUGAUGAGAAAAUCACGUUCCCAAAGGUUUCAUUCCGUUUGGACUCCGUUUGAUAUUCUGUUUCUCCGAAACACUGAAAUAGGCAAAAAAACAGCAAUUCUGGGUUGGGCCUCCGGUUAAUAGGUUAGUCCCAAAAAUAAUAUAAAAGUGGAAAACAAAGCCCAAUAUGGUCCAAAACAGUAGAUAAUAUAGCAUGGAGCAAUCAAAAAUUAUAGAUACGUUGGAGACGUAUCAAGCAUCCCCAAGCUUAAUUCAUGCUCGUCCUCGAGUAGGUAAAUGAUAAAAAGAGAAUUUUUGAUGCGGAGUGCUACUUGGCAUAAUUUUUAUGUAAUUCUUCUUAAUUGUGGUAUGAAUAUUCAGAUCCGAAAGAUUCAAUAGAAAAGUUCACAUUGACAUAAAAAUGAUAAUACUUCAAGCAUACUAACUAAGAAAUUAUGUCUUCUCAAAAUAACAUGGCCAAAGAAAGUUCAUCCCUACAAAAUCAUAUAGUUUAGUCAUGUUUCAUUUUCGUCACACAAGAAUGCUCUCAUCAUGCACAACCCCGAUGACAAGCCAAGCAAUUGUUUCAUACUUUAGUAAUCUCAAACCUAUAAACUUUCAGGCAAUAUAUGAGCGCGAGCCAUGGACAUAGCACUAUGGGUGGAAUAGAAUAUAAUGAAGGGGGUUAUGUGGAGAAGACAAAAAAGGAGAAAGUCUCAUAUCAACGAGGCUAAUCAAUGGGCUAUGGAGAUGCCCACCGAUUGAUGUUAAUGCAAGGAGUAGGGAUUGCCAUGCAACGGAUGCACUAGAGCUAUAAAUGUAUGAAAGCUCAACAAAAGAAACUAGUGGGUAUGCAUCCAACUUGCUUGCUCAUGAAGACCUAGGGCACUUGAGGAGGCCCAUUGUUGGAAUAUACAAGCCAAGUUCUAUAAUGAAAAAUUCCCACUAGUAUAUGAAAGUGAUAACAUGAGAGACUCUCUACUAUGAAGAUCAUGGUGCUACUUUGAAGCACAAGUGUGGUAAAAGGAUAGUAACAUUGUCCCUUCUCUCUUUUUCUCUCAUUUUUUGGGCCUUCUCUUUUUUAUGGUCUUUCUCUUUUUUUGGGCCUUCUCUUUUUCUUAUGGCCUUCCUCUUUUUUUUAUUCCUCACUUGGGACAAUGCUCUAAUAAUGAUGAUCAUCACACUUCUAUUUAUUUACAACUCAAUGAUUACAACUCGAUACUAGAACAAAGAUGACUCUAUACGAAUGCCUCCGGCGGUGUACCGGGAUAUGCAAUGAACCAAGAGUGACAUGUAUGAAAGAAUUAUGAACGAUGGCUUUGCCACAAAUACUAUGUCAACUACAUGAUCAUGCUAAGCAAUAUGGCAAUGAUGAAUGUGUCAUGAUGAACUGAAUGAUGGAAAGUUGCAUGGCAAUAUAUCUUGGAAUGGCUAUGGAAAUGCCAUAAUAGGUAGGUAUGGUGGCUGUUUUGAGGAAGAUAUAAUGAGGUUUAUGUGUGAAAGAGCGUAUCAUAUCACGGGGUUUGGAUGCACCGGUGAAGUUUGCGCCAACUCUCAAUGUGAGAAAGGGCAAUGCACGGUACCGAAGAGGCUAGCAAGGAUGGAAGGGUGGGAGUGCGUAUAAUCCAUGGACUCAACAUUAGUCAUAAAGAACUCACAUACUUAUUGCAAAAGUCUACAAGUCAUCAAAAACCUCGGUACUACGUGCAUGCUCCUAGGGGGAUAGAUUGGUAGGAAAAAACCAUCGCUCGUCCCCGACCGCCACUCAUAAGGAAGACAAUCAAAUAACACCUCAUGUUUCAAAUUUGUUGCAUAACGUUUACCAUACAUGCAUGCUACGGGACUUGCAAACAUCAACACAAGUAUUUCUCAAUUUCACAACUACUCAACUAGCAUGACUUUGAUAUUAUUACCUCCAUAUCUCAAAACAAUCAUCAAGCAUCGAACUUUUCUUAGUAUUCAACACACUCAUAAGAAAGUUUUAUUAUUAAUCUUGCGUACCAAGCAUAUUAGGAUUUUAAGCAAAUUACCAUUCUAUUAAGACUCUCAAAAUAAUCUAAGUGAAGAAUGAGAGAUCAAUAGUUUCUAUAAAACAAAUCCACCACCGUGCUCUAAAAGAUAUAAGUGAAGCACUAGAGCAAAACUAUAAAGCUCAAAAGAUAUAAGUGAAGCACAUAGAGUAUUCUAUCAAAUUUCAAAUCAUGUAUGGCUCUCUCAAAAGGUGUUUGCAUCAAGGAUGAUUGUGGUAUAUAACAAGGUAAAGACUCAAAUCAUAAAAGACGCUCCAAGCAAAACACAUAUCAUGUGGUGAAUAAAAAUAUAGCUCCAAGUAAAGUUACCGAUAGAAGUAGAUGAAAGAGGGGAUGCCUUCCAGGGCAUCCCCAAGCUUUGGCGUUUAGGUGUCCUUAGAUUAUCUAGGGGGUGCCAUGGUCAUACCCAAGCUUAGUCUCUUGCCACUCCUUGUUCCAUAAUCCAUCAAAUCUUUACCCAAAACUUAAAACUUCACAACACAAAACUUAAAGUAGAAGAUCUCGUGAGCUCCGUUAGCAAAAGAAAACAAAAGACCACUUCAAGGUACUGUAAUGAACUCAUUCUUUAUUUAUAUUGGUGUUAUAACUACUGUAUUCCAACUUAUCUAUGGAUUAUAAACUAUUUUACUAGCCAUAGAUUCAUCAAAAUAAGCAAACAACACAUGAAAAACAGAAUCUUUCAAAAAUAGAACAGUCUGUAGUAAUCUGUAGCUAGAGCAAGAUAUGGAACCCCAAAAAUUCUAAAAUAAAUUGCUAGACGUGAGAAAUUUAUCUAUUAAUCAUGUGCAAAAAUAAUGAACUAAAUAUCACUUUCCAAAUAAAAAUGACAGCAGUUCUCGUGAGCGCUAAAGUUUCUGUUUUUACAGCAAGUUCAACAAGACUUUCCCCAAGUCUUCCCAACGGUUCUACUUGGCACAAACACUAAUUAAACACAAAAAACACAACCUAAAAAGAGGCUAGAUAAAUUAUUUAUUAUUAAACAGGAGCAAAAAGCAAGGAAUAAAAAUAAAAUUGGGUUGCCUCCCAACAAGCGCUAUCGUUUAACGCCCCUAGCUAGGCGUAACAAUCAAGGAUAGAUCUAGGUAUUGCCAUCUUUGGUAGGCAAUUCUUCAAUGAGGCAUAUAUCUUCCUUAGGAAUUUCUUCCUCUCUAGUAAUUAUCAAACUCUUACGCACAAGAUCAAAAAAUUCAUUUGUAGCAAUUGGUUCCUUAAUGAUAGCAAAAAGAUUGGGAUGAAUACUUACAGAUUUAAGAUCCGCAGUUUCCUUACUAGAUGAUUCACCCUUAUUUUUAGGAAUAUACAUAAGCUUGGAAAUUUUAGUAGGAGGACUUGGAGUAUUCUUUACGGAAGAAAAAGCGGUUCCCAAGUUCGUAAUGAUACCCUCAAGUUUAUCGAUUCUAGUGGAAUCUAGAUUUAUUUUCUCACUAACUAUGGGUUCCUUUUCCUUAAUAUUUUUCAAAGUCAUUCCUACCUUAGAUCCAUAUUGGGUAAUUUGAUUGUGGAUCUUUUUAUCUAGAUUUUCAAUUAAUUCAAUGGUAGCAACUUUAUUUUCAAUAAUUUCAAGUCUUUGCAUAACAUGCUCCAAAGUUAAAAUAGUUCCAUUAACCAAAAGAGGUGGUGAGCCAAAUAAAUCUAUCAUAGCAUUAUAAGAAUCAAAAGUAUGGCUACCCAAGAAAUUCCCUCCGCUAAUGGUAUCAAGGAUAUAUCUUUACCAAGGACUAGCACCUACAUAAAAAUUGCGGAGAAGAACUGAAGUAGAUUGCUUCCUGGUAGAUCUAUUUUGAGCAUUGCAAAUUCUAUACCAAGCAUCUUUUAGAUUUUCUCCCUCCCUUUGUUUAAAAUUUAGAACUUCAUUCUCGGGAGACAACGGAGAAUCUAUGAGACUAGCCAUGACGACAAGCAAACAAACUAACACAUGAGCAAACAAAAAGCAAACAGGCAAAAAAGAGGCAAAAAGAGAGGGAGGAUAGAGAGAGAGGGCGAAUAAAACGGCAAGGGUGAAGUGGGGGAGAGGAAAACAAGAGGCAAAUGGCAAAUAAUGUAAUGCGAGAGAUAGGGAUUGUGAUGGGUACUUGGUAUGUUGACUUUUGCGCAGACUCCCCGGCAACGGCGCCAGAAAUUCUUCUUGCUACCUCUUGAGCACUUCAUUGGAUUUCCCCAAAGAGGAGAGGAUGAUGCAGCAAAGUAGCGUAAGUAUUUCCCUUAGUUUUUGAGAACCAAGGUAUCAAUCCAGUAGGAGGCUAUGCGCGAGUCCCUUGUACCCACACAAAAACAAUAGCUCAACGCAACCAACGCGCUUAGGGGUUGUCAAUCCCUUCACGGUCACUUACGAAAGUGAGAUCUGAUAGAGAUGAUAGAUAAUAUUUUUGGUACUUUUGGUAUAAAGAUGCAAAGUGAAAAGUAAAAGCAAAGCAACAAUAAAGUGAUGGAUAUUAAUAUGAUGAGAAAGAGAUCCGGGGGCCAUAGGUUUCACUAGUGGCUUCUCUCAAGAGCAUAAGUAUUCUACGGUGGGUGAACAAAUUACUGUUGAGCAAUUGACAGAAUUGAGCAUAGUUAUGAGAAUAUCUAGGUAUGAUCAUGUAUAUAGGCAUCACGUCCGAGACAAGUAGACCGACUCCUCCUGCAUCUACUACUAUUACUCCACUCAUCGACCGCUAUCCAGCAUGCAUCUAGAGUAUUAAGUUAAAAAUAGAGUAACGCCUUAAGCAAGAUGACAUGAUGUAGAGGGAUAGUUUCAUGCAAUAUGAUAAAAAAACAUCUUGUUAUCCUCGAUGGCAACAAUGUAAUAUGGACCUUGCUGCCCCUUCUGUCACUGGGAAAGGACACCGCAAGAUUGAACCCAAAGCUAAGCACUUCUCCCAUGGCAAGAAAAACCAAUCUAGUAGGCCAAACCAAACUGAUAAUUCGAAGAGACUUGCAAAGAUAACCAAUCAUACAUAAAAUAAUUCAGAUAAGAUUCAAAUAUUAUUCAUGGAUAGACUUGAUCAUAAACCCACAAUUCACCGGUCUCAACAAACACAUCGCAAAAAGAAGAUUACAUCGAAUAGAUCUCCACGAGAGAGGGGGAGAACAUUGUAUUGAGAUCCAAAAAGAGAGAAGAAGCCAUCUAGCUACUAACUAUGGACCCGUAGGUCUGAAAUAAACUACUCACACUUCAUUGGAGGGGCUAGGAUGAUGAUGUAGAAGGCCUCCGUGAUCGAUUCCCCUUCCGGCGGAGCUCCGGAACAGGCCCCAAGAUGGGAUCUCGUGGAUACAGAAAUUUGCGGCGGUGGAAUUAGGUUUUUGGCUCCGUCCCUGAUCGUUUGGAGGUACGUAGGUAUAUAUAGGAGAAAGGAGUACGUCGGUGGAGCUGCGACGGGCCCACGAGGCAGGGGCGCGCCCUAGGGGGGCGCCCUCCACCCUCGUGACUGCCUCGUGGCUUUCUUGACGGAGGGUCCAAGUCUCCUGGGUCUUAUCUGAUGAGAAAAUCAUGUUCCCGAAGGUUUCAUUCCGUUUGGACUCCGUUUGAUAUUAUGUUUCUCCGAAACACUGAAAUAGGCAAAAAAACAGUAAUUCUGGGUUGGGCCUCCGGUUAAUAUGUUAGUCCCAAAAAUAAUAUAAAAGUGGAAAAUAAAGCCCAAUAUGGUCCAAAACAGUAGAUAAUAUAGCAUGGAGCAAUCAAAAAUUAUAGAUACGGUUGAGACGUAUCAAGAUAGAUCAAGACGCUUAAUUGGACUUUCACAAAGCACAUACCUUGAAAAGUUUUGAAAAAGUUCAAAAUGGAUCAAGCAAAGAAAGGGUUCUUGCCUAUGUUACAAGGUGUGAAGUUGAGUAAGACUCAAUGCCCGACCACUGCAGAAGAUAGAGAGAAAAUGAAAGAUGUUCCCUAUGCUUCAGUCAUAGGCUCUAUCAUGUAUGCAAUGGUGUGUACCAGACCUGAUGUGUGCCUUGCUAUAAGUCUAGCAGGGAGGUACCAAAGUAAUAAUCCAGGAGUGGAUCACUGGACAGCGGUCAAGAACAUCCUGAAAUACCUGAAAAGGACUAAGGAUAUGUUUCUCGUUUAUGGAGGUGACAAAGAGCUCAUCGUAAACGGUUACGUUGAUGCAAGCUUUGACACUGAUCCGGACGAUUCUAAAUCGCAAAUCGGAUACGUGUUUACAUAGAACGUUGGAGCCGUCAGUUGGUGCAGUUCUAAACAAAGCGUUGUGGCGGGAUCUACAUGUGAAGCGGAGUACAUAGCUUCUUCGGAAGCAGCAAAUGAAGGAGUCUGGAUGAAGGAGUUCAUAUCCGAUCUAGGUGUCAUACCUAGUGCAUCGGGUCCAAUGAAAAUCUUUUGUGACAAUACUGGUGCAAUUGCCUUGGCGAAGGAAUCCAGAUUUCACAAGAGAACCAAACACAUCAAGAGACGCUUCAAUUCCAUCGGGGAUUUAGUCCAGGUGGGAGACAUAGAAAUUUGCAAGAUACAUACAGAUCUGAAUGUUGCAGACCCGCUGACUAAGCCUCUUCCACGAGCAAAACAUGAUCAGCACCAAGGCUCCAUGGGUGUUAGAAUCAUUACUGUGUAAUCUAGAUUAUUGACUCUAGUGCAAGUGGGAGACUAAAGGAAAUAUGCCCUAGAGGCAAUAAUAAAGUUAUUGGUUAUUUCCUUAUAACAUGAUAAAUGUUUAUUAUUCAUGCUAGAAUUGUAUUAACCGGAAACAUAAUACACGUGUGAAUACAUAGACAAACAAAUUGUCACUAGUGCCUCUACUUGACUAGCUCAUUGAUCAAAGAUGGUUAUGUUUCCUAACCAUAGACAUGAGUUGUCAUUUGAUUAACAGGGUCACAUGAUUAGGAGAAUGAUGUGAUUGACAUGACCCAUUCCGUUAGCUUAGCACAUGAUCAUUCAGUAUUCUGCUAUUGCUUUCUUCAUGACUUAUACAUGUUCCCUAUGACUAUGAGAUUAUGCAACUCCCGUUUACCGGAGGAACACUUUGUGUGCUACCAAACGUCACAACUUAACUGGGUGAUUAUAAAGGUGCUCUACAGGUGUCACCAAAGGUACUUGUUGGGUUGGCGUAUUUUGAGAUUAGGAUUUGUCACUCCGAUUGUCGGAGAGGUAUCUCUGGGCCCUCUCGGUAAUGCACAUCACUUAAGCCUAGCAAGCAUUGCUACUAAUGAUUUAGUUGCGGGAUGAUGUAUUACGGAACGAGUAAAGAGACUUGCCGGUAAUGAGAUUGAACUAGGUAUUGAGAUACCGACGAUCGAAUCUCAGGCAAGUAACAUACCGAUGACAAAGGGAACAACGUAUGUUGUUGUGUGGUUUGACUGAUAAAGAUCUUCGUAUAAUAUGUGGGAGCCAAUAUGAACAUCCAGGUUCCGCUAUUGUUUAUUGACCGGAGAUGUGUCUCGGUCAUGUCUACAUAGUUCUCGAACCCGUAGGGUCCGCACGCUUAACGUUACGAUGACAGUUAUAUUACGAUUUUAUAUGUUUUGAUGUACCGAAGGUUGUUCGGAGUCCUGGAUGUGAUCACGGACAUUACGAGGAGUCUCGAAAUGGUCGAGACAUGAAUAUUGAUAUAUUGGAAGGCUAUGUUUGGAUGUCGGAAGUGUUCUGGGUGAAAUCAGGAUUUUACCGGAGUACCGGGAGGUUACUGGAACCCCCCGGGGCUUAAUGGGCCUACAUGGGCCUUAGUGGAAAUAGAGGGAAGCAAGGAAAGUGUGGGGCGCGCCCCCCCAAGGCCCAAACCGAAUUGGUUUAGGGCAAGGGGGCCAGCCCCCUCUUUCCUUCUUCCCCUCUCUCUUUUCCUUCUCCCGAAUCCUAUUCCAACUAGGAAAGGGGGGAGUCCUACUCCCGGUGGGAGUAGGACUCCUCCUGGCGCGCCCUCUCCCUGGNNNNNNNNNNNNNNNNNNNNNNNNNNNNNNNNNNNNNNNNNNNNNNNNNNNNNNNNNNNNNNNNNNNNNNNNNNNNNNNNNNNNNNNNNNNNNNNNNNNNNNNNNNNNNNNNNNNNNNNNNNNNNNNNNNNNNNNNNNNNNNNNNNNNNNNNNNNNNNNNNNNNNNNNNNNNNNNNNNNNNNNNNNNNNNNNNNNNNNNNNNNNNNNNNNNNNNNNNNNNNNNNNNNNNNNNNNNNNNNNNNNNNNNNNNNNNNNNNNNNNNNAGACACAACAAUUGAUCAAGUUGAUCUUUUAGCCGUGUGCGGUGCCCCCCUCUACCAUAGUCCACCUCGACAAUACUGUAGCGGUGCUUAGGCGAAGCCCUGCAUCGGUAGAACAACAUCGUCACCACACCGUUGUGCUGACGAAACUCUCCCUCAACACUCAGCUGGAUCGGAGUUCGAGGGACGUCAUCGGGCUGAACAUGUGCUGAACUCGGAGGUGUCGUACGUUCGGUACUUGAUCGGUCGGAUCAUGAAGACGUACGACUACAUCAACCGCGUUGUGCUAACGCUUCCACUUUUGGUCUACGAGGGUACAUAGACAACACUCUCCCCUCUCGUUGCUAUGCAUCACCAUGAUCUUGCGUGUGUGUAGGAUUUUUUUGAAAUUACUACGUUACCCAACAAAAACCCCAUCUUGUUAUCCUCGAUGGCAACAAUACAAUACGUGCCUUGCUGCCCCUACUGUCACUGGGAAAGGACAUGGCAAGAUUGAACCCAAAGCUAAGCACUUCUCCCAUUGCAAGAAAGAUCAAUCUAGUAGGCCAAACCAAACUGAUAAUUCGAAGAGACUUGCAAAGAUAACCAAUCAUACAUAAAAGAAUUCAAAGAAGAUUCAAAUAUUGUUCAUAGAUAAACUUGAUCAUAAACCCACAAUUCAUCGGUCUCAACAAACACACCACAAAAAAAUUAUAUCGAAUAGAUCUCCACAAGAGAGGGGGAGAACUUUGUAUUGAGAUCCAAAAAGAGAGAAGAAGCCAUCUAGCUAAUAACUAUGGACCCGAAGGUCUGAGGUGAACUACUCACACUUCAUCAGAGAGGCUAUGGUGUUGCUGUGGAAGCCCUCCGUGAUCGAUGCCCCCUCCGGCGGAGCUCCGGAACAGGCCCCAAGAUGGGAUCUCGUGGAUACAGAAAGUUACGGCGGUGGAAUUAAGGUUUUGGCUCCGUAUCUGAUCGUUUGGGGGUACGUGGGUAUAUAUAGGAGGAAGAAGUACGUCGGUGGAGCAACAGGGGGCCCACGAGGGUGGAGGGCGCGCCUGGGGGGGAGGUAGGCGUGCCCCCUACCUCGUGGCCUCCCUGUUGGUUGCUUGACAUAGGGUCCAAGUCUCCUAGAUCUUGUUCAUUCCAAAAUUCACGUUCCCGAAGGUUUCAUUCCGUUUGGACUCCGUUUGAUAUUCCUUUUCUUCGAAACCCUACAAUAGGCAAAAACAACAAUUCUGGGCUGGGCCUCCGGUUAAUAGGUUAGUCCCAAAAAUAAUAUAAAAGUGAAUAAUAAAGCCCAAUAAUGUCCAAAACAGAAGAUAAUAUAGCAUGGAGCAAUCAAAAAUUAUAGAUACGUUGGAGACGUAUCAAGCAUCCCCAAGCUUAAUUCCUGCUCGUCCUCGAGUAGGUAAAUGGUAAAAAUAGAUUUUUUUUAUGUGGAAUUCUACUUGGCAUAAUUUUCAAUGUAAUUAUUUUUAAUUGUGGUAUGAAUAUUUAGAUCCGAAAUAUUCAAGACAAAAGUUUUAUAUUGACAUAAAAAUAAUAAUACUUCAAGCAUACUAACUAAGCAAUUAUGUCUUCUCAAAAUAACAUGGCCAAAUAAAGUUAUCCCUACAAAAUCAUAUAGUCUGGCUAUGCUCUAUCUUCACCACACAAAGUAUUUAAAUCAUGCACAACCCCGAUGACAAGCCAAGCAAUUGUUUCAUACUUUUGACAUUCUCAAAACUUUUUCAAUCUUCACGCAAUAUAUGAGCAUGAGCCAUGGACAUAGCACUUUAGGUGGAAUAGAGUGGUGGUUGUGGAGAAGACAAAAAGGGAGAAGAUAGUCUCACAUUAACUAGACGUAUCAAUGGGCUAUGGAGAUGCCCAUUAAGAGAUAUCAAUGUGAGUGAGUAGGGAUUGCCAUGCAACGGAUGCACUAGAGCUAUAAGUAUAUGAAAGCUCAAAAAGAAACUAAGUGAGUGUGCAUCCAACUUGCUUGCUCAUGAAUACCUAGGGCAUUUUGAGGAAGCCCAUCAUUGGAAUAUGCAAGCCAAGUUCUAUAAUGAAAAAUUCCCACUAGUAUAUGAAAGUGAUAACAUAGGAGACUCUCUAUCAUGAAGAUCAUUGUGCUACUUUGAAGCACAAGUGUGUUAAAAGGAUAGUAGCAUUGUCCUUCUCUCUUUUUCUCUCAUUUUUUUAUUUGGGCCUUUUUUAUUUAUUUUUAUGGCCUCUUUUUUCGUCCAGAUUCUCAUCCUGACUUGUGGGGGAAUCAUAAUCUCCAUCAUCCUUUCCUCACUGGGACAAUGCUCUAAUAAAUGAUCAUCACACUUUUAUUUUCUUACAACUCAAGAAUUACAACUCAAUACUUAGAACAAGAUAUGACUAUAUGUCAAUGCCUCCGGCGGUGUACCGGGAUUUGCAAUGACUCAUGAGUGACAUGUAUGAAAUAAUUAUGAACGGUGGCUUUGCCACAAUGUCAACUACAUGAUCAUGCAAAGCAAUAUGACAAUGAUGGAGCAUGUCAUAGUAAACGGAAUGGUGGAAAGUUGCAUGGCAAUAUAUCUCGGAAUGGCUAUGGAAAUGCCAUGAUAGGUAGGUAUGGUGGCUGUUUUGUGGAAGGUAUAUGGUGGGUGUAUGAUACCGGCGAAAGGUGCGCGGUAUUAGAGAGGAUAUCAAUGGUGAAAGGGUGAGAGUGCGUAUAAUCCAUGGACUCAACAUUAGUCAUAAAGAACUAAUAUACUUAUUGCAAAAAUCUACAAGUUAUCAAAGCAAAGUAUUACGCGCAUUCUCCUAGGGGGAUAGAUUGGUAGGAAAAGACCAUCGCUCAUCCCCGACCGCCACUCAUAAGGAAGACAAUCAAUAAAUAAAUCAUGCUCCGACUUCAUCACAUAACGGUUCACCAUACGUGCAUGCUACGGGAAUCACAAACUUUAACACAAGUAUUUCUCAAAUUCACAACUACUCAACUAGCACAACUUUAAUAUCACCAUCUCCAUAUCUCAAAACAAUCAUCAAGUAUCAAACUUCUCUUAGUAUUCAACACACUCAUAAGAGAAUUUUAUUAUUAAUCUUGUAUACCUAGCAUAUUAGGAUUAUUUAAGCAAAUUAUCAUGCUAUUUAAGACUCUCAAAAUAAUCUAAGUGAAGAAUGAGAGAUCAAUAGUUUCUAUAAAACAAAUCCACCACCGUGCUCUAAAAAAAUAUAAGUGAAGCACUAGAGCAAAACUAUAUAACUCAAAAGAUAUAAGUGAAGCACAUAGAGUAUUCUAAUAAUUUCCGAAUCAUGUGUGUAUCUCUCAAAAGGUGUUUACAGAAAGGAUGAUUGUGGUAAACUAACAAAUAAAGACUCAAAUCAUGCAAGAUGCUCCAAGGAAAACACAUAUCAUGUGGUGAAUAAAAAUAUAGCUCCAAGUAAAGUUACCGAUAGAAGUAGACGAAAGAGGGGAUGCCUUCCGGGGCAUCCCCAAGCUUUGGCUUUUAGGUGUCCUUAGAUUAUCUUGGGGGUGCCAUGUGCAUCCCAAAGCUUAGGUUCUUGCCACUCCUUGUUCCAUAAUCCAUCAAAUCUUUACCCAAAACUUGAAAACUUCACAACACAAAACUUAAAGUAGAAAGUCUCGUGAGCUCCGUUAGCGAAAGAAAACAAAAGGCCACUUCAAGGUACUGUAAUGAACUCAUUGUUUAUUUAUAUUGGUGUUAAACCUACUGUAUUCUAACUUCUCUAUGGUUUAUAAACUAUUUUCCUAGCCAUAGAUUCAUCAAAAUAAGCAAACAACACACGAAAAACAGAAUCUGUGAAAAACAGAAUAGUCUGUAGUACUCUGUAGCUAGCGCAAGAUCUGGAACCCCAAAAAUUCUAAAAUAAAUUGAUGGACGUGAGGAAUUUAUCUAUUAAUCAUGUGCAAAAAUAAUUAACUAAAUAGCACUUUCCAAAUAAAAAUGGCAGCAGUUCUCGUGAGCGCUAAAGUUUCUUUUUUUACAGCAAGAUUAACAGGACUUCCCCAAGUCUUCCCAAUGGUUCUAGUUGGCACAAAUACUAAUUAAACACAAAAAACACAACCAAAACAUAGGCUGGAUAAAUUAUUUAUUACUAAACAGGAGCAAAAAGCAAGGAAUAAAAAUAAAAUUGGGUUGCCUCCCAACAAGCGCUAUCGUUUAACGCCCCUAGCUAGGCAUAAAAAGCAAGGAUAGAUCUAGGUAUUGCCAUCCUUGGUUUUAGGGAAGAAAAGAGCAAACUUGAUAUCUAUGGAAUUAAUCUUUCUAUUUUGAUAAAGCACAUGGCUAUUAAUUGUAGAAGAAAUAUUAAGUAUGUUACAGAAAUUUGUAUCUAAGCUAGCCUUCAUCUCUUUGAUAGAUUCGUUUUGGUAAGAGAGCAAAAGAGAUGUAGAUUCAACUUUCUCAUUCAUGGGGUGACCAAAUAUGGUUUUCAUCUUCUCAUAAGUGUCGACGGCAUCCCCUUAAAUAAAGCCUUCUUCAAAUAUAGAAUCUAAGACAUGCUUCAAAGAAGAAGGAAGGGCAAUAUAAAAGCUUUUUAAGUAAAAUUCAAUUUGGUAUUGAGGUACAUAGCUAGCCUUGAUCCUUAAUAGUCUAUACCAAGCAUCUUUCAAAGAUUCAUCAAGUAAAUAACGAAAAAUUCCAAAAUCAUCUUCAUCAAAAUUAUUAAGAUUCUCAUUGAUAACUCCGGUAGGUUUUUCCAUAGUAUCCUUAUUUAUGAGCUUAGCGGCAAUAGAAGGGUUGUCAAAAGUACUAAAACUCGAGAGAGAACCCCCAACCCUUUUUGAUUCAGACAUGGCGGAAGAAAGGCGAGCAAGAAAAAGACAGGGAGGAUAUAUAUAUAGAGAGAGAGAGAGGGCGAAUAAAAUGGCAAGGGUGAAGUGGGGGAGAGGAAAACGAGAGGCAAAUGGCAAAUAAUGUAAUGCGGGAGAUAAGGGUUUCUGAUGGGUACUUGGUAUGUUGACUUUUGCGUAGACCUCCCCGGCAACGGCACUUGAAGUCCUUCUUGCUACCUCUUGAGCACUUGUGUUGGUUUUUCCUUGAAGAGGAAAGGGUGGUGCAGCAAAGUAGCGUAAGUAUUUCCCUCAGUUUUGGAGAACCAAGGUAUCAAUCCAGUAGGAGACUACACGCCAGUCCCUCGCACCUACACAAACAAAUAAAUCCUCGCAACCAACGCGAUAAGGGGUUGUCAAUCCCUACAUGGUCACUUACGAGAGUGAGAUCUGAUAGAUAUGAUAAGAUAAUAUUUUUGGUCUUUUUAUGAUAAAUAUGCAAAGUAAAAUAAAAGCAAAGUAUUGGAAGGUUAAUAUGAUGAAGAUAGACCCGGGGGCCAUAGGUUUCACUAGUGGCUUCUCUCAAGACCAUAAGUAUUUUACGGUGGGUGAAAAAAUUACUGUUGAGCAAUUGACAGAAUUGAGCAUAGUUAUGAGAAUAUCUAGGUAUGAUCAUGUAUAUAAGCAUCACGUCUGAGACAAGUAGACCGACUCCUGCCUACAUCUACUACUAUUACUCCACACAUCGAUCGCUAUCCAGCAUGCAUCUAGAGUAUUAAGUUCAAGAGAACAGAGUAACUCUUUAAGCAAGAUGACAUGAUGUAGAGGGAUAAACUCAUGCAUAUGAUGAAAACCCCAUCUUGUUAUCCUCGAUGGCAACAAUACAAUACGUGCCUUGCUGCCCCUACUGUCACUGGGAAAGGACACCGCAAGAUUGAACCCAAAGCUAAGCACUUCUCCCAUUGCAAGAAAGAUCAAUCUAGUAGGCCAAACCAAACUGAUAAUUCGAGGAGACUUGCAAAGAUAAUCAAUCAUACAUAAAAGAAUUCAGAGAAGAUUCAAAUAUUGUUCAUAGAUAAACUUGAUCAUAAACCCACAAUUCAUCGGUCUCAACAAACACACCGCAAAAGAAGAUUACAUCGAAUAGAUCUCCACAAGAGAGGGGGAGAACUUUGUAUUGAGAUCCAAAAAGAGAGAAGAAGCCAUCUAGCUAAUAACUAUGGACCCGAAGGUCUGAGGUAAAGUACUCACACUUCAUCAGAGAGGCUAUGGUGUUGACGUAGAAGCCCUCCGUGAUCGAUGCCCCCUCCGGCGGAGUUCCGGAAAAGGCCCCAAGAUGGAUCUCGUGGAUACAGAAAGUUACGGCGGUGGAAUUAGGGUUUUGGCUCCGUAUCUGAUCGUUUGGGGAUACGUAGGUAUAUAUAGGAGGAAGAAGUACAUCGGUGGAGCAACAGGGGGCCCACGAGGGUGGAGGGCACGCCUGGGGGGGGGGGGGGGUAGGCGCGCCCCCUACCUCGUGGCCUCCCUGUUGGUUGCUUGACGUAGGGUCCAAGUCUCCUGGAUCUUGUUCGUUCAAAAAAUCACGUUCCCGAAGGUUUCAUUCCGUUUGGACUCCGUUUGAUAUUCCUUUUCUUCGAAACCCUAAAAUAGGCAAAAAAAACAACAAUUCUGGGAUGGGCCUCCGGUUAAUAGGUUAGUUCCAAAAAUAAUAUAAAAGUGAAUAAUAAAGCCCAAUAAUGUCCAAACCAAAAGAUAAUAUAGCAUGGAGCAAUCAAAAAUUAUAGAUACGUUGGAGAGUAUCAGUUCCCAACGAGCUGCUUGAGUUUUCCGGGCGCUUUCCAUUUCACAGUACUUUUGUACUAUGGUUGCCAAGUCGGCGAAGGGUAAUACGUGACGGUGGUUGAUAGCGUUGAGGAUUCCUUCAUCCGCACAAUUACUGCGGAAUAUUGAGAUCGCGUCUUCGCCGCGGCAAUCUUUGAUCUUGUUCUUGACAAGGAGGAAUCUGGCCCAAAAGUGAUGGACUGUUUCCUGAGACUGCUGCCGUAGGUAUGUGAGAUCGCGUAUAUCUGGGUGGGUGGGUAGAUUUAAAUCCGAACCCCGACUCAAUUUGGGAUCCGGAGUUUGAGAAAUUUCCGAGCUUAAUAGUUCGGGCUCUGGGAGAUCGACCGAUUUUUCAGGUCUACCGUCUGAUUCCAAGUUCGGAGGACAUGUCAUGUCAUUCCGUGGACAGGUAUCCGGCUCUUCGAGCUAAGAGAUCCAAACAUAGUUCAUCCUCAGUAUAGAGGGAUAGUUGUUGUUUUACUCCUCCACUGUCGCUAUCUGAUGGGUGAUCGAUGGAGAUUUGAUUUCUCUUUGAUCGGGUUUAAGCCCAAUUCGACCGUAGUCUGUAGGGAGCCCCAAGGCGGCAAUGCAAUCCAAGAGUUCGUUCAAGGACGAUAAUUCCAUUGGAUCCAUCUGUUUGGAGUAUUCGGAGUCAAUUCGGAGGCAUUUUUCGAUGACCCGAGAAGUCAUCGUCGGCUCAUCGGCCGAAUGGGCGGUCAUGAUAAAGCCACCCAACCGGAGGGUUUGGCCUGAGGCCAGGGCUCCAUCAGCGGUGUUAUUGUCCUUGAUCACAAGGCGAGCCAUCAACCCUGACUUCGACGUCACAGUGGAACUCUCAAUGAAAACACCAACGUCGGUGUCAAAACCGGCGGGUCUCGGGUAGGGGGUCCCGAACUGUGCGUCUGAGGUUGAUGGUAACAGGAGACAGGGCACACAAUGUUUACCCAGGUUCGGGACCUCUCGAUGGAGGUAAAACCCUGCGUCCUACUAGAUUAAUAUUGAUCGGUAUAGGGGUUACAAGAGUUGAUCUACCACGAGAUCGUAAUGGCUAAAACCCUAGAAGUCUAGCCUAUAUGAUUAUGGUUGUCGCUAUGGACUAAACCCUCCGGUUUAUAUAGACACCGGAGAGAACUAGGGUUGUACAAAGUCAGUUACAUAGAAAGGAAAUAGUACAUCCAGCCGCCUAGCUUGCCAUCCACGCAAAGGAGAGUCCUACUCGGACACGGGAGGAAGUCUUCUAUCUUGUAUCUUCACGGAACAAUACUUUGGCCCAUGUCCAAUAGGCCGGACGCCCGAGGACCCCUUAGUCCAGGACUCCCUUAGUAACCCUCUCAACUUUUUAGCACAUGCUAUAUGGGUGAAAUGAUGAUACCAUGCCAACUUUCAACCUUUUCAGAGUUCAUUUGUAGUGUUUUUCAAUUUCAGGGUCAUUUAGCUCAAAAAAAUCAGUAAAUGCAUGAAAAAUAGCAAAUGAAGUUAGAAAGGGUUGAAAAUUGAUGAUGUGGCUUUGAAUGGUGCAUACUAAAUGCACAAAAAGUCUGGAGAUGAAAUAAUUUUAAAAAAAUGAAAUGCCUUUGUAGCAGAUGAGUUUUCGUUUGAAACCCUGAUACUUCGAAAGAGAUUGUCCAUUUUGUACACGAAGUGCAUCCUAUUUUUGCCGUAACCCUCUCAACUUGUUAGCACAUGCUUUGUGGGUGAAAUGAUGAUAUCAUGCCAGCUUUCAACCUUUUCAGAGUUCAUUUGUAGUGCUUUUCAAUUUUAGAGUCAUUUAGCUCAAAAAAUCAGUAAAUAAGCUGAAAAAUAGCAAAUGAAGUCAGAAAGGGUUGAAAAUUGAUGACAUUUGUCCGAAGCACAAAAGUACAUGUUUCAAAUACCAAAACACAUAAGCACCCUAACUAUUACAAGGAUUCCCUAUAGUUUGUCCAAAGUGGAACUUUCCAGAUAUAUAAGUCCGGAAACUCACUAGAGAAGAAAGUGAUGACAGUGAAGCCGGUCACAUCCCAGAGUGAGAUCUUUGGGUGUGAAACUUUUUCUUCACGUGUGUCCCUUUGCGCCCUAACCAUGGACAAUCUUCAUCAUUUAACUUGAUGAUAGGGUCAAUAUUCACUGUGAAGGAAGCAAUUUCAUCAAACUUUUCAUAAUCUUCUGAUAUGUCUGUCUUGUCAUCCACUCCCACGAUGUUUCUUUUCCCUGAGGUGGUCCAAGGGGCACCCGAGGUGGGCACAACCCACCAGGGCGCGCCUGGGCCUCCUAGCGCGCCCUGGUGAGUUAUGCCCCCCUCGGGGCACCCCCAGGCGCAGCCAGGGUCGUUGUGUUCCUUCUGGCCCAUAAAAAUUCUCCGUAAUGUUUCGUGGCAUUUGGACUCCGUCUGAUAUUGAUUUUUUGCAUUGUAAAAAACACAGAAAAAACAAGAACUGACACUUGGCACUAUGUCAACAGGUUAGUACCAAAAAAUGACUAUAAAAUGAUUAUAAAACAUCCAAGAUUGAUAAUAUAACAGCAUGGCACAAUAAAAAAAUUAUAGAUACGCACUAUGAAGGGAGCAAUUUCAUGAAACUUUUCAUAAUUUUCUGACAUGUCUAUCUUGUCAUCCACUCCCAUGAUGAUUAUUUUCCCUAAAAGAACUAUGUGACGCUUUGGCUCAUCGUAGGAUGUGUUCGCUUCCUUAUCUUUUCUUUUUGUCGGCUUGAUAGACAUGUCCUUCACAUAGAAAACCUGGGCCACAUCAUUGGCUAGGACGAAUGGUUCGUCUGCGUAUGCAAGAUUGUUGAGAUCCACUGUUGUCAUUCUAUACUACGGGUCUUCCGUUACCCCGCCUCGAGUCAGACUGACCCAUUUGCACCGAAACAAAGGGACAUUCAAACCACGUCCAUAGUCAAGUUCCUAUAUCUUCUCUAUGUAACCAUAAUAUGUGUCCUUUCCCCUCUUGGUUGCUGCAUCAAAGCGGACUCCACUGUUUUGGUUGGUGUUUUUUUUAUCUUGGGCGAUAGUGUAAAAUGUAUUCACAUUUAUCUCGUAUCCUUUGAAAGUCAUUAUAUUCGAAGAUGGUAACUGGGACAGCAAGUACAUGUCAUCUUCAACAGCGUCGUUAUGCAUGGCAUGUGUCUGCAACCAACCGGCGAAAGUCCCUGUUUGUUCACGUGUAAUCCAGUCGUCAGACUGCUUCGGGUGUUUGGAGCGUAGAAUAUUCUUGUGCUCCUCGAUAUAUGAAGCUACCAAGGUGUAAUUUUGUAGAACUGUGUAGUGUGCUUGAGUGAGAGAAUGCCCGUCCACUUGACAGUUUCAUGAACCAUUUUGAGUUGUUGUUGCUGCUGCUCAAAUACUUUCUUAAAAUUUCAUACAACUUAUCCAGACUAGAAUCACCUGGUUUCUCCUUGCUUGGAUCUGCCAUGACACUGCAACCUAAACAAGAGCUAGUCACACCGGACUUGAUUUUGCAGCACUCCACUAGCAACAAUACACGCGUACAAAUGCUGAUGGCAAGUAGAUGUACUCCUACCAGUUGCUCUCAAAUGCACACAGACAGCACGAGCAGAGUAUUUUAAUCCGGCCACCAAGCAGAACGAACUUUCCGUCAACACUAAUCACAAUUGUCCAGAGUCGGACAUCUAGCAAGCCAGCUUACUGCUUGGACAUGGGCGACGCAGCAUCAGGAAGUAAUUUCCUGGCGGACCAGCACAAGCAUCCAGUUUCUGCACGGGAUGUAUGUGCAGCCGCACCGGAUGGAGGCCGGCGAUGCGACAGGCAGCAGUACGCCUGUCACGGUGCUCCUUCUGUAGCUUCGAGAGGACAGCGACAGCUCGGGUACGACAGAGAUGGAUGUGCAGCAACCAACACACACAGCCAUAUGCAAGUUACCUGAAAAUGCACAUCGGUCAGCCGAUUUCAAAACCUCACAGGCGAGAACACGGAUGCCGCGAUGGACAGCAGCGAGGCGCGGGGUCAACCUGUGAAUGACACGGAGUUAGAGAUCGACGAUGCGGCAGCGUGUGGAGUCCGAGGCUUAACCGUUGGGGCGCGGCGUGUGGUGGACUGCCGGCGCCAGAAAAGAAGGAUGGUGGAGCGACGAGGGAGGACGGCUUUGGUAGAGGAGUCGUUGGUGGCAUGCAUGCAGCAGGCGAUUUGGUGGGCGGUGCAUCAGAGCAUAUCCAACGUGCGGCGCGCUGAAAAAGAGUUUGCAGCGUGCAGAUUGUCUGUUUUGAUGCAGCGAGGAGCGCCGGCUCCAGCGGCCGCUGUAAACUUUAGCGCACGUGUAGCUCCAGCAGGAACGUUUAAAAAGCAGCGCGUGCAACCAGCCGGCGCUUUCCAUAUGUUGCAUUUUGGACGCGAAAUGAAUUUCAAAUAUCAAAACAAAGACAUGGCAUAAUUUAAAUCACCCAAACAAGUUCAUGAUGACAUAAAAGUUCAUGCCCACAAGUUCAAAGCUCCAGCAGUAGGGUUUGUGGCGGCGGCGGAGGGGUCGCGGGAGUAGGAAGGGGUGAGGGGGGUGCCGGCGCGGGCGUCCCCAUCGGGUCAAUUCACCGGCGGCGGCGCGGGGCGGGGUGAAGGUGGCGCGGCGGAGAGAGUGCGGCGCGAGCGCUCGAGUGUGCGGCGCGCGAAACGGGCGCACCAAAUACACAACGCGCGAUGACGAUUCGGACCGCGCGCUGUACUCUAUAUGCCACACGCGCGCUUAUUACGCGUCCGCUGGAGCCCCGAUAUCGAUUGUGCGCGCGCUAAAAAGACAAAUUUACGGCAUGGCGUUUAUUUAGCGCGGCUGUUGGAGAUGCUUUCAGAGAUCGGACCGGUGUGAAAUGAGGGCUACAAGAGGAAGAUGGCAUGGAGCCGUUGGAUGGAUAUCGGACGUCCACAUGAAAUCAACUACUCCCUCGGAUUCAAGGGAGUAGCACUGAAUUGCUUUUUAGGCGGAGAGAGAGAGAUAAGAGCGUAGUUAACGUGGCACUAGAGCCCUAGUUGGAAUGAUCAGAUGAGAUAAGAUAUUACCAAUGUUGACCAUACGCGCGUGCAGUACAAUAUCAUUUUAGCUCCACUCGUAUUCCAUUAGUUUCAUAUUAGCAAGCAGGCAUGUAAAUCUGGGUGGAAGAGUUUGUUGUAUCGGCCAGCAGAGACUCGUACGUGUAUAUAUGGACGAUCAGGAGUACAGAAGGCGUACGUUGGUUUAGAUUGACUUGGCUCGUAAGAAACUAUACAAAGACGAAGCCAUAUCGAUCCAACCUGACGUACAUAAUUACAAUACGUAAAUACAACAAGUCCUUGCCCUACACGUACAGGAUUACAAGUAUUCCAACAUCUUCUCUCAAUCACAACUUAUCUAAGUUGAGAUUGCGCCGAAAAGCUUCUUGCUGCCUCACUGUCAAAGGUUUCGUAAACCCAUCUGCAACUUGAUCUCCUGUCGGUAUAAACCGAAUGUUUAGUAACUUAUUUGCUACUCUUUCUCUGACAAAGUGAUAGUCCACUUCAAUAUGUUUAGUUCUAGCAUGAAAAACAGGAUUUGCUGACAGAUAAGUGGCACCAAGAUUAUCACACCACAAUGUUACUGCUCGUGAUUGGCAAAUACCAAGUUCCUUUAGCAAUGAUUGUACCCAAAUUACCUCUGUUGUUGCAUUUGCAAGGGACUUAUGUUCUGCUUCUGUGCUAGAUCUAGAUACUGUGGGUUGCUUCCGUGCAGUCCAUGAAACAAGAUUGCAUCCAAAAAAUAUAGCAAAACCUCCGGUGGACCUUCUGUCGUCAGGACAGCCUGCCCAAUCAGCAUCAGAAAAAGCACUAACAAGAGAUGAAUCUGACUUCACAAGUUUUAGCCCAACAGAAGAUGUAUAUCUGAGAUACCGAAUAAUUCUCUUCACUGCUGACCAAUAAACCAUAGUGGGAGCAUGCAAAAACUGACACACCUUAUUUACUGAGAAUGAUAUAUCAGGUCUAGUUAGUGUUAAAUAUUGCAGCGCACCAACUAUGCUCCUGUAUCUGGUAGAAUCUUCUCCCCCGAGUAGCUUAAAAUCCUUCAUGCCAGCUCUCUUUAUUAUGUCUACAAUAUAUUUUCCUUGAGACAAAAUAAUUCCAUUGUGUACUGAUGUUACCUCUAUUCCCAAGAAGUAAUGCAAGUCUCCCAGAUCCUUCAGUGAGAAAUCUCCACGCAGAUCACGGAGUAGUGCUUCGACUGCCUCUGAGCAUGAGCUUGUGACAAUAAUACCAUCAACAUAAAUAAGCAUAAAUAUGGUUAUUCCAUUUCUGCUAUAGAAGAAUAGAGAGGUAUCUGCCUUUGAAGGAGUAAAACCAAGUGAUUGUAGUUUGGUGGAUAGAUGAGAGUACCAUGCACGUGGUGCCUGUUUCAACCCAUAUAGUGCUUUGUCUAACUUACACAAAAGACCAGGUUUCUUGGGAUCCCCAUACCCUGGUGAUUGCCUCAUAUAGACCUCCUCUUCCAGAACACCAUGAAGAAACGCAUUCUGCACAUUCAAUUGUCGCAUACACCACCCUUUUGACACAGCAACAGACAGAAUUAACCUGAUCGUCGCUGCCUUCACUACAGGACUAAAGGUGUCCUCGUAGUCAAUGCCAUAACAUUGCUUGAAGCCUUUAGCAACUAAGCGGGCUUUGUACCUGUCAAUAGUAUCAUCAGAUUUGUGCUUAACUUUAUAUACCCACUUACAGUCAAUAAUGUUAAGUCCUCUUUGAAACGGAACAAGAUGCCAUGUCUUAUUUUUCAUGAGAGCAAGAUAUUCAGCAUCCAUGGCCUCUAUCCACUUUGCAUCACCAAAAGCCUCUUGCAGAGUGUCAGGUUCUCCUGUACUGCAGAAACCAUCCCAACGAAUACAGCCGUCCUUAUAUUCUUUAGGGCGAAAAAUACCACUUUUUGACCGUGUAUGUGCUUGUGAAGGCGGCUGGGAAGGUUGGCGUGGCUGUGGCACAAAAUUCGCAGAAGAUCCGACGCCCGCUGCAGCAUCAGGGGCCGAUCGAUCCGUCUCGGAUCGUGAAUCCGCAGGAGCAUCAUGGACCGAUGCGGCGGGUGAACCGGGGCGGCCCACUUCCGUUGAUAGGCCGCCACUUGGCGAGCCACCAGGAGCGCACGCGGAAUCGACCGCGUCCUCCACUCGGGGGCACCCACUUGGCGAAGCGGGAGCCGUUCGCUCCUGGGCCGACCCGCACGAGGCGCGCUCCUGGGCCGACCCGCACGAGGCGCGAGGAGCGGUUUCCAGGGGCUCCCGCCGUGUCAGGGUGCCAGGUACAGAUCCCGUGGCAGAUUCGCUGCCAUCCAGGGAAGCGCCGGAUCCCGUGUGGGCAGGUGAGUCCGCCUGGCUUGCCGUGCCCUGAUCUGCUGUGGCUAUUUCAUCCUGCAUAAAAUCAUCUCCAAAAGCAUUGUUUUCGAAACUGUGAGCAUCAACAGUAUUGGAAAUUGACAAAUGGUCAUUACGCUCAUUAUUCCCAUGAUCUAAAGGAGUGAAUGGAUUGAGGAGAUUUUGUGGUAAUAGAAGGAUUUCUGCUCGAAGUUGUGCGCCGGCAUUAGGAUGAAGAUUCGAAAAAGGAAAAUGGAUUCAUCAAAAACAACAUCUCUGGAUAUAUAAACUCGACCAGUGGUGACAUCAAGACACUUAUACCCUUUAUGAAGGCCACUAUAGCCUAGAAAACACACUGUUUGAAACGAAAUUAAAGUUUGUGUUGAUUGUAGGGAUGAAGAUUGGGCCAUACCACACACCCAAAAAUGCGUAAGAAAGAAUAAUUGGGUUUCUCAUGUAGAAGUCGCUCCAUGGGUGUUUGGAAAUUAAUGACCUUGCUAGGAAGUCUAUUUAUAAGAUAGACAGUGGUAAGAAAGGCUUCAUCCCAGAAUUUAAGUGGCAUGGAUGCAUGAGCAAGGAGUGAUAGACCAACUUCAACUAUAUGACGAUGCUUAUGUUCAGCUGAACCAUUUUGCUGAUGAGCAUGGGGACAUGAUACAUGAUGGGNNNNNNNNNNNNNNNNNNNNNNNNNNNNNNNNNNNNNNNNNNNNNNNNNNNNNNNNNNNNNNNNNNNNNNNNNNNNNNNNNNNNNNNNNNNNNNNNNNNNNNNNNNNNNNNNNNNNNNNNNNNNNNNNNNNNNNNNNNNNNNNNNNNNNNNNNNNNNNNNNNNNNNNNNNNNNNNNNNNNNNNNNNNNNNNNNNNNNNNNNNNNNNNNNNNNNNNNNNNNNNNNNNNNNNNNNNNNNNNNNNNNNNNNNNNNNNNNNNNNNNAAGCAAGGUUUUUUUUAUCAAAUAGACGUUCUACAUGAUGCUAAAAAUCAUGAAAUUUCUGAAACACCUCAGAUCUAUUUUUGAGCACAUAAAUCCAAGUAAACUUACUGAAAUCAUCGACAAAGCUUACAUAAUAUUUAUUUCUGCUCACUGAAGGUGUAGCAGGACCCCAUACAUCGGAGAAAAUAAGCUCUAAAGGAGCACUAGGCACACUCGUUGAACUAGGAUACGGAAGUUGAUGGCUUUUCGCCUUUUGACAGGCAUCACAAACUGACUCGUUGUUUUUACUGGAGAAAGGGAGACGAUUUUCCUUAAGAACUUUGUCGACCACCACAAAUGAGGGAUGUCCUAGACGCCUAUGCCACCGAGAGGAAGAUGGUUUGCUUGCUGAAAAAGCUUGCCAUCCAUGAAUUAACGGCUUGGACUGUAGGGGAUAAAGGCCACCCCUACUCUGAGCGUGGAGUAGAACCUUGCAUGUUACUUGGUCCUUAACAGAAAUAAAUUCAAGCCAAAACUCAAUGUAAGUAAGAUUGUCAUGAGCAAGUUUGUGAGCUAAAAUAAGAUUUUUUGUUGUUGCAGAUGGAACAUGUAGGACAUUCUUAAGAUGUAAAGGACGAUCAUGGGUAUGAAUUUGCGUUUGACCAAUAUGUUCUAUUUCCAUACCUGCUCCAUUUGCUGCAUGAACUUGCUCGUUGCCAUGGUAGCGAUCAUGGACCGUGAGCUUGCUUAGCUAACCCGUAAUGUGGUCGGUAGCUCCGGUGUCGACGUACCAAUUGGUGUCAACACCAUAGGAGUUUGUCACCAUGUUCACCGUCUUCUUCGGUGUUGCCGGUGGUGUGCGAAAACGUUUGUCAUGCCUCUUCCAGCAGUUGUAAGCUUUGUGACCUUCACGACGACAAAUUUGGCACUGCUCUUCAGAAGCAUUGCCGCCGCCGCCUUGGUAGCCGCCGUCGCCGCCUUGGUAGCCGUCACCGCCUUGGUAGCUGCUGCCUCCUUGGUAGCCGCCGCCUCCUCCUUAUUUUGGUGGCUUGUUCUGGUAGCCACCACCGUUGCUACUCCCGCGGCCAUCAUAACCGCUGCGACCACCAUAGCCGCUGUUCCCGUCGUUAUUCCUGCGGUUGCCGCUGUUGGAGGGGCCACGCCCUCCUUUGUUAGCGAGGUUGGCAGAAUAAUAUCCGCCAUGAGCCAGGGCCUCGAGGCAACUCUCAGCCGCCAGAAGCUGCCCGUACAGGUCACCGAGAGAGAUGGGGUGCCCUCGAGCAGUUGUGGCCGAGAUUGCAGACACGAACGGGUUGUAGUCGUUGUCGAGUCCAGAAAGAAUCUGCAAGAUUAAAUCAUCAUCAUCAAUCUUCUUACCAAUUGCAACCAUCUCAUCAGCAAUCCCCUUCAUCUUCGUGAAGUAGGCCGAUGCCGUCAUCUCGCCCUUCUUUGUGUUGGAGAGUUGGCCGCGGAGCUAGAUUGCUCGCGCCCGGGAUUGGGAUGAGUACAUCUCCGUGAUUGCCUUCUAGAGAGGAGCCAAGGACGUGAUGUCCGAGACCUACGCCAGGACCUCCCGUGAGAGAGAUCCCAUCACAUACGCCAACACCUGUUGAUCUUGAUAGACCCAUAGAUCAUACAGGGGAUUGGCUACUUGCUCCAGGCCGCUCUUGUCAGCCUUCUGGACCUCGAUGAAUUCCAAGGGUGCGACGGUGGUGCCGUCCAUGUAACCAAACAGGCGAGCGCCUCUAAUUUGGGGAGGAACUUGGGCUUUCCAGAGAAGAAAAUUUUCCCUGGUGAGGCGCUCGGUGACUUGCUGGCUAAAGGGAUUGGAAGGCAGACUAGAGGAGGAAGACGACGCCAUGGCUGGGGAUGUGCGGGAAGAGGUUUUAGGCUCUGUAUACCAUGUAAAUCUGGGUGGAAGAGUUUGCUGUAUCGGCCAGCAGGGACUCGUAUGUGUAUAUAUGGACGAUCAGGAGUACAGGAGGCGUACGUUGGUUUAAAUUGACUUGGCUCGUAAGAAACUAUACAGAGACGAAGCCAUAUCGAUCCAACCUGACGUACAUAAUUACAAUACGUAAAUACAACAAGUCCUUGCCCUACACGUACAGGAUUACAAGUAUUCCAACGUUUUCCUUGUUUUCUUCCUGGCCGAGGAGGCGGUAUUCGCAUGAAUUGACACGUGUCAUUCUGGAAGCGCAUGCACGGAGAGCACGACCACGAGGCCUGGUCCUCCUUGGGGUGCCGCCGCAUGAUGACCUUCACCUUGAUUUCGGCGCUCAACCGCAUCUACGCACUUGUCCACCAGCACCGGCACCACUGGAAGAAUGCCAUCCCCGUGCCCUGGCCAGAUGUCAACCUGUCGGGCAUUUGAACCCAAAUAGGGUCCCAGUGCUGCUGCAGCUGUUGCUGACCAGAGGUUCCGCGUGGGAGGCGGAAAUCCACCAUUGUCACGCUCAGCUCCCGGCCGACCACCGCGACGCCCCAGCGUUCGCAGUGGACUCCGUGCAUUGGGUCACGUUGUUCACCGACAAUCACGACCAACGCUGCCGUUGUGCUUCGAGGGUGCACCUCAUGCACCAUGCGCGCUCCAGCACCAUAGCUGGUGGUGGAGGAGGAGGAUGAGGAGGUUGUAGAGUCCUACGGAAGGGUCGUCGAAGCCUUCGUGCUCUAGGAUCUCCCUAGCUGGCCGGCCUGGCUUGACCUGUCUCUGGCGUUGUCCGAUUUGGUCAGAGUAUAGGUUGUCGUGCCCUCGCCCGGGUUCGCGCCCGAGCCAGAGCAGUAGCCGUGGCCACUAGUGGGGCAUUCGUGGUCGUGGACAUCCAUGUUCCCAUGUGGGUGCAUGCAGCUGACGCGAUAGUAGAAGGAGGCGCACGAUGCACCACUACACGCACCGACACCGGUGGUAGUACCGUGGUCGUAUCCUUGGCGGGUGCCGGUCUACGUUGACCUCACCGACAAGGAUAAUGGUGACGGUGCGACAGCCACUAGUCCUAGACUUUAUUUAUGUUUUUGAUUAACAUUUCUAUGUUUAAUUAAUGGAUGAAAGGACUUUUGAUGGCACUUUAUAUAUGUUUCUAUUUUCAAUAAAAUUCGGUCGCAAUCUGAAAUGCGUCACUAUAGGCCGAUGAACACUGCAUUAAUUGGAGUUGCCCUAACUAAUAACUCAAGACUUUUUUGCGGUGGAGGGGCAGGCGCUAGCGUUUCUGUGUACAGUACCGCUUAUAAUUCGUGACCAGCGUUGGAGUUCAAGACUCUACGAACAAGCAUCUGUGCGUUCGAGAUGGCCACCGUAUUGUAACUUAUUACCAGAGGAACAACCUAGCAUAUAGUAUUUCUUUUUGGGCAGUGAUCUGCGCCGGCGCACCGGCCCAACGGUUGGGCCGGUCCAGCCCCAGCCGUCAGAUCUGGUCCCCUGCAUCGUCCGAUCCGUUCCUCCCCCCACCUUCUUCUUCAACCUCCCGCAUGGGAAAAGGACGGGGCCCCCUCGUGUGCGUCGAUGCCCCAGCACGCGCCGACCGCCUCACCUCGCCUCCUCACCGCCGGUCGCCCUCGCCGUCGGUCGCCUACGGUCGCCGCCCUCGCCGCUAGUCCCCCGCCCUCACCUAUGUCGUAUUUGUGUGUUUCUGAAACCUCCAUGGAUGCAGCAGUGUGCGGCCAUGGUUACGGCCAGUCGAGGUUGCAGCCCGCCGCNNNNNNNNNNNNNNNNNNNNNNNNNNNNNNNNNNNNNNNNNNNNNNNNNNNNNNNNNNNNNNNNNNNNNNNNNNNNNNNNNNNNNNNNNNNNNNNNNNNNNNNNNNNNNNNNNNNNNNNNNNNNNNNNNNNNNNNNNNNNNNNNNNNNNNNNNNNNNNNNNNNNNNNNNNNNNNNNNNNNNNNNNNNNNNNNNNNNNNNNNNNNNNNNNNNNNNNNNNNNNNNNNNNNNNNNNNNNNNNNNNNNNNNNNNNNNNNNNNNNNNNNNNNNNNNNNNNNNNNNNNNNNNNNNNNNNNNNNNNNNNNNNNNNNNNNNNNNNNNNNNNNNNNNNNNNNNNNNNNNNNNNNNNNNNNNNNNNNNNNNNNNNNNNNNNNNNNNNNNNNNNNNNNNNNNNNNNNNNNNNNNNNNNNNNNNNNNNNNNNNNNNNNNNNNNNNNNNNNNNNNNNNNNNNNNNNNNNAUUCACAGAAACCCACCACCGGCAUCUGGCCGUCGUGAGAAAAUGGAUGUAGCAAAAACUGUGGAUGGUAGUACACUACAAGAAAUCAGUUAACACAUGACGGAACCAAACCGUCAUGGCUGGGCACCAAACCAUCAUGGAUGGCCAUGCGUGACGGAUUCAAAAUCCGUCAUGUAUAUCGCGUCAUAAUGACCACCAUGCACUCCAUGACGGAGCUACCAAUACCGUCAUGGAUCCAUGACGGCUCUUGACCGUCAUGUAUGGCACUUAACUGACGUGCUAACAACGACGUUAACGCGCAUGCCACAUCAUCAUCCGACAUGGCAGCCAACAUGAAUCCAACAUGGCGGCCCAUCUAGUAAUUAGCCCAUAGACAAUUUCGGUCCACUGUUUUCGGCUUCGGCCCAUGUGAUCAUCAGCCCAGUUAAAAUCUCAGCCCGCUGAAGUUGUGGCCCAAUUAGAAUUUUGGCCCACUCAUUUCCAUUAGAUGCAACUUUAGCCCACCAAUUAUAGUAUAGACCAAUACCUAUUAUUUUGUGUUUGUUAACAUUUCAAGCACAUAAUUUUUUAAAAGAUUUUUGCUCACACCAUUAAAUUAAAAAAAUCAGACAAACAUAAAUUACAACCAAUAAUAAAAAGGAAAAUGAAACCCACUAAAAAAUUAUAUAAAUGCAAGUUACAGCCAAGUCAUGCUCGUUGAUUUUUUUUUUGAGAAAAUGGAAGCAAGAGUACAACAUCAUGACGCUGAACUUAUUAGGCUAGGAUCCACUGGAUUCAGUACCACCAUCGUCUUCUGUUUGCUAAAAAAAUAAAAAAAGCCAUCAUUUUUCCACCACGGAAGAACGCCUAGGAGGGGAUCUUGCCGCAUAUGGUGCCCCUAGAUUCUGGCUCCUCAAGCACGCAUGGGAGGGGAUCACAUGCACGACGCCGCCUCGGUGCCCAUCGCCAUCUAGCUCGCGUCCGCUCCGCCCUGCACUUUGGACGCGUGGCCGUGGAGGGCCGGUCACGAGCCCGUCGGCGCCCCAGUACCCAUUGUCGGGCGACCUCGAGCACGCCCGUCGGGUAUUCUGCCGCGCCAGACCCAUCCAUGUCUGCGAGCCCGUCGCCGUUCCCGUUCGCGGCCUGCAACGACUCAGGCACAGGCCACACCAACGGUACCAGCGCCAGGUCGGCCUUUGGGGGCGUCGCUGCUUAUAUGGACGAGGCAGUCGUCGAGGCGGCAAGCGCCUUGUAGCGACAUGGGCACCGGUCGCGGCUGAACGGGAAGCCAUCCCGCUGGCGCCAUAGGCCCCGUCCGCCAACGCUCGGGAAGUGGAGGCCGUCGCACCGUUCGGUCAUGCGUCUGCCAAAGCGCUGCUCCUCGUCGACCGGUGGAUGCAGACCCCUCGGCGGCCCAGCACGGUACACGCAAAGGAUUCGAUGGCGGCAUGGGCGUCGUCGACUCGUGAGGGCUGUGCUUGCCUUCGGUGAGAGGAUAGUGGAAUGGAGAUGCUGGGAGGAGGAAGAUGUGGAUUAGGGGAAGGAGGAAGGAAGGCACUGUGAGGAUAGGAUCUGGAAGGAUCGAUGGAUACGUCUCGUGGGUGGAGAAGAAACACAGGAGAUGGGAACCAGUCUACCACCGUUGGAUUGGAGAGGAUCUGACGGCUAUGACCGGCGAUCCGCGUGAGGGUAGAGUGAACCAAUCAGAUGCCACGGUUUUCUUCGCGCAGGAUACAUGCAUACUGAGCUAGGAACCUAAUGGGCUCUUGUUGACUCUCGGCCCAGCUGUGAGCAAGGCAGUCCAGAUUUUGAACUUUUUUUUCCAUUUCGCAAAUAACUAAGUAAGGCACCGUUCUAAAAUAAUUUACAAAAAAAUUACCAUAUGACCCCAGCACACCUUCUACAUCUACAUACUACAUAUAUUUUAUUUUUAAAAGUUUCAGUAUUUUUCAAAGUGGUUUAACAUAUUGUUAUCAUUUCAUUGGAGUUUCAAUAAACUUUGAAUUUGUUUAAUACUUGUUAUAGUUUAAAUGAAUUUAUGUCUCUUUAUUGAUUAAGUUAAUUUGAGCUGCAUGUAAAUCAAAUAAGGUUAACAUAAAAUCACAAACCAAUAAUUAGGAGCAUAUGUGUUGUUCUUUCUCAUAGCUGAAAAUAGUUGAAACAUCUCCCCUGUCAUAACUUAAAUUAUGUUGGGGUAAUUCAAAAUUCUAUUGGCAACCAAUCAAGAAUAAUAAUAAUAAAAUAUCUAAAUGUGGUCAUAUACUGCAAGCUAUAUUUCCGAUCACAACAUCUUUUUGAAACAAAUUUUACAAAAACAAUAUUGAAGGACUUAUGAUUUAUGUUAGCUCGUAACAUCAAAAUAGAUGAAAAUAUCACAUGAUAGUUAGGGAUAAUUCAAUCUUUACCUAAUGAACCACAAAAUAUUUUUGUUAAAGUUGAGAAGCACUAAAUAUAACAUUUAUUAUACGUAUAGUAUAUUAAAAAGUGUUGUUUAGUUCUCUAUCCAAAAUAGGUUGAACAAUAUUAUCCAAUCAUUAGAAUGACCAAAGAACACUUUUCAAAAAUAUUUUGAGUUUUUACACAUAUUGUUUUGAGUGAACAUCAAUCAAUUAUGUUUUUUCUAGAUUUAAAGUAUACCAUUAUAACUGGUAAAUAUUUUCAUAUAUUAGUCAUAUUUUUAGUGAAUAAUUAUUUAAUGUAUGGAUUUUACUUAAUGAAUAAAUAUUUUCAACUCACUGGUGACCUAGCCAUCGUCAACGAUGUGCGGUGGUAGGAAACACUUGCUAGAAAUUUAGCAAUUUUUGUGUAUACUGCUUGUGUGUUGUUACGUGAGAGUGGAAGGUACUACAUGUACUAAGUUCUCUGAAAAUAGUUAAUUCAAGGCUAGUGGAUGAAGCAUAUGUCUUUUCGCCUUCAAAUAUGGCUCGUUCCCUCUCGAAACAUAGAUUCUUCUUUGGAGAUGGCCCGGUUUCUAAACAGUGUACGUCAUAGCUUUUGCAAAACCUUCUCAAAUAUUUACCACAACCUUAGGUGUCAUAUGAGGGCACGAGGGCAAUUUUCAUGUUUUCUAGACUUUGUUUGCAUUUUCAGAAUUAAAAACGAAAUAACCAAACUCUAUGCCUGGGUCAAGUCUAGGCAACCUCAGGUUUUGAACCCCCUUUUUUUACUAGUAAUUUGUAAGUGAUUUGCAUGUUAGAUUAUUAUGUGUCAUCACAAUACUAGUAAAUCAUGAAAAUUAAAAGUAAGAUAUUACAUGCUAUAAUAAAAUUAUCAUGUUGGGAACUUGUGGACUAUUUUAUUACAAUUCGUAUCGAAUCACGGUAGCAUAACAAAUUUCUAUAUGAAGAAUUCUUUUGAAAAUAGACUUUUAUUCCAAAAGAAAUGUUAUUGACGUGUUUGCGAAAUCUUUUAGCUUUUUCAAAUUCAAACUUGAAAAUACAGAUAAAGUUAGUUUGAUGUUAAUUUUCUCCUUUUCAAACCGUAAACUUUAAAUAACUUAACAUCCUAUGAAGAAUAAAUAAAUUAAAUCUAUCUAAAUUUUCUAUAGGCUGUUUGCAUAUUUUCUACAGGUAGUAUUGUCAUGCGUACAAUUUUUUCAACAGCGUACUAAUUCUUUUGAGAAUAAUAAAAAAUGCUUUCGUGCAUGCAUUCAACAGUAUUCUUUUUUUUGUGGGAGCAUUCAAUAGUAUUCAUGCGAGGGCACCAUGCCAAGUUCCAUUUUUUUUCAAAAUUCGUUUGCAUUUUGUAGAAUUAAAAAAAAUCAAUAAACUCCAUGUUCAAGGUUGAGUCUGUCACCCUCAUGUGUGUAACUCCUUUUAUUUUCUUGGAUAAGACGCAAAUAUAGACUCAGUAAAACAAGUAGGGUUUUUCAAACCAAAUUGGCCAACUUUUUCAUGCACUUGCAAUUCAAAAUUGAAUUGUAUUCAUUAAAUGCCACAAAAAUGCAUGAAAUGACUUAAAUAUGGCAAACGAACCCCGAAAAAUCUCAAUUUUUGACAUGGGUCAUACAACGGUGUAUAUUAAGUGUACGGAACAUUUUAAGGUCAACAUAUGAUGCAAUGGUCGCUUUACCUUCACAACUGACCUCUUCCUUCUCGUAACAUAGAUUCUUCCUCAAAGUGGCCAAUUUCUAAGUAGCGGAUACAACCACUAUUGUGAAACUUUCUCAAAUUUUUACCAGAGCCUCUAGGUAUCAUACGAGGGCACCGUGCCAAGUUUCAUAUUUUCAAGACUUCGUUUUGAUGUAGGGUGGACACCCUAAGUGGAGAUCUUUCACGAAUUGGAGGGUGAUCCACAAAAAACACGAAGAACACGAAGAACAAGAGGGGAAAUCACAAGAGAAACACUCAAGAACAAGUCCGGGGGCACCGGGGGGUCUGCUCACUCAGGGGUGGAUGGUGCGGGCACCUGGGGUGUCCAGAGAGCCUCUGGUGCUUCGUGUCUUGGAGCUCUUCCUUCUCCCUUCUUGGUUGCUUGUGACUCCUUGCUAGCUUCCUACGGCCAUCUCGUUGGUACCUAUGAAUACACAAUGUUUCUCUUUGAGGUUGAACCCAAUUCUCAUGUGAAUUCCAAUGAAGAUCAAAGAGGAAAGAGUUAACCUCGGUUUCGAUGGCACGUGCGCGAGCUCUGGUCAUUGGUCCUUCUCGAGGUGCUUGAUGAUUUGUAGUAGACUCCACGGGGAUGAUGGAGGGAUGCUCCGCAUCACGUUUGCAUUUUACAAAAUUAAAAGAUUGCCAACGUGUUUGCAAAAUGUUCGUCAAGCAUUAUUUUUUUGGCAAAGUGUAUUUGAAAAAAAUGUUCAACAUAUUUUUAGAAAAUGUUCAACGUGCAUUCAAAUAUUAUUGUGUAAAAUUCUUCUUAGAUAUUUACAAACAUCUUUAACAUUUUUAGUACAUUUCUAAAAUUUAUUACUAUUACACAAUUAUCAAUGUGUUUUUAGAAAUUGGUCAACGUGUUUUCAAAAAAUGUUCAACGUGCAUUAAAAGAUUAGUGUGUAAGAAAAUUAGUUCAUGUUUACCUCUUCAAGGUACAAAAUAACAAAAAUAGAAUAGAGAUUUAGAAUACACAAUAAUUGUACAAUAAAAAUUGUUGAAACUUUUAUAUAUAGGGAACACAAAUUUAAAAAUAAAAAGGGGAAAUUAAACAUGAACUUGCACAAAAUAAAAAAGAAAUCCAGUAGAAAACCACCCGCUUCGCGUACAGGGUGGCCCAAAUAUAUGUGAGGUGAGCAAUAGACAGAAUUGGUAUGUAUAGGAGAAAGUAGUACUAAGUGUACAAAAUUUGUAAAAUUUUACUUGAUAAACCAUAGCUUAGCUAGCAUCACGGGCAAGUUUUUUUUCAGUUGAGCACCGCGGGUAAGUGAUUACCUCAAUUUAGAGGUCAGUGUUCGAACCUGGAGUCUCAAUUGUAACAAGCGACACAAGGCCCAACUAAAAAAACUAGCCAUUUAAGGCUGAACUUCUAUAGUACUAAUAUACAAGGUGUAAGGGCUUCACACAUCUGCAACUGUAGCUCAAUGGCAAGGACUGCUCUCCCCGCUCGUGAGACAGUACACGGCAGCGUAGUUAAAAAAGAAUCAUGGGCUGGGCCAACCCUCUCACGCCACGUCUACAACUAUAAAUCCAUGACGGUUACAACAUUGUAAAAAUGAAAGACAAAACUCUGCAUUUUAGACUAGCCACAAUGGGAGUAACUUCAGCGGUAACAUCGAGUCCAACUCAGCAGAUUUGCUUAUGUGACAAUGAGUUAAUGAAGAAAGAGGUAAUUGUAGUAACUUAGCUAGUUACUAUAACAUCACAUGUCCCAAUGCAAUGUGAGUCUAUAACCUAAUAAAUGAAUCUUUGCAUGUUACCACACUUAAGUUACUACCCACUAUAAAGGUAGUAAUAUAGUCUAGGGAUAUGUGUAUGUUACUAGUGUAUGUUACUAUCCAUUGUGGCUAGUCUUAGGACCAGUCAGCCGCUCCCAGAUUCAUGACGGAUCCCAUGACGGAUCUACUUAAACCGUCAUGGUCUAUGACGAUUUUUAGGAACGUCAUCGGAAGUUCGUCAUGAAUUAACAUAUUUCUUGUAGUGGUAGCAAAAAACCACAUGAUUGAAGCAAAAAUGUCACACGGACGUAGCAAAAAGAAAAAUGUAUGUUCCAACACAAAAACAAUGUAGCAUAUCUAGGUGAUGGUUCCAGCAUCACCACCGGCCGUGUCGUAGCUCGCCAUGCGCCCAUUGUAGCACCGCCACACAGCUUCAUCUUCGCCGGCCGCUGUUGCUAGUUAGCCGUUUUCUGUUUGAAGCUUUUCUAGAAGCGGGUUGCAGCUUUUUGCGCUACGCGGUGGCCGACCUCGUGCUACCCCGUAUCUAGUUGAAGCUUUUUCUAAAGCAGGAUGUAGCUUUUUUGAUUGCUGGAUGUAGCAUUUUUCAGUACUGGUUGCAGCUCUGAUGCAUGUCCAUCGAAACUCAUUCUUUCUCUGGUUCCAGCAAAAUUGUCACCAUUCGUAGCAUUUGGCUUUGACGGUUGUAGCUCCUAUGUGCACCGGUUGUAGCUCUGAUGCAUGUCCAUCAAAACUCAUCAUUUCUCUUACGUCACGAGUUGCCCCACCGCGCAGCUUCCAUCGCCGCCGCUCGCCAUCAUCAGUUCGCCGUUCCCUCGGUUGAAACUUUUCAAAAGACCUGUAGUAGCUAUCUCGCGGCCGGUUGUAGCUUUUCAGUUUGCACGGUGGGCGCCCACAACUUUUUCGUCUUUGUUUGAAGCUUUAUUAGAAGCCGGUGGUAGCUUUCUUACACGACAGUUGUGGCAUUUUUGGGUACUGUUUGCAGCUCCUCCUGCACCAUUUGUAUCCUUCACUCUUUCUCUGGUUCCAGCAAAAAAAGGGUCAGUCGUAGCAUUUUGUAUCACUGGUUGCAGCUCCACCGCCAUCGGUUUGAUGGUUCCAGCAAAAAAGAAGCCGUUCGUAGCAUUUUGUACAACUGGUUCUAGCUCCGAUGACUGCUGGUUGAAGCUCGUCUACAGGAAGGUGAGGGUUCGCAGGGGACUGGAGAGGGGAAAAAGGGGAGGGAGGAGGCAUUGGUCGUCGAUGUCUUCUCCGCCCCGCAAUGGCUCGCCCUAUGAGCAAGGCCUCGUUCAUGCCGUUGUGCUGCGCGUGAGCUACAGAGAUGGAGGAACCGAGCGGUCCAGCAGCGUAUACUGCGUGUCGCGAGGUAGAAGAGAGAGAAGAUGAAAAAACGGUUCGUAGAUGAAAGAGGUAGGCCCGAGCGACGCACGAUCCGGAUUGAUCGCAAGGCCCGCGUGCGUCCGGCGCACCGGGUACGAACGUUUCCCUUUCUUUUUACAACUCAACCUAGUACGUAGUAGCAAAAAAAUAAAAUUUGACAACUCAAACUAGCAUUAAUUAGGAACAUCAACCCACCAAGAGACCAUCCCUACCCCGACCGUGCUAUGCGCACGCACCUUGAAAUCUUCCUGUACCCGCACAUGCGCACAUCUCGUAUGACGGGUGAGUAGAAAAAAUUACAAAAUCAAUGUGUAGUGCGAUCUUCUCCAGUUCUCCACGCCACCACCCGUUUCCCACGCCGCACAGAAAAACGGGGUCAAUCUCCACAUCGCUCGCUAUCUUCUUGAUCGCCAUCGGCGGCGGCGGCACCACACACCCCCCACAAAACUAACGCAGCUUCUUCUCCUUCCCUCUCUUGCGGCGCGCUCGCGGGGCCGACAUGUCCUCGGCGGCUCCGCUGCUCGAGCCCGCCGACGGCAAGGGCGGCGAGGCGAAGAGGCCCUGCGGCUGCCCGCCGGCGUGGCUGCGCCGCCUGAUCAACACGGAGGAGGCGUGGGCGCAGCUGCAGUUCGCGGUGCCCAUGGUCCUCACCAACAUGUCCUACUACGGCAUCCCGCUGGUGUCCGUCAUGUUCUCCGGCCACCUCGGCGACGUCCACCUCGCCGGCGCCACGCUCGGCAACUCCUGGGCCACCGUCACCGGCUACGCCUUCGUGGUACGUGCUGCAUGCUGCUACCACACACUCUUGAUUUAAUUCGUCCAAGUUCGGUUAGAUCGCCUGCGUAGCUCUGCCGAAAUUUUGAGACGGAGUACCGCGACGCGUAUAUGCAAGCUCGAAAAUAUAAAAUAGCACAGCUGCACCCGGGCCCUCUCUAUCUAGCCAUCCAUUCUGCGCAUCGCGAUUCGUGCAAACACAUUUUUUUUUGUUUCUCUCACAUAAAACAUAUUUUGAAGUUCAAACCUUUGCAGCGUAGCAAAGUUUUCUAUCUAGAAUCUAGGAUAAAUCUUUUAGAUUUUUUUGUCAAAUAUAAAUAUACAAAAACGAUUUUUUUAAUGUAAAAAAUCAUUUUUUUGUAUAUUUAUGUUUGACAAAAAAUUCUGAAAGAUUUAUCCUAGAUUCUAGAUGGAAAGCUUUGCCACGCUGCAAAGGUUUGAACUUCAAGACAUCUUUUAUGUGAGAGAAACAAAAAAGAGAAAUUUUCAUACGAAAAGUUAGUUGUGUUGCACAGAUCUUAAAGCAAUAUUGGACAACCAGGAUAAAGGGCCGGGGUGCAGCUGUUCUAAAAAUCCACGUCCUAUGCAAGCUGCCUGAAAAUGCAUUUCGAUCAGCGGGUUUCAAAAGCUCCCAGGCGAGCACGGGGACACCGCGAUGGACGGCAGCGAGGCGAGGGUUCAAGCCAUGAACGGCACGGAGUUGGAGACCGACGAUGUGGCAGCGGCUUCACCAGUGAGGGGAGGCCGGGGCUUAACCGUUGGGGUGUGGGGUGGGGUGGACUGCCGGCGCCAGAAAGAAAGGAUGGUGGAGGGACGAGGGAGGGAGGGCCAGGGCGAAGCACCGCCGGCCGUUGGUGGAAACGGCGGCGCUUUUGGUGGGCGCUGCAUCAUAGAUCGGAGCGGUGUGGAAAGAGGGCUAGAUCAGGAGGAAGAUGACACGGAGCCGCUGGAUAAAUAUCGGACGUCCACAUGAAAUCAACUUUGUACUGAAUUGUUUUUUAGGCGGAGAGAAGAGAAGAGAGUGGACUUGAUGAGGUGACAUCUUUAAAGAUAGAUAUAUGUUUUUUGCGUUCAGAUAGAUAUAUGUUUACUAGUUAACGUGGCACUAGCCCUAGCCGGAGCGAUCAGAUCAGAUGAGAUAUUAUCAACGCUCGUGCUAGAUGGCCUGUUGACCUUACGUACAGUACCAUAUCAUUUCAGCUCCACUCUCGUACUCCAUUGAUCUCACACUCCAUUAGCAAGCAGUGAUAAGGAUUAAGGGCACACCAAAUAAUACGGCUGAACAUUGGAAUAAUUAAGUAGUACUAGUGUAGUACAAUUUGUUUGCUCGGAAAAUGGAAGGGAUGCUUCUUUUUUUGGUUUGCUCAGGAAAUGAAACAAAUCGAUCGGCCAUCAUCUCUCCAAGUCUCAAUCUACACGACCCAAAACCAGAAAACGCACAAGAAGCCAACAUUUUCCUUGCUUUCUUCUUGGCCCAGGAGGCGCUAGCUAUUCGCAGAAACUGUAGCUGUCUUACACACGCAUUGAAUUCGUGUAGCUGCCAACAAGAAACUGACACGCGGAGUUAUACGUCGUUUGCGUGGCCCGCAGAGGGAGAGGGAGACUGGGAGAGUUAUAGAUAGCCUAUAGCUGCCGGGCAUAGCUGGACUGACACAAACGUCGGUACGACUGUACUCCCUCCAUUCCAAAUACUUCCUCCAUUUCACAAUAUAGUGCUUUCUCUGUCCACGUGUUUCAACUUUGACCGUAAAUUUAACUAUCAAGACCGAUUGCGACGGGAGCAAAAAAUAUAUCAAUGAAUUCGUAUUCGAAAGAAGUUUUUAAUUAUAUAAUUUUUUUCUCCCGCCGCAGUUGGUCUCGUUGGUUAAAUUUAUGGUCAAAGUUGAACCUCGGAAAGCGCUGGCGCACUAUAUUUUGGAAUGGAGGGUAUAGUGCACCCGUGCUUCCCGAGGUCCAACUUUGACCAUAAAUUUAAUCAAUGAGACCAACUGCGGCGGGAGAAAAAAUUAUAUAAUUGAAAACUUCUUUCGAAUACGAAUUCACUGAUAUAACUUUUGCUCCCGCCGUAAUCGGUCUUGAUAGUUAAAUUUACGGUCAAAAUUGAAGCACGGGGAUAGAGAAAGCACUACAUUGUGAAAUGGAGAAAGUAUUCUGUUUCUGUGGGAGUCGAUCGACGACGUGUCGUGUCUGCAUGACUGCCGUGGCUCGGCUCGGCUGGUCCUCACGUACGCCAUCCGGUCUGGCUGCAUGAAUGCGUGCGUGCAUGGUCGACGUGUAUGCACUGGAGUACAUCACUACAUGCGUCGACUAGGGGAUCGAGCGAGGUCAAAUAAAUUCUGAAAAGUGGUAAACAUAUAUACACAGGGGAGGCCGAGUCUUGAGCUAGGAAGGAAGGGGUCGUCUCGAUCUGGUACAAAGCGAAUAUCUCCGUCUCCCUGGGAAACGGCGACGGUGUUCUCAAGCAAUCAGUCACAAGUCUCACGACUCACGAGCCUCGAUCCACCCACCCUUCUUGCGCUUGAUGCGCUUAACCACUUGUUUGUCUAAUUCGAUGCCGUGCUGCAAGUAAAAUAACCGAUCAACUCCUGCUGGGUGACAUGGUCAAUGACGUAAAUCAGCCAAGUUUCUCCAGAGUCGGGAUCCAGGACUUUUCAGUACAUGUGUGGCCACGAGUCCGCCGAAUCAUGGCCGCUGCGUCUGCCGAUAGUGGGCGUGUGUUUUGCGGUAAAUACUAAUGUGGGUUUCUAGAAAUAGUGAAUUUUCGUUUCGAGAGGUAUGUACUUCCAUCUGUCCGGAUUAUAGAGCGCUUUAAACUUUUUCUUAUAAAACGAGGGCAAAAAGCUUUAACACUUAUGAAUGAUUAAGAAGAGAGUUAUAACUUAUAAGAUUAUAUGUCCGUUGCUCAAAGUUGAUAUACGAAACAAAAGACGACUACUCUCGCAGUAAUUAUUAAUUCCAUCAUUCCAUGUGUUUAGCCCCGGUGGUUGAGCGAUCCUCGGCUUCUUUUCUAAUCUUAGAAACAAUGAUAUGCUAGAUGCAUUGAGAAAUGGUUGCGGAAGUCGUACGCAUUCCCUUCAUUGCAUAUCUCCCAUUAGACUAGCAUGAUAAGGAUGAUCAUGGUUUACUCCGGCUGCCCCAUGGGUGAGAGUGACUGCUGCGAACCACCACCCCGAGACCGAGCUGUAGUUGGCCGAUUCUCAACAUUAAAAAAAAUUGAGGCCAAGCCAAUCCCAAACCAUCUUCAUUCUUCCCAAUGCGGAUGGAGAAACGGCACCUGAACAUAAUGUGGGUAAAAUGGUGAAUAUAGAAAAAGCUACAGUAGAACACAGCGAACCAAGAUGACUUAGGUGAAAAAGAAAUUCAGGUGACUUACGAAUAGACAGUCCCAUUAAGUCCAUAACUUGUUCUGCAGUUGUUCUAAAAAAAAGAACUUGUUGUGCUGUGGAACAUUGUCGCAUUGCAUCUUACUUCCAUUUACAUCCUACUUCCAUCCUUCCAAAAUAUAAGGUUUAUUAGGUUUUUUCAAAAUCAAACGUCUGCAUGUUUGAUCGAGUUUAAAAAAAUGAUAUAUCUAUAAUACCAAAUUUGUAUCAUUAGGUCCAUCAUUAAAAUUAUUUUCAUACUUUGUAGUAUUGUGGAUGUUGAUAUUUUAUUUCAUAAUCUUGAUCACAUAUAUUUAUAUUUGAUUUUUCACGAAAAUUGAUGCACUUUAUAUUCCGGAACAAAGGGGCUAACUCCUCAGAAUUAAUCCAACGGAGUAACUCAUAUGCAAAAAAUGCUGAACAUUUCAGACCGGCAUGAGCGGCGCCCUGGAGACGCUAUGCGGGCAAGCCUACGGGGCACGAUUAUACCGCAUGCUAGGACUAUACCUGCAGUCGUCGCUCAUCAUGUCGGCGGUGGUGUCUAUGGUCAUCGCCGUCCUGUGGCUGUUCACGGAGCCCCUGCUUCUGUGCCUGCGUCAAGAACCCGAGGUGUCCCGCGCCGCUGCGGUGUUCAUUCGGUACCAGAUCCCCGGUCUGUUCGCCUUCUCCUUCCUGCAGUGCCUUAUACGGUACCUGCAGACACAGUCCAUCGUCCUACCGCUCGUCGUCUGCUCCGUGGUGCCAUUCAUGCUCCACAUUGCGCUGAACCACCUGCUGGUGAACGUGCUUGGGUUCGGCCUCAUCGGCGCGUCUACCGCCAUCUCCAUCACCUUAUGGUUCUCCUGCCUGAUGCUGCUUGGGUACGUGAUGCAGUCCAAGGAGUUUAGCGAGACAUGGAAGGGCUUCUCCGCCGACGCGUUGAACUACGUGUUGCCGACCCUCAAGCUCGCGACGCCCUCCGCCAUCAUGGUUUGGUCGGUAAAUAUAUAGUUGGAUAUACAGAUACCAUUGUCAGCCACAUGUUGUUUUUUCUCAUUAUUGAUUUUGAGUUUGUUGAAUGCAUGCAGCUUGGAGUAUUGGGCAUUUGAGCUUCUGGUUCUUAUCGCGGGAUUGCUACCAAAUUCCACAGUGAGCACGUCGUUGAUCGCCAUGUGGUAAGUUCAUUCUCGAAUACUGUCUGUCCGAUGGAGCUUCAGAAGCAUUGUUCCAUCAUGUUGACUUCUUCAACUUGUAAAUGCAGCUCAAGCACGGAGGCGAUUGCCUACAUGAUCACCUACGGAUUCAGUGCCGCUGUAAGGUAUGUACGAUCUCAGGUUCUUCAUUUAAUUUGACGCUGUAAUUAAGCACAACGACCUGUUGUUUCAUUAACUGUUUGCACCUUUUGCAGCACCCGGGUGUCGAAUGAGAUCGGAGCCGGGAACGUGGAUAUGGCGAAGAAUGCGGUCGCGGUGACGCUUAAGUUGUCGGUGUUCCUCGCUUUCUCCUUCAUCCUGCUGCUGGGCUUCGGCCACGGCCUUUGGGCGAGACUCUUCAGCGGGAGCAAGGUGAUUGUGGCAGAAUUCGCAGCCAUCACCCCGCUCUUGAUGAUCUCGAUUGUGCUCGACUCCGCGCAGGGCGUACUGUCAGGUGCGGCAGCUACCUAAACCAAUCUCCAAGAAUCACUUACCUGCACUACUGAACAGAUAGAUAAUUUCGUAGUACCACGUACUGGAAUGCCGCUGUUAGUGCGCGCUAAACGAUUCCGCAAAUUAACAAUCGAAUAAAUUGGCAUGUGCAGGGGUGGCGAGGGGCUGCGGAUGGCAGCACCUGGCGGCGAUGACGAACCUUGUGGCGUUCUACUUCAUCGGCAUGCCGUUGGCCAUGCUCUUUGCCUUCAAGCUCAAUUUCUACACCACGGUAAUUACCCUACUGAGAGCUCUCACCCUUGCCACUGCGGAAUGUGGAUAGCAAGCAGCUCGAACUCCAUUCUUUCUGAAAUAUAAUUAAUGAGAUGGAACACUCAACAGACCAUGUACUUUGUUUGCAGGGUUUAUGGUCGGGUCUGAUCUGCGGGCUUACUUGCCAGACCAGCACGCUGGUGGUGAUCACCGCCCGCACGAAAUGGUCCAAGAUCGUGGAUGCGAUGCAGCAAGAGAAGGCCAACUAUAUUGCUUGAUCGAUAAAUAUCGUUCAUGGCUUGCACCUGUUGUAGGGGUUUUUGUGAGAUGGCCAGGGCGUACGAUGUUUGAACAGAAAGCUAGCUUUUUGACCGUGUACUUUCAGGGAACAUAUGUCUCAGAAAUAGAAAGAUGUACCCUAAAAAAAACAGAAAAUCGAUCCUGUAAUGGCAAUUAACCAGAGAGUGCAGGAGAAACGUACAUACCGGGACGUGGAUGUUUCAUCCUCCCAACCGAACCCAUGGAUGUUCAUAUUUUCAAGGACGCAAAUAUAUCAAGGCCGUCAAUGCGAAGUUGUUAGCGUUGAGGCCCUGCGCGCAAAGUAUCGAGCGCGAAACCGCAAAUGCCACUUCUCACCUACAGGGCGGGGCUACUGGGCAAGCCGAAUACUGUAGCUGCACGCCAGUUUUUUUCCUGUGGUUUCUUAUUAGUUUUUUCACUGUGUUUGCAUCGGUGUUCUUUGGGUUUUCUUCAGUUUUUGUUUAGUUUCCUUUUUUUCCGGCUUCUUUGUUUUUAUUCUUUUUUUACUUUCUUUUCUCCAACACAUGUCUAAUUUAUUCAAAUGUGUUCUACAUUUUUCAUAUACAUCAGAAACUUUUUUUAUACAACUUAAAAAAAAUCAAAUACAUGAUUAAUAUUUUUAUAUAUGUGUUAAAUCUUUUCAAAUAAACGUUGAAACAUUUUCUCGAAUGAUACAAAACAUUUUUUAGGCUAUGCAAACAUUUCUUUACAUUGUACAAUCUUUUUUGACGUCACAAACAUAUUUUUUGAAAUGCAUGCUUUAUGAAAAUGCAACAUACUUUUUUGAAUGGUACUAAACAAUAUUUGUAAAUUGUAUGAAUAUUUUUAAAAAUUUCACUUACAUUGUUUUCAAUGGUACAGUUUUUAAAAAAAAGUUGAGCAAACAUUGUUUUACGCUACAUGGAUAUUUUUUAGUGUGCAAUUAUUUUUUUUAAGUAACUAUUCUUUCAUAAUAUAUGAAUUUAUUAUUUUUGUAAAUAUAAACAAAGUAAAGAAACAACAUGCGUGAAGUCAACAUGACGAAACCAUAUGCUACUGGGCUGGCCACUUUCGGUUCCUGUAGGUGAGCUCGGCUUCUGUCUCGCUAAAGGAGACUUCUUGCUUGAAUGGAAUUAUUUUAUUCGUUUAGCUGGAGUUGGUGGAACCUUAGGUGGUUCUCGGAAGACGAAAUCAACAAAAAUAUUCUGAAGUCGGAACUAAAAGGAAUGUAUAAGCCAAUGCUUCCAUAGAUUUGAUCGUGGUUUAUUUACAAUUAUAACUUCCACAACUAUUCAUUUAUCAGUUGGGAUAAUUUCCCAUAUAAAGAAAUAAAAAAACUCAAAGAAAGGAUGGGGGGUAUUUCCCAUGUCAAAAAGAAAAAGAGGUGAAUGAUACCAUAAUAAUGUGUAUCGGACUGCUUGUUUCCUUGUAGUUGGACAUAUAGACUUGCUUGCGGAUAACAUCCCGCAUAGCUAGGGAAGCAGGCUCGUGCAUCGUCAUGGACAUAUAGACUACCACAGCCACCUUGAUGAGGAGGAAGAUGAAUUGGAAGAAGACAACUACGACAAUGACUAAGACUAUGAUAUAUUUGGGUAUAAAUGUUGAUCUUUUUUUCUUCGGGUUUCUUUGUUUUUCUUCUUUUUUUACUUUCUUUUCUCCAACACAUGUCUAAUUUAUUCAAAUGUGUUACAUUUUUCAUAUACAUCAGAAACUUUUUUUAUACAAGUUCAACAUUUUCUCAAAUACAUCAUUAACAUUUUUUUAUAUAUGUGUUCAAUAUUUUCAAAUAAACGUUGAAACAUUUUCUCGAAUGAUACAAAACAAUUUUUAGGCUAUGCGAACAUUUCUUUACAUUGUAUAAACUUUUUUAACCUCAAAAUAUUUUUUUGAAAUGCAUGCUUUAUUAAAAUGCAACGUAUUUUUCUGAAUGGUACCAAAAACAUUUUAAAUUGUAUGAAUAUUUUUAAAAAUUUCACUUACAUUCUUUUCAAUGGUACAAAUAUUUUCUAAAAGUUGAGCUAACAUUGUUUUAGCUACAUGGAUAUUUUUUAAUGUGCAAUGAAGUAACUAAUUUUUCAUAAUAUAUGAAUUCAUUAUUUUUGUAACUAUAAACAAAGUAAAAAAACGAUAUGUGUGAAGUCAACAUGACGAAACCAUAUGGCUACUGGGCUGGCCACUUUCGGUUCCUGUAGGUGAGCUCGGCUUCUGUCUCGCUAAACGAGGCUUCUUGCUUGAAUGGAAUUGUUUUAUUCUUUUAGCUGGAGUUGGUGGGACCUUAGGUGGUUCUCCAAAGAAGAUAUAAAAAAUUUUAUUCUGAAGUCGGAACUAAAAGGAACCCAUAAGCCAUUGCUUCCAUAGAUUUGAUCGUGGUUUAUUUAAAAUUAUAACUUCUUCACCUAUUCAUUUAUCAUUUAGGAUAGUUUCCCAUAUAAAGAAAUGGAAAAACUCAAAGAAAGGAUGGGGGAUAUUUCCUAUGUCAAGAGAGAGAGAGAGAGGUGAAUGAUACCAUAACAAUGUGUAUCAGACUGGUUGUUUCCUUGUAGUUGGACAUAUAGACUUGCUUGCGGAUAACAUCUCACGUAACUAGGCAAGCAGGCCCGUGCAUCGUCAUGGGCUCUCACACUAGUAGGAUGUUUAUCCUUUCGAUUUCUUGCUUUCCAAAUUAACAUAAUGUAAAAAAAGUUACUACAAUUAUACCAUGGCAAAAACAAUAAUCCAAAGUAGCUGCUUAAAGAAAGACCUUCCUAUUCCUCGAGAAUGCCAAAGUUACACUAGUGCCAUGGAUGUGUCCAUGGAGACACGACAACUGUCUGCGAGGAGUGAUAUUUGCAUUAGCCUCUGAAGAUGAAGCUGCUAGGUUUGGCGCCCCUUGAGAGGACAAUUGGGAGGAAGCGUUAGAGGGUAUUGGGGAUUUAAGGAGAGUGUAAGAUGCACAUGUUUCCUACACUCGCAUGCUGUUCACCGGAGAAAGAAAGCCUUCAUCUCUUAUCUCAAGAUUAAUUGCUCACUUACAUCUGAUCAUGACGAGAAGGCUACAUCGGUGUAUCCCUUAAUCUUUGGUAUGCUGGGUUCAUCACCAAAUUACCUCCAAGUCCCCAUUUUCAACCUACAUCAUCUUGAGGUGGGAUUCUCAGAGGAGGAGGUGUGUAAUGUGGUUAAAACGCAACAGAUGGACAAGGUGAUGGGACCUGAUGGUUUCUCGGCGAGGCUUUAUUUCACAUGUUGCCAUCUCAUCUGAGAGGAUAUAGACACAAAUUUCUGAAUGUAAGGUGCAAAGAAUAAGAAUCGGAGUGCUCAGUGAAGACACGGAUAUUUUAAUACCCUAGUUCAAUUUGGUGGCACAUUUUACGUAUGGAUUAGAGAGAUCGAGCCACAACUCUGAGGACACACAAGUUUCCACCUUCUUAUCCUUGAGAUAAGUUCCUUGGAACUCACCCAAUUACUCGGGGUCGAUAUUGCGAUGAUCUUCAGACCAUCAAAAAAUCAUUCUUCAGCCGUUGUACACUGGAAGCUAUGAAUGACUCCUAACUUUCUAGAAGAUGCAUAGUCUUCAAGAGGAACAAGUCUCAGUAGACUUAGAUCAACUUCUUUGUGAUGCUCAAUCUCUUUGCUUUACUAUUUGGAUGGUUUUUCCUCACUUAGAUAUCUCAAAAUUAGUGCGGGCAGGGAUGCUCUUUGCGUAACACUGGGCAGAAAUUUCUCUCGAGCAAUCUCCUGCUAUCUGCGGGGUUAGGUUUCUAUUUAUAGUUGCAUCUCAUGGUUGGCUAGCGAUAUGACUGUUGGACAGGGGGCUCACACCAACAUGUUGUUGCGAGCUGUCAUAAUAGUAAAAAUUUUGAACUCUCAUAUUCACCGGUUCCUUAAAACUUAGGACAACCUCAACAACAACUUUCCUAACUCCUUAGCGAGUAAGUCGAACUCAGGUGUUUCAAAGUAUCACCUUCAACACAAAGAGCUCAAAGACUUUUUCUGAAAGGAGAUUCACAUCUCUUCGCUCAGUAGCAUAGAUAGGUUUGAUUGAUCACACUCAAAGACUUUCUAUCUUGCUUCACUUUCACCCCCCUAAUAGUACGGUUUUUCCUACGACUCAAAAAAACUAACAAAGAAUCACUAUUCUUCAAAAUUCAAUUCUUUAGAGGGCACUAUGAAUUGUUAAAUGUUAUCAGAACAUUUUUAGGGGUCAUAACCCACUAUUUUAACCAAAUCAUCGAGGACUUCACCUAUGUGUACUCACGAACACAUUAGUCCCUUGACAAUUUUAUCGUUAAUCAUCCAAAACCCACAAGGGGCACUAGAUGCACUUACACUUUGUCUUUUUCUGUGGACACAAAAUCAUUGAGAUGAACCCUUUUACUCCUUUUGGGUCAUCUUUUCACUUCUUCUGUUUUGACUUGGUAGCAUCCAUCUAAUGUGAAUCUUCAACCCGCGUACAAAUACUCAAGGUAUCUAGCCUGGCAAAUCAAGUUCUCCAGAUUGCUCUCCUCCUCCCGCGACGUGCGUCACGAGAGAAACCCUAGCGCCCCGCCUCCAGGACCUCCUCCUCCCCUUCUCCCCUCCCUGGCCGCUGCCUGUGAGCUCAGCCAGGCGAAGCCUGGUCGGUUCCGGCGAUGGGGGGGCAUCUACCCCUCUCCGUGUGGUCGCGUGUGGCGCGGGACGGCGUGGCCGGCGGAGGCGCGACGGCGUGGCAUCCGGACGCGGGGCGGCGGAGGUGGUUGCGGUGUUGAUGGCGGCUGCGUUUGGGCAUGCCCUGAUCCGGUGGCAGCUGCGCCACAGGUGGCACGGGCUCAUCGGCGGCCUGGGUGGCUCGGCGCGCGUGGGAGCUCGGCCGGUGGUGGCUUGGGUCGCCGUUGCACCUCGUUGUCUGGCUAUGUGGAUGCUGGUGGUGGAUGGCGGCUGCUGGUGAGGUCUUCUCCAGCCGCGACGCCGGUCUGAGUGCGGCUCCAAUCCAACCCAUGUUGAACUUGCACAUGUCGCGGCAUAGAGCUGGACCUUUCCUAGUGAUGGCCACCGUUUAGGGUUGGAUCCGAGGUCGGGAGGGCCACUUAACCAUCCUUGCCUCCCGUCAGGUGGCGCACCGGGGAGCUCGUCCUUGCGCAACCUGGCAGGACGGGGCGGUGGCAGCCGAGUGCGGNNNNNNNNNNNNNNNNNNNNNNNNNNNNNNNNNNNNNNNNNNNNNNNNNNNNNNNNNNNNNNNNNNNNNNNNNNNNNNNNNNNNNNNNNNNNNNNNNNNNNNNNNNNNNNNNNNNNNNNNNNNNNNNNNNNNNNNNNNNNNNNNNNNNNNNNNNNNNNNNNNNNNNNNNNNNNNNNNNNNNNNNNNNNNNNNNNNNNNNNNNNNNNNNNNNNNNNNNNNNNNNNNNNNNNNNNNNNNNNNNNNNNNNNNNNNNCGUCCAGGGGCACGGGAGUAGGUGCCUUCCCGCUUGUCUCUUUGCCGGUCAUGGCUUAAAGCUUUGGUUGGGGAUGGUGUCGGGGCGGCGGCCGUGGAGUUGAUCGUGGUUUAUUUAAAAUUAUAACUUCAACACCUAUUCGUUUAUCAUUUGGGAUAGAUUCCCCUAUAAAGAAAUGAAAAAACUCAAAGAAAGGAUGGAGGAUAUUUCCCAUGUCAAAAAAAGAUAGAGAGGUGAAUGUUACCAUAACAAUGUGUAUCAGACUGUUUGUUUCCUUGUAGUUGGACAUAUAGACUUGCUCACGGAUAACAGCCCGCAUAGCUAGGCAAGCAGGCCCAUGCAUCAUCAUGGGCUCUCACACAAGUAGGAUGUUUCUCCUUUCGAUUUCUUGCUUUCCUAAUUAACAUAAUGUAAAAAAAAGUUACUACAAUUAUACCAUGGCAAAAACAAUAAUCCAAACUAGCUGCUUAAAGAAAGACCUUCCUAUUCCUCAAGAAUGCCAAAGUUACACUAGUGCCAUGGAUGUGUCCAUGGAGACACGACAACUGUCUGCGAGGAGUGACAUUUGCAUUAGCCUCUGAAGAUGAAGCUGCUAGGUUUGGCGCCCCUCGAGAGGACAAUUGCGAGGAAGCGUUAGAGGGUAUUGGGGAUUUAAGGAGAGUGUAAGAUGCACAUGUUUCCUACACUUGCAUGCUAUUCACCGGAGAAAGAAAGCCUUCAUCUCUUAUCUCAAGAUUAAUUGCUCACUUACAUCUGAUCAUGACAAGAACGCUACACCGGUGUAUUCCUUAAUCUUUGAUAUGUUGGGUUCAUCACCAAAUUACCUCCAAGUCCCCAUUUUCAACCUACAUCAUCUUGAGGUGGGAUUCUCGGAGGAGGAGGUGUGUAAUGUGGUUAAAACACAACAGAUGGACAAGGUGAUGGGACAUGAUGGUUUCUCGGCGAGGUUUUAUUUCACAUGCUAGCAUCUCAUCCGAGAGGAUAUAGACACAAAUUUCUGAAUGUAAGGUGCAAAGAAUAAGAGUCAGAGUGCUCAAUGAAGACACAAAUAUUUCAAUACCCCAGUUCAAUUUGUUGGCACAUUUACGUAUGGAUUAGAGAGGUCGAGCCACAACUCUGAGGACACACAAGUCUCCGCCUUCUUAUCCUUGAGAUAAGUUCCUUGGAACUCACCCAAUUACUCGGGGUAGAUAUUGCGAUGAUCUUCAGACCAUCAAAAAAUCAUUUUUCGGCCGUUGCACACUGGAAGCUAUGAAUGACUCCUAACUGUCUAGAAGAUGCAUAGUCUUCAAGAGGAACACGUCUCAUUAGACUUAGAUCAACUUCUUUGUGAUGCUCAAUCACUUUGCUUUACGAUUUGGAUGGUUUUUCCUCACUUAGAUAUCUCAAAAUUAGUGCGGGCAUGGAUGCUCUUUGCGUAACAUUGGGCAGAAAUUUCUCUCGAGCAAUCUCCCGCUAUCUGUGGGGUUAGGUUUCUAUUUAUAGUUGCAUCUCAUAGUUGGCUAGCGAUAUGACUGUUGGACAGGGGGCUCCCACCAACAUGUUGUUGCGAGCUGUCAUAAUAGUAAAAAAAUUUGAACUCUCAUAUUCACCGGUUCCUUAAAACUUAGGACAACCUCAACAACAACUUUCCUAACUCCUUAGCAAGGAAGUCGAACUCAGGUGUUUCAAAGUAUCACCUGCAACACAAGAGCUCGAAGACUUUUUCUAAAAGGAGAUUCACAUCUCUUCGCUCAGUAGCAUAGAUAGGUUUGAUUGAUCACACUCAAAGACUUUCUAUCUUGCUUCACUUUCACCCCCCUAAUAGUACGGUUUUUCCUACGACUCAAAAAAAACUAACAAAGAAUCACUAUUCUUCAAACUUCAAUUCUUUUGAGGGCACUAUGAAUUGUUAAAUGUUAUCAGAACAUUUUUAGGGGUCAUAACCCACUAUUUUAACCAAAUCAUCGGGGACUUCACCUAUGUGUACUCACGAACACAUUAGUCCCUUGACAAUUUUAUCGUUGAUCAUCCAAAACCCACAAGGGGCACUAGAUGCACUUACACUUUGUCUUUUUCUGUGGACACCAAAUCAUUGAGAUGAACCCUUUUACUCCUUUUGGGUCAUCUUUUCACUUCUUCUGUUUUGACUUGGUAGCAUCCAUCUAAUGUGAAUCUUCAACCCGUGUACAAAUACUCAAGCUAUCUAGCCUAGUAAAUCAAGUUCUCCAGAUUGAUCUCCUCCUCCCGCGACGUGCGUCAUGGGAGAAACCCUAGCGCCCCGCCUCCGGGACCUCCUCCCCUUCUCCCCUCCCUGGCCGCUGCUUGCGAGCUCAGGCAGGCGAAGCCUGGUCGGUUCCAGCGGUGGGGGGGGCAUCUUCCCCUCUCCGUGUGGUCGCGUGUGGCGCGGGACGGCGUGGCCGGCGGAGGCGCGGCGGCGUGGCAUCCGGACGCGGGGCGGCUGAGGUGGCUGCGGUGUUGCUGGCGGCUGCGUUUGGGCAUGCCCUGAUCCGGUGGUAGCUGCGCCACAGGUGGCGCGGGCUCAGCGGCGGCCUGGGUGGCUCGGCGAGCGCGGGAGCUCGGCCGCCGACGGCUCGGGUUGCCGUUGCACCUCGUCGUCUGGCUGUGUGGAUGCUGGUGGUGGAUGGCGGCCGCUGGUGAGGUCUUCUCCAGCCGCGACGGCGGUCUGAGUGCGGCUCCAAUCCAACCCAUGUUGAGCUUGCACAUGUCGCGGCAUAGAGCUGGACCUUUCCCAGUGAUGGCCACCAUUGAGGGUUGGAUCCGAGGUCGGGAGGGCCACAGAACCAUCCUUGCCUUCCGUCAGGUGGCGCACCGAGGAGCUCGUCCUUGCACGACCUGGUAGGAUGGGGCUGUGCCAGCCGAGUGCGGCCGUCCCGGGGGUGGGCCUCGGACCUGGGGGUCGUCCAGGGGCACAGAAGGAGGUGCCUUCCCGCUCAUCUCUUUGCCGAUCAUGGCUGCAAAAUUUGGUUGGGGAUGGUGUCGGGGCGGCGGCAGUGGAGGUGGGAGGCAUGGGCUCAUGGGCGGAGCUCAAGGCUCGGGUGUGAGCUGGCUGCCAUGAUUGUGCGGGCGGUGUGUGGUCAGGGUGCGACAACCGGAGGGGUGCGUGCGGUGGGCCUGGCUUGAUGUGCCUCACCUCGAUGGCUUUGAGGAUUUCCCGGGGUGAAAACCUGCUUUGGCUCUGCCAAGCCGACGGCGAUGGCGCCUAUGGGUGUCGCCUCCUUUUUGAAGGCGUCGUCGCGGUUCCUCUACAUGCUCUGAUUGCUCCGAGGGAAACCUUGAUCGUGGGAUCGGGCGGUGGCGAUACGCCUGUGUCAUACCCUUUUUUUUUGAGGGGAUGUCAUACCCUUCUUGAAGGCACCGCCUUGAAGUGUUCGGCUUGUCAUGCACAUCUUUCUCUCUUCGCGGUGACUCGCUCACGGUUGAGCUCUUCGGAGACUCCAAGUGGUGCUCUCUCUGCCUACAUGUAGUUGCUUGGAGUGGAUGGGGUGAUCCAGCUGUUCUUAUACACCCUUGUAUCUUUGCCUUGAAUGUGUGUUGUGAGUGUGAGUUGUAUGUGUCGUUUGUAUAAUGAUCCUUUAUAAAGUGGGACGCGAGUCUUUUUGGGUAAAUCAAGUUCUCCUGAUGCUGAAAUUUCAAUGACAUAGCUUUAUUCUACUGUCUUCUCGAAUUGCCUACUUCAUAAUUUGUCCAUGCAAAGCAUAUCAUUGCGUUCAUAUGCGAAUGUGUUUAAUAUAUAUUUUGUUACAUAUAAUACUAGCGAGUUAAAUUGAUGCACCGGAACGGAGGAGCAGUUAUUUUCGUUCGUGUUACACGCCGACCGAGAGUUGCGAGCUGUCAUUUGCUCGAAGCAAACAAGUCGACCUUUGCGAGCCAAAAGAUGUAUCCGAUGAGUUUUCCAUAUGAAAAAAUUCUUUAUUUGACACUAUCUUAAAAUCUAUUUUCUUAUUUGACACUGAAAAAGUUUUUCUUCCUUAUUUGACACUAGUUAUAAAUUUUAUUCCCGUCCAUUUUAAACCUAAAUGACUUAAAAAGACGAUUUUGCCCUCAUGCGGUAUGUAUGUGCGCGCGUGUGUGCUGGUGCGUGUGUGGGUGCACGCACACAUGUGUGCUGCUGCUGCAUGUGUGUAUGUGCAUGUGGGCUGCUGCGUGUGUGUUUGCUUCUCCGUGUGUACGUGUGUGUGCUGUUGCGUGCCUAUGUGCUGCCUGCAUGUGUGCUGAUGCUGUGUGUGUGCUGCGUGCGUGUGUGCGCGAGCAUGUGUGUUGCUGCGUGUGUGUGUGCGCGCGCACGCGCGUGCGUGCGUGUUGUUGCGUGUAUGUUGGUGCAUGUGUAUGUGUUGUUGCGUGUGUGCUCUUGCCCUCGCACUAAUGCUGGUGCGUGCGCUAUUAUUCCCACACACAUACCACAUAAGGGGCAAAAGAGUUUUUUCAGGUGUCAUUUAGGCUUAAAAUGGAUGAAAAUGUCAUAUAAGAAAUAAAAUUUAGAAUUUGUGUCAAAUAAAAAAAAACUUUUCAGUAUCAAAUAAGGAAGCAAAUUUUAAGAUAAUGUCAAAUAAGGAAUUUUCUCUUCCCAGAUUGUCUUCUUCCCGGACGAAAGAUAGCUGUCAUCCUCUUCCCUGUGUGUCAUCACUUCUGCUUCCAGAAGGAGCUGAGACGUGGCAACCCGGCCGCGCACAGCGCCUGCACACGUCCGGCCUCGCUUCAUGGGCUAGUCACCAGUCACCGCCACCCGCCCCACCGCGAGCACACGUAUCGCCCUACCGUGGCACACACCGAGAUCCAUCCGACCCGACCGACGAUCCUUAUCCCUCGCCGCAAACGGCUUUAUAAAAUGGUGCCUCGUGCUGCACCUGCUUACACAACAAAGUGUACCGAGACCAAGAGAAGUAAACAGCAGCAUACUAGAUCUUGAUUCCCCGUGUGACAAGUUCAGCGCAGCGCAAGAUGGAGUACCAGGGACAGCAGCAGCGCGGCCGCGUCGACGAGUACGGCAACCCGGUGGCCGGACAUGGCGUCGGCACCGGCGCGGCCGCCGGUGGGCAUUUCCAGCCCAUGAGGGACGAGCACCAGACUGGCCGUGGGAUCCUGCACCGCUCCGGCAGCUCCAGCUCCAGCUCGGUGCGUAUACACAGUACACAGUACUUCUUGCUGACACCACUUGCAUCUAUGGUUAGUGUUUUGUGUACUGAUUUCUCUCGUUCUUCGUGAUAGUCCGAGGACGAUGGCAUGGGCGGGAGGAGGAAGAAGGGCAUCAAGGAGAAGAUCAAGGAGAAGCUCCCUGGUGGCCACGGUGACCAGCAGAACACCGGUGGCACCUACGGACAGCAGGGUACCGGCAUGGCCGGCACCGGCGGCACCUACGGGCAGCAGGGUCACACUGGGAUGACCGGCACCGGUGGCACCUACGGACAGCAAGGCCACACUGGGAUGGCCGGCACCGGCGGCGCCUACGGGCAGCAGGGUCACACUGGGAUGACCGGCACCGGCGGCACCUACGGACAGCAAGGCCACACUGGGAUGGCCGGCACCGGGGCACAUGGCACCACGGCCACCGGCGGCACCUACGGGCAGCAGGGUCACGCCGGGAUGACAGGCACAGGGGCGCACGGCACCGGCGGCGGCUACGGGCAGCACGGCACUGACACCGGCGAGAAGAAGGGCAUCAUGGACAAGAUCAAGGAGAAGCUCCCAGGCCAGCAUUGAGCGCUGAGCAGAGCCCGCGGCCGCCACUUCUGAGAGUGGAGGUGCCGGUCGACCACCUUUGCAGAAUCAAUAAUAACAUGGCGAUACAAUAAAAUUCCACCAUACAACGUGAGCCUGGUUCACCGAGCUCACUUGCGUGUUGGAGGAGCCACCGUAUCUAGGCUCAAGUUUACGUGAACAACCAGUGUUGUUUGUUUUGAGUUUCUCGUCUGUUUACACUGUAUAAUCUUGUAAAUUUCCUUCUGGUUAAACCGUGUAUGUAUGCUUCGCGUACAGGUAAGUUAUUUUAUCAAAAAUAUAUACUCCUAUAAUAGCUUAAGAGCAUCAUAUGUAUUUCGGCCUUGUGAUGAAACCGGUGCACUGGGUCCGUGCCUUGGUUUCCGUAUUUGGAAAUUUCGGAAGGUUCUACAAAAAGAAGAAAAUACAUACAGGGCAUAUAAGACCAGUGAAUACACAAUACCAGGAAACAAUAUCAACUCUAAAUUUAGAGCACAGUAUAUUUUUUAAAGGUAAAGCUAAGCUUUAUUGAUCAAAUGCCACAGUGGAAUACAUCUCGGAUUGAACCAGCCCCACACGUGGCGUCCCUGACCUAACGAAUGUAAAAACUUAGCCAGAUUGUGAGCCUCUUUAUUUGUCUCUCUUAUCUUCAAAAAUAAAACUAGUAGCACGAACGAAGCUUAAUCUCACUAAUGACACUAUCAUAUCUCCCUUAUGUGCCCUUCUGGAUGUCUUCUACAACUUGCUUGGAAUCUACAGCAACAAUAAAGUUUUGCAGAGCAGAUCGUCUGCUAGAGAGUGUCUCCCUGUACGCAAUGGCUUCCAGUAUUGUUGAAUCACGGAUGCCAUGUAUCUUCAACGAUGAAGUCCCCAAGUAGUUACCUUGGUCUCUAAUUGCCGCUAACACGUAAUUUUGCAAAACCAGUAGGUGACGCCUUCUGUCUUCGCUCACAUUGAUUUUUUUUUUUUGAGUCCGUCUUCGCUCAAUGUCUUCGCUCACAUUGAUGGUGUUCUGGACUAGAGGUACCAAUCUAGUUGGCCCAUAGUCCCUGUGCCGAGCUUGCGGCCCGCCAAUCUCAGCAAGAAAAGGCACCGGAAGCCUCGAACCCAGGUGUGAUCAAGACGGACACUGUCGAAUACUUGGCGUAUACAUUAAGAAUAGUUCUAAUUAUCGGCAUGUUUACUCCAAGUUGGCAAUAGAUCAUGUAUAACCCUAAAUACCCCUAGAAAAUGAAAUUCAUGAAUAUUUGUUUAUUUUAGACGAACAUUUCUAGAAAUGGAUGAACAGUUUCUGAAUUCAUGAACAUUUUUUGACUCAACGAACAUUUUGAAUCAAUGAACUUCUUUGAAAUUGGGGAAGAAUUCUUGAAUAUGUUUUGAAUACACGAUCAUUAUUUCAAAAUCAUGAAUAUAAUUUUAUUUCCUGAAUAUUUUUUAAGUCAUGAUUUUUUAUAAUAUGUGAAGAAUUUUAUUAAAUCACAAGCAUUUGCAUCUGCCUCAUCGCAGCGUUUUGCCUGUCUUUUCUUCAUAUUUGUUUGGCUCAAUGUUUCCAUGAGGAUUUCAAACUGAAAUCUUCAUAUUUGUUUGGCUCAAUGUUUUCAUGAGGAUUUUAAACUGAAAUGUGUGACUCUGACAAAUGCAAGUUAGUUAAGGAUGCAAUUCUGUCUUGCCACACGAAUGUUAUAUGCUUGCAGGAAACCAAACUUCAGGUGGCGGAAGCAACAAAAGCAAGCUCUUUUCUUCCCUCCAACCUCAAAGCUUUCUACUUCAUCCCGGCUAUUGGCUCUGUUGAUGGCCUUCUUGUCGCUUGGGACAAAGAUUGUGUGUCUGCCAUUGAGAUCUUCAGAAGCCAAUACUGCAUUUCAGUAAACUUAAGUUCAUUCAGUGACAACAACUCAUUCUGCCUGACAACUGUCUAUGCCCCAUGUGAUGAUACAGAGAGGCCCGAUUUCUUCCACACGGUUAAACAAGCUGCUGAAUCAGCUACGGGACCAUGGAUUCUUCUUGAAGAUUUUAAUAUGUACAGGUUUACACAUGAAAAAUCGAAGGGACAUAAAAACUGGGCUAUGAUGGACAGCUUUAACGACUGGAUUAGAGAGAAUGCCCUUGAUGACAUAGACAUUACCAACAGAACAUAUAUAUGGUCAAAUAAGAGAAGGGAUCCCACCUUGGUUAAGCUUGACAGAGUCCUUGUGAACGCGGACUGGAACCUGGGUUUUCUGAACACGGAGGCGACAACCGUCUUUGCAACAACUUCACAUCACAUCCCCAUUGCAAUUGACUUUAGCAGAAGUAAAUGUUUCCGGUUUGAGAAUCACUGGCUACACACUCAGGAACCACGAGAUGUUAUUCACAGUGGGCUCACUAAGGGCACCAGACACUUUGCAUCCAUUACACCCUCGUUGAAUUUCAAGCUCAGGUGAACCCGAGCAGCAAUUAGGAAGUGGGCGCAAGGUCCAAGUCCAGUUUGUAAUUACUUCUACAGAAUUGCAAGCAUGUCAUGCAAUAUCUAGACGCUGUAGAAGAAAGAAGAAACCUCACAGCUAUAGAAUUCUCUUUGAGAAAAUUCGCCACUGCCAAAGCAUAGCGGAUCAUAAUAUGGCAAACUGAAGGAUGGAGGAGGCGUGCAAAAAUCAGAAAUUGUGUGCUAGGAGAUGAGAAUAAUAGCUUCUUCUACGCCGCUGCAAAUUGUCAUCAUCGGAAAAAAUAUUGAGUUCUUUGACGACCGUCACAAGUUGGAUAUUGCAACAGUUUACUUCACUUCAAUCUUUAGGCAGCAAUCACUCUCCCUCCCAACCAUUGAUGCAAGUUCCAUAUACGAGCAGGUUAACUUGGAAGCCUUAGAAGAAGCUUUUUCAAAGGGAGAGAUCGUCAGAGCCAUUGAAAAAUCACCUAAUCAUAGAAGUCCUGGCCUGGAUGGAUAGACAAACGAAAUUUAUAAGGCUUUAAAGGAAGUGCUCAAGGAGGAUCUCCUCCAGCUAUUGCACGAUUUCUACUACAACCGAGCUAAUUUCCAAGGAAUCAAUAUAGCGCAUAUCGCGCUCAUACCGAAAAAGGAGGCACCUGUUGAGAUCAAGGACUUCAGGCCCAUUUCUCUCGUUCAUAGCCUGCUCAUGGUGGUUUCCAAAGUCCUCCCUAACAAACCGAAGCAUUUGAUUCCGUCUCUAGUACAUUCACUGCAAUCAGGUUUCCUUCCUGGAGGAAGCAUUAUUGAUAAUUUCCUGCUGGUAGCCGAGCUCGUGCAACAAGCAAGGAAGAGACGCAUGCCCAUGAUUGUCCUGAAGCUUGAUUUAAGAGAAGCCUUUGAUAGUGUUAGUUGGGAAGCCCUUCUCAAAAUCCUCGCUGCAAGGAGUUUGGCGACAAGUUGAUUGGCUGGAUCAAGUGUUUACUCUCCUCCAACUCCUCAAGGGUUCUCAUUAAUGGCCGCCUGGGGGAGAAGAUCACGAUGCUGAGUGGGAUACACCAAGGGAACGCCCUAUCACCAUACUUAUAAUAUCCUCGUGGCUGAUCUCCUACAGCAAUUAUGUGUUGCAGAACACAACCAGGGCAACCUGGAGCAUCCACUCGCGGCGUGUGGCCCCUUCCCGGUGUUGCAAUGCGCAGAAGACACCCUCGUCCUGAUCAAGGGUACAUAUGAGCAGGCUUUUGUAACACCCCGGGAACCAUGCUACAAUAAUCUUCCCCUAAUGGUGGUCAAGUCAUCAUGAUUACUAUGCAAAUUGCCGUUUGUCCUAAAAAUCAACGUCAAAUUCCAAUUUAAAUUGCAGGCCAAAUUUUUUACUUCUUCAAACGGAGAAACAAAAAUGUUUACGAUAUGUCAUAAAAUCCCAAGGCAUUGGUAAAAAUAAUUUCAACUAUAUUUGGAUGUCCAAUUUGGCCCUGUCAUUGGUGGAACAACAACCUUUAACCACACCAUUUAAAUGCAAAUAUAAUUUAAUUAAAUUCAAGAUGACCCCAAACUUUGUGGACAAGCCCAUAAUAUUGCAAAGUAUUUUUGCGACAAGUUCCACAUUUAACAAAAUUCACUUGGCACUAAAAAGAAAUACAAAGCAGAUAGAAAAUAAAUGACAGAAAAAGAAAAAGACUAAAGACCUACUAUGCUAAUGGGCCGAAAGUGGCCACAGUGCACCUAGCCCAGCCCACCACCGGCCUUUCCCUUACCUCCCGCUACAAGAGGCAGAGGAGGUGCGUGGCGCACAUCCAUGACGGCCAUGGUCAUGGAUGGCCUCCACGCCCCCACGUCCUAUAACUAUGUCCACAGAAACCCUAGCCCCCACUUCGCUCAGCCCCCUCUCGACCCCCUUCGUCCCCUUCCUCCGUGGCUCGAAAUCGAGCUCAGAAAACUCAUGGUCACCGCUACCUCACCAUCAUUACCGAGGCCACCAUCACCGCCAAUGUGUGGGGACACGUCCAGGAGGUUCGUCGCGACCGGCUUCGUCCGUUCCAGGCAUUGGAGAAGGGAGGGGAACGGUUUAGACCGGCUUCGUCUGGCCAUCGCAAUCUCGCCAUCGCCGCCAUCUCUACGGUCCACCCCCGGCCUCCCCGACCUCGCCUUCAUGCUCGCGGUGAGCAUCUCCCCCGAUCCUUCCAUGCCCCCUCUUUGAUUCGGCACUGUAGACCCGCGCCGCCUGUUGCCGCCAUGGCCGGACCUCUGGAGCUCCGCCCGCGUGCAUACUCAACCACUCCUCGCCGCACCCUUGGCCGUCCCGGCACGCCCAUGCCUCGCUGGCUGCGCGCUCACACAUGCCACACACACCCCCGCUGCCUGCUAACCCGCUUGUCUGACGCUUGCUCGCCGUUGCUCUGUUGUGCCACUGCUGCCUCGCAGCCACUCGUUGCCGCCGUCCGGUGCUCGCCCCGCCCUUCUGGCCGCCCUGGCUCGCGCCCCUGCUAUCGCUUCCGCCUGCACUGUCAGGCCUACAUCUUCAGUUAACAAGUGUUCUCCACCUUUAGUUAACGAGUGGUCGAGAUUUACGACUGAACCAACGAUCUAACGGCUCGCAGAGCUCACCACCCUACUGUACCGUUAUUGCCGUUCCUGUAGCGUUUCAUUCCUGGCACUGUUGCCAUCACCCAAGUGCCUGCUGAGCUAUAAAGCGAGCGGCCCUGUCUUGUAAUGGCAUCGCUUAUUAUGAGAAUCGUUUCAUUAUACAAACAUAUAUCUCAUAGUAAUACAAACCCUAGCGGGCUCCGACUUUCACUUUUCUUUGUUCGUGAGAUCUAGUUCGAGUUCAUCCCUGAAUUCCCCAUUGGGGCAUGACAAUUUGUAUCAUGAGCAUAGGGUUUCCUCGGCGGCGAGAUAGAUCGGAGCUGCGACGGUGAUUGCCCACCCUUCCCUUCCUAUUUUCGUUAGCAGCGGCGGUGAGUGGAGGCGGUUGGUGGCGGAGUUCCGGGCGGCGCUGGCGGCGAUACACAAAUUCGACGACAACUCGCCGAGCAAGACUGGUUGUUUGAGAACAUCGCUCUCACAGGAAAAUCCCAGGUCGAGCGGUGGUGGUGCUGUUCCAAUGGCGAUCUACGACGACGACGGCAGAGUUAAGUGUUCAGAUAUGGUUUCCAGCACAUUCUGGAGGUAAAAUUCCCCUCUGAAUCACUUAAAUACAAAGGGCCGUUCGAAGGCUAGUCUCGAUGAGUCCGAUGUGGCAACAUCAAGAAGAAACAACAGAGUUGUGGGGUGAAGUGGACGAAUUUCGUAAGGAUGUGCAUGACAUCAACACCAAAUAGGAUACUAUGGUUUCAGUACUUAGUGGGGUUCAGAAAGCAGUUUCUUCCCUAAACUCGCAAUUGUCAGCAAUGUCCGAUGUGUUAAAAUCAGUCAGUAUCACAGGUGCAUCCACUUCGGCGCAACCGGGCAAACCAUCUUUUGAACAAGCACCAGUUCCCCCCUCCACCACCAGUGAACAAGGAAACGGUUGCUGAAGGGGGCAGACAUCUAACCAAAGAAUUGAGGAAGCGAUUGGCCCUUGAACAAGAGAAGACUAGGCACGUUGCUUCACAAAUUCCUCCUCACUUGGCACCCAUCCAAGUUCCUAGACCCUCUGUUCCUCCUGGAUAUGGUGCCAAUACAAUGCUGGAUGUACACUCAAGCAAUGUGAGUCCAACAAUAGCAUACAAGACUGCUCGUACCCCUGGAUUUCAUAGUUUUCAGCUACCUGGAGUUCGUCACAGUUGGGAUGAUUUUCAGAAACAGUACGAACAAGAGAUGCACUUUCAAUUUCUCAAAAGCAUCACCAAAGGGCCACUCAUGGAUUUCCCACGUUUCCUUGGGGACAAUCCAGCAGGAUGGAUUCGCCAAUGCGAGAAAUAUUUUCAAAUGGCUGGUGCACCUACGGAAUACAGGGUCAACCUGGCACAGUGUUAUGUUGUUGGCAGAACUGAUGUGUGGCUACGCCAUUCAGGUAUCUUAAAAACAGUUAACAUGGGCACGGUUCAGUGAAGAAAUUAUGUGUCGAUUCUCCUCAGCAAGUUCUUAUAAGAUGACUGAGAAGUUUAAUAACCUGAAACAAGGAACUUCAACAGUAUCAGAUUACACUGCCCAAUUUGAAGACCUGAUGGCAGAAAUACAACCUAACAAUCCGAUUAUUGAUGAAAACUGGUUUAUCAGAUGCUAUGUUAAUGGGCUUCGUGCACACAUCAAGUAUAAGGUGAGAUCACUCAGACCUACAUCUCAUAGACGCCUACUGGUUAGCAGUUGAUCUGGAAAAGGGCACAACAGAGAAGAAAACAUAUCAGUCUUAUUUUGGUACAAGCAAAAGCUUUCAAAAAACCUAUCCUCAUGUGUGAGAGAGACCAACAGAUCCUAAACCAGUUGUGGUGAACCAAAGAGCAAAAGAGCCUGGUAAAUGUUGGAGGUGUGGUGAUGCAUGGUUCCAUGGCCACAAAUGCAAAUUAGCUCCUAUACUAAAUGUGCUCACUGGUGAAGAUCCCACAGAACAACCAAAAGAACAAGAAGAGAUGGAUGAACAAGAAAUGGAAGAACAACAACAGUCAGAGGAGCGCUGUAUGACAAUUUCUGCACAAGCUAUGCAAGCCGAUAAUGUCAACACCAUAUCUAUAUUGGUCCAAAUUGGGGGAAAACAAGGCAUUGCUCUAGUGGACUCAGGCAGCAACUUGUAGCGACCCGAUCUCAAACGGUCAAGUCUCCGUGCUUCAGUGCCAUCCCUGGAUCGGUAAUGCUGACACACACAGUACUCGAGGAUUUAUAACAGAGUAGCAAUCACACACUUAUUACAUCGAAUGUCUCAAAAGAGAACUUAUUACAAUAAAUAUGGCUUAAGGCCAUCUAAUACGAUAACAGCGGAAGGCUUGGAAGAUAAAGUGAGUCCAUCAACUCCAACAGCAUAGCUGAGCUGCACGACAACGACCUAGCGAACCUUACUCCUCGUCUGAAAAGUCUGCAACAUAAUACGUUGCAGCCCGAAAACGGGUCAGCACAUGGAAUAUGCUGGCAAAGUAACACAGUAGAGCAAGAACAGAAUAAUGCUAUCACUACAUGCUUAUUUGGCUGGUGGAAAGCUCCAUGGUUAUAGUUUUUGCGAAAAGCCAAUUUUUCCCUACAAUAAAGGAAUAUAUUUUAUUUAACUAUCAUGGUAGUUGAAACAUCAUUGAGAAGGUUCCUCCAACUCAAUCCCAAUUAAAGUAAUUAACAACCCAACAAUAUUAGUUUAGAGUGAUGAGAUACUUAUGAUACUCCAAGUACUAGAUACUCAAUAUAUUCAUAACCGGGGACACGACUAACCAUGAUUAGUUUAUACACUCUGCGGAGGUUUGCGCACUUUUCCCCACAAGAAUCGAUCUCCUCCGUUGGAUUUCUCGCACUACAGGGUGUUUGAGAAAUGGAUAACCGAGACACAGUCUUUCAGAAGCAUUAACCCCUUACUCCGGGAAGACCAUACCAACCUACAUCCCUCUACCUGCUGAUCCACCUCUUCGGGAGCUUCACACAACUUACUCAACUAUGCUAGAGCCCAUAAUAGCUUGUGGCUGCACACGGAAGUUUCUAGCAUGAAAAUAUCUCAGAUCCCUUUGAGCCUGGGUGGUUGAGGGAGUCCUGGAUUAGGGGGUGUCCGGAUAGCCGGACUAUACCUUCAGCCGGACUCCUGGACUAUGAAGAUACAAGAUUGAAGACUUCGUCCCGUGUCCGGAAGGGACUUUCCUUGGCGUGGAAGGCAAGCUUGCGAUACGGAUAUAUAGAUCUCCUACCAUUGUAACCGACUCUGUGUAACCCUAGCCCUCUCCCGUGUCUAUAUAAACCGGAGGGUUUUAGUCCGUAGGACGAAGAACAACAAUCAUACCAUUGGCUAGCUUCUAGGGUUUAGCCUCUCUGAUCUCGUGGUAGAUCUACUCUUGCACUACCCAUAUCAUCAAUAUUAAUCAAGCAGGACGUAGGGUUUUACCUCCAUCAAGAGGGCCCGAACCUGGGUAAAACAUUGUGUCCCCUGCCUCCUGUUACCAUCCGCCCAGACGCACAGUUCGGGACCCCCUACCCGAGAUCUGCCGGUUUUGACACCGACAUUGGUGCUUUCAUUGAGAGUUCCUCUGUGUCGUCACUUUUAGGCCCGAUGGCUCCUCCGAUCAUCAACGACGAUGCAAUCCAGGGUGAGACUUUUCUCCCCGGACUGAUCUUCGUAUUUGGCGGCUUUGCACUGCAGGCCAAUUCGCUUGGCCAUCUGGAGCAGAUCGAAAGCUACGCCCCUGGCCGUCAGGUCAGAUUUGGAAGUUUAAACUACACAGCGGACCUCCGCGGAGACUUGAUCUUCGACGGAUUCGAGCCGUAGCCGAGCGUGCUGCGCUGUCACGAUGGGCAUGAUCUAGCUCUGCCGCCGAACAGUGCCCUGGAGGCCGCACCCGCAUCAGCUCCGACCCUUAAUUCAGAGCCAACUGCGCCAAUCGAGGAUGGGUGGUUGGACACCGCCUCGGGGGCUGCAAUCUCUACGGCAAUCGAGCCGAACACCAGCCCUAUUCUCUGCGAAGCCCGUGACUCCAAGGAGCCGGACUCCUCUCCAGACUCUGAGCCCUCCACGCCCCUACCGAUCGAACCCGAUUGGGCGCUGAUCAUGGAGUUCACCGCCGCGGACAUCUUUCAGCACUCGCCCUUCGGCGAUAUUCUGAAUUCACUAAAGCCUCUCUCUUUAUCAGGAGAGCCCUAGCCGGACUAUGGUCAACAAGGUUGGGAUGCGGAUGAUGAAGAAAUUCAAAGCCCACCCACCACCCACUUCGUAGCCACUGUCGAUAAUUUAAACGACGUGCUCAACUUCGACUCCGAAGACAUCGACGGUAUGGAUGACGAUGUAGGAGAUGAACAUGAACCAAUGCCUAUAAGGCACUGGACAGCCACCUCAUCUCAUGAUGUAUACAUGGUGGACACACCCAAAGGAAGCGACGACGAGGAACACAGGGAUGCAACGAGGGAUCGUUCACUCGAAAAGCAAUCAAAGCGGUGACGUAAGCGCCGCUCCAAGCCCUGCCUCGAUAGAGACAACAGCCAUACAGACCCAGCCAUAGAGCAGGACGAGCCGGCGGACGACGAACAUGCCUUCGAGCAACCACCCGAACAGGGCAACUUGGAUAAACAAACCGAACACCCCGUCCCCGGCGAAAACAAUAGUCCGGACGACCUUACGCCGGAUAAGCUCAUGGAGCAGAAGAACCUCCACGAAGGGCUCGUCGCUACUGCGCGCAGCCUGAAAAAGCAGAAGCGAAAGCUACUGCCUGAAUUUGACAAGGAGGCCUUAGAGCCCCCGCAGUCAAAAAAUAGGAAGGCCACCCGGUCGGAUAGACGACCGCAUGGCCAGCAUGGAGCGGCAAGCGGCGACGCACACAAGCCGGCACGCGAUCCUCCAAAGGAUCCGCAUCAAAAAGAUGGCCCAGCCAGAUCUAUCUACAGGCCAAGAAAGCAAGCUCUAGUAAGCAAUGCAACACAGCAAAUAUCCGAACAUCACGGCACACCCAAAUACAGGGGUGCCGCACACCCCCUAUGUUUCACCGAUGAGGUGCUGGACUAUGAAUUUCCAGCGGGAUUCAAGCCCGUAAACAUAGAGGCGUACGACGGAACAACAGACCCUGGGGUCUGGAUCGAGGAUUAUAUCCUCCAUAUACACAUGGCCAGAGGAGAUGACCUCCACGCCAUAAAAUACUUACCCCUCAAGCUUAAAGGGCCAGCCCGACAUUGGCUCAAAAGCCUCCCCGAAAACACCAUUGGAAGUUGGGAAGAGCUUGAGGAUGCUUUCCGGGCAAAUUUUCAAGGGACCUAUUUCCACCCUCUGGAUGCAGACGAUCUCAGUCACAUAACUCAACAGCCCGGAGAGUCAGCCCGGAAAUUCUGGAAUAGAUUUCUUACUAAAAAGAAUCAGAUAGUCGACUAUCUAGACGCCGAAGCCCUAACAGCUUUUAAGCAUAACGUUCGAGACGAAUGACUCGCCAGACACCUCGGCCAAGAAAAGCCAAGAACAAUGGCCGCAUUAACAAGCCUCAUGACCCGCUUUUGCGCAGGAGAGGACAGCUGGUUGGCAAGAUGUAACACCAACGACCCAAGUACAUCCGAAGUUAGGGAUGGAAACAGAAAACCCCGACGCAACAAGGACCAGCGCCGGAAUAAGAGAAACAGCCCAAAGAGCAUGGUGGUCAACGCCGGAUUCAAAAUCUCGCGGCAGAAUCAGAGAAAGCCGCCCCUCAAGAAUAACAGGGACGAGCUAUCCAACUUAAACAAAAUAUUGGACAAGAUAUGCGAAAUACACAGUACUCCCGGGAAGCCUACGAACCAUACCCACAUAGAUUGUUGGGUUUUUAAGCAAUCCAGCAAACUCAACGCCGAACACAAGGGGCUCGACACACCAAGUGAGGACGACGACGAACCCCACAAGCAGAGCACCAGGAAACAAAAGGAUUUCCCACAAGAAGUCAAAACAGUAAACUUACUUCACGUGACGAACAGAAUGACGCCAACAGGGAUACGCGCCAUACGACCUAUCCAAAAGGAGUCUCGCUAAUGGUUGUUAAAACCGAUCACCUUCGACCAUCAGGAUCACUCUAGAAGUAUCCGGAACGCAGGCUGGACUGCCUUGGUAUUAGAUCCAAUAAUCGGCGGACUCCACUUUACAAAUGUCCUGAUGGACGGCAGCAGUGGUCUAAACCUGUUAUACCAGGACACAAUCCGCAACAUGGGGAUAGACCCAACAAAAAUCCGCCAUAGCAAAACCUCCUUUCAAGGGGUAACGCCAAGCCCGGAUGCCCGUUGCAUGGGUUCUCUCCGACUAGAAGUUAUGCUCGGCUCCCCCGAUAACUUCCGUCGCGAACAGCUAACUUUCCACAUCGCCCCAUCACUACAAGAAAUAUGUUAAUUCAUGACGAUCUUCCGAUGACGUUCCUAAAAAUCGUCAUAGACCAUGACGGUUUAAGUAGAUCCGUCAUGGGAUCCGUCAUGAAUCUGGAAGCGGCUGACUGGUCCUAAGACUAGCCACAAUGGAUAGUAACAUACACUAGUAACAUACACAUAUCCCUAGACUAUGUUACUACCUUCAUAGUGGAUAGUAACUUAAGUGUAGUAACAUGCAAAGAUUCAUUUACUAGGUUAUAGACUCAUAUUGCAUUGGGACAUGUGAUGUUAUAGUAACUAGCUAAGUUACUACAAUUACCUCUUUCUCCAUUAACUCAUUGCCACAUAAGCAAAUCUGCUGAGUUGGACUCGAUGUUACCGCUGAAGUUACUCCUACUGUGGCUAGUCUAAAAUGCAGAGUUUUGUCUUUCAUUUUUACAAUGUUGUAACCGUCAUGGAUUUAUAGUUGCAGACGUGGCGUGAGAGGGUUGGCCCAGCCCAUGAUUCUUUUUUAACUACGCUGCCGUGUACUGUCUCACGAGCGGGGAGAGCAGUCCUUGCCAUUGAGCUAUAGUUGCAGAUGUGUGAAGCCCUUACACCUUGUAUAUUAGUACUAUAGAAGUUCAGCCUUAAAUGGCUAGUUUUUUUAGUUGGGCCUUGUGUCGCUUGUUACAAUUGAGACUCCAGGUUCGAACACUGACCUCUAAAUUGAGGUAAUCACUUACCCGCGGUGCUCAACUGAAAAAAAACUUGCCCGUGAUGCUAGCUAAGCUAUGGUUUAUCAAGUAAAAUUUUACGAAUUUUGUACACUUAGUACUACUUUCUCCUAUACAUACCAAUUCUGUCUAUUGCUCACCUCACAUAUAUUUGGGCCACCCUGUACGCGAAGCGGGUGGUUUUCUACUGGAUUUCUUUUUUAUUUUGUGCAAGUUCAUGUUUAAUUUCCCCUUUUUAUUUUUAAAUUUGUGUUCCCUAUAUAUAAAAGUUUCAACAAUUUUUAUUGUACAAUUAUUGUGUAUUCUAAAUCUCUAUUCUAUUUUUGUUAUUUUGUACCUUGAAGAGGUAAACAUGAAGUAAUUUUCUUACACACUAAUCUUUUAAUGCACGUUGAACAUUUUUUGAAAACACGUUGACCAAUUUCUAAAAACACAUUGAUAAUUGUGUAAUAGUAAUAAAUUUUAGAAAUGUACUAAAAAUGUUAAAGAUGUUUGUAAAUAUCUAAGAAGAAUUUUACACAAUAAUAUUUGAAUGCACGUUGAACAUUUUCUAAAAAUAUGUUGAACAUUUUUUUCAAAUACACUUUGCCAAAAAAAUAAUGCUUGACGAACAUUUUGCAAACACGUUGGCAAUCUUUUAAUUUUGUAAAAUGCAAACGUGAUGCGGAGCAUCCCUCCAUCAUCCUCGUGGAGUCUACUACAAAUCAUCAAGCACCUCGAGAAGGACCAAUGACCAGAGCUCGCGCACGUGCCAUCAAAACCGAGGUUAACUCUUUCCUCUUGAUCUUCAUUGGAAUUCACAUGAGAAUUGGGUUCAACCUCAAAGAGAAAUAUUGUGUAUUCAUAGGUACCAACGAGAUGGCCGUAGGAAGCUAGCAGGGAGUCACAAGCAACCAAGAAGGGAGAAGGAAGAGCUCCAAGACACGCCCCAGGUGCCCGCACCAUCCACCCCUGAGUGACCAGACCCCCCGGUGCCCCCGGACUUGUUCUUGAGUGUUUCUCUUGUGAUUUCCCCUCUUGUUCUUCGUGUUCUUCGUGUUUUUUGUGGAUCACCCUCCAAUUCGUGAAAGAUCUCCACUUAGGGUCUCCACCCUACAUCAAAACGAAGUCUUGAAAAUAUGAAACUUGGCAUGGUGCCCUCGUAUGAUACCUAGAGGCUCUGGUAAAAAUUUGAGAAAGUUUCACAAUAGUGGUUGUAUCCGCUACUUACAAAUUGGCCACUUUGAGGAAGAAUCUAUGUUACGAGAAGGAAGAGGUCAGUUGUGAAGGUAAAGCGACCAUUGCAUCAUAUGUUGACCUUAAAAUGUUCCGUACACUUAAUAUACCCCGUUGUAUGAUCCAUGUCAAAAAUUGAGAUUUUUCGGGGUUUGUUUGCCAUAUUAAGUCAUUUCAUGCAUUUUUGUGGCAUUUAAUGAAUACAAUUCAAUUUUGAAUUGCAAGUGCAUGAAAAAGUUGGCCAAUUUGGUUUGAAAAACCCUACUUGUUUUACUGAGUCUAUAUUUGCGUCUUAUCCAAGAAAAUAAAAGGAGUUACACACAUGAGGGUGACAGACUCAACCUUGAACAUGGAGUUUAUUGAUUUUUUUUAAUUCUACAAAAUGCAAACGAAUUUUGAAAAAAAAAUGGAACUUGGCAUGGUGCCCUCGCAUGAAUACUAUUGAAUGCUCCCGCAAAAAAAAGAAUACUGUUGAAUGCAUGUACGAAAGCAUUUUUUUAUUAUUCUCAAAAGAAUUAGUACGCUGUUGAAAAAAUUGUACGCAUGACAAUACUACCUGUAGAAAAUAUGCAAACAGCCUAUAGAAAAUUUAGAUAGAUUUAAUUUAUUUAUUCUUCAUAGGAUGUUAAGUUAUUUAAAGUUUACGGUUUGAAAAGGAGAAAAUUAACAUCAAACUAACUUUAUCUGUAUUUCCAAGUUUGAAUUUGAAAAAGCUAAAAGAUUUCGCAAACACGUCAAUAACAUUUCUUUUGGAAUAAAAGUCUAUUUUCAAAAGAAUUCUUCAUAUAGAAAUUUGUUAUGCUACCGUGAUUCGAUACGAAUUGUAAUAAAACAGUCCACAAGUUCCCAACAUGAUAAUUUUAUUAUAGCAUGUAAUAUCUUACUUUUAAUUUUCAUGAUUUACUAGUAUUGUGAUGACACAUAAUAAUCUAACAUGCAAAUCACAUACAAAUUACUAGUAAAAAAAGGGGGUUCAAAACCUGAGGUUGCCUAGACUUGACCCAGGCAUAGAGUUUGGUUAUUUCGUUUUUAAUUCUGAAAAUGCAAACGAAGUCUAGAAAACAUGAAAAUUGCCCUCGUGCCCUCAUAUGACACCUAAGGUUGUGGUAAAUAUUUGAGAAGGUUUUACAAAAGCUAUGACAUACGCUGCUUAGAAACCAGGCCAUCUCCAAAGAAGAAUCUAUGUUUCGAGAGGGAACGAGCCAUGUUUGAAGGCGAAAAGACAUAUGCUUCAUCCACUAGCCUUGAAUUAACUAUUUUCAGAGAACUUAGUACAUGUAGUACCUUCCACUCUCACGUAACAACACACAAGCAGUAUACACAAAAAUUGCUAAAUUUCUAGCAAGUGUUUCCUACCACCGCACAUCGUUGACGAUGGCUAGGUCACCAGUGAGUUGAAAAAAUUUAUUCAUUAAGUAAAAUCCAUACAUUAAAUAAUUAUUCACUAAAAAUAUGACUAAUAUAUGAAAAUAUUUACCAGUUAUAAUGGUAUACUUUAAAUCUAGAAAAAACAUAAUUGAUUGAUGUUCACUCAAAACAAUAUGUGUAAAAACUCAAAAUAUUUUUGAAAAGUGUUCUUUGGUUAUUCUAAUGAUUGGAUAAUAUUGUUCAACCUAUUUUGGAUAGAGAACUAAACAACACUUUUUAAUAUACUAUAUGUAUAAUAAAUGUUUUAUUUAGUGCUUCUCAACUUUAACAAAAAUAUUUUGUGGUUCAUUAGGUAAAGAUUGAAUUAUCCCUAACUAUCAUGUGAUAUUUUCAUUUAUUUUGAUGUUACGAGCUAACAUAAAUCAUAAGUCCUUCAAUAUUGUUUUUGUAAAAUUUGUUUCAAAAAGAUGUUGUGAUCGGAAAUAUAGCUUUCAGUAUAUGACCACAUUUAGAUAUUUUAUUAUUAUUAUUCUUGAUUGGUUGCCAAUAGAAUUUUGAAUUACCCCAACAUAAUUUAAGUUAUGACAGGGGAGAUGUUUCAACUAUUUUCAGCUAUGAGAAAGAACAACACAUAUGCUCCUAAUUAUUGGUUUGUGAUUUUAUGUUAACCUUAUUUGAUUUACAUGCAGCUCAAAUUAACUUAAUCAAUAAAGAGACAUAAAUUCAUUUAAACUAUAACAAGUAUUAAGCAAAUUCAAAGUUUAUUGAAACUCCAAUGAAAUGAUAACAAUAUGUUAAACCACUUUGAAAAAUACUGAAACUUUUAAAAAUAAAAUAUAUGUAGUAUGUAGAUGUAGAAGGUGUGCUGGGGUCAUAUGGUAAUUUUUUUGUAAAUUAUUUUAGAACGGUGCCUUACUUAGUUAUUUGCGAAAUGGAAAAAAAAGUUCAAAAUCUGGACUGCCUUGCUCACAGCUGGGCCGAGAGUCAACAAGAGCCCAUUAGGUUCCUAGCUCAGUAUGCAUGUAUCCUACGUGAAGAAAACCGUGGCAUCUGAUUGGUUCACUCUACCCUCACGCGGAUCGCCGGUCAUAGCCGUCAGAUCCUCUCCAAUCCAACGGUGGUAGACUGGUUCCCAUCUCCUGUGUUUCUUCUCCACCCACGAGACGUAUCCGUCGAUCCUUCCAGAUCCUAUCCUCGCAGCGCCUUCCUUCCUCCUUCCCCUAAUCCACAUCUUCCUCCUCCCAGCAUCUCCAUUCCACUAUCCUCUCACCGAAGGCAAGCACAGCCCCCACGAGUCGACGACGCCCAUGCCGCCAUCGAAUCCUUUGCGUGUACCGUGCUGGGCCGCCGAGGGGUCUGCAUCCACCGGUCGACGAGGAGCAGCGCUUUGGCAGACGCACGGCCGAACGGUGCGACGGCCUCCACUUCCCGAGCGUUGGCGGACGGGGCCUAUGGCGCCAGCGGGAUGGCUUCCUGUUCAGCCGCGAUCGGUGCCCGUGUCGCUGCAAGGCGCUUGCCGCCUCGACGACUGCCUCGUCCAUAUAAGCAGCGACGCCCCCAAAGGCCGACCUGGCGCUGGUACCGUUGGUGUGGCCUGUGCCUGAGUCGCUGCAGGCCGCGAACGGGAACGGCGACGGGCUCGCAGACAUGGAUGGGUCUGGCGCGGCAGAAUACCCGACGGGCGUGCUCGAGGUCGCCCGACAAUGGGUAUUGGGGCGCCGACGGGCUCGUGACCGGCCCUCCACGGCCACGCGUCCAAAGUGCAGGGCGGAGCGGACGCGAGCUAGAUGGCGAUGGGCACCGAGGCGGCGUCGUGCAUGUGAUCCCCUCCCAUGCGUGCUUGAGGAGCCAGAAUCUAGGGGCACCAUAUGCGGCAAGAUCCCCUCCUAGGCGUUCUUCCGUGAUGGAAAAAUGAUGGCUUUUUUUAUUUUUUUAGCAAACGGAAGACGAUGGUGGUACUGAAUCCAGUGGAUCCUAGCCUAAUAAGUUCAGCAUCAUGAUGUUGUACUCUUGCUUCCAUUUUCUGAAAAAAAAAUCAACGAGCAUGACUUGGCUGUAACUUGCAUUUAUGUAAUUUUUUAGUGGGUUUCAUUGUCCUUUUUAUUAUUGGUUGUAAUUUAUGUUUGUCUGAUUUUUUUAAUUUAAUGGUGUGAGCAAAAAUCUUUUAAAAAAUUAUGUGCUUGAAAUGUUAACAAACACAAAAUAAUAGGUAUUGGUCUAUACUAUAAUUGGUGGGCUAAAGUUGCAUCUAAUGGAAAUGAGUGGGCCAAAAUUCUAAUUGGGCCACAACUUCAGCGGGCUGAGAUUUUAACUGGGCUGAUGAUCACAUAGGCCGAAGCCGAAAACAGUGGACCGAAAUUGUCUAUGGGCUGAUUACUAGAUGGGUCGCCAUGUUGGAUUCAUGUUGGCUGCCAUGUCGGAUGAUGAUGUGGCAUGCGCGUUAACGUCGUUGUUAGCACGUCAGUUAAGUGACAUACAUGACGGUCAAGAGCCGUCAUGGAUCCAUGACGGUAUUGGUAGCUCCGUCAUGGAGUGCACGGUGGUUAAAUUAUGAUGCAAUAUACAUGACGGAUUUUGAAUCCGUCACGCAUGGCCAUCCAUGAUGGUUUUGUGCCCAGCCAUGACGGUUUGGUUCCGUCAUGUAUUAACUGAUUUCUUGUAGUGCAUUCUCAAGUAGCUAUCAAGCACUGCUGGGACGCGAAGCUUUCGCCCGCUUUAACGCAAUACCGCAUUAUGCAUCUCUCACGCUUAAGAUGCCCGGUCCACGAGGCAUCAUCUCAUUAAAGGGAAAACAUUGAGUGUUCCCCCCGCGCGGAAGACAGUGCGGCUGCCUUGACAGCCCCACAAUAAAACGGCUUCACCAGCCAAAGCACCUAAACAGGUCGUCAGGACCACAGACACGGCUAGACGAGUCCGACAUAAACAUACAAUUGAUAAAGGCUUAAUAGCCGUAUACCCCUGUACUAGGGGCUCCGCGCAUAUAAAACAAGAGACAAUAAAGCUUAAUUUUACCCAUUUCGAUUUAUAGUUCAUUUAUUUAGUAUAACUCAUGUUCGGCACGAUCUUUCCUAAACUAAGUUCCUCUCUUUUACAGAUGAACACCGUGCUACGCCCGUCCAGGACACGGCACAACGGAGACACAGGCGCAGACGUGCAGCAGGGACCCGUUCCAAGGAUUCUUUUCAGAUUAAGACCCUGCGUAAACCUUUUUUACCGUCUCUUAUUGAUACACAUCCCCUGGUUUCUUGGUAUAACCAAGGAGGAGGCUAGCGUUUUGGCAUGUGGCCACGCCAGAGUUUUUGCGCGUACCUGGACACUAGGGGCUUAUUACUAAGGGUGUUAUCCCGCCCGCCCUCAUAAAGACCGAAUACCUUAGGGAGUGUUCGGCAUCGCGAGUUUGGCCUUAUAUGCAUCAGCUCCGAAUCAUGUCUUUGGUCAAAUGUUGGGUUUGCCCGGCUCCUGUGUUUUGCUACCUUACGUUCCGCUCUAUCGACUAAGGCGGCACCAGGAGAACUACUGCGAUUGUGCCCCAGUUCGGCCAGGCGAGCACCUCAGUAGAGAAAGCCGAAAACUGACUGUCAUGAUAUAGCGUGAGAUUGGUCAACCACUCGAUGACUUACCGGAAUCUUUAGGAUUCCUCCGCAUUAACGAAGGGCCGCUUCCUGGCCAGGCACAUACGCGCCCCGAGUUCGGGCGAGCGCAGGCGCCACCAGGGGCUAUAUAAGUAGCCUCACUGUCAAACUCCUAUGGCUAAGUGAAAGUGAUAAAGCAUCAUAGUCCGAUUGCCUAGUUCGCUGUGGUAUCACCUCCUUUGUAGGACCAAGACGUUGGAUCAAGUGUGAAAAUGCGCCUUCUGCGAACACCCCCGCAUUAUGUGCGUGGGGGCUGAAGCCGACGACUGCUAUCUUUCAGAUUAUAUAUACAUAUAUGUUAAACGGCCGCACAGGAGGUAUUAUAAUACUUGCAGGCACAAGUAUAAAAAGCUUCUACAAUUUAUCAAAAUAUUGUUUUACAAUAAUAUAUGCUAUUUGAAUAUAGUAUCCUUCGAGCACUGCGUCUCUAUUAAACGAGCGCCUUGCAGAACUUCCUAAAAAUAGUGCUCGGCAGGUACUCGGCUUCCAUCCGAGUCUGGGGUUGCAACAGCGGUGGCCUCCAUUUCCGCCCAGUAUGUUUUCACAUGGGCAAGAGCCAUCCGCGCACCCUCUAUGCACGCUGACCUCUUCAUCGCAUUGAUAUGCGGCGCCGCACCAAGGAACUGCUACACCAAGUUGAAAUAACUUUUCGGCUCUGGCCUCUCUGGCCACAGAUGACUCAUGACAUACUUCAUGGCGAGUCCGGACAACCUAUUUAGCUUGGCCCAUUCGGCCAAACGAUCGGCUAAUGACAGUGGACGCUCCGGAUUGUGGAACUGCGACCAAAAGAGCUUUUCCACUUCGCGAUCUUCUUGAUCUCGGAAGUGUUCGGCCGCAUCCGCGGCACUCGCUGCCAAAUCCAGAUAGGUGUCCGCUGUACUCCACAUCCGGUCUAACGGAGCAUGUUUAGGAUCACAGAACUUCCUCCGCAGCAUAAAGGGCUUUCCAGCCGCGAUCUCUCCGGCCGACGCAGCUCCUCCUUCAUAGCUCUCAUUGCAGAGCGAGCAUCCUUGGCAUCGGAAACGGCCUUCUCCAGGUCCGCCUGUUCCGCCUGAUCUUCUUUUUCAAGAAGCUUGCAAUGGUCAGCAGCAUUCUUCAGCUUCACGGCCAUCUCGGCCAUUUCCUUCUUGCUUCGGCAGUGAGCAGCCUGUUCGGCUUUCAGCUCUUCAAUUGCCUUUCCGGCAGCCGCAUCACUUUUCCUGGCUUGCUCCUUGGCUCGGGCAAGUUCCGCCCGAAGAUUCUCCAUGGCAGCAGCACCAUGUGCAUCAAGCGCACACAUUGUAAGAUACUGGCAUAAAGCUCCUCUUACCAGGUGCCGCUGAGGAAUUACAUACCUUGGGCCUCGUCAAGCCGCUUGUUGACAAGCGUGAUGUCGGCACCUGCCAUGUCAAGUUGCCGCUUUAGCUCGGCAAAUUCAUCAGUCCGGCUUGACACCGGACACUUCGCCACCUACGUAUGAAGGCGGCAUAUUAGACCUGGGAUUAUGAUCCUCUGCGUGCCGUCACCUUUGACAACACACAGAGUCUCAGGGGCUACUAUCUACACAGGGCACAUCUUAUUUAUGUGCAACUGUCCAACAAGGGUACAUUAUUUCGCGUACCUCAAAACCUAUCAGUAAACUCCUGACGGCCUCGUGCAAUCCGCUCUCCGCGGAUGAAAUCCUCUCAAUUACCGUACCCAUCAAUGCACGGUGCUCCUCUGAGAUAGAUGCUCGCCCUAGAAGAUCCUUCAGCUCCUCCGACCGCCCACCAGAUGGCGCCGGACUCGUCCGAUGGCCCUUUUCGAAGGCCGGACGCGGAGGGCUUUGGGGGCCAUAUGACUACCUUCCAGCCCUGCCGGAUUGGGAGAAACCCUCCACGACAAUACCUCAGGGUCGCCCGCCUCACAAGGCGGUACAGCAGGGGGAGGCGUUCCGCUCUCCAUCAUCUUUGGAAGAAGAUCCCCCGAAGACGAGCUCUGCUGAGAAGGGCUAAGGCCCGAGCUACAAGGUAAAUUUUCGAUUACUUUUCUCAGAUAUAAAGCAAGGAUUUCCCUUGUUUCUUAAAAAGAAAACUCCUCUCUACUUACGGCUCGGUGGAGGGCUGGUCCCCUUGAGGGCAUAAUUCGGCCAAAGUAUCCCCCAGCACAGGACCCUCUAGCGAAGAUUUCUUCCCCCGCUUUGAGGCCAUGGUCUCCGGGUCUUCAGAGGCGGUCCUCUUCUUCCCCUGAGGAGAGGAAUUUUCAAUUCCUCCCUUCCGGACAACCUCCUUCGAGGAGGCUGUAGCUUCCUUGUCCCCUCCCUCGCUUUCCUUUGAAGGCACAACCUCCAACAUCCUGACUAGCACAGGACCCGGCGUGGUCUCGGGGAUGGGGGUCGGACACCUGAUUAGCUUUGCUUUCGCUAUCCACUCCUGCUUAAAGGACAUCUCUUUUAGGGGCAAUUUUAUGAUAAAUAUACGGAUAGCGAGUCCGGGCACAAGGCUACUUACUUGAGUAUCUGGACGAUUGCAGCUCAGACCUGCGUCCUCCAUAGAAUCCGGACACACUACUUGUGGUCCAAAUAAUAAUUUGUACAUCUCCACGGGCAUCAUGCCAAGAAAAUGUUGGAGAGCUCGUGGUCCCUCCGGGUUGAACUCCCACAGGCGGAGGGGGUGACGUUUGCAGGGCAGAACUCGGCGAAUUAACAUAACCUGCGUCACCACGACCAGACUGAUGUCUCUUUCUAGGAGAUCUCGGAUGCGGCCCUGCAACAGGGGCAUGUCCUUUGCCGGGCCCCAGUCCAGCCCCUUAUUGACCCAUGACGCUAGUCGUGGCGGGGGACCCGAGCGGAAAGCAGGAAGCACCAACCACUCGGUGCUCCUGGGAGCUGUGAUAUAAAACCACUCUCGUUGCCAUAAGCCGGACUCCCCUUGAAAAGAGCCCUCGGGCCAUGGAGCACCAAUAUUCUUGCUUAUAAAAGCACCUCCACACUCCACGUGCCGCCCCUCGAUCCUCUUCGGCUCUACUUUGAAGGUCUUGAGCCAUAGUCCGAAGUGAGUAAUACGGAGGAAGGCUUCACACACGACGGUGAAUAAGGAAAUAUGGAGGAUGGACUCCAGAGCUAAGUCGUGAAAUUCCUGCCCAUAAUAAAACAUGAGCCCCUCACGAAGGGAUCCGUUGGGAAGCCUAUGUUGGAAAUAUGCCCUAGAGGCAAUAAUAAAUUAGUUAUUAUUAUAUUUCCUUGUUCAUGAUAAUCGUUUAUUAUCCAUGCUAUAAUUGUAUUGAUAGGAAACUCAGAUACAUGUGUGGAUACAUAACAACACCAUGUCCCUAGUAAGCCUCUAGUUGACUAGCUCGUUGAUCAAUAGAUGGUUACGGUUUCCUGACCAUGGACAUUGGAUGUCAUUGAUAACGAGAUCACAUCAUUAGGAGAAUGAUGUGAUGGACAAGACCCAAUCCUAAGCCUAGCACAAAGAUCGUGUAGUUCGUAUGCUAAAGCUUUUCUAAUGUCAAGUAUCAUUUCCUUAGACCAUGAGAUUGUGCAACUCCCGGAUACCGUAGGAAUGCUUUGGGUGUACCAAACGUCACGACAUAACUGGGUGACUAUAAAGGUGCACUAUAGGUAUCUCCGAAAGUGUCUGUUGGGUUAGCACGAAUCGAGACUGGGAUUUGUCACUCCGUGUAAGCGGAGAGGUAUCUCUGGGCCCACUCGGUAGGACAUCAUCAUAACGUGCACAAUGUGAUCAAGGAGUUGAUCACGGGAUGAUGUGUUACGGAACGAGUAAAGAGACUUGCCGGUAACGAGAUUGAACAAGGUAUCGGGAUACCGACGAUCGAAUCUCGGGCAAGUAUCGUACCGCUAGACAAAGGGAAUUGAAUACGGGAUUGAUUAAGUCCUUGACAUCGUGGUUCAUCCGAUGAGAUCAUCAUGGAACAUGUGGGAGCCAACAUGGGUAUCCAGAUCCCGCUGUUGGUUAUUGACCGGAGAACGUCUCGGUCAUGUCUGCAUGUCUCCCGAACCCGUAGGGUCUACACACUUAAGGUUCGGUGACGCUAGGGUUAUAGAUAUAUUAGUAUGCGGUAACACAAAAGUUGUUCGGAGUCCCGGAUGAGAUCCCGGACGUCACGAGGAGUUCCGGAAUGGUCCGGAGGUAAAGAAUUAUAUAUAGGAAGUGCUAUUUCGGCCAUCGGGACAAGUUUCGGGGUCAACGGUAUUGUACCGGGACCACCGGAAGGGUCCCGGGGGUCCACCGGGUGGGGCCACCUGCCCCGGGGGGGCACAUGGGCUGGAGGGGGUGUGCCUUGGCCUAUAUGGGCCAAGGGCACCAGCCCCAAGAGGCCCAUGCGCCAAGAGAGAGAAAAAAGGGGAGAGUCCUAAUGGGGGAAGGCACCUCCGAGGUGCCUUGGGGAGGAUGGACUCCUCCCCCCUUGGCCGCAGCCUUCCUUGGAGGAAGGGGCAAGGGCUGCGCCUCCCCCUCUCCCUUGGCCCUAUAUAUAGUGGGGAAAAGGAGGAGCAACCAUACAUAAGGCCUGGUGCCUCCCUCUCCCUCCCGUGACACAUCUCCCUCCUCCCGCAGCGCUUAGCGAAGCCUUAUUGGAAUCCCGCUACUUCCACCAUGCCGUCGUGCUGCUGGAUCUCCAUCAACCUCUCCCUCCUCCUUGCUGGAUCAAGGCGUGGGAGACGUCUCCGUUCCGUACGUGUGUUGAACACGGAGGUGCCGUCCGUUCGGCACUAGGAUCAUCGGUGAUUUGAAUCACGACGAGUACGACUCCAUCAACCCCGUUCUCUUGAACGCUUCCGUGCGCGAUCUACAAGGGUAUGUAGAUCCACUCCUCCCUCGUUGCUAGAUGACUCCAUAGAUAGAUCUUGGUGACACGUAGGAAAAUUUUGAAUUUAUGCUACGUUCCUCAACAGUGGCAUCAUGAGCUAGGUCUAUGCGUAGUUUCUAUGCACGAGUAGAACACAAAGUAGUUGUGGGCGUUGAUUUUGUUCAAUAUGCUUGCCAUUACUAGUCUUAUCUUGAUUCGGCGGCAUCGUGGGAUGAAGCGGCCCGGACCAACCUUACACGUACUCUUACGUGAGACAGGUUCCACCGACUGACAUGCACUAGUUGCAUAAGGUGGCUAGUGGGUGUCUGUCUCUCCUACUUUAGUCGGAUCGGAUUCGAUGAAAAGGGUCCUUAUGAAGGGUAAAUAGCAAUUGGCAUAUCACGUUGUGGUUUUGCGUAGGUAAGAAACGUUCUUGCUAGAAACCCAUAGCAGCCUUGUAAAACAUGCAAACAACAAUUAGAGGACGUCUAACUUGUUUUUGCAGGGUAUGCUAUGUGAUGUGAUAUGGCCAAAAGGAUGUGAUGAAUGAUAUAUGUGAUGUAUGAGAUUGAUCAUGUUCUUGUGAUAGAUGAUCAUGGAGCCCCAAGAUGGAGAUCAAAGGAGCUAUAUGAUAUUGGCCAUAUCAUGUCACUAUUAUUUGAUUGCAUGUGAUGUUUAUCAUGUUUAUACAUCUUAUUUUCUUAGAACGACGGUAGUAAAUAAGAUGAUCCCUCAUUAAAAUUUCAAGAAGUGUUCUCCCCUAACUGUGCACCGUUGCUACAGUUCGUCGUUUCGAAGCACCACGUGAUGAUCGGGUGUGAUAGAUCCUUACGUUCACAUACAACGGGUGUAAGACAGUUUUACACAUGCAAAAACACUUAGGGUUAACUUGACGAGCCUAGCAUGUGCAUAGACAUGGCCUCGGAACACAGAAGACCGAAAGGUCGAGCAUGAGUCGUAUGGUAGAUACGAUCAACAUGAAGAUGUUCACCGAUGAUGACUAGUCCGUCUCACGUGAUGAUCGGACACGGCCUAGUUGACUCGGAUCAUGUAAUCACUUAGAUGACUAGAGGGAUGUCUAUCUGAGUGGGAGUUCAUAAGAUGAACUUAAUUAUCCUGAACAUAGUCAAAAGAUCUUCGCAAGUUAUGUCGUAGCUCGCGCUUUAGUUCUACUGUUUAGAUAUGUUCCUAGAGAAAAAUUAGUUGAAAGAUGAUAGUAGCAAUUAUGCGGACUAGGUCCGUAAACUGAGGAUUGUACUCAUUGCUUCAUAGAAGGCUGAUGUCCUUAAUGCACCGCUCAGUGUGCUGAACCUCGAACGUUGUCUGUGGAUGUUGCGAACAUCUGACAUACACAUUUUGAUAACUACGUGAUAGUUCAGUUAAACGGUUUAGAAUUGAGGCACCAAAGACGGUUUUUUGAAACGUCGCGAAACAUAUGAGAUGUUUCGAGGGCUGAAAUUGGGAUUUUAGGCUCGUGCCCACGUCAAAAGGUAUAAGACCUCCGACGAUUUUCUUAGCCUACAAACUAAGGAGAAAAGCUUAAUUGUUGAACUUGUGCUCAGAUUGUCUGAGUACAACAAUCGCUUGAAUCGAGUGGGAGUUGAUCUUCCAGAUGAAAUAGUGAUGGUUCUCCGAAGUCAUUACCACCAAGCUGCUAGAGCUUCGUGAUGAACUAUAAUAUAUCAGGGACAUAUAUGAUGAUCCUUGAGAUAUUCGCGAUGUUUGACACCACAAAAGUAGAAAUCAAGAAGGAGCAUCAAUUGUUGAUGGUUUGUGAAACCACUAGUUUCAAGGAGGGCAAGGGCAAAAGGGACACUUCAUGAAACGGCAAUUCAGCUGCUGCUCUAGUGAAGAAACCCAAGGUUGAACCCAAACCCGAGACUGAGUGCUUCUGUAAUAAGGGGAACAGCCACUGGAGCAGAAUUACCCUAGAUACUUGGUAGAUGAGAAGGCUGGCAAAGUCGAUAGUAGUAUAUUGGAUAUACAUUGUGUUGAUGUGUACUUUACUAGUACUCCUAGUAGCACCAGGGUAUUAGAUACUGGUUCGGUUGCUAAGUGUUAGUAACUCGAAAUAAAAGCUACGGAAUAAACGGAGACUAGCUAAAGGUGAGCUGACGAUAUGUGUUGGAAGUGUUUCCAACGUUGGUAUGAUCAAGCAUCGCACGCUCCCUCUACCAUCGAGUUUGGUGUUUGCGUUGAGCAUAGACAUGAUUGGAUUAUGUCUAUCGCAAUACGGUUAUUCAUUUAAGGAGAAUAACGGUUACUCUAUUUAUUUGAAUAAUACCUUCAAUGGUAUUGCACCUAAAAUGAAUGGUUUAUUGAAUCUCGAUCGUAGUGAUACACAUGUUCAUGCCAAAAGAUAGUAAUGAUAGUACCACCUACUUGUGGCACUUCCACGUAAGUCAUAUCGGUAUAAAAUGCAUGAAGAAGCUCCAUGUUGAUGGAUCUUUGGGCUCACUCGUUUUUGAAGGUUUGAGACAUGCGAACCAUGUCUAUUGGUGUAUAUGCAUGAAGAAACUCCAUGCAAAUGGACCAUUUGGACUCACUUGAUUUUGAAUCACUUGAGACAUGCAAAUCAUACCACAUGGGCAAGAUGACUGAAAGCCUCGUUUUCAGUAAAAUGGAAAUAGAAAGCAACUUGUUGGAAGUAAUACAUUUUGAUGUGUGCAGUCCAAUGAGUGCUGAGGCGUGUAGUGGAUAUCGUUAUGUUCUUACUUCACAGAUGAUUUGAGUAGAUGUUGAGUAUAUUUACUUGAUGAAUCACGAGUCUGAAUUAUUGAAAGGUUCAAGUAAUUUCAGGGUGAAGUUGAAAGAUCGUCGUGACAAGAGGAUAAAAUGUCUAUGAUAUGAUCAUAGAGAUGAAUAUCUGAAUUACGAGUUUGGCACAGAAUUAAGACAUUGUGGAAAUUGUUUCACAACUAAUACGGCCUGGAACACCAUAGUGUGAUGGUGUGUCCGAACAUCAUAACUGCACCCUAUUGGAUAUGAUGCAUACCAUGAUGUCUCUUAUCGAAUUACCAUGAUAGUUUAUGGGUUAGGCAUUAGAGACAACCACAUUCACUUUAAAUAGGGCACCACGUAAUUCCGAUGAGAUGACACCGUAUGAACUAUGGUUUAGAGAAACCUAAGCUGUCAUUUCUUAAAAGUUUGGGGCUGCGAUGCUUAUGUGAAAAAGUUUCAGGUUGAUAAGCUCGAACCCAAAGCGGAUAAAUGCAUCUUCAUAGGACACCCAAAACAGUUGGGUAUACCUCCUGUCUUAGAUCCGAAAGCAAUAAGGAAUUGUUUCCGGAAUCGGGUCCUUUAUCGAGGAAAAGUUUCUCUCGAAAGAAUUGAGUGGGAGGAUGGUGGAGACUUGAUAAGGUUAUUAAACCGUCUCUUCAACUGGUGUGUGGCAGGGCACAGGAAGUUGUUCCUAUGGCACCUACACCAAUUGAAGUGUAAGCUUAUGAUAGUGAUCAUGAAACUUCGGAUCAAGUCACUACCAAACCUCGUGGGAUGACAAGGAUGCGUACUGCUUCAGAGUGGUACGUAAUCCUGUCUUGGAAGUCAUGUUUCUAGACAACAAUGAACCUACGAGCUAUGGAGAAGCGAUGGUGGGCCUGGAUUCCGAUAAAUGGCUCGAGGCCAUAUAAUCCGAGAGAGGAUCCAUAUAUGGAAACAAAGUGUAGACUUUGACAGAACAGCUCGAUGGUCAUAAGGCUGUUGAGUGGAGAUGGAUUUUAAAAGGAAGACGGACAAUGAUGGUAAAUGUCACCAUUAAGAAAGCUCGACUUGUCGUUAAGAUGUUUUCCGACAAGUUCAAGGAGUUGACUAUGGUGAGAAUUUCUCACUCGUAGCGAUGCUAAGAGUCUGUUGGAAUUAUAUUAGCGAUUACUGCAUUAUUUAUGAAAUCUUGCAGAUAGGAUGUCAAAACAUUGUUUCCUCGACGACAUUUUUUUUAAGAAAGGUUGUAUGUGAUACAACCGGAAGGUUUUGUCAAUCCUGAAAGAUGCUAAUAAGUAUGCAAAACUCCAGCAAUCCUUCUAAGGACUGGAGUAAGCAUCUCGCAGUUGGAAUGUAUGCUUUGAUGAGAUGAUCAAAGAUUUUGGGUUUAUACAAAGUUUAUGAGAAACUUGUAUUUCCAAAGAAGUGAGUGGGAGCACUAUAGAAUUUCUGAUGAGUAUAUGUUGUUGACAUAUUGUUGAUCAGAAAUGACCUAGAAUUUCUGGAAAGCAUAUAGGGUUAUUUGGAAAGUAUUUUUUCAAUGGAAAGCCUAGAUUAAGCUACUUGAGCAUUGAGCAUCAAGAUCUAUAAGGAUAGAUCAAAACGCUUAAUAGUACUUUCAAAUGAGCACAUACCUUGACAUGAUCUUCAAGGUGUUCAAGAUGGAUCAGUCAAAGAAGGAGUUCUUGCCUGAGUUGUAAGGUAUGAAGUUAAGACUUAAAGCUCGACCACGGCAGAAUAGAGAGAAAGGACGAAGGUCGUCCCCUAUGCUUAAGACAUAGGCUCUACAGUAUGCUAUGCUGUGUACCGCACCUGAAGUGUGCCUUGCCAUGAGUCAGGGGUACAAGAGUGAUCCAAGAAUGGAUCACAGGACAGCAGUCAAAGUUAUCCUUAGUAACUAGUGGACUAAGGAAUUUUCUCGAUUAUGGAGGUGGUAAAAGAGUUCGUCGUAAAGGGUUACGUCGAUGCAAGCUUAACACCUAUCCGGAUAGCUCUGAGUAGAGAUGCCGGAUACAUAUAAUGGAGCAACAAUUUGGAAUAGCUCCAAGUAGAACAGUUAUUUGGAAUAGCUCCAAAUAGAAUGUGGUAGCUACAUCUAGGAGAUGACAUAGAGAUUUGUAAAGCACACACGGAUCUAAAAGGUUCAGACCCGUUGACUAAAACCUCUCUCACAAGCAACAUGAUCAAACCCAGAACUCAUUGAGUGUUGAUCACAUAGUGAUGUGAACUAGAUUAUUGACUCUAGUAAACUCUUUCGAUGUUGGUUACAUGGUGAUGUGACCUGUGAGUGUUAAUCACAUGGCGAUGUGAACUAGAUUAUUGACUCUAGUGCAAGUGGGAGACUGUUGGAAAUAUGCCCUAGAGGCAAUAAUAAAUUAGUUAUUAUUAUAUUUCCUUGUUCAUGAUAAUCGUUUAUUAUCCAUGCUAUAAUUGUAUUGAUAGGAAACUCAGAUACAUGUGUGGAUACAUAACAACACCAUGUCCCUAGUAAGCCUCUAGUUGACUAGCUCGUUGAUCAAUAGAUGGUUACGGUUUCCUGACCAUGGACAUUGGAUGUCACUGAUAACGGGAUCACAUCAUUAGGAGAAUGAUGUGAUGGACAAGACCCAAUCCUAAGCCUAGCACAAAGAUCGUGUAGUUCGUAUGCUAAAGCUUUUCUAAUGUCAAGUAUCAUUUCCUUAGACCAUGAGAUUGUGCAACUCCCGGAUACCGUAGGAAUGCUUUGGGUGUACCAAACGUCACAACGUAACUGGGUGACUAUAAAGGUGCACUAUAGGUAUCUCCGAAAGUGUCUGUUGGGUUAGCACGAAUCGAGACUGGGAUUUGUCACUCUGUCUAAGCGGAGAGGUAUCUCUGGGCCCACUCGGUAGGACAUCAUCAUAAUGUGCACAAUGUGAUCAAGGAGUUGAUCACGGGAUGAUGUGUUACGGAACGAGUAAAGAGACUUGCCAGUAACGAGAUUGAACAAGGUAUCGGGAUACCGACGAUUGAAUCUCGGGCAAGUAUCGUACCGCUAGACAAAGGGAAUUGAAUACGGGAUUGAUUAAGUCCUUGACAUCGUGGUUCAUCCGAUGAGAUCAUCAUGGAACAUGUGGGAUCCAACAUGGGUAUCCAGAUCCUGCUGUUGGUUAUUGACCGGAGAACGUCUCGGUCAUGUCUGCAUGUCUCCCGAACCCGUAGGGUCUACACACUUAAGGUUCGGUGACGCUAGGGUUAUAGAGAUAUUAGUAUGCGGUAACCCGAAAGUUGUUCGGAGUCCCGGAUGAGAUCCCGGACGUCACGAGGAGUUCCGGAAUGGUCCGGAGGUAAAGAAUUAUAUAUAGGAAGUGCUAUUUCGGCCAUCGGGACAAGUUUCGGGGUCACCGGUAUUGUACCGGGACCACCGGAAGGGUCCCGGGGGUCCACCGGGUGGGGCCACCUGCCCCGGGGGGCCACAUGGGCUGUAGGGGGUGUGCCUUGGCUUAUAUGGGCCAAGGGCACCAGCCCCAAGAGGCCCAUGCGCCAAGAGAGAGAAAAAAGGGGAGAGUCCUAAAGGGGGAAGGCACCUCCGAGGUGCCUUGGGGAGGAUGGACUCCUCCCCCCUUGGCCACACCCUUCCUUGGAGGAAGGGGCAAGGGCUGCGCUUCCCCCCUCUCCCUUGGCCCUAUAUAUAGUGGGGAAAAGGAGGAGCAACCAUACCUAAGGCCUGGCACCUCCCUCUCCCUCCCGUGACACAUCUCCCUCCUCCCGCAGCGCUUAGCGAAGCCCUGUUGGAAUCCCGCUACUUCCACCAUGCCGUCGUGCUGCUGGAUCUCCAUCAACCUCUCCCUCCUCCUUGCUGGAUCAAGGCGUGGGAGACGUCUCCAUUCCGUACGUGUGUUGAACGCGGAGGUGCCGUCCGUUCGGCACUAGGAUCAUCGGUGAUUUGAAUCACGACGAGUACGACUCCAUCAACCCCGUUCUCUUGAACGCUUCCGCGCGCGAUCUACAAGGGUAUGUAGAUCCACUCCUCCCUCGUUGCUAGAUGACUCCAUAGAUAGAUCUUGAUGACACGUAGGAAAAUUUUGAAUUUAUGCUACGUUCCCCAACAGCCUAGCCCCCGAAGGAAGUGAGACAUGAACACCACACUCUCACCAGGCUUAGGAGUAGGAAUGACCUGCCCUUGAGCAGGCAGCCUAUGCGAAAUUUCACCGGUCAAGAACCUGGCCUCUCUCAACUUCAGCACGUCCUCCUCCGUGACGGAGGAGGGCAUCCAUCGGCCUCGAAGGUCAGAACCGGACAUUGUCGAAGGUCCGAAGCGCCUGAAAUCUGGAGCCUUGGGUGUUGGAACUCGAGGCGAAGGGCGAACUCGUUUGAGAUUGAAAGAAAGGAGUAGGGCCUUGGUCUCUUUAUAAGAGGUUGAAUACCAAGGGCCCUCCCCGUGACCGUUUUGGGACUCGCCUUUGAUCGAGAAAAUAUACCAACGGGUACGGUUGGGUUACCCACGCCCGUAUUGAUGAGAAUCCCGGGAUAAGGGGAAACGAUCUCUGCUUUGACAAGACAUGCCAAGGAAACCGCCUUGCUAAACGCGCCGAGGUGGGACAGUAAAAUGAUUCGAAUAAAGACUUGGCCGUGGUGUGAUGUCACGCUACGGAACACGUCAGCAUAUUAGAUUUGUGUAAACAUUAUUCUCUCUAUGGCAAUAUGUGGAAACUUAUUUUUUAGAGUCGGACACUACCUUUGUGUUCAAAAUCUUCUAUGAAGUACUUGGACGAGGAACCCGCCUUGCAAUGUCGAAGACAAUCUGCGCGCCGGACUCGUCGUCAUUGAAGCCUGGUUCAGGGGCUACUGAGGGAGUCCUGGAUUAGGGGGUGUUGGGAUAGCCGGACUAUACCUUCGGCCGGACUCCUGGACUAUGAAGAUACAAGAUUGAAGACUUCAUCCCAUGUCCGGAAGGGACUUUCCUUGGCGUGGAAGGCAAGCUUGGCGAUACGGAUAUGUAGAUCUCCUACCAUUGUAACCGACUCUGUGUAACCCUAGCCCUCUCCGGUGUCUAUAUAAACCGGAGGGUUUUAGUCUGUACGACGAAGAACAACAAUCAUACCAUAGGCUAGCUUCUAGGGUUUAGCCUCUCUGAUCUCGUGGUAGAUCUACUCUUGUACUACCCAUAUCAUCAAUAUUAAUCAAGCAGGACGUAGGGUUUUACCUCCAUCAAGAGGGCCCGAACCUGGGUAAAACAUUGUGUCCCCUGCCUCCUAUUACCAUCCGCCCAUACGCACAGUUCGGGACCCCCUACCCGAGAUCCUCCGGUUUUGACACCAACAGUGGUGGACCAUAGGAUUAUCACACGGGUACUCCGGGAUAUCCUAGGACAACACUGGAUUCCCCAGGUGCCCAACAAACAAUCCACCCAGAUGUGUAUUCAAGUUGCCACCAUAAGUUUAACCAUUAAUUAACAAUCUCACAUCUGUCAUGGAUUUCACUCUCCCAACCACGUCUACGAGCAUAGCAUAGCAAUAAAAGCAAUAUGUAGAAGUAACUCCCAAGGGUUUGAAUAUAACAGGGCAAUAGGUUCUACCUUAUCAACUACUUCCCAACUCACAUGUUAAUCACAUCCUAACCAUGCAAUGUUUGAGGAUUGGGACUAAUGCAUAAAAACUGGGUGAUAAAUGGGCAUGAUCAAAGUGUUACUUGCCUUGCUGAUGAUCCGCAAAACCUAGGGACUCGUAGUAGCACGCUUCGCACUCCGGGUGUUCUAUCGCAAACAAAGAAUAGCAUACAUAAGCAAUCAAGCAAAGAAACACGGGUAAAUCUCAAAUAAGAAGAUCUAACCAGAAAGUUCAACUUAAGAACUCCGGUUUGCGAAAAGAAUCAAAUCAAACGGAGCAACAAAACUCAAACGGCGAGAGAAACAAGAUCCGUUUACUAAUCUGGACUAAGGUCAAAUUUUACAUUAGCAAAAGCUUGUUCAAGUGGUUAAACGGAAAGAGGUUUUGAGACAAAGAUCUAGGCGCUUGAAUCGCCUGAUUCUGAUAAACGAGCGAAAAGAUAAACUAAAAUGAAAAUCGGUUCAAAAAUCACGAUUGAAAAUAAUCGCAGAAAAUCCGAGAAAAAGAAAUUUGACGAACAGGCUAACGAACGAACGUUCGUUGUCUGCGGCUAACGAGUGAACUCCGUUCGUUAAAACAAACGUAUGGAUGAACGUCCGCAAAGUAACUAAACCGAGAAAAACCGCCGAACCGAUUAAAAAAAAAACAAACUAGGGUUUCUAAAAAAACCGGAUCGGUUUUCUAGAGAAAACCGGCGGCAUAUACCUCCGGCUCCGGCGGCUUCCGCGGCGGGGUGGCGAGGUGGGGCGGCAGGGGCGAGCGGCAGUGGCAAGGCGAGGCGGCGGCGGCAACUUGCGGGCGGCGGGGCGGAGGGCGGCGGCUUGGGGUCGAAGGGGCCCUGGGCUCCGGCUUAUAAGGGGAGGGGCGGCGGCAGCUUGGAGGAGGGGGCAAGGCGGUGCGGGGUGGAGUCCUGGCCGGACUCAGCUUGCACCGGCCGUGUCCUGGCCGGACUCGGUGCGGGAGGCGGCGGCUGGCAGGCAGGCCUGCGGCCUGGCUCGGCCGGGCCUCGGCCCAGUCGGGCGCUGAGUUUUUUUAAAUAAUUUCGCCGAAACCAAUUAAAUCUUAGAAAAUAAAAAAAAUCUAAAAAUGCCAAAACAAAUUUUCACCAUCUAAAUAAAAAAUUUAGAACAAGAUGAACAUUUUCUUGGCCCUAAAAUGCAACUUUAAAAAACAUGCAAUUUUUCUAAUUCAAAUAAAUAGCAAUAAACUCCGGAUAAAAUCAAAUAUUUGAUUUUAAUAUUUUUCCUCCAAUAUUUCAUUUAUUUUGGAGAAGUCAUAUUAUCUCCUCUCAUAUAUUUAAUAUGAAAUAUUUUCGGAGAGAAAAAUAAUUAAAACCAAAAUCCUCGUUUCAAUAUUUGAUAAAACUCAAAUAUGAAAACAGGGAAAUCCCCAACUCUCUCCGAGGGUCCUUGAGUUGCUUAGGAUUUCGAGGAUCGUGGAACGAAAUGCAAUAAAAUAUGAUAUGCAUGAAUGAUCUAUGUAUAACAUUCCAAAUUGAAAAUUUGGGAUGUUACAAACCUACCCCCCUUAAGAUGAAUCUCGCCCUCGAGAUUCGGGUUGGCUAGAGAAUAGGUGUGGGUGGUCUUUGCGAAGAUCAUCCUCUCGUUCCCAGGUGGCUUGAUCCUCGGUAUGGUGGCUCCACUGAACUUUGCAAAACUAGAUAACCUUGCUGCUGGUGACUCGACUGGCAAAUUCAAGAAUCCUGACUGACUUCUCCUCAUAGGUCAAAUCACUGUCCAACUGAAUCGCCUCCAAGGGUACUGUAUCUCUUAACGGUAUAUCGGCCAUCUCAGCAUGGCACUUCUUCAGUUGUGAAACAUGAAAUACAUCAUGAACUCCUGACAGUCCUUCAGGUAACUCCAACUUGUAGGAAACUUCUCCCAUAUGUUCCAAAAUUCUAUACGGUCCUACAAAUCUCAGGGCUAACUUUCCCUUAACUCCAAAACAUUUCACUCCUCGCAGGGGUGACACUCACAUAUAUGCUCUUUCUCCAAUUUCAUAGGUUAUUUCCUUGCGUUUCGAAUCUGCAUAACUCUUCUGCCUGGACUGAGCUAUCUUCAGUCUACCUCGGAUCAACUUAACUUUCUCUUCAGACUCUUUGAUCAAAUCUGGUCCAAACAACUGUCAGUCUCCAACUUCAUCCCACAUCAACGGUGUUCUGCACCUUCGUCCAUACAGGGCUUCGAAUGGUGCCAUCUUCAAACUGGCUUGGUAGUUAUUGUUGUAUGAGAACUCCACCUAGGGAAAGUUGCCAUCCCAACUAGAUCCAUAAUCUAGCGCACAGGCCCUCAACAUAUCCUCCAGAAUCUGGUUGACUCUCUCGGUCUAUCCAUCUGUCUGCGGGUGGAAUGCUGUACUGAACUCCAACCUUGUCCCCAAAGUUUGGUGCAGCUGAUGCCAAAACUUUGAAGUAAAUUGUGUCCCUCUAUCUGAUACGAUGGUCCUCGGAACUCCAUGCAGCCAUACGAUCCUGGUCAUAUAUAUCUUGGCCAACUUUGCACUUGUAUAGGUAGUUUUCACCGGGAUAAAGUGAGCUACUUUGGUCAAGCGGUCAACUACUACCCAUAUAGAAUCAUAUCCUGAUUUGGUUCUGGGUAAUCCGGUGAUAAAAUCCAUGCCAAGUUUAUCCCACUUCCAUUCGGGUAUCGGCAUAGGCUGUAACAAUCCUGCUGGCUUUUGGUGCUCAGCCUUCACUCUCUGACAUACAUCACAUACGGCUACAUACUCGGCAAUAUCCUUCUUCAUACCAGUCCACCAGAAACGUUCCUUCAAAUCCAAAUACAUCUUGGUGUUUCUAGGGUGUAUCGAGUAUGGUGAGUCAUGAGCCUCCUGAAGUAUUAACUUCCUGAUCUCUAUGUUAUUGGGCACAUAAACAGGGUCUUCAAACCAUAAGGUUUCGUGCUCAUCCUCACGAAAACCUUUGGCCUUUCCUUCACUCAUUCUCUCUUUUAUCUCGGCAAUCUCUUUGUCAUCCUUCUGAGCUUCUCGAAUCUUUCCUAACAAUGUAGACUGCACUUCCAUUGUUGCAACAAAACCUCUAGGAACAAUCUCCAAUCGAAGUUUCCUGAGAUCUUCUGCUAACUCCUCCAGCAAUCCCGUGCUCACUAGGGUAUUAGCAUAACUCUUCCAGCUCAAGGCGUCUGCUACGACAUUGGCCUUGCCUGGAUGAUAGUGAAGCUUCAUUUCAUAAUCCUUUAUAAGCUCCAACCAUCUCCUCUGCCUAAGGUUCAGCUCCUUUUGUGUGAAAAUGUACUUCAAACUCUUAUGAUCCGUGUACACAUCACAACGGUUUACAAUAAGGUAAUGCCUCCAGGUCUUCAACGCAUGCACUACGGCAGCCAGCUCCAAAUCAUGCGUGGCAUAAUUCAACUCGUGUGGUUUCAGUUGUCGCGAGGCAUACGAAACAACUCUUCCGUCCUGCAUAAGCACACUUCCAAGUCCUUGGCGAGAGGCAUCGCAAUACACUUGAAACUCCUUGCGUAUAUCCAGCAGAAUCAACACUGGGGCUGUAGUCACACGUUUCUGUAACUCCUGAAAACUCGCUUCACAUUCUUCUGUCCAUUUAAAUUUGGUAUCCUUCUUCAAUAACUCCAUCAUUGGCUUCACAAUUUUGGAAAAAUUCUCAAUGAAUCUCCAAUAGUAUCCUGCGAGUCCAAGAAAAUUGCAGAUCUCGCUAACUGAAGUGGGUGCCAACCAUUCAGUGACUGACUGAACCUUGGUAGGAUCUACUGCUACACCUUCUCCUGAUAUAACAUGUCCAAGGAAUCCAACUUCCUUCAGCCAAAACCCGCAUUUGCUGAACUUGGCAUACAACUGAUGUUCCCUGAGUUUCUCGAGAACUAAACACAAAUGCUCUUCGUGCUCCUCCUCGUUCUUCGAGUAUACCAUUAUAUCAUCAAUGAACACCACAACAAACUUAUCCAAAUAUUCCAUGAACACCUUGUUCAUCAUGCUCAUGAAAUAGGCAGGGGCGUUAGUCAGUCCAAACGACAUGACAGUAUAUUCAUACAACCCGGACCGUGUGGUGAAUGCUGUCUUUGGUAUGUCCUUCUCUCGUAUCUUCAGCUGAUGAUAUCCAGAUCGCAGAUCGAUAUUUGAAAACACCUUGGCUCCUUGCAGCUGGUCAAACAAAUCAUUGAUCAUCGGUAGUGGGUAUUUGUUCUUGAUCGUGACCUCAUUUAACGCACGAUAAUCAACAACCAUUCUUAGAGACUUAUCCUUCUUCUCGACCAAAAGCACUGGGGCUCCCCAUGGUGAUGAGCUCCGUCGAAUGUAACCUUUCUCCAAUAACUCCUUGAUCUGUUUCUUAAUUUCCUCCAGAUCAUUCGCGAUCAUCCGAUAUGGUCGCUUCGAUAUAGGCCCGGUGCAUGGCAAUAGCUCUAUCAAAAACUCGAUGUCUCGAUCCGGUAGCAUGCCUAGUAACUCCUCUGGAAAAACAUCCAGGUAAUCCUUCACUACAGGCACUUCCUCCCGAACAACUCCCAUGAGGGUAUUUAAUUGGCUACUCCUUGGCGCAUGCCUAGAUACAUACUUGAUCCUUUUUCCCUCAGGGGUGGUGAGACAAAUUGACUUACUAACACAGUCAAUGCUUCCUCCAUACUUUGACAUCCAGUCCAUGCCUAAUAUCACAUCCAAUCCUUGUGACUCCAAGAUUAUUAGGUCAGACGGAAAAACAUGGCUACCAAUGGUUAAGGGUAUCUGGUCGCACCACCGACUAGCCAUAUACUCUGCUCCAGGUGAACUCACUAACAGAUGGGUCCUAAGGGUUUGGGUUGGUAGUUUAAACUAAUCCAUGAAUUCCCUUUAUAUGUAUGAAUGCGAUGCACCAGUAUCAAAAAGAACAAGGGCGGUAAAAGACUUAACCAAAAACUUACCAAUAACCACGUCUGGCUGCUCUUCAACCUCCUCCACGUUGACGUGGUUCACUUGUCCUUUGUUGAAUGGAUUGGGCUUCUUUCCAGCACUCCCAUUGUCGUUUCCAUUCUUCGCUUCAGGGCACUCUGUGGCAUAGUGUCCAGUCUUCCCACACUUGAAACAAGUAACGUGGCUUAGGUCUCUCUUCGAGGGUGUGGCUGGAUUGGGACGAUUCUGAUUGUUGCUUGCUCCAUUCCCAUUCCCAUUCCUUGGGCCAGUAUGAUUAUGGUUACUUCUUCCAUUAUGGAUGUGGCCUCCAUGGUUAUGAACAAGUCCUCCCGAUUUCGGGGUUAGGCGAGGCUUCUGCUGAGCUCCUGAAUUAUACCUUCCUUGUCCAUACUUCCUCUUACAACUCUCAAUUUGCUGCUGCUUCCCUUCAAUCAUAAGAGCCUUAUCUACCAACUCUUGGUAGUUGUUGAAUGUUGCCACCAUCAACUACAUGCUCAUCUCAUCAUUCAGCCCUUCCAUAAACUUCUCUUGCUUUGCGGCAUCUGUGGCCACAUCAUCAGGGGCAUAGCGAGAUAACUUGCUAAACUCAUCCGCAUACUAAGCCACAGUAUGGUUCCCCUGGCGUAAGUUGCGAAACUCACGCUUCUUCAUACUCAUAGCUCCAGUUGAGACAUGGGCUGUACGGAAAGCUUGCUGAAACUGAUCCCAUGUAACAGUGGUUAUAGGGUAGGUGACAGUAUAAUUCUCCCACCAUGAGGCUGCUGGUCCAUCCAACUGAUGUGCGGCAAAAUGCACCUUCUCAGCAUCGGUACAUCCUGCAGUGGUUAACUCCCUUCCAAUCCUGCGGAGCCAAUCAUCUGCCACUAUCGGCUCGGUGCUACUGGAAAACACCAGUGGUCGCAACCUCAGAAAGCGGGCUAAGUUAUCAACUGGUGGGGGUGGCGGUGGAUUGUUGUUGUUGUUGUUGUUGUUGUUGCCUUGGUUCUGAACUAACAACUGCAUCAGGGUAUUCUGCUGUUGGAUCAACUGAGUGAGCUCCGGUGGGAAAGUAAAUCCGGGGUCACGUCUCGGAGGCAUCUGAUGGGUUUAGAGGGGAGAGGUUAGAAUAGAAUGAGGUCUAAUGAGAAAACACUACCCAUAUGCACAUGAGACAAACACAAACAUUUCACUCAAUCAAUCACGCAAGGGCAUACAAUCGAUCUAACUAUUGUUACAAAAGUGCUCGGACUAUACUAUUUACAUGGUGGAAUACUACUACUACUGAUGUGGUGGUCUACUAAAAAUAUUCUUCGGUUGAAGACUCCAUGAUGUCUGCUCCAGCUUCGUCUUCAUAGUCAUCAUCACUAUUGUCGGGGUCCGAAUCGGUGUCGUCGAUGAUAAUGUAGUCCUCCGGGGAAUCUCCUUGGGUUCUUCAUCUUCUCCUCCUGGUGCGGGGUCUCCCAUGAAUACUCCUAGCUUCCUUUCUAGAUUGUCAUUCUUCUCCACUAGUACGAUGAUUUCCUCCUCAUAAUCUCCGCGUGUAGCCUUAAGUUCUUCCUCCAGUUCCAUGAUCCUAGUCAUCGCCUUCUUCAGAUCUAUCAUUCCUGCGCACAUCUGGUUCUCCUGGCGACGAAUAUGCUGGUUUAACUCCUGAAUGAAAGCUGCAAUUGAUCUAUCCUUCCUGGUGCUGAUCAUCUCCCAUUGCUCAUCUCGGCGCCCACAAAUCUGAUAGAUAGUAUCCUUAAGCUCCUUAUGAUAGACUUCUCCAAUGCGUCCCAUGGUGAUGUGAGCUGACAUACUCUUUCCUAGACUCCAGGUUGGUGCAUCACAGGAAAACUCUAUGGGCUUAGUGACUGGCAUGAAUGUCCUUCCUGAAACUUGAACUUGAAUCAUCCAUCGCUCCUCUUCUAGUAAAGUGGCAUUGUAAGUCUCGCUGAAGCUUGGUAUUCCAAUGUUUAGGUACCUAGUGACCUCCUUCAGGUGUCAUCCAAAAGGUGCUUCUUCAUCCGGUUGUGCAAACUUAUUCCUUGUGUCCGCCAUCCUAAAGAGUAGAAAAUGGAGAGGAGCCAAAAUGAGAAGAGAAUAGUGAUCUAGGGCUUUGGCUUAGUGGUCGUGUCCUACACUCAGCGUGUGCUCUGAUACCAUCUUGUAGCGACCCGACCUCAAACGGUCAAGUCUCUGUGCUUCAGUGUCAUCCCUGGAUCAGUAAUGCUGACACACACAGUACUCGAGGAUUUAUAACAGAGUAGCAAUCACACACUUAUUACAUCGAAUGUCUCAAAAGAGAACUUAUUACAAUAAAUAUGGCUUAAGGCCAUCUAAUACGAUAACAACGGAAGGCUUGGAAGAUAAAGUGAGUCCAUCAACUCCAACGGCAUAGUUGAGCUGCACGGCAACGACCUAGCGAACCUUACUCCUCAUCUGAAAAGUCUGCCACAUAAUACGUUGCAGCCCGAAAACGGGUCAGCACAUGGAAUAUGCUGGCAAAGUAACACAGUAGAGCAAGAACAGAAUAAUGCUAUCACUACAUGCAUAUUUGGCUGGUGGAAAGCUCUAUGGUUAUAGUUUUUGCGAAAAGCCAAUUUUUCCCUACAACAAAGGAAAAGAUUUUAUUUAACUAUCAUGGUAGUUGAAACAUCAUUGAGAAGGUUCCUCCAACUCAAUCCCAAUUAAAGUAAUUAACAACCCAACAAUAUUAGUUUAGAGUGAUGAGAUACUUAUGAUACUCCAAGUACUAGAUACUCAAGAUGUCCAUAACCGGGGACACGGCUAACCAUGAUUAGUUUAUACACUCUGCAGAGGUUUGCGCACUUUUCCCCACAAGACUCGAUCUCCUCCGUUGGAUUUCUCGCACUACAGGGUGUUUGAGAAACGGAUGACCGAGACACAGUCUUUCAGAAGCAUUAACCCCUUACUCCGGGCAGACCAUACCAACCUACAUCCCUCUACCUGCUGAUCCACCUCUUCGGGAGCUUCACGCAACUUACUCAACUAUGCUAGAGCCUAUAAUAGCUUGUGGCUGCACACAGAAGUUUCUAGCAUGAAAAUAUCUCAGAUCCCUUUGAGCCUGGGUGGUGGACCAUAGGAUUAUCACACGGGUACUCCGGGAUACCCUAGGACAACACUGGAUUCCCCAGGUGCCCAACAAACAAUCCACCCAGAUGUGUAUUCAAGUUGCCACCUUAAGUUGAACCAUUAAUUAACAAUCUCACAUCUGUCAUGGAUUUCACUCACCCAACCACGUCUAUGAGCAUAGCAUAGCAAUAAAAGCAAUACGUAGAAGUAACUCCCAAGGGUUUGAAUAUAACAGGGCAAUAGGUUCUACCUCAUCAACUACUUCCCAUCCCACAUGUUAAUCACAUCCUAACCAUGCAAUGUUUGAGGAUUGGAACUAAUGCAUAAACACUGGGUGAUAAAGGGGUAUGAUCAAAGUGUUACUUGCCUUGCUGAUGAUCCGCAAAACCUAGGGACUCGUAGUAGCACGCUUUGCACUCCGGGUGUUCUAUCACAAACAAACAAUAGCAUACAUAAGCAAUCAAGCAAAGAAACAUGGGUAAAUCUCAAAUAAGAAGAUCUAACCAGAAAGUUCAACUUAAGAACUCCGAUUUGCAAAAAGAAUCAAAUCAAACGGAGCAACGAAACUCAAACGGCGAGAGAAACAAGAUCCAUUUACUAAUCUGGACUAAGGUCAAAUUUUACAGUAGCAAAAGAUUGUUCAAGUUGGUUAAACGGAAAGAGGGUUUCGAGACGAAGAUCUAGGCGCUUGAAUCACCUGAUUCCGGUAAACGAGCGAAAAUAUAAACUAAAACGAAAAUCGGUUCAGAAAUCGCGAUUGAAAAUAACUUCGGAAAAUCCGAGAAAAGGAAAUGUGAUGAACAGGCUAACGAACGAACAAUAGCAUACAUAAGCAAUCAAGCGAAGANNNNNNNNNNNNNNNNNNNNNNNNNNNNNNNNNNNNNNNNNNNNNNNNNNNNNNNNNNNNNNNNNNNNNNNNNNNNNNNNNNNNNNNNNNNNNNNNNNNNNNNNNNNNNNNNNNNNNNNNNNNNNNNNNNNNNNNNNNNNNNNNNNNNNNNNNNNNNNNNNNNNNNNNNNNNNNNNNNNNNNNNNNNNNNNNNNNNNNNNNNNNNNNNNNNNNNNNNNNNNNNNNNNNNNNNNNNNNNNNNNNNNNNNNNNNNNNNNNNNNNNNNNNNNNNNNNNNNNNNNNNNNNNNNNNNNNNNNNNNNNNNNNNNNNNNGGGUAAAUCUCAAAUAAGAAGAUCUAACCAGAAAGUUCAACUUAAGAACUCCGAUUUGCGAAAAGAAUCAAAUCAAACGGAGCAACGAAACUCAAACGGCGAGAGAAACAAGAUCCAUUUACUAAUUUGGACUAAGGUUAAAUUUUACAGUAGCAAAAGAUUGUUCAAGUUGGUUAAACGGAAAGAGGGUUUCAAGACGAAGAUCUAGGCGCUUGAAUCACCUGAUUCCGGUAAACGUGCAAAAAUAUAAACUAAAACGAAAAUCGGUUCAGAAAUCGCGAUUGAAAAUAACUUCAGAAAAUCCGAGAAAAGGAAAUGUGACGAACAGGCUAACGAACGAACGUUCAUUGUCUGCGGCUAACGAGUGAACAUCAUUCGUUAAAACGAACGUACGGACGAACGUCCGCAAAGUAACUAAACCGAGAAAACCGACGAACCGAUUUAAAAAAAACGAACUAGGGUUUCUAAAAAACCCGGAUCGGUUUUCUAGAGAAAACCGACGGCGGCGGCGGAUACCUCCGGCUCUGGCGGCGGGGCGGCGGCAGCGGCGGGCGACGACGGCGAGGCGAUGCGGCGGUGGUGGAUUGCGGGCGGCGGGGCGGAGGGCGGCGGCUUGGUGUCCAAGGGGCCCCGGGCUCCGGCUUAUAAGGGGAGGGGCGGCGACGGCUUGGAGGAGGGGGCAAGGCGGCACGGGGUGGAGUCCCGCCCGGACCUGGCUUGCGCCGGCCGUGUCCUGGCCGGACUCGGCGCGGGAGGCGGCGGCUGGGCCUCAACCCAGUCGGGCGCUGCGUUUUUUUAAAAUAAUUUCGCCGAAACCAAAUAAAUCCUAGAAAAUAAAAUAAAAAUCUAAAAAUGGCAAAACAAAUUUCCACGUCUAAAUAAAAUAUUUAGAACAAGAUGAACAUUUUCUUGGCCCUAAAAUGCAACUUUGAAAAACGUGCAAUUUUUCUAAUUCAAAUAAAAUAGCAAUAAACUCCGGAUGAAAUCAAAUAUUUGAUUUUAAUAUUUUCCUCCAAUAUUUCAUUUAUUUUGGAGAAGUCAUAUUAUCUCCUCUCAUAUAUUUUAAUAUGAAAUAUUUUCGGAGAGAAAAAUAAUUAAAACCAAAAAUCCUUGUUUCAAUAUUUGAUAAAACUCAAAUAUGAAAACAGGGAAAUCCCCAACUCUCUCCGAGGGUCCUUGAGUUGCUUAGGAUUUCGAGGAUCGCGGAACGAGAUGCAAUAAAAUAUGAUAUGCAUGAAUGAUCUAUGUAUAACAUUCCAAAUUGAAAAUUUGGGAUGUUACACAACUCAACAUUUAUCAACCUCAAAUUUGCUUUGACAACAUCCUGCACUAUUUUCAAGGACACUACCAGGGCUAUAACUGUUGCUAGUGGAGGCACAUGGUGGUCUGGCUCCUUUAUAGCCACUACCACAUUCACUGCAGGCCAUACCAAAUUCCAGCAGCAGUUCAAAGUGCUAGAUCUCCCUAGGAAUGACAUGGUGCUAGGUAGUGACUGGAUGGCCAAGCACAACCCUAUUGCUUUUCACUACAAUACCACACAGAUCACAGUUAUGCAGGACAAGAACACCCCUGUCACAAUUAAAGCUUGUGAUACUUUAUCAGAAGCCACUCCAAUUGAAGCUAUAGAAGUGGACAAACUACUUUCAUCAGGAGCACUGGGCUAUGUUUUACAACUCAUAAGAGAUACUACUAUGAAAGUGCCAAAUAAAUAAUCACUACCACAACCUGUGAAAGAAGUACUGCAGGAGUUCCCUGAAGUUUUCCAAGAACCUAAGGGCCUACCACGAAAAAGAUCACAUCAUCAUAAGAUUCCCUUGAAAGAUCGAGCAGUCCCACCUAACUCCAGGCCAUAUAGAGUUCCUCACAUGCAUAGAAAUGAAUUAGAAAGGAAAAUUGACUCAAUGCUCAGGGAUAAAAUCAUCAGAGCUAGUGAAAGUCCAUACUCCUCUCCAGCAAUCCUAGUGAUGAAAAAGGAUGGCACUUGGAGGAUGUGCAUUGACUACAGAAAGUUGAAUGCUGCUACUGAAAAAACAAGUUUCCAAUCCUUGUCAUUGAGGAUUUUCUUGAUGAAUUACAUGGAGCAACUUACUUCACUAAGUUGGAUCUCAAGUCUGGGUAUCAUCAGGUUAGAAUGGAGGAAAAUGACAUUACCCAAAACUACAUUUAGAACAUACUUUCGGCACUAUGAGUUCCUAGUUAUGCCAUUUGGACUUGCAAAUGCUAGUGGAACAUUCGAAGCUCUCAUGAAUAGUAUCUUUGGCCCAUACCUAAGAAAAUUUGUGUUGGUCUUCUUUGAUGAUAUUCUGAUUUUCAGCAAGUCUCUCUCUGAACACUUGGCUCCCCUGCAGACAGUACUACAACUGCUUAAGGAACAUCAACUUUAUGCGAAACUCUUCAAGUGUGUAUUUGUAGCUACACAAGUAGAUUACUUGGGUCAUAUUAUUACUGGUGAAGGAGUUUCCACUGAUCCAUCCAAAGUGGCAGCAGUAGCUGAGUGGCCCACUCCUACCACACCCAAACAACUUAGAGGAUUCUUAGGUCUCUGUGGCUACUAUAGAAGAUUUGUCAAGAACUUUGGCACUAUAGAAAGACCUCUGCAUGAUGUAUUAAAAAAAGACAACUUCUGUUGGACAGACAACCAAACCAAUGCCUUCCAACAGUUGAAACAAGCAAUGACCAAUGCUCCGGUUCUUGCCCUACCAGACUUUACCGAACCUUUUGUGCUAGAGACAGAUGCUUCUGGAGCAGAUGAUGCAGCAAGGGAGACCAAUAGCAUAUUACAGCUCCACCCUUUUCCCUAGGAAUGCUGCCCUUUCCAAAUAUGAGAAGGAAGCACUAGCAAUCAUUGUUGCAUUAAAAAAGUGGAGGCAUUACUUCUUGGGCAAUGACCUCAUCAUCAAAACAGACCACCAAAGUCUGCAGUUCAUGAUAGACCAGAAAGUCAACACUGGCAUACAACACAAGUUGAUGUUGAAGCUUCUAGAGUUUAACUUUACUCUGUAGUAUAAGAAGGGCAAAGAAAACAUUGUGUCUGAUGCCUUAUCUAGAAAAACUUCCCUUCUGGCUAUCUCCAUGGUUACUCCUCAAUGGAUCUCUACAGUAGAGGAGUCAUACACCAUUGAAAACACCUACAAAUCCCUCUUGGAAAAGUUAUUGAUGUCCCCCAACCACUCAGUGAAUCAGAAUACACUGCGCUCAUGAGGUAUAAGACACAAAGGGAGAAUCUAUGGUGGCCAGGAUUUAUCUCUAAGAACUAAGCUAUUAACAACACUACAUGCUUCUGCGCUGGGGGCCACUCAGGCAUGAAAGCCACUUAUCACAGGAUUAAGCAAAUUUUCUACUGGCGUGGUCUCAAUCAAGAAGUGGACAAGUUUGUAGAAGAAUGCCCUGUAUGUUAGAAAAACAAAGGAGAAAAUUAUCCCUAUCCUAGAUAUUUAGACCCUCUUCAGCUACCUAACAUGGUUUGCACACAUAUGGGCAUGGAUUUUGCUGAAGGCCUACCUAAAUCUCAGGGAAAGGAUGUCAUCUUUGUGGUGGUUGACAGACUAUCUAAGUUUGCUCACUUUAUCCCCUCUUCUCACCCAUUUACUGUCCACACUGUUGUUGCUGCCUUCAUGGAUAAUGUGCUGAAACUACAUGGCCCUCCACUUUCCAUUGUUUCUGAUCGAGAUUGUCUCUUUAUCAACCAGCUCUGGCAAUAUAUCUUCAAGGGGAUGGGAACUGAAUUGCGUUACAGCUCUGCAUACCAACCUGAGUCUGAUGGGCAAACAGAACGCGUAAAUCAUGCGUUGUCUGACUUCAACACAAUCAAAGAAAUGGGCACAACAUCCAUGACAGAGUAUUGGUAUAACACUUCAUACCACUCUUCUCUUCAGAAAACACCAUUUGAAGCAGCUUAUGGCUACCCACCUCCCAAUAUCUGUGAGAACAUUCUGCCAGACAGCCUAACCAUAGAUGCUUUGCAGUUCUUCACAGACAGAGAUACACUACUCCAGCACCUGAAAAGCAACUUAACAGCUGCUCAAGCUCGCAUGAAGAAGUAGGUUGAUCGUAAGCACACUGAGAGAGUCCUCGAAGUUGGUUAUAUGGUCUAUAUCAAGAUGCAACCCUAUCGUCUGAAUGCUUUCGGACUACGCACCCACAUAAAGCUUCAAAGCAAGUAUUAUGUACCUUUCCGUAUCAUGGCCAAAGUGAGGCGCGUCGCUUACAAGCUACUCCUACCUGACAUCGCCAACAUCCACCCGGUCUUCCAUGUCAGCCAAUUGAAGAAGCACAUGGGGCAAACGACUGUUCCUUGCACCGACCUUCCUCUGGGUCGAGCAGAUGGAUUGAUACUAACCAAACUUGUUCUAGUAUUGGAAACUCGCCAGAUCCCGCACAACAGCUUGCCUAUUUUCCAGUGGCUGGUUCAAUGGGCAAACCUACCACCUGCUGAAGCAUCAUGGGAGGAUGUGGCGUUCAUGAAUAAAACUUUUCCUGCAUUCCUCAAGAUGACCAUCGAUCGCUGGUUCAACAGAUCAUUUCCUUGAGGACAGGUUCGAUUUCAGCCGGGGGCAUUGUCAGGCAUGCAUCUUCAGUUAACAAGUGUUCUCCACCUUCAGUUAACGAGUGGUCGAGAUUUACGACUGAACCGAUGAUCUAACGAGUCGCAAAGCUCGCCGUCCUACUAUAUUGUUAUUGCCGUUCCAGUAGCGUUUCAUUCUCAGCACUGUUGCUGUCACCCAUGUGCCAGCUGAGCUAUAAAGCUAGCGCCCCCCGUCUUGUAAUGGCAUCUCUUAUUCCGAGAAUCAUUUCAUUAUACAAACAUAUAUCUCAUAGUAAUACAAACCCUAGCAGGCUCCUACUUUCCCUUUUCUCUGUUCGUGAGAUCUAGUUUGAGUUCAUCCCCGAAUUCCCCAUUGGGGCAUGAGAUACGCCCGCACGCCCGCUGGCCUGCCUGUGUUCGCUGCUACCUGAUAAACCACAAGUAUAGGGGAUCGCAACAGUUUUCGAGGGUAGAGUAUGCAACCCAAAUUUAUUGAUUCGACACAAGGGGAGCCAAAGAAUAUUCUCAAGUAUUAACGGUUGAGUUGUCAAUUCAACCGCACCUGAAAGACUUAAUAUCUGCAGAAAAGUAUUUAGUAGCAAAGUAAUGUGGAAGUAACGGUAACUGUGGCAAAAGUAACAGUAGUAGUUUUUGUAGUAAUUGUAACAACGGCAAUGGAAAAGUAACUAAGCAAAGAUCAAUAUGUGAAAAGCUCGUAGGCAAUGGAUUAGUGAUGGAUAAUUAUGUCGGAUGCGAUUACACAUGCAACAGUUAUAACAUAGGGUGACACAGAACUAGCUCCAGUUCAUCAAUGUAAUGUAGGCAUGUAUUCUGAAUAUAGUCAUACGUGCUUAUGGAAAAGAACUUGCAUGACAUCUUUUUUCCUACUGAGGGAGUCCUGGAUUAGGGGGUGUUCGGAUAGCCGAACUAUACCUUCAGCUGGACUCCUGGACUAUCAAGAUACAAGAUUGAAGACUCCGUCCCGUGUUCGGAAGGGACUUUCCUUGGCAUGGAAGGCAGGCUUGGCGAUACGGAUGUUCAGAUCUCCUACCAUUGUAACCGACUCUAUGUAACCCUAACCCUAUCCGGUGUCUAUAUAAACCAGAGGGUUUUAGUCCGUAGGACAACAUACACUUCAACAAUCAUACCAUAGGCUAGCUUCUAGGGUUUAGCCUCUCUGAUCUCGUGGUAGAUCAACUCUUGUAAUACCCAUACCAUCAAUAUUAAUCAAGCAGGACGUAGGGUUUUACCUCCAUUGAGAGGGCCCGAACCUGGGUAAAACUUCGUGUCCCCUACCUCCUGUUACCAUCCGGCCUAGACACACAAUUCGGGACCCCCUACCCGAGAUCCGCCAGUUUUGACACCGACAUUGGUGCUUUCAUUGAGAGUUCCUCUGUGUCGUUGCCAUCGGGCCCGAUGGCUCCUACGAUCAUCAAUGGCGAUGCGGUCCAGGGUGAGACCUUCCUCCCCAGACAGAUCUUCGUCUUUGGCGCCUUUGCACUGUGGGACAAUUCACUUGGCCAUCUAGAGCAGAUCGAAAGCUACGCCCCUAGCCGUCAGGUCAGAUUCAGAAGUUUAAACUACACGACCGACAUCUGCGGGGACUUGAUCUUCGACGGAUUCAAACCACUGCCGAGCACGCCGCACUGUCACGACGAGCAUGAUCUAGCUCUGCCGCCGAACAGUGCCCUGGAGGCCACACCUGCAUCGGCUCUGGCCCCUGGUUCAGAGCCGACCGCGCCGAUCGAGGAUGGGCGGUUGGACGCCGCCUCGGGGGCUGCGAUCCCAACGGCGGUUGAGCCGAACACCAGCCCCGUACUCUGCAAGACUCGUGACUCCAUGGAGCCGGAUUAUUCUCUGGACUCCGAACCCUCCGCGCCCCUGCCGAGCGAAUCCGAUUGGGCGCCGAUCAUGGAGUUCACGGCCGCGGACGUCUUUCAGCACUCGCCUUUCGGCGAUAUCCUGAAAUCACUGAAGUCUCUCUCUUUGUCGGGAGAGCCCUGGCCGGACUACGGUCAGCGAGGUUAGGGCACGGACGAUGAAGAAAUUCAAAACCCACCCACCACCCACUUUGUAGCCACUGUCGACAACUUAACCGACAUGCUCGACUUCGACUCCGAAGACAUCGACGGUAUGGACGCCGAUGAAGGAGAUGAUGAAGAACCAGCGCCUACUAGGCCCUGGAAAGCCACCUCGUCAUAUGCCAUAUAAAUGGUGGACACCCCAAAAGAGGGAGAGGGCGAUGGAACAACGAAGGAUGACCCCUCCAAGAAACAGCAAAAGCGCCGGCGUCAGCGGCGCCGCUCAAAAUCCCGCCAACACAAAAAUGGCGAUUCCAGCACGGGAGAUAAUAAUACCCCGGAAAGCGCCGAAGAACAUCCCUCCGAGCAAGAUUUAGCACAGGAGGAUGGAGAAACCAGCCCUCAUGAGAGAGCGACCGACAAAGAGGUCGAGGACGAUAAUUGUAUGCCUCCCUCCGAAGAUGAGGCAAGCCUCGACGACAACGAAUUCGCCGUGCCGGAGGAUCUCGUCGAACAAGAGCGUUCUCAACGCAGGCUUAUGGCCACGGUAAGAAGCCUCAAGAAAAAACAGCAGCAACUUAAAGCUGAUCAAGAUCGACUAGUCGAUAGAUGGACUGAUGUCCUUGCGGCCGAAGAGCAUAAACCCGAACGCCCCUCCAAGUGCUACCCGAAGCACAGGUUGCUACCCCGAUUAGAGGAGGAAGCACUCGACGCGGCCAACAGGCCACCUCGUGGCCGCGACAGAGAGGCCUCAUGGCCCUCCACCCAAGCCGCACCCCGUACCGAGGCACGAGAAUAUGCACGGGACUUACGAGACAUGUUGGAGGACAAGGCAGGGCAAACAAGAUCGAUCUACGGAUCGCGUAGGCGCCCCACAGCUCGAGACGAUAACCGUCACGCCGGCCACAAAUUCGGCAGGGCCGAACACAGUAGACAAAGCUCAUUGGAGCUACGUCAUGAUAUCGCCCAGUACAGAGGCGCCGCACACCCAUUGUGCUUCAUAGAUGAAAUAAUGGAUCAUCAAAUCCCAGAGGGUUUCAAACCCGUAAACAUCGAAUCAUAUGACGGCUCAACAGAUCCCGCGGUAUGGAUCGAGGAUUAUCUCCUUCAUAUCCACAUGGCCCGCGGCGAUGAUUUCCAUGCCAUCAAAUACCUCCCACUCAAGCUUAAAGGACCAGCCCGGCAGUGGCUUAACAGCCUGCCAAAAGGGUUAAUCAGUUGUUGGGAGGACCUGGAAGCCGCAUUUCUCGACAAUUUCCAGGGCACCUAUGUGCGACCCCCAGACGCUGACGACCUAAGCCAUGUAAUUCAGCAGCCAGACGAAUCGGCCAGGCAAUUCUGGACACGGUUCCUAACAAAGAAAAAUCAAAUACUCGACUGUCCGGACGCAGAGGCCUUAGCAGCCUUCAAGCAUAAUAUCCGUGACGAGUGGCUUGGCCGGCACCUAGGACAGGAGAAGCCGAAAUCUAUGGCAGCACUCACGGCACUCAUGACCCGCUUUUGCGCGGGAGAGGAUAGCUGGCUUGCUCGUAGCAACAAUAUGACCAAGAACCCUGGUAGUUCGGACAUCAGGGACGUUAGUGGCAGGUCGCGUCGCAACCAACAGAAGCGCCGCAUCAACGGCGACAAUGCUAAGGAUACGACAGUUAAUGCCGGAUUCAGAGGCUCUAAAUCCGGUCAGCGAAAAAAAUCAUUCAAAAGGAAUCCUAGGGGCCCGUCCAGCCUGGACCGAAUACUCGACCGCUUGUGCCAAAUACACGGCACCCCGAAAAGCCAGCCAAUCACACCAAAUACACGGCAGAUUAAGCGCUGACAAUGAAGACAAGGGUUUUCCCCCACAAGUGCGGACGGUGAACAUGAUAUACGCCACCCACGUCCCCAAAAGGGAGCGGAAGCGCGCGUCAAGGGACGUAUACGUGGUAGAGCCAGUCACCCUAAAGUUCAACCCAUGGUCCUCCUGCCCGAUCACCUUUGAUCGAAGAGACCAUCCCACUAGCAUCCGUCAUGGCGGAUUCGCCGCAUUGGUUCUCGACCCAAUUAUUGACGGAUUCCAUCUCACUAGAGUCCUUAUGGACGGCGGCAGUAGCCUGAACCUGCUUUACCAGGAUACAAUGCGGAAAAUGGGCAUAGAUCCCUCGAGGAUUAAGCGCACCAAAACGACCUUUAAAGGCAUAAUACCAGGUGUAGAGGCCAGUUGCACAGGCUCAAUCACACUUGAAGUGGUCUUCGGAUCUCCGGAUAAUUUCCGAAGCGAGGAGUUAAUCUUCGACAUAGUCCCGUUCCGCAGUGGUUAUCAUGCACUGCUCAGGCGAACCACAUUUUCCAAGUUCAAUGUGGUCCUGCUACGCAUACCUUAAGCUCAAGAUGCCAGGCCCUCGAGGAGUAAUUACGGUCAAUGGAAACACCGAACCUCCCUCCGAACGGAGGAGCACACGGCGGCCCUCACAGCGGAAGUACAGAGCAGCCUCUCCAGGCAGUUCUCCAGUCCGGCCAUUCAAUGACCGGACACCGUCAAGCGCGCCCGGAGUAACAUACAACAAGACCGCCUGGCACGUUCCGAGCAGGCGUAGCAAUGCGGCCCCAACCCCAACCCUCGCAAAAAGGCGACGCCAGUACUUCGUGUCCAUAACUACGCUCUGGAAAUACCAUGGGCAUAGGGGGAGGGGCACCAUCACGGCACGCCCAAAACAUGGCUUAAACCGCACCAGGGGCUGCCGACCUUUUUUACACUUUUCUCUUACUUCCAGGACUCUACUCUUCGGAAGGCUUGUUCGGCAGUUCAAUUGCCGCACAAACGAUGCAAGGACCAGGAAAGCAGACAAGCCAUGCCGCAUUACGGAAAUCCCAGGUGGUCUCUAUCACGAGAAGUAUACCCAUUUCGCAUACUAUCCCGCAGCUUGCCCCUGAAGCAGACAUGUUAAAUAGUCCAACUUUUCGUUUAUUACAUCACUUGUAUCGUUCUGCUUUGAUCGCAGCUAUUUUAAUGCACAAUGCAUAGCUUUUGUCUAUUUUCUGCAUUACCCUUAUAUAUAUAUAUAUAUAUAUAUAUAUAUAUAUAUGUUCCUUAAUGACAUGUUGCACCCAUACACUUUGGAAUGGCCAAAAUACGCCAGGGGCUUCAGUACCCCUCAACAUGGUGUGAGAAGUCCGAACACUUUAACAAGUGCGGCACCCCGAACUUAUAGCAUUAUAUGCAUCGGCUCCGAAUCAUGUCUUGGGUCAAUAGUUGGGUUUGCCGGCUCCUAUGUUUUGGUGCCUUACGUUCCCCUAUAUCGGCUAAGGUAGCACUAGGAGAACCACUGCGAUUAUGCCCCAGUUGAGCUAGGCUGAGCACCUCAGUGGAGAAAGCUAAAACUGACUGUCAUGAUGAAGCGAGAGCUGGUCGCUGUUCGAGAGGUUUUUUCGAGUCCCUUAAGACUUAUGCCGCUUCGGGCGAGGAGUCGGCUCUGUCCAGCCAAGGCGUGGAUAGCGCCCCGAAAUCGGUUUUACGAAUACUAGGGGCUUCGCCGAAAUUUAAAAUUAUAGAAUUCUAUGGCUAAGUGAGAGUGUUCACGCAUUAUAGUCCGAUUGCCUCAUUCGUUGGGCUGAGCGCCUCCCUCGAAGGACCCAAAUAUGGGAAAAAUAGCGCCCAAGUUUAUCCCCGAACACCCCAGCACCAGCGGCAUGGGGGCAGAAGCUGACGACUCGCCAUCUCUCAGUAUUGAUAAACAGCCGCACAGAAGGCAAUAUUUUAAAUUCAAGCAGCAUUGCUUAGCGCAUAUGAACAAGUUUUCAGCGCACAGGAUAACACGAGCAGGUUUUACUCAAAAAUACAUCCUUGGUACAUUCAUCCGCAACAAGGCGGGCACCCUUCAGAACAUCCUUAUAAUAAUUCUCGGGCUUGCGAUGCUCUUUCCCCGGCGGUGGCCCGUCCUUCACAAGCUUCUCCACAUCCAGCUUGCCCCAGUGCACCUUAGCACGGGCAAGGGCCCUACGGGCACCUUCAAUGCAGACGGAGCGCUUGAUGUCUUCAAGCCUCGGACAGGCCUCCACCAGCCGCCGCACCAGCCCGAAAUAGCUCCCAGGCAGAGCCUCUCCAGGCCACAGCCGAACUAGGAGGCCCUUCAUGGCCUGUUCGGCUGCCUUGUGGAGCUCAACCAGUUGCUUCAGCUGGUCGCUCAGGGGCACGGGGUGUCCGGCCUCAGCGUACUAAGACCAGAACACCUUCUUCGUCGAGCUUCCCUCCUCGACUCAAUAGAACGCGGCGGCAUCGGAUACACUCCGGGGAAGAUCUGCGAGCGCUCCUGGAGAGCUUCGGAUUCGGGUAAGUAACAGGUAACUCAAGUUUAUGUGUUUGCUUUGCAUAAAGAAUGCCUUACCCGCCGCAAUCUUCUUCACCUCAUCCAACUCCUGGAGGGUCUUCUGGGACUCGGCCUUGGCAGACUUGGCAUUUUCUAUAACUGCCGCGAGCUCGGACACUCGCGUCUUCGAGUCAAGCUCCAAGCUCUCAUGUUUCUUCACGAGAACCUGGAGCUCUUGCCGCACCUUGCCAACCUCAGCCUCAUACCUCUCCCGCUCGGCGCGCUCCACGGCCACAUUCUUCUCGGCCUCGAGCAGCGCUUGCUUAAGGGUCGCCACCUCAGACGUGGCCCCUGCAAUAGCCAUGUUAAUCCUGUCAUUUUUUGCAAUUGCACCUUAUAUAUAUAUUCAAAUAGGGUAUUUAUUACCUUCCUUCUCCUCGAGCUGCUUCUUGGCACGCCCGAGCUCUUGCUCGGACUUCUCGAGACUCUGCUUCAGCACGUCCACUUCCACAGUCAGUGCGGCGGACGCUAGCAGAGAAGCCUGCAUACGCAUAUUGACUCCUUUUUUUAGACUCCUGCGAAUUCUUUGAUCCUAUAUUCGGCUUUUCUUCUCGAACACCCAACAGAGCAUCAGGGGCUACUGUCUAUGCGGUAACAUUAUUUGAACAUUCUUUACUUACCUCAAAGCCUGUUAAAAGGCUUGAACAAGCUUCAGUCAGUCCGCUUUUGGCGGACUGAACCUUCUGGAUCACCGCACUCAUAAUAGUGCGGUGCCCCUCGGCGAUGGAGGCACCUUGGAGCGCCUCCAACAUAUUGUCCGGCGCCUCCGGUUGGACGGAGGACACCGGCACGGUAGGCUUGCUCCUCCUGGAAGGAGAUCGCCCGCUGGACUCUGGAACCCUUGAAGAUUCCGGAGCUGUGUCCGGCCUUAAGCCGGACUUGGAGCCCUGGGGAGUUUCAUCCCCUUUACUCCUAGAGUCCGGGAGGUCACCUUGCGGCGCCUCCAGGACCUCCUCCUCCCGGCUUGGAACCUGUUGGGACAACACUUCGGUGUCGUCCGCAGGGCGGGGGGAUGAAGCCGUCGGAAGCGAGUUCACCUCCGACGGGUCCAGUGAGCCGCUCGAUGAUGCGUCGAGCCGGUCUUUAGGUGGGCUGCAUAAACAUAUUCGACAUAAGGGAAAGCUGUGCGAAAAACAAAUACUAUAAACUGCCCCGGUAUCCAGACACUUACGAUUUCGCCAGGGGCUUGGCCCUGGGCUGCCACUCUUCUUCGUCGUCGUCGGCGUCGGUGGAGCAGUCCGGGGGAAGGGUUUUCCCCUUCUUGGACCCUCCGACCUCCUCGGAGAGGGCGGCCUUCCUUUUCUUCUCUCCUCCCACUGGAGGGGGAGAGGUCUCUUCUUCUUCCUCCUCAUCUUCACGAGAGGAAGGCGCUUCGGGACCGUCGGAUGACGAAUCCGACACCUCCUGGCGUCGGGCACUCUUUCGAGUCCCCGUGGCCCUUUUCGUGGCCUUCUUCUCCGGCACCACAUAGGGCGCCGGAACCAGCAGCUUCGCCAAGCGAACGUCCGCUGGGCCAUCGGGCAGAGGAGCCGGACAGUUGAUCUGUCCGGACGUCACCACCCAAUCCUAUCCAAGAUAAGGGAACUCAGAUCCCGCAUAGAGUCAAACUAUGAAAAACUGAUACCCUGUAAAAGGAGAAAAACAGCUUACCGCAUGAGCGUGAUGCUGAGUACUGAAUCCGUGAUCCUCGGCAGCGGAUGCGGGAGCCUCACGCCCUUGAAAAGCACCCUCCAGGCAUCUUCGUACGUCGUGUCGAAGAGCCUGUUAAGAGUUUGAUGCUACACCGGGUCGAAUUCCCAAAGGUUGAAGGCCCGUCGUUGACACGGGAGGUUCAGGCGGACAAGCAUAACCUGGACUACGUUGACAAGCUUGAGCUUCUUGUCCACCAGGGUUUGGAUGUGUGGGAUCUAGAAGUAGAUGUGUCUAGAGGGGGGUGAUUAGACACUUAGUGCUAAAGUUGCAAUUUUUAAUCUUUUUCAGUUUAAGUGGAGUUUAGGCACAAAUUCAAUAUGCACAAUACAUAUCAAGCAAGCAUGCAAAGAGUAUAUGAGCAGCGGAAUGUAAAGCAUGCAACUUGCAAGAAUGUAAAGGGAAGGGUUUGGAGAAUUCAAACGCAAUUGGAGACACGGAUGUUUUUCCCGUGGUUCGGAUAGGUGGUGCUAUCCUACAUCCACGUUGAUGGAGACUUCAACCCACUAAGGGUAACGGUUGCACGAGUCCACACAGGGCUCCACCCAAGGGUAACGGUUGCGCGAGUCCACGAAGGGCUCCACCCACGAAGGGUCCACGAAGAAGCAACCACCCACAAAGGGUCCACGAAGAAGCAACCUUGUCUAUCCCACCAUGGCCAUCGCCCACGAAGGACUUGCCUCACUAGAGGUAGAUCUUCACGAAGUAGGCGAUCUCCUUGCCCUUACAAACUCCUUGGUUCAACUCCACAAUCUUGUCGGAGGCUCCCAAGUGACACCUAGCCAAUCUAGGAGACACCACUCUCCAAGAAGUAACAAAUGGUGUGUAGGUAAUGAACUCCUUGCUCUUGUGCUUCAAAUGAUAGUCUCCCCAACACUCAACUCUCUCUCAUAGGAUUUGGAUUUGGUGGAAAGAAGAUUUGAGUGGAAAGCAACUUGGGAAGGCUAGAGAUCAAGAUUCAUAUGGUAGGAAUGGAAUGUCUUGGUCUCAACACAUGAGUAGGUGGUUCUCUCUCAGAACAAAUGAGUUGGAAUGAUGUGUGUGUUCUGAUGGCUCUCUUAUCGAAUGAGAAGGAGGUGGAGGGGUAUAUAUAGCCUCCACUCAAAAUCCAACCGUUACACACAAUUUACCAAUCUCGGUGGGACCGAAUCAGAAAACUCGGUCGGACCGAAAUGGUAAACCUAGUGACCGUUAGGAAUUUCGGUGGGACUGACAUGCAACUCGGUAGGACCGAUUCGGUUAGGGUUUGGGCAUAACGUGAUCUCGGUGAGACCGGUUACACAAACUCGGUGAGACCGAGUUUGGUAAUUAGCUAACCAGAGAGUUGGUCAGGCAAACUCGGUGGGACCAAUUUGCUCUUUCGGUGGGACCGAGUGAAACUCGGUGAGACCGAAAAGUUACAAAGGGGAAACACUGAGUUUACAUUGCAAUCUCGGUGGGACCGAUUGCAUAUCUCGGUGGGACCGAGAAUAUUACAAUAGGUAACAGAGAGUUUGCAAUCCCAUCUCGGUGAGACCGAGAUCCUUAUCGGUAGAACCGAAUUGCUAGGGUUUGGCAGUGGCUAAUGACAAGUGAAACUCGGUGGCGCCGGAUAGGAAGAAUCGGUAGGACCGAGUUUGGCUUAGGGUUUAGGUCAUGUGGAUAUGGGAAAGUAGUUGAGGGUUUUGGAGCAUAUCAUUAAGCACAUGAAGCAAGAGGCUCAUUAAGCAACACCUCAUCCCUCCUUGAUAGUAUUGGCUUUUCCUAUGGACUCAAUGUGAUCUUGGAUCACUAAAAUAUAAAAUGAAGAGUCUUGAGCUUGAAGCUUUAGCCAAUCCUUUGUCCUUAGCAUUUUGAGGGUUCCACUUUCACAUCCAUGCCAUGCCAUUGUUGAACUUAUCUGAAACAUGCUAGAUAGAAGUGUUAGUCCAACAAGAGAUAUGUUGUCAUCAAUUAUCAAAACCACCUAGGGAGCACUUGUGCUUUCAAUCUCCCCCUUUUUGGUAAUUGAUGGCAACAUACAUCAAAGCUUUAGAUAAAGAUAUACAGAACAGCAAGUAAAGCUUUGGAAGUACAUGUAGCAAGCAUAGGCUCCCCCUACAUGUAUGCACUCAUGUAAAUAUGGAAUAUAUAGGCAUGUGAGAGCAUAAUCAUGAUAGAGUAGGCAAUGUGUUACAUGUAUCUUGGCCAUAUGCAUCAGAGCAAAAGAUUAUUAAGGAAAAUACCUUCAUGAUCAUGAGUCCUUCUUGCAAACAGUAUGUACAUAAGCAAGAACUCCUCAUACUCAUGAUUUUGAUGCAUAUACUUACCUUGUGGUCUCGAGUUGGCUUAGGAUGGAAUGAACCUGCACAAACAAGGUUAGAUAACACAGGUACGUCCACUAGCCAGAGCAAACAAGAAACCACAAGAAUACCAAGACUGGGAUGACAUGUAGAGAGUGAGUACAAGGUACCACAUUGAAUUCAACAUGUCCCCAAGAAUAAAGAUAUGCAAUGAAUUUGGCUGAUUUCUUUUACUUUAGGUGUCUUGCUCCCCCUGAAUCUUACAUGGGAUAUUGGGAGAAGAUAGGAAACAGAAAAUCAGAGCUGAAUAGAACUAAAUUCAAAUGAGUUCAUAUGAACAUGCCUUUCCCCCAAAAGACAUGUGGCAUCUCUCCUCUUGAACAUCAAGCAUCUGGGAUCCUUGAGUAUUUUUCUCUCCCUGGAGAUCUCUCUCUCCCCCUUAACAACAUCUGGGAUCCUUGAGACUUUCUCUCCCCCUUAAUACUUUUUCUCUCUUGGUGUGAUCUCUCUUUCCUACAAGCUUUGAUGUGAUCUCUCUCUCCCCCUUUGACAUCAAUUUCCAAGAAGGUUUUUCCUGGAAUCCGUCGAAUAGGUUUGGUCCUUGAGAUUCAGCACAAAGCAAAGGAUAAAAUUGUGAUGCUUGUGGAGGACAAGAUUCAUUGAGUGGAGCUGGAUCAGAAAAAAAAAAGUAGAACAAGUGGCAAAAUGUUUUUCUGAUUGCAAAGUCGGUGGGACCGAGUGACACAUUUCGGUGGUACCGAAAAGAUUCGGUUAGACCGAAAUUUGCAAGUCGGCGAAACCGAGUUUACAGAGAAAAACACUUGUCACCUCAGCUCACUAGGCAAGUAAGAUCUCACAAAGAUUUGCAAUGAAUUAGCUGAUGGAUUUGCAAGGAAUUUGAUGCAGAAAUAUGCAGAACAAGAACAAAAAGAAAAAAGUGAAAGUUUCUAGAUGAAGUUUUUUUUUGUUUUAGAGAGAAGGAAACAAAUAUGCAAGGAACAAAUGCAAUUACUCAGAAAAGGACACAAGAGAACUUCAUCUAGAAUUGGGCGGUGACAUAGUCACCUAUGUUAGAGUAUAUUGACUUAGGAGUCAAGUGAGGACACUUGAUCAUAGGUCAUACUCAUCGUUUAAGCUCAAAAUGGGGUUACCAUUUUUCGUUUAAGCAUCUUGAUGUAUUCACAUCUUGUUGAGUUGCUUUGACUCAUGUCUUGAAGUAAAGCUUCUCUAAGAUGGAAUGACGUACCUUGGGUGGUGAUGUGGUUCUUGCUCAUGUAGUUGAACUUGUGUGGGUGCUCAGGGUUGAUGUAGUUCAUUAAGAGUUGGGAGCACCACUUGGAGUUUGAGUUCAUCUACCUACAUGGGUUAGUUCUUGCAAGGAAGAGCACUUGUGUAUCCAAAAAUGAACAUGGAAUUUCUCAAAGGAUAUGUUUGAAUGGUUUUGUGCUUCCUUGUCUUCAACCACUAUUGUGUAGAGUCUUGGUGAUGUAGAGAUUGCUCAAGAUAUGAGUGAGUCGCAAUCUCAUGGAAUUAGAUUCAACCAAGUACCUACAUGGGUUAGAAAACAUGCAAGGUGCAAAUAUAUCCAAGACAUAAGAUAGUUAUCAUAAGAGAUAUAUCAUGGAUUAGUCAUAAGCUCAUGUCUUGCAUGCAUCCAAUGGAGUUUUCUACUCCAAGUUCGAGGCAUCAAUGAUGUUCAAUUCUCCUCUCAACCUGCAAAACACUUUCUCAUCAAGCGGUUUAGUGAAUAUAUCCGCUAACUGCUUAUCGGUGCGAACAUGCUUAAGAUUGAUGUCACCCUUAGCAACAUGAUCUCGAAUGAAAUGAUGACGAACUUCAAUAUGCUUAGUUCGAGAAUGUUGUAUAGGAUUAUGACCAAUUUUGAUAGCACUUUCAUUGUCACAAAGCAGUGGAACAUGUUUCACAUAAAUCCCAUAAUCUUUAAGAGUUUGGGUCAUCCAAAGUAAUUGAGCACAACAUGAACCAGCAGCAAUGUAUUCCGCUUCGGCGGUGGAUAAGGAUACCGAGUUUUGUUUCUUGGAGGACCAAGACACAAGAGAUCUACCAAGGAAUUGACAAGUACCCGAAGUGGACUUUCUAUCAACCUUGUCUCCGGCAUAAUCUGAGUCGGAAUAGCCAACAAGAUCAAAAGAAGACCUCUUAGGAUACCAAAUGCCAAAAUUUGGUGUAUGGAUUAAAUAUCUCACUAUCCUUUUCACAACUUUAAGAUGACAAUCUUUAGGAGCAGCUUGAUAUCGAGCACGCAUGCACACACUUAGCAUAAUAUCGGGGCGUGAAGCACAUAGGUAUAACAAUGAACCAAUCAUAGAGCGAUAAACCUUUUGAUCAACAGGUUCACCAUCUUUGGUCAAAUCAUUAUGUCCACUAGUGGGCAUGGGUGUAGACAUACCUUUGCAUUCUUGCAUGUUGAACUUCUUGAAUAAGUCCUUGGUGUACUUUGUUUGAGAGACAAAUGUACCUUCCUUAGUUUGCUUGAUUUGCAACCCGAGAAAGAAUUUGAGUUCACUCAUCAUAGACAUCUCAAACUUCUCUGACAUUAGCUUUCCAAACUUUUCACUAAAGAGAGGGUUAGUUGAACCAAAUAUGAUGUCAUCAACAUAAAUUUGGCAUACAAAUAGUUCUCCAUUAACCCUUUUAGUAAAAAGAGUAGAAUCAAUUUUACCAAUUUCAAAACCACUUGUAGUAAGGAACUUGGUCAAGCAUUUAUACCAUGCUCUGGGAGCUUGUUUAAGACCAUAAAGAGCUUUGUGAAGUUUGUAAACAUGAUUUGGUUUCUUAGGAUUGACAAAGCCGGGAGGUUGUUUGACAUAAACUUCCUCCUCUAUUUCUCCAUUUAGAAAAGCACUUUUAAUGUCCAUUUGGUACAAAGUGAUAUUAUGGUGAUUAACAUAGGCAAGUAAGAUGCGAAUGGACUCAAGUCUAGCAACGGGGGCGUACGUCCCACCAUAGUCCAUACCUUCGACUUGUGUGUAUCCUUGGGCGACGAGACGUGCUUUGUUGCGGACCACUUGUCCAUCUUCAUCUUGCUUGUUGCGAAACACCCAUUUGGUACCAAUGAUGUUGUGGUUGUUGUCGGGCUUCUCAACCAAUGUCCAAACUUGGUUUCUCUCAAAAUUAUGUAGCUCUUCAUGCAUAGCGUUUAUCCAAUCCGGAUCUUCCAAUGCUUCUUCAACCUUCAUUGGUUCAAUGCUCGAGAUGAAUGAAUAGUUUUCACAAAAGUUAGCUAAACGAGUUUUUGAGCGAGUGAUUCUCCCGGUUUGUAUAUCAUUGAGGAUUUGCUCGACGGGAUGAUCUUUGGCAAUUCUUGCUCGAACUCGUGAGAGCUUUUGCUUGGGUCUUUGUUGAGCUUCUUCUUCAUCUUGUUCUUCUUCUUGGCCUUCUUCAUUGUUGACGUCGUCGUUUUCUUGUCGUGGUGGAGAAGGAGGUUGUUGAUGUUCAUCUUUACGUACUUCCUCGUUUUCCUCAUCUUGGUGUGUCCCACUUGUGGAUGCUUCCGUGUCGAAUCUUGGUUCACCUUGUUGUGAAGUAGAAGCUUCCACUUGGACGGAUGAAGUACUCUCCUUUACCUCCGUUGGACGAAUUUUGCCAAUGGACAAAUCUUGAAUUGCUUCUGAAGGGUCUUUGUCUCCUACAUCAAUUGGCAAUUGCUCUACUUGCAAGCCAUUAGAUUCAUCAAACUUCACAUCUACCGUCUCUUCAACCUUUCGGGUGAAAUUGUUGUAGACAUUGUAAGUGUGAGAGUUUGAUCCAUAACCAAGUAGAAAACCUUCAUGAGAUUUAGGAGCAAACUUUGAACGAUGAUGCUUAAUAAGAAUGUAGCACUUUGAGCCGAAUACUUGAAAGUAUCCAACUUGAGGCUUGUUACCAGUGAGGAGCUCGUAUGCUGUCUUGCCGAGUAGCUUGUGAAGAUAUAAGCGAUUUGUUGCGUGACAAGCUGUCUCAACCGCUUCUGCCCAAAAGUGCUUUGGCGUCUUGUAUUCAUCAAGCAUUGUCCUUGCCAUUUCAAUGAGCGUCGGUUCUUCCUCUCAACAACUCCAUUUUGUUGAGGUGUGUAUGUAGCCGAGAACUCGUGUGAAAUCCCUUCUUCGUCAAGAAAGGAGUCCACAUUUGCGUUCUUGAACUCUGUUCCGUUGUCACUCCGAACCUUCUUGAUCUUCACAUCAAACUGAUUUUGGGCUUUCCUAGCGAAGUUUCUGAAGAUCUUCUGGACCUGCGAUUUGUCAUUGAGGAAAAACACCCAUGUAAAUCUUGAAAAAUCAUCAACUAUAACUAGACCAAAGGAAUUUCCACCGAGACUCUUGUAGGCAUUGGGACCAAAAAGAUCCAUGUGAAACAGCUCGAGUGGCCUCCUUGUGGUCAUGAUGUUCUUCACAGGAUGUCUUCCUCCAACCUGUUUACCUGCUUGACAAGCACUGCAAAGUCUAUCCUUAUCAAAUAUGACAUCAUUAACUCCAAGGAUAUGAUUUCCUUUAAUAAGCUUGUCAAGGUUUCUCAUGCCAACAUGACCUAGUCGUCUAUGCCACAACCAACCUUUUGAGGAUUUAGCAACAAAGCAAGUUUUAGGUUGUGCCUUUUUAGAGAAAUCGACGAUGUAAAGAUCACCUCUACGCAUACCCGUAAAGACCAUUUUAUGAUUGUCCCGACGAAAUACUUGGCAAUCUACCUCAGUAAAUAGGACAUUCAACCCGAAAUCAGCAAGUCUAGAUACAGAAAGUAAGUUGUAGCCAAGAGAUUCAACAAGCAUGACAUUUUGAAUGGAACUAUCAUGUGAGAUGGCCACCUUACCAAGGCCAACCACUUUACCCUUUGAAUUAUCACCAAAGGUGACAUAUUUUCGAGGGCCGUUGUUUUCAGCAAGCUCACGGAACAUCUCUUCAUCUCCGGUCAUAUGAUCAGUGCAACCACUAUCAAGAACCCAUUCCUUUCCUCCUGAUUCAUAUCCCCAAAGAUUUGCCAUAAGACCAAAAUGUCUCAUUGCAUUGUCAAGAUCGGAGUCACUAUCAUCAUCAUCAUAAUAUUCAUGUUCAUCAUGAUCUUGUGACUCAUCAUUUCCUAGAGAGGGUAAUUCAUUAGAUAAAUGAUCAAAGUGGUUAUUUUUAUGAAUUCUUAUAGCUUUGAGUAUGAUAUCAUUAAUGAUUCCAACAUCUCCUUUAGCAUGCUUAAGAUUGGCAAGUUCAAGAAGACAUUUACCAAAACUAGGAUCACUAGAGUUCAUCUUACUCAAGGCAAUGGAUUUAUGGAGAAUUUCAUCCAAAGUUUUCAAGGAAUGAUUGAGAAAUUGUUCCUCAAGAAAUUUCCAUAUAGUAUAGGCACAAUCUUGAGUAGGCAAACAAGCAAUCAGAUUUUUGGGCAAUCCUCUAAUGAUGAGCUCAAUAGUUCUAAGAUUGCGAAUCAUGUCAAUAUCUUCAUCUAGGGUAGGAUGCAAGGGAUCAAUAUGGGGUGCACAAGGGCUAGCAAUAUACUUGUUCAAAUGAUAUUGAUUGAAGAUUACAAGCAUCUCAUUUUUCCACUCAUGAAAAUACUUUUCAUCAAGAAUAGGCACUCUAUGUCUAAGACUCCCUAGAGUAGACACAUCCAUCUUCCUCCAAUGGUGAUUAAACCAAGGCAAUGGAGACCAAGGCUCUGAAACCACUUGUGGGAUCUAGAAGUAGAUGUGUCUAGAGGGGGGUGAUUAGACACUUAGUGCUAAAGUUGCAAUUUUUAAUCUUUUUCGGUUUAAGUGGAGUUUAGGCACAAAUUCAAUAUGCACAAUACAUAUCAAGCAAGCCUGCAAAGAGUAUAUGAGCAGCGGAAUGUAAAGCAUGCAACUUGCAAGAAUGUAAAGGGAAGGGUUUGGAGAUUUCAAACGCAAUUGGAGACACGGAUGUUUUUCCCGUGGUUCGGAUAGGUGGUGCUAUCCUACAUCCACGUUGAUGGAGACUUCAACCCACGAAGAGUAACGGUUGCGCGAGUCCACAUAGGGCUCCACCCAAGGGCAACGGUUGCGCGAGUCCACGAAGGGCUCCACCCACGAAGGGUCCACGAAGAAGCAACCACCCACAAAGGGUCCACGAAGAAGCAACCUUGUCUAUCCCACCAUGGCCAUCGCCCACGAAGGACUUGCCUCACUAGCGGUAGAUCUUCACGAAGUAGGCGAUCUCCUUGCCCUUACAAACUCCUUGGUUCAACUCCACAAUCUUGUCGGAGGCUCCCAAGUGACACCUAGCCAAUCUAGGAGACACCACUCUCCAAGAAGUAACAAAUGGUGUGUAGGUAAUGAACUCCUUGCUCUUGUGCUUCAAAUGAUAGUCUCCCAACACUCAACUCUCUCUCAUAGGAUUUGGAUUUGGUGGAAAGAAGAUUUGAGUGGAAAGCAACUUGGGAAGGCUAGAGAUCAAGAUUCAUAUGGUAGGAAUGGAAUGUCUUGGUCUCAACACAUGAGUAGGUGGUUCUCUCUCAGAACAAAUGAGUUGGAAUGAUGUGUGUGUUCUGAUGGCUCUCUUAUCGAAUGAGAAGGAGGUGGAGGGGUAUAUAUAGCCUCCACUCAAAAUCCAACCGUUACACACAAUUUACCAAUCUCGGUGGGACCGAAUCAGAAAACUCGGUCGGACCGAAAUGGUAAACCUAGUGACCGUUAGGAAUUUCGGUGGGACUGACAUGCAACUCGGUAGGACCGAUUCGGUUAGGGUUUGGGCAUAACGUGAUCUCGAUGAGACCGAUUACACAAACUCGGUGAGACCGAGUUUGGUAAUUAGCUAACCAGAGAGUUGGUCAGGCAAACUCGGUGGGACCGAUUUGCUCUUUCGGUGGGACCGAGUGAAACUCGGUGAGACCGAAAAGUUACAAAGGGGAAACACUGAGUUUACAUUGCAAUCUCGGUGGGACCGAUUGCAUAUCUCGGUGGGACCGAGAAUAUUACAAUAGGUAACAGAGAGUUUGCAAUCCCAUCUCGGUGAGACCGAGAUCCUUAUCGGUAGAACCGAAUUGCUAGGGUUUGGCAGUGGCUAAUGACAAGUGAAACUCGGUGGCGCCGGAUAGGAAGAAUCGGUAGGACCGAGUUUGGCUUAGGGUUUAGGUCAUGUGGAUAUGGGAAAGUAGUUGAGGGUUUUGGAGCAUAUCAUUAAGCACAUGAAGCAAGAGGCUCAUUAAGCAACACCUCAUCCCUCCUUGAUAGUAUUGGCUUUUCCUAUGGACUCAAUGUGAUCUUGGAUCACUAAAAUAUAAAAUGAAGAGUCUUGAGCUUGAAGCUUUAGCCAAUCCUUUGUCCUUAGCAUUUUGAGGGUUCCACUUUCACAUCCAUGCCAUGCCAUUGUUGAACUUAUCUGAAACAUGCUAGAUAGAAGUGUUAGUCCAACAAGAGAUAUGUUGUCAUCAAUUAUCAAAACCACCUAGGGAGCACUUGUGCUUUCAGGAUGCAUGUUUGGAGUCCGGUCAGCUCUCCUUUUUUACCCCAAGACAGGCAUGUCUCCUUCCAGGAGGUGAGCCGCGUGGGGAGGGGGGGCGGAUCGGAACUCAGGGGGGGCGACACAUUCGGCGUCGCACGGCUCGGUGAUGUAAAACCACCAUGAUUGCCACCCCUUCAGGGUCUCCACAAAGGAGCCCUUGAGCCAUAGGACGUUGGCCAUCUUGCCAACCAUGGCACCUCCGCACUCCGCCUGGCUGCCGCGCACCACCUUUGGCUUAACGUUGAAAGUCUUUAGCCAUAAGUCGAAAUGGGGGCGGAUGCGGAGGAAAGCCUCGCACACGACGAUAAACGCCGAGAUGUUGAGGACGAAGUUCGGUGCCAGAUCGUGGAAAUCCAAGACAUAGUAGAACAUGAGCCCCUAGACAAAUGGAUGCAGAGCGAAGCCCAGUCCGCGGAGGAAAUGGGGGAGAAAUACCACCCUCUCAUGGGGCCUAGGAGUGGGGAUGAGCUGCCCCUUUUCGGGGAGCCGGUGCGAUGUUGCUGGCCAGAUAUCCGGCCUUCCUCAACUUUUUGAUGUGUCCCUCCGUGACGGAGGAGACCAUCCACUUGCCUCCCGCUCCGGACAUGACUGGAGAGGGUUGAGGUGGUAGUGCGGACUUGGGCGCUGGAGCUCGAGUGCGCAAGAAUGGAUAGGUAGAGGAGGAAGAAGGCGUGGGUAAAAAGGUGGAUCCUUAUCCCUUUAUACGGGUGGACGCGAUUAUGUGUCCCCACCAGCCUGGUAAAACUUGCUUAUCUCCAAGUGCCGUGAUCAAAGGCGCGGUUGGGUUACCCACGCCCGUAUUGAUGAGAAUCCCGAAAUGAGGGGAAACGAUCUCUGCUUUGACAAGACAUGCCAAGGAAACCGCCUCGCAUAAUGCGCUGAGGUGGGAUAAUGAAACGAUUUGCAUAAAGGCUUGGUCGUGGCGUGUCGCACCACGGAAUACGUCAGCAGAUUAGAUUUGUGUUAAUAUUAUUAUUCUCUCUACGACAAUAUGUGGAAACUUAUUUUGCAGAGCCGGACACUAUCUUUGUGUUCAAGAUCUUCUAUGAAGUAUUUGGAGGGGGAACCCGCCUUGCAAUGCUGAAGACAAUUUGCGCACCGGACUCGUCAUCAUUGAAGCCUGGUUCAGGGGCUACUGAGGGAGUCCUGGAUUAGGGGGUGUUUGGAUAGCCGAACUAUACCUUCAGCCGGACUCCUGGACUAUGAAGAUACAAGAUUGAAGACUCCGUCCCGUGUCCGGAAGGGACUUUCCUUGGCGUGGAAGGCAGGCUCGGCGAUACGGAUGUUCAGAUCUCCUACCAUUGUAACCGACUCUAUGUAACCCUAACCCUAUCAGGUGUCUAUAUAAACCGGAGGGUUUUAGUCCGUAGGACAACAUAAACUUCAACAAUCAUACCAUAGGCUAGCUUCUAGGGUUUAGCUUCUCUGAUCUCGUGGUAGAUCAACUCUUGUAAUACCCAUACCAUCAAUAUUAAUCAAGCAGGACGUAGGGUUUUACCUCCAUUGAGAGGGCCCGAACCUGGGUAAAACUUCGUGUCCCCUGCCUCCUCUUACCAUCCGGCCUAGACGCACAGUUCGGGAUCCCCUACCCGAGAUCCGCCGGUUUUGACACCGACACCUACCCUCCCGUGGCAGCGGGGUCCUAUUGGAAACUAAGGGAUAUUAAGGCCUCCUUUUAAUAGAGUACCGUACCAAAGCAUUAACACUUAGUGAAUACAUGAACUGUGACGCCCCCGAUUUGACCGUACACUAAUCACACGCAAACGUGUACGAUCAAGAUCAGGGACUCACGGGAAGAUAUCACAACACAACUCUACAAAUAAAAUAAGUCAUACAAGCAUCAUAUUACAAGCCAGGGGCCUCGAGGGCUCGAAUACAAGAGCUCGAUCAUAGACGAGUCAGCGGAAGCAACAAUAUCUGAGUACAGACAUAAGUUAAACAAGUUUGCCUUAAGAAGGCUAGCACAAACUGGGAUACAGAUCGAAAGAGGUGCAGGCCUCCUGCCUGGGAUCCUCCUAACUACUCCUGGUCGUCGUCAGCGGGCAUCACGUAGUAGUAGGCACCUCCGGUGUAGUAGGAGUCGUCGUCGACGGUGGCGUCUGGAUCCUGGGCUCCAACAUCUGGUUGCGACAACCAGGAAGAAGGAAAAGGGGGAAAAGGGGGAAGAAAGCAACCGUGAGUACUCAUCCAAAGUACUCGCAAGCAAGGAGCUACACUACAUAUGCAUGGGUAUCAAAUGGAAUAAGGGUAUCAUAUGUGGAAUGAACUGCAGAAUGCCAGAUUAAGAGGGGGAUAACUAAUCCUUUCGAAGUCUACGCUUCUGGCAGCCUCCGUCUUGCAGUAUGUAGAAGAGAGUAGACUGUAGUCCUCCAAGUAGCAUCGCAUAGCAUAAUCCUAACCGAUGAUCCUCCCCUCGUCGCCCUGUGAGAGAGCGAUCAUCGGUUGUAUCUGGCACUUGGAAGGGUGUGUUUUAUUAAGUAUCCAGUUCUAGUUGUCAUAAGGUCAAGGUACAACUCCAAAUCGUCCUGUUACCGAAGAUCACGGCUAUUCGAAUAGAUUAACUUCCCUGCAGGGGUGCACCACAUUCCCCAACACGCUCGAUCCCAUUUGGCCGGACACACUUUCCUGGGUCAUGCCCGGCCUCGGAAGAUCAACACGUCGCAGCCCCACCUAGGCACAACAGAGAGGUCAGCACGCCGGUCUAAACCUAAGCGCAUAGGGGUCUGGGCCCAUCGCCCUUAGCACACCUGCACGUUGCGAACGCGGCCGGAAGCAGAACUAGCCCCCUUAAUACAAGAGCAGGCUUACGUUCCAAUCCGGCGCGGGCCACUCAGUCGCUGACGUCACGAAGGCUUCGGCUGAUACCACGACGCCGGGAUACCCAUAACUACUCCCGCGUAGAUGGUUAGUGCGUAUAGACCAAAUGGCCAAACUCAGAUCAAAUACCUAGAUCUCGUUAAGCGUGUUAAGUAACCGCGAACGUCGACCAGGGCCAGGCCCACCUCUCUCCUAGGUGGUCGGAACCUGCCCUGUCGCUCCGCCUCAAAGAUCCACUCGCGGGUGCUCCUACGAGCCGACCCGUCUUUAAUCACCACAUGUAUCAUGUAUAAAGUAAAUAGUAUAUACCCGUGAUCACCUCCCGAGUGAUCACGGCCCGAUAGUAUAGCACAGCAGACGGACAAGAAUGUAGGGCCACUGAUGAUAAACUAGCAUCCUAUACUAAGCAUUAGGAUUGAACGUAAAGGUAACAACAGUAGUAGCAAGGAUAGGCUAUGCAUCAGGAUAGGAUUAACGGGACGCAGUAACAUGCUACACUACUCUAAUGCAAGCAGUAUAGAGAAGAGUAGGCGAUAUCUGCUGAUCAAAGGGGGGCUUGCCUGGUUGCUCUGGCAAGAGAGAGGGGUCGUCAACUCCGUAGUCGAACUGGGCAGCAGCAGCGUCGGUCUCGGUGUCUAGCGAGAGAAGAGGGGGAAGAAACAAUAAAUAUAAUGCAAACAAAUGCAUGACGUUGCAUGACAUGACAAGUAUCGGUGCUAGGGGUGCCCUAUCGCGGUAUGAGGUGAUACCGGUGAAGGGGGAAACAUCCGGGAAAGUAUCCCCGGUAUUUUGCGUUUUCGGACAGAUGAAACGGAGGGGAAAGUUGCGUGUUCGCUAUGCUAGGGAUGCAUGGAGGACGAACAUACCACGUAUCCGGAUUCGUCUCGUCGUUCUGAGCAACUUUCAUGUAGAAAACUUUUUCAUCCGAGUUACGGAUUAUUUAUUAUGAUUUUUCAAAGUUUUAAACAUUUUUUGAAAUUAAUAUUAAAAGAAAAGGAAAAAAAGACGUCAGCAGAGUGUCAGCAUGACAUCAGCAGGUCAACAGAGUUGACCAAAGUCAACCCUGACGUGUGGGCCCGUUCUGUCAUAGUCUAACAACCAAUUAACAGUUUUAAUUAAAUAACCAAGUUAAUUAGGUAAAUUAAACAGAGUUAAUUAAGUUAAUUUUACUAAUUAGCUAAUUAAUUAAUUGAUUAAUUUUAUUUAUUAUCAAUUUCGUUCUAAACAGGGGGUGGGCCCCUGUGGUCAGUGGCACAAGGCCACGCCCUGGCUGUGACACACACACACACACACAGGGGCCAACUAUGGCCAUGGUGUGGCCAGGGGAGGCACUGGCCGCGCCGAUGAGGCCGGCGAGCGAGGGGCGAGACCAGAGGCGGCGCGGCAGUGGCGGUGGCGGUGGUGGCCGCGAGCGGCGAGCAGGGCAGCGUGUGGAUCGGCGAGCAGCAGCGGCUGGGCGUACAGGGGCAGGUGCAGGCAUAGGCGGGAUCGCGACGGGGAGGCUAGUGGCCGCAGCCGGGGAAGGCGAGGCCAACGCGCGGAUGGGGGACUGCCGGAGCGCAGCCAUGGUGGCCAACGCCGCGUGCGACCACCUACGACGACGGGGACGAAGGGGACGAGGGGGAAUCGGUGAGGGGCUCACAGCGGAGCGUAGGGGGCGGCAGUGGGCUCGGGGAGACGAGGUAGCGAGCGACGGGCGGCGGUGUCGAGGCCGCCGGCGGCGGGUGGCGGCGACUUGGGGCGGCGGUGUCCAGGCGGCGGGGCGCGGCUCGAUCCGGCGGCUUCAGGGUCGGUAACGAGGCAAGGCGCCGGCGUCGAGGAGUGGGGCGGCGCGGUCGCCGGGGAGAGGCGGCGGGGUUGGGAUGAGGCCAACGGGGCGAUGGGAUGGGGGCGCCGAGCGCUGGGGCGCUGGGUGUGUGGCGGCGCUGGGAGGGAGAGGGAGAGACGUGCGGGGGAGAGUGGGGGUCGUGGGAUAGGGUUAGGUCGGGGUGGGAUUAGUAGGCUAGGGCGCGGGGUGGGCCGGCCCAUUCGGGCGGCUGGGACCAGCUGGGUCACUGGCUGGGCCGAGGUCCAGUUGGCCACGAGGCCCUUUUUUUGUUUGUUUGUUUUGUUUUCUUUUAGCUCCUAAUUAUUUUAAUUUCUUUAAAAUACCAAGUUAGCACCUAAAUUAGUAUCAUCAAAAUAGGCCACUGCCAAACCUAGUUGGACCCAAAAUAAACUAGUUUAAUAUAUUUUUUUAUUUUUCAAAAGCAAUUAAAUUAUUAUUUUAGCCACUAUUUUUAAAUAGUUUAGGGCAUUUAAACACUUUGUAAAAGGUUGGUUCCACCACCAAAACUAGUUAGGGAUUAUUUGCCACAUGAUGAACAUUUUAGUUUUGAUAUUUGAAAACUUUUAUUGUUUGCUUGAUUUUGACUUUGAAUUUGAAUCGGUUUCGAACUAACGCGGGAUUAGCGACAAUAAUCAAAGUGACGUGGCAUCAUUAGCAGAGGUUACUGUAGCUUAAUUAUCCGGGCGUCACAAUUCUCCUCCACUACAAGAAAUCUCGUCCCGAGAUUUAAGAGGUGUAAUAAGGGGGAAAGGUCUGGUUACGAAAUCCUAACGAAUCUUCUCGGUCUUGGUUGCUCUUCUCGAGGUGGUCGAUCCAUAGCGCUGACGUCUUCAUUCCUUUGCUUCAAGUCAUCACGAUGAACUUGCCGUCCUUCCUUUAGGAUCUCCACCGUACUUACGAAAGGGUGAGAAGGGAAAACCCUAUAGGACGGAUUCUAACAAGAUCGAGCAUCAGACGGUUAACUCAGGGGGAGAAGCAUAAGUAUCUCUCGAAUUGAAACUUAAGAAGAUGUCGAGAGCAAAGCAAGAAGGUACUAUGAGAAGUUUCAAAUGGAUAGGCAAGCGUUCGAUGCCUAAUCAGAAGGUGAGAGGGGUUCAGAGCAACGAGAAUAAGAAUUGCGUCUGAUACCCGAAUAGAUCACUUGGGACGGUGGCCCGUGAAUUACAUACGAGGCCACGCGCGAGGAAUUACUUUGGAAACCGGGGGUGUACAGGAGAGUCAGGUUUCGAUCCUGUGGAACUGUGGGUUAUGGGCCCACCAUGUGGUUAAAAGUAGGAAGGCCGUUGGCAUCUUACUCGGUCAUGAUAGCAAGACAUGUCAGAGGGUAGCCUGUCAGUUAAGUUGGCAACAACGUUGGUACCAAGGGCGAGGGACGAAGAGAACCAUUUUCCUGCUCGUUGAACGAGGCGGACUAGUAGGCAAAGUUCUCGUCCAUCGGUAGUUACCGGAAUGUCAUCAACAAAAGUAACAGGGUCUUUCUGACAGAAUCGUGCACCGAGUUGGUUACAUAAGCAGGGAAUUGUUACUGCUUAGAUCAUAUUGGUCGCAAGAAAGGUUAAAGAAAACAAUGGAAAGGAAAAUGUGUUUAAACACAUAUUUCAGGGGUAUAUCCUUUCCAAGGAUAAGCAGAGCAUGAUAUCCAUGACAUGAUAUAAUGUAGAAAACUCUUUAGGUAAGGGGAGAGAGAUUUCAUGGCAUUACCCAUACAACGGUGUUUGGAGAAUUGAGCAGGAAACAUUUAGCAUUGGGCUUUAAAUGUUCUUGUUGAAAAUCGGAGUACCAUAGACAUGCUUCGAGAUAGCAUUGACAUAGUCUUCAAGCAAAGGUCGUACUUUGGAUACACCAAGGAUUCAUCAGGAACAACUUACAGAAUAAGUCUUGCAAUUUCCUCAUGGAAGAAUGGAUAACCCUGCUAAUAAGAAAACUAUAACAGUAGGUCCUCCGGCCAGGUGUGCUGGCAUGACAUCACCUUACCAGGUCAUAUGAGGAUCAAUGUUAUAACUCUUGAAAGUAUGUUCCAACCAUCAUAUCUGGCCGAUAUUCAGAUCUGAUCGGUGUUAGGAAACCUCAGACUCAAGAUGCCUGAGAAGAAAAGGUGCAAGACAAAUUGACGAGACGACAUUGUUAGAUUCUCGGGAAUUGAACUAUGGAAGAAAGUUCCAAAUCAUGAGUUCAUUAUUAAAUCAAGGAUAGAAUGAGGAGGUGGCUGAUGGAAUCAGCGACAAUUCAUCGAGAUUAACAAAAGAUGGAUUUCCACAAUUAAGUGAACAAGGAGAUAACAUUUGUCAGAUCAAAUGAUAUAAGGAAGUAUGCUCACGGAAAACAUACACAAUUAAACAUUGGUUGAAAGGUGCGCCCAAAAUAUGGGUUGGGUUGCACGACCAAUGUCAGAAUGGUGAUUCAAGAAUCAAUAGUCUAAGAACGAACGGCCGACCAUUAACUUCAAAACAAUAGGGUUGCUAGAAGUGCAGAAUCCAAACAACAUCGUUAGCAUAUUGGUAUCCUGGUUAAAAACACACGGGGACCAAGGGAGAAUGGUGAUGGUGAGAAGUAUCAUCAUACCGAGAAUUUCUAAGAGGUGGGCAAUCCUCACAACAUUCUCGACAUAAAAGGCAGUAAUACUUCAAGGCAAAGGAGAAAAAAUGCUGGAUAGCAAGGAUCUCAAGGUAUAACACAAAACAUGAACAAGUUUGUGUUGAACGGAAGGAAAUCGAGUGGUCGAUGAUAACACAAAUCAUCGAGGGCAAGGAUGGUAUUUCUCAUCAGGAAUUCAAUUGAUAUCCUUGAGGAGCUCGAAAUGUUGAUGAUGAUCAUGACAAUUUCUGUCGAGAGGUUUCAUGGAGAUGUAAUCGGUCGGCGAUGACAUCAAGUCAAACGAAUGAUGAAGCGAAAGGUUAAUGGAACCAUGGGUACGACACAAACUUGAAAUCAAGUUUGUUGUUUGAGGUGAAACAAUAAGACAAGGAAGAUCGACGUAAGCUUAGCCCAUCGUCGAAAUUGUGCUCCGGAAAGAAGGACCAGGUAGCACAGUUAAAAUUUGGCACGAUAAUGAUAUAGCCGAGUAGGCUCGGAAUGACGUGAUCGAGUUCAGACUCAUAAGUAAUGAAGGUUACCAAGAGUUGUUGAAUCGUAGUGCGGACUCAAUUCAGUUGUCGGUGUCCUUGAGGGGUUCUAACAACUGAGAACCCGUUGGAAAAGUGGAAUCGGCAAGAAUAUUAGUUGAUGAAGAACUCAUAAGAAGUUAUGUAUCCCGUGGUAUCCUCGAGAUACCAGGGGGUAAUACUGGACGACAGAUCAAAGUAGAGGUUGGACUGGGGUAUUGCUCUGCACAAGAAAAGUGUUUAAACUUGCACGAGAAACGGUACCUAAAAGAGAACAUGGUCGAAACCACGAUUGCAAAAGGCCAGAUCCCAGAUAUAAUAUGAACUUAUACUAGGGGAGUAAUUAAUUUAAGAGAAGCUUUAACGAUAAGAUAUACAUCGUGCCCAUGGGCAUGAACACAAAGUUCAAGGUCGACUCCCACUUCUUCAAUGCAUAACCUUACAUUUACCUCCCCUUUUCGAAGUUGUAGUGUUGAAAAGUUAUCUGACGAAGCGUCAGCAGGGUAUAACCCACAUAAAUUUCGAGGUCACACAAAUUAAAGAAGGCAUAGGUUCAACCUGUCAGGGUGUCAUGGAAACAUAUACCACAAGCUUUGAGAGUAAAUAUUACCAGCUCGAAAGCAGAGCAUGGUUGGCAAAAGGAGAGGAUACAAAUUACCAAAGGCAUUAUGUAUCGGAGAAAGAACUCACAAGGUGAUUAAUUAUGAAGGACAUUGUCGGAUAAUAAUCCAACAGUGGAUAUGGUGAUCCACAAUGGAGCUGAUGUGAGUAUCGAUACCCAAUCAGAGGAAGAAAGAAUGCAAAUGCAUCUUUUUACAUAACAUCUGAAUAAUUCAACGUUUAAAUAACAAAGGAAUUAUGAUUUUCAAAUCAAGGGAUCAGGAGCAAACGCUCUGAUCAAGGACGGACAAGUUGAAUAGACUUAGGGGUACAAUCGAUGGCAAUCUGAUUGGCCGAGGACCAGCUCACGUUUUAAAUGACAUCUGAGCUGGAAGGAUGAAUUCUAUGAUCUGAGUGAGGAUUGCGAGAAUUCCCAACAUAUUGAGUCAAUGGACUCAAAAUGAUAUUGACAAAGGUUGCCAAUAAGAUUACUAUACUUAUGGGAUUAACCAUAAUGCAAGCAAGCAAGAAUUUCAGGAGCAAUAGGUUGCUCAGGAUUUUCGGAAGACCGAAUGGUAAUUCGAAGAAUUUUGUGAACUGCAUGAAUAUCUGGGGAUGAGCGGAUACUCGAUAAAUGCGAGUAAUUAUCCAUAGUGGUAUGCAUGUGGCAAAGAACUGCAAAGCAGUAGGCACAAAGUAUUCUCGGGGUAUCUUAUAAUAACAAGAUCGACUGAGAAUAAAAGUAAGCACGUCAGGUCUAAAUACUUAUCCAUAGGGAUAUUUCGGUGGUAGGGAAUUGCAAAAGCAAUGGCAUAAGGUUUCCGGAGAACAUCGGAGGGUAUUGUCAGAAUCUUCUGUUGAAGCAGUCGAUCAUCUGUAAUGAAGGGGCUCUUCGGCAGGAAGUGGUAACGAGAACCUAGAGUUAGAUUUUAGCAAAAUCAUUUAACCCGAGUAGGAGAGAGUCAGAAUCCCAGAGUAUAGACGAGGAAUAAAAGAUUCUAAUACCACCCAAUGGCGACAUGGGCCCGUAAGGCACACAGCCAUGUUAGUAAAAGUUUUAUAAUGACUACACUCGACUUCGGCCAAGGAGUUGGAAAGGGGGAUUCCUACAGGCAGUCGGCUCUGAUACAAACUUAUGACGCCCCCGAUUUGACAGUACACUAAUCACACGCAAACGUGUAUGAUCAAGAUCAGGGACUCACGGGAAGAUAUCACAACACAACUCUACAAAUAAAAUAAGUCAUACAAGCAUCAUAUUACAAGCCAGGGGCCUCGAGGGCUCGAAUACAAGAGCUCGAUCAUAGACGAGUCAGCGGAAGCAACAAUAUCUGAGUACAGACAUAAGUUAAACAAGUUUGCCUUAAGAAGGCUAGCACAAACUGGGAUACAGAUCGAAAGAGGUGAAGGCCUCCUGCCUGGGAUCCUCCUAACUACUCCUGGUCGUCGUCAGCGGGCAUCACGUAGUAGUAGGCACCUCCGGUGUAGUAGGAGUCGUCGUCGACGGUGGCGUCUGGAUCCUGGGCUCCAACAUCUGGUUGCGACAACCAGGAAGAAGGAAAAGGGGGAAAAGGGGGAAGAAAGCAACCGUGAGUACUCAUCCAAAGUACUCGCAAGCAAGGAGCUACACUACAUAUGCAUGGGUAUCAAAUGGAAUAAGGGUAUCAUAUGUGGAAUGAACUGCAGAAUGCCAGAUUAAGAGGGGGAUAACUAAUCCUUUCGAAGUCUACGCUUCUGGCAGCCUCCGUCUUGCAGUAUGUAGAAGAGAGUAGACUGUAGUCCUCCAAGUAGCAUCGCAUAGCAUAAUCCUAACCAAUGAUCCUCCCCUCGUCGCCCUGUGAGAGAGCGAUCAUCGGUUGUAUCUGGCACUUGGAAGGGUGUGUUUUAUUAAGUAUCCGGUUCUAGUUGUCAUAAGGUCAAGGUACAACUCCAAAUCGUCCUGUUACCGAAGAUCACGGCUAUUCGAAUAGAUUAACUUCCCUGCAGGGGUGCACCACAUUCCCCAACACGCUCGAUCCCAUUUGGCCGGACACACUUUCCUGGGUCAUGCCCGGCCUCGGAAGAUCAACACGUCGCAGCCCCACCUAGGCACAACAGAGAGGUCAGCACGCCGGUCUAAACCUAAGCGCACAGGGGUCUGGGCCCAUCGCCCUUAGCACACCUGCACGUUGCGAACGCGGCCGGAAGCAGAACUAGCCCCCUUAAUACAAGAGCAGGCUUACGUUCCAAUCCGGCGCGCGCCACUCAGUCGCUGACGUCACGAAGGCUUCGGCUGAUACCACGACGCCGGGAUACCCAUAACUACUCCCGCGUAGAUGGUUAGUGCGUAUAGACCAAAUGGCCAAACUCAGAUCAAAUACCCAGAUCUCGUUAAGUGUGUUAAGUAACCACGAACGUCGACCAGGGCCAGGCCCACCUCUCUCCUAGGUGGUCGGAACCUGCCCUGUCGCUCCGCCUCAAAGAUCCACUCGCGGGUGCUCCUACGAGCCGACCCGUCUUUAAUCACCACAUGUAUCAUGUAUAAAGUAAAUAGUAUAUACCCGUGAUCACCUCCCGAGUGAUCACGACCCGAUAGUAUAGCACAGCAGACGGACAAGAAUGUAGGGCCACUGAUGAUAAACUAGCAUCCUAUACUAAGCAUUAGGAUUGCAGGUAAAGGUAACAACAGUAGUAGCAAGGAUAGGCUAUGCAUCAGGAUAGGAUUAACGGGAAGCAGUAACAUGCUACACUACUCUAAUGCAAGCAGUAUAGAGAAGAGUAGGCGAUAUCUGGUGAUCAAAGGGGGGGCUUGCCUGGUUGCUCUGGCAAGAGAGAGGGGUCGUCAACUCUGUAGUCGAACUGGGCAGCAGCAGCGUCGGUCUCGGUGUCUAGCGAGAGAAGAGGGGGAAGAAACAAUAAAUAUAAUGCAAUCAAAUGCAUGACAUUGCAUGACAUGACAAGUAUCUGUGCUAGGGGUGCCCUAUCGCGGUAUGAGGUGAUACCGGUGAAGGGGGAAACAUCCGGGAAAGUAUCCCCUGUGUUUUUGCGUUUUCGGACAGAUGAAACGGAGGGGAAAGUUGCGUGUUCACUAUGCUAGGGAUGCGUGGAGGACGAACAGACCACGUAUCCGGAUUCGUCUCGUCGUUCUGAGCAACUUUCAUGUAGAAAACUUUUUCAUCCGAGUUACGGAUUAUUUAUUAUGAUUUUUCAAAGUUUUAAACAUUUUCUGAAAUUAAUAUUAAAACAAAAGGAAAAAAAGACGUCAGCAGAGUGUCAGCAUGACAUCAGCAGGUCAACAGAGUUGACCAAAGUCAACCCUGACGUGUGGGCCCGUUCUGUCAUAGUCUAACAACCAAUUAACAGUUUUAAUUAAAUAACCAAGUUAAUUAAGUAAAUUAAACAGAGUUAGUUAAGUUAAUUUUACUAAUUAGCUAAUUAAUUAAUUGAUUAAUUUUAUUUAUUAUCAAUUUCGUUCUAAACAGGGGGUGGGCCCCUGUGGUCAGUGGCACAAGGCCACGCCCUGGCUGUGACACACACACACACACAGGGGCCAACUAUGGCCAUGGUGUGGCCAGGGGAGGCACUGGCCGCGCCGAUGAGGCCGGCGAGCGAGGGGUGAGACCAGAGGCGGCGCGGCAGUGGCGGUGGCGGUGGUGGCCGCGAGCGGCGAGCAGGGCAGCGUGCGGAUCGGCGAGCAGCAGCGGCUGGGCGUACAGGGGCAGGUGCAGGCGUAGGCGGGAUCGCGACGGGGAGGCUAGUGGCCGUAGCCGGGGAAGGCGAGGCCAGCGCGCGGAUGGGGGACUGCCGGAGCGCAGCCAUGGUGGCCAACGCCGCGUGCGACCACCUACGACGACGGGGACGAAGGGGACGAGGGGGAAUCGGUGAGGGGCUCACAGCGGAGAGUAGGGGGCGGCAGUGGGCUCGGGAAGACGAGGUAGCGAGCGACGGGCGGCGGUGUCGAGGCCGCCGGCGGCGGGUGGCGGCGACUUGGGGCGGCGGUGUCCAGGCGGCGGGGCGCGGCUCGAUCCGGCGGCUUCAGGGUCGGUAACGAGGUGAGGCGCCGGCGUCGAGGAGUGGGGCGGCGCGGUCGCCGGGGAGAGGCGGCGGGGUCGGGAUGAGGCCGACGGGGCGAUGGGAUGGGGGCGCCGAGCGCUGGGGCGCUGGGUGUGUGGCGGCGCUGGGAGGGAGAGGGAGAGACGUGCGGGGGAGAGUGGGGGUCGUGGGAUAGGGUUAGGUCGGGGUGGGAUUAGUAGUCUAGGGCGCGGGGUGGGCCGGCCCAUUCGGGCGGCUGGGACCAGCUGGGUCACUGGCUGGGCCGAGGUCCAGUUGGCCACGAGGCCCUUUUUGUUUGUUUGUUUGUUUUGUUUUGUUUUAGCUCCUAAUUAUUUUAAUUUCUUUAAAAUACCAAGUUAGCACCUAAAUUAGUAUCAUCAAAAUAGGCCACUGCCAAACCUAGUUGGACCCAAAAUAAACUAGUUUAAUAUAUUUUUUUAUUUUUCAAAAGCAAUUAAAUUGUUAUUUUAGCCAUUGUUUUUAAAUAGUUUAGGGCAUUUAAACACUUUGUAAAAGGUUGGUUCCACCACCAAAACUAGUUAGGGAUUAUUUGCCACAUGAUGAACAUUUUAGUUUUGAUAUUUGAAAACUUUUAUUGUUUGCUUGAUUUUGACUUUGAAUUUGAAUCGGUUUCGAACUAACGCGGGAUUAGCGACAAUAAUCGAAGUGACGUGGCAUCAUUAGCAGAGGUUACUGUAGCUUAAUUAUCCGGGCGUCACAUGAACUCCUUAAACUACGAUCAUCAUCGGGAGUGGUCCCGAUUAUUGUCUCUUCGGGGUAACCGGAUCAUAGCACAUAGUAGGUGACUAUUGACUUGCAAAAUAGAAUCAAGAACUCACAUAUAUUCAUGAAAACAUAAUAGGUUCAGAUCUGAAAUCAUGGCACUCGGGCCCUAGUGACAAGCAUUAAGCAUAGCAAAGUCAUAGCAACAUCAAUCUUAGAACAUAAUGGAUACUAGGGAUCAAACCCUAAUAAAACAAACUCAAUUACAUGAUAAAUCUCAUCCAACCCAUUGCUACGGCUUGAGCACUGCGUUGGAUUUCCCCGAAGAGGAGAGGAUGAUGCAGCAAAGUAGCGUAAGUAUUUCAGUCAGUUUUUGAGAACCAAGGUAUCAAUCCAGUAGGAGGCUACGCUCGAGUCCCUCGUACCUACACAAAAAAAAUAGCUCAACGCAACCAACGCGCUUAGGGGUUGUCAAUCCCUUCACGGCCACUUACGAAAGUGAGAUCUGAUAGAGAUGAUAAAUAACAUUUUUGGUAUUUUUGGUAUAGAGAUGCAAAGUAACAAGUAAAAGCAAAGCAAUAAUAAAGUGAUGGAGAUUGAUAUGAUGAGAAAGAGACCCGGGGGCCAUAUGUUUCACUAGUGGCUUCUCUCAAGAGCAUAAGUAUUCUAUGGUGGGUGAACAAAUUAUUGUUGAGCAAUUGACAGAAUUGAGCAUAGUUAUGAUAAUAUCUAGGUAUGAUCAUGUAUAUAGGCAUCACGUCCGAGACAAGUAGACCGACUCCUGCCUGCAUCUACUACUAUUACUCCACUCAUCGACUGCUAUCCAACAUGCAUCUAGAGUAUUAAGUUAAAAAUAGAGUAACGCCUUAAGCAAGAUGACAUGUUGUAGAGGGAUAGUUUCAUGCAAUAUGAUAAAAAACCCAUCUUGUUAUCCUCGAUGGAAACGAUACAAUACGUGCCUUGCUUCCCCUUCUGUCACUGGGAAAGGACACCGCAAGAUCGAACCCAAAGCUAAGCACUUCUCCCAUGGCAAGAACAACCAAUCUAGCAGGCCAAACCAAACUGAUAAUUCGAAGAGACUUGCAAAGAUAACCAAUCAUACAUAAAAUAAUUCAGAGAAGAUUCAAAUAUUAUUCAUAGAUAGACUUGAUCAUAAACCCACAAUUCAUCGCUCUCAACAAACACACCGUAAAAACAAGAUUACAUCGAAUAGAUCUCCACGAGAGAGGGGGAAAACAUUGUAUUGAGAUCCAAAAAGAGAGAAGAAGCCAUCUAGCUACUAACUAUGGACCCGUAGGUCUGAAAUAAACUACUCACACUUCAUCAAAGGGGCUUGGAUGAUGAUGUAGAAGCCCUCCGUGAUCGAUGCCCCCUCCGGCGGAGCUCCGGAAUAGGCCCCAACAUGGGAUCUCAUGGAUACAGAAAGUUGCGGCGGUGGAAUUAGGUUUUUGGCUCCGUAUCUGAUCGUUUGGGGGUACGUAGGUAUAUAUAGGAGGAAGAAGUACGUCGGUGGAGCUUCGAGGGGCCCACUAAAGGAAAUAUGCCCUAGAGGCAAUAAUAAAGUUAUUAUUUAUUUCCUUAUAAUCAUGAUAAAAGGUUUAUUAUUCAUGCUAGAAUUGUAUUAACCGGAAACAUAAUACAUGUGUGAAUACAUAGACAAACAAAGUGUCACUAGUAUGCCUCUACUUGACUAGCUCGUUAAUCAAAGAUGGUUAUGUUUCCUAACCAUGAACAAUGAGUUGUUAUUUGAUUAACGGGAUCACAUCAUUAAGAGAAUGAUCUGAUUGACAUGACCCAUUCCAUUAGCUUAGCACCCGAUCGUUUAGUAUGUUGCUAUUGCUUUCUUCAUGACUUAUACAUGUUCCUGUAACUAUGAGAUUAUGCAACUCUCGUUUACCGGAGGAACACUUUGGGUACUACCAAACAUCACAACGUAACUGGGUGAUUAUAAAGGAGUACUACAGGUGUCUCCAAAGGUACAUGUUGGGUUGGCGUAUUUCGAGAUUAGGUUUUGUCACUCCGAUUGUCGGAGAGGUAUCUCUGGGCCCUCUCGGUAAUGCACAUCACAUAAGCCUUGCAAGCAUUGCAACUAAUGAGUUAGUUGCGAGAUGAUGUAUUACGGAACGAGUAAAGAGACUUGCCGGCAACGAGAUUGAACUAGGUAUGGGAUACCGACGAUCGAAUCUCGGGCAAGUAACAUACCGAUGACAAAGGGAAGAACGUAUGUUGUUAUGCGGUCUGACCGAUAAAGAUCUUCAUAGAAUAUGUAGGAGCCAAUAUGGGCAUCCAGGUCCCGCUAUUGGUUAUUGACCGGAGACAUGUCUCGGUCAUGUCUACAUUGUUCUCGAACCCGUAGGGUCCGCACGCUUAAGGUUACGAUGACAGUAAUAUUAUGAGUUUAUGCAUUUUGAUGUAACGAAGGUUGUUCGGAGUCCCGGAUGUGAUCACGGACAUGACGAGGAGUCUCGAAAUGGUCGAGACGUAAAGAUUGAUAUAUUGGAAGCCUAUGCUUGGAUAUCGGAAGUGUUCCGGGUGAAAUCGGGAUUUUACCGGAGUACCGGGAAGGUUACCGGAACCCCCCGGGAGCUAAAUGGGCCAUGAUGGGCCUUAGUGGAAAAGAGAAGAGGCAGCCCUACAUGGGCUGCGCGCCUCCCCCUUCCCCUAGUCCUAUUAGGACUAGGAGAGGUGGCCGGCCCCCUCUCUCUCUUUUCCCCCUCCGCGAAUCCUAUUCCAACUAGGAUUGGGGGGGGGGGGGAAUCCUACUCCCAGAGGGAGUAGGACUCUCCUGGCGCGCCACACCUUGGCCGGCCAGCCUCCCCCCCUCUAGUCCUUUAUAUACUGAGGCAGAGGCACCCUAGAACACACAAGUUGAUCCACGUGAUCUAUUCCUUAGCCGUGUGCGGUGCCCCCUGCCACCAUAGUCCUCGAUAAUACUGUAGCGGAGUUUAGGCGAAGCCCUACUGCUGUAGUGCAUCAAGAUCGUCACCACGCCGUCGUGCUGACGGAACUCUUCCCCGACACUUUGCUGGAUCGGAGUCCGGGGAUCGUCAUCGAGCUGAACGUGUGCUCGAACUCGGAGGUGCCGUAGUUUCGGUGCUUGAUCGGUUGGAUCGUGAAGACGUACGACUACUUCCUCUACGUCGUGUCAACGCUUCCGCAGUCAGUCUGCGUGGGUACGUAGACAACACUCUCCCAUCUCGUUGCUACGCAUCACAUGAUCUUGCGUGUGCGUAGGAAUUUUUUGAAAUUACUACGAAACCCAACAGUGGCAUCCGAGCCUAGGUUAUUUAUGUUGAUGUUAUAUGCACGAGUAGAACACAAGUGAGUUGUGGGCGAUAUAAGUCAUACCGCCUACCAGCAUGUCAUACUUUGGUUCGGCGGCAUUGUUGGACGAGACGACCCGGACCAACAUUACGCGUACGCUUACGCGAGACUGGUUCCCCCGACGUGCUUUGCACAUAGGUGGCUUGCGGGCGACUGUCUCUCCAACUUUAGUUGAACCAAGUAUGGCUACGCCCAGUCCUUGCGAAGGUUAAAACGGAGUCUAUUUGACAAACUAUCGUUGUGGUUUUGAUGCGUAGGUGAGAUUGGUUCUUGCUUAAGCCUGUAGCAGCCACGUAAAACUUGCAACAACAAAGUAGAAGACGUCUAACUUGUUUUUGUAGGGCAUGUUGUGAUGUGAUAUGGUCAAGACAUGAUGCUGAAUUUUAUUGUAUGAGAUGAUCAUGUUUUGUAACCGAGUUAUCGGCAACUGGCAGGAGCCUUAUGGUUGUUGUUUUAUUGUAUGCAAUGAAAUCGCGAUGUAAUGCUUUACUUUAUUACUAAGCGGUAGUGAUAGUCGUGGAAGCACAAGCUUGGCGAGACGACAACGAUGCUACGAUGGAGAUCAAGGUGUCACGCCGGUGACGAUUGUGAUCACGACGGUGCUUCGGAGAUGGAGAUCACAAGCACGAGAUGAUGAUGGCCAUAUCAUAUCACUUAUAUUGAUUGCAUGUGAUGUUUAUCCUUUUAUGCAUCUUAUCUUGCUUUGAUUGAUGGUGGCAUUAUAAGAUGAUCUCUCACUAAAUUAUCAAGAAGUGUUCUCCCUGAGUAUGCACCGUUGCGAAAGUUCUUCGUGCUGAGACACCACGUGAUGAUCGGGUGUGAUAGGUUCUACGUUCAAAUACAACGGGUGCAAAACAGUUGCACACGCGGAAUACUCAGGUUAUACUUGACGAGCCAAGCAUAUACAGAUAUGGCCUCGGAACACGGAGACCGAAAGGUCGAGCGUGAAUCAUAUAGUAGAUAUGAUCAACAUAACGAUGUUCACCAUUGAAAAGUACUCCAUCUCACGUGAUGAUCGGUUAUGGUUUAGUUGAUUUGGAUCACGUAAUCACUUAGAGGAUUAGAGGAUGUCUAUCUAAGUGGGAGUUCUUUAAUUAAUUUGAUUAAACUGAACUUACAUUUAUCAUGAAACUUAGUACCUGAUUAGUAUCUUGCUUGUUUAUGUUUGAUUGUAGAUAGAUGGCUUGUGUUGUUGUUCCGUUGAAUUUUAAUGCGUUCCUUGAGAAAGCAAAGUUGAAAGAUGAUGGUAGCAAUUACACGGACUGGGUCCGUAACUUGAGGAUUAUCCUCAUUGCAGCACAGAAGAAUUACGUCCUGGAAGCACCGCUGGGUGCCAGGCCUGCUGCAGGAGCAACGCCGGAUGUUAUGAACGUCUGGCAGAGCAAAGCUGAUGACUACUUGAUAGUUCAGUGUGCCAUGCUUUACGGCUUAGAAUCGGGACUUCAACGACGUUUUGAACGUCAUGGAGCAUAUGAGAUGUUCCAGGAGUUGAAGUUAAUAUUUCAAGCAAAUGCCCGGAUUGAGAGAUAUGAAGUCUCCAAUAAGUUCUAUAGCUGCAAGAUGGAGGAGAACAGUUCUGUCAGUGAGCAUAUACUCAAAAUGUCUGGGUAUAAUAAUCACUUGAUUGAAUUGGGAGUUAAUCUUCCAGAUGAUUGCAUCAUUGACAGAAUUCUUCAAUCACUGCCACCAAGCUACAAGAGCUUCGUGAUGAACUAUAAUAUGCAAGGGAUGAACAAGACUAUUCCUGAGCUCUUCGCGAUGCUGAAAGCUGCGGAGGUAGAAAUCAAGAAGGAGCAUCAAGUGUUGAUGGUCAACAAGACCACUAGUUUCAAGAAAAAGGGCAAAGGGAAGAAGAAGGGGAACUUCAAAAAUAACGGCAAACAAGUUGCUACUCAAGAGAAGAAACCCAAACCUGCACCUAAGCCUGAAACUAAGUGCUUCUAUUGCAAGCAGACUGGUCACUGGAAGCGGAACUGCCCCAAGUAUUUGGCGGAUAAGAAGGAUGGCAAGGUGAACAAAGGUAUAUGUGAUAUACAUGUUAUUGAUGUGUACCUUACUAAUGCUCACAGUAGCACCUGGGUAUUUGAUACUGGUUCUGUUGCUAAUAUUUGCAACUCGAAACAGGGACUACGGAUCAAGCGAAGAUUGGUUAAGGAUGAGGUGACGAUGCGCGUGGGAAACGGUUCCAAAGUCGAUGUGAUCGCAGUCGGCACGCUACCUCUACAUCUACCUUCGGGAUUAGUAUUAGACCCAAAUAAUUGUUAUUUGGUGCCAGCGUUAAGCAUGAACAUUAUAUCUGGAUCUUGUUUGAUGCGAGACGGUUAUUCAUUUAAAUCAGAGAAUAAUGGUUGUUCUAUUUAUAUGAGUAAUAUCUUUUAUGGUCAUGCACCCUUGAAGAGUGGUCUAUUCUUGUUGAAUCUCGAUAGUAGUAACACACAUAUUCAUAAUGUUGAAGCCAAAAGAUGCAGAGUUGAUAAUGAUAGUGCAACUUAUUUGUGGCACUGCCGUUUAGGUCAUAUCGGUGUAAAGCGCAUGAAGAAACUCCAUUCUGAUGGACUUUUGGAACCACUUGAUUAUGAAUCACUUGGUACUUGCGAACCGUGCCUCAUGGGCAAGAUGACCAAAACGCCGUUCUCCGGUACUAUGGAGAGAGCAACAGAUUUGUUGGAAAUCAUACAUACAGAUGUAUGUGGUCCGAUGAAUAUUGAGGCUCGUGGCGGAUAUCGUUAUUUUCUCACCUUCACAGAUGAUUUAAGCAGAUAUGGGUAUAUUUACUUAAUGAAACAUAUGUCUGAAACAUUUGAAAAGUUCAAAGAAUUCCAGAGUGAAGUUGAAAAUCAUCGUAACAAGAAAAUAAAGUUUCUACGAUCUGAUCGUGGAGGAGAAUAUUUGAGUUACGAGUUUGGUGUACAUUUGAAAAAUUGUGGAAUAGUUUCGCAACUCACGCCACCCGGAACACCACAGCGUAAUGGUGUGUCCGAACGUCGUAAUCAUACUUUACUGGAUAUGGUGCGAUCUAUGAUGUCUCUUACUGAUUUACCGCUAUCGUUUUGGGGAUACGCUCUAGAGACGGUCGCAUUCACGUUAAAUAGGGCACCAUCAAAAUCCGUUGAGACGAUGCCUUAUGAACUGUGGUUUGGCAAGAAACCAAAGUUGUCGUUUCUAAAAGUUUGGGGCUGCAAUGCUUAUGUGAAAAAGCUUCAACCUGAUAAGCUCGAACCCAAAUCGGAGAAAUGUGUCUUCAUAGGAUAUCCAAAGGAAACUAUUGGAUACACCUUCUAUCACAGAUCCGAAGGCAAGACUUUUGUUGCUAAAUUUGGAAACUUUCUAGAGAAGGAGUUUCUCUCGAAAGAAGUGAGUGGGAGGAAAGUAGAACUUAACGAGGUAACUGUACCUGCUCCCUUAUUGGAAAGUAGUACAUCACAGAAAACUGUUUCUAUGACACCUACACCAGUUAGUGAGGAAGCUAAUGAUAAUGAUCAUGAAACUUCAGAACAAGAUACUACUGAACCUCAUAGAUCAACCAGAGCAAGAUCCGCACCAGAGUGGUAUGGUAAUCCCGUUCUGGAAGUCAUGCUACUAGAUCAUGAUGAACCUACGAACUAUGAAGAAGCGAUGGUGAGCCCAGAUUCCGCAAAAUGGCUUGAAGCCAUGAAAUCUGAGAUGGGAUCCAUGUAUGAGAACAAAGUAUGGACUUUGGUUGACUUGCCCGAUGAUCGGCAAGCAAUUGAGAAUAAAUGGAUCUUCAAGAAGAAGACUGACGCUGACGGUAAUGUUACUGUCUACAAAGCUCGACUUAUCGCAAAAGGUUUUCGACAAGUUCAAGGGGUUGACUACGAUGAGACCUUCUCACCCGUAGCGGUGCUUAAGUCUGUCCGAAUCAUGUUAGCAAUUGCCGCAUUUUAUGAUUAUGAAAUUUGGCAAAUGGAUGUCAAAACUGCAUUCCUGAAUGGAUUUCUGGAAGAAGAGUUGUAUAUGAUGCAACCAGAAGGUUUUGUCAAUCCAAUGGGAGCUAACAAAGUGUGCAAGCUCCAGCGAUCCAUUUAUGGACUGGUGCAAGCCUCUCGGAGUUGGAAUAAACGCUUUGAUAGUGUGAUCAAAGCAUUUGGUUUUAUACAGACUUUUGGUGAAGCCUGUAUUUACAAGAAAGUGAGUGGGAGCUCUGUAGCAUUUCUGAUAUUAUAUGUGGAUGACAUAUUACUGAUUGGAAAUGAUAUAGAAUUUCUGGAUAGCAUAAAGGGAUACUUGAAUAAGAGUUUUUCAAUGAAAGACCUCGGUGAAGCUGCUUACAUAUUAGGCAUAAAGAUCUAUAGAGAUAGAUCAAGACGCUUAAUUGGACUUUCACAAAGCACAUACCUUGACAAGAUUUUGAAGAAGUUCAAAAUGGAUAAAGCAAAGAAAGGAUUCUUGCGUGUGUUACAAGGUGUGAAAUUGAGUAAGACUCAAUGCCCGACCACUGCAGAAGAUAGAGAGAAUAUGAAAGAUGUUCCCUAUGCAUCAGCAAUAGGAUCUAUCAUGUAUGCAAUGCUGUGUACCAGACCUGAUGUGUGCCUUGCUAUAAGUCUAGCAGGGAGGUACCAAAGUAAUCCAGGAGUGGAUCACUGGACAGCGGUCAAGAACAUCCUGAAAUACCUGAAAAGGACUAAGGAUAUGUUUCUCGUAUAUGGAGGUGACAAAGAGCUCGUCGUAAAUGGUUACAUUGAUGAAAGCCUUGACACUGAUCCGGACGAUUCUAAAUCGCAAACCGGAUACGUGUUUACAUUAAACGGUGGAGCUGUCAGUUGGUGCAGUUCUAAACAAAGCGUUGUAGCGGGAUCUACAUGUGAAGCGGAGUACAUAGCUGCUUCAGAAGCAGCCAAUGAAGGACUCUGGAUGAAGGAGUUCAUAUACAAUCUAGGUGUCAUACCUAGUGCAUCGGGUCCAAUGAAAAUCUUUUGUGACAAUACUGGUGCAAUUGCCUUGGCAAAGGAAUCCAGAUUUCACAAGAGAACCAAGCACAUCAAGAGAAGAUUCAAUUCCAUCCGGGAUCUAGUCCAGGUGGGAGACAUAGAGAUUUGCAAGAUACAUACGGAUCUGAAUGUUGCAGACCCGUUAACUAAGCCUCUUCCACGAACAAAACAUGAUCAGCACCAAGGCUCCAUGGGUGUUAGAAUCAUUAUGGUGUAAUCUAGAUUAUUGACUCUAGUGCAAGUGGGAGACUGAAGGAAAUAUGCCCUAGAGGCAAUAAUAAAGUUAUUAUUUAUUUCCUUAUAAUCAUGAUAAAAGGUUUAUUAUUCAUGCUAGAAUUGUAUUAACCGGAAACAUAAUACAUGUGUGAAUACAUAGACAAACAAAGUGUCACUAGUAUGCCUCUACUUGACUAGCUCGUUAAUCAAAGAUGGUUAUGUUUCCUAACCAUGAACAAUGAGUUGUUAUUUGAUUAACGGGAUCACAUCAUUAAGAGAAUGAUCUGAUUGACAUGACCCAUUCCAUUAGCUUAGCACCCGAUCGUUUAGUAUGUUGCUAUUGCUUUCUUCAUGACUUAUACAUGUUCCUGUAACUAUGAGAUUAUGCAACUCUCGUUUACCGGAGGAACACUUUGGGUACUACCAAACAUCACAACGUAACUGGGUGAUUAUAAAGGAGUACUACAGGUGUCUCCAAAGGUACAUGUUGGGUUGGCGUAUUUCGAGAUUAGGUUUUGUCACUCCGAUUGUCGGAGAGAUAUCUCUGGGCCCUCUCGGUAAUGCACAUCACAUAAGCCUUGCAAGCAUUGCAAGUAAUGAGUUAGUUGCGAGAUGAUGUAUUACAGAACGAGUAAAGAGACUUGCCGGCAACGAGAUUGAACUAGGUAUGGGAUACCGGCGAUCGUAUCUCGGGCAAGUAACAUACCGAUGACAAAGGGAACAACGUAUGUUGUUAUGCGGUCUGACCGAUAAAGAUCUUCAUAGAAUAUGUAGGAGCCAAUAUGGGCAUCCAGGUCCCGCUAUUGGUUAUUGACCGGAGACAUGUCUCGGUCAUGUCUACAUUGUUCUCAAACCCGUAGGGUCCGCAUGCUUAAGUUUACGAGGACAGUAAUAUUAUGAGUUUAUGCAUUUUGAUGUACCGAAGGUUGUUCGGAGUCCCGGAUGUGAUCACGGACAUGACGAGGAGUCUCGAAAUGGUCGAGAAGUAAAGAUUGAUAUAUUGGAAGCCUAUGUUUGGAUAUCGGAAGUGUUCCGGGUGAAAUCGGGAUUUUACCGGAGUACCGGGAAGGUUACCGGAACCCCCCGGGAGCUAAAUGGGCCUUAGUGGAAAAGAGAAGAGGCAGCCCUACAUGGGCUGCACGCCUCCCACUUCCCCUAGUCCUAUUAGGACUAGGAGAGGUGGCCGGCCCCCUCUCUCUCUUUUCCCCCUCCGCGAAUCCUAUUCCAACUAGGAUUGGGGGGGAAUCCUACUCCCAGAGGGAGUAGGACUCUCCUGGCGCGCCACACCUUGGCCGGCCAGCCUCCCCCCUCUAGUCCUUUAUAUACUGAGGCAGAGGCACCCUAGAACACACAAGUUGAUCCACGUGAUCUAUUCCUUAGCCGUGUGCGGUGCCCCCUGCCACCAUAGUCCUCGAUAAUACUGUAGCGGAGUUUAGGCGAAGCCCUGCUGCUAUAGUGCAUCAAGAUCGUCACCACGCCGUCGUGCUGACGGAACUCUUCCCCGACACUUUGCUAGAUCGGAGUCCGGGGAUCGUCAUCGAGCUGAACGUGUGCUCGAACUCGGAGGUGUCGUAGUUUCGGUGCUUGAUCGGUUGGAUCGUGAAGACGUACGACUACUUCCUCUACGUCGUGUCAACGCUUCCGCAGUCGGUCUGCGUGGGUACGUAGACAACACUCUCCCAUCUCGUUGCUACGCAUCACAUGAUCUUGAGUGUGCGUAGGAAUUUUUUUGAAAUUACUACGAAACCCAACACCCACGAGGCAGGGGGGCGCGCCCUCCACCCUCGUGACCGCCUCGUGGCUUUCUUGAUGGAGGGUCAAAGUCUCCUAGGUCUUAUCUGAUGAGAAAAUCGCGUUCCCAAAGGUUUUAUUCCGUUUGGACUCUGUUUGAUAUUCUGUUUCUCCGAAACACUGAAAUAGGCAAAAAAACAACAAUUCUGGGCUGGGCCUCCGGUUAAUAGGUUAGUCCCAAAAAUAAUAUAAAAGUGGAAAAUAAAGCCCAAUAUAGUCCAAAACAGUAGAUAAUACAGUAUGGAGCAAUCAAAGAUUAUAGAUACGUUGGAGACGUAUCAAGCAUCCCCAAGCUUAAUUCCUUGUAACAUCCCAAAUUUUCAAUUUGGAAUGUUAUACAUUAGAUCAUCAUGCAUAUCUUAUUUUCUUGCUUUUUUUGGUCGAUCCUAGAAAUUUCACGCAACUCAAGGACCUUCGGAGAGAGUUGGAGAUUUCAUUAUUUUCUUAUUUGAGAGUUUUCUCGAAUUGGAAAAGAAGAUCAUUUGAUUUAUUUAUUUCAUCUUCAACUAUUUUUCCGACGUCAAAAAUAUAAGAGAGGGAAUAAUAUGACUUUUCCAAAAUAUAGGAAAAAUGAAGAUUUAAUAAAUAGAUCAAAUUUCGUUUUCCGGUGUUUGUUUGUUUUUCUUUGGAUAGGGAAAAAUCCGCGUUUUCGAAAAUUGCAUUUUAGGUCCGGAGAAAAGUUCAUUUUGUUCGACUCAUUUUUAGGAGUCGGGGAAAAUUUACUUCAGAUUUUUUGGAGCCCGUUUAGUUUUUCUUUUUCUUGUUUUUCUGCGCGCGAAAUCAGUUAAAAAAAAGUGAGCAGGCCAGCCGGGCCAAGGCCCAGCCAGCCGCCGCUGCGCCCCAGCCCCUAGCCGCGCGUACGCCAGCGCCAGCGCUAGGCGAGGCAGCCGCCGCCUCUGCCUCUUAGCCGAGUCCUAGAAGGACUCUAGGCUAGCCCCUUUUCCUUUGUUUCGUUUUCCUUUUUCCUCUCUUUUUCUUGCCCCCUACCCCAAGUAAACCCCCCUCACCUAUAUAAAUACCCCAUAGACCCCCCCUCUCCUCACACCAAAAACCCAAACCCCCUCUCCUCCCCAAGCCGCGCCCCACCCCGCGCUUCUCACCCGCCGCCGCCGCCCCUAGCGCCGCCGCCGCCGCCCUAGCACGCCGCCGUCGCCACCGUUCGCCCCGCCUCGCCGGAGGUAGCCCCGCGCCUCUCUUUUUAUUCCCCGCGGUUCGGUUCUUUUAAAAGAAACCGUUCCGGUUUUAUUUUCCGGUUUCUCUCUCCGAUUCUUCGUUUCGGUUUCUUUUCCGAAACCCUAGAUCGGUUUUCCGUUUUCUUCGUUUCGGUUUCUUUUCCGAAAACCCUAGAUCGGUUUUUGUUCUUCUUGCGGACCGUUUGUCUCAACGAACGUGAUCACCGAUUAUUCCCGGUUAACGAUGCCCGUUCGUUUAACCGUUCGUCUCUUUCUUUUCGUCGGAUUUAUUCCGCGAUCGUGAUCUCAGAUCCGAUCUUCGUUCUAGUUUAUCUUCUCGCCCGUCUAUCGGAAUCAGGUGAUUCAAGCGCCUGGAGUUUCGUUUCGAAACCGCCGUUCCGUCUAAUCAACUUAAACAAGUUUUUGCCCUGGUAAAAUUUGACCUAGUUUCAACUUGCUAGAACCGAGUUGUUUUCUUCCGCCGUUUGUUUUCCGUCGUUUGUUCGGUUCGUUCUUUCUUUGCAACCGGAGUUCUUAAGUUGAACUAUCUGGUUCGUUCUCUUGUUCGAGUUUUACCUAUGCAUUAGAUGAGUACUUAUUGUGUGGUUACUAUUGCUUGCUUACGAUAGAUUGACCGGAGUGUGACGAGUAGAUCUAUCAGGAGAUUUUGAUUGCGAAUCAUCUUCAUCAACCUUGCAGGCAAGUUCACACUUUGAUCAUACCUUUUCUACAACCCAUGUUUUAUUUCAUUAGAUCAAUCCUCACACAUUGCAUGAUUAGGAUCUAAUUAAAUUGUGGGAUGGGAAGUAGAUGAGGUAGUACCUAUUACCUGUAUUACUAUGAAACCUUUGGGAGUUACUUCUACGUUUGCUUAUUAUGCCAUGCUAUGCUAGUAGACGUGGAUUGGGUGAGUGAUAUCCAUGACAGAUGUGAGAUUGAUAAUUUAAUGGUUUAUCUAAGGUGGCAACUUAAACACACAUCUGGGUGGAUUGAGGCACCUGAUGUCUAUCAGGACUUGCCUGUUUUUUUUUCGGACCGCCACCCAGGCUCAAAGGGAUCAUAAGAUCUUUCAUGCUAGAAACUUACGUGUGCAGCCACAAGCCAUUAUGGGCUCUGGCAUAGUUGACUAAGUCGUGCGAACUCUUAUAGGGGUAGACUAGCAGAUGUAGGGGAUGUAGGUGGUACGGUCUACUCCAUCGUAAGGUGCUAGCGCUUCUAAAAGACUAUGUCUCGGUCAUCCGUUUCUCAAACACCAUGUAGUGCGAGAAAUCCAACGGAGGCAAUCGAGUCUUGUGGGGAAAAGUGCGCAAACCUCUGCAGAGUGUACAAACUAAUCAUGAUUAGCCGUGUCCCCGGUUAUGGACAACUUGAGUAUCUAGUACUUGAAUAUCCUGUUGAUCUCAUCACGUUACUUUAAAUGAAUAUUGUUGGGUUUAAUGAUGUUACUUAAUUGGGAUUGAGAAUGCUGUCAACCAUUCUCAAUGUUCAACAACCACCUUGAUAGUAAUUAAAUUUAUUCCUUUGCAGUAUGGAAAAAUUGGCUUUACGCAAAAAACCUUAUAACCAUAGAGCUUUUCCACCAGCCAAAUAUGCAUGUAGUGAUAGCCAUUGUUCAUCAUUCUCUAUGGUGUGAAUUUGCCAGUACAUUCAAUGUACUGACCCGUUUCGGGCUGCAACGUCUUAUGUUGCAGGUUUCUUACGACGAGUAAGUGAUACGUUAGGGUUACGAUUUCUACACUCAACUUUGCCGUUGGUGUUGAUGGGAAUCCACAACCUUGUUGCUUCCGCUAUUUGGAUUGAGGUAAUAGUAUUUACGUUACUUUAUACAUGUGAUUUACCUCUGUUAUAAAUCCUUCGAGUACUGUUUGUGUUAGCAUACCGAUCCAGGGAUGACACGUAAGCACAGAGACUUGACCCAUUCGGGUCGGGUCGCUACAAGAUGGUAUCAGAGCACAUGUUGACUGUAGGACUUGACCCUAGAAACUGGCAAGCCCAUAGCAAAGAUUUUUCUCUACAACUUUCCCUUUCAAAAAAGAUCUUUUACCUCUCUUCUCUUCUGAGCUUAUUUAAAAAGUCCCUUUAGUGAGACCAUACCCCUUUCCCCUUUUGACCACUCGAAGAUUCAAUUGAUGAGACCACUCCAAGAAGUACAAGAUACCGGACAAACUAAGACCACUUCAGAAUGAAGAGUAUUUUCCGUGCAUCUGAAUAAUGGAAACUACAACGGUUGAAGACCGAAGACAAGUAGAAUUUGAAGGCUCUGAAGAAUUUCCAGAUUUGUGUGACCUAGGAAGGCAACCCUGAUGGAACUUAAAAGAUUAUGGAAGUUGUCAAUACCCGAGAUCAAGAAAGACCGGAACAUGGAGAGUUGAGAACUCAAAGUUUUGUCAAGAAAACCCUAAGGCAGGAGAUAUCAACUGGCAAGAUAGCUCAUGGCAAUGACAAGGGCAGAAACACGGUUAUCCGUGAUGUCAUCACCAUUGAUACUGUGGUCACCGAGCUGAGCUAAGCAUGCAUUCCUUCAGAAGGAUUGGAUGGUAGAAGACUGAUGGAGCAUCUAUCAGCAAAGGAUGCAAUUUUAAACUUAGCUGGUGUAUCACCAAGAUCUGGAGUAGUACAUCAAGAAGUUUAAAAUGGAGCUCCAGGAAGUCGUAUUAGACAAGGAAGCAUUUCGUGAAGAACUUAAGACCAGAAGUUGAAAGCAGCCAAGCUAGAGAAGUAAAACCUUGAGAUACACGAGAUUCAUCAGGAACUGAAGGACAGUAGGACCAUGGUUCAUGCCAAGGAUGUUGAAACCUAGAAGUUUGAAAUGCAACUCCAGAAUAUUACAGGAUGUCACGAGAGAUUUCACGUCAACAGAGAUGAUCUGGCAAAAGAACUUGAGAAGGACAAGCAUGAUUGGAAGAAGCCAUUGGAGGCUUGAACAAGGCUUGAAGAGUUUGGAGACGUUGAAGAUUUAUUGACCUUUAGAAGACCAAACCCCUGUUAUACACCUACUUUAGAUGCGACGUUUGUGAGCUGUCAUUUGUUUGAUGUUUUUCGACAGCCACAACAAAAAUCUGUCUUUUCAAAACUUUUGUUUGUAUUGUGUGCAUCCCUCUCUAUCUCUCUUAUCUUACCCCAAACCCACAUGGACCCAAUAGAGGAUGAAUGGAGAUGAGCUUGUAUUUUUGGGACCAAUGAGUCAAUUGGAGACAGACCGAUGGAUUCAGAACAUGGAGGAUCACAUGGAGAAUAACCCUAUAGUUGGACAUGAUAUGACCCAACAUGCUCUUCUGUGCUUUGAAAGAGGUGCUGCUACUUGGUGGAGGAUGUACCAAACCAUCAAUGGAUGGCAAGGAGUAACCACUUGGAAAGAAUUUAAGUUGACUUUGCUAAAGUCUCGGUUUGUGUCCCAGAAGUUGAAGCCUUAUGGAAAGGAUAUGAAGAAACCUUGUGCAUGCAAGAUUUGUGGAGAAAUCGGACACACCCAUAAAGAACACAAGGAUGAGUGCCCUAAUUGUGAAGGAAGUCACCCAGUUGAAGAAUGCCCAACUAGGCAGAUCACUUGUUUCUUGUGUGAAGGGACUACCCACUACCCUGCACAGUGUCACAUUUACACCAUGGUACUAGGAACCAUCCAGCAGAAAAAAGGAGCAAUGAAAGGAGCCCUCAUGGAAAUUUUAGAAGAAACUGUGAUGAAGGAGGACACAUCUAAAGAGGACUCGAGUAAACCCUGCACUAAGUCUUGCUAUUCAUGUGGAGAAGAAGGACACCUCUCCUAGAAUUGUAUGAAUGGGGAUCUAGUAGAAUUCCCGAUAGAGGAAGUAGAAUAUGACCCACAGGAAAUAGAAGCCAUGCUUGGUAUGGAAAGGCCCAGAAAGAGAAACCGAAUGGAUUCCAGGAAGGAUCUGAGACAUAUCACCUGUUACAGGUGCAAGGAGUCAGGACACUACCUCCACAGUUUCCCAAAAAGGAAGCCAAGAACCCAAGGAGGCUAUAUAAUCACAAGAAAACCUCGAAACUUGUCAGAAGUACUAUGUUUUAGUGGUAAUGGAGCAGGGCACUUUGCCAGAGAAUGCCCCAAGGAGAAGGAAACUUGUGCUAGAUAGUUGAGUUUGCAACAAAAGAAAUGGAGUAGUAGAAGUGAGAACAUUCUCUUUUAUAUUGAGGUGUUGAGACAUGUAAUGGAAAAGCGAGAGAUUGUAAUCACUUGAGAAUGAAUAAAGUAGCAUCGUUGGUACUGAUAUGGAUUUUAUGAGUUGUUACUCUAUGAAGAAGGAUUUUGACCAUUUUUGAGGAUAAGAGAAAUAUGGUCUAUGGAAGGUUUGUGCAUUUUAAGGGUGGUAGUACCCUGUAAGAACCAUUGACCCCUGGAAAAGAUAAGGAUACUCCACUGAGUGGAUUUCAGACAAAAAUGAAUAUGAGUUUUGUCUCGAUAUGUGUGAUGCCCCAAGAGUAUGUGGGAUGAAGUUGGAGACCGUCAGUUGUUUGGACCAAAUGUGAUCAAGGAGUCAGAAGAGAAUGUUAAGUUGAUUCGAGAUAGACUGAAGGUAGCUUAGUCCAGGCAGAAGAGUUAUGUAGACUCAAAACUCAAGGAGGUAGCCUAUGAAAUGGGAGACAGAGCAUGUCUUCGCAUGUCCCCUAUGCGAGGAGUUAAACGGAUUGGAGUUAAGGGACAAUUAGCCCCGAGAAUUGUAGGACCAUACCGAGUUUUGGAGCGUAUGAGAGAAGUGGCCUACAAGUUGGAGUUACCCGAAGGACUGUCAGGAGUUCAGGAUGUGUUUCACGGUUCCUAGUUGAAGAAGUGCCAUGCAGAGAUGGCCAAUAUUCCCGUGUAAGGACACUUGACCCUGGAAAGGAUAAUGAUGUUCCACGAAGUGGAAUAUGGACUUCAUAAGUAUAAGUUUUUACCUCAGUAUGAGGGAUACCCCACGCGGAUGAAGAGAUGAGUUACCAUUGGAUAUAAAGGAGGUAUGAUGUUGGUAAUAUGGAGCAAUGGCAACCCCAUGACAAGUCUGAGUACUCACGUCUUGGUUUGGUGCCAAUAGAAGGAAGGAAGACAGUACAAUUGGAUGGAUUUAAGUAUACUGGUAAAGUUGGAAGUUGGAUGUUGGAUUAGAGAUCUGCUGCCCCGAUGAAGAGUUCAAGGUUUGCAAGUGAUGAGAUGUGCCAUAACCCACAGGCCCCAAGACCUCCCAAGAAGCAAGCACAUUCUUGCUGAAGGAAAAACCCUGGAAGUGGAUAUACCUUUGUCGACAGACGAUUUUAUAGGAGUUUACGCAAAACCUGAGAGUUGUGAAGGAACGAUAGAUGUUUGUCUGGCUUGCAGAAUCAAUGGAUUAUUCUGAACUUGGUUCGUUGACGAGAGAAAUUCUGCAAUGCUUGUGAGGAUGACCGAGUGUUAGAAUGCGAGAUUCGCUAAACCAUAUACAAGGUAAUGAUUUGGGUGCGGGAUGGAUUGAUCACCAUACCGACUUACUCUUAUUAUUCGCCUUGCUAUAUGGGAUGGUAAAUCUGAGUGACUUGCCUAUAGUAGAGAGACGACGAUGAAAACCUUGUUUAAACCUUAGAAUGGCAUAGCAAUUUUUUCCCUUGUACAAGGCAGCUUUUGCCAAUCGUAGGUUAUACGGUGAGGAUCAACCCAGACCCAUUUCCUGCAGGAGAAACCACAAAGUGUUGACCACCAUGAGAUAUCGAUAGUUGUCUAGUUUUGGCGCCCGACCCAUCAGCUAAGAAGACCCAGUCUCGGAAUAACCUUACUAAGAGGAAAUGACAGAAGAAGUGAGGAAAAGGUUAUGCCACUACCGGAAGAGCCAGAGAAGGAAUUUUCCGAGGAUUUGAGGAGACCGACACUGUCAAGAAUAUGGAUGAAGUAUAUGAGUUUUGAUGGAACCGUAAAAUUGAUUCUAAGGGUGGUAGCACCCCAGACACCGUGUGAUGAUCGAUGGAUUUUGAGAAGACCCCCAAACCCUAACCUUUUCUUGCUAGCCUCUCCGAAUCUCGAGGACGAGAUUCCUUUUAAGGGUGGUAGGUUUGUAACAUCCCAAAUUUUCAAUUUGGAAUGUUAUACAUUAGAUCAUCAUGCAUAUCUUAUUUUCUUGCUUUUUUGGUCGAUCCUAGAAAUUUCACGCAACUCAAGGACCUUUGGAGAGAGUUGGAGAUUUCAUUAUUUUCUUAUUUGAGAGUUUUCUCGAAUUGGAAAAGAGGAUCAUUUGAUUUAUUUAUUUCAUCUUCAACUAUUUUUCCGACGUCAAAAAUAUAAGAGAGGGAAUAAUAUGACUUUCCCAAAAUAUAGGAAAAAUGAAGAUUUAAUAAAUAGAUCAAAUUUCGUUUUCCAGUGUUUGUUUGUUUUUCUUUGGAUAGGGAAAAAUGCGCGUUUUCGAAAAUUGCAUUUUAGGUCCGGAGAAAAGUUCAUUUUGUUCAACUCAUUUUUAGGAGUCGGGGAAAAUUUACUUUAGAUUUUUUGGAGCCCGUUUAGUUUUUCUUUUAUUUGUUUUUCUGCGUGCGAAAUCAGUUAAAAAAGUGAGCAGGCCAGCCGGGCCAAGGCCCAGCCAGCCGCCGCUGCGCCCCAGCCCCCAGCCGCGCGUACGCCAGCGCCAGCGCUAGGCGAGGCAGCUGCUGCCUCUGCCUCUUAGCCGAGUCCUAGAAGGACUCUAGGCUAGCCCCUUUUCCUUUGUUUCGUUUUCCUUUUUCCUCUCUUUUUCUUGCCCCCUACCCCAAGUAAACCCCCCUCACCUAUAUAAAUACCCCCAUAGACCCCCCCUCUCCUCACACCAAAAACCCAAACCCCCUCUCCUCCCCAAGCCGCGCCCCACCCUGCGCUUCUCACCCGCCGCCGCCGCCCCUAGCGCCGCCGCCGCCGCCCUAGCACGCCGCCGUCGCCACCGUUUGCCCCGCCUCGCCGGAGGUAGCCCCGCGCCUCUCUUUUUCUUCCCCGCGGUUCGGUUCUUUUAAAAGAAACCGUUCCGGUUUUCUUUUCCGGUUUCUCUCUCCGAUUCUUCGUUUCGGUUUCUUUUCCGAAACCCUAGAUCGGUUUUCCGUUUUCUUCGUUUCGGUUUCUUUUCCGAAAACCCUAGAUCGGUUUUCGUUCUUCUUGCGGACCGUUUGUCUCAACGAACGUGAUCACCGAUUAUUCCCGGUUAACGACGCCCGUUCGUUUAACCGUUCGUCUCUUUCUUUUCGUCGGAUUUAUUCCGCGAUCGUGAUCUCAGAUCCGAUCUUCGUUCUAGUUUAUCUUCUCGCCCGUUUAUCGGAAUCAGGUGAUUCAAGCGCCUAGAGUUUCAUUUCGAAACCGCCGUUCCGUCUAAUCAACUUAAACAAGUUUUUGCCCCGAUAAAAUUUGACCUAGUUUCAACUUGCUAGAACCGAGUUGUUUUCUUCCGCCAUUUGUUUUCCGUCGUUUGUUCGGUUCGUUCUUUCUUUGCAACCAGAGUUCUUAAGUUGAACUAUCUGGUUCGUUCUCUUGUUCGAGUUUUACCUGUGCAUUAGAUGAGUACUUAUUGUGUGGUUACUAUUGCUUGCUUACGAUAGAUUGACCGGAGUGUGACGAGUAGAUCUAUCAAGAGAUUUUGAUUGCGAAUCAUCUUCAUCAACCUUGCAGGCAAGUUCACACUUUGAUCAUACCUUUUCUACAUCCCAUGUUUUAUUGCAUUAGAUCAAUCCUCACACAUUGCAUGAUUAGGAUCUAAUUAAAUUGUGGGAUGGGAAGUAGAUGAGGUAGUACCUAUUACCUGUAUUACUAUGAAACCUUUGGGAGUUACUUCUACGUUUGCUUAUUAUGCCAUGCUAUGCUAGUAGAUGUGGAUUGGGUGAGUGAUAUCCAUGACAGAUGUGAGAUUGAUAAUUUAAUGGUUUAUCUAAGGUGGCAACUUAAACACACAUCUGGGUGGAUUGAGGCACCUGAUGUCUAUUAGGACUUGCCUGUUUUUUUUCGGACCGCCACCCAGGCUCAAAGGGAUCAUAAGAUCUUUCAUGCUAGAAACUUACGUGUGCAGCCACAAGCCAUUAUGGGCUCUGGCAUAGUUGACUAAGUCGUGCGAACUCUUAUAGGGGUAGACUAGCAGAUGUAGGGGAUGUAGGUGGUACGGUCUACUCCAUCGUAAGGUGCUAGCGCUUCUGAAAGACUAUGUCUUGGUCAUCCAUUUCUCAAACACCAUGUAGUGCGAGAAAUCCAACGGAGGCAAUCGAGUCUUGUGGGGAAAAGUGCGCAAACCUCUGCAGAGUGUACAAACUAAUCAUGAUUAGCCGUGUCCCCGGUUAUGGACAACUUGAGUAUCUAGUACUUGAAUAUCCUGUUGAUCUCAUCACGUUACUUUAAAUGAAUAUUGUUGGGUUUAAUGAUGUUACUUAAUUGGGAUUGAGAAUGCUGUCAACCAUUCUCAAUGUUCAACAACCACCUUGAUAGUAAUUAAAUUUAUUCCUUUGCAGUAGGGAAAAAUUGGCUUUACGCAAAAAACCUUAUGACCAUAGAGCUUUUCCACCAGCCAAAUAUGCAUGUAGUGAUAGCCAUUGUUCAUCAUUCUCUAUGGUGUGAAUUUGCCAGUACAUUCAAUGUACUGACCCGUAUCGGGCUGCAACGUCUUAUGUUGCAGGUUUCUUACGACGAGUAAGUGAUACGUUAGGGUUACGAUUUCUACACUCAACUUUGCCGCUGGUGUUGAUGGGAAUCCACAACCUUGUUGCUUCCGCUAUUUGGAUUGAGGUAAUAGUAUUUACGUUACUUUAUACAUGUGAUUUACCUCUGCUAUAAAUCCUUCGAGUACUGUGUGUGUCAGCAUACCGAUCCAGGGAUGACACGUAAGCACAGAGACUUGACCCAUUCGGGUCGGGUCGCUACAUUCCUGCUCAUCCUCGAGUAGGUAAAUGAUAAAAACAGAAUUUUUGAUGCGGAGUGCUACUUGGCAUAAUUUCAAUGUAAUUCUUAUUAAUUGUGGUAUGAAUAUUCAGAUUCAAAAGAUUCAAGACAAAAGUUCAUAUUGACAUAAAAAAUAAUAAUACUUCAAGCAUACUAAUAAAGCAAUUAUGUCUUCUCAAAAUAACAUGGCCAAAGAAAGCUAUCCCUACAAAAUCAUAUAGUCUAGCUAUGCUCUAUCUUCACCACACAAAGUAUUUAAAUCAUGCACAACCCCGAUGACAAGCCAAGCAAUUGUUUCAUACUUUUGACAUUUUCAAAACUUUUCCGAUCUUCACGCAAUACAUGAGCGUGAGCCAUGGAUAUAGCACUAUAUGUGGAAUAGAAUGGUGGUUGUGGAGAAGACAAAAAGAGGGAAAGAUAGUCUCACAUCAACUAGGCGUAUCAACGGGCUAUGGAGAUGCCCAUCAAUAGAUAUCAAUGUGAGUGAGUAGGGAUUGCCAUGCAACGGAUGCACUAGAGCUAUAAGCAUAUGAAAUCUCAACAAAAGAAACUAAGUGGGUGUGCAUCCAACUCGCUUGCUCAUGAAGACCUAGGGCAUUUUGAGGAGUCCCAUGAUUGGAAUAUACAAGCCAAGUUCUAUAAUGAAAAAUUCCCACUAGUAUAUGAAAGUGACAUAAUGCGAGACUCUCUAUCAUGAAGAUCAUGGUGCUACUUUGAAGCACAAGUGUGGUAAAAGGAUAGUAACACUGUCCCUUCUCUCUUUUUCUCUCAUUUUUUUGGGCCUUCUCUUUUUUUAUGGCCUCUUUUUUUUCGUCCGGAGUCUCAUGCCGACUUAUGGGGGAAUCAUAGUCUCCAUCAUCCUUUCCCCACUUGGGACAAUGCUCUAAAAAGGAUGAUCAUCACACUUUUUAUUUUUCUUACAACUCAACAAUUACAACUCAAUACUUAGAACAAAAUAUGACUCUAUAUGAAUGCCUCCGGCGGUGUACCGGGAUAUGCCAUGAAUCAAGAGUGACAUGUAUGAAAGAAUUAUGAACGGUGGCUUUGCCACAAAUACGAUGUCAACUACUUGAUCAUGCUAGCAAUAUGACAAUGAUGGAGCGUGUCAUAAUGAACGGAACAGUGGAAAGUUGCAUGGCAAUAUAUCUCGGAAUGGCUCUGGAAAUGCCAUGAUAGGUAGGUAUGGUGGCUGUUUUGAGGAAGGUAUUUGGUGGGUGUAUGAUACCGGCGAAAAGUGCGCGGUAUUAGAGAGGCUAGCAAUGGUGGAAGGAAGGAAAGUGCGUAUAAUCCAUGGACUCAACAUUAGUCAUAAAGAACUCAUAUACUUAUUGCAAAAAUCUAGAAGUUAUCAAAGCAAAGUAUUACGUGCAUGCUCCUAGGGGGAUAGAUUGGUAGGAAAAGUCCAUCGCUCGUCCCCGACCGCCACUCAUAAGGAAGACAAUCAAUAAAUAAAUCAUGCCCCGACUUCAUCAUAUAACGGUUCACCAUACGUGCAUGCUACGGGAAUCAUAGACUUUAACACAAGCAUUUCUCAAAUUCACAACUACUCAACUAGCAUGACUCUAAUAUCACCAUCCUCAUAUCUCAAAACAAUUAUCAAGCAUCAAUUUUUUCUUAGUAUUCAACGCACUCAAAAGAAAGUUUUACAAAUCUUGAAUACCAAGCAUAUUAUUAUUAAGCAAUUUACCAUGCUAUUAAGACUCUCAAAAAUAAUCUAAGUGAAGCAUGAGAGAUCAAUAGUUUAUAUAAAACAAAUCCACCACCGUGCUCUAAAAGAUAUAAGUGAAGCACUAGAGCAAAAUUAUAUAACUCAAAAGAUAUAAGUGAAGCACUAGAGUAAAACUAUAGAGCUCAAAAGAUAUAAGUGAAGCACAUAGAGUAUUCUAUCAAAUUCAAAAUUAUGUAUGGCUCUCUCAAAAGGUGUGUACAGCAAGGAUGAUUGUGGUAGACUAACAAGCAAAGACUCAAAUCAUAAAAGACGCUCCAAGCAAAACACAUAUCAUGUGGUGAAUAAAAAUAUAGCUCCAAGUAAAGUUACCGAUAGAAGUAGACGAAAGAAGGGAUGCCUUCCGGAGCAUCCCCAAGCUUUGGCUUUUAGGUGUCCUUAGAUUAUCUUGGGCGUGCCAUGGGCAUCCCCAAGAUUAGUUUCUUGCCACUCCUUGUUCCAUAAUCCAUCAAAUCUUUACCCAAAACUUGAAAACUUCACAACACAAAACUUAAAGUAGAAAACUCGUGAGCUCCGUUAGCGAAAGAAAACAAAAGACCACUUCAAGGUACUGUAAUGAACUCAUUCUUUAUUUAUAUUUGUGUUAUACCUACUGUAUUCCAACUUCUCUAUGGUUUAUAAACUAUUUUACUAGCCAUAGAUUCAUCAAAAUAAGCAAACAACACACGAAAAACAGAAUCUGUCAAAAACAGAACAGUCUGUAGUAAUCUGUAGCUACCGCAAGAUAUGGAACCCCAAAAAUUCUAAAAUAAAUUUAUGGACGUGAGUAAUUUAUAUAUUAAUCAUCUUAAAAAACAAUUAACUAAAUAUCACUCUCCAAAGAAAAAUUACAGCAGUUCUCGUGAGCGCUAAAGUUUCUGUUUUUUUACAGCAAGUUCAACAAGACUUUCCCCAAGUCUUCCCAACGGUUCUACUUGGCACAAACACUAAUUAAACACAAAAAACACAACCACAACAGAGGCUAAAUAAUUUAUUUAUUACUAAACAGGAGCAAAAAUCAAUGAAUAAAAGUAAAAUUGGGUUGCCUCCCAACAAGCGCUAUUGUUUAACGCCCCUAGCUAGGCAUAACAAGCAAGAAUAGAUCUAGGUAUUGCCAUCUUUGGUAGGCAAUCCAUAAGUGGCUCUCAUGAUAGAUUCAUAUGGUAAUUUUAUUUUCUUUCUAGGGAAGUGUUCCAUGCCCUUUUUUAAUAGAAAUUGUAAUCUAAUAUUCCCUUCCUUCAUAUCAAUAAUUGCACCAACCGUUCUAAGGAAAGGUCUACUGAGAAUAAUAGAGCAAGAAGGAUUGCAAUCUAUAUCAAGAACGAUAAAAUCUACGGGCACAUAAUUCCUAUUAGCAACAAUAAGAACAUCAUUAAUUCUUCUCAUAGGUUUCUUAAUAGUGGAAUCCGCAAGAUUGCAAGUUUAGAGAGCAAUCAUCAAAAUUACGGAAAUCUAGCAAAUCACACAAAGUUUUGGGAAUAGUAGAGACACUAGCACCCAAAUCACACAAAGCAUAAAACUCAUGAUCUUUAAUUUUAAUUUAAAUAGUAGGUUCCCACUCAUCAUAAAGUUUUCUUGUGACGCCCCCGAUUCAAUCGUACACUAAUCAUACACGCAAACAUGUACGAUCAAGAUCAGGGACUCACGGGAAGAUAUCACAACACAACUCUACAAAUAAAAUAAGUCAUACAAGCAUCAUAUUACAAGCCAGGGGCCUCGAGGGCUAGAAUACAAGAGCUCGAUCUUAGACGAGUCAGCGGAAGCAACAAUAUCUGAGUACCGACAUAAGUUAAGCAAGUUUGCCUUAAGAAGGCUAGCACAAACUGGGAUACAGAUCGAAAGAGGCGCAGGCCUCCUGCCUGGGAUCCUCCUAGCUACUCCUGGUCGUCGUUAGCGGGCAUCACGUAGUAGUAGGCACCUCCGGUGUAGUAGGAGUCGUCGUCGACGGUGGCGUCUGGCUCCUGGGCUCCAACAUCUGGUUGCAACAACCAGGUAAAAGGGAUAGGGGAAAAGAGGGAGAAAGCAACCGUGAGUACUCAUCCAAAGUACUCGCAAGCAAGGAGCUAUACUACAUAUGUAUGCAAUGGUAUCAAAUGGAAUAAGGGUAUCAUAUGUGGACUGAACUACAGAAAGCCGGAAUAAGGGGGGGAUAGCUAGUCCUUUCGAAGACUACGCUUCUGGCAGCCUCCGUCUUGCAGCAUGUAGAAGAGAGUAGACUGAAGUCCUCCAAGUAACAUCGCAUAGCAUAACCCUAACCGAUGAUCCUCCCCUCGUCGCCCUGUGGGAGAGCGACCACCGGUUGUAUCUGGCACUUGGAAGGGUGUGUUUUAUUAAGUAUCCGGUUCUAGUUGUCAUAAGGUCAAGGUACAACUCCAAAUCGUCCUGUUACCGAAGAUCACGGCUAUUCGAAUAGAUUAACUUCCCUGCAGGGGUGCACCACAUACCCCAACACGCUCGAUCCCAUUUGGCCGGACACACUUUCCCGGGUCAUGCCCGGCCUCGGAAGAUCAACACGUCGCAGCCCCACCUAGACCAACAGAGAGGUCAGCACGCCGGUCUAAACCUAAGCGCCCAGGGGUCUGGGCCCAUCGCCCUUAGCACACCUGCAUGUUGCGAACGCGGCCGAAAGCAGACCUAGCCUAGUGGCCUUCGAGUCCAAUCCGGCGCGCGCCACUUAGUCGCUGACGUCACGAAGGCUUCGGCUGAUACCACGACGCCGGGAUACCCAUAACUACUCCCGCGUAGAUGGUUAGUGCGUAUAGACCAAAUGGCCAGACUCAGAUCAAAUACCCAGAUCUCGUUAAGCGUGUUAAGUAUCCGCGAACGCCGACCAGGGCCAGGCCCACCUCUCUCCUAGGUGGUCGGAACCUGCCCUACCGCUCCGCCUCAAAACUCCACUCGCGGGUGCUCCUCAAGCCGACCCGUCUUUAGUCACCACAUGUAUCAUGUGUAAAGUAUAUAGUAUAUACCCGUGAUCAACUCCCGAGUGAUCACGGUCCGAUAGUAUAGCAUGGCAGACGGACAAGGAUGUAGGGCCACUGAUGAUAAACUAGCAUCCUAUACUAAGCAUUAGGAUUGCAGGUAAAGGUAACAAUAGUAGUAGCAAGGACAGGCUAUGCAUCAGUAUAGGAUUAACGGGAAGCAGUAACAUGCUACACUACUCUAAUGCAAGCAGUAUAGAGAAGAGUAGGCGAUAUCUGGUGAUCAAAGGGGGGGGGCUUGCCUGGUUGCUCUGGCAAGAGAGAGGGGUCGUCAACUCCGUAGUCGGACUGGGUAGCAGCAGCGUCGGUCUCGGUGUCUAGCGGAAGAAGAGGGGGGAAGAAACAAUGAAUAUAAUGCAAACAGAUGCAUAGAGAUGCAUGACAAGACAAGUAACGGUGCUAGGGGGUGCCCUAAUGCGGUAUUAGGUGAUACCGGUGAAGGGGGAUAACAUCCGGGAAAAUACCCCCGGUGUUUCGCGUUUUCGGACAGAUGAACCGGAGGUGAAAUGUUGCAGGUUCACUAUGCUAGGGACAUGUGGCGGACCAACGGGCUGCGUAUCCGAAUUCGUCUCGUCGUUCUGAGCAACUUUCAUGUAUAAAGUUUUUCCAUCCGGGCUACGGUUUAUUUUAUAUUGAUUUUCUAAAGUUUAAAUCAUUUUUAGAAUUUAUUUAAUUAAUUUAAUCAACAUUAUCCAGAAUAGUGUCUGCUGACGUCAUGAUGACGUCAGCAUGACGUCAGUAGUUGACUUGGUCAACCUGACAGGUGGGUCCCGAUCGUCAUACUCUGUUUUAAUUAACUAACAGUUAAUUAGGUUAAUUAGUGAUUAGGUUAAUCUAAUUAUAAUUAAUUAACCUAAUUAAUUCCUUAAUUAAUUAAUUAAUUAAUUUUAUUAUUAUUAUUAUUUUCUCUUUUUUUUGAAUCGUUCUGGGCGUGGGGCCCCCUGUCAUUGGCCCAGAGGGGCUUUGCGGGUGCCGGGUGUCGGGCACCAGCCCGAGCGAUUCGGGCGUGCGGGCGAACCCGACGACGGGCGCCGCGGGCGUGGCCGAAGCCUGAGCGGCGACCAGCGCGCGGGGGCGGCACGGCGAGGCCCCCAGGCCGCAGCGGCAACAACCGAGGGCGGGGUGCGCGAACUGCGACGGCGGAGGUGGUGUUCAGGGGCGGAGCAGAGCUCCGGGGCGCACGACCGUCGGCGACGAGGCGAGCAAGGGCGUGGCCGUGCAUAGUCCUGGUGAGGCGGGGCGGUGCGGGGUCGACGGCGACCAACAGGGACGCGACCACGGUGAGCGCGCACGGGAAGGAGGCCGCGGGCGUGCCCGCAGGCGAGGCGCGGGGCGCGGCCACGCACCGGGCGCGGACACGACCAACAGGGGCAGGCCCGUGCGCGGAGGCUUCUUGACGAGCAUGGGGAAGGGGCGGUGACCGGCGAGGCGGUGUGCGUGCGCGCGAGGCGACACAGAGGAGGAGGAGGGGAAAAGGCGGCUGCUCACGGCGGGAAGUAGGGACUAGGCAGCGGGCGUGAGGAGGGCGACGGGGACGAGCGACGUGGUGGUGGCGACGGGCGUCGGGGUGACUUCGGGGCUCGGCAACGGAGUGGCGGUGGGCGUCCAGCGAGGCGACGCCGUGGAGGAGGACGAAGGCGCGGCGGAAGGANNNNNNNNNNNNNNNNNNNNNNNNNNNNNNNNNNNNNNNNNNNNNNNNNNNNNNNNNNNNNNNNNNNNNNNNNNNNNNNNNNNNNNNNNNNNNNNNNNNNNNNNNNNNNNNNNNNNNNNNNNNNNNNNNNNNNNNNNNNNNNNNNNNNNNNNNNNNNNNNNNNNNNNNNNNNNNNNNNNNNNNNNNNNNNNNNNNNNNNNNNNNNNNNNNNNNNNNNNNNNNNNNNNNNNNNNNNNNNNNNNNNNNNNNNNNNNNNNNAAGGGGGGGUUCUCCUUUUCUUUUUCUUUUUUUUGGUUUUGUUUUCUGUUUUUUUUUUGUGUUUUCUUUCUCUUAUUUAUUUUAUGUUCUGUUCUAUUUCAUUUUCAAUCAUUUAGACAUUCUAUAAAAUAUGUUUGCUGCACUAUAAUUACCUAUGCCAUUUUUGGCACAGCCCGAACAUUUUAGUUUAAUAUUUUGAAAACUUUUAUAAUUUAACUUUAUUUUAAUGUUUGAAUUUGACUCGGUUUUGGACUAACGGUAGAUUAUCAAUAGUAACCGGGGUGACGUGGCAUGAUUAUCGUUGGAUUACUGUAGCUUGAUUACCCGGGCGUUACAAAACUCCUCCACUACAAGAAAUCUCGUCCCGAGAUUUAAGAGGGGAGUAAGGGGAACAUGUUAUUUAAACUUCUGCAGAAGACAAGUGCUUAAACUUGCACGAGAAAUGUUAUUUAAAGGAGAACAUGGUCGGAACCACGAUUGAAAAAGGCCAGAUCCCAGAUAUAAUAUGAACUUAUACCAAGGGAGUAAUUAAUUUAAGAGAAGCUUUAAUAAUAAGAUCUACAUCGUGUCCAUGGGCAUGAACACAAAGUUCAAGGUCGACUCCCACUUAUUCAAUGCAUAACCUUACAUUUACCUCCCCUUUUCGAAGUUGUAGUGUUGAAAAGUUAUCUGACGAAGCGUCAGCAGGGUAUAACCCGCAUAACUUUUGAGGUCACACAAAUUAAGGAAGGCAUAGGUUCAACCCGUCAGGGUAUCGUGGAAACAUAUACCACAAGCUUUGAGAGUAAAUAUUACCAGCUCGAAAGCAGAGCAUGGUUGGCAAAAGGAGAGGAUACAAAUUACCAAAGGCAUUAUGUAUCGGAGAAAGAACUCACAAGGAUUUUGGUUGUGAAGGACAUUGUCGGAUAAUAGCCAAGCAAAUGGUCUCACGGACCACAAGGAACCUGAUGUGAGUAUCGAUACUCAAUCAGAAGGGAAAAGGAAUGCAAGGUAUCCGAUUAUAGAAACCAUUGACUAAUUAAUUCAAAUCUCAAAUGCAAAGGAAUUGUGAUUUCUAAAUCAAGGGAUCAGAAGCAAACGCUCUGAUUAAGGAUGGAUAAGUUGAGUAGACUUAGGGGUAAGAUCGAUGGCAAUCUGAUUGGCCAAGAACCAGCUCAUGUUCGAAAGACGUGUGAGCCAGAAGGUAAUUUAUAAUGAUCAACUGAUGAUUGCAUGCAUUCACACACAUAUAGAAUCAACGGACUUAAAAUGAUAGUGACAAAGGAUGCCAAUAGGAUUACUAGACUCAUUGGAUUAACCAAAAUGUAAGCAAGCAAGAAUUUCAAGAGCAAUAGGCUCCUGAGGAUUUUUUGGAAGAUCGAAAGGUAUUUCAAAGUCCUUUGCGGAACACAUGAACAACUGGGAAUGAGCGGAUACUCGAUAAGUGCGAGGAUUUAUCCGUAGAGGUAUUCAUGUGGGUAAUGAAUUGCAAGGCAGUAGGCACAAAGUAUCGAGGGAACAUCCGAGCGUAUUGUCAGAAUCUUCCGAUGAAGCAGUCGAUCAUCCGUAUUAAAGGGCUCUCCAGCAGGAAGUGGUAACGAGAACCUAGAGUUAGAUUUUAGCAAAAUCGUUUAACCCGAAUAGAAGAGAGAUCAGAGUCCCAGAGUAAGGAUGGAGGAGUAAAAGAUCCUAAUACCACCCAGAUGGCGACGUGGGCCCGUAAGCCGCACAACCAUGUUAGUAAAAGUUUUUCAAUGACUAGACUCGACUUCGGCCAAGGAGUUGGAAAGGGGGAUUCCUACAGGCAGUCGGCUCUGAUACCAACUUGUGACGCCCCCGAUUCAAUCGUACACUAAUCAUACACGCAAACGUGUACGAUCAAGAUCAGGGACUCACGGGAAGAUAUCACAACACAACUCUACAAAUAAAAUAAGUCAUACAAGCAUCAUAUUACAAGCCAGGGGCCUCGAGGGCUCGAAUACAAGAGCUCGAUCUUAGACGAGUCAGCGAAAGCAACAAUAUCUGAGUACCGACAUAAGUUAAGCAAGUUUGCCUUAAGAAGGCUAGCACAAACUAGGAUACAGAUCGAAAGAGGCGCAUGCCUCCUGCCUGGGAUCCUCCUAGCUACUCCUGGUCGUCGUCAGCGGGCAUCACGUACUAGUAGGCACCUCCGGUGUAGUAGGAGUCGUCGUCAACGGUGGCGUCUGGCUCCUGGGCUCCAACAUCUGGUUGCGACAACCAGGUAAAAGGGAUAGGGGAAAAGAGGGAGAAAGCAACCGUGAGUACUCAUCCAAAGUACUCGCAAGCAAGGAGCUAUACUACAUAUGUAUGCAAUGGUAUCAAAUGGAAUAAGGGUAUCAUAUGUGGACUGAACUACAGAAAGCCGGAAUAAGGGGGGGAUAGCUAGUCCUUUCGAAGACUACGCUUCUGGCAGCCUCCGUCUUGCAGCAUGUAGAAGAGAGUAGACUGAAGUCCUCCAAGUAACAUCGCAUAGCAUAACCCUAACCGAUGAUCCUCCCCUCGUCGCCCUGUGAGAGAGCGACCACCGGUUGUAUCUGGCACUUGGAAGGGUGUGUUUUAUUAAGUAUCCGGUUCUAGUUGUCAUAAGGUCAAGGUACAACUCCAAAUCGUCCUGUUACCGAAGAUCACGGCUAUUCGAAUAGAUUAACUUCCCUGCAGGGGUGCACCACAUACCCGAACACGCUCGAUCCCAUUUGGCCGGACACACUUUCCUGGGUCAUGCCCGGCCUCGGAAGAUCAACACGUCGCAGCCCCACCUAGACCAACAGAGAGGUCAGCACGCCGGUCUAAACCUAAGCGCCCAGGGGUCUGGGCCCAUCGCCCUUAGCACACCUGCACGUUGCGAACGCGGCCGAAAGCAGACCUAGCCUAGUGGCCUUCCAGUCCAAUCCGGCGCGCGCCACUCAGUCGCUGACGUCAUGAAGGCUUCGGCUGAUACCACGAUGCCGGGAUACCCAUAACUACUCCCGCGUAGAUGGUUAGUGCGUAUAGACCAAAUGGCCAGACUCAGAUCAAAUACCCAGAUCUCGUUAAGCGUGUUAAGUAUCCGCGAACGCCGACCAGGGCCAGGCCCACCUCUCUCCUAGGUGGUCGGAACCUGCCCUGCCGCUCCGCCUCAAAACUCCACUCGCGGGUGCUCCUCAAGCCGACCCGUCUUUAGUCACCACAUGUAUCAUGUGUAAAGUAUAUAGUAUAUACCCGUGAUCAACUCCCGAGUGAUCACGGUCCGAUAGUACGGCAUGGCAGACGAACAAGGAUGUAGGGCCACUGAUGAUAAACUAGCAUCCUAUACUAAGCAUUAGGAUUGCAGGUAAAGGUAACAACAGUAGUAGCAAGGACAGGCUAUGCAUCAGUAUAGGAUUAACGGGAAGCAGUAACAUGCUACACUACUCUAAUGCAAGCAGUAUAGAGAAGAGUAGGCGAUAUCUGGUGAUCAAAGGGGGGGGCUUGCCUGGUUGCUCUGGCAAGAGAGAGGGGUCGUCAACUCCGUAGUCGGACUGGGUAGCAGCGGCGUCGGUCUCGGUGUCUAGCGGAAGAAGAGGGGGGAAGAAACAAUGAAUAUAAUGCAAACAGAUGCAUAACGAUGCAUGACAAGACAAGUAACGGUGCUAGGGGUGCCCUAACGCGGUAUUAGGUGAUACCGGUGAAGGGGGAUAACAUCCGGGAAAAUACCCCCGGUGUUUCGCGUUUUCGGACAAAUGAACCGGAGGUGAAAUGUUGCAGGAUCACUAUGCUAGGGACACGUGGCGGACGAACGGGCUGCGUAUCCGAAUUCGUCUCGUCGUUCUGAGCAACUUUCAUGUAUAAAGUUUUUCCAUCCGGGCUACGGUUUAUUUUAUAUUGAUUUUCUAAAGUUUAAAUCAUUUUUAGAACUUAUUUAAUUAAUUUAAUCAACAUUAUCCAGAAUAGUGUCUGCUGAUGUCAUGAUGACGUCAGCAUGAUGUCAGUAGUUGACUUGGUCAACAUGACAGGUGGGUCCCAAUCGUCAUACUCUGUUUUAAUUAACUAACAGUUAAUUAGGUUAAUUAGUGAUUAGGUUAAUCUAAUUAUAAUUAAUUAACCUAAUUAAUUCCUUAAUUAAUUAAUUUUAUUAUUAUUAUUAUUUUCUCUUUUUUUUGAAUCGUUCUGGGCGUGGGGCCCCCUGUCAUUGGCCCAGAGGGGCUUUGCGGGUGCCGGGUGUCGGGCACCAGCCCGAGCGGUUCGGGCAUGCGGGCGAACCCGACGACGGGCGCCGCGGGCGUGGCCGAAGCCUGAGCGGCGACCAGCGCGCGGGGGCGGCACGGCGAGGCCCCCAGGCCGCAGCGGCAACAACCGAGGGCGGGGUGCGCGAACUGCGAUGGCGGAGGUGGUGUUCAGGGGCGGAGCAGAGCUCCGGCGCGCACGACCGUCGGCGACGAGGCGAGCAAGGGCGUGGCCGUGCAUAGUCCUGGUGAGGCGGGGCGGUGCGGGGUCGACGGCGACCAACAGGGACGCGACCACGGUGAGCGCGCACGGGAAGGAGGCCGCGGGCGUGCCCGCAGGCGAGGCGCAGGGCGCGGCCACGCACCGGGCGCGGACACGACCAACAGGGGUAGGCCCGUGCGCGGAGGCUUCUUGACGAGCAUGGGGAAGGGGCGGUGACCGGCGAGGCGGUGUGCAUGCGCGCGAGGCGACAUAGAGGAGAAGGAAGAGGGGAAAAGGCGGCUACUCACGGCGGGAAGUAGGGACUAGGCAGCGGGCGUGAGGAGGGUGAUGGGGACGAGCGACGUGGUGGUGGCGACGGGCGUCGGGGUGACUUCGGGGCUCGGCAACGGAGUGGCGGUGGGCGUCCAGCGAGGCGACGCCGUGGAGGAGGACGAAGGCGCGGCGGAAGGAAAACGCGAGGAGGAGGCCGGAGGUUGGUGCUCGGCGCCGGCGGGCGGCGACUGUCUCCGGGCGCGGGCGCUCCGAGAGGAGGGGAGCGAGUAGCGAGGGGAAGUGGGGGUCUUCGCCCCGAUCCAGAUUGGAUCGGGAGGGGGGAAGAGGGNNNNNNNNNNNNNNNNNNNNNNNNNNNNNNNNNNNNNNNNNNNNNNNNNNNNNNNNNNNNNNNNNNNNNNNNNNNNNNNNNNNNNNNNNNNNNNNNNNNNNNNNNNNNNNNNNNNNNNNNNNNNNNNNNNNNNNNNNNNNNNNNNNNNNNNNNNNNNNNNNNNNNNNNNNNNNNNNNNNNNNNNNNNNNNNNNNNNNNNNNNNNNNNNNNNNNNNNNNNNNNNNNNNNNNNNNNNNNNNNNNNNNNNNNNNNNNNNNNNNNNNNNNNNNNNNNNNNNCUUGUGGCCUGCUGGGCCAAAGCCCAGGGGGCAAGGGGGGGUUCUCCUUUUCUUUUUCUUUUUUUUUGGUUUUGUUUUCUGUUUUUUUGUGUUUUCUUUCUCUUAUUUAUUUUAUGUUCUGUUCUAUUUCAUUUUAAAUCAUUUAGACAUUCUAUAAGAUAUGUUUGCUGCACUAUAAUUACCUAUGCCAUUUUUGGCACAGCCCGAACAUUUUAGUUUAAUUUUUUGAAAUUUUUUAUAAUUUAACUUUAUUUUAAUGUUGUAAUUUGACUCGGUUUUGGACUAACGGUAGAUUAUCAAUAGUAACCGGGGUGACGUGGCAUGAUUAUCGUUGGAUUACUGUAGCUUGAUUACCCGGGCAUUACAUUUCUAGGGAUAGAAACUUCCAAUUCAAGUUUUUCUUCAUAAGAUUGCAUCAAGGCAUCAACGAUAUGUUUAGUAAACGCUUUAUUUUGACUAUAAGCAUGAGGAGAAUUUAGCACGGAUUGCAACAAGGAAAUACAAUCAAUCAAAGAGCAAUUUUCAUAGUUAAAUUCCAUUAAAUCCAUAAUAGUGGGUUUAGCCACAUCUAGGGUUUUAAUUUCUUCAAUCCCACUUUUAUCAAAUUUAGCGUCAAGAUCAAAAUACUCCGAAUUUUUAGAACUCCUUCUAGGUAAAGGUGGAUCAUGUUCAGUCCCAUAAUUAUCAAGAUUCAUAUUGCAAAACAAAGAUUUAAUAGGGGACACAUCAAUAACUUUUAGAUCCUCAUCAUUAUUUUCAUAGGAACUAGAAGAACACACUUUUAUAAAGGCAUCUUUCUUAGCACGCAUCCUAGCAGUUCUUUCUUUGCACUCCUCAAUGGAAAUUCUCAUGGCUUUGAGAGACUCAUUGAUAUCAUGCUUAGGUGGAAUAGAUCUAAGUUUCAAAGAAUCAACAUCAAGAGCAAUUCUAUCAACGUUCCUAGCCAAAUCAUCAAUCUUAAGCAAUUUUUCUUCAAUCAUAGCAUUAAAAUUCUUUUGAGAAGAAAUAAAUUCUUUAAUAUUAGAUUCAAAAUCAGAGGACAUCUUAUUAUAAUUUCCACAAGAAUUGUUGUAGGGAUUACCAUAAUUAUUAGAGGGAUUACUAGGAUAAGGCCUAGGAUUGAAAUUUCCUCUAUACGCGUUGUUACCAAAAUUGUUCCUACCAACAAAAUUCACAUCCAUAGAUUCAUUAUUAUUCUCAAUCAAAGUAGACAAGGGCAUAUCAUUAGGAUCAUAAGAAACAUGCUUAUUAGCAAAUAAUUUCAUAAGUUCAUCCAUCUCUCCACUCAAAACAUUAAUUUCUUCUAUCGCAUGCACCUUUUUAUUAGUAGAUCUUUCAGUAUGCCAUUGAGAAUGAUUAACCAUAAUAUUAUCUAGGAUUUUAGUAGCUUCUCCAAAAGUGAUUUCCAUAAAAGUGCCUCCCGCGGCCGAAUCUAAAAGAUUUCUAGAAGCAAAAUUCAAUCCAGCAUAAAUUUUUUGUAUAAUCAUCCACGAAUUUAAACCAUGAGUAGGGAAAUUACGUAUCAUUAAUUUCAUUCUCUCCCAAGCUUGUGCAACUUGUUCAUGAUCAAGUUGCUUAAAAUUCAUAAUAUCGUUUCUAAGAGAGAUGAUCUUAGCGGGAGGAAAAUAUUUAGAGAUAAAAGCAUCUUUGCACUUGUUCCAUGAAUCAAUACUAUUUUUAGGCAAAGAUGAAAACCAAGCUUUAGCAUGAUCUCUAAGCGAAAAAGGAAAUAGCUUCAAUUUAAAAAUAUCAUUAUCGACAUCUUUCUUCUUUUGCAUGUCACGCAAAUCAACGAAGCUAUUAAGAUGGGUAGCGCCAUCUUCACUAGGAAGGCCGGAGAACGGAUCUUUCAUGACAAGAUUCAGCAAAGCAGUAUUAAUUUCACAAGAUUCAGCAUCGGUAAGAGGAGCAAUCGGAGUGCUAAGGAAAUCUUUAUUGUUGGUAUUGGUGAAGUCACACAAUUUAGUAUUAUCUUGAGCCAUCGCGACAAGCAAGCAAACUAACACACAAGCAAACAAAAAGGCAAACGGGCAAAAAGAGGCAAAUAGAGAAAGAGAGGGAGGAUAGAGAGAGAGAGGGCGAAUAAAACGGCAAGGGUGAAUUGGGGGAGAGGAAAACAAGAGGCAAAUGGAAAAUAAUGUAAUGUGGGAGAUAGGGAUUGUGAUGGGUACUUGGUAUGUUGACUUUUGCGCAGACUCCCCGGCAACGGCGCCAGAAAUUCUUCUUGCUACCUCUUGAGCACUGCGUUGGAUUUCCCCGAAGAGGAGAGGAUGAUGCAUCAAAGUAAUGUAAGUAUUUCCCUCAGUUUUUGAGAACCAAGGUAUCAAUCCAGUAGGAGGCUACGCUCGAGUCCCUCGUACCUACACAAAACAAUAGCUCAACGCAACCAACGCGCUUAGGGGUUGUCAAUCCCUUCACGGUCACUUACGAAAGUGAGAUUUGAUAGAGAUGAUAAAUAAUAUUUUUGGUAUUUUUGGUAUAGAGAUGCAAAGUAACAAGUAAAAGCAAAGCAAUAAUAAAGUGAUGGAGAUUGAUAUGAUGAGAAAGAGACCCGGGGGCCAUAGGUUUCACUAGUGGCUUCUCUCAAGAGCAUAAGUAUUCUACGGUGGGUCAACAAAUUACUGUUGAGCAAUUGACAGAAUUGAGCAUAGUUAUGAGAAUAUCUAGGUAUGAUCAUGUAUAUAGGCAUCACGUCCGAGACAAGUAGACCGACUCCUGCCUGCAUCUACUACUAUUACUCCACUCAUCGACCGCUAUCCAGCAUGCAUCUAGAGUAUUAAGUUAAAAACAGAGUAACGCCUUAAGCAAGAUGACAUGAUGUAGAGGGAUAGUUUCAUGCAAUAUGAUAAAAAACCCAUCUUGUUAUCCUCGAUGGCAACGAUACAAUACGUGCCUUGCUGCCCCUUCUGUCACUGGGAAAGGACACCGCAAAAUCGAACCCAAAGCUAAGCACUUCUCCCAUGGCAAGAACAACCAAUCUAGUAGGCUAAAUAAAACUGAUAAUUCGAAAAGACUUGCAAAGAUAACCAAUCAUACAUAAAAGAAUUCAGAGAAGAUUCAAAUAUUAUUCAUAGAUAGACUUGAUCAUAAACCCACAAUUCAUCGGUCUCAACAAACACACCACAAAAAGAAGAUUACAUCGAAUAGAUCUCCACGAGAGAGGGGGAGAACAUUGUAUUGAGAUCCAAAAAGAGAGAAGAAGCCAUCUAGCUACUAACUAUGGACCCGUAGGUCUGAAAUAAACUACUCACACUUCAUUGGAGGGGCUUGGAUGAUGAUGUAGAAGCCCUCCGUGAUCGAUGCCCCCUACGGCGGAGCUCCGGAACAGGCCCCAAGAUGGGAUCUCAUGGAUACAGAAAGUUGCGGCGGUGGAAUUAGGUUUUUGGCUCCGUAUCUGAUCGUUUGGGGGUACGUAGGUAUAUAUAGGAGGAAGAAGUACGUCAGUGGAGCUUCGAGGGGCCCACGAGGCAGGGGGCGCGCCCUCCACCCUCGUGACUGCCUUGUGGCUUUCUUGACGGAGGGUCCAAGUCUCCUGGGUCUUAUUUGAUGAGAAAAUCGCGUUCCCGAAGGUUUUAUUCCAUUUGGACUCCGUUUGAUAUUAUGUUUCUCCGAAACACUGAAAUAGGCAAAAACAACAAUUCUGGGCUGGGCCUCCGGUUAAUAGGUUAGUCCCAAAAAUAAUAAAAAAUGGAAAAUAAAGCCUAAUAUAGUCCAAAACAGUAGGUAAUAUAGCAUGGAGCAAUCAAAAAUUAUAGAUACAUUGGAGACGUAUCACCCAUCAUCGUCCAGCAAGCCUACGAUGGAAUUACUCACGCACGGCGGUGAGCAUCAUGAAAUUGGUGAUGGAGGAAGGUUGAUGAUGAUGAUGGCAACGGAUUCCCCUCUGUGGAGCCCCAAACAGACUCCAGAUCAGCCCUCCCGAGAGACAUUAGGGCUUGGCGGCGGCUCCGUAUCGUAAAGCGCGAUGAAUCCUUCUCUUUGAUUUUUUAUCCCUGAACAUGAAUAUAUAUAGUUGGAGUUGACAUCAAUGGAGCCUCAGGGGGCCCACGUGGCAGGGGGCGUGCCCCAGGGGGGCGUGCUACCUCUUGAGCAUGUGUUGGUUUUCCCUUGAAGAGGAAAGGGUGAUGCAACACAGUAGCAUAAGUAUUUCCCUCAGUUUUUGAGAACCAAUGUAUCAAUCUAGUAGGAGGUAACACGCAAGUCGUCUAGUACCUGCACAAACAAACAAGAACCUUGCAACCAACGCAAUAAAGCGGUUGUCAAUCCCUUCACGACCACUUACGAAAGUGAGAUCUGAUAGAGAUAAUAAGAUAAAUAUUUUUGGUAUUUUUAUGAUGUAGAUUGCAAAAUAAAGAUUGCAAAAUAAAUGGUAAUAGAAAUAGCAAGUGGAUAUGAAAAUAAUAUGAUGGAAGAUAGACCCGGGGGCCAUAGGUUUCACUAGUGACUUCUCUCAAGAUAGCAAAUUCUACGGUGGGUGAACAAAUUACUGUCGAGCAAUUGAUAGAAAAGCGGAUAAUUAUGAGAAUAUCUAGGCCUGAUCAUGUAUGUAGGCAUCACGUCCGCGACAUGUAGACCGAAAAGAUUCUACAUCUACUAUUAUUACUCCACACAUCGACCGCUAUCCAGCAUGCAUCUAGAGUAUUAAGUUCAUAAGAACAGAGUAAUGCAUUAGGCAAGAUGACAUGAUGUAGAGGGAUAAACUCAAGCAAAAUGAUAUAAACCCCAUCUUUUUAUCCUCGAUGGCAACAAUACAAUAUGUGCCUUGCUGCCCCUGCUGUCACUGGGAAAGGACACCACAAGAUUGAACCCAAAUCUAAGCACUUCUCCCAUUGCAAGAAAUAUCAAUCUAGUAGGCCAAACCAAACUGAUAAUUCGAAGAGACUUGCAAAGAUAUUUAAAUCAUGCAUAAAAGAUUUCAGAGAAGAAUCAAAUAUUGUUCAUAAUUAAUAUUGAUCAAAAACCCACAAUUCAUCGGAUCUCGACAAACACACCGCAAAAAGAAUUACAUCGAAUAGAUCUCCAAGAGAAUCGAGGAGAACUUUGUAUUGAGAUCCAAAGAGAGAGAAGAAGCCAUCUAGCUAAUAACUAUGGACCCGAAGGUCCGUCGUAAACUACCCACACAUCAUCGAAGAGGCCAUGGUGUUGAUGUAGAAGCCCUCCGUGAUCGAUCCCCCCUCAGGCAGAGCACCGGAAAAAGCCCCAAGAUGGGAUCUCAUGGGUACAGAAGGUUGCGGCUGUGGAAAUAGGGUUUCGUGGUGCUCCUGGAUGUUUUCGGGGUAUAUGGGUAUAUAUACGAGGAAGAAGUACGUCGGUGGAGCUGCGAGGGGCCCACGAGGGUGGUGGGCGCCUACCCCCUGGGCGCACCCUCCUUCCUCGUGGCCUCCUCGCUUCUUUCUUGACGUCCACUCCAAGUCUCCGGGAUCAAGUUUGUUCCAAAAAUAACUCUCCCGAAGGUUUCAUUGCGUUUGGACUCCGUUUGAUAUUCGUUUUCUUCGAAACACUGAAAUAGGCAAGAAAACAUCAAUUUGGGCUGGGCCUCCAGUUAAUAGGUUAGUCCCAAAAAUAAUAUAAAAGUGUAUAUUAAAGCCCAUAAACAUCCAAAACAGAUAAUAUAAUAGCAUGGAACAAUCAAAAAUUAUAGAUACGUUGGAGAUGUAUCAGCAUCCCCAAGCUUAAUUCCUGCUCGUCCCCGAGUAGAUAAAUGAUAAAACUAGAAUUUUUGAUGUGGAAUGCUACCUAGCAUAAUUCUCAAUGUAAUUUUCUUUAUUGUGGCAUGAAUGCUCAGAUCCGAAAGAUUCAAGACAAAAGUUUAAUAUUGACAUAAAAAUAAUAAUACUUCAAGCAUACUAACAAAGCAAUCAUGUCUUCUCAAAAUAACAUGGCCAAAGAAAGUUAUCCCUAUAAAAUCAUAUAGUCUAGCUAUGCUCUAUCUUCACCACACAAAGUAUUUAAAUCAUGCACAACCCUGAUGACAAGCCAAGCAAUUGUUUCAUACUUUUGGUGUUCUCAAACCUUUUCAAUCUUCACGCAAUAUAUGAGCGUGAGCCAUGGACAUAGCACUAUAGGUGGAAUAGAGUGGUGGUUGUGGGGAAGACAAAAGGGAGAAGAUAGUCUCACAUCAACUAGGCAUAUCAACGGGCUAUGAAGAUGCCCAUCAAUAGAUAUCAAUGUGAGUGAGUAGGGAUUGCCAUGCAACGGAUGCACUAGAGCUAUAAGUGUAGGAAAGCUCAACAAAAGAACUAAGUGGGUGUGCAUCCAACUUGCUUGCUCACGAAGACCCAGGGCAUUUUUAGGAAGCCCAUCACUAGAAUAUACAAGCCAAGUUCUAUAAUGUAAAAUUCCCACUAGUAUAUGGAAGUGACAACAUAUGAGACUCUCUAUCAUGAAGAUCAGGGUGCUAUUUGAAGCACAAGUGUGGUAAAAGGAUAGUAGCAUUGUCCCUUCUCUCUUUUUCUCUCAUUUUUUUGGGCCUUGUCUUUUUUAUGGCCUUUCUCUUUUUUUACUCCGGAGUCUCAUCCCGACUUGUGGGGGAAUCAUAGUAUCCAUCAUCCUUUCCUCACUUGGGACAAUGCUCUAAUAAUGAUGAUCAUCACACUUUUAUUUACUUACAACUCAAAAAUUACAACUCGAUACUAGAACAAAAUAUGACUCCAUAUGAAUGCCUCCGGUGGUGUACCGGGAUGUGCAAUGAAUCAUGAGUGACAUGUAUGAACGAAUUAUGAACGGAGGCUUUGGCACAAAUACGAUGUCAACUACAUGAUCAUGCAAAGCAAUAUGACAAUGAUGUAACGUGUCAUAACAAACGGAACGGUGGUAAGUUGCAUGGCAAUAUAUCUCGGAAUGGCUUUGGAAAUGCCAUAAUAGGUAGGUAUGGUGGCUGUUUUGAGGAAGAUAUAAGGUGGGUGUAUGGUACCGGCGAAAGUUGCGCGGUACUAGAGAGGCUAGCAAUGAUGGAAGGGUGAGAGUGCGUAUAAUCCAUGGACUCAACAUUAGUCAUAAGAACUCACAUACUUAUUGCAAAAAUAUAUUAGUUAUCGAAACAAAGUACUACGCGCAUGCUCCUAGGGGGAUAUAUUGGUAGGAAAAGACCAUCGCUCGUCCCUGACUGCCAGUCAUAAGGAAGACAAUAAAUAAAUAAAUCAUGCUCCGACUUCAUCACAUAACAGUUCACCAUAUGCGCAUGCUACGGGAAUCACAAACUUUAACACGAGUAUUUCUCAAAUUCACAACUACUAAGCUAGCAUGACUCUAAUAUCACCAUCUUUAUAUCUCAAAAUAAUCAUCAAGUAUCAAACUUCUCAUAGUAUUCAAUGCACUUUUUAUGAUAGUUUUUAUUAUACCCAUCUUGGAUGCCUAUCAUAUUAGGACUAAUUUUAUAGCCAAAGAAAAUUACCAUGUUGUUCUAUAAGACUCUCAAAAUAAUAUAAGUGAAGCAUGAGAGAUCAAUAAUUUCUAUAAAAUAAAACCACCACCGUGCUCUUAAAAAGGUAUAAGUGAAGCACUAGAGCAAAAUUAUCUAGCUCAAAAGAUAUAAGUGAAGCACAUAGAGUAUUCUAAUAAAUUCCGAUUCAUGUGUGUCUCUCCAAAAGGUGUGUACAGCAAUGAUGAUUGUGGUAAACUAAAAAGGAAAGACUCAAAUCAUACAAUACGCUUCAAGCAAAACACAUAUCAUGUGGUGAAUAAAAAUAUAGCCUCAAGUAAAGUUACCGAUAGACGAAGACGAAAGAGGGGAUGCCUUACGGGGCAUCCCCAAGCUUAGGCUUUUGGUUGUCCUUGAAUUUUACCUUGGGGUGCCUUGGGCAUCCCCAAGCUUAGGCUCUUGCCACUCCUUAUUCCAAAAUCCAUCAAAUCUUUACCCAAAACUUGAAAACUUCACAACACAAAACUCAACAAAAAAUCUCAUGAGCUACGUUAGUAUAAGAAAACAAACCACCACUUCAAGGUACUGUAAUGAACUCAUUAUUUAUUUAUAUUGGUGUUAAACCUACUGUAUUCCNNNNNNNNNNNNNNNNNNNNNNNNNNNNNNNNNNNNNNNNNNNNNNNNNNNNNNNNNNNNNNNNNNNNNNNNNNNNNNNNNNNNNNNNNNNNNNNNNNNNNNNNNNNNNNNNNNNNNNNNNNNNNNNNNNNNNNNNNNNNNNNNNNNNNNNNNNNNNNNNNNNNNNNNNNNNNNNNNNNNNNNNNNNNNNNNNNNNNNNNNNNNNNNNNNNNNNNNNNNNNNNNNNNNNNNNNNNNNNNNNNNNNNNNNNNNNNNNNNNNNNNNNNNNNNNNNNNNNNNNNNNNNNNNNNNNNNNNNNNNNNNNNNNNNNNNNNUUCAUCAAAAUAAGCAAACAACACACGGAAAACAGAAUCUGUCAAAAACAGAAUAGCCUGUAGUAAUCUGUAGGUUUCGAAUACUUCUGUAACCCCAAAAAUGCUGAAAUAAAUUGGUAGACGUGGGUAAUUUGUUUACUAAUCAUUUGCAAAAAUAAUCAACCUAAUCGCACUCUCCAUUAAAAAAUGGCAGCAAAUCUCGUGAGCGCUAAAGUUUCUAUUUUUUACAGCAAGAUCGCAAAGACUUCCCCCAAGUCUUCCCAAAGGUUCUACUUGGCACAAACACUAAUUAAAAGCAUAAAACCACAUAUAAACAGAAGCUAGAUGAAUUAUUUGUUACUAAACUGGAACAAAAAAAGAAACAAAAAUAAAAUUGGGUUGCCUCCCAACAAGCGCUAUCGUUUAGCGCCCCUAGCUAGGCAUAAAAACAAUAAUAGAUCUAGGUGUUGCUAUGAUAAUGAUAAGGUAAAUCGUGAAAACUCAUCUCAUACUCCCUAUGUUCAGCAGAAAGAUUUCUUUGUGGCAUGCAAAAGUAAUCAAAAUGGCUAAAUUUAAUGGGACAAAAGUCCCCAAGAUCAAGCUCGGGAGGUAUUGGUUCCUCCUUUGGCCCCUCAUAUUGCACAACCAAUUCAUCAUUAUAAGCAUUCUUUUGGCAAAAAGUCAUGAGCCUUCGUUCAAGGGAAAAACCUAACCCAUUGUUCUGGAUAGCAAAAUUAUCAUUAAGUUCAGAGAUCCUGUCAACAAGAACAUCGGUAGGAACCUUCUUUCUAAGGUUUUUGUUAAAAGCACCAUGAUCUAAAGACCGUAAGCGCAUUAUGUCCUCUUGAUAAAAAAAGAUUGCUUCUAUGGGAGGACGACCAGCAUCCACACUAUAAUGCGCAAAAAUUUCAUUGGCUUCUUUUAUUAUAAAUCUGAACUCAUGAGCUAAAAGGAUGGUAGCUGCUCGCUUAACAGAAGAAUGCUCAAUAUUAGAAAAUUCUAGAAAGAUCCUCUAUAUGCAAGGAUGCAUAUGGAUAAAUUGUCUUUCAAGUUCAACCACAAGCUACGAUAUAGCAUCCGCAAGACUACUAGUUUUAUGAAGAAUAGACCCGCUCAUGGUGGGCAAAGCAUCGGCACAAGUAAAGAAAUCUUGAAUAACUCAUUUUCCAAUAAUAUUACCACCACCAAUCCGAAACUUUUUAGUGUGUAAAAUAGUAGGUUCUUCAUCAGGAUCAUCAAAAGCAUCAAAGUUUUCCAUGUUAUUACCAGUAUCCUUAUCAAUGAUAACCUCCCCAAUUUUAGACAUGAUGGCAGCAAGUUGCACAAAGAACGGGCACACAAAAGGCAAGAAAAGGAGCAACAAAGACGAGGUGAGUGGAAAUAGAGGGCGAAUAAAACGACAAGGGUAAAGUGGGGGAGAGGAAAACGAGAGGCAAAUGGCAAAUAAUGUAAUACAUGGGAUACGAGUUUGUGAUGGGUACUUGGUAUGUCUUGACUUGAUGCAACCUCCCUGGCAACGGUGCCAGGAAUUCUUCUUGCUACCUCUUGAGCAUUCGUUGGUUUUCCCUUGAAGAGGAAAGGGUGAUGCGGCACAGUAGCGUAAGUAUUUCCCUCAGUUUUUGAGAACCAAGGUAUUAAUCCAGUAGGAGGUAACACGCAAGUCACCUAGUACCUGCACAAACAAACAAGAACCUCGCAACCAACGUGAUAAAGGGGUUGUCAAUCCCUUCACGGUCACUUACGAAAGUGAGAUCAGAUAGAGAUAAUAAGAUAAAUAUUUUUGGUAUUUUAUGAUAUAGAUUGGAAAAUAAAGGUUGCAAAAUAAACGGUAAUAGAAAUAGCAAGUGGAUAUGAAAAUAAUAUGAUGGAAGAUAGACCCGGGGGCCAUAGGUUUCACUAGUGACUUCUCUCAAGAUAGCAAAUUCUACGGUGGGUGAACAAAUUACUAUCGAGCAAUUGAUAGAAAAGCGAAUAAUUAUGAGAAUAUCUAGGCAUGAUCAUGUAUAUAGGCAUCACAUCCGCGACAAGUAGACCAAAACGAUUCUACAUCUACUACUAUUACUCCACACAUCGACCGCUAUCUAGCAUGCAUCUAGAGUAUUAAGUUCAUAAGAACAUAGUAACACAUUAGGCAAGAUGACCUGAUGUAGAGGGAUAAAGUCAAGCAAUAUGAUAUAAACCCCAUAUUUUUAUCCUCGAUGGCAACAAUACAAUACGUGCCUUGCUUCCCCUGCUGUCACUGGGAAAGGACACUGCAAGAUUGAGCGCAAAGCUAAGCACUUCUCCCAUUGUAAGAAAGAUCAAUCUAGUAGGCCAAACCAAGCUGAUAAUUUGAAGAGACUUACAAAGAUAUUUAAAUCAUGCAUAAAAGAUUUCAGAGAAGAAUAAAAUAUUGUUCAUAGAUAAUCUUGAUCAUAGACCCACAAUUCAUCGAAUCUCAACAAACACACCGUAAAAAGAAUUACAUUGAAUAGAUCUCCAAGAGAAUCGAAGAGAACUUUGUAUUGAGAUCCAAAGAGAGAGAAGAAGCCAUCUAGCUAAUAACUAUGGACCCAAAGGUCUAUGGUAAACUAAUCACACAUCAUCGGAGAGGCCAUGGUGUUGAUAUAGAAGCCCUCCAUGAUCGAUUCCCCCCGGGAGAGCGCUGGAAAAGGCCCCAAGAUGGGACCUCACGGGUACAGAAGGUUGCGGUGGUGGAGAUAGGGUUUCGUGGUGCUCCUGGAUGUUUUUGGGGCAUAUGGGUAUAUAUAGGAGGAAGAAGUACAUCGGUGGAGCUGCGAGGGGCCCACGAGGGUGGGGGCGCGCCUGCCCCGUAGGUACGCCCUCCUGCCUCAUGGCCUCCUCGCUUCUUUCUUGACGUCCACUCCAAGUCUCCUGGAUUACGUUUGUUCCAAAAAUAACUCUCCUGAAGGUUUCAUUCCAUUCGGAUUCCGUUUGAUAUUCCUUUUCUGUGAAACACUGAAAUAGGUAAAAAAACAGCAAUUUGCACUGGGCCUUUGAUUAGCAGGUUAGUCCCAAAAAUAAUAUAAAAAGGUAAAUUAAAGCCCAUUAAACAUCCAAAACAGAUAAUAUAAUAGCAUGGAACAAUCAAAAAUUAUAGAUACGUUGGAGAUGUAUCAGGGCGCCUUGCACCCUCGUGGACAGGGCGUGGGUCCCCUAGUGUUGAUUCUUUUGCUAGUAUUUUUUAUUAAUUCUAAACGUGUCUCCGUUGAUUUUUAGGUCAUUCCGAGAACUUUUAUUUCUGCACAAAAAUAACACCAUGGCAAUUCUGCUGAAAACAGCAUCAGUCCGGGUUAGUUCCAUUCAAAUCAAGCAAGUUAGAGUCCAAAACAAGUUCAAAAGUGUUUGGAAAAGUAGAUACGAUGGAGACGUAUCACUGCCGCUAGUGUGCGACUGCUGCUACCUAGGCCACUGCCCAUGGGCCAACCCCCCCUUGGUUUAAUUAGAUGCUAACCCCAUAAUUAAGUUAAGCACUAACCCCUGCUAAACAUUUUUAGCUAAGCCUCUGUUAAGAUAAAACAUUAGUUAAAAAGAAGAAGAAAACAAAACUAAAUGAAAAGAAUCUGAGGCAAUGACAUUUGGGGCCCACAUGUACUAUUCAUUUGGAUAAGGCAUACACAGUCAGCUAUUGAGUUUGACUAUCAACCCACUAUCAGCCGCACAUGCAAAAGUAUGCGUACACUUUCGGGUACCCAUAGCAAUUAGGCAUUAACAUGAUUUGGUUUAAAAUAAAUCCGUAAUUCUAGAAAAUGUUUAAAACUUUGAAAAUUAAUAGAAAACAAACUGUAACUCCGAUGAAAAUAACUUAUAUAUGAAAAUCGAUCGGAAAAAUAUGACGAAUCCGAAUGUGCCAUCCGUUCAUCUGUCAGGUGCCUCUAGCAUAGCGAACAUGGAUCCGUCUCCUUCGAUUCAUCUGUCCGAAAAAUGCCAAACGUUGGGAAAACAUUCCUGGAUGUUUUUCCUCUUCGUCUGUAUCCCCUAGCACUGCGUUAGGUCAAACCUAGCAUCGUGUAUUGCCAUGUUAUGCUUUGUGAUGCUUUCUUUGUUUGCUUUAUAUUUAUUGUUUCUCCCCCCUCUUCUUCUCUGAUAGACCUCGAGACCGCUGCUGAUACCCGUGUGAUUGACUACAUCGACGAUGACCCCUCCUUUUUAGCAGAGCUUCUAGGCAAGAAAACCCCCGUUGAUCAUUCUUGUAUCGUCCAUUCCAUUCUCUCUCAUUCUUGCAUUAGAUUUUGCUACUGUACUUGAUUGCUCCUAUUCUGAUGCAUAGGAUGUUGUUGUAACCUGCUCUUGUACCUUACCUGCUUAUCCUAAGCUGCUUAGUGUAGGUUGGUUAGUGAUCCAUCAAUGACCCCUCACCUUGUCCCAGUUGCCCCCGCUUUAUGUUUGAUGACUUGAUCAACAUGAUCGAUGUCCAGGGUCUAAUACAUCACAUCACACCGCCUUAGUUAUACGACUCUGCAGAGCUACUAUCAAGUGCCGAUGGUGACACCUCAUAUAGCACUUCCGAUGUUAACUCUGUAGUGUAGCUAAUCGGUCAUGAGCUUCGAGGGUGAUUCCUCCUUCACCACUUUCGAUAUCUACUCGGUCAUGCAACCCUUCAAGUGUGGACCAUCGAGGGUGAUUCCUCCAAGUUCACCUUGACAUUUACAUUGAGUGGGAAUCCAUCAAGGGUGAUUCCUCGGGUUUCUCCCUUGUUGUUUUGGACACACGGUUACUUUGACUUUACCAAAGAACCAUAUUGAAGUCGGGUCGGCCCCGAGGGGUACCCGUGAGUUGAUGAGUAGUCGGGUUUACCGGGAGGCUGGAGGGUACCCAUGAUAUUUCUACGUGGCACGUCCGGGCAUUCCGGGUCCUUGUUGUAAGUCCAUCAGAUGGGGCGACGGGGUCACAUGAUCGUGAGUCUCUGCUUGAUACCCCAUGCUCCCAAGACACUAAUGGAUUUGGGUAUUUGAUCUGAGUUGGCCACUGGCCUAUAUGCAGAAACCACCACGCGGGACAAGAUAUGGGAAACCGGCGUCGUAGUAUCAGUUGAAGCUCUUCAAACGUCAAGGACUGAGUUGCGCGUGCUGAGUUGGACUAGAACGCCUGCGCUUGUGUAAGGGGGCUAGGUCUGCUCGCCGGCAGCGUACACAAUAUGCAGGAGUGCAAAUGGCGAUGGGCCCAAGACCCCUACGCGCUUAGGAUGUAGACCGGCGUGCUGGCCUCUCUGUUGAGCCUAGGUAGGGCUGCGACGUGUUGAUCUUCCGAGGCCGGGCAUGAACCAAGAAAGUGUGUCCGGCCAGAGAUGAUUGAGCGUGUCGGGUAAUGUGGUGCACCCCUGCAGGAUGUUUAUAUAUUCGAAUAGCUGUGUCCCCAGUAAAAGGAUGACUUGGAGUUGUAUCUUGAUCUAUACAACUAGAACUGGAUACUGAGAUGUGAAAUGGAUAUGAUGGCUUCAGGAUGAAGGAAAUAUGCCCUAGAGGCAAUAAUAAAGUUAUUAUUUAUUUCCUUAUAUCAUGAUAAAUGUUUAUUAUUCAUGCUAGAAUUGUAUUAACCGGAAACAUAAUGCAUGUGUGAAUACAUAGACAAACAAAGUGUCACUAGUAUGCCUCUACUUGACUAGCUCGUUAAUCAAAGAUGGUUAUGUUUCCUAACCAUGAACAAAGAGUUGUUAUUUGAUUAACGGGAUCACAUCAUUAAGUGAAUGAUCUGAUUGACAUGACCCAUUCCAUUAGCUUAGCACCCGAUCGUUUAGUAUGUUGCUAUUGCUUUCUUCAUAACUUAUACAUGUUCCUAUGACUAUGAGAUUAUGCAACUCCCGUUUACCAGAGGAACACUUUGUGUGCUACCAAACGUCACAAUGUAACUGGGUGAUUAUAAAGGAGCUCUACAGGUGUCUCCAAAGGUAUAUGUUGGGUUGGCGUAUUUCGAGAUUAGGAUUUGUCACUCCGAUUGUCGGAGAGGUAUCUCUGGGCCCUCUCGGUAAUGCACAUCAUUUAAGCCUUGCAAGCAUUGCAACUAAUGAGUUAGUUGCGGGAUGAUGCAUUACAGAACGACUAAAGAGACUUGCCGGUAACGAGAUUGAACUAGGUAUUGGAAUACAGACGAUCGAAUCUCGGACAAGUAACAUAUUGAUGACAAAGGGAACAACGUAGGUUGUUAUGCGGUCUGACCGAUAAAGAUCUUUGUAGAAUAUGUAGGAGCCAAUAUGAGCAUCCAGGUUCCGCUAUUGGUUAUUGACCAGAGACAUGUCUCGGUCAUGUCUACAUUGUUCUCGAACCCGUAGGGUCCGCACGCUUAAGGUUACGACGACAGUUAUAUUAUGAGUUUAUGCAUUUUGAUGUACCAAAGUUUGUUCGGAGUCCCGGAUGAGAUCACGGACAUGACGAGGAGUCUCGAAAUGGUCGAGACAUAAAGAUUGAUAUAUUGGAAGCCUAUGUUUGGGCAUCAGAAGUGUUCCGAGUGAAAUCAGGAUUUUACCGGAGUACCGGGAGGUUACCGGGACCCCCCGGGAGCUAUAUGGGCCUUAGUGGGCCUUUGUGGAAAAGAGAAGGGGCAGCCCUAGAUGGGCCGCGCGCCCCUCCCCUCCCUUGGUCCGAAUAGGACAAGGAGAGGGGGCCGGCCUCUCUCUCUCUUUUCCCCCCUCCGCGAAUCCUAUUCCAACUAGGAUUGGGGGGGGGGGGGAAUCCUACUCCCAGAGGGAGUAGGACUCUCCUGGCGCGCCUCUCCUAGGCCGGGCGCACCCUCCCCUUUAGUCCUUUAUAUACGGAGGCAGGGGCACCCCAGAAAGACACAAGUUGAUCCACGUGAUCUUAUUCUUAGCCGUGUGCGGCGCCCCCUUCCACCAUAGCCCUCGAUAAUAUUGUAGCGGAGUUUAGGCGAAACCCUCCUGCAGUUGUGCAUCAAGAUCGUCACCACGCCGUCGUGCUGACGGAACUCUUCCCCAACACUUUGCUGGAUCGGAGUCCGGGGAUCGUCAUCGAGCUGAACGUGUGCUAGAACUCGGAGGUGCCGUAGUUUCGGUGCUUGAUCGGCCGGGCCGUGGAGACGUACGACUACAUCAACCAAACGCUUCCGUUCUCGAUCUACAAGGUACGUAGAUCAUACUGUCCCCUCUCGUUGCAAUGCAUCACCAUGAUCUUGCGUGAGUGUAGGAAAUUUUUUGAAAUUACUACGAAACCCAACAGUGGCAUCCGAGCCUAGGUUUUAUAUGUUGAUGUUAUUUGCACGACUAGAACACAAGUGAGUUGUGGGCGAUAUAAGUCAUACUGCUUACCAGCAUGUCAUACUUUGGUUCGGCAGUAUUGUUGGACAAAGCGGCCCGGACCGACAUUACGCGUACGCUUACGCGAGACCAGUUCUCGCGACGUGCUUUGCACAUAGGUGGCUUGCGGGUGACAGUUUCUCCAACUUUAGUUGAAUCGAGUGUGGCUACGCCCGGUCCUUGCGAAAGUUAAAACAACACCAACUUGACAAACUAUCGUUGUGGUUAUGAUGCGUAGGUAAGAUUGGUUCUUGCUUAAGCCCGUAGCAGCCACGUAAAACUUGCAACAACAAAGUAGAGGACGUCUAACUUGUUUUUGCAGGGCAUGUUGUGAUGUGAUAUGGUCAAGACAUGAUGCUAAAUUUUAUUGUAUGAGAUGAUCAUGUUUUGUAACCGAGUUAUCGGCAACUGGCAGGAGCCAUAUGGUUGUCGCUUUAUAGUAUGCAAUGCAAUCGCGCUGUAAUGCUUUACUUUAUCACUAAACGGUAGCGAUAGUCGUGGAAGCACAAGCUUGGCGAGACGACAACGAUGGUACGAUGGAGAUCAAGGUGUCGCGCCGGUGACUAUGGUGAUCACGACGGUGCUUCGGAGAUGGAGAUCACAAGCACAAGAUGAUGAUGGCCAUAUCAUAUCACUUAUAUUGAUUGCAUGUGAUGUUUAUCUUUUAUGCAUCUUAUCUUGCUUUGAUUGACGGUAGCAUUAUAAGAUGAUCUCUCACUAAUUAUCAAGAAGUGUUCUCCCUGAGUAUGCACCAUUGCGAAAGUUCUUCGUGCUGAGACACCACGUGAUGAUCGGGUGUGAUAGGCUCUACGUUCAAAUACAACGGGUGCAAAACAGUUGCACACGCGGAAUACUCAGGUUAUACUUGACGAGCCAAGCAUAUACAGAUAUGGCCUCGGAACAUGGAGACCGAAAGGUCGAGCGUGAAUCAUAUAGUAGAUAUGAUCAACAUAGUGAUGUUCACCAAUGAAACUACUCCAUCUCACGUGAUGAUCGGACAUGGUUUAGUUGAUUUGGAUCACAUAAUCACUUAGAGGAUUAGAGGGAUGUCUAUCUAAGUGGGAGUUCUUUAAGUAAAUUAACUGAACUUAAAUUUAUCAUGAAACUUAGUACCUGAUAAGUAUCUUGCUUGUUUAUGCUUGUUUGUAGAUAGAUGGCUCGUGCUGUUGUUCUGUUGAAUUUUAAUGCGUUCCUUGAGAAAGCAAAGUUGAAAGAUGAUGGUAGCAAUUACACGGACUGGGUCCGUAACUUGAGGAUUAUCCUCAUUGCUGCACAGAAGAAUUACGUCCUGGAAGCACCGCUGGGUGCCAGGCCUGCUGCUGGAGCAACGCCGGAUGUUAUUAACGUCUGGCAGAGCAAAGCUGAUGACUACUCAAUAGUUCAGUGUGCCAUGCUUUACAGCUUAGAAUCGGGACUUCAACGACGUUUUGAACAUCAUGGAGCAUAUGAGAUGUUCCAGGAGUUGAAGUUAAUAUUUCAAGCAAAUGCCCGGAUUGAGAGAUAUGAAGUCUCCAAUAAGUUCUAUAGCUGCAAGAUGGAGGAGAACAGUUCUGUCAGUUAGCAUAUACUCAAAAUGUCUGGGUAUAAUAAUCACUUGAUUCAAUUGGGAGUUAAUCUUCCAGAUGAUUGCGUCAUUGACAGAAUUCUCCAAUCACUGCCACCAAGCUACAAGAGCUUCGUGAUGAACUAUAAUAUGCAAGGGAUGAAUAAGACUAUUCCCGAGCUCUUCGCAAUGCAGAAAUCUGCGGAGGUAGAAAUCAAGAAGGAGCAUCAAGUGUUGAUGGUCAACAAGACCACUAGUUUCAAGAAAAAGGGCAAAGGAAAGAAGAAGGGGAACUUCAAAAAGAACGGCAAGCAAGUUGCUACUCAAGAGAAGAAACCCAAACCUGGACCUAAGCCUGAAACUGAGUGCUUCUACUGCAAGCAGACUGGUCACUGGAAGCGGAACUGCCCCAAGUAUUUGGCGGAUAAGAAGGAUGGCAAGGUGAACAAAGGUAUAUGUGAUAUACAUGUUAUUGAUGUGUACCUUACUAAUGCUCGUAGUAGCACCUGGGUAUUUGAUACUGGUUCUGUUGCUAAUAUUUGCAACUCGAAACAGGGACUACGGAUUAAGGGAAGAUUGGCUAAGGACGAGGUGACGAUGCGCGUGGGAAACGGUUCCAAAGUCGAUGUGAUCGCAGUCGGCACGCUACCUCUACAUCUACCUUCGGGAUUAAUAUUAGACCUAAAUAAUUGUUAUUUGGUGCCAGCGUUAAGCAUGAACAUUAUAUCUGGAUCUUGUUUGAUGCCAGACGGUUAUUCAUUUAAAUCAGAGAAUAAUGGUUGCUCUAUUUAUAUGAGUAAUAUCUUUUAUGGUCAUGCACCCUUGAAGAGUGGUCUAUUCUUGUUGAAUCUCGAUAGUAGUAACACACAUAUUCAUAAUGUUGAAGCCAAAAGAUGCAGAGUUGAUAAUGAUAGUGCAACAUAUUUGUGGCACUGCCGUUUAGGCCAUAUCGGUGUAAAGCGCAUGAAGAAACUCCAUACUGAUGGACUUUUGGAACCACUUGAUUAUGAAUCACUUGGUACUUGCGAACCGUACCUCAUGGGCAAGAUGACCAAAACACCGUUCUCCGGUUCUAUGGAUAGAGCAACAGAUUUGUUGGAAAUCAUACAUACAGAUGUAUGUGGUCCGAUGAAUAUUGAGGCUCGUGGCGGAUAUCGUUAUUUUCUCACCUUCACAGAUGACUUAAGCAGAUAUGGGUAUAUCUACUUAAUGAAACAUAAGCCUGAAACGUUUGAAAAGUUCAAAGAAUUUCAGAGUGAAGUUGAAAAUCAUCAUAACAAGAAAAUAAAGUUUCUGUGAUCUGAUCGUGGAGGAGAAUAUUUGAGUUACGAGUUUGGUGUACAUUUGAAAAAUUGUGGAAUAGUUUCGCAACUCACGCCACCCGGAACACCUCAGCGUAAUGGUGUGUCCGAACGUCGUAAUCGUACUUUACUAGAUAUGGGGCGAUCUAUGAUGUCUCUUACUGAUUUACCGCUAUCAUUUUGGGGAUACGCUCUAGAGACGGCCGCAUUCACGUUAAAUAGGGCACCAUCAAAAUCCGUUGAGACAACGCUUCAUGAACUGUGGUUUGGCAAGAAACCAAAGUUGUCGUUUCUGAAAAUUUGGGGCUGCGAUGCUUAUGUGAAAAAGCUUCAACCUGAUAAGCUCGAACCCAAAUCGGAGAAAUGUGUCUUCAUAGGAUAUCCAAAGGAGACUAUUGGAUACAUCUUCUAUCACAGAUCCAAAGGCAAGACUUUUGUUGCUAAAUUCGGAAACUUUCUGGAGAAGGAGUUUCUCUCGAAAGAAGUGAGUGGGAGGAAAGUAGAACUUGACGAGGUAACUGUACCUGCUCCCUUAUUGGAAAGUAGUACAUCACAGAAAACUGUUUCUGUGACACCUACACCAGUUAGUGAGGAAGCUAAUGAUGAUGAUCAUGAAACUUCAGAACAAGAUACUACUGAACCUCGUAGAUCAACCAGAGUAAGAUCCGCGCCAGAGUGGUACGGUAAUCCCGUUCUGGAAGUCAUGCUACUAGAUCAUGAUGAACCUACAAACUAUGAAGAAGCGAUGGUGAGCCCAGAUUCCGCAAAGUGGCUUGAAGCCAUGAAGUCUGAGAUGGGAUCCAUGUAUGAGAACAAAGUAUGGACUUUGGUUGACUUGCCCGAUGAUCGGCAAGCAAUUGAGAAUAAAUGGAUCUUCAAGAAGAAGACUGACGCUGACGGUAAUAUUACUGUAUACAAAGCUCGACUUGUCGCAAAAGGUUUUCGGCAAGUUCAAGGGAUUGACUACGAUGAGACCUUGUCACCCGUAGCGAUGCUUAAGUCUGUCCGAAUCAUGCUAGCAAUUGCCGCAUUUUAUGAUUAUGAAAUUUGGCAAAUGGAUGUCAAAACUGCAUUCCUGAAUGGAUUUCUGGAAGAAGAGUUGUAUAUGAUGCAACCAGAAGGUUUUGUCGAUCCAAAGGGAGCUAACAAAGUGUACAAGCUCCAGCGAUCCAUUUAUGGACUGGUGCAAGCCUCUCGGAGUUGGAAUAAACGUUUUGAUAGUGUGAUCAAAGCAUUUGGUUUUAUACAGACUUUUGGAGAAGCCUGUAUUUACAAGAAAGUGAGUGGGAGCUCUGUAGCAUUUCUGAUAUUAUAUGUGGAUGACAUAUUACUAAUUGGAAAUGAUGUAGAAUUUCUGGAUAGCAUAAAGGGAUACUUGAAUAAGAGUUUUUCAAUGAAAGACCUCGGUGAAGCUGCUUACAUAUUAGGCGUUAAGAUAUAUAGAGAUAGAUCAAGACGCUUAAUUGGACUUUCACAAAGCACAUACCUUAACAAAGUUUUGAAGAAGUUCAAAAUGGAUCAAGCAAAGAAAGGGUUCUUGCCUGUGUUACAAGGUGUGAAGUUGAGUAAGACUCAAUGCCCGACCACUACAGAAGAUAGAGAGAAAAUGAAAGACGUUCCCUAUGCUUCAGCCAUAGGAUCUAUCAUGUAUGCAAUGUUGUGUACCAGACCUGAUGUGUGCCUUUCUAUAAGUCUAGCAGGGAGGUACCAAAGUAAUCCAGGAGUGGAUCACUGGACAGCGGUCAAGAACAUCCUGAAAUACCUGAAAAGGACUAAGGAUAUGUUUCUCAUAUAUGGAGGUGACAAAGAGCUCAUCGUAAAAGCUUACGUUGAUGCAAGCUUUGACACUGAUCCGGACGAUUCUAAAUCGCAAACCGGAUACGUGUUUACAUUAAACGGUGGAGCUGUCAGUUGGUGCAGUUCUAAACAAAGCAUUGUAGCGGGAUCUAUAUGUGAAGCGGAGUACAUAGCUGCUUCGGAAGCAGCAAAUGAAGGAGUCUGGAUGAAGGAGUUCAUAUCCGAUCUAGGUGUCAUACCUAGUGCAUCGGGUCCAAUGAAAAUCUUUUGUGACAAUACUGGUGCAAUUGCCUUGGCAAAGGAAUCCAGAUUUCACAAAAGAACCAAGCACAUCAAGAGACGCUUCAAUUCCAUCUGGGAUCUAGUCCAGGUGGGAGACAUAGAGAUUUGCAAGAUACAUACGGAUCUGAAUGUUGCAGACCCGUUGACUAAGCCUCUUCCAUGAGCAAAACAUGAUCAGCACCAAGGCUCCAUGGGUGUUAGAAUCAUUACUGUGUAAUCUGAUUAUUGACUCUAGUGCAAGUGGGAGACUGAAGGAAAUAUGCCCUAGCGGCAAUAAUAAAGUUAUUAUUUAUUUCCUUAUAUCAUGAUAAAUUUUUAUUAUUCAUGCUAGAAUUGUAUUAACCGGAAACAUAAUGCAUGUGUGAAUACAUAGACAAACAAAGUGUCACUAGUAUGCCUCUACUUGACUAGCUCGUUAAUCAAAGAUGGUUAUGUUUCCUAACCAUGAACAAAGAGUUGUUAUUUGAUUAACGGGAUCACAUCAUUAAGUGAAUGAUCUGAUUGACAUCACCCAUUCCAUUAGCUUAGCACCCGAUCGUUUAGUAUGUUGCUAUUGCUUUCUUCAUAACUUAUACAUGUUCCUAUGACUAUGAGAUUAUGCAACUCCUGUUUACCAGAGGAACACUUUGUGUGCUACCAAACGUCACAACGUAACUGGGUGAUUAUAAAGGAGCUCUACAGGUGUCUCCAAAGGUAUAUGUUGGGUUGGCGUAUUUCGAGAUUAGGAUUUGUCACUCCGAUUGUCGGAGAGGUAUCUCUGGGCCCUCUCGGUAAUGCACAUCAUUUAAGCCUUGCAAGCAUUGCAACUAAUGAGUUAGUUGUGGGAUGAUGCAUUACAGAACGAGUAAAGAGACUUGCCGGUAACGAGAUUGAACUAUGUAUUGGAAUACCGACGAUCGAAUCUCGGACAAGUAACAUACCGAUGACAAAGGGAACAACGUAUGUUGUUAUGCGCUCUGACCGAUAAAGAUCUUCGUAGAAUAUGUAGGAGCCAAUAUGAGCAUCCAGGUUCCGCUAUUGGUUAUUGACCGGAGACAUGUCUCGGUCAUGUCUACAUUGUUCUCGAACCCGUAGGGUCUGCACGCUUAAGGUUACGAUGACAGUUAUAUUAUGAGUUUAUGCAUUUUGAUGUACCGAAGUUUGUUCGGAGUCCCGAAUGAGAUCGCGGACAUGACGAGGAGUCUCGAAAUGGUCAAGACAUAAAGAUUGAUAUAUUGGAAGCCUAUGUUUGGAUAUCGGAAGUGUUCCGAGUGAAAUCGGGAUUUUACCGGAGUACCGGGAGGUUACCGGAACCCCCCGGGAGCUAUAUGGGCCUUAGUGGGCCUUAGUGGAAAAGAGAAGGGGCAGCCCUAGAUGGGCCGCGCGCCCCUCCCCUCCCUUGGUCCGAAUAGGACAAGGAGAGGGGGCCGGCCUCUCUCUCUCUUUUCCCCCCUCCGCGAAUCCUAUUCCAACUAGGAUUGGGGGGGGGAUUCUACUCCCAGAGGGAGUAGGACUCUCCCGGCGCGCCUCUCCUAGGCCGGCCGCACCCCCCCCCCCUUUAGUCCUUUAUAUACGGAGGCAGGGGCACCCCAGAAAGACACAAGUUGAUCCACGUGAUCUUAUUCUUAGCCGUGUGCGGCGCCCCCUUCCACCAUAGCCCUCGAUAAUAUUGUAGCGGAGUUUAGGCGAAGCCCUGCUGCAGUUGUGCAUCAAGAUCGUCACCACGCCGUUGUGCUGACGGAACUCUUCCCCGACACUUUGCUGGAUCGGAGUCUGGGGAUCGUCAUCGAGCUGAACGUGUGCUAGAACUCGGAGGUGCCGUAGUUUCGGUGCUUGAUCGGUCGGGCCGUGGAGACGUACGACUACAUCAACCAAACACUUCCGUUGUCGAUCUACAAGGUACGUAGAUCAUACUCUCCCCUCUCGUUGCAAUGCAUCACCAUGAUCUUGCGUGAGCGUAGGACUUUUUUUGAAAUUACUACGAAACCCAACACAGGAUUGCUUUCUCGCAGGGAGUCAAGAAAGGAUCUCUGGGCGUUAGUGCUACAACAUGCUUGCUUAUUAUAAAAUUCUAUUUUGUACUCUUCUAAAUGUUGUAAGAUGCUAGUCUUUGAUAGGCUAGACUUCCCCUAUAUUCUAGCAUUAUACAGUUUAGUCCACAGAUAUAGUCCAUUCCUUUGAUACUGAUGCAUACUUUGUUCAGAUCUAAUGUAAGUCUUGCGAGUACUUUGGAUGAGUACUCAUGGUUGAUUUGCUUCCUCUUUUCCCCUAUACCCGAUUGCUGCAAUCAGAUGGUGGAUCCAGGAGACAGACACCUCCACCGAUGGCUACUACUACCCCAAGUGUGCGUACUACGUGGAGGCCACCAACGACCAGGAGUAGUUAGGAGGCUCCCAGGCAGGAGGCCUUGCCUUUUCGAUCAUCGUAGAUGUUUGUGCUAGCCUUCUUAAGGCAAACUUGUUUAACUCAUGUCUCUACUCAGAUGGUGUUGCUUGUGCUAACUUGUUUGUAUUCGAGCUGAUGUGUUCGAGCCCUCGAGGCCCCAGGCUUAUAAUAUGAAGCUUGUAUGACUUUAAUUUAUGUCUAGAGUUGUGUUGUGAUAUCUUCACGUGAGUCCCUGAUCUUGAUCGUACACAUUUGCGUGUAUGAUUAGUGUACGAUUGAAUCGGGGGCGUCACAACUUUGACCAUAAAAAGAGUGCUUAAAAUUUUCUCGGAUUUCACUAGGCCACACAUCAAUUUCAACAAAAGCACUUUAUUCCUGAUGUCUGCUAGAACUACGUCGGUAUUUCCCCAAAGAGGAAGGGAUGAUGCAGCACAACGACUAUAGGUAUUUCGCUCAGUGAUGAGACCAAGGUUAUCGACCCAGUAGGAGAACCAAGGAACACUACAUAAACAACACCUGCACACAAAUAACAAAUACUCGCAACCUCACGUGUUAAAGGGGUUGUCAAUCCCUUUCGGGUAACGGCACCAAAAAUUGGUAGACAGACGUGAUAAAAAUAUGAUAGAUUGGAUAAAUAUAUCUCGAAUAAAAUAAAUUGCAACAAGGUAUUUUUGUAUUUUUGGUUUAAUAGAUCAGGAAAAGGAAAAUACAUUGCAAACGCAAAUAUAUUAAAGAAGAGACCCCAGGGCCGUAGUUUUCACUAGUGGCUUCUCUCGAGAAAAAAACAAACAGUGGGUGAACAAAUUACUAUUUGGCAAUUGAUAGAACUUCAAAUAAUCAUGAUGAUAUCCAGGCAAUGAUCAUUAUAUAGGCAUCACGUCCAAGAUUAGUAGACCGACUCCUACUUGCAUCUACUACUAUUACUCCACACAUCGACCGCUAUCCAGCAUGCAUCUAGUGUAAGUUCAUGGAGAAACGGAGUAAUGCCAUAAGAACGAUGAUAUGAUGUAGACAAGAUCUGUUUAUGUAUAAAUAGACCCCAUCAUUUUAUCCUUAGUAGCAACGAUACAUACAUGUCGGUUCCCCUUCUAUCACUCGGAUCAAGCACUGUAAGAUCAAACCCACUACAAAGCAUCUCUUUCCAUUGCAAGAUAAAUAGAUCAAGUUGGCCAAACAAAACCCAAAUAUCAGAGAAGAAAUACGAGGUUAUAAGCAAUUAUGCAUAUAAGAGAUCAAAGAAACUCAAAUAACUUUCAUGGAUGAAAAGAGAUAGAUCUGAUCAUAAAAUCAAAGUUCAUCGGAUCCCAACAAACACACCGCAAAAGAGAAUCAAAUGAGAGAGUUGAAGCCAUCUAGCUACUAACUACGGAUCCGAAGGUCUACAAAGAACUACUCAUGCAUCAUUGGAGAGACACCAAUGGAAGUGGUGAACCCCUAUGUGAUGGUGUCUAGAUUGGAUCUGGUGGUUCUGGACUCUGUGGCGGCUGGAAUUGAUUUUCGUCGGGUCCCCUAGGGUUUCUAGAAUAUUGCUACCUCUUGAGCACUACGUUGGUUUUCCCUUGAAGAGGAAAGGGUGAUGCAGCAAAGUAGCGUAAGUAUUUCCCUCAGUUUUUGAGAUCCAAGGUAUCAAUCCAAUAGGAGACUACACGCAAGUCCCUCGUACCUACACAGAUAAAUACGAACCUCGCAACCAAUGCGAUAAAGGGGUUGUCAAUCCCUUCACGGUUACUUACGAGAGUGAGAUCUGAUAGAGAUAAUAAUAAAAAGAUAAAUAUUUUUGGUAUUUUUAUGAUAUAGAUUGAAAGUAAAGAUUGCGAAAUAAAAUAGAUUGGAAACUUAUAUGAUAAAAGAUAGACCCCGGGGGCCAUAGGUUUCACUAGUGAUUUCUCUCAAGAUAGGAUAAGCAUUACGGUGGAUGAACAAAUUACUGUCGAUUAAAAGCAUGAAGCAUGUUUUGCGGCACACACCAAAAUAAAAGGUUAGGUUGCUUUUACAAAAACUAGUCAAUGUGUACGUGCAAUGCACAUUAAUUUGGAAGUAUAUUAAGUGCAUGCGGAUAUUAAGUAGGAUAUUAUUCGCAUGUUAUUAUGUGAUUAGCACUAUAUUUGGCAUGAAAUUAACUGCACGCUAACGUGUUGAGCGCUCGACAUUGAAGUAGUCUAGGUCGUUGGAUUGGCAUGAUUUAAUGGCCGCGAUUAAUUGGAUCUUCCCCUUGUUGGGGAAUGUAGUAAUUUCAAAAAAUUGCCUAUGCACACACAAGAUCAUGGUGAUGCAUAGCAACGAGAGGGGAGAGUGUUGUUCACGUACCCUCGUAGACCGAAAGUGGAAGCGUUAGCACAACGCGGUUGAUGUAGUCGUACGUCUUCACGAUCCAACCGAUCAAGUACCGAACGUAUGACACCUCCGAGUUCAGCACAUGUUCAGCCCGAUGACAUCCCUCGAACUCUGAUCCAGCUGAGUGUUGAGGGAGAGCAUGACGGCAUGGUGACGAUAAUGAUGUUCUACUAAAGCAGGGCUUCGCCUAAGCACCUCUAUAGUAUUAUCGAGGUGGACUAUGGUGGAAGGGGGCACCUCACACGGCUAAAAGAUCAAACGAUCAAUUGUUGUGUCUCUAGGGUGCCCCCUGCCCCCGUAUAUAAAGGAGCAAGGGGGAGGUGCGGCCGGCCAAGAGGGGCGCGCCAGGAGGAGUCCUACUCCCACCGGGAGUAGGACUCCCUCCCUUUUCCUUGUUGGAUUAGGAGUGGAGGGGGAAAGAGGAGGGAGAGAGGAAGGAAAGAGGGGGGCGCCACCCCCUCUCCUUGUCCUAUUCGGACUAGGGGGAGGGGCGCGCGGCCCUGCCCUGGCUGCCUCUCCUCUUCUCCACAAAGGCCCACUAUGGCCCAUUAAGCCCCUCGGGGGGUUCCGGUAACCCCUCGGUACUCUGGUAAAAUCUCGAUUUCACCUGGAACACUUCCGAUAUCCAAAUAUAGGCUUCCAAUAUAUCAAUCUUCAUGUCUCGACCAUUUUGAGACUCCUCGUCAUGUCUGUGAUCACAUCCGGUACUCCGAACAACCUUCGGUACAUCAAAAACCAUACACUCAUAAUAUAACCGUCAUCGAAACUUUAAGAGUGCGGACCCUACAGGUUCGAGAACUAUGUAGACAUGACCGAGACACGUCUCCGGUUAAUAACCAAUAGCGGAACCAGGAUGCUCAUAUUGGCUCCCACAUAAUCUACGAAGAUCUUUAUCAGUCAGACCGCAUAACAACAUACGUUGUUCCCUUUGUCAUCGGUAUGUUACUUGCCCGAGAUUCGUUCGUCGGUAUCUCGACACCUUGUUCAAUCUCGUUACCGACAAGUCUCUUUACUCGUUCUGCAAUACAUCAUCCCGCAACUAACUCAUUAGUUGCAAUGCUUGCAAGGCUUAAGUGAUGUGCAUUACCGAGAGGGCCUAGAGAUACCUCUCCGACAAUCGGAGUGAGAAAUCCUAAUCUCGAAAUACGCCAACCCAACAAGUACCUUCGGAGACACUUGUAGAGCACCUUUAUAAUCACCCAGUUACGUUGUGACGUUUGGUAGCACACAAAGCAUUCCUCCGGUAAACGGGAGUUACAUAAUCUCAUAGUCAUAGGAACAUGUAUAAGUCAUGAAGAAAGCAAUAGCAACAUACUAAACGAUCGAGUGCUAAGCUAACAGAAUGGGUCAAGUCAAUCACAUCAUUCUCCUAAUGAUGUGAUCCCGUUAAUCAAAUGACAACUCAUGUCAAUGGCUAGGAAACAUAACCAUGUUUGAUCAACGAGCUAGUCAAGUAGAGGCAUACUAGUGACACUCUGUUUGUCUAUGUAUUCACACAAGUAUUAUGUUUCCGGUUAAUACAAUUCUAGCAUGAAUAAUAAACAUUUACCAUGAUAUAAGGAAAUAAAUAAUAACUUUAUUAUUGCCUCUAGGGCAUAUUUCCUUCAGUCUCCCACUUGCACUAGAGUCAUUAAUCUAGAUUACACAGUAAUGAUUCUAACACCCAUGGAGCCUUGGUGCUGAUCAUGUUUUGCUCGUGGAAGAGGCUUAGUCAACGGGUCUGCAACAUUCAAAUCCGUAUGUAUCUUGCAAAUUUCUAUGUCUCCCACCUGGACUAGAUCCCGGAUGGAAUUGAAGCGUCUCUUGAUGUGCUUGGUUCUCUUGUGAAAUCUGGAUUCCUUCGCCAAGGCACUUGCACCAGUAUUUUCACAAAACAUUUUCAUUGGACCCGAUGCACUAGGUAUGACACCUAGAUCGGAUAUGAACUCCUUCAUCCAGACUCCUUCAUUUGCUGCUUCCGAAGCAGCUAUGUACUUCGCUUCACUUGUAGAUCCCGCCACGACACUUUGUUUAGAACUGCAUCAACUGAUAGCUCCACCGUUCAAUGUAAACACGUAUCCGGUUUGUGAUUUAGAAUCAUCCAGAUCAUUGUCAAAGCUUGCAUCGACGUAACCAUUUAUGACUAGCUCUUUGUCACCUCCAUAAAUGAGAAACAUAUUGUUAGUCCUUUUCAGGUAUUUCAGGAUGUUCUUGACCGCUGUCCAGUGAUCCACUCCUGGAUUACUUUGGUACCUCCCUGCUAAACUUAUUGCAAGGCACACAUCAGGUCUGGUACACAGCAUUGCAUACAUGAUAGAGCCUAUGGCUGAAACAUGGGGAACAUCUUUCGUCUUCUCUCUAUCUUCUGCAGUGGUCGGGCAUUGAGUCUUACUCAACUUCACACCUUGUAACACAGGCAAGAACCCUUUCUUUGCUUGAUCCAUUUUGAACUUCUUCAAAACUUUGUCAAGGUAUGUGCUUUGUGAAAGUCAAAUUAAGCGCCUUGAUCUAUCUCUAUAGAUCUUGAUGCCCAAUAUAUAAGCAGCUUCACCAAGGUCUUUCAUUGAAAAACUCUUAUUCAAGUAUCCCUUUAUGCUAUCCAGAAAUUCUAUAUCAUUUCCAAUUAACAAUAUGUCAUCCACAUAUAAUAUUAGAAAUGCUACAGAGCCCCCACUCACUUUCUUGUAAAUACAGGCUUCUCCAAAAGUCUGUAUAAAACCAAAUGCUUUGAUCACACUAUCAAAGCGUUUAUUCCAACUCCGAGAGGCUUGCACCAGUCCAUAAAAGGAUCGCUGGAGCUUGCACACUUUGUUAGCUCCCUUUGGAUCGACAAAACCUUCUGGUUGCAUCAUAUACAACUCUUCUUCCAGAAAUCCAUUCAGGAAUGCAGUUUUGACAUCCAUUUGCCAAAUUUCAUAAUCAUAAAAUGCGGCAAUUGCUAACAUGAUUCGGACAGACUUAAGCAUCGCUACGGCAAGGUUGGAAAAAGCGGUAGGCGUAAGCGAGGAGAAUGGCCUUCGCCUAGUGCCUAGGCGGUGCCUAAGCGCGCUAGGCGCGGCCUAGGCGGUAAUAUUUUUUUACUCGUAAUGUAUUUGUGAUUAUUAUAUGGGUGUUGAUAUUAGUUUAGGCCAUAUAAAUAAGUUAAUUACCAUCUACUGUCAUUGGAAUAUAACCCGUUUGGCAUAUUAGUGCAGUAUGUGGCAUCAUUUCUUGCUUGGGUAGGCAAUUCCUUGCUUGCCCUGCCUAGACUCCAUUUAUGCCCUAGGCGAGGCGUUUGGCCAUUGCCUAGCGCCUAGGCGUGCCUAAGCGCCUCCUAGGCACUGCCUUUUCCAACAGAGGCUACGGGUGAGAAAGUCUCAUCGUAGCUUGUCGAAAACCUUUUGCAACAAGUCGAGCUUUAUAGACAGUAAUAUUACCGUCAGGGUCAGUCUUCUUCCUGAAGAUCCAUUUAUUCUCAAUGGCUUGCUGAUCAUUGGGCAAGUCAACCAAAGUCCACACUUUGUUCUCAUACAUGGAUCCCAUCUCAGAUUUCAUGGCAUCAAGACAUUUUGCGGAAUCUGGGCUUACCAUCGCUUCUUCAUAGUUCGUAGGUUCGUCAUGGUCUAGUAACAUAACCUCCAGAACAGGAUUACCGUACCACUCUGGUGCGGAUCUUACUCUGGUUAACCUACGAGGUUCAGUAACAACUUGAUCUGAAGUUCCAUGAUCAUCAUCAUUAACUUCCUCACUAAUUGGUGUAGGCGUCACAGGAACCGGUUUAUGUGAUGAACUACUUUCCAAUAAGGGAGCAGGUACAGUUACCUCAUCAAGUUCUACUUUCCUCCCACUCACUUCUUUCGAGAGAAACUCCUUCUCUAGAAAGGAUCCAUUCUUAGCAACGAAUGUCUUGCCUUCGGAUCUGUGGUAGAAGGUGUACCGAAUAGUUUCCUUUGGGUAUCCUAUGAAGACACAUUUCUCCGAUUUGGGUUCGAGCUUAUCAGGUUGAAGUUUUUCCACAUAAGCAUCGCAUCCCAAAACUUUAAGAAAUGACAACUUUGAUUUCUUGCCAAACCAUAGUUCAUAAGGCGCCGUUUCAACGGAUUUCGAUGGUGCCCUAUUUAACGUGAAUGCAGCCGUCUCUAAAGCAUAACCCCAAAAUGAUAGAGGUAAACCAGUAAGAGACAUCAUAGAUCGUACCAUAUCUAGUAAAGUACGAUUAUGAUGUUCGGACACACCAUUACGCUGUGGUGUUCGGGGUGGCGUGAGUUGUGAAACUAUUCCGCAUUGUUUCAAAUGUAUACCAAACUCGUAACUCAAAUAUUCUCCUCCACGAUCAGAUCGUAGAAACUUUAUUUUCUUGUUACGAUGAUUUUCAACUUCACUCUGAAAUUCUUUGAACUUUUCAAAUGUUUCAGACUUAUGUUUCAUUAAGUAGAUAUACCCAUAUCUGCUUAAAUCAUCUGUGAAGGUGAGAAAAUAACGAUACCCACUGCGAGCCUCAAUAUUCAUUGGUCCACAUACAUCAGUAUGUAUGAUCUCCAAUAAAUCAGUUGCUUGCUCCAUAGUUUCGGAGAACGGCAUUUUAGUCAUCUUGCCCAUGAGGCACAGUUCGCAAGUACCAAGUGAUUCAUAAUCAAGUGAUUCCAAAAGUCCAUCAGUAUGGAGUUUCUUCAUGCGCUUUACACCAAUAUGACCCAAAUGGCAGUGCCACAAAUAAGUUGCACUAUCAUUAUCAACUCUGCAACUUUUGGCUUCAACAUUAUGAAUAUGAUAUGUGUAUCACUACUAUCGAGAUUCAUUAAAAAUAGACCACUCUUCAAGGGUGCAUGACCAUAAAAGAUAUUAAUCAUAUAAAUAGAACAACCAUUAUUCUCUGAUUUAAAUGAAUAACCAUCUCGCAUCAAACAAGAUCCAGAUAUAAUGUUCAUGCUCAACGCUGGCACCAAAUAACAAUUAUUUAGGUCUAAAACUAAUCCGGAAGGUAGAUGUAGAGGUAGCGUGCCGACGGCGAUCACAUCGACUUUGGAACCGUUUCCCACGCGCAUCGUCACCUCGUCCUUGGCCAGUGUUCGCUUAAUCCGUAGUCCCUGUUUUGAGUUGCAAAUAUUAGCAACAAAACCAGUAUGAAAUACCCAGGUGCUACUGCGAGCUCUGAUAAGGUACACAUCAAUAACAUGUAUAUCACAUAUACCUUUGUUCACCUUGCCAUCCUUCUUAUCCGCCAAAUACUUGGUGCAGUUCCAUUUCCAGUGACCAGUCUACUUGCAGUAGAAGCACUCAGUCUCAGGCUUAGGUCUAGACUUGGGUUUCUUCUCUUGAGCAGCAACUUGUUUGUUGUUCUUCUUGAAGUUCCCCUUCUUCUUCCCUUUGCCCUUUUUCUUGAAACUGGUGGUCUUAAUGACCAUCAACACUUGAUGAUCCUUCUUGAUUUUACCUCCGCAGCCUUUAGCAUUGCGAAGAGCUCGGGAAUCGUCUUAUCCAUCCCUUGCAUGUUAUAGUUCAUCACGAAGCUUUUGUAGCUUGGUGGUAGUGAUUGAAGAAUUCUGUCAAUGACGCUAUCAUUCGGAAGAUUAACUCCCAGUUGAAUCAAGUGAUUGUAGUACCCAGACAUCUUGAGUAUAUGCUCACUGACAGAACUAUUCUCCUCCAUCUUGCAGCUCUAGAACUUAUUGGAGACUUCAUAUCUCUCAAUCCGGGCAUUCUUUUGAAAUACUAACUUCAACUCCUAGAACAUCUCAUGUGCUCCAUGACGUUCAAAACGUCAUGAAGUCCCGGUUCUAAGCCAUAAAGCAUGGCACACUGAGCUAUCGAGUAGUCAUCAACACGCGACUGCCAGGCAUUCACAAUGUCUGCAGUUGCUGGCACAGGUGGUACACCUAGCGGUGCUUCCAGGACAUAACUUUUCUGUGCAGCAAUGAGGAUACUCCUCAAGUUACGGACCCAGUCCGUGUAAUUGCUACCAUCAUCUUUCAACUUUGCUUUCUCAAGGAACGCAUUAAAAUUCAACGGAACAACAGCACGGGCCAUCUAUCUACAAACAACAUAGACAAGCAAGAUACUAUCAGGUACUAAGUUCAUGAUAAAUUUAAGUUCAAUUAAUCAUAUUACUUAAGAACUCCCACUUAGGUAGACAUCUCUCUAAUCCUCUAAGUGAUCACAUGAUCCAUAUCAACUAAACCAUAACCGAUCAUCACGUGAAAUGGAGUAGCUUUCAAUGGUGAACAUCACUAUGUUGAUCAUAUCUACUAAAUGAUUCAUGCUCGACCUUUUGAUCUUAGUGUUCCGAGGCCAUAUCUACAUAUGCUAGGCUCGUCAAGUUUAACCUGAGUAUUCUGCGUGUGCAAAACUGGCUUGCACCCGUUGUAGAUGGACGUAUAGCUUAUCACACCCGAUCAUCACGUGGUGUCUGGGCACGACGAACUUUGGCAACGGUGCAUACUCAGGGAGAACACUUUUAUCUUGAAAUUUAGUGAGAGAUCAUCUUAUAAUGCUACCGUCAAACAAAGCAAGAUAAGAUGCAUAAAAGAUAAAUAUCACAUGCAAUCAAUAUAAGUGAUAUGAUAUGGCCAUCAUCAUCUUGUGCUUGUGAUCUCGAUCUUCGAAGCACCGUCAUGAUCACCAUCGUCACCGGCGUGACACCUUGAUCUCCAUCGUAGCAUCAUUGUCGUCUCGCCAAUCUUAAGCUUCUACGACUAUCGCUAUUGCUUAGUGAUAAAGUAAAGCAUUACAAGGCAAUUGCAUUGCAUACAAUAAAGCAACAACCAUAUGGCUCCUGCCAGUUGCCGAUAACUCGGUUACAAAACACGAUCAUCUCAUACUAUAAAAUUUAGCAUCAUGCUUUGACCAUAUCACAUCACAACAUGCCCUACAAAAACAAGUUAGACGUCCUCUACUUUGUUGUUGCAAGUUUUACGUGGCUGCUACGGGCUAAGCAAGAACCGUUCUUACCUACGCAUCAAAACCACAAUGAUAGUUUGUCAAGUUGGUGUUGUUUCAACCUUCGCAAGGACAGGGCGUAGCCACACUCGGUUCAACUAAAGUUGGAGAAACUGACACCCGCCAGCCACCUGUGUGCAAAGCACGUCAGUAGAACCAGUCUCGCGUAAGCGUACGCGUAAUGUCGGUUCGGGCCGCUUCAUCCAACAAUACCGCCGAACCAAACACUACUAGGAAAAGGCAUGCUAGUGGCGCACCGAAUUUGCCUUCUAAUGGCGCACUACCGGUGCGCCACUGGCAUCACGCCAUUAGAAUUAAAUUCUAAUGGCGCACCACCGGUGCGCCAUUAGUAUCUGGUGUUCUAAUGGCGCACCACGUGGUGCGCCAUUAGUAUAGCCUGCAGUGCGCCAUUAGAAUGCCUCCCAGGGGGCCAUAUGUACCCAUGUGCUUUGGCAUUCUAAUGGCGCACCAGCAGUUAAUGCGCCAUUAGUUUGAGGAUCACAGUGCGCCAUUAGUGUCUUGUGUGGUGCACCAUUAGUAUGAAUAUUAGGUUUUAUUUUUUUUGCUUUUCUGAUUUUUGCACAGGUUACAAAAUAUAUUAUUGGACAGAAUAUAGACAGCAGCACACAGCAACAUCAGAUUCAUCGAAUACAAUAGAAGAUUAGUCUCCGAAUACAAUUCAUCAUAUUAGUCUCCGAAUUCAAAAGACCAAACGAAGAUAAAACAUUACAAGUCUCAAGACCGCGAGUAUCGAGUUUGCCUUCACAUUACAAGUCGAUAUCGAUCAUCUAAACUACCAUCACAUAGAAGAGAGCUGUGGUCAUCACGAUGAGCAUCAUCGCGAUCAAACUGGUCUUCAUCCGGUUCCUCCAACGCUCCCUCCUCUCCCCCUCUAGAUAGCGGGUGUAUCUACAUUCGGCCUCCGCCCUAGUGGUGUACCCUUUGUAACUGUUACCGCUGAAACAGUGAACCUGUCUCCGACACUCCUCCCAGUCGUCGUAGCCUCCGGGAACCUUACCCUUGUACACGACAUACGACGGCAUCUCUAUGCACAAGCCAAACAACAGACAAUACAUAAGCAAUAUGUAAGUAUGCAACAAAAGGAUUGGAAGAGAAAAGCAAGAUAUUAAUAGCACGAUUCAUGGUCCUACUAAUAAAUAACAUCGAUUACAUCUAAGUUGAACGACUGUCCAAACCAAAGAGACAUGCGAAUUCAUUAAAGUAUAAUUACAACAUGAGCCAAUCAAUGUUUCAGAACUACACAUCACUACUUUCGACUCGACUCAUCGGACAGGAAUGUGGAUGAAGCCGCCGUCUGCCGUGAUGGUCAUGAAAUCGCGGUCGUUGUCACCCUGCAUUUGUAGCAUUUCAUCUAUCUCACUGUUGGACGGUUGAUAUCUGAGGAAGAACUGCCCCGAGGUAUGAAGGACAUCUUGAUGGAUGAUGUCCGCAAACUCCGACUGGAUGCGACAGAAUUCUUGUCUGAGGUCCGCGUCCUGGACUGCCGACAAGCUCGCGGCCCAAUCUUUGAGAUUAUCUGGUAGCAGAAGUUGAUGAUGGUCCCUUACGAUCGCCCGCAUGUGAUGGAGGGCAUAGUAGGCAUCCUUCUGACCACCAGGCGGCUGCUUGACGCAGCAGAACUUCAUAUUGUAUGAGAACAUGUGCUUGCCGUACUUACGAACUGCCCUGGUGAAGGUGCCUCCAGAUUUGGCGUAGGCGGGGAGAACAUCAUCAAGAACUUUCUUGACAUUUGUGUAGUCUAUCUUGGAGUUAUGGUUCGGGUCUAAAUACGUGGCCAUGGAAUAUUUUGGGCUUAAGAGGAUGAGUGUGCAAUGUGUGUCACUGCAUAGAACACGGAAUGUUAGAAAAAAAGAACGAUCAAAAUCUAAUAAAUCAUAUGUUACGGGGCAGUUAAGGGAUGACUUACUCGGGAAAGUAAGCCACAAGGAAGUUAUCCUUAUCUGGGUUUGCCAUAAUGACGCCUUCGAGGUGUGAACUUGCAACUUGGCGGUCCCCAACGCUGCUCAAGUGCUUGGCACGCAUGUAGAAGGGGUCGACUAUCACGAUGUCCGGGGUCUUGUCUCUAAUGAUCCGCAUCUCCAUACUCAGCGAAAACAGCUGAACGAAGGUGUAGUGCAGCGGAUGAAGGUUAAACAUAGCAAAGAUGUCAUCAAACGACAGGACGAUCGUACCCCCGAUGUCGCCAUCCACAAAGCCCUUGCCCUCUGGCACCUUGGCCAUGAAAUCCAGGUAUGCCACAUCCUUCUCUCUGAGACGCCGCUUCUCCAAAGAAAGAACACUGUCGUGCAGACUCCGCAUAGCACCGGUUGCAGCAUUCAGCAUAUUUGGCGGUAGCAUCGCCCUACCCGCCACAUGCACCCUCCUCGAGAUAUCCUUAGGUGAAGGUGGCCCGUCCUGAGCACGGAUCGAACUCGGUGCCGGCUGGCUUGCACCGGCGCCCUUGUUAGUCUUUCGUUUCCGUCCCUUCUUCUUGUUCUCCUGUAAUGGGACCGAGUCCUGCUCACAGACCGCCUUCUUGAGCGUGUUGGGGCUGAUAAUAUUUCACACCUAAGCUAUCUGAGGCUCGGUGAAGGCGGGAGCUGGAGGCCUGAGAACUGAACGCCAGACGACGCCUGUUGCAAUUGGAUUUCUCCGCCGUACCAGCUAGAUCGCGGUCGUCUUGGUUGGGUUCUUGAGAAAGAGGCCCGCAGAACUCGUCAGCGUACCCAUGUUCGGCAAAGUACUUAUCAACUUUGGUAAAUGUACCGUCGUCAUUGUCGUCGCCGUCCGGAUCCUAUGCCAUAGGGCUGUCCAGAUCCUGUGCCAUAGGGAUGUCCGGCAGGUCCGGUAGCGUUGCGGGCGUUCUUGCCAUGGCUUGGCGCCGGCACAACUGGCGGUCUUGUCUGUGGCGUGGUGUCCCCCGCCCCCAAACGAAUCUGGCUCUUCGGCCAAAGCAGGGGCCAGUUUACGCAGGUGCUGAGGGUCAUCUCAUCUUCUUCGUCGGCCCCAGCGGGUCGAAUCAGAGGUAACAGCUCGUCGCAGCCUGGCAGCACCCGAACCACUUGAACCCUAUACAUUGUGGGUGGCAUCGGAUUACCGUGGAAUAUGGGGUUGCCCGGUUGAACGAUUCUGCCCUUGGCGACAUCGACCAACUCGGCACCCACGAAGUGCAGAAGAGUGCAAGGAACAUCGGCGGUGCCCUACGAAAACAUGUACAGGGCGUCAGGGAUGCCCAGUCAAAGGCAAGAAGAUGAAGUCAUCGGCCGAGAGGCUUAGUUACCGUGAUGCCGUCGAGCUCGGCUAAUGUCGAGGCACCGCCAACGGCGGGCGUGCAACUGACGGAGGGGGCGCUUGCUGGCGAGGUGCCGGCAGGCGUACACCCGGGUGCAUUAAGCUCCAGUGCCCGUGCCGGCGCCGGAGACACGAAUACCGCCUCCGCCGGAGACACCAAUGGCGCCGCCGCCGGAGACACCAAUGGCGCCGCCGGAGACACCAAUGGAGCCGCCGGAGACACCAAUGGAGCCGCCUGCGUGCUGUGCGAGUUGCUGGCCGUGAAGCUAGGAACCGGGGGAGGCCCCUGUUAGCCGCCCGCAAUCCACGUUGUCAGCCCAUGAAUCAACGUAGGCACCAUGGCGUUGAGCGUCGUUCCAAGUUGUUGUUGCACUUGCUCUUGGACAAGCUCCAGAAUCCGCGCCACUUGUGCCUUGAGUUCUUCAACCUCGCGCGUCUGGCUUUCCGAACUGGUCUUUUUCUCCUUCCGCACACCAGCGGUAUAGUAUGACCCCCUUUUUGUGGACAAGCAUUUGCCGGAGUGGGCGGCGCGGGAAGGCGGCGGGAGGCGGGGGAGGGGGUUCCGCCGAUCCGGCCGGAGGGGCGAGAGGUGGGAGGAGACGAGGCGGCGGCGCGGUCGGCUGGGUGCGUGGGGCACUCCUCCCUGGUCCGGACUGGCCACGCUGCUCGGGGAUGGCGAAGGAGGCGAGGGGGCAGCGAGGGGGACGACGAACACGGGGGGCAGCGGGUGAGAUCGAUGAGGCAGGGGAGAGAUUAGAGAGAUUGGUGAUUUAGUGUGGGGGGAAGCUUUCUAAUGGCGCACCACCCCCUCGUGCGCCAUAAGUACGACUAUUCUAAUGGCGCACUACCCCUCGGUGUGCCAUUAGAAUUUAGUGUGGGGGAAGCUUUCUAAUGGCGCACCACCCCCUCGUGCGCCAUAAGUACGACUAUUCUAAUGGCGCACCAUCCCUCGGUGCGCCAUUAGAAUUUUGUUUUAAUCACAACAGUAAUUUUUUUUAUAAAAACAGUAAUAAUUUUUUAAAAAAUAUGUUCAAAUUUGUUACUNNNNNNNNNNNNNNNNNNNNNNNNNNNNNNNNNNNNNNNNNNNNNNNNNNNNNNNNNNNNNNNNNNNNNNNNNNNNNNNNNNNNNNNNNNNNNNNNNNNNNNNNNNNNNNNNNNNNNNNNNNNNNNNNNNNNNNNNNNNNNNNNNNNNNNNNNNNNNNNNNNNNNNNNNNNNNNNNNNNNNNNNNNNNNNNNNNNNNNNNNNNNNNNNNNNNNNNNNNNNNNNNNNNNNNNNNNNNNNNNNNNNNNNNNNNNNNNNNNNNNNNNNNNNNNNNNNNNNNNNNNNNNNNNNNNNNNNNNNNNNNNNNNNNNNNNNNNNNNNNNNNNNNNNNNNNNNNNNNNNNNNNNNNNNNNNNNNNNNNNNNNNNNNNNNNNNNNNNNNNNNNNNNNNNNNNNNNNNNGGCGGUGGAGCGGGGGAGGGUGCGGGGAUCGAGAUCGAGAUGGAGGGGGAAUCGAGAUCGAGAUGGAGGGGGAUCGAGAUCAAGUGUCCUCAUGAAUUCAAAAAGUUCCCAUGAAAUUUAAAAAUAUUCAUGAUAUCAAAAAGUGCCCAUGAAAUACAAUCGAGAAAUGAAGACUACGAUUUAAAUACAAUCGAUCUUAGCUAGCUAUCUGUUCACAAUCUUCUUGCCCUUCUUUUUCGCAAAUGGAGUUCUUCUGUGGAACGGACAUCCUUUAGGUAGGGUGGUCCUGCUUCUUCUUGUGGUGUGCUGUUACUUCAUCGUCGUCGUCAUGUUCGAUCUUCGGGUCGCCGUACUUGUCGAAGUCUUGCUCAUUGGCUACUCCAUCCAUUCCGAUGAUCUUCCUUUUGCCUCUCCUCACGACAACAUGACUGGGCUUUGAUGGGUCGGCAAUGAAGAAGCAUUGGUCCACUUGGCAAGCCAGUACCCAUGUCUCAUUUUUCGCGGUGACAUUUGCGCCCACGGUCUUGGAUUUGGCUUCGGGUAUAACCAUGGUGGUGAAAUACCGGUCUUCUUUUAGGACGCUCUUGGCCCAUCUGACACGGAACAUCGGGACCUUCUCUCCAGCGUAGCUCAGCUCCCAGAUCUCCUCGAUCCUUCCGUAGUAUCUGUCCUUGUCGUUAUCGGUGUAGGAUUCCAUCAUUACCCCAGAGUUCUUAUAACCAUCGCUCUUCAUGUCCUUGUCCUCGGUGUAGAAUGUGUAGCCGUUGAUAUCGUACGCCUCAUAGGUCAUCAGGUUGUGCUCGGCGCCCUGUGACAAGGCGAAUAUGAGUUGUUCUUCCGCGGAAGAAUCUUUAUGUAAAGGGUACGACAGAAGCUUCUGCUUGAACCAAUGCGUGAAACAUGAUUUGUGCUCUUUGAGUAUAUCUCUGUCCGUCCUCUGUUGGCCUUGGUCAUUGUACGUCUUCUCAAUAAAGGUUUUGUGCUCUACCACCCAAGGAUCGACCACGUCUAUGUGUUGUAGUGCGACUAGGUUUGCUCUUUCAAAGUCGGCGAGUCGACCCUCGAAGUCGACAUGCAUUUCGCGGCGACCCUCAUGGUGACCCCAUCUAGCGAGCCUGCCGAGGUGCCUGUUGACGGACAGACCAACGGGGUUCUCGAUGCCUAGAUAAUUCGUGCAGUAGGAGAUGCACUCUUCGGUCAGAAAGCCCCUGGCUAUACUUCCCUCUAGACGUGACAUGUUGCGAACGUAUCCUUUGAUGACACCAUUCAUCCUUUCGAACGGCAUCAUGCUGUGCAGGAAUGUCGGCCCGAGUUGGAUGAUAUCCUCCACGAUAUGGACCAGCAGAUGCACCAUAACGUCGAAGAAUGCGGGCGGGAAGUACAUCUCAAGCUUGCAUAGUAUCACCACGAUCUCUUCCUGUAGCCUUCUGAGUUGCCUCACGCCAAUCGACUUCCGAGAGAUAACGUCGAAAAAGUUGCAUAGGGCAAAUAGUGUUUCACGGACUUGCGCGUCCAUGAUCCCACGGAUUGCAACUGGAAGUAUCUGCGUCAUCAGCAUGUGACAGUCGUGAGACUUCAUCCCGCUGAACUUCUGCUUCGCUGGGUCUAGGUAUCUGCUUAUCUUCCCCGCGUAACCAUAAGGAAGUUUUACUCCUAGGAGGCAGGUAAAAAACUGCUCGAUCUCCUCCUAACUUAGAGUGAAGCACGCGGGAGGGUAGUCAUUUCCGGUCUUCUUGGCCUUUUUGCCUUUGCGACGACUUUCUGUGUCCUGCUUCGCCUCAUCAUCAUCAUCAUCAUCAUCAUCAUCAUCAUCAUCAUCAUUGGCGUGAAGCUCCUACCUGAUGCCCAUUGAUUUCAAGUCUGCCGUUGCUUUCGACCCAUCUUUGGUCCUCUCUGGCAUGUUGAGCAGGGUACCAAGCAGACUCUCGCACACGUUCUUCGUGAUAUGCAUGACAUCAAGGCUGUGAAGCACACAAUGGAUCUUCCAGUACGGCAAGUCCCAGAAAACAGACCUCGUUUUCCAUACCUUCAGCAGCGGCUCUGGCGCCUUUCGCUUCUUUCCCGGCUCUGGCGCCUUUUGCUUCUUUCCCGGCAGUGGGCAGUCUUUCCAAUUUUUCAACAACUCGUCUAUUUCCUCGCCGCUCCUCAUACACGGACGUUUUCGGGGUUCGGUUUCACCAUCGAACAGAUCCUUGCGUUUCCUCCAUGGGUCAUCAUCGCGAAGCCACCUUCAAUGUCCCAUGAACACGGUUUUCGAAGACCCGGGAUCUCUAUCUAGCUGGCGAUACGUUGUGUCAUCCAUGCACCUUACGCAUCCAGAAAAUCCAUGGACUACCUGCCCCACGAGAUAUCCGUAACCGAGAUAGUCGUGCACCGUCGUGAGCAGUGCGGCUCUCAUAGGGAAAUAUUCUUUCUCUGCGGCGUCCCACGUAUUGGCUGGCGUUUUCCACAGCGUGUCUAGCUCCUCCUUCAGCAGCCCCAGAUACAGAUUGAUGUCGUUCCCUGGUUGUUUCGGCCCUUCAAUUAGCAUUCAUGUGAAUGUACUUCCUCUUCAUGCACAACCAGGGGGGAAGGUUGUACAUCCACACAAACACAGGCCAGGUGCUAUGUGUGCUUCUCUGGCUGCCAAACGGAUUGACUCCAUCGGUGCUCGUGCCCAGCACGAUGUUCCUUGGAUCCUUCCCAAAUUCUGGGUAUUCAAAGUUCAACGCUUGCCACUGGCUCGCAUCCUUAGGGUGACUCAGCAUCUUGUCUUUUUUAUUUAUCUCCGGAUCAUUUCCGUCAUCUUCCCGCUUCUUCUCCUCACUAUCCACAUGCCAACGCAGGAGCUUUGCUACCUUAGGGUCCGCAAAUUACUGCUGCAGACGAGGAGUGAUCGGAAAGUACCACACCGAUUUUCGAGAAGCUUUCUUCCUCUUCUUGUAUCGAGUGACGCCGCACACCGGACAUAUGGUAGACUCCGCGUGCUCGUCCCGAUAAAUGAUACAAUUGUUCAUGCACACAUGGUAUUUCACGUGCGUUAAAUCCAGAGGACACACGAUUUUCUUCGCCUCCUCGAAACUGGUCGGGCACUUGUUCCCCUUGGGAAGACGUUCGUGCCAAAAUGACAUGUUCUCGUCGAAGCAUGCGUCGGUCAUUUUGUGUUUUACCUUCAUCUCCAGAGCCAUGAGCGUUACUUUUAGGCAGGUAUCCUCAGGCCUGCAUCCUUCAUACAAUGGAGUUACCGCGUCUAUCUCCAGUUGAUCUAGCUUGGCUUUCUCUCGGGCGGCAGCUCUUGCGUUAUCCGUCUGCUUGAGAAGCAGCUCUUGAAUAUGAGGGUCCUGCACCCAGCCUCCAUCGUCGUCUGCUCCGGCAUCUUCAUCUUCAUGAUCAUGCACUUCGUCUUGAUCUUCCUCAUCAUCAUGUACGACAUCUUCUACAUGAUGACUAUGUACAGCAUCACCGUCGUGAUCAUGUCCUGGAGAUUUUUCGUCUUCUCGCCCGCCCUCGCCGCGGUGGUACUUGUCUUGUUGCCCUUCCUCAUUUCUUGCCCGGCCCCCAUGGACGACUUCGUAGUCAUCUUCAUCACCUUGCCACCGAUAGCCAUCCAUGAAACCACGCAAGAGCAGGUGGUCCCGCACCUGCCCGGAAUCCGGGUCCGCAAUAAGGCUCUUCAGCUUGCAUCUUCGACACGGACAUCUUAUCUCCGUCUCGUUCUUUUGAAGCAUCUCGGCCUUCACGGAGCUCAAAAACCUAUUCACGAUGCCUUCAGUCAUCGUGCGGACCAUGGUCGCCUGCGGGGUAGAGCAAAACGAUAUUUUAGAACCAAGAAAAAAUUUGGCAUGACCUUCCCUAAAAAUAGGACCAAAAAGAAUGCAUAGUGCCAAAAUUCUCGCCGAAACGGAAAUGAAUCAAAACAUUCCGGCAAAAUAUUGGCAACUAUCGCAUUUCAAAUACCGGUACCUUCAAACACAAACAUAUAAGCAACACCACAAACACAUGCAACACCACAAACAUACAUAGAUCUAGCUAGGCCACAAAAAGUGCAUGUGCAUGUUGUUGGAGCGAGCUAGGGAGAAAAAAAGUAGAUCUACAUCAUGAAGAUAGCUUUCCCCUUACUUACCUAUCAAAAAAAGGUAAUUUCACCACUUAAUUUUGAUGAAUCUAUGGUGGAAAUGAGGUGAGGAGGAGGAGAUGGCCGAAAGCUUGGAGAAGGAGGUGGAGGGAAUGAAGUGGGGAAAGUGAGUGGGUAGGUGUGGGGCUGUCCAAAAUAUCUUGUUGGGGUCCCAGGUUACUAAUGGCGCACCACCAGCAAAUGCNNNNNNNNNNNNNNNNNNNNNNNNNNNNNNNNNNNNNNNNNNNNNNNNNNNNNNNNNNNNNNNNNNNNNNNNNNNNNNNNNNNNNNNNNNNNNNNNNNNNNNNNNNNNNNNNNNNNNNNNNNNNNNNNNNNNNNNNNNNNNNNNNNNNNNNNNNNNNNNNNNNNNNNNNNNNNNNNNNNNNNNNNNNNNNNNNNNNNNNNNNNNNNNNNNNNNNNNNNNNNNNNNNNNNNNNNNNNNNNNNNNNNNNNNNNNNNNNNNNNNNNNNNNNNNNNNNNNNNUACUAAUGGCGCACCGGGUAAUAGUGCGCCAUUACUAGUUUAAACUAGUAAUGGCGCACUGUGAAACGAUGCGCCAUUUGUACUUUUGCAAAAAAAAAAGAAUAACUUUUUUUACAGUAAUGGCGCACUGUCUGCUUGGUGCGCCAUUACUACUUAGAACUAGUAAUGGCGCACUUCGACCUGAUGUGCCAUUAGUAUAUAUGGAAAAAUGGAAAUAAUAAUAAUUUAAUACUAGUGGCGCACCCUGUUUCUGGUGCGCCAUUAGUGUCUUCCACACUAAUGGCGCAUCACCAACCGGUGCGCCAUUAGUAUAUAGUAGUGGCGCACUGCUUCCAUGGUGCGCCAUUAGUACCAAUCUUAUCUAUAACCCUUUUCCUAGUAGUGAAAGUAUGACAUGCUGGUAAGCAGUAUGACUUAUAUCGCCCAUAACUCACUUGUGUUCUACUCGUGCAUAUCACAUCUACGCAUAAAACCUGGCUUGGAUGCCACUGUUGGGGAACAUAGUAAUUUCAAAAAAAUUCCUACGCACACACAAGAUCAUGGUGAUGCAUAGCAACGAGAGGGGAGAGUGUUGUCCAUGUACCCUCAUUGACUGAAAGAGGAAGCAUUAGCACAAUGCGGUUGAUGUAGUCGUACGUCUUCACGAUCCGACCGAUCAAGUACCGAACGUACGGCACCUCCGAGUUCAGCACACGUUCAGCCCGAUGACGUCCCUCGAACUCCGAUCCAGCCGAGUGUUGAGGGAGAGUUUCGUCAUCACGACGGCGUGGUGACGAUGAUGAUGUUCUACCAACGCAGGGCUUCGCCUAAGCACCGCUACAAUAUUAUCGAGGUGGACUAUGGUGGAAGGGGGCACCGCACACGGCUAAAAGAUCAAAUGAUCAAUUGUUGUGUCUCUAGGGUGCCUCCCUGCUCCCGUAUAUAAAGGAGCAAGGGGGGAGGUGCGGCCGGCCAGGAGGGGCGCACCAGGAGGAGUCCUACUCCCACCCUUUUCCUUGUUGGAUUAGGAGUGGAGGGGGAAAGAGGAGGGAGAGAGGAAGGAAAGGGGGGGCGCCCCCCUCUCCUUCUCCUAUUCGGACUAGGGGGAGGGGCGCGUGGCCCUGCCCUGGCCGCCUCUCCUCUUCUCCACAAAGGCCCACUAUGGCCCAUUAAGCCCCCGGGGGGGUUCCGGUAACCCCUCGGUACUCCGGUAAAAUCCCGAUUUCACCCGGAACACUUCCGAUAUCCAAAUAUAGGCUUCCAAUAUAUCAACCUUCAUGUCUCGACCAUUUCGAGACUCCUCGUCAUGUCCGUGAUCACAUCCGGGACUCCGAACAACCUUCGGUACAUCAAAAACCAUAAACUCAUAAUAUAACCGUCAUCGUAGACCGAAAGAGGAAGCGUUAGCACAACGCGGUUGAUGUAGUCGUACGUCUUCACGAUCCGACCGAUCAAGUACCGAACGUACGACACCUCUGAGUUCAGCACACGUUCAGCCUGAUGACGUCCCUCGAACUCCGAUCCAGCCGAGUGUUGAGGGAGAGUUUCGUCAGCACGACGGCGUGGUGACGAUGUUGAUGUUCUACCGAUGCAGGGCUUCGCCUAAGCACCGCUACAGCAUUAUCGAGGUGGACUAUGGUGGAGGGGGGCACUGCACACGGCUAAGAGACGAUCAACUUGAUCAAAUUGUGUCUAGAGGUGCCCCCUGCCCCUGUAUAUAAAGGAGCAAGGGGGGUGCGGCCGGCCAAGGGGAGAGGCGCGCCGGAGGAGUCCUACUCCCACCGGGAGUAGGACUCCCCCCCUUUUCCUAGUUGGAUUAGGACUUGGGAAGGGGGAAGAAGGAAAGAGGGGGGCCNNNNNNNNNNNNNNNNNNNNNNNNNNNNNNNNNNNNNNNNNNNNNNNNNNNNNNNNNNNNNNNNNNNNNNNNNNNNNNNNNNNNNNNNNNNNNNNNNNNNNNNNNNNNNNNNNNNNNNNNNNNNNNNNNNNNNNNNNNNNNNNNNNNNNNNNNNNNNNNNNNNNNNNNNNNNNNNNNNNNNNNNNNNNNNNNNNNNNNNNNNNNNNNNNNNNNNNNNNNNNNNNNNNNNNNNNNNNNNNNNNNNNNNNNNNNNNNNNNNNNNNNNNNNNNNNNNNNNNNNNNNNNNNNNNNNGGCCCACACUUCCCUUGCUUCCCUCCUUUUCCACUAGGGACCAUGUAGGCCCAUUAAGCUCCCGGGGGGUUCCGGUAACCUCCCGGUACUCCGGUAAAAUCCCGAUUUCACCCGGAACACUUCCGAUAUCCAAACAUAGGCUUCCAAUAUAUCAAUCUUCAUGUCUCGACCAUUUCAAGACUCCUCGUCAUGUCCGUGAUCACAUCCGGGACUCCAAACAACCUUUGGUACAUCAAAACAUAUAAACUCAUAAUAUAACUGCCAUCGUAGCGUUAAGCGUGCGGACCCUACGGGUUCGAGAACUAUGUAGACAUGACCAAGACUUGUCUCCGGUCAAUAACCAAUAGCGGAACCUGGAUGUCAUAUUGGCUCCUACAUAUUCUACGAAGAUCUUUAUCGGUCAAACCGCAUAACAAUAUACGUUGUUCCCUUUGUCAUCGGUAUGUUACUUGCCCGAGAUUCGAUCGUCGGUAUCUCAAUACCUAGUUCAAUCUCGUUACCGGCAAGUCUCUUUACUCGUUGUGUAAUACAUCAUCCCGCAACUAACUCAUUACUUGCAAUGCUUGCAAGGCUUAAGUGAUGUGCAUUACCGAGAGGGCCCAGAGAUACCUCUCCGACAAUCGGAGUGACAAAUCCUAAUCUCGAAAUACGCCAACCCAACAAGUACCUUCGGAGACACCUGUAGAGCACCUUUAUAAUCACCCAGUUACGUUGUGACGUUUGGUAGCACACAAAGCGUUCCUCCGGUAAACGGGAGUUGCAUAAUCUCAUAGUCAUAGGAACAUGUAUAAGUCAUGAAGAAAGCAAUAGCAACAUACUAAACGAUCGAGUGCUAAGCUAACGGAAUGGGUCAAGUCAAUCACAUCAUUCUCCUAAUGAUGUGAUCCCGUUAAUCAAAUGACAACUCAUGUCAAAGGCUAGGAAACAUAACCAUCUUUGAUCAACGAGCUAGUCAAGUAAAGGCAUGCUAGUGACACUAUGUUUGUCUAUGUAUUCACACAAGUAUUAUGUUUCCGGUUAAUACAAUUCUAGCAUGAAUAAUAAACAUUUACCAUGAUAUAAGGAAAUAAAUAAUAACUUUAUUAUUGCCUCUAGGCAUAUUUCCUUCACCCCUUUGAGUCUUUUUAUAUUGGUAUAGACUAGUAAUAAUGUACGUGCAAUGCACGUUUAUAUUAGGUAGGAUAUUAAUUGCAUGUUAUAUUAGAUAAGAUAUAUCUGUUGCACGUUGGUAUUUGGUAAGAUAUCAAUUAUUUUUCGCUAGAAUGGUAGGAUAUUAAUUACAUGACAGAUUUCAAGGGAUAGCGUUGAGUUAAAACAUGUUUAUAACCAAUGGCAGUGGUGGGUAAUUAGAGCAUUAAACGUGUUUGGCGCUCAACAUUGGAGCGAUUUGAACCGCUAGAUAACAUGAUUUGACGGUCAAGAUGGUUUGGAUCUGCCCAUUUGGGUUUUUUUAUAUUGGUAUAGAUAAAGAAUAAACGCGAGCGCAUGUCUCACAACCCUUUUCAGGGCGCCGUCGUGGUUACCCACCCUGUUCUAGGGUUCAAGUUGAAAACCCAAGUUCAUUCCUUUGGACUCAAAGGGGGCGAUGCUCUACAUCGUUACCCUAUUGGGUGCGUUGAGGAGGAGCUCUGGUACCUUGCGGUUGCGGUGGGAUGCCGUCUUAAGGCAUGCUUGAAUUGUACCUUGAAGUCUCUUGGUUUCAAAUGUGGGAUGGUCUAGUUGGUCUCUUAUCUUUUCCAUGCGACUGUGUCAGCAACGCCAUCUGCAUGUACUACUCCUCGGUCCGAAGCGAGAGGCAGGUGGCCCUCUCCGAUGACUGUUGGGCGAAGGCUUUGCGGCAAGGUCCAACGGUUCCUUUUGAAGACGUGAGCUCGCAUAGUGUCGACCAGGGGAUGAAUUGCUGGAGUCUGGCUACUCAUGUACUCUUGCUCGCCAGCGCAACCGUACUGCUUGUAGUGUGUCUUGUGUGUGUUGUUUAUGUUACAUCUUGGACCCUGAUAAGUGUCACGGGGUGUGGCAUGAACACAUGACAACUCCAAACUUUUUAUGGUAAGUUUAGUUACACAAGGAUGACAACUUUAGUUAUCAAGCAUGGCAACUUAUUUUCGGAUGACAAGUAUUAGUUUUUUUUUUCUUUUUGAAUGACAACUUUAAUUGUAAAAAAAAUAGGGCCGGAGUGCUUCGUGCCAAACGUAUGGCACUUAUCAUUUAGGUACAUCUUUUAUUGCCGGCUUUUUAAAAAUAUUUUUUAUAAGCGGAUUUCGUUAUAUUGUGCCGAAGUCAUUUUUUGGAAUAAAGAAAACGGCCCAAAGGCCUGAAACAACCAAUGAACAGAGAUGGGAAAACAUCAAAUAAAAAGGUUGAGCAAAUAAUGUUUGAGUUCAGGUCAGCAACAAAAUCGAGUCAGGAUGAGUUCUUGGACUUUUUUUUUGCAUCAAUUCUUGGCCUAUUUUUUGUAGAACAUAUAUUACGAUGGACUCCUCACCGGGCGUAUCCCUACCAAACAAAUCACGUUUAAUACGAGCAAUACGUAGUUACGGGCUGUCCCAAACAUACUCCUAUUUAUUUAUUUAUUUAUUUAUUUGAUGGUUCCAGGCGAGUUGCUCGACAAGAUCUCUUUUGAGCCUUGCGUUGCGUGGCGGCGGUCAAGAUGCUACCGGCGAAGAAACGAGCGGGAGGCCACCGCCGUCCGUGGUCCGACCUCCCGCACGACUUGCUUGCAACCAUCCUCGUCCGUCUCACAGCGACCGUCCCCUGCCCGGCCCUUCGCGAUCGCGCCAGCUUCCGCGGCGUGUGCCAGACAUGGCGUGCUGCCGAGCUCGCCCACCCGCGCGCUCCCAUGCCAUGGCUCGUCGCCCCCGGGCACUGCGUCAGCCUCCACGACGCCGCAAUCUACCGCAUCCCGCUGCCUGAGGACGCCGCCGCUGCCACCUGCCGAGGUUCGUUUGGCGACUGGCUCGCCCUCGUGCCGCCGAUGUCAGGGCGUCCCUUCCUGCUCAACGCUUUUACCAAGGAGCGGAUCAAGCUGCCGCGGCCGACGGAAGAGCCGAUGGUUAAGUUCGUCCUGUCGUCCGCGCCGGACGCCAAGGGCUGCACGGUGGCUGCCAUUGUUGAGAUUGAAGACCAUGAAGAUCAUAGCAUGUGCAGUAAGAUCGUCGCCUGCCACCUGAGGAGGCGACGACGGCAAGGGCGCUUUUGGCAGAUCCUGACUAAUGCGUUCAAGCUCCAAGACAUCAUCUUCUUCGAGGGGAAACUCCAUGCCCUUGACUCAGAAGCCCGCCUCCACGUCUUUAAGGACGGAAGACCAACUCCUCCCACUCCAAGAGCGCCCUGACACGCGAUGGAGCAUGCCGCCCCUGACGAAUGUAACGGAGCGAUUUGACAAUGCCAACAAGCUGCACCUGCUUGUCCUCCAUGGGAGGCUGCACAUGGUCGGCAGGCGCUUCGGGAGGACCCGCAUGCCCGGGUGCACGCACUUCACAAACGCAAUCGGGGUGUUCACGCUCAUCGGCAAGAAGGCAAAGCUGCCGGCGCCGGUCAAGGACUUUGACGGGCAUGCCAUCUUCGUCGGUGACGCCUGCUGUGACGCUUUUGCGGCCGACGACCGACUACGCAGCCGCUUCAGGCCGCAAGAUAAGAGAGAACCAGAUUUGCUUCGUCGACGACGAGAAGAGCGCGUAGUUGCUGGCCGCCUACGGCCGCCCCUCUUUCCGGGUGAUCCAAUCCUACGACGUGCGCAACGGCUGCCUCCGCGCAUACGGGCCCAGCACCACCGCGGCGCGGACCUGGCGGUGCGUCGCAGCACAGCGCUUCCCGCAGAGCAGCGCCAUUGGACCACCGCUGCGGCCUGCGGCCAUCUCUGUCGGAGGCGGAGCUCCUGCUUUGGAACGUGGUCAACUGUCUAGGAGCAAGCUGCCCACCCUUAUAUAGAACCCGCUGCCAGGAUGGCGAAGAAGGCUUCACCGUGACCGUGCGGGUCAUCGUGCCUAAGACAGCAGGGAUAACUGACGACCACGAGUGGAGGUUCACCAAGCACCGGGGGGCAGCCAACAAAGCGAAGCAGGCGGCGGCGCACGAGGCUGUCACGUUCCUGCGGAGUCGGUUCCGUAGCAUCCUCGACGACAGCCCCUGGAGCUCCGUCCCUCGCUACCACACCCACGUCGAUGAGGAGGAAGAAGCAGUUCAAGAAGACAACAACAACUACGACGACGAAGACUACGAUCUGUUUGGGUAUAAGCAUUGGUACGGAGACAUGUACUAGUAAUUAGCUAGCUGCUGCUUAAUUUGGCUUUCACUUGCCGAAAAAGCCUUUCGCCCUGCUUUAUAUAUAAAGUAAAGAUCCACAGUGCUCGGUACAACCGCACUCAUCCAUCACAAACACACACAUACGCACCCAAGGUAGGAUACAUAGGCGCUGAGCGCAGCAACACACAUCCUAGCACUACAAGAGCCGCCGGGCGCUUCAUCCGAAGAAGGGAAGCCGCAUAUGACGAACCGUGGGCUUCAAAGCGGUGCCUUCAGGAAGGAUACGGCACCGGAGCGUCGCCACCGCCCGAUCUGAGGAUCAGAGUUUCCCCUAGAGCACCACGACGGGCAGUGAUAGCCGCGACGACGCCUUCAAGAAGGGAGCGAUCUUCGCCAUCGCCAGUUCGUCCGAAGAUAGAGAGGUUUUCACCCCGGCCAACAUUCACCGCCACCGAACGCCACACCCCGGCUACCACGCCGCCCACACGGCCGUAGUAGCCGGGCAGCACCAAGGCACGAGCUCUGCCCAAGAGCACCACGCCACCACCACCAGGGCCGCCGCCUCGGAAUCCAAGACCUUGACACCAAGUCCCCCGAGCCCCACCGCUACCCCCACCACAGAGACGGGCGGAAAGGAUCUGCCUUUCACACCCCUGGCCGGUCCCAAGCCGAGACCCAAUAGGCCGGCCACAACAAGCCUCCAUCGAGCCGUCCUGCUACACCGGGCGCGAGACGAGCGCAGUCCUACCACCGGGCGCGAGACGGGCCGGUCCUGCUGCCGGGCGCGAGACGAGCGCAGUCCUGCUGCCGGGCGCGAGACGGGCCGGUCCUGCUGCCGGGCGCAAGACCAGCUCGGUCCUACGUCACCGGGUGCGAGACGGAUGACGAUGGACCGCAACCGGGAGAAGGCCAGCCCUUUGGUGAGAGAAGCGGACGGACGCCAAGGAGAGGGGUCGAAGGCCGAUAUAGGCAGCCUACAGACGGGCCGACGCCAGGAAGAUCUGGCCGCCGCCGCAAUCAACCUUCCACCACCACCGCUGCCAGCGGCAGCAGCUAGUGCGCCGCCGUGGUCCACGGACAUGGCCACGACCACACCCAGCCGCAGCCCGCCCCGCGCCGCCCGACGCCCACACGCCCGCCAGACCAGAAUGGUGCUGGACGGGGCCGCCGCCGCCAAGCACGCACCACCGCCCCCGCUGCCACGGACGACCACCGCCGGACCUCACGGCGCCGUCCAGUCCUCGCCGCCCGCAGCCCGCGUCGCGACGCGGCUAGAUCUGGCGGAGCUGUGUUGACCCGCACCAUCCGCCGCUACUUGAGCGCCAUUGCUUUUUUUAGGGGUACUUCAGCGUCAUUGCUUUGCCCUACAAUACAGUGCACGGUGUGCACAAAACAUGCGCUUGAUUGGGUAACUCUUGUUUAUCUCUAGUUCUCUACUACUAGGAAACUGCCUGUGCCUUGCAGCGGGAGACACAAAUAUUAAGCUAUGUCCAAAUAAAUAUGACUCGAUACCCUGGCAUAUGUGAGCGCCCUCUAUUUUAAUACGAUGACCCAUCGUGUUGCCACUUAUCUUUUUUCCCAUCCUCGCUGAUGAUGGCCGCAUGUACGUGAUCACAAUGCAUUUCACGUGGCAAAUUCCAAGGCUACAAGUUUGCCACUGCAUGUCACACUUGUCAUUGUGUCGCACAAGGAAAUUUUUAAAACUUUAAAAACAAAUCUGGUCGAUCACGAACUACUCCUAACGCCUGGACAUAUACAUCUUUCCAAAACUAAUCAAAUUCUAAACAUAGAAGACUUAGCGCUCAACUUCUUAGCUAUUUAGAUCAAUCUUAUGAAGAAGAACUAAAAUAGACCACGUGAUAUGCUUAAAAGAAGCUUUACGAGCACAAUUUCAAACUAUAUGAAAAUCAAUGUUAAGUCAAUGGUUUACAUAAAUCUUAUACUGAUAGUAAAUAGGAAUCAACAUCCACUAUGGUGCUAAUAAUAGCUUAUGUGAUAGUUUCAAGCGGUCUUAUCUACUAAAUGGCAAGCAGGUGAGGCUUGCAAAGGCAAACUACGCCCGACCCCCCCCCCUCCCCGCCCGAGCCGGGCGACACGGGGGAAACUCCAGCCCUCGGCGGUCCGACCACCACCUUCCGCCCACCCACGCGUCGCCAUCGUCGGAGGGCUGGCCGGCGAAGCCGCGCCGGCCCUGGGAUGACGGAGGCGGGGCCCUCUUUUUUCUCCUCCAUCGCUCACUCCCGCCCCUCUGCCCGCUCCAUCCCCAGAUUCGAUCUACGGCGACGCCGGCUAACUUCUCUGACGGCGGGGCCGGCCGUCCCCUACUGUCUUCCCUCCGACUCGCUGGGCGGCGCGGCUCCGCCCCUCCCUAGAUGCGAUCUGGGGGCUCCUCGCCCGGCCAGCUGCGGUGCUCUCCGGCCGGUUGCCGUGGCGGCCGGACGCGCCCUCCUCGCUGCGAAUCACCCCUCCACCGACCCCCCCCCCUACCUCGUGUUCGAGCUUCGUGCCAUGGAGAUGUUUGUGUUCCACGGUGUCUGUUUCUGCAGCGUGCCGACCGGGAGCUUUGGCUGCGCGCGAGUCAUCUGCACCACCAUCACCACCAUCCCGCAGGGGCGGCUUCGGCCCAGCGACCAUGGACCUGCGCCCCCUCCAGUGUCCAUGGCCGACUGGCACGGCUUCGGAUCCGACCUACCUCGGAAGCUGCGCUCUUUCCAGCUUCUUUGGCUUGUUGCAUCCACGGCAUCUCCGCACCACCACAACCCUGUAGGCACCCUUCUUGCUCAACGCUUUCACCAAGGAGCGGAUCAAGCUGCCGCGGCGGACGAAAGAGCCGAUGAUUAAGUUUGUCAUGUCGUCUGCGCCGGAUGCCAAUGCUUGCACUGUGGCUGCCAUUGUUGAGAUUGGAAACAGCCCUUAUAUAAGGCGAUUUAAGAUCGUCUUCUGCCACCUGAGGAGGGGACGACGACAAGGGCGCUCCUGGGAGAUUCUGACUAACGCAUUCAGGCUCCAAGAUAUCAUCUUCUUCGAGGGGAAACUCCAUGCCCUUGACAUCGAAGCCCGCAUCCAUGUCUUUCAGGAAGAAGACCUUCAACAGGUCCCUGAUAAGCGAUGGAGCAUGCCGUCUGCGAAGCAGCGAUUAUACAAUGUCAAGAUGUACCUGGUUGUCCUCCAUGGGAGGCUGCACAUGGUUGGCAGGGGCUUAAAGACGACCAGGUGGACGACCUUCACCAACAAUAUAGAGGUAUUCACACUCGUCGGCGAAAUGGCGAAGCCGCCGGUGCCAGUCAAGGACUUUGACGGGCACGCGAUCUUCGUCGGUGACGCCUGCUGCGACGCUUUCGUAAUUGAGGCAGCCGCUAUAGGCCGCAUGAUAAGGGAGAACCAGAUUUGCUUCGUCGACGACGAGAAGAACGUGACGUUGCUGGCCGCCCAUGGCCGCCGGCCUUUCCGGCUGCUGCAAUCCUACGACGUGCGCAAUGGCUGCCUUCGCGCAUACGGACCCAGCACCGCCGCGGUGGGGACCUGGCGGUGCGGCACAGCACAGCACUUCCCACGGAGCAAAGCCAUUGGACCACCGCUGCGGGCGUCUCUGUCGGAGGCGGAGGUGCUGUUGUGGAACGUGACCAACUGCCUAGGAGCAUGGGACCCGCCCUUUUAUACAACACGCCAUCAGGACGAUGGAGCAAACGUCGCCGUGACCGUGGAGGUUGGGGUGCCCAGGACAUCAAGAAUGAUGGAAGAGGAAGAGCCCCUCCUGGAGUGGAGUUUCACGCAGCAGCGGGGGUCAGCCAAGAAAGCGAAGCAGGCGGCGGCGCACGAGGCCGUCACGUUCCUGCGGAGUCGGUUUCGCAGCAUCCUAGAUGACAGCCCCUGGAGCUCCGUCCCUCACUACCAUAGCCAUGUCGAAGAAGAGGAAGAAGCAGUUCAAGAAGACGACGCCGACACUACCAGAAAAACUUGUUUUGCCGACGGCCAUAUCUAUGCCGACGGCCCCCGUCGGCAUAUAUGGGCAUACCCCGACGGCCCAACUAAAGCCGUCGGCGUAGAAAGGCCGUCGGCGUAUAACCAUCUAUGCUGACGGGGGCCGUCGGCAUAGAUAAGCCGUCGGCGUUUCUCCGAAUAUACCGACGUGGGCCGUCGACAUAGAGCAGGCCGUCGGCAUAUCGCGUGGGCCCGUCUACCCGGGCGGCGACGGCGUCAGGCUACGCCGACGGGCUAACGGUGGCCGUCGGCAUAGCUACGCCGACGGUCUAGCCGUCGGCCUAGCUAUGCCGACGUCAUCGAUCCGCCGCGCCGCCACGUCAUCGAUCCGCGUCGUUCGCCGGUCCCGUGGGGUGGCAUUUCUAUGCCGACGGCUAGGCCGUCGGCAUAGGCCUGGCCCAUGGUUUUUGCCGCGUCAUUGAUCCCCGCCCUACGCCACGUCAUCGAUCCAGGGCUCUACCGUUCCGUGGCCGUAGCUAUGCCGACGGCUUUGCCGUAGGCAUAGGUUUCUAAUAAUUUUUUUAUAUUUUUUUUAUUUUCUCUUUUUAUUUUUUAUUUUUUUUCAAUACUAAUUCCAUUAACUUAAAUGUACAGAAAACAUAUAUCGAUUACCCCCCACACGGGCCUUCUUCCGUCGUGUCACGGAGAGGUUAGACGGGACGGGGUACCUGUGGGGGGUAGCAAUGCCGCCAGGUGUUGCGGUGGGCCCUCCUACGGUUGUGGAAACAUGGUGGCAGACGCAGGCACGCGGCUCCGGGGUGUGCCCCUCCCCCCUCACGGGCGUCGAUGCCGCCGUGCCCCGGAGGGGGGAAACGGCCACGUCGGGCCGACGCAGAGGGAAUCUUGGGGUGGGUUGUGCCGGGACUGUGUUGGGGGUGUAGCUAUGGCUAGGCUAUGACAACAAGGUGAAAAGGUCCACCGAUCAAACUAUGUCCAGCAAAAGUCAAAGGGAUAGACCCGGCGGUCGUCUGUGUCAAGGUUAGAAGGGACGGGGUACCUGGGGGUAGCAAUGCCGCCAGGUGUUGCGGUGGCCCUCCUACGGUUAUAUAAGCAUGGUGGCAGGCGUAGGCACCCGGCACGCUGCUUGUAUGAGGUCCCGGUGCGACGCUCCGGUGGCAUUGCUACCCCCUAGGGCCCCCGUCCCGCCUAACCCUGUAGCGUUUAACCACGGGAUCUACCCCUUUGACUUUGCACGGACGGGCUUUGAUCAGUAGACGUAUCCACCCGGUUGUGUAAGGUCAGCCCAUAGGAACACUUUGGAGCAACAUCCGGGCCAGACCCACGGCAAGAUCCCCUCCGUGUGGACCCGACGCGUCCGUUCCCCCCCCCCUCCAGGUGCCGGCGGCGGCGCCGCCGUCCGUGAGGGGGGGCACACCCCGGAGAUGCGUGCCGUGCGUUUGCACCAGCCACAACACUUCUAGACUUGUGAGAGGCCGCCUACGCAAGAUUUGGCGGCAUGCUAGCCCUCGGAGGCCGCCGGCCAUAGUCGUAGACACGCGAAGAGCAAUCCGCGUAAGAGGGAAUUGUUCAGAUACUUCUCCAUCACGAAAAAUUAUGAAAAAUUCCCAUCAGUUCUACAGCACAUGUACCCAUGUCGUGUAAAAAACUCAUGAUUGUAUCGCGCUCCGAGUAUUUAAUAAUAUUCACGCUGCAUCGUUACCGCAGAACGUAUACUACCGUGUCAUCGCCGUCCGUGAGGGGGGCCACACCCCGGAGACGUGUGCUGCCUCUUCGGACAUGCCACCACACCAUCCCGCAUGUAGGAGGUCCCAGUGCGACGCACCGGUGGCAUUGCUACCCCCCUAGGGCCCCCGUCCCGCCUAACCCUAUAGUGUUUGACCACGGGAUCUACCCCUUUGACUUUGCACGGACGGGCUUUUAGCAGUGGACGUAUCCACCCGGUUGUGUUAGGUCAGCCCAUAGGAACACUUUUGAGAAACAUCCGCGCCAGACCCACGGCAAGAUCACCUCCGUGUAGACCCGACGCGUCCGUUUCCCCCCCUCUAGGUGCCGGCGGCGGCGCCGUCCGUGAGNNNNNNNNNNNNNNNNNNNNNNNNNNNNNNNNNNNNNNNNNNNNNNNNNNNNNNNNNNNNNNNNNNNNNNNNNNNNNNNNNNNNNNNNNNNNNNNNNNNNNNNNNNNNNNNNNNNNNNNNNNNNNNNNNNNNNNNNNNNNNNNNNNNNNNNNNNNNNNNNNNNNNNNNNNNNNNNNNNNNNNNNNNNNNNNNNNNNNNNNNNNNNNNNNNNNNNNNNNNNNNNNNNNNNNNNNNNNNNNNNNNNNNNNNNNNNNNNNNNNNNNNNNNNNNNNNNNNNNNNNNNNNNNNNNNNNNNNNNNNNNNNNNNNNNNNNNNNNNNNNNNNNNNNNNNNNNNNNNNNNNNNNNNNNNNNNNNNNNNNNNNNNNNNNNNNNNNNNNNNNNNNNNNNNNNNNNNNNNNNNNNNNNNNNNNNNNNNNNNNNNNNNNNNNNNNNNNNNNNNNNNNNNNNNNNNNNNNNNNNNNNNNNNNNNNNNNNNNNNNNNNNNNNNNNNNNNNNNNNNNNNNNNNNNNNNNNNNNNNNNNNNNNNNNNNNNNNNNNNNNNNNNNNNNNNNNNNNNNNNNNNNNNNNNNNNNNNNNNNNNNNNNNNNNNNNNNNNNNNNNNNNNNNNNNNNNNNNNNNNNNNNNNNNNNNNNNNNNNNNNNNNNNNNNNNNNNNNNNNNNNNNNNNNNNNNNNNNNNNNNNNNNNNNNNNNNNNNNNNNNNNNNNNNNNNNNNNNNNNNNNNNNNNNNNNNNNNNNNNNNNNNNNNNNNNNNNNNNNNNNNNNNNNNNNNNNNNNNNNNNNNNNNNNNNNNNNNNNNNNNNNNNNNNNNNNNNNNNNNNNNNNNNNNNNNNNNNNNNNNNNNNNNNNNNNNNNNNNNNNNNNNNNNNNNNNNNNNNNNNNNNNNNNNNNNNNNNNNNNNNNNNNNNNNNCACCCGGUUGUGUUAGGUCAGCCCAUAGGAACACUUUGGAGCAACAUCCGGGCCAGACCCACGACAAGAUCCCCUUCGUGUAGACCCGACACGUCCGUUUCCCCCCCACGGAGGGGAUCUUGCUGCGGGUUUGGCCCGAAUGUUGCUCCAAACUGUUCCUAUGGGCUGACCUAACACAACCGGGUGGGGAGGUCCACUUGUCAAAGCCCGUCCGUGCAAAGUCAAAGGGCUAGAUCCCGUGGUCAAACGCUACAGGGUUAGGCGGGACGAGGGCACUGGGGGGUAGCAAUGCCACCGGAGCGUCGCACCAGGCCCUCAUACAUGCGGGGUGGUGUGGUGGCAUGUCCGAAGAGACGGGACGCGUCUGCGGUGCGUGCGGCGUCAAUAUUACUAAAUACUCGGAGCGCGAUAAAAUCAAGAGUUUUUUUGCACGACGUGGGCACAUAUGCUAUAGGAACGAUGGUAUUUUUUCAUAAUUUUUGGUGAUGGAGAAGUAUCCGAAAAAUUCCCUCUACGCGGAUUGCCCUUCGCGCAUCUACGGCUGUGGCCGGCGGCCUCCGAGGGCUACCAUGCCGCCAAAUCUUGCGUAGCCGGCCUCUCACAAGUCUGUAAGUGUUGUGGCGGUUGCAAACGCCCGGCACACGUGUCUGGGGUGUGCCCCCCUCACGGACGGCGCUGCCGCCGGCACCUGGAGGGGGGAAACGGACGCGUGGGGUCCCCACGGAGGGGAUCUUGCUGUGGGUCUGGCCCGGAUGUUGCUCCAAAGUGUUCCUAUGGGCUGACCUAACACAACCGGGUGGGGAGGUCCACUGGUCAAAGCCCGUCCGUGCAAAGUCAAAAGGAUAGAUCCCGUGGUCAAACGCUACGGGGUUAGGCGGGACAGGGGCACUGGGGGUAGCAAUGCCACCGGAGCGUCGCACCGGGCCCUCAUACAUGCGGGGUGGUGUGGUGGCAUGUCCGAAGAGGNNNNNNNNNNNNNNNNNNNNNNNNNNNNNNNNNNNNNNNNNNNNNNNNNNNNNNNNNNNNNNNNNNNNNNNNNNNNNNNNNNNNNNNNNNNNNNNNNNNNNNNNNNNNNNNNNNNNNNNNNNNNNNNNNNNNNNNNNNNNNNNNNNNNNNNNNNNNNNNNNNNNNNNNNNNNNNNNNNNNNNNNNNNNNNNNNNNNNNNNNNNNNNNNNNNNNNNNNNNNNNNNNNNNNNNNNNNNNNNNNNNNNNNNNNNNNNNNNNNNNNNNNNNNNNNNNNNNNNNNNNNNNNNNNNNNNNNNNNNNNNNNNNNNNNNNNNNNNNNNNNNNNNNNNNNNNNNNNNNNNNNNNNNNNNNNNNNNNNNNNNNNNNNNNNNNNNNNNNNNNNNNNNNNNNNNNNNNNNNNNNNNNNNNNNNNNNNNNNNNNNNNNNNNNNNNNNNNNNNNNNNNNNNNNNNNNNNNNNNNNNNNNNNNNNNNNNNNNNNNNNNNNNNNNNNNNNNNNNNNNNNNNNNNNNNNNNNNNNNNNNNNNNNNNNNNNNNNNNNNNNNNNNNNNNNNNNNNNNNNNNNNNNNNNNNNNNNNNNNNNNNNNNNNNNNNNNNNNNNNNNNNNNNNNNNNNNNNNNNNNNNNNNNNNNNNNNNNNNNNNNNNNNNNNNNNNNNNNNNNNNNNNNNNNNNNNNNNNNNNNNNNNNNNNNNNNNNNNNNNNNNNNNNNNNNNNNNNNNNNNNNNNNNNNNNNNNNNNNNNNNNNNNNNNNNNNNNNNNNNNNNNNNNNNNNNNNNNNNNNNNNNNNNNNNNNNNNNNNNNNNNNNNNNNNNNNNNNNNNNNNNNNNNNNNNNNNNNNNNNNNNNNNCGUGAGGGGGGGGGCACACCCCGGAGACGCGUGCCGCCUCUUCGGACAUGCCACCACACCAUCCUGCAUGUAUGAGGUCCCAGUGCGACGCUCUGGUGGCAUUGCUACCCCCUAAGGCCCCCGUCCCGCCUAACCCUGUAGCGUUUGACCACGGGAUCUACCCCUUUCACUUUGCACGGACGGGCUUUGAGCAGUGGACGUAUCCACCCGGUUGUGUUAGGUCAGCCCAUAGGAACAAUUUGGAGCAACAUCCGGGCCAGACCCACGGCAAGAUCCCCUCCGUGUAGACCCGACGCGUCCGUUUCCCCCCUCCAGGUGCCGGCGGCGGCGCCGUCCGUGAGGGUUAGACGGGACGGGGUACCGGAGGGGAGUAGCUAUGCCGCCAGGUGUUGCGGUGGGCCCUCCUACGCUUGUGGAAGUGUGAUGGUACUCGCAGGAACCCGACACGCGGCUCCGGGGUGUGCACCCCUCACGGUCGUCGCUGCCGCCGUGUCACGGAGGGGGAAACAACCACGUUGGGACGAAAACUAUCUAUUCCGACAGGCAGAAUGCAGUCAAUUUUUUUGUGAGAACCAAUAAACAUGUUUAAUAUUUAUGUGUUAGGAAAAAUGCACCUUAAAAUAAUGAAAAAAAAGAAUAUACCUAUGCCGACGGCUUGGCCGUCGGCAUAGGCAUACACGUGGCAUACAGAGAUAUGCCGACGGCUAAGCCGUCGGCAUAUACUCACCUUAUCCAUCCCCUGGGGCGCCCCGUCCACUCGUUCUCCUCCUCUCUCCCCGACCCCCCGCGCCUCCCAACCGCGUCGCCGCCGCUGCGCGCCUAGUCCUCCACCCGCCCACGCNNNNNNNNNNNNNNNNNNNNNNNNNNNNNNNNNNNNNNNNNNNNNNNNNNNNNNNNNNNNNNNNNNNNNNNNNNNNNNNNNNNNNNNNNNNNNNNNNNNNNNNNNNNNNNNNNNNNNNNNNNNNNNNNNNNNNNNNNNNNNNNNNNNNNNNNNNNNNNNNNNNNNNNNNNNNNNNNNNNNNNNNNNNNNNNNNNNNNNNNNNNNNNNNNNNNNNNNNNNNNNNNNNNNNNNNNNNNNNNNNNNNNNNNNNNNNNNNNNNNNNNNNNNNNNNNNNNNNNNNNNNNNNNNNNNNNNNNNNNNNNNNNNNNNNNNNNNNNNNNNNNNNNNNNNNNNNNNNNNNNNNNNNNNNNNNNNNNNNNNNNNNNNNNNNNNNNNNNNNNNNNNNNNNNNNNNNNNNNNNNNNNNNNNNNNNNNNNNNNNNNNNNNNNNNNNNNNNNNNNNNNNNNNNNNNNNNNNNNNNNNNNNNNNNNCGGCUGUCACCGGCCCACGCCCCUGCUGUGUUGGCCGGGCUUCUCCGGCCGGCCCAACCCCGCCCCGGCCCUCCCGUCACCUCCACCGCCGGCCCCUGCCUCCAACGCCACCACCGCAACGCCUCUCUGCCCGGUGAGCUAACACUUCUUUUUUUUCUUUUUUUUGCAUUAUUUAGGUACUGUUGGAUGUAUGAAUGGAUGCAUGGAUAGAUGUUGGAUGUUUGCUAGAUGGAUGAAUGUUGUAUGUGUCUUAGAUGGAUGGAGGAAUCUCGGCAAAACGAAUUAUUUUGCUACGGUUAGGUUGCUAGAUGGAUGAAUCUCGGCAAAAUGAAUUAUCAUAGUUAAAAAAGCAACUUGAGUCACUUAGUUUAUAAAAUUGUUAACGAAGAUUUUAUUUUCAGUUUGUGAUGUUGUUAAGUAGCUAUGUGAGAUGUGCUUCAAAUUUGGGAUAUGAUAAGUGGUUAUUUCAUCAUGAUGAUCUUGCUAAAAAAAAUUGAUGUGUCAAUGCUUAAUGUGAGGUGAUGACCUAAAUUGUGAUAUGAUUAGUUCUUCCAAAUUUGACAGUUGACAAAAUAUGAUUUUUCUUUAUAGUUUAAAGUGGCAAUGCUUAAUGUGAGGUGAUGACCUAAAUUUUUUCCACUCAGUGUAAUUAACAGGAUUUGUGGUGUUCCAUCUUCGUGGAGUGAUUGUCGACGUUGGAGGUGUUGGUCCACGAUCGUCCCUUUGCUUUGAUCGACUACAUCGGAGGGUGAGCAACAAUUCCAUGACCUCGUCCACUUUUUUUCCAUGUCACUAGAUUAAAUUUUCACAUCAAGUCGCGUAACCUAGGUCUCCCGUCCAAAAGGGUUGCAUCGAUAAAUAUGCAUUCAAUUGCAUAUUUAUCACCGCAGCUCUUUCGGAUUGUCCAGCGUUUUCCAUGGACAGCCCGAGGAUGUGUAGAUUGGGUAUGUUCUCCAUGUUCUACCCCGUUCCGAGACAGGAUUUCGGCGGCACCUCCCCGUUGUUCUCCGGAGCACAUUCUCUCGGCUAUUUGUCGAGACGUGUAUCUGGAGAACAGCGGGGAGGUGCUGCCGAAAUUUUGUCUCGGAACGGGGUAGAAUGGAGAACGUACUCAAUCUACACAUCCUCGGGUGGGAUUAGGACCCAUCUUUACCUAUUAGAGAUGUAGGUGGAUUAAACGCGGUAGAAACUGAAAAUUUGAUGUGAUUAAUUUAAGUGAAUCCUUAAUUAUGUUGUGUGGGUUGCAAAAAAGCAGAGCAUGGCAGAUAAUCAGUGGAUGUAUAGUGGUUUUAUCCGUCGGAAUCGAGUAACAUCAGAGUGGAUCACGAAAACCGAUGUGUAUUUGAAGGAGAUAUUCCAUCGUCCAAUGAGAAUUAUCCCACCAUGCCCCUGUGCGAGAUGUGCCAGACGUCACCGUAGAAAUCAGACGGACAUGAGUGAGCACCUUCGCAUGCACGGAUAUAUGCCAAACUUUGACAUGCCGCCGAUAAACAUAGCCGAGCAGGACCGUGGUAGAGAGGAGGUGAUGCGACAACGCAUCGGUGGAUAUGAGGACGACGGGGUCAGGGACAUGCUAGAUGAUGUCAUUGUUGCAGAAACGGCAAAUGUGACACCUUCAGAGAAUGAACUGGAGGAGCCGUAGGCAACCGCAAAGGCCUUCUUGGAGGUCUUGGCCUCGUCGAAUAAACCUCUUUAUGCGGGUGCGAAAAUAUCUCAGUUGGAUGCCAUCUCACAACUGAUUGCAGUCAAGGCUGAGUACGGCUGUAGCCAAAAAUGCUUCGAAGCAUUCAUGGGAGUAUGGGCUAACAGCCUCCCUAAGGGUCAUGAACUUCCGAAAAGCAUGUACGAUACAAAGAAAAUCAUGAAGGCACUCUCUAUGGAUUAUGAGAAAAUAGAUGUUUGCCAAGAAUUGCCUUUUGUUUAGGCACGAGUAUACGGAUGACAAGUACUGUAGGAAGUGCGGUUCGUCUCGGUACAUUGAGGUGGUCGGUGAGGAUGGUGAGAAAAAGCAGCUAACCAUCCCCGUUAAGGUUCUUCGGUAUCUUGAUUUUAUAAAAAGAGUACAGCGCCGUUUCAUCAUGAAGGAGUCUGCCAAAAUGAUGAAGUGGCACAAGGAAGGUAUAAGUACAAUCCAAAAAAAUCGUACAUCCAUCGGGAGGGGAAGCAUGGAAGUCAUUCGAUGAAGAAUACCCCAAGGAAGCAGUCGAGGCUGGGAAUGUCAUAAUAGCCAUAUCAGGUGAUGGGUUGAAUCCAUAUGGUAUGUCGUCCAAUCCAUACAGCUGCUGGCCUGUGUUUGUAAUUCUGCUCAAUCUUCCUCCCGGUGCCCUAAUGCAACGGAAUACCAUGUUCUUGUCGCUCAUCAUUCCGGGGCCUGACUACCCAGGGAAGCAAUUGGGUGUGUUUAUGCAGCCUCUUGUGGAUGCUUUGCACCAUUCUUGAUACUUUCCGAGGUUGACAUACGACCGGGAUCUGCAGAGAAAUUUCUUGAUGAAAGUUUGGUUGCACUAUUGCAUGCAUGACUUUCCCGGCUAUGCUCUAUUCUGCGGAUGGUGUACAAGUGGUAAGAUGCCAUGCCCAGUGUGCAUGCAGGCUCUGCGAAUGAUUUGGCUGAGUAAGGGUGGCAAGUAUGUAGCCUUUGACCUGCAUCGACAGUUCCUCCCUCUAGACCAUCCAGACAGGGAAGACAAGAAGAACUUCAUGAAAGGCCGGGUUGUUCAUGAAGUAACCGAGAUUCCAACAUUUUCGGGGGCAGAUGUUCUUGCUCAGCUAAAAGCUCUCAAGCCUAAAGUCAAAGGCAAAGGCAAAGCCAAAUCCAAAGGCUUCGAGGGAUAUGGUGAGACGCACAACUGGACGCACAUUACCCCCUUCUCGCAGCUUCCCUAUUUCAAGGACCUCAAACUUCCUUACAAUAUUGAUGUGAUGCACACCGAAAAGAAUGUGGCAGAGUCCCUUUUCCACACGAUCCUCAACAUUCCUGAUAAUACGAAAGAUAACGUAAAAGCUAGAGCCGAUCAACAGAGAAUGUGUGCUAGACCACGCCUGAACAUGAAGCCUCCCACAGGCGGUCGAAAAAACUGGUUCAAGCCAGAUGCUGACUUUGUCCUUAAACCGCCAGAAAAAAAAGAAGUACUUAUCUGGCUGAAACAAAUUUUGAAGUUCACCGAUGGUUAUGCAUCGAAUAUAAGUAAGGGAGUCAAUCUUUCAACAGGCAAAGUGACCGGCCUGAAGAGUCAUGACUACCAUGUAUGGAUUGAGCGGAUAAUGCCGGUGAUGGUUCGAGGCUAUGUCCCCGAGCAUGUCUGGAGAGUGCUUGCCGAGCUUAGCCAUUUCUUCCGCACGCUCUGUGCUAAAGAAGUAAGUAAAGAGGUGAUUGAAAAAUUGCAUAAGAAGGCACCGGAGUUGAUAGUCAAGCUAGAGAAGAUCUUUCCGCCAGGCUUCUUUACUCCGAUGACACAUCUCAUUCUGCACCUUGCGAACGAGGUAUUGUUGGGGGGCCCUGUGCAAAAUCGCUGGCAGUACGGCCCUGAGUGGCAGAACAAGCAUCUCUGACAGAAAUGUGGAAACAAAGCUAAGAUUGAAGCUUCCAUAGCUGAGGCAGUUAUCCUAGAGGAGGUGUCAGACCUUAGGACAUCAUACUAUCCAGACCACGUUCCCCAUCUACAUAACAAGGUGCCUCGAUACAAUAUAGAAGAGCUUGGUUCAUGGAGAAAGUAAUUUUCCACACUCCCCUAUUAAAUACCUACUUCAACAUUUAUUAGUUAACCGAACUAAUGCACGCAACAAUUUCCAUUAUACUUGUAGGGAAAAGAUCCGAACAUAUCUAUGGAUGAUGAAUUGAGAUGGGUUUCCAUGGGUUUUGACCCUACCGUCAUGACAUGUAAAAAGUAUGAUGUGAAUGGGUAUCGCUUCCAUACAGAGGAGCACCAAAACAGCCACCCCGAUCCCAAAACUAUAAAUACUGGAGUGUACACCCCCGGUCAAAAUUCAGUAGACUAAUACGGAAGGGUACAAAAUAUAUACGAGGUUAAAUUCCGCCAGGGGCGUGAGACCCUAAGUCUGCCUGUGUUCAAAUGCCGAUGGUUCGAUCCGCGGGAGGGGGUAAAACAUAUGCCUUCCAUUGGUUUGGUCGAAGUUAAACCAUCAACCGUCUAUGCCGGAGCCGAUCUCUUCAUUGCGGCUACCCAAGCUACACAAGUAUAUUAUUUGCCUUACCCAUGCCAGAAAGUGUAUCUAAAGGGUUGGGAAGUUGUGUUAAAGGUGUCGCCACAUGGUAAGCUACCAGACCCGAAUGAAGACGAUUACUACAACAUUAACCCCAUGACAUACGAGGGAGUGUUAUAUCAAGAGCAACCUGAUGAUGAUGAUGAUGUGGUUAGAAACGAUGACGCUAGACCAUUGGGUGAUGAUGAUGUGGACCCAAACGUCGACGAUGCAUGGAAUGAUGGUGAGACCAUUGUCAAUGAAAAUGACAUACUUAUGCUAGAAAAGUUAAACAAAGACGCUGACGACGAAGAAGAGCCUCCACCUCCGUCGGACAACGAAGAACAUAUGAUUGAUAGUGAUGAUGAGACGGACCGAGAAAGAGGUUACAACAGUGACGAUUCAUAUGGGUUCUUGCAGAUGUACGUUUCAAGUAUUUUUUUUCUAUAGUUUAGGAAUAUGCCUUUUUAUGCAUUUUUAUUAAUGUGUUAAUUAUCAUGCCUUUUCCUUCAUUUCAUUAAUUUACUAAUUGCUUUUUCUCUUUUCAAUGCAGGUUCGUGGAACAUAGGCAAGGGGAAGGCCGACGGCGUGGGUUUCCUACGCAAGGUCGUCGCCCUGCCUAGUCGGAGUGGUCGAGCACAUAAUCCUCCCCCUCGGCUACUUUACGAUGACUCAUCACAGGGAGGUCGAGGGAGAGGUGCCCCUAGAGGAGGAGGGGGCGGGGGGAGAGCCUCUAGAGGACGAGGUGCUGGGGGGAGAGCCACUACAGGGGGUCGCGGCCAGAAAGAGCGCACCCUCACAGACUUAGGGGUGUUGUCUUCGAGGCCCUCCUCUAGUGAGGUACCCUCCUCUAGUGAGGNNNNNNNNNNNNNNNNNNNNNNNNNNNNNNNNNNNNNNNNNNNNNNNNNNNNNNNNNNNNNNNNNNNNNNNNNNNNNNNNNNNNNNNNNNNNNNNNNNNNNNNNNNNNNNNNNNNNNNNNNNNNNNNNNNNNNNNNNNNNNNNNNNNNNNNNNNNNNNNNNNNNNNNNNNNNNNNNNNNNNNNNNNNNNNNNNNNNNNNNNNNNNNNNNNNNNNNNNNNNNNNNNNNNNNNNNNNNNNNNNNNNNNNNNNNNNNNNNNNNNNNNNNNNNNNNNNNNNNNNNNNNNNNAGGCAGGCGAGGAGGAGGAGGAGGAGGAGGUUGGGGAGGGGGGCAGGCGAGGAGGAGGGUGGUGGCGGGGAUGAUGGUGGUGACGGGAAGGGGGUUGACAAGAAGGGGUGGCUGCGUGGUAACGCAAAGCUACCAAAGCAGGUUCCGGCCAUUGAGGAGCAGAAGUAGAGCCCACGGGAAAAGAGUAAGUGGUUCAUUAUUUUGCUUGUCACAUGCUUAUUCCGGUUGUUAUUUAUUUUGCUUGUCACAUGCUAAUAGUUCAUUCUUUUGCAGCAACUGGAUAUAUUCUAAAGGGGUCCGUAUUCCCAACGGCCUCAUCACCGUCUUGCUGAAGUUAUACUGGCCGGGGUUGUACUGCUCGGAUCCAUUCAGGCAGCCGGCUCGUCGGGUUUUGGCGGUGACGACCUCCGUGGUGCUUGACGUCCUGGCGCUUAAGCCUUUGGGUCACAUUGUGGCGGUCUUGGUGGUGAUGAUACUUAUAUGCUUGUGAUGUUUCUUAUUUUUGUUUGUGAGAUUCUUAUAUGCUUGGUGGUGAUGAUACUUAUAUGUUUAUGCUUUGCGAUGCUUCUUAUGAUGUGUGAUGAUGCAUUUGUUGUGUGAUGCUGCUGGGCCAGCUGUUAUGUGAUGCAUAUAUUUGUUGUGUGAUGCUGUAUAUAUUCAAAUGAAUUGAGCUGAAACAAAACAGAAAAAAGAAAAAAAAACAGACAGAAACUAUGCCGACGGCUAGGCCGUCGGCAUAGAGCNNNNNNNNNNNNNNNNNNNNNNNNNNNNNNNNNNNNNNNNNNNNNNNNNNNNNNNNNNNNNNNNNNNNNNNNNNNNNNNNNNNNNNNNNNNNNNNNNNNNNNNNNNNNNNNNNNNNNNNNNNNNNNNNNNNNNNNNNNNNNNNNNNNNNNNNNNNNNNNNNNNNNNNNNNNNNNNNNNNNNNNNNNNNNNNNNNNNNNNNNNNNNNNNNNNNNNNNNNNNNNNNNNNNNNNNNNNNNNNNNNNNNNNNNNNNNNNNNNNNNNNNNNNNNNNNNNNNNNNNNNNNNNNNNNNNNNNNNNNNNNNNNNNNNNNNNNNNNNNNNNNNNNNNNNNNNNNNNNNNNNNNNNNNNNNNNNNNNNNNNNNNNNNNNNNNNNNNNNNNNNNNNNNNNNNNNNNNNNNNNNNNNNNNNNNNNNNNNNNNNNNNNNNNNNNNNNNNNNNNNNNNNNNNNNNNNNNNNNNNNNNNNNNNNNNNNNNNNNGCUCGCCACAUGGCACGUCUAUCUCCGACGGCCUAGCCAUCGGCUUAGUUUGAAACUAUGCCGACAGCUAGGCCGUCGGCAUAGACCUGCCACGUGGUGAGCACACGUUGGUCAGCACUUGACGGCGGCCGCCGUUAGGCGAUAACGUUGCCGACGGCCCUGUAUGGACACCGUCGGGAUAGGGCCUAUGCCGAUGGCAUUUCUAUGACGACGGCCUUCCUGGCUACGCCGACGGAUAUGUCGCCGACGGCCCUAUGCCGACGGGGGCCGCCGGCAUAGGCCUGUCCCGACGGCCAUUCAGGGCUAUGCCGACGGCCCUGGCCGUCGGCAUAGAGUGCGAUUCCGGUAGUGCGAAGCCCGCCGUUUGUUUAGGUAUAGACAUUGGUAUGGAGACUUUUACUAUUAGCUAGGUGCCCUGCUUUGGCCUUCCGUUGAGCGCUGCUUAUCUCUACAAAAACGUGCUGGGUGUGUGCAAAACAUGCCCUUGAUUGGAGAGAUCGAGUUCCGGCCAUUCAUCUCUCUAGAUUCUUUUUGGUUGCUGCAAUUUUUUAGUGCGUGUUCUCACAAUAGAGUGCAGUGACGUGCUAGUUUCUAUAUGCAUGCACGGCUAUUUAUUUUUUUGGAAAAACUUUCAAUCUCUUCAUCUUCAAUCAUGGUAGUAUAAAUAAGACUAGAAAUAAUAAAAUUUACGUCUAGAUCCGUAUACCACCUAGCGACGACUACAAGCACUGAAGCGAGCCGAAGGUGCGCCGCCAUCAUCACCCCUCCAUCACUGGAGCCGGACAAAUCUUAUUGUAGUAGACAGUCGGAAAGUCAUCAUGCUAAGGCCCCAUAGGACCAGCGCAUCAGAAUAGGAGCCGCCGCCGUUGAAUAGAUCGGAAGGAUCCAACCUGAAGACACACGAACAUAGAUGAAUUACGACAAGAUCCUGCACCACCUUUCCGGCCGCCCCUCUUUCCGGGUGAUCCAAUCCUACGACAUGCGCAACGGCUGCCUCCGCGCAUACGGGCCCAGCACCACCGCGGCGUGGACCUGGCGGUGCGUCGCAGCACAGCGCUUCCCGCAGAGCAGCGCCAUUGUAACGCCCUCGAUGCGGCUAUAUCUCCCACGUGUCGAAGCACGACUUAGAGGCAUAACCGCAUUGAAAGCAAUGUCGCAAGUGUGGUAAUCUUCAGACAACCCAUGUAAUACAUAAAGGAAAGAGAUACAUAGUUGACUUACACUCGCCACUUCACACAAUACAUGAAUAUAACAUUACAUCUUCCAGAUACAAUCAAGGUCCGACUAUGGAACCAAAAUAAAAGAAGACUACCCCAAAUGCUACACAGAUCCCUGAUCGUCCCAACUGGGCUCCACUACUGAUCAGCUGAAACGAUACAACACUACGAACAAGGUCUUCAUCGAGCUCCUCCUUGAGCUCGGUUGCAUCACCUGCACGGUUUCAUCGGCACUUGCAAACUGGUUUUGGAAGUAUCUAUGAGUCACGGGGACUCAGCAAUUUCACACCCUCGCGAUCAAGACUAUUUAAGCUUAUAGGAAGGGUAGAAGGUAUGAGGUGGAGCUGCAGCAAGCGACUAGCAUAUUUGGUGGCUAACAUACGCAAAUGAGAGCGAGAAGAGAAGGCAAAUGCACGGUCGAGAAUCUAUGAUCAAGAAGUGAUCCUAGAACAACCUACGCCAAACAUAACUCCAACACCGUGUUCACUUCCCGGAUCCCGCCAAGAAGAGACCGUCACGGUAACACACGCGGUUGAUGCAUUUUAAUUAAGAUAAGUUUCAGGUUUUCUACAACCGGACAUUAACAAAUUUCCAUCUGCCCAUAACCGCGGACAUGGCUUUCGAAAGUUCAAAACCCUACAGGGGUGUCCCAACUUAGCCCAUCACAAGCUCUCACGGUCAACGAAGGAUAUUCCUUCUCCCAAGACAAUCCGAUCAGACUCGACAUCCCGGUUACAAGACAUCCUCGACAAUGGUAAAACAAGUCCAGCAAGACCGCCCGAUGCGCCGACAUCCUGAUAGGACCUGCAUAUAUCUCGUUCUCAGGGCAACACCGGAUGAACACUACGUACAGCUAAAACCAGCCCUCAAGUUUCCCCGAGGUGGCGCCGCAAGUGGCUCUAUUUUGGACCAACACUUAGACAAGCACUGGCCCGGGGGGUAAAAAUAAAGAUGACCCUUGGGCCGGCCUAACCCAAGGGAAAAAGAGGCUAGGUGGCGAAUGGUAAAACCAAGGUUGGGCCUUGCUGGAGGAGUUUUAUUCAAGGCGAACUGUCAAGGGCUUCCCAUUAUAACCCAACCGUGUAAGGAACGCAAAAUCCGGGAACAUAACAACGAUAUGACGGAAACUAUGGCGGCAAGAGUGGAACAAAACACCAGGCAUAAGGCCGAGCCUUCCACCCUUUACCAAGUAUAUAGAUGCAUUAAUUAAAUAAGAGAUAUUGUGAUAUCCAACAAAAUAUCCAUGUUCCAACAAGGAACAAACUACAAUCUUCACCUACAACUAACAACGCUAUAAGAGGGGCUGAGCAAAGCGGUAACAUAGUCAAACAAUGGUUUGCUAGGAAAAGGUGGGUUAGAGGCUUGGCUUGACAAUAUGGGAGGCAUGAUAAGCAAGUGGUAGGAAUCGCAGCAUAGGCAUAGCAAAAGAGCGAGCAACUAGCAAGCAAAGAUAGAAGUGAUUUCGAGGGUAUGGUCAUCUUGCCUGCAAAGUUCUCCAACAAGACGAAGGCUUGAACCUCGUAAACGUACUCAACGGGCUCCUUGAACACGAACUCGUCUCCCCGGCUCUACCCAAAUCAAGAACAACAAGCAAAAGGAACACAAUCAACCAUGUGCAAUGCACAAACAACAUGAUGCAAACAUGGUAUGAUAUGCGGGAUGCGAUAUGUGAUGCAUAUGCAUGAUUCGGAAAGGAAUGAUUGAACCUGGCCUCAACUUGGAAACCCAAGAGUCCCACUGGAAAGAGGAGUUGAUUUCGGUUGAAAUCGAUAUAAAGAUCAACGGAAUCGGACGCACGGUUUGGAAAUGACAAGCAAAACAAAUAUGGCACCGGUCUGCGAUUAACAGCACGAAGCCAUCUAAAUGCAUCAAGAUAAAUAAGCUACUGCACUCAAACAUAACAACAAAAUACAUGGCAGGGAUCCACUCAAGAUGCUUGACAAAAGAUGAACACUGAGAUAUGGCUAAUUCACUAAAUAGCAAGUUCAAACAAGCAUGGCAAAAGUGCAAACGGUAACAGGUUACAGACUUAGUGAAAUUAUCAACAUGUCAGGAAUUUAACAUCAGGAAGCACUGUUUAGAGCACGAUAACUACAUGCUACAGGAACAUAUAAUGGAAAAGCAAAGCAUGGCAUGAAGCUACUCAAAGUAUACAACAAAAGUCCCUUACUGACCAUAAGCCAAAAGGGAUCAGAAAAUACAAUGGCAACCAUGUGAACAUAGCAAUUAUCGUUAACAGAUUCAGACUUGGUAGAAAAACUGGAGCAUGGCAAAACAGAUAUCAAGUAGUCAUGUUUACGAGCUCGAUGCACUCACUACGAGGCAUUGCAUGACAAACUAAGCAUACACCCAGCAAGUAGACAUGGCAUAGAAGCUAGACAUGGCAAGAACAACAUCAUAGCAUGCACGGAUCAACUACAACAAGCUCGGCAAAAUUGAUAAACAUGUUAACAAUCUGCCAAGAACAUUUUAUAGCAAAAAUAGAGCUCGAUUGAGUCAAGCUAGGGUGCUCCACAAUGGCAAACAAAGACAUGGAUGGAUAGAGCACAACAUCAUCUACAAAACAUCCUUACUGAUCAUGCUCAAAAGAGGCAUAGAUCUCUCGGUAGCAACAUGAACACAUGGCAUAAAAAUAAUAAUAGGACAAGGACUUAGAAUAUUUCUAAGUCCCUGAAAUCAGCAAUAAUAAGUAAGCUACUUUGCAUGCUUGUGCUAGUCACCACAAAGAUCACAAAAAUACAUGGCAUACACCCCUGUAAAGAUGGCAUGACAUACUUCAAAACACAUGUAGAGCUCAGGAUCAUAUCAUGCACGCAUUAAACAUGGCAAAAAGGACAAAAGUGCAUUUGUUGAAACAGAUCUGAAACUAUCAUCACAUAGCCCUCUUCCAACAGCAUUUCGGACAUCAAGAUGAGAUCAAAUGAAAAUGAUGCAAUAAGAUGAAAUUAAGUACUCUUCGAGGCGAACAUUUUGAUAUGCUACACGCAUGAACCGGAGCCACAGUGAUGAAGUUAUGAUGCGCCAAAGUAUGCAAAAUAUUAGGAUUUCGGGGAGAAGAAGUCAACCGAGGAGAUUGGAUCUGGAUCUGGCACUGUAGCGGCGCGUUAACCUAGGAUGGCCUGGAUCUUCACCAGAAAACUUGAACUCGCCGGAGUUGGGGAAAGGAGCCGCUAGAGAGGAGGAAGGGGUUGCCGCGGCGCGGGGUUGCCGGACUUGGCGCGCGGGGUCGCCAGACUUGGCGCGAGCUCAUUGGACUUGGCUGCGGACGAGGGCAAAGCGGUGGCUGGAGAAGCUCGCGGUGGCGGGGGGCUCCUCGGCGGGCGGCGCGGAGCCAGAGGAGGCGGGGUGACCCAGGCAGCAGGGCGCGGGGCUCUCUCCGGUGGAUCGGGCCUGGAGGGCCAGAUCCGGGCCACGGCGGGCCUGGCGGCGGGGAGGAGAGAGAGGGCGCGGCGCGGGUGACGUGUCGCGCGCUGAGUGGGUGAGGGCGGUGGCGGCGCUGAUGUGGCGUGCGCUAAUUCGCCGGAGUGAGGUGGAAGGCGCGGUGGACAUGUCCGGCCGGUGAGGAUGCGUCCGGUGGCGCGCGGAGGAGGAGGUUAGGGUUUCAUCUGCGCGAAAAUUCCGGGAGGGACACAUAUUUAUAGGUAGAGGGAGCUAGGAAGCUCCAAAUGAGAUGCGGUUUGCGGCCACGCGAUCGUGAUCAAACGGCCUAGAUGAUGGGAGGGGUUUAGGUGGGUUUUGGGCCACUUUGAAGGGGUGUUGGGCUGCAACACGCACAAGGCCUUAUCGGUCCCUCGGUUAACCGUUGGAGUAUCAAACGAAGUCCAAAUGGCACGAAACUUGACAGGCGGUCUACCGGUAGUAAACCAAGGCCGCAUGACAAGUCUCGGUGCAAUCCGAAAACGUUUAACACCCGCACACGAAAAGAGGUAGAAAGGGACACCGGAUGACAUAGGAACGCCGGAAUGCAAAACGGACAACGGGGAAAAUGCUCGGAUGCAUGAGACGAACACGUAUGCAAAUGCAAUGCACAUGAUGACAUGAUAUGAGAUGCAUGACACGAAAGCAAAUGACAAGGCAACAACAGCGAAAAACUGGAGGACACCUGGCACAUCGGUCUUAGGGCGUUACAACACUCCACCACUACGAGAGGAUCUCAUCCCGAGAUCUAGAAUGGCACCGGAGGGAAAAAGAAGAGGAAGAGCAGCGAUAAAACUAAGUUGCUUCUUUGACCAAAGAGUGUAACCAAAGAACCUUGAGAGGUUGAACAGAUUGAAAGAAAGAAUGCAACUAAGAAGAACAAAGUUGCAAACACUCCGUUAGAAAAGAGGAACAAGGAUCAUUAUGGGAACCUUGUAGGUUGACGGACAUAAGAAAAGGGUUCGAUGGACACUAGUAGAAAACAGGGCUAUGGUCCAGGCCGGCUCAGCCCAUUAGUCCCGGUUCAGUGUAGAACUGGGACCAAUGUGGGCAUUGGUCCCGGUUCGUGAGCCCAGGGGGCCGGCCGGGCCACAUGGGCCAUUGGUCCCGGUUCGUCUGGACCUUUUGGUCCCGGUUGGUGGGACGAACCGGGACCAAUGGGCCUCGCUCCUGGCCCACCACCAUUGGUCCCGGUUGGUGGCUUGAACCGGGACCAGAGGCUCCCCUUUAGUCCCGGUUCAUGCCACCAACCGGGACCAAUGAGGUGCCUAUAUAUACCCCCUCGCGCAAGAGCAGAGCACAGUGCUCUGUUUUUUCUGGCCGAGGGGGAGAGGGCUUUGUGGUGCUCUAGCUCACCUCCUAUGCACAUGAGGUGUUCGAUGGAAUGCCCGAUCCACACUACUUAAGCUUUCUCCUCUCGAAGCUCGACCUCCAAGCUCCAUUUUCCUCGAGAUUUGUCUAGAUUUAGCGGUCCGUCACGCCCCGUCCCCGUCUUCACCGCCGUCGAUCACCCGCACCGAUCUCAUCACCGACACCACCGUGGUAAGCCUCUUGUUCUUAUCUUCUUUCUGAAAGGAAAAAUAUUCUUACUUGUAUGUUUAGAUAGAUACUUGUAUCAUUUUCUUACAUUUAUUAUUGCAUCUUAUAUAGUGCGAUGGUUUUGGUAUCCGCCCCCGUCGGCCCUCGUCCUGUCUAUGAUUCGGAUUUGGUAUGUAUAUUAUCUUUAUAACUAUUGGUUCAUUUAUUUUUUAUGAAAAUUAUGCCGACCAACGUGACAUAGAUUUUAUUUAUCUAGGAUGUAUGUGAAUCGGAAAUGCCAACCGACCCUAUUGUCGAGAGGUUAAAUUUAGUUGAAGAAGAAAACAAUUUGUUGAAGGAAAAAAUAAAAAAAAUUGAGGAGGAGAAGAUGAUAUUGGAGUUGCAUGUUGCGGAUGUCGUCGAUGAUCACAAGAUCAAGAUGGAUACAAUGCGCUUGAAGAUUAGAAAGAUUAGAAAAUAUGCCAUUCAUACCGAGGCUUGGUAUCAUUAUGCCGUUGGAUCAAUUGUUACCUUGGUUGCGAUUAUGAUCGCAUUUGUUUUCGCAUUGAAAUGUUUUACAUAGUUUCAAUGUAUGGUUUAAUUAAUUAGAUGCUCUGGAGAGCUAUAUGUUGUUAGAUGAGAACUAUGUAUGCACUUUGGUUUUAAUGUGAUGAUGAACUUCUAUUAAUUUGGACACUUAAUUAUAUAUAAUGCACGCAGAUGAACCGACAAUGGAUGUACGGUGACAGACACACCCGCGAGUACAUUAAGGGCGUGCAUGAGUUUCUCGAUGCGGCUGAGGCAAACAAGCAGAAUGGUUUUAUGUGUUGUCCAUGCACUAAAUGUGGGAAUACGAGGUCUUACUCUAACCGGAAAAUCCUUCACUCCCACCUGCUUUAGAAGGGUUUCAUGCCACACUAUAAUGUUUGGAUGAGGCACGGAGAAAUAGGGGUUAUGAUGGAAGACGGCGAAGAAGAAGAGUACGAUGACAACUAUGUGCCCCCUGAAUACGGUGAUGCUGCAACGGGGGGAGCUGGUGAAGAUCAAGAGGAACCAGACGAUGUGCCCAAUGAUGCUGCCAUGGGUGAAGCUGCUGAAGAUCAAGAGGAACCAGACGAUGUGCCCGAUGAUGAUGAUCUCCGCCGGGUCAUUGUCGAUGCAAGGACGCAAUGCAUUAGUCAAAAGGAGAAGCUGAAGUUCGAUCGCAUGUUAGAGGAUCACAAAAAAGGGUUAUACCCCAAUUGCGAAGAUGGCAACACAAAGCUCGGUACCGUACUGGAAUUGCUGCAGUGGAAGGCAGAGAAUGCUGUGGCUGACAAAGGAUUUGAGAAGCUACUAAAAAUAUUGAAGAAGAAGCUUCCAAAGGAUAACGAAUUGCCCGACAGUACAUACGCAGCAAAGAAGGUCGUAUGCCCUCUAGGAUUGGAGGUGGAGAAGAUACAUGCAUGCCCUAAUGACUGCAUCCUCUACCGCGGUGCAUACAAGGAUCUGAACGCAUGCCCGGUAUGCGGUGCGUUGCGGUAUAAGAUCAGACGAGAUGACCCUGGUGAUGUUGAUGGCGAGCCCCUCAGGAAGAGGGUUCCUGCGAAGGUGAUGUGGUAUGCUCCUAUAAUACCACGGUUGAAACGUCUGUUCAGAAACGAAGAGCAUGCCAAGUUGAUGCGAUGGCACAGUGAGAACCGAAAGAAAGAUGGGAAGUUGAGAGCACCCGCUGACGGGUCGCAGUGGAGAAAAAUCGAGAGAAAGUACUGGGAUGAGUUUGCAAAGGACCCAAGGAAUGUAUGGUUUGCUUUAAGCGCGGAUGGCAUUAAUCCUUUCGGGGAGCAGAGCAGCAAUCACAGCACCUGGCCCGUGACUCUAUGUAUGUAUAACCUUCCUCCUUGGAUGUGCAUGAAGCGGAAGUUCAUUAUGAUGCCAGUUCUCAUCCAAGGCCCUAAGCAACCCGGCAACGAAAUUGAUGUGUACCUAAGGCCAUUAGUUGAAGAACUUUUACAGCUGUGGAAUGGAAACGGUGUACGUACGUGGGAUGAGCACAGACAGGAGAAAUUUAACCUUAAGGCGUUGCUGUUCAUGACCAGCAACGAUUGGCCCGCUCUCAGUAACCUUUCAGGACAGACGAACAAAGGAUACCACGCAUGCAUGCACUGUUUAGAUGACACUGAAAGUAUAUACCUGGACAAAUGCAGGAAGAAUGUGUACCUGGGCCAUCGUCGAUUUCUUCCGACCAACCAUCAAUGUCGAAAGAAAGGCAAGCAUUUCAAAGGCGAGGCAGAUCACCGGAAGAAGCCCGCCAUGCGCACCGGUGAUCACGUGCUUGCUAUGGUCAAUGAUUUACACUACGUAAUCUUUGGAAAGGGUCCCGGUGGACUAGCUGUUCCGAAUGACGCUGAGGGACAUGCACCCAUGUGGAAGAAGAAAUCUAUAUUUUGGGACCUACCCUACUGGAAAGACCUAGAGGUCCGCUCCUCAAUCGACGUGAUGCAUGUGAUGAAGAACCUUUGCGUGAACCUGCUAGGCUUCUUGGGCGUGUAUGGGAAGACAAAAGAUACACCUGAGGCACGAGAGGACCUGCAACGUUUGCACGAAAAAGAUGGCAUGCCUCCCAAGCAGUAUAAAGGUCCUGCCAACUACGCUCUUACGAAAGAAGAGAAAGAAAUCUUCUUUUAAUGCCUGCUCAGUAUGAAGGUCACGACUGGCUUCUCGUCGAAUAUAAAGGGAAUAAUAAAUAUGCCAGAGAAAAAGUUUCAGAACCUAAAGUCUCAUGACUGCCACGUGAUUAUGACGCAACUGCUUUCGGUUGCAUUGACGGGUCUUCUAUCGGAAAACGUCCGAUUAGCCAUUGUGAAGCUAUGUGCAUUCCUCAAUGCAAUCUCUCAGAAGGUGAUCGAUCCAGAAAUCGUACCAAGGCUAAGGAGUGAUGUGGCGCAAUGUCUUGUCAGUUUCGAGCUGGUGUUCCCACCAUCCUUCUUCAAUAUCAUGACGCACGUCCUAGUUCAUCUAGUCGACGAGAUUGUCAUCCUGGGGCCCGUAUUUCUACACAAUAUGUUCCCCUUUGAGAGGUUCAUGGGAGUCCUAAAGAAAUAUGUCCGUAACCGCGCUAGGCCAGAAGGAAGCAUCUCCAUGGGCCAUCAAACAGAGGAUGUUAUCGGGUUUUGUGUUGACUUCAUUCUUGGCCUUAACAAGAUAGGUCUCCCUAAAUCGCGGUAUGAGGGGAGACUGACUGGAAAAGGCACUCUUGGAAGAGACUCAAUAAUAUGCAGGGACAGAUAUUCUUGGUCUCAAGCACACUACACAGUUCUACAGAACUCUACCUUGGUGACCCCGUAUGUCGAUGAACACAAGAACAGUCUGCGCUCCAAACACCCGGAGCAGUGCGACGACUGGAUUACAAGUGAACACAUCAGGACUUUCAGCAGUUGGUUGGAAACACGUCUCAGAGGUGACAACACUGUUUGUGAUGAGUUGUACUUGUUGUCCAGGGGACCAUCUUUGACUGUAUUGACUUACAAAGGAUACGAGAUAAAUGGGAAUACAUUUUACACGAUCGCCCAAGAUCAAAAGAGCACCAACCAAAACAGCGGUGUCCUCUUUGAUGCAGCAACCGAGAGCGGAAAGGACACAUAUUAUGGUUACAUAGUGGACAUAUGGGAACUUGACUACGGACCUGAUUUUAAGGUCCCUUUGUUUAAGUGCAAAUGGGUCAAUCUGUUAGGCGGCGGGGUACAGGUAGACCCACAGUACGGAAUGACAACAGUGGAUCUGAAAAAUCUUGGGUACACUGACGAACCGUUCAUCCUAGCCAAUGAUGUGGCACAGGUUAUCUAUGUGAAGGACAUGUCUACCAAACCGAGAAAAAGAAAAGAUAAGGAAGCGAAUACAUCAUACGAUGAGCCAAAGCGCCACAUAGUUCUUUCAGGAAAAAGGGACAUCAUGGGAGUGGACGGCAAGACAGACAUGUCUGAAGAUUAUGAAAAGUUUCAUGAAAUUCCUCCCUUCAAUGUCAAGGCUGACCCAAGCAUCCUGAUAAACAAUGAAGAUUAUCCAUGGUUACCGCGCAAUAAGUAAAUGACACAAGCGAAGAAAAAGUGAAGACUUUCUCCCGCAACUAUUAUGAUGAUACCAUGCCAAAUUUGUAACAGACGAACAUGCUACCAUUGUCCGUUUUGUACAUGCACAUGCUAUGUGGGUGAAAUUAUGAUACCAUCCCAACUUUCAACUUUUUCAGAGUUCAUUUGAAAUGCUUUCAUGUCUUAUGGUUUGAAACUUUGAUACUUCGAAAGUGAUUGUCCAUUUUGUACACGAAGUGCAUCAAGUUUUUGUCAUAACCCUCUCUACUUUUUGGAACAUGUUAUGUGGGUGAAAUGAUGAUACCAUGCCAACUUUCAACCUUUUCAGAGUUCAUUUUGAAAUGCUUUCCAAUUUCAGAGUCAUUUAGCUCAAAGAAUUAAUUAAUAGCAAACGGAAUAAACUACAAAACUUUUAUGAAAAUAAAAACAAUCAAUUAAAAUAUUAUGUUAUGAUCAACUAAAAUAAAACUAUAAUAUUCUUCAAUAGCAAAAAGAAUAUAAUUUUUGUGACCUAAAAUCAAACUAUAAGUAUUUAAUUGUAAGUAUAAAUAAAAAAUAAAUAGCAAAGAAGAAAAAAUUUCUAAUUUUAUAGUAAAGUUAUUCAUAAACUAGUGAUUCACACAAAUUUUUAAAAAUUCAAAUUUAAACUNNNNNNNNNNNNNNNNNNNNNNNNNNNNNNNNNNNNNNNNNNNNNNNNNNNNNNNNNNNNNNNNNNNNNNNNNNNNNNNNNNNNNNNNNNNNNNNNNNNNNNNNNNNNNNNNNNNNNNNNNNNNNNNNNNNNNNNNNNNNNNNNNNNNNNNNNNNNNNNNNNNNNNNNNNNNNNNNNNNNNNNNNNNNNNNNNNNNNNNNNNNNNNNNNNNNNNNNNNNNNNNNNNNNNNNNNNNNNNNNNNNNNNNNNNNNNNNNNNNNNNNNNNNNNNNNNNNNNNNNNNNNNNNNNNNNNNNNNNNNNNNNNNNNNNNNNNNNNNNNNNNNNNNNNNNNNNNNNNNNNNNNNNNNNNNNNNNNNNNNNNNNNNNNNNNNNNNNNNNNNNNNNNNNNNNNNNNNNNNNNNNNNNNNNNNNNNNNNNNNNNNNNNNNNNNNNNNNNNNNNNNNNNNNNNNNNNNNNNNNNNNNNNNNNNNNNNNNNNNNNNNNNNNNNNNNNNNNNNNNNNNNNNNNNNNNNNNNNNNNNNNNNNNNNNNNNNNNNNNNNNNNNNNNNNNNNNNNNNNNNNNNNNNNNNNNNNNNNNNNNNNNNNNNNNNNNNNNNNNNNNNNNNNNNNNNNNNNNNNNNNNNNNNNNNNNNNNNNNNNNNNNNNNNNNNNNNNNNNNNNNNNNNNNNNNNNNNNNNNNNNNNNNNNNNNNNNNNNNNNNNNNNNNNNNNNNNNNNNNNNNNNNNNNNNNNNNNNNNNNNNNNNNNNNNNNNNNNNNNNNNNNNNNNNNNNNNNNNNNNNNNNNNNNNNNNNNNNNNNNNNNNNNNNNNNNNNNNNNNNNNNNNNNNNNNNNNNNNNNNNNNNNNNNNNNNNNNNNNNNNNNNNNNNNNNNNNNNNNNNNNNNNNNNNNNNNNNNNNNNNNNNNNNNNNNNNNNNNNNNNNNNNNNNNNNNNNNNNNNNNNNNNNNNNNNNNNNNNNNNNNNNNNNNNNNNNNNNNNNNNNNNNNNNNNNNNNNNNNNNNNNNNNNNNNNNNNNNNNNNNNNNNNNNNNNNNNNNNNNNNNNNNNNNNNNNNNNNNNNNNNNNNNNNNNNNNNNNNNNNNNNNNNNNNNNNNNNNNNNNNNNNNNNNNNNNNNNNNNNNNNNNCCCUGACCCCGUCGCCAUCGCCGCGCGCGCCGCCCCUUCCCCAACCCCGUCGCCGUCGCCCCGACCACACGCCACCACUUUCGGUCCGGCCGCCGGCGCCCUUUUUAUCGCUGAUUUUAGGUUGAUGAUAUGAUGAUGUUGAUGAUAUGAUGAUGUUUUUUUUCUGUUGAUGAUAUGAUGAUAUGUUUUUUCUGUUGAUGAUAUGAUGAUGUUUUUUUUCAUAUAUGCAUUUUUUCAUAUAUGUACUGAUUUUUUUAAGUUGUUAGUAGAUAUCGAUUUUAGGUUAGUGCAUUUUAUCACUGAUUUUAGGUUAGUUGAUCGAUUUAGUGCAUUUUAUGUUUGUUGCAUUUUAGGUUAGUGCAUUUUAUGUUAGUGGAGAGGAAGAAGGAGAAGACGAGGAGAGGAAGAAAAGGAAGAGGAGAAGAAGAAAGGAAUAGAGGAGAAGAAGAAAAAAAUAGAAAUUUUUUCUAUUUUUUCUUCUUCUCCUCUAUUCCUUUCUUCUUCUCCUCUUUUUUUUCUUCGAUCUUCUCCCCCUCCCGAUAGGAAAGUUUUAUAUAGGAAGUUACAAUUUUAGAAGAGUUUUAUAUAUGCAAAAGUUACGAUUUUAGAAAAAGAAGGAUAGGAAAGAAGAAAAUAAGAAGAGGAGAAGAAGAAAGGAAUAGAGGAGAAGAAGAGAAAAAUAGAAUAUAUAUUCUAUUUUCUAUUUUCUCCUAUAUUCCUUUCUUCUUCUCCUCUUUUUUUCUUCUUUUUUUUCUUUGACACGUGGGGGGGUCGAGAAUGCCGGACAUUCAUGAGAGAGGCGAGGAAGAAGGGGAAGAAGAGGGAGAAGAAGAGGAGAGGAAGAAGAGGAAGUCUUCUCCUCUAUUCUUUCUUCUCUUCUUUUUUCUUCUUCUUCUUCCUCUUUAUUUUAUCGGGAACGAGGGUCGUCGAGAAGUCGAGGAGCGGUAGAGGAGAAACCCUAAAUAGAAAGUAUCGUCGGUGUGAGAUACAUGUACCGUCGGUGUCGGACACUACACCCACAUCCCACAAGUGGCGCGGGCUUCGACGCCCACGUCACUUGUGGGACGUGGAUGUAGUGUCCUACACCGAAGGCCACAUGUAUCUCACACCCACGAUACUUGCUAGCUAUUUAGGGUUUCCUCUACCGAAAAGAAGAGGAGAAAUAAAUAAGAAGAAGAAAAAAGAAGAAAAAGAAGAGGAGAAGAAGAAAGGAAUAGUGGAGAAGAAGAGAAAAUAGAAUAUAUUCUAUUUUCUCUUUUCUCCACUAUUCCUUUCUUCUUCUCCUCUUUUUUUUCUUCUUUUCUUCUUCUUCUUCUUCUUCUUCUUCUUCUUCUUCUUAUUCUUAUUAGCCGGAAGUAGAGAGAGGUUUCCUAGUGACAAAGUAUUGAAGAAAUCCAUGCCUUCAUCAUUAGCCGGAAGUAACCAGGGCAUGUUGGUACGAAGUUCUGCAAAGUUGUUCUGGAAUGGAGUCCCGGAUAGAAUAAUUCGCCUUUUGGUACGAAUUCAGCAAAGGCCUUCCAAAUAGCGAUAUUCGGAAGGCUCUUGCUGAACUUUGUACCAAAAAGCGAAUUAUCCUAUCUGGGACUCCGUUCCAGGACAACUUUGAAGAGCUUCGUACCAUCAUGCACAUGUUACUUUCGCCUAAUGAUGAAGACAUGGUUUUGUUGAAUCCCUUGACACUAGGCAACCUCCCGACCCCUCGGCGAUCCUAUCGAACAUGAGAGGAAGAAGAGGAUAAAAAAAGAAGAGGAAUAAGAAAAAAAAGAGGAGAAGAAAGAAUAGAGGAGAAGAUCUCCUCUAUUCUUUCUUCUCCUCUUUUUUUUCUUCUUCUUCCUCUUUUUUUUAUCGGGGACGAGGGUCGUCGAGGGACAUAGAUGUAGUGUCGUCGUUGUCGAUAUAUACCCCCUCCCGAUAGCUUACUAUGAUUAGGUAGCUAGUUCUACGUUUGGCACUAAUAUAUCCAUCUAUCAUGUUUGAAUAAUAAUUGCCAUGUUGUAAAUAUUUGUAGAAACUAUGGACACCGCCCUAGACGAAGCAACAAAAGAAGCGUUGUUGAGGGACAUAAUCGCAGAAGGAAGUGAUGCCAUCUCAUUGUUUCUCAACGAAACCGAUGGUCUGGAAGGAGAGGGUGAACAAGCUGGCUACGGUGACCUAAUGCCGGUGCAAGAAGAAGAACAUGAGGACGGCUCCGGUGACCCAAUGCCGGUGCAAGAAGGAGACCGUGAUGACGGCUCCGGUGACCGAACCGAGUCCGGCCAGGUAUAUAUAUUAGUUAAGCCUAUGCUGACUAGCUGAUUGAUGCAUUCAUUGUUUUGGUAUGUACACAUAUUAAUUAAGUCUUUGUUCUUUUUUCUAGCCCUCCGAAUCGAGCACAACUUCAGUAAAGAGACGAGGCCCGAAGAAAAAGUUGAGCUCGGAUGAAAAGUUUGAGAUCAUAGCAAUCGCGCCCGACGGCCAACCUAUUGAACCCCUCCGGACAAAGAGCGCAUUUGUUGCUCAGUGCGGGGUUCUGGUUAGGGACAAGAUCCCGAUAAGCAUCCAGCAAUGGUUUAAGCCGGCUACAGAAGACCCUGAGGUGUCUUAUGUCAAUGAUAUGCAGAAAAAUGAUCUUUGGACUGAGCUGAAGUCAAAUUUCACCCUACCGCCUGAGGAUAAUCCAGAGAACCCAGUUAAAGAGAAAUUAAUCGAGUCUUUUGCUCUGAAGAGGAUGGCAGAACUAUUCAGGAGGUGGAAGAAAGAGCUGAAUAAGUUUGUCGAAAAUAAUGAGACACCAGAUUUCAAGGGCAGAUAUGAGAAGAUCAGAGAUCACUGGCCCGCAUUUGUGGCCCACAAGACAUCAGAAAAGAGUAAGAAGAUGUCGGCGACAAACAAGCAAAAUGCUGCGAAGAAGAAGCUUCACCAUUGCACGGGGUCAGGUGGCUACCUAGUAGCCCGGCCUAAGUGGUCCAAGACUGAGAAUGAUCUGGUUCAUAAAGGGAUCGAACCAGAGACAAUUAACUGGCCAGACCGUUGCCGAACUUGGUUCUUCGGGGCUGGCGGAACACUGGACCCUGUAACAGGGAAGUGCAUUUGGACGAACGAUCAAAUGGACAUACCAGUCAGUAAGCUUAAGCAGUAUAUCGAAGCAGCGCAGGAAGGGACGUUCUUUCUAGACAGAGAGAACGACGAGCUCACAAUGGCCCUCGGGAAUCCUGAGCACCCUGGACGGACACGAGGCACGCCAGGCUCCAUUCCGUGGAAGGUUGGGUUUCCGGACGCAGGCGGUUACAAAUCCCAUGAGAGGAGGAAAAAAGUGCAGCAGACCCAAAUACAGGCGCUGCAAGCAAGGGUAGACGCGAUAGAGGAACGAGAAGCAAAUCGCAGCAAACGUACUACCGAAGCCUCCCCCGAAGCUACCCCGCCAUCUCAGCGCAGAAGCAGCAUGGCUUCCACCGAGCUGCUUCAGCUGGAGCAUGCCUUGAUGGCUCCUGCCAGCUAUCCCGUGGAUGCUAUAACGGAGUCUCAAAAUUGCCACCUUAUGACGCAAUGGAUGAAUUUGAGGGUCAAGGCGGCUGUUGGCUCUGUUUAUCCUACUGAACCCGGUGCAACUUUUCACUGCCGGCCGAUUCCAGAAGGAUAUGCUAGGGUGAUGGUGGAUGAGAUAACGGAGGGAUUUGAGGACCUCCAGCUUGACCACCCUACCGGUGAAGGGGAGACUCGGCUGGGGUCUGCUCUGAAGACUCCAUGCCUAUGGCGAAGGAGCUCAUCAACCUUCCGAACUGGACGCCACCGCCUCCUCCUCCUCCUCCAGUGAGUCAGGGCACUCCGCCUCCACCGCCUCCUCCUCCGGCGAGUGACGAUUAGGGCCCUCGGCCGGCUCCUUCUCCGGCGCGUGGCGGCACUCCGCCUCCUUCUCCGCCUGCGCCGACGCGCCCGAGCAGCCAGCCUCCUCCUUUUCCACCUCGUCGGCAAGGGCGGAAGAGACCUACCGCCGCUCCAGCUGCUCUGGCGCGUCGUAGUCCUUCUCCUCCGCCGCUUAAGCAAGUAAAGAACACAACCACUCCGUCUGCUCGGUCGGCGUCUAGCAGUACAACCAGAGGCGGGAGGACAUACAGAUUCGGUCCUUCUCUGAAGACUCCAGAGAAGUUGCCAUAUGAGAGGACCCUGGAGGAGAAUGCCGAGAUCACGCGAGAAGAAGUGAGGAACUUCUUUGAAGGGGUGAAAGCAAAGAAACAUCCACCUCCGGAGGAGAAGGUAGAUCGGGUGAAAGUGAAGCGCACUCUGGCUGCCCUGACAAAACCACCGAAGUCUGAUCCGCCGAAAGGAAACUAUGACCGCAUUAUUGGAAAGGAAUUUGCCGAAGCGGAGUGGUCGGGAAGUACUGUCAGUGAUCAAAGGCUGAAAGAACGACGAGCUGGGAAACAAAUUGCCCAGCUCGGCGAACAAGCGAAGCAAUCGUGCCCCCCGCUCAAGGUGCCUAGCCACAACGUCGAUAAUGAUCCGAGGAUGGUGCCCGGUUAUAGCAAUCUUGCACAUUACCUGCCCGACGAAGUACAUUAUGAACCCAUGGAGGUGCAGAUACAAAGAUACGAGUACGGGAAGCCUCUCGUCAAAGAUGAAAGAUCUCUAUCAACGAUGAUGCGAAGAUUGCAUGAUUGGUACUUGAAAAUCUGCAAAGACUCUGGGGGGAGGAGUACUUUGUAUGUGAAAGUUAAAAAGGAGCAUGACCUCGUUGGAAUUGAUCUGUUGCCUGUUCCAUUUGAGGAGUUCUAUCAGCUUUUCAAUCAAUUGGCCCUCGAUAAAACAACGGUCGCCUGCUACUAUCUGUAAGUAGUACUACUUCUGUCAUUAAGUUUCUCUAUAUAGCUUAGCUCUUUCAUUGCAUGUAUUUAUAAUCACCCUCACUAUAUUAUGCAGAUUGAAGAUCGCUGAAUUGAAGAAAAGACAAGUCGGUGAUAUUGGGUUCAUUAACACAUAUCUCAUAGAUGCAACUCAGGUUAAACUUCAUGCCGCAGCUACCGAGGCCAACUUGCUACGAUCGUUCGUAAUAAAUCAAAACAAAGAUAUAAUACUCUUUCCUUACAACUUUAGGUGAGUGUUACUGUCUUGUGCGUAUUCGGUUUCCCUUAUAUAUUAGUCAAGGUUAUAGUAAUGUAAUUCAUGAGUUAUGCAUGUGUGUGCAGUUUCCACUAUAUUCUCCUAGAUAUUAAGCUUGAGCAGGGAGUAGUAACCGUCUUGGACUCUAAACGAAAAGAUCCCAAGGAGUAUGCGGACAUGACUGAAAUCCUCAAGAAGUAAGUUAAAUCGAUCAUUAUCCACCAUAUCAGCAACUUUGUUCAUUUCCUGAUAUCAAGUAAUUGUUCUCUUUGUCCGGCAGGGUUUGGAGAAAAUUCACCAAAACAGUUCCGGGACUGCCGAAGGAGCUGGAAUUUAGACACCCGAAAGUAAGUACUAUAGUAGCAUGUUCCGCGCAUCUCCUAGUGAUUCAAGCGCUAGUUUCAUCAAUACCAUUUAGCAUUCUUGCUUAUCAGUUUGAUUAACCUCUAUUUCUUGUAAAGUGGUUGUGGCAGGAACAAGGGAAUGAUUUCUGUGGAUACUACAUUUGCGAGUCCAUCCGCCACACGACUUGUGAGCGGGGCGGGUACUCUAACGAACAAUACGAAGUACGUAAAUAACAACAUUCACAAUUUUAUUUUAUUACCAUCAUUUGUGUUGAGUUUCAUUCAUUUAUAUAUAUAUAUAUAUGUAUUGACCCCCUUCUUCAAAUUAGAUGUUUCGGAAGCGGGAUGAACUCCUAGCACCAGCUCGCAUGCGAGCAAUUCAAGAGGAAUUGGCGGCAUUCCUUCUUGACCACGUGAUCCCUGAAGACGGAGAAUUCUAUGUGGACCCUGAGUCCGUAUGAUUAUAUUUGUAAGAGAUAAUUAUUGUAUAUAUGUAGCCGGUAGUGUCAGAUAGAUAUACGAGAACUUGUUGUUCGACCAAUCUCUCGGAGAAGGAGAGGUGGUCGAUAUCACUUAUCUCUGUAUAUAUGCAUAUAUGUUCAUGACGAUCUUCUAUUUCCUUCAUUUGCUUACUAGCUAGCUAGCGUGUCUAGUCCUCUCUAUACGUAUGUAUAGUACGUAGCGUCGACCAAGCACGGACAUAACAAAGGACACUUCUCUCUAUUAAUUAUAACUAGCUAACACAAUAUAUGANNNNNNNNNNNNNNNNNNNNNNNNNNNNNNNNNNNNNNNNNNNNNNNNNNNNNNNNNNNNNNNNNNNNNNNNNNNNNNNNNNNNNNNNNNNNNNNNNNNNNNNNNNNNNNNNNNNNNNNNNNNNNNNNNNNNNNNNNNNNNNNNNNNNNNNNNNNNNNNNNNNNNNNNNNNNNNNNNNNNNNNNNNNNNNNNNNNNNNNNNNNNNNNNNNNNNNNNNNNNNNNNNNNNNNNNNNNNNNNNNNNNNNNNNNNNNNNNNNNNNNNNNNNNNNNNNNNNNNNNNNNNNNNNNNNNNNNNNNNNNNNNNNNNNNNNNNNNNNNNNNNNNNNNNNNNNNNNNNACAAAAAACCCAGCCACAGAAGUGCUGACGCGUGGAUGCCUAUUGGUCCAGGUUGGUGCCACCAACCAGGACCAAAGGGUCUCCUGACUGGGCUCUGCGCACUGCCCACGUGGAGGGCCUUUAGUCCCGGUUCUGGAUUGAACCGGGACUAAAGGGGGGAGGUAUUAGUACUGACACUUUAGUCCCGGUUCCGGAACCGGGACUAAAGGCCCUUACGAACCGGGACUAUAGGCCCUUUUUCUACCAGUGGGACAAGAAGUACAUGCAAGCACUCCGGUUGAAACAAGAUGUACAAGGAAUGAUAAAGAUCCAUUACGGCAACACUCCGGUUCGAAAUGGAAGGAAUUGAACAUGAUCUUGACAAGAUGAGAGGAUACUUGAAAAGAGGACGCAACACUCCGGUUAAAUGGAUAAGCACGAAAAGAACAAGGUCCUGACAAGAACAAGAAGAAGGGUUGAAGAGAGCAACAACACAAUGCCUCCGGAAGAAAAGAGACAACUAGAAUGGAAUGAACGGAGGAGAAAACAACAUCUUCUAUCUUAAAUGAGCUUGCAAAAGCAUCUUUAGGCGAAGGUUCGAACGGAGUUGUUGAAAAACUAACAACGAAAAGAGUAAACUUGUUAUGGUCUUAUGGACAGGGGUGAAACGAGGCCUGGGGCAACUGGGGUUGUAGCCCCAGGCGUGGCCCGACUAGUAUCUAUAUGUAUAGUAGAAAAAAAUCAGAAUAUGGGAUACAUAGAAGCCCAGCCCCAGGCUUCACCUAGACCCACGCACUCAUGUACAAGCCUUCAGCAGUUCAGCCCAUUAGCCCAACUCAAUCGAUUGAUCACAACAGAGAACGAAUCGCCCAUUACACACGUUUGACGCUUCGAUCUCUGAUAUGUAGCCUGAUCAUUCGUUAAUCAAGAAUGAGAAAAAAAUCCCUCGCCUGAUCGUGGCAGCGGCAAUAGAGAAACCCUCGCUGCGCCGCCGUCCUCAUCAACCAGCGAUUGGCGAUUCCCCGCUGCCCCGGCCACCGGGCCCAGCGUCCUCACAACCCGACCACCUCUUGUUCUUCUCCAUCUGAUUCUAAAUUGCAGUGUACGCACUGAGACUGAGGCCAACGCACACUGGCCGCACAGGUAAUCUGUAUCAUCUAAUUUUGUUUUCCCUAAUUCUUUUAUAUCAGCCAAACUCAGUGAGUUAUAUUUACUUAGUCAAUUUUAUUUCAUUUCUUGUCAGCAAAUUAGAAAUACAAGAUGAACAAGAGGACCCGUACAAUUGAAUCUUUCUUUCAGUCAACAUCCAAUCAGCCUUCAGCCAACAACACCAACACUGAUGGAUCACCUACAGAAUCAGUACCGGUGGGAGCUAGUAAUGCAAAGGAAAGUGAACCACGUAUGGAGCUUAAUCCGGAUGACAUUAAUCCUACUCCCGGCCUCCGAAAACCAAUUGAAGAGUUGCAUCCGGAUGUUAGGGAUGCUGCUAGAAGAGAGUAUUUGGCCAUGGGAGCAUGUCGACCAACAUGCCAUGUUUAUGAACAGGGAAGAAUUGGGAAGCAGAUGAGAGGCUUUUGUGAAGAGUGGUACGAAUCGCAUGAUUGGUUGGAAUAUAUGUUGGAGAACGUAGUAAUUUCAAAAAAAUUCCUACGCACAAGCAAGAUCAUGGUGAUGCAUAGCAACGAGGGGAGAGUGUGAUCUACGUACCCUUGUAGACCGACAGCGGAAGCGUUAUAUCAAGGCGGUUGAUGUAGUCAUACGUCUUCACGAUCCGACCUAUCCAAGCACCGAAACUACGGCACCUCUGAGUUUCAGCACACGUUCAGCUCGAUGACGAUCCCCGGACUCCGAUCCAGCAAAGUGUCGGGGAAGAGUUCCGUCAGCACGACGGCGUGGUGAUGAUCUUGAUGUUCAACUGUCGCAGGGCUUCGCCUAAGCACCACUACAAUAUUAUCGAGGAUUAUGGUGGAAGGGGGCACCGCACACGGCUAAGAAAACAAUCACGUUGAUCAACUUGUGUGUCUAGGGGUGCCCCCUACCUCCGUAUAUAAAGGAGCCAAGGGGGGUGCGGCCGGCCCUAGAAGGAGGCGCGCAGGAGGAGUCCUACUCCCUACCUCCCAGUAGGAGUAGGACUCCCCUCCCUUUCAUUGUCCAAGUAGGAGAGGGGGAAGGAAGGGAGAGAGGAGAGGAAGGAAAGGGGGGCGCCGCCCCUUCCUCCUUGUCCAAUUCGGACUAGGGGGAGAGGGGGCGCGCGGCCUGCCCUGGCAGCCCCUCCUCUUCUCCACUUUAGGCCCAUGAGGCCCAUUAACCCCCCCGGGGGUUCCGGUAACCCCCCGGUACUCCGGUUUUAUCCGAAACUUCCCCAGAACACUUACGGUGUCCGAAUAUAGCCGUCCAAUAUAUCAAUCUUUGUGUCUCGACCAUUUCGAGACUCCUCGUUAUGUCCGCGAUCAUAUCCGAGACUCCGAACCAACUUCGGUACAUCAAAACUCAUAAACUCAUAAUAUAACUGUCAUCGAAACCUUAAGCGUGCGGACCCUAUGAGUUCGAGAACAAUGUAGACAUGACCGAGACAUGUCUCCGGUCAAUAACCAAUAGCGGAACCUGGAUCCUCAUAUUGUCUCCCACAUAUUCUACGAAGAUCUUUAUCGGUCAGACCGCAUAACAACAUGCGUUGUUCCCUUUGUCAUCGGUAUGUUACUUGCCCGAGAUUCGGUGGUCGGUAUAUCAAUACCUAGUUCAAUCUCGUUACCGACAAGUCUCUUUAUCGUUCCGUAAUACAUCAUCUCGCAACUAACUCAUUUAUUUGCAUUGCUUGCAAGGCUUAGGUGAUGUGCAUUACCGAGAGGGCCCAGAGAUACCUCUCCGACAAUCAGAGUGACAAAUCCUAAUCUCGAAAUACGCCAACCCAACAUGUACCUUUGGAGACACAUGUAGAGCUCCUUUAUAAUCACCCAGUUACGUUGUGACGUUUGGUAGCACACAAAGUGUUCCUCCGGUAAACGGGAGUUGCAUAAUCUCAUAGUCAUAGGAACAUGUAUAAGUCAUGAAGAAAGCAAUAGCAACAUACUACACGAUCGAGUGCUAAGCUAACAGAAUGGGUCAAGUCAAUCACAUCAUUCUCCUAAUGAUGUGAUCCCGUUAAUCAAAUAACAACUCUUUGUCUAUGGUUAGGAAACAUAACCAUCUUUGAUUAACGAGCUAGUCAAGUAGAAGCAUACUAGUGACACUCUGUUUGUCUAUGUAUUCACACAUGUAUUAUGUUUCCGGUUAAUACAAUUCUAGCAUGAAUAAUAAACAUUUAUCAUGAAAUAAGGAAAUAAAUAAUAACUUUAUUAUUGCCUCUAGGGCAUAUUUCCUUCAAUAUAGUGUUGCCAAAAAGGCCGCUUUCUGUUUUCAUUGUUUUCUCUUUAAGCAACCAAGAGCAGAAAACUAUGGAAUAGAAGCAUAUACAAAGAAAGGUUUUAGUAACUGGAAAAAUGCUAUUGCAUCUUUUGUUACUCAUGUUGGUAAUGUUAACAGUGCUCAUAAUAGAGCAAGAAGACAAUGUCAAGCUUUUCAAAACCCGAGGGAAAAUGUGGAACAAGUAUGGGCCGGUUCAGACAAGAAGAAGGAGGAAGAGUACUUGGGUCGUCUCACUGUCAUGUUAGGUGUCGUGAAGUUUCUUUUAUUGCAAGCUCUUGCUUUUCGUGGACAUGAUGAGUUUGCUAACUCAAACAAUAAGGGGAAUUUCUUAGAGAUGGUGCAAUGGUAUAAAAAAGAGAUUCGAAUGCCGCUAAGUUGUUAGAUUGUGCUCCUGGAAAUAAUCUGUUGACAUCUGCACAAAUACAAAAGCAUUUGUGCACAGCUUGUGGAGAAGAGAUGACUAAAGCAAUCGUGAAGGAUAUUGGGGAUAAAAAAUUCGCUGUCCUUGUUGAUCAGGCUCGAGAUGCAUCUCUCAAGGAACAAAUGGCUGUGGCCUGGACGUUUGUAUGUCAUGAAUUGAUUUUUUAUUGCUUUUUUUAUUAUGAAGUAUGCUCAUAUUUUUUUUCUUAUCUCAUCUAGGUAUUUGAACAGUCAAGGGGAAGUGAUUGAGAGGUUUCUUGCGAUUAAACAUGUUGCCGACACAACAUCAUAUUCAUUGAAGGUAGCCUUGGAUGCUAUGUUUCUUAAACAUGGCCUAUCUAUCCAUAGAAUGCGAGGCCAAGGAUACGAUGGAGCAUCGAACAUGAGAGGUGAAUUUCAUGGGCUGCAAAGAAGGGUACUGGAUGAGAAUCCUUAUGCUUUUUAUAUACAUUGCUUUGCACAUCAGUUGCAGUUAGUGGUUGUUGCCGUUGCCAAGUGUUGUCCUUCUGUCAUGGAUUUCUUUAGUUACACUUCAAUGAUUGUCAACGGUGCUAAUGGUUCUUGUAAGAGACAUGACCAGUUAGCCCUAGCGGAACAUGAUGAUCUUGUGCAGAAAUUAGAGAAUGGAGAAAUUUUUACAGGGAGAGGGAGAAACCAACAAACUAACCUUACAAGACCUGGUGAUACUAGGUGGGGCUCACAUCAUAAAACCUUGUGCCAUCUUCAUCUCAUGUGGUAUGCAGUGCUAGAGGUAUUCGAGAAUAUGUCUGAUGAUGCCACUAACACAUCACAAAAGACCACGGCAUGAGGUUUGAUACAUCAUAUGGAGAGCUUUGAGUUUGUGUUUAUACUGCAUCUUAUGAUGAAAUUGUUGGGAAAAACUAAUGAUCUAUCACAGUGCUUGCAAAAGAAGAACCAGAAUAUUGUUCAUGCUAUGGGCUUGAUUCAAACCACAUUGCAGAAACUUAAUGAGAUGAGGCAUCAGGGGUGGGAUGAGCUAUUUGAAGAGGUAAAUGCCUUUUGUCUCAAACAUAAAAUCAUUAUUCCAAACAUGAUGGAAACAUUAGCUAUUGGGGGUCGUUCGAGAGGUCGUGGCGGCCAGAUGGUAACUUACUUACAUUAUUUCCAUCAUGAAAUAUUUAAUGUGGUGCUUGACCAGAUUAUUGUUGAGUUCAACAAUCGCUUUGCUGAGAAAUCUACCCAACUAUUGAGAUGCAUCGCUUGUCUUGAGCCAAGAAAUUCUUUUGCCAAUUUUGAUAUAAAUAAGCUAGUGGAACUUGCUCAGAUUUAUGGCGCGGAUUUCUCAGAAUAUGAGUGCAGAGUUCUUAGGGACCAACUUGAGACAUUUGUUAAUGAAGCUAGAGCUGAUACUGAAAUUUUAAGUUGCAUUGAUCUUGGCCAGCUUGCUAUAAAGAUGGUUCAAACAGAUAGGCACACACAUUUUCCGUUGGUAUAUCAUCUCAUUGAAUUGGCCUUGAUUCUCCGCGUCGCAACGGCAACCGUAGAAAGAGCUUUCUCAGCUAUGAGCAUCAUCAAAACUGAUCUGUGAAACAAGAUGAAUGAUGAAUGGAUGAAUCACCUUUUGGUGUGCUAUAUUGAGCGUGUUGUAUUUGCAAGCAUUGAUGAUAUUAAGAUUAUACAGUGCUAUCAAAAAAUGAGGAAAUGCAAGGGGCUACUACCUCGUGGACUUCGUGUUAAUGUUAUAAUAUGUUCUUUUUCUUGCAAAAUUUCAUAUGAACAAUUGAUUUAGUCUAUGUCCAGAGUCUUGAUUUGAAAUACUUGAUUUUUAUGUUUGCAGAUUCAGAUCCUUCUAAUAUUGCUGGUGAAGAAACAACUGCCUUGAACUAAGCAAGUCUUCACUAAUUUGGUACCAAACCAUGUUCGUGAUGAUGCACUUUGUUAAACUAUUUGUUAUAUGGAAUUUCCUCUCGUGAUAAUAAUGACUUUAUAUUUCAUUUUGAAUGUGAUUUUGUGGCAUACUUAUAAUGCACAUUGAUGUGCGUGGUAUUUGACUUUAUAUUUAGUCAGUUAGUUUUAGCCCUAGGCUUUGCAAAAUCCUGGUUCCACCUCUGCUUAUGGAAAACAUCUCAAAACUAUGAGGUGAAAUUCUGCCACUAACGGAAACGAUAGAUUGGAUUCAUAUCAACAAGGAGACAAGAACUUAUUUCACUGGGAGGAUAAAUGAAGAACUUGGGUCAUUUAUGCGUACCACAAUUAGCAACAAUCUUAGGGAAGGCUUUAGGUGAAAUAUAACCCAAGAUAACUCCAACGGAGAGGUUGAUGGAUUUAAAAUACCUCAUUCUUGACAACAUGUGAAUCAUGAAACAUGAACUCAAAUUAUCAAGAAUGACAUAAUACCACCUCUAAUGAUACGGUAAAAAGAAUUGCACUCCGGAUUGCAAGAUGAAGAAUACUUGAUCUCCUUAGAAAAGAAUCUCGAUGAAAACUUCGAGAAUGAAUUAAAUCCUUGAUGAACCAUCAUGUAGAACCUUCAUGAAGAACUCCGUUAAACAAAAGAAUGAUCAAACGGAAGGAAAGAGAAGUUGAAAACACAAGGUGAAUCCUUGUACCGAUUUAAAUGAAUAUCCAUGGUGAAAUAAUUGAAAAAGGUUGGAACUCCAGGAAAAGAGAAGAUGAAACAAUUGAAAUUAGGAAUUUGAUGAGCCUCCGGAAUAGGGAAUUGAGUUCACUUGAUGAAACAAGAAUAAUAAUUACAUUAUGCUUAUCCUUCACCAAUUUAAAUUGAUGACAAUCAACGGAUUUGGCAUAUUACUUAUUCUCGUAGAAAAGAUUAAGAGAGAUAUAGCAUAUUUGAGAAUAUCUUCAAUGAACCACCGGUAGGAUUGAAACAACGAAUGAAUUGAUAAGAUAAAGAAGGAAGAGAAAUCUUGAACGAACCACCGUAAGAAUUGAAAAUGAACGAAGUAGGGGUGAAUCACCGGUAAGAAUUAGCAAAUGAACGAAGAUAUAUGAGAGAGUUUAGAUAUAAGAUAACGACGAGAUCAUGAACUGAUUAGAGAAUAUUUGAAUGAUGCACCGGUAAGAUUUGGAGAAAGAGAGCUGAAAGCUGAAAUGAAUAAUUCUGAGAUAAUGGGCUCCGGAAAAUCAAACUGAAAAGACUCCUGAAUUGCUCCGGAUGGGUGAAAAAAAUUCCCACAGUCGAAAAUAAUUAUGAGAGGAUGGCAACAAGCUAGAACCACGAAUCUUGAAGAGAAUGGAGCAAGAUUUAAGAGAAACUCUUCUUCGGUCUUCAAAUGUUGAGAAUGAUGACGAAAAACACCACCAUGAAUUGUUGAGUCACUCCGGAAUAAUGAAGAAUAGAAAGGUUGAGCCAACAAUGAAAUAAUUUGACAGAUCUUGGAGAAACACAUUUGACUGACAAACUUACGUCACACUUUGAAAGAUUUGAGAAAAGCUCCAGUAAAAUAAGAAGAGUCAGGUAAGAUCCUGGAAAAGACCUAUGGGUUAGGGCCCACUCAAAAGAUACACCGUUGAACAAAUACUUGAAAAGAGAGAUCGCACCGGUUGAAUUAAAUGACUUGAAUGAGAUAACAUCCUCAAAAUAGCUUGAACGGAUUAAGAGUGGAAACACGAAUCUUCAAGAUAUCUUGAGCACUCCGGAACAAUUGAACAGCACGAGAAGUGGAAUGAUUAUGAGGUGCACCGGCAUAAGAAAAGCAUUGGGCAAAAAGAAAAGACUAUGCUCAAUACCAAAGCUUGAAUUGAUCCACCGGAGAAGGAAAAGAACGAAGAGUAAUGAACUUGAAGCUUUGUUCUGAUCUUCAUGAGAAUCACCAGGUAUGAACAUUGCAAGAAAAGAAUGAAGAGACUUCACAUGAAUAAAAUGGAUACUUGAUUAAGAAAUCUGAGUCCUUGAAGAAAAAGGGUGGGAGGGCGGGAAAACAAAGACAACUUGGGGGCAGAUGAAACAAACAACGUUGAGAAGACUUUGAGUUGAUCUUGCGGAUGUUAAAAUGAACAGAUCCACUUGAAGAGAGACACGCCGGUUGAGAAGAAAUAUAGAUGACAAUCUCGAUGAUCAAGAAGGAUUAGUAUUCACAUAGGAAUAUGAGAACACCGCUUAGGGAAGGUAUGGAAUCAACACUUGACUUCGAAGCAACUCGAAUACCACAACUCAAAACAAAAACAAGGAUUGGCUUGCAGAAUAAGCCGGAAUAAACAUAUGAUAGAGAUUUCGUCCGAAGUUUUCGUGGUGGGGCCCACACGGGCUCGAUCGUACAGCACCAUCAUGUACAAGGCAGUGCACAUGACAUACGAAGCGUCCCCGAGUCAGCGUAGCCAAGGACUCUUUAAGACACAACGAGACCACUGUAAAAACCAACCGUGGAUAGGCGGACCACUAGACGUCGAACCACAAUUUCAUAUCAUACAUCUGUCGGAAAGAUAUCCUAACAGCUACUUGAAUUCCCACUUAUAAACUCCCGAAAUUUUCCGGUUAUGCAAUUAGAUGUUGGGAUACAGGGGAAGCAUAAUAUCUCACCCAAAACUAGCAAAUCCUACAUCCAGUUGUAUCCAUCCUUCAACACAUAACCAAGAAACCUUUGGAAAUUGUUUACCUCGACCUUUGAAAAGCAUCCGUUAUACAAGUUAUGGCAAUACUCCCGAACUCCCGCCCUAGUACUGGGUGGCGUCGAGGUUAUCUCACCAACAACUGCAUAAAAGAGAUUUUCGAUGUCGGCGAAACUCAGGUAUUCCAGAACUGCAACGAUAAAAUUGUGACGACAACACCUCGGAGCUCAACUCCCCGGGACACUGCCACAACCCCUAAAUGUCAGGAGCACCAAGAACAAUGUCCUCAUCACAAAACCAUCGGAACGAUUCCAAGAUACCCGCGUGAUCCUAAAUUUUUUUAGUGAAAUUUGAGAAGAGAAGAGUCAAAAGUCUACGUCAGGAAGCCUCACCAGAGCGACGAAGGGACUGAGUAAAAGAAUCCUAUUCUCCGAUAUAUAUAAUCCUAAAUGACUCAAAACAUUUUUCUAGACUCAACAACGCCAGCGAUUCGAUCAAGCAGGGGGCUCCUAAAGUCGGGGAAGGCUCUGAUUACCAACUUGUAACGCCCUCGAUGCGGCUAUAUCUCCCAUGUGUCGAAGCACGACUUAGAGGCAUAACCGCGUUGAAAGCAAUGUCGCAAGUGAGGUAAUAUUCACACGACCCAUGUAAUACAUAAGGGAAAGAGAUACAUAGUUGGCUUACACUCGCCACUUCACACAAUACAUGAAUAUAACAUUACAUCAUCCAGAUACAAUCAAGGUCCGACUACGGAACCAAAAUAAAAGAAGACUACCCCAAAUGCUACACAGAUCCCCGAUUGUCCCAACUGGGCUCCACUACUAAUCAGCUGAAACGAAACAACACUACGAACAUGGUCUUCAUCGAGCUCCUCCUUGAGCUCGGUUGCAUCACCUGCACGGUUUCAUCGGCACCUGCAAACUGGUUUUGGAAGUAUCUGUGAGUCACGGGGACUCAGCAAUCUCACACCCUCGCGAUCAAGACUAUUUAAGCUUAUAGGAAGGGUAGAAGGUAUGAGGUGGAGCUGCAGCAAGCGACUAGCAUAUUUGGUGGCUAACAUACGCAAAUGAGAGCGAGAAGAGAAGGUAAAUGCACGGUCGAGAAUCUAUGAUCAAGAAGUGAUCCUAGAACAACCUACGCCAAACAUAACUCCAACACCGUGUUCACUUCCCGGAUCCCGCCGAGAAGAGACCGUCACGGUAACACACGCGGUUGAUGCAUUUUAAUUAAGAUAAGUUUCAGGUUUUCUACAACCGGACAUUAACAAAUUUCCAUCUGCCCAUAACCGCGGACAUGGCUUUCGAAAGUUCAAAACCCUACAGGGGUGUCCCAACUUAGCCCAUCACAAGCUCUCACGGUCAACGAAGGAUAUUCCUUCUCCCAAGACAAUCCGAUCAGACUCGGCAUCCCGGUUACAAGACAUCCUCGACAAUGGUAAAACAAGUCCAGCAAGACCGCCCGAUGCGCCGACAUCCUGAUAGGAGCUGCAUAUAUCUCGUUCUCAGGGCAACACCGGAUGAACACUACGUACAGCUAAAACCAGCCCUCAAGUUUCCCCGAGGUGGCGCCGCAAGUGGCUUUGUUUUGGACCAACACUUUGACAAGCACUGGCCCGGGGGGUUAAAAUAAAGAUGACCCUUGGGCCGGCCUAACCCAAGGGAAAAAGAGGCUAGGUGGCGAAUGGUAAAACCAAGGUUGGGCCUUGCUGGAGGAGUUUUAUUCAAGGCGAACUAUCAAGGGGUUCCCAUUAUAACCCAACCGUGUAAGGAACGCAAAAUCUGGGAACAUAACACCGAUAUGACGGAAACUAUGGCGGCAAGAGUGGAACAAAACACCAGGCAUAAGGCGGAGCCUUCCACCCUUUACCAAGUAUAUAGAUGCAUUAAUUAAAUAAGAGAUAUUGUGAUAUCCCAACAAAAUAUCCAUGUUCCAACAAGGAACAAACUGCAAUCUUCACCUACAACUAACAACGCUAUAAGAGGGGCUGAGCAAAGCGGUAACAUAGUCAAACAAUGGUUUGCUAGGAAAAGGUGGGUUAGAGGCUUGGCUUGACAAUAUGGGAGGCAUGAUAAGCAAGUGGUAGGAAUCGCAGCAUAGGCAUACCAAAAGAGCGAGCAACUAGCAAGCAAAGAUAGAAGUGAUUUCGAGGGUAUGGUCAUCUUGCCUGCAAAGUUCUCCAACAAGACGAAGGCUUGAACCUCGUAAACGUACUCAACGGGCUCCUUGAACACGAACUCGUCUCCCCGGCUCUACCCAAAUCAAGAACAACAAGCAAAAGGAACACAAUCAACCAUGUGCAAUGCACAAACAACAUGAUGCAAACAUGGUAUGAUAUGCGGGAUGCGAUAUGUGAUGCAUAUGCAUGAUUCGGAAAGGAAUGAUUGAACCUGGCCUCAACUUGGAAAUCCAGGAGUCCCACUGGAAAGAGGAGUUGAUUUCGGUUGAAAUCGAUAUAAAGAUCACCGGAAUCGGACGCACGGUUUGGAAAUGACAAGCAAAACAAAUAUGGCACGGGUCUGCGAUUAACAGCACGAAGCCAUCUAAAUGCAUCAAGAUAAAUAAGCUACUGCACUCAAACAUAGCAACAAAAUACAUGGCAGGGAUCCACUCAAGAUGCUUGACAAAAGAUGAACACUGAGAUACGGCUAAUUCACUAAAUAGCAGGUUCAAACAAGCAUGGCAAAAGUGCAAACGGUAACAGGUUACAGACUUAGUGAAAUUAUCAACAUGUCAGGAAUUUAACAUCAGGAAGCAAUGUUUAGAGCAAGGUAACUACAUGCUACAAGAACAUAUAAUGAAAAAGCAAAGCAUGGCAUGAAGCUACUCAAAGUAUACAACAAAAGUUCCUUACUGACCAUAAGCCAAAAGGGAUCAGAAAAUACAAUGGCAACCAUGUGAACAUAGCAAUUAUCGUUAACAGAUUCAGACUUAGUAGAAAAACUGGAGCAUGGCAAAACAGAUAUCAAGUAGUCAUGUUUACGAGCUCGAUGCACUCACUACGAGGCAUUGUAUGACAAACUAAGCAUACACCCAGCGAGUAGACAUGGCAUAGAAGCUAGACAUGGCAAGAACAUCAUCAUAGCAUGCACGGAUCAACUACAACAAGCUCGGCAAAAUUGAUAAAUAUGUUAACAAUCUGCCAGGAACAUUUUAUAGCAAAAGUAGAGCUCGAUUGAGUCAAGCUAGGAUGCUCCACAAUUGUAAACAAAGACAUGGAUGGAUAGAGCACAACAGCAUCUACGAAACAUCCUUACUGAUCAUGCUCAAAAGAGGCAUACAUCUCUCGGUAGCAACAUGAACACAUGACAUAAAAAUAAUAACAGGACAAGGACUUAGAAUAUUUCUAAGUCCCUGAAAUCAGCAACAAUAAGUAAGCUACUUUGCAUGCUUGUGCUAGUCACCGCAAAGAUCACAAAAAUACAUGGCAUACACCCCUGUAAAGAUGAAAUGGCAUACUUCAAAACACAUGUAGAGCUCAGGAUCAUAUCAUGCACACAUUAAACAUGGCAAAAAUGACAAAAGUGCAUUUGCUGAAACAGAUCUGAAACUAUCAUCACAUAGCCCUCUUCCAACAACAUUUCAAGCAUCAAGACGAGCUCAAAUGAAAAUAAUGCAAUGAGAUGAAAUGAAGUACUCUUCGAGACGAACAUUUUGAUAUGCUACACGCACAAAUCGGAGCCACGGUGAUGAAGUUAUGAUGCGUCAAAGUAUGCAAAAUAUUAGGGUUUCGCGGAGAAGAAGUCAACCAAGGAGAUUGGAUCUGGAUGUGGCACUAUAGCGGCGCGUUUCCCGAGGAUGGCCUGGAUCUUCAUCGGAAAACUUGAACUCGCCGAAGUUGGGGAAAGGAGCCGCCAGAGAGGAGGAAGGGGUUGCCGCGGCGCGGGGUCGCCGGACUUGGCACGCGGGGUCGCCGGACUUGGCGCGGGCUCGGCGGACUUGGCUGCGGACGAGGGCGAAGCGGCGGCUGGAGAAGCUCGCGGUGGCGGGGGGGCUCCUCGGCAGGCGGCGUGGAGCCAGAGGAGGUGGGGUGACCCAGGCGGCGGGGCGCGGGGCUCUUUCCGACGGAUCGGACCUGAAGGGCCAGACCCGGGCCACGGCGGGCGUGGUGGCGGGGAGUAGAGAGAGGGCGCGGCGCGGGUGACGUGUCGUGCGCUGAGUGGGUGAGGGCGGUGGCGGCGCUGAUGUGGCGUGCGCUGAUUCGCCGGAGUGAGGUGGAAGGCGCGGUGGACAUGUCCGGCCGGUGAGGAUGCGUCCGGUGGCGCGCGGAGGAGGAGGUUAGGGUUUCAUCUGCGCGAAAAUUCCGGAAGGGACACAUAUUUAUAGGUAGAGGGAGCUAGAAAGUUCCAAAUGAGGUGCGGUUUGCGGCCACGCGAUCGUGAUCGAACGGCCUAGAUGAUGGGAGGGGUUUAGGUGAGUUUUGGGCCACUUUGAAGGGGUGUUGGGCUGCAACACGCUCGAGGCCUUAUCGGUCCCUCGGUUAUCCGUUGGAGUAUCAAACGAAGUCCAAAUGGCACGAAACUUGACAGGCGGUCUACCGGUAGUAAACCAAGACCGCAUGACAAGUCUCGGUCUAAUCCGAAAACGUUUAACACCCGCACAAGAAAAGAGGUAGAAAGGGACACCGGAUGACAUAGGAACGCCGGAAUGCAAAACGGAUAACGGGGAAAAUGCUCGGAUGCAUGAGACGAACAUGUAUGCAACUGCAAUGCACAUGAUGACAUAAUAUGAGAUGCAUGACACACAAGCAAAUGACAAGGCAACAAUAGCGAAAAACUGAAGGACACCUAGCACAUCGAUCUCGGGGCGUUACAGCCAUUGAACCACCACUGCGGCCAUCUCUGUCGGAAGCGGAGCUCCUGCUUUGGAACGUGGCCAACUGUCUGGGAGCAAGCUGCCCGCCCUCAGACAGAACCCGCCGCCAGGACGACCAAGAAGGCGUCACCGUGACCGUGCGGAUCAUCGUGCCUAAGAUAGCAGGGAUAACCGACGACCACGAGUGGAGGUUCACCAAGCACCAGGGGGCAGCCAACAAAGCGAAGCAGGCGGCGGCGCACGAGGCCGUCACGUUCCUGCGGAGUCGGUUCCGUAGCAUCCUGGACGACAGCCCCUGGAGUUCCGUCCCUCGCUACCACAGCCACGUCGAUGAGGAGGAAGAAGCAGUCCAAGAAGACAACAACUACGACGACGAAGACUACGAUCUGUUUGGGUACAAACAUUGGUACGGAGACAUGUACAAUACGGUGCUUGGUGCUUAAUUUGGCCUUCACUUGAGCGCCAUUGAUUUGCCCUACAAUACGGUGCACAGAUUGCACAAAACAUGCGCUUGAUAAUUUUUUGACAAAGCUCUACUUAUCUCUAGUUCUCUACUACUUGCAAAUAUGCCCGAGGGUUGAAGUGGGAGACAAAAAUAUUACACCAUAGCCAAAUAAGUUAUUUUUUGCGGGAAUAGCCAAAUAAGUAUAACUCAAUACCCCCGAUAUAUAUGAGCGUCCUCUAUUUUAAUAUGUUGGCCCACCAUGUUGCUACUUAUCAUUCUUCCCAUCCUCGCUCAUGAUGGUUGUGGUGUGCAUGUGAUCAUAAUGCAUUUGACGUCGUAAAUCCUAGGGGCUACGAGCUUACCACUACAUGCCACGCUUGUCAUUGCGCCGCACAAGGGAAUGUUUAUAACUUUAAAUACAAAUCUGGUCGAUCACCAAUUACUCCCAAUGCCUAGACAUAUUAAUCUUUUGAAAAACUAAUCAAAUCCUAAACAUAGAAGACUUAGCCGCUCAAAUUCUAGAGCUAUUUAGAUCAAUCUUCAGGAGAACAACUAAAAUAGACCACAUGAUAUUCUGAAAAAAUUAUUUAUGAGCAUAAUUUCAAACAGUAUGGAAAUCAAUGUUAAGUCACUGGUUUACAUAAAUCUUGUACCGGUAGUUGAUAGAGGAUUCUUAUGUGUAGAGCCGACGGAUUCUAUUAGAUGUAGAUAGUAAAUCUAACGACUGCUAUAACAAUUUUGGUAAUUUGAAAGCAUGUAUGUUGAGAUAAUUAGAAGUUCCGGGAUCACUCUUUUAGAUAUAUAUAUAUAUAUAGGAUAUGAUUGAAAUAAAACACAUUAGAUUAUAUUGAAUUGGGCUAUUGGUAGAACACUAUACUUUUUGUUCAGGGAUUGCCUACUUCCGCUUGGUCAAUAUGCAUGUGACAUUUUCUAUCCGCCCACGACACCGUUCACAAAAUUAGAAUCACCUUUACAGUUUUUAUUACUGCAUAUAGGAAUGUUAAGAUGUCACCUACUCUAUGAUUAAAUGCAUGAAUGUUUUGCCAGUAACGGCACACACCAAAAUAUAAGGUUAGGAUUGCUUUUACAAAAGUAAAGAAUGAACGCGAGUGGAUGUCUCACAACCCUCUUGAGCCGGCGCCGUGGUUCCCCUCCCUGUUCCAGGGUUCAGGUAGAAAACCCAAGGUCAUUCCUUUGGACUCGGUGGGGGUGAUGCUCUACGCCUUUACCCUGUUUGGUGCUUUGCAGUAAAGCUGUGGUACCUUUCGGUCACAGUGGGAUGUUGUCUUAGGGCAUGCUUGGAUUAUACCAUGGAGUCUGUUGGGUUCCAACGUGGGAUGGUCCAGUUGGUCUGUUAUCUUCUACACGUGACUUUGUUGGCAACCCUAUUAGCCCCUACUGCUCCUUGGUCCGGAGUGAGAGGGAAGGUGGCCCUCUCCGACGGCAAUUGAGCGAGGGCUUUGUGGCAAGGUUCAAUGGUUCUUCUUGAAGAUGUGAGCUUGCUCAGCGUCGACACGGGGACUGAAUUGCUAUAGUCCGGCUAAUCAAGUAUGGUGCAGCCGUACCACUUGUAGUAUGUCUCAUGUGUGUUGUUUAUGUUACAUCUUUUGUUGACAGUUUUUUCUUUCAUCUAUUUUAUAAAAGGAUUUUCUUGUCACCUAGUAUUGUUCGUCCGUCUGGGUUUACCUUAUUUAUAAUACGGAGCGGAAGUAUAUUUUUUGAAAUACUAGCGAAAAGUGCCCAUGCGUUGCAACGGGAAAUUAAAUUUGUCACAAAUAUUUAAGUAUUGUAGCACAACGCCGCACUUCAGGUACAUGACAGUAGAUGCAUACUCUUGCCAAUGCAACUUUCAACAUUGUGGCUCGCUUCAGGAGAUAAUUUGUGUGGCAUCUCCAUUAAUACAUCUGAGCUCUAUCUUUGACCUCCCGUUCCUUGGCUACAGAUAACACUGUCAGUCGCUCAUUUGUUUCCCCUUUCCUCACUGAACAAACAGCUAGUCUCCUACAGGCCAUUACCUUUUUCAUGGACAUAAUCUGCCAAGGUCACAUUAUUCUAGAUUGCCUUGUAAAAGCAAGUUGUUUUCUCGGGAUUGGAUGAAACCUGUAAAAAAGAUCCUUCUAAUGUUGCUGCCCAAAAGCUUAUGUUGGUUUUAUAUAACUAAGAUAUUCACUACCUUCCAUUACCUCAAAAAAUCUCCCGUGUCAGAGCUCCAAAUUGUGGCACUUUCCUCUAACGAAUUCUUCAGUGUUGACAAUUGAGCAGAAUAAAGAACAAUAAGGAGAAGUCAUUUGGUACUCCAUGAAUCCGCGUUUGAACAGAAUAAAGAACCACUCUCUCCUCUAAACUUAGUCAGCACAUGCAUCUUCUAUGGAUGAAGUUUACUCAGCUCUGUUUAAUCCGCCCACAGGAAUAGAAUCUCCUGUGUGUAUUGACCACCAUCAUGGCACUGACAAUGCCCACAACGGUAUCAACCCAAUACCCCUCCCGCUCUGCUCUAUCCCCUGCCUUCGUUUGUCACUAUGCCAGAGGACGUCGCUGCCGGGAUCUGGAUGUUUCAUAGAAAGCUUGUGCACCCAAUCAUCCUACAUCCUGAUGUCAUAUGACAAAAGAAUCCAUCGGAAACAUCAACACAAAAUCAAGAAUUUCUAUGUCGCUUAGUCAUCUGCGAAUCUAGCAUCAUAUUCGAUUUCAUUAAGCAUAUAAAAGAUAUUGCCCUGAUAAAGUGAUAAUUUUUCAAACACAAAUUUCUUGUGGAAUUAGCACAUACAUUUUCUUGGCAACCAAAACUCAGGUUCUGCGUAUUACACUGUAGUAAUGUAAUGGGUAUCAUCGAUCUUCUGAAACAUAAUAAGAAGGGCUAGCUUAUAAAAUAAAAACAUCGUUUUACAGCUCCAUAAGUAUUAGCAAACAUGACAUGACAGCAGGAGUGACAUUGUCUAGGAAAUGUGCCCGUGCGUUGCGGCGGGAAAAUAAGUACCCGUGCACCUGCUGAAGAAAUGUGUAAACCAUCAAUCGAGAUCUUCCCAAUUGCAUGACAUGAGAAACUGUAAUUCUCCUAGUGCAGACAUUCAACAAAGCAAUUAAAGCAAAGUGUAACAUUCCAAAGCUAAUAAAAAGAUUUUCUUUCUUAUACCAUAGGGAAAGUUCACAAAAUCUGCAAUCAAGCAAAAAAACGAAUUUCACUAAAGGUUAUGAACAAAGAAAAAACAUUUAUAACUCUUAAAAAGAUUUAAUUCAUUGUUGAAGAUUGAUUGAAGAUGAACAGAUAAAUUCAAGUGUCAUGAAGUUGCAGUGACAAGAUAAUUUGGCUCCAUUAGGAAAAGGAUUACAAAUGAAAUAUUUUGAUGCAGCAAAGAACCAGCACAACAUUUCAGUGAAAAUAAAAAUAGAAUGCUAGAGGCACCUCUAAAGGAAUGAUUUGCUAGGUUAUCGAAUACCACUAAAAGAGCAUCAACACCUCUAAAUGAAUGAUCUGACUGACGAGGUACCACCGAAAGAGCAUCAACUUCACCUUCUUGUAGACCAUCGUCAGAUUACAGUCUUAUCUAUGGAUGACUACUAUAACAAUCUUGAGUCAUAGGAAAAAGAAGACAAAAUCUGAUCAAAGAAAAAAGCGAGAACACAUCUUAGAAUUGUAGUCUUACUUAAAGAUAAUUGCUGGAAUGGUCAGACUCUUAACUAAUCAUCGACACACUCUUUGGUGUCGCCUCUUUAUGCCCAUAUCUAACAUAUAUACAAAUGCUAGCAUACGUAAACUCAAGCACAAUUGUAACUCUUAGCCAGAUGCAUUAACACUGUCCUAGGGAUCAUCCUGCUGUCUCAGGUAGUCGCGCCACUUUCUUUUCUUUGUGGUGUGGUUACUCUGACAAUCACACACCUAUCCUCUUUUUUUAAAAUGAUCGGAAUGGCGGUUCCAUUGCCAAGACAAAACAAAUCAGACGCCACAAUCUUGGAUUACCACAAUGCAUUGUAUUGUAAGAAAACUUCGAGAUCACUAUUAAUUUUAAGAUGCCACAACAAUACAUCCAUCCUCUUCAUAUCAUCAAGACAAAAACAAGAUUACAUAUUUUGCAGCGGAUUAAGAUAACAAUUUCAACUGAUGCCAGGGUUUCUUUAGAAAUACAACAUUACAAACUGUAGGCUCCUUGUAGAGAAAGAUCGGAUAUAUUGAAGAUACAAUCCACCAAAUAGGACUACCCAACAGAUUAAAAAUAAUGCAAUCAUGUCCAGCAAUGACUUCACUAUCCAUGUCAUUGUUGUUAGUGGGCACGACAAAAUAUCCGGUGGAGACUCUGUCUCCCGUGCACCACACAAUCUCCGGUGGUUCCCAGCUAAGCUAGGCUCGCUCGAAUCACAAUUUGGCAGACGACAUUGUUAUAUCAUCACUAAUGUUUGAAUUAGAAUUUGGGAUACCCGUCAUGCAAACAGAAUAAUCAGCUUCUCUGUUUCUAUAAACAAAAAGUAAACACACUCCAUCAGUGUGUAACUGCAACUAUCAACACCAGGCCAUAAAUUUCUUAGAUUUUGAAUCCAGAUUGAACUAUAGAUUUAUUAGCAAAAAAGACUGCAUCUGAAAAAACAAAUAUUGUACCAGAACAUGCAUUUGUAGAACUUGAUACCAUGGAAAUAAAGUAUGGUGCAAUGGAAAUAAUAAUAAACUUGAUCAAGAAAUUUUCUGAUUAGCACGGUACUUGCAAGGUAUUACGACUGGACCACUACUGAACGACUACUGAAACAUAUAUAUGUUUAUAGCUCCACAUUCAAUGCGAAAAUAUGAAGAUUGUUAGCAAAUCCAUUGAGAGUAGCAUUGGUACAUAUGCAAAUCAUCAUACUAAUUAGAAGAGCAUACCCUGCGACCUGCGCCUCCUCGGUCACUACAUCGAGCCCAGUCUUCUUCGCAGUCGCCUUGGACUUGGCAGCAUGCAGCCCCUGCCCCUGGUGUGUCCAUGUUGUUUGCCACAAUUCUCCAGUCCAUGGUGCCAAUCCUUGUGAACUGCCAAGUUUCAGUACCAAUGCAAAAGAAGAGUAACUAUUCAAAUCAACCUAGUGCAAGCUGCUACCUGGCACUUGCAGCUGCCAUUCAGACUGUGACAAGAUGGUUUUAUAAGAACUUAUGCAAUUUCCCUAUGAAAGCUCUAAUGCAAACACAUUAAUUACACAUAUCUGAUACAAUCAUGGUUGCCAUCUUGAAAAGAAGAUCUCGCACAUGGACUGACAUAUUUUAAGCACAAUAUUACAAUCUCCAUCACAACGGUUCAGAGAUGAAUGUAGGCAUAGAAAAGUAACUGAGAAUUUCUAAAACUCAUAUCUGACGAAACUCGAUAGUCAAAACUUUUCACCAACAGAAUAUAUACAUGGAUCAGUGUGCAGCGCAUGUAAUAAUUAAACACAGGGCAAAAGGACUAUAUAACAGAAAACCUGGAGCAUUUCAUUCUGCUACUGCUACUGAAUAUCAAGGUGUUUUUCAGAUAUCAAGGUAGGCCUCUGCUAUUUCUAUGGCGUUCACAUCCCCUAGCGCAUUUCUACUGCUACUGCUACUGUAUAUCUAAAAAAAUUCACCAUCAGAAUAUAUACAUGUUCUCACUACUGCUACUGAAUAUCAAGGCAUUUUUCAUAAUGCAUUUUUCCAGGCUUCAGCUUACAUGCUUUUUCCUGAUAUAUUUUCAGAUUAGGCUCGCCCGUUACCAUACAACUUUUAGAACGAAUAAAUCAUAUAUUACACAGAAACUGCAGAGAGAAAAAUAGGAUAAGGGAAAGAACCUUGAACCACCGACACACACAACUUCCAACAUAGAACCUCUGGUGAAGUUGCAACAUUUGCAUCUCUUCAAGCGGCAGUCCCCUAUGCUAAGUCUCUGCUUCUAAGCUAAUCAGUAAAACAACACCAACAAUCAAUUAUUCGGUUUAUUAAAUCUACAUGCUAUUUGAGCCAUUGUAAUCUUUACUCACAUGCAUUUGUUAGAAAAUUAGGGGCAUCCUGAAGCAAACAAACAAAUUAAGAGAAGACCAAAACAAAGGAGAAACACGGUUAACAACGGCCUGAAGUUCUAUUUUUGUCAUACCGUAAUACAUAAGAAUAUGUGACUAAAACAUUUCUAAACAGAGGACUGACAGACAUGGCAUAUUUAAUACCAUGGAGGCUUAAAUUGUGUGUGACCUAUGUGGUUGUGAAUUUCGUCAAAUUCAAAUGAAAGGGCUUCGGAGACUACCUUGUAAGUUCUUCUACAGCAUAAAUCUCUUUGCAUCAUUCGAUUCUUACUUUGCAAACAGCAGUAGCCAUUAUAUGAGGGCUAUAGUAUGUUUGAUUGACACAUCAUGUGCACCAAUGUGUAAACCUGAGUUCAACACCUGCCAUCACAUUCAGUUAUUCACUUUCUCAUCUUAGAAGCCCCAAACUGAUUAAAAACGGGAAAAAUGAUAAUACAUCAGGAAAUAUAAAAUGCAUAGCAACAACAAGCAGGAGCACAUUUAGGCUGCAGUACAGCCUAAAAAUUGCCGACCAAAUUUAAGCACGGUAAAAUAGUUAUAAGCAGAUCCAUGACAUAUAUAUUCUUACCGAAUUGGUGGCCUAUCUCCAAGUAUUUCAUUCUUCAUUCUAGAAAUUUGUCAAGAGCACUACUGGACAAACUGAAAUUGCACCGGAGGCAAGACAAAGAUCAGAAGAUAUAUGUUGCUUCCCUGGGUGAAUGUCCAGAUUCAAUUCGCUCGCCGUCCGCCCCUGCGUGUCCUCCACAUGAAAUUAGCAGCUACUGUAUCAAAAUAGUAGCAUCAGCAGCAUCAAUCAACAAACAACAGGAAAGCAGCAGUAUAAUAUGCAACUAACAGGAGCACACCAGCAACGCACAACAUACAGAGCAAUCGUCCCUCUCACCUGCCCUCCCUGCACCAGCAGCGCACCAGACCAUCCUCGUCCUCGUCCAUCUCCCCCUGGGAGCCCGUGCCUACCCUCGUUUCUCUCCUUUCUCCCAGUUUUCUCUCUCCCUCUCCCUCGUCCUCCCUCCUUCUCUUCUAGCAGCACGCCAGAGCAACCAUGGUGCCGCCCCCGAGAACCCCUAACGCCUUGCAAGGUCCCGCCGCCACUAUCCUGGAUUCGGCCGUCGACGAAGUUCAAGGGGCGGCGCGCGGCGGGGCGGGGCGGGAGGUGGAGGCGGCAGGGGGUGCGGGGCGGGGCGGGGCAGGAGGUGGCGGUGUCGGGGACGGGCGGCGCACGGCGGUGUCGGGAGGGGUGCGGUGAGGCAGGGCGGGGCAGGAGGUGGCGGCGGCUGGAGGUGGAGAUGGAUCGAGGAGGCAGGGUGGUGCGGGCGGCUGAGCUAUUUUUUUCUCUCUCUUCCGUACCGGUUCAGGCUGACUUAUGACAAGGACUGUGGCUUAAUUUCUAAGAAAAAAGGAGACUUUUUUGCAAAAAGACUGACGACGGACGACCAGAAACAAUCGGUGGUUUAUUAGUAGGUAGAGAAAAGAAAACGACCCCACAGGCCUGAAACUACCAAUGGAUAGGGAUGGGGAAACAAUACAUUAAAUAAAAAGGUUGAGAAAAGAAUGUUUGAGUUCAGGUCCCCAACUAAAUCGAUUUACUAUGGACUCUUCACGGGGCGUAUCCCAAAGAAUAAUUGGGUUUCUUUACUAGUAGAGUACCCUACAAACAAAUCGCGUUUAAUACGAGCAAUACGUAGUUAUUACGUGCUGUUCCCAAAGAUACUCCUAUCGCUCAUUGUUCGUGUUGAGUUGCUCGACAAGAUCUCUUUGGAGCCUUGCCAUGCGUUGCGUGGCGGCGAUCAUCAUGCUACCGGCGAAGAAACUAGCGGGGCACCACCGCAGUCCGUGGUCCGACCUCCCGCACGAUCUGCUUACAACCAUCCUCGUCCGGCUCACCGCGACCUCCCCGGCCCUUCGCGACCGCGCCCGCUUCGGCAGCGUGUGCCAGACCUGGCGCGCCGCCGAGCGAGCCCACCCGCGCCCUCCCAUGGCAUGGCUCGUCGCCCCUGGGCACUACGUCAGCCUUCACGACGCCGCCAUCUAUCGCGUCCCGCUGCCUGAGGACGCCGCCGCUGCCACCUGCCUUGGCUCCUUCGGCGACUGGCUCGCCCUCGUGCCGCCGGUGUCAGGGCGCCCCUUCUUGCUCAACGCUUUCACCAAGGAGCGGAUCAAGCUGCCGCGGCGGACCAAAGAGCCGAUGGUUAAGUUUGUCAUGUCUUCCGCGCCGGACGCCCAGGGCUGCACGGUGGCUGCCAUUGUUGAGAUUGGAGACGGCGCGUAUAUACCGAGAUCUAAGAUCGUCGUCUGCCACCUGAGGCGGGGACGACUGCAAGGGCGCUCCUGGGAGAUCUUGACUAAGGCGUUCAGGCUCCAAGAUAUCAUCUUCUUCGAGGGGAAACUCCAUGCCCUUGACAUCGAAGCCCGCCUCCACGUCUUCCAUGAAGAAGACCUCCAACAGCGCCCUGAUCAGCGGUGGAGCAUGCCGUCUGCGAAGCAGCGAUUCCACGACGUCAAGCUGUACCUGGUUGUCCUCAAUGGGAGCCUGCACAUGGUCGGCAGGGGCUUAGGGACGACCCGGUGGACGACAUUCACCAACAAUAUAGGGAUCUUCGCGCUCGUUGGGGAGAUGGCGAAGCCGCCGGCGCCGGUCAAGGACUUUGACGGCCACGCGAUCUUCGUCGGCGACGCCUGUUGCGACGCUUUCGUAGUUGAGGCAGCUGCUUUAGGCCGCAUGAUAAGAGAGAACCAGAUUUGUUUCGUCGACGACGAGAAGAACAUGCGACGGCCUUUCCGGCUGCUGCAAUCCUACGACGUGCGCAAUGGCUGCCUCCGCGCAUAUGGACCCAACACCGCCGCGGUGGGGACCUGGCGGUGCGUCACAGCACAGCGCUUCCCGCAGAGCAGCGCCAUUGGACCACCGCCGCUGGCGUCUCUAUCGGAGGCGGAGCUGCUGUUGUGGAAUGUGACCAACUGCCUAGGAGCAUGGGACCGGCCCUUAUAUACAACGCGCCAUCAGGAUGAUGGCGCAGGCGUCGCCGUGACAGUGGAGAUUGAGGUGCCCAAGACAACAAGAAUAAUGGAAGGGGAAGAGCCCCUCCUGGAGUGGAGUUUCACGCAGCACCGGGCGUCAGCCAAGAAAGCGAAGCAGGCGGCGGCGCACGAGGCCGUCACGUUCCUGCGGAGUCGGUUUCGCAGCAUCCUGGACGACAGCCCCUGGAGCUCCGUCCCUCACUACCAUAGCCACGUCGACGAGGAGGAAGAAGCAGUCCAAGAAGACGACGCCGAAGGCGGCAGUUUGUUUGGGUAUAGACAUUGGUACGGUGACAUUUAAUACUAGCUAGGUGCUCUACUUUGGCCUUCCGUUGAGCGUCAUUUGCUUUACCUCUGCAAAAACGUGCUGGGCGUGUGCGAAAUAUGCGCUUGAUUGGAGAGAUCGAGAACACACGGUGAAUAUUAAGGAAAGGAGAGCGAGGGGAAGAGGGGGCAGCCCUCGGCCCGAUCAUCCAAUUCGCUCCGACGAUCCAGGCAUGGUUCAGUAGUCAAAGCAACUUCGUCACUUUCGUGUACCCAUCGGACGGCAGCCCUUUCGGGGGUUCCUUAGGGACCGAUUCACUCUGCGUAGAUUGACUGAUAAAAGCUCAGCUUAUGGUAGAAGAAUAGAAAAAAGAAACCUGGGCUGUUGGAUUAAAUAUGGACGGCACAGAUUGGAGUGGAGGCAUCUCAGACAACUUAUUGUACAUUUCACGAAAAACCCCCUACUACCAGUUAGAUGUAAAACAUGACUUUUGCAGUAAGAACCCCAACUUUCUCAUAUCCAAUCGUUGUAUCCCAAUUUCAAAUCUUCACAUCGUCGAUGCCCAAAUUGUACAAUGGUUGCUUGUACUAGAUCACUGAUUAUGCAAAGAAAACUUAAUAUGGUUAAGCCAAUCUGUUCCUAGUUCAUCCCAUGCUGGACCGCCCCAAACACAAAUAUGAGAGUACAUGUCAAGCACAAAUUUCUGAAUACAUGUCUAAGUGGAUCAUCCUGAGCAGAAAUAUUAUUAUCUUGAUAGCACAUGAAAGAAAAAAAUAUUCCCUUUGCCUCUAGUUAUAGUGCUUCUUGCUCUUCAGUCUUCAUGUGCUGGAAAAGAUGACACCAAACAAAUCCUUCAGUUUGAGUACAAGACGUGCAAGGGCACCUAAAGUAUUUGCUCAUGAGCUAAUCAAAUGAAUAUGCAUCAACAAUACAUUGUACUAGCAGGACUGCAGGAACAUAUCUGCUCCCUACUAGCAGAAAAAAAAACUUAUUUCCCAAAUUAUUUUUACCACCGUGAUUGUCUAACUAGAGAGAUGAUAAUGUUAAGCUUAGCAUCCAGUCCUUCAUUUUGUUAUGCAGAAAUUAACAGAUAAUGGACCAAUCCAUCACAAGCACAGGGAGGAGCUGAAAGUAAAAAUGAUUUAUCCUUCAUUACACUGAAGUUGUUAUUCUGAUUGAUUCCAUUGGACAACAAGUAUUACUUUAAAAAAUGCAUGGUUAAAACUUAAAAGGAACACUUUUCUGGAGCACUGAUAUGACAUUGCAAUGCCAGCACUUUCUUAUUGCUGCCCACGAAUUUUGGUUCUAAAAAAGAAAAUUGAAACUCUAACAGCAACAAACAAAUAAAUAUAUUACGAGGGCACAAAGGCAAGUCCGCACACAGAUCGAAAGCAAAAAACAUGAGUCAAAUACAUGGAAGAGAACCAUUUUCUGCUCUUGUAUGUAGAGACUAGAGAUUCUAAAAAAAAAUCUUGCUUCAAUCAUAAUUUCACUCAACAAGUUCAGAGCCUUACAAGUUUUUCUAUGGAGAAUCAGUGAGGGUUUAACAGCAAGUAGAAUUCUUUACCUCCUUAAGACCCUGAUUGGAGGCCUUGUAUACGCUUGUAAAUAGUUUACCGGUGUAAUUUAUUAUCCCAUAGAAGCAACCAGUAUUUUACCGGUGAUAUUUCAAGAUUGCCGACCGCCGUGGUCAAGCCGUCAUUCAGGAGUCGCGUCUUCAAGUGCCCGCGCUCUCCGCCUGAUUCAGUCUGCAUGCCACCUGCUCCUUGCCGCCUCAACCUGAUGGUCGGCGGGAGCUCCGACCAUGCACCGCCAAGCAGUGCGGUGCACCCACAUCAGGGACCUGCGGAGGGUGUCAAUCCUACAGUCAGUGUUGCCGAUGCCUCGUCCCGUUGCCCGUGGCUUCGUCCGGCGACGCGUCCGCUCGUACCGUCGAUCGAUAGAGAGAGAUGAAUGCUAGGCAAGAAACGACGGACAGAGCAGUGUGUUGAAACCGCGGAAUAUAGGUGUAUUUAGCAAAACCGGUGUAAAAAAAUACGAACUGAAACGACUAACCACGUAAUUAAAGGCCGUCCAUUUUAUUUUAUGGAUGUAUACCUUACCAGUGUACUGGGCAGAAAAACUAUGUUCCAAUUGUAAGAAUUAUGGAAGCGUUCCUACUCCUCGAGAGAGCCGGGUGGUCUGUAUAUAUUAGGACGAGAAGAAGCCCUCGUCGUGGCAUACAAGAAGAGGAUUUGAUUACAGGAAAGAGAUUCAAACUAUUACGGGAGAGAGAUAGAAUAUGGUUGAGAUUACAUGUGGAGAUAAACAUAAACUCUAACACCCUCCCUUAAUCUCAACUAUCCUACAUUCAAAGUCCUCUUGAACUCCUCAAAUGGUUUUGCUGGAAGUGCUUUAGUGAAUCCAUCUGCCACUUGAUCUUUGAAAGGAAUGAACCGUAUCUCAAGUUUUUUUGCUGCCACCCUUUCUUGCACAAAAUAAAAGUCAAUCUCUAUAUGCUUAGUUCUUGCAUGAAACACAGGAUUGGCAGACAAAUAAGUUGCUCCCAAAUUGUCACACCAUAAGCACGAUAUACGGUUCUGUUUAACUCCCAUCUCAUCCAAUAAUGACUCAAUCCAAAUAAUCUCUGCAGUAGCAUUGGCCAAAGACUUGUACUCAGCUUCCGUACUUGACCUAGACACAGUGGCUUGUUUCGUGGCACUCCAUGACACAAGAUUAGGACCAAAAAAUACUGCAAAGCCUCCAGUUGAUUUUCUGUCAUCACUGCAACCUGCCCAGUUAGCAUCAGAGAAAGCAAUAACAAGAGUGGAACUAGAGCGUCUGAAAUGAAGUCCUAUCCCCAUAGUAUGCUUGACAUAUCUUACAAUUCUUUUGACAGCUGACCAAUGUGCAGUAGUAAGUGCAUGGAGAUAUUGACAAACCUUGUUAACCGCAAAGGAGAUAUCUGGACGAGUGAGUGUCAAGUAUUGUAGUGCACCAACAGUACUUCUAUACUUUGUACUAUCUUCCUCCUGAAGUGACUCCCCUUCAUAUGCUGACAAUUUCUCUGAAGAUGACAAAGGUGUAGGCACAGGCUUGCAAUUUGUCAUCCCCAUGCGGGAUAGAAGCUCAUUGACAUAUUUCUCUUGACUUAACACUAUACCAUCUUGAGUUUUCUUGACUUCAAUGCCUAGAAAGAAGUGCAAGUCUCCCAGAUCCUUCAAGGAAAACUCUGAGCUCAAAUUAUGCAGGAGAGCAUUAGUAGCACUUUGUGAUGAACUUGCAACUAUAAUAUCAUCCACAUAAAUGAGCACAAAGAUUACUACUCUUGCCUUGUUAUAAAUAAACAGAGAUGUAUCAGCUUUGGAAGCAAUAAAACCAAGACAUUUUAAUUGCGAGCUCAACCUGAAGUACCAUGCUCUGGGUGCUUGUUUUAAGCCAUAGAGUGCUUUAUCAAGUUUACACACAUAAUGUGGUGUCUUCUUAUUCUCAUACCCAGGUGGUUGUCUCAUGAACACCUCCUCUUCGAGAACACCAUGCAAAAACGCGUUCUGUACAUUUAGUUGUCUUAGACUCCAUCCUCUAGACACAGCAAUAGCCAACACAAGUCUUAUAGUUGCAGCUUUUACAACAGGACUGAAAGUAUCUUCAUAGUCUAUGCCAUACCGUUGUUUAAACCCCUUUGCAACUAGACGGGCCUUAUACCUGUCAAUGGAGCCAUCUGCCUUUUUCUUAAUCAUGUACACCCAUUUACAGUCAAUAAUAUUUUUACCUCUUUGAUCAGGUACAAGAUGCCAAGUCUUAUUCCUCAUCAGUGCAGAAUACUCCCCAUCCAUUGCUUUUCUCCACUUAGGAUCACCAAGUGCAUCUCUUAAUGUUGUUGGUUCUCCUGAAAUACAUAACAUGCCAUAUGGUAUAGUGCCAUCUUUCCUUAUUUUCAGAUUACGUAUACCUAUUUGUAGCAUGGUCAUAACUUGAGAAGAAACUGCUGCUGGCUGCUGUAUAGGCAUGUGCACAGAAUCCGCAGAAGAUCCUCCAGCCGCUGACCCGUCAGGUGAUGGUGCGCCAGGGUGCAGAGAAGAUCCAGUGGUCCACGAUGUGGCCCCCCGGCUACUGGACGCUCGGGAACCCGCAGGGCUUGUGGGCACAGAAGAUCCACCAUCCGCCGCUGGCACUUGCAUGCGCACGCGGUGCAGAGCGGAUCCGAUGGCGCGGCUGUCCCCGCGGUCGGGUGACGCCGUAGCGCGGGAGUGGCCGCUCCAGGAGCCUGGCCCGCUGUCACCUGCAGCGAGAUCCGAGGGAGAUGCGCCCCCGGGAUUCGAUACCUGCAAACGGACAGGGGUGGAAGGCGCCGCCAAAUCAGCUCCGGGAUCUGCACCAGCUUCAUCCCCUUGUGGAGCAUGAAAUAAUACAUCAUUUUGGACCAUAUUUUCAUGAUUUUGAUUGUUUUGACCACCGUUUUCGCCAGCAACCUGCACAGGCAUAAGAUUGGAACUAGGCACAGCAGAAUCAUCAGCAUAUUGGUUAGUACAAUUGUCUUCCCCAUGUUCAAAGUUUCGAAAAUUUGAUAGAGAAGAAGAAUUUCCUUGCGGAGAAGAGCACCUGCAUUGGGAUGAAGCGAUGCAAAAGGGAACACGGGUUCAUCAAAAACAACAUCUCGAGAUAUGUAGACCCUGCCGGUAGGAACAUCUAGGCAUUUUACCCCUUUAUGCAUAGGGCUAUAGCCUAAGAAGACACACUGUUUUGAGCGAAAAGUAAGUUUACGUGUGUUGUAGGGUCGAAGAUUUGGCCAACAUGCGCAACCAAAGAUACGAAGAGAUGUGUAAUUAGGUGUUACCCCAAGAAGCCGUGUGAUGGGUGUCUCAAGCUGAAUGACUUUGCUUGGAAGCAAGUUAAUGAGAUAGGUAGCAGUUAAGAAGGCUUCAUCCCAAAACUUGAGUGGCAUAGAUGCAUUUGCUAGUAAUGCAAGACCUACAUCAACAAUAUGACGAUGCUUUCUUUCAGCUGAUCCAUUCUGUUGAUGAGCAUGAGGGCAAGCGACAUGAUGUGAGAUGCCAAGUUUUUGAAAGAAGGAGUUGAGUUUCUCAUACUCACCACCCCAGUCGGUUUGCAUAGCAAUGAUCUUAGAAUUCAGUUUGCGUUCAACAAGAUUUUGAAAGUUAAUAAAAACUUGGAAGACAUCAAACCGCUUCUUUAACAAGUAAAUCCAAGUAAAUUUACUAUAAUCAUCAAUGAAGCUUACAUAAUAGGAAAAUCUAUCAACUAAGGUGGGGGCUGGCCCCCAUACAUCUAAGAAUAUAAGUUGUAGUGGAGCAUUGGAUACACUUGUAGAAAUAGGAUAGGGUAACUGAUGACUUUUGGCCUGUUGACAGGGACCACAAACUGACUCAACACUGGACUCAUAUGAGAGUUUAUUUUUACUAAAAAUAUAACUAACAAUUACUGAAGAUGGAUGACCUAAACGACUAUGCCACUUUGCUGAAGAUGGCUUGGUGACGACAUAUGCUUGUUUGUUGAACCAAGAUGAUGAUGAUGAUGAUGAUGAUAUGAGUGGGUAGAGACCUCCCACUCACCGUCCUCUAAGAAUGAUUCUCCUUGUUGCUAGGUCCUUAACCAAGAAAAAGUGAGGAUAAAACUCUAUAAGAACAUUGUUGUCAAGAGUGAAUCUAUGGACAGAAAUAAGAUUUUUGAAUGUUUCGAGAACAUGUAAGACAUCUUUCAAGUGCAGAUGUUUUACGGGGUUUUUAACAAUCGUACUGCCAAUAUGUGUGAUCUCCAUACCUGAACCACUUGCCGUGUGAAUUUGAUCGCCUUCAUUGUACCUUUCCCGCAUUGUCGGCUUGUCAAGUUCGCCGGUAAUGUGGUUUGUAGCUCCGGAGUCAGCAUACCAAUUCGUAUCCACACCGUAGGAGACAGCAUGUGCCCCCUUCUCCUCCUGGUCGUUUUCUUCAUAGCGCCACCAACAUGAGCGUGCACCCCCUGGAUGAUGUUUAAGACAGAUCUGACAUUCAGGGUAGUCAUGCUGUUGAUCACGCCCGAGCUGCUGUUGUUGUCGAGAACGUCCUCUGUUGCCGCCGCCUCCACCGGCAGGAGAGGGCUGUAGAUCGCCACGACCGCGCCCCCUUCCUCCUCGCCCGCGGUAGGAUCUUCCACGAGCUUGGCCACGGCCUCUGUACGCCGCAUUAGCAGAAGUGUGGAAGCUGCCUGAUGAUGGAUCGCCGAGCAUCUCCAUCCUCUGGUCAAAGGCGAAGAUUUGCGCAAAAAGAUCAUCUGGCGUAAUCUGAUUCUUGACAACACCAAUUGCCGCAACCACCGGAUCAUAGUCACGAUCUAGUCCUGCCAAGAUAUAGUCCACCAUCUCCGGAUCUGACACCGGACGGCCAGCAACAGCUAGUUCAUCUGCAAGAUUCUUCAUCUUCGACAUGAAAGCAGAGCUUGACAUAGAGCCCUUCUUGGUUGUGGUGAUCCAAUCCUCAAGUUUGUGAUCCUGGACUGCGACUGGGAAGCGAAGAGCAUUGUCACGGUUGUCCAAAGCUCGAAGGUGGAUUCCUUCCCAACAACCUAUCCAAGAAUUUCUGGUGUCAUAGAGUUUAGCAGAUAUGAGAGGACCUGUUGAUCCUUUGCGAUCCAUGGCCCAUACAGCGGGUUCGGCUCCAUGGCCGAGGUCUUGUCCGCCUUGGUGAUCUCCACGGUCUUGGGUGGAACGGCAUCGGAAUUAUCCAAGAGUCCUGUCACCUGUGCUCCUCGCAGGGCAGGUAAGACCUGCGUCUUCCAGAGGAUGAAAUUUCCUCUCGCAAGCUUCUCUGAUGGAGGCGCGCCAAGGUUGAGGGCGACUCCUGUUGAUGAGGACAUGAUGACGCCGCCGAUGUGUUUGGGGUUUGAUUUUUGUGGCUAGAUGUGUAUGGAAGAGGAUGCUCUGAUUACCAUGUAAGAAUUAUGGAAACGUUCCUACUCCUCGAGGGAGCCACGUGGUCUGUAUAUAUUGGGACGAGAAGAAGCCCUCGUCGUGGCGUACAAGAAGAGGAUUUGAUUACAGGAAAGAGAUUAAGGGAGGGUGUUAGAGUUUAUGUUUGAGAUUACAUGUGGAGAUAAACAUAGACUCUAACACCAAUCAGUCCCUAAAGCACACAAGAGAGAGUUGUAUAGUUCCGCUGUUUCAGCCAAAGAUAGAAAUGUGAAUGGGAGAUGAAUUCUAAUUAAGCUUGAUGUGAUUUUGAGUUUUCUAAAAGGGGUUGUGGUUGCCAGUCAUGUGAAAGAGAUGGAUAUGCUACUUCUUGAACAUAUGACAGUACAAAUAUGAGCUAUGAUGACACUUGUUGACAAUGUGCAAUCUUCGGACCAAUGUGUUUUUGGAUAUCAUACAACAACAAACAACAUGCUUUGUUUAAACAAUAAUGAAACUCAUUAAAAAAACAAUAAUGAAACCAGUCAAAGCCAUACAAGUUGUUCACUGGUAAAUACAGUACUAAGCAGCACAUGAGAGGGGAGAAGCCAUUAGAGAGAAAUCUGUAGGAGGAGGGAGAGGGGGACUGGAGUUGGAGAAACGGUGCUGACCUUGAUGCUGAGCCUGCGAGGCGAAGAAGGCGAGCAGAUCGAGCACCACCAGCUUGCCUACGGUGAGAUACUGCUGGAUCUAGGAGUACCGGGGAGGAGGCGACCGUGGAGGCAGCACCGCCCACUCGACCACUACCAGCUUGGCUCCGGAAAGGUACAAAUGGGCAGCUGAGCGGGUGGGGAGCCCGUGGUCAUCGGGGUGGAGGAGACCGUGGCGGCGGCAGCCCGGUACCUGACGAGGAUGUGCAGCGCGUCGUCGGGAUGCGCAGUAGAGGGAGCCAAGAGGCCUGGAAUCCGGGGUGGGAGGGGGAGGAGGCAGGGAGCAACUGCCCAGGGAGUAGUCGUCGUCCACCAGAUAAGCACCAGAUCUGUGCAGCCGCCACCGUCGACGAGCGAUAGGGGAACAGGAGAGCUAUACGGAGAUCAGUCCUUUGAAGAAGAAGGACCUGAAGCAGAUUAGUAGGGAGCGAAGGGAUAUUUUUGCACAAAAUCAUAUACUUAUGAGUACAGACCCCUUCGCUCCAAUCUAUGCCAUACGUCCCAAAUCCAACGGUCCAGAAUCACUUUUCUAUUUUUGCACCUGAUGUGCAGAUUCUAUACUAGUCGCUCCCUGUUUAUGCAAUCUAUACCUAUUAUUAAAGGAAGGUGAUUUGGUUUCGUCCCGCUUCGUUUGGUCACGCUUCAAUUAAUUUCACAUACGCUAUUUGGUUUCAUUACUUAUCACCCGUUUUGACCCAACGGAGGAAUCCCGUCUGGCAGCGCACGUGGCCCAGGUUCGGAGAGCUGGCAAAAAAUAAAAUUGUCGAUGGGAGGGUUCGAUCUCAUAACCUACCAAUCGACCACGCACAGUUUAUCCAACUGACCUAGCUAGAGAUAUGAUAGCAUUUUUUUCUCCCGUUGCAACGCACAGGCCUUUUUGCUAGUGUUAUAAAAAGAGAGAAAAGCAUACUUUUCGUCCCUUGAUUCUUGGCGGAGUUUGGAUUUGGUCCCUCAACUUCAAGGACAACUUGCACCGCUAACUACUGAAACCGGACAAGAUUCAUCCCUCAUCACGGUUUUGACCGGCUUUGACUGCAUCGACUCAAAUUCAUGUAUUUUUUCCAAGUCCGCAAAUUAUUAUUUUUCAAAUUCAGGCACUAUUUUCAAAUAUGUGAAAUUUUUAAAAAUUCUUGUACUUUUUUCAAAUCCGCAUACUUUUCCAAGUUCACUCAGUAUACUUUUUUAAAGUUCAUGUAAUUUUAAAAAUUGAUGCACUUUCUCAUAUUCACAUAGAUUUUUUUGGAAAGAGUUCAUGAAUUUGAAAAUUUUGUGCGAAUUUGAAAAAAAAUACACAAACUUUAAAAAGUAUGCGGAUUUGAAAUAAGUACGCGAAUUCCAAAAACACUUCAUGGAUUUGAUAAAAUUACACGAACUUGGAAAAAAUAUGCGGAUUUGAAAAAAGUAUGCGAAUUGAAAAUAUACAUAUUUGAAAAAGUACACAAAUUUCAAAAUAAUUCAUGGAUUUGAAAAUAUAUGUUUAUUUUGAAAAAAAUAUGUGACCUUGUAAAAAUUACGUAAAUUUGAAAAGAGUAUGUGAAUUUUAAAAAGUUCACGGAUAUAAAAAAAUACGCGAAUUUGAGUCAACACCGAUCGAAACCGAGGUGAGUCAGUACCAAAAUCAGUCAAAAUCGAGACCAGGGGCGAACCUCGUCCGGUUUCGAUACUUGGGGGUGCAAGUUGUCAUGUUUCGGAGUCGAGGGGCCAAAUCUAGACUUCACCAAAAAUUGAAGGAUGAAAAAUAUAUUUUUCUCUAAAAAAAGUCGGCUUGGUUGUUAAUAGGACUCCAUAGCUAUAUAUGAACAUGUCAUGCCAUUAAAUGUUUGCAUUAAUUGAGUUUAUCUAAGUCAUAUCUAAAAGGUGACGUCAUGGUCUGGUCCUUUCAUCAUACUUACUUUUUUUUCUGUUGCUACGAUUUUUGUGGUGCGUGUUCUCCAUAUAGAGUGGAGUGAGAGCAUCUACAGUCGGACCUCUCAAACUCCCCUCGUAUGUCCGGGCGGGCUGCGGUUUUUUAACCCAGAUGAACAUCUCAAACGGGUCUCAAACGUCUGGACUGACCGGCACCCCUAUAUCCAGCUCAAAUAUAGGGCGGAUAUGGGGGCGCCGCCACGUCGGACCCUGCCCAUGGUGGCCCACCCGACCCCACUUAUAUUCGUCCGCAUUCUCUCGCCGGAGCAAACCAUAGCCACUUCACUCCACUCCCCUUCACUCCUCUCCGCCACCCGAACUCACCUCCGGCGGUUUUCGGCCUCCUCCGCCAUGACAGGCAGCAGAUCGGACUCCGACCAGUCUGGAUCCAUCGAUUGGGGUGUCAUCUCGUGUGGGUUGGAGGAGGCAAUGAUAGUCCGCAUUGCACUCCGCCGCUCCCGGGAGGACAUCGCCCGGCCGACGAACGGAUCCGUCCGCCGCGACACGGCUUAACGGGCGCUCGGAUCCUCUGGUGCUGGAUCCUCGCAGUCCCGGAUGGAACACCUGUCCUUCGCCAUCACCGGAGGGGCAGAGUAUGUGUCCCACCGGAAACGGGCGGCCCGACGUGGGAAGGAGAGGAUAAGGGCCGCCGAAGCCCGUAUCGCGGCGGAAAUGGCGGGGCGGAGGUGGCUGAUGCGGCGACGUGGGCGGCCACAAAGGAGGAAGCCAUCCGCGCCCGCAUUGUAAAGAAACGGCAGCAGAGGAAUAUGUGCGCCCUCGCCCGAGAGCAGAAUCGGGCGGUCCGUGCCAUGGUCGGAUUGCCACCGAAGGAGGAGAAGGAGGACAGCGAUGGCAAGGACAGCUCCGGUGACGAGCAGAUCUGACUCGAUCCAUACUAUGUCUUCGACCGGUACUUUUGCGAGAAGGACGGCGAGGGCACUGAGAAGGGCAAGGGCAGCCGUAGAUGAACUCCACAAUAACCAAACGUGCCGAAUUUUGGUAGUCCAAUGGCAUAUUUAGUGUAGUGUGAUGAAGUAGCCGGAAUGUAUGUGCAUCGACAUAGUUGCAUGAGUUUGUAUGGAUUUGAGAUAUGAUAGUUGAGGUAUCCAGAUGUGCAUUGCAUUUUUUAGGAGUGCCCGGGCACGUUCGUGGACCACUACAAGAGAUAGGGCCUACUAUGACGAGCUAAAAUAUGUCAUCGAAUAGCUAAUAACGUCACAAAUUACCCCGAGUGACAUUUUAUGGGCGUCACAAGCAUCGUCACGGAAUCCCCGUCACAGAUUACUCCUAGUGACGGCGCAUGCGCAAAAACGUCAUCGAAAUUGGGACCUUCGGUGACGUUAUAUAGAAUGUCAUCGACUUGCUAUUUCCAUGACAUUCAAUUAAUGUCACAUGUCAGGAGAAAAUAUGCCAUAUUGUACCAUAUUCGAUGACAAGGCAAUGUCACUAACGUUAUGCCACAUCAACACCCGAGCGGCUAUCCCACUACUAGUGCCACUACUUUUAUUAUGGAUAUGGAUGACAUCAUCAAAAUAUAUUUACUUUCUUUCAAAUCUAAAUUGCGAUGAAAAAAGUAUUUACUUCACAUCACAUCAGAUUAUAUAAACUAGUUGUAGAGAAAAAUCACAUCAUAAAUUGAUAUGAAAGACAAAUCGUAUUAUAUAUGAAAUCGUCUCAGCCAAAUCAUUCUGUAAACAAAAAUGAGGGUAAAAAACUGACUCAAGUUUGACAGACAAUAGACAAGAUGAAAAUAGUUGUAAAGACCACAGAUGUUGUCCUGACAAUUGCAAUGUAAGGAUGGCUUUCAUGAACCAUCUAGUUUGGAUUGGGACUACUUGAUCCCUCAAGAGAAAAUCAAGCAGAUUAUACGUCUCCUUUUGCUUCUUUGCCAGGCUUCAUUCUUCUCUUGUUGGAUCUUCUUUAGAGCUUCCAAUUCUUCUUGAUGCUUCUUUUGUAUCGCUUCAAAUGCUCUCUCUUGUGCUUCAGGUCUUGCGGCUAACUCCUCCCGAUGCCUAUAAAUGACAAACACAACAACGUUGCAUCAUAAUGAGAUGAAAACUGACAAGAUAACAUGCAUAACCUAGAGCUAGAGGUAUAAUGGUUAAAGUACAUGUAAUCAAUGCCCCCCUUAGCUUAGCAUACACACAACCUAUGCAUUUAUGUUCCGCGAGGAAUGCCCUCCUUUCCCUCUCACUCUCCCGAGCUAGUGGCAUGCUUGUAGUACCUAAACCUACAAGAUGAAAAAGAGUGGAACUAAAUGAAUUGCAAAAUACUUACUAGCAUGUGUCAUAAAACUAACAAAAUGAAUUCUGCUUCAACUCGUUUGGAAUUGGACCUUAGACAAUGCAACAAUUUUUCAUGCGCAUCUGUACUUUCUAAAACAGACAUGAAUUUAAUAAAGUAGCAAAAUUAGCAUGCAAGAGGGCAGGCCUGGCGCAGUGGUGAAGUCCUCCCCACUUGUGCCAAGAGGUCCUGGGUUCGAACCAGCCUCUCUGCAUUGCACUUUGCAGGGGUAAGACUAGGUUCCUAUAAUCCCUCCCCAGACCCCACCUUGUGUGGGAGCUUCUAUGCACUGGGUCUGUCCUUUAGCAAAAUUAGCAUGCAAAUACAUGUUUGUCUUUGCAUUGAUGGUAAAAAUUAACAAAAUAGAUUCUGUAACGUAGUACUCCUUAAAUAUUGUAUUAACAAAAAAUGAAGAUUUCAACGCUUUGGGGUCUAACAAGUGUACCAAGUAAAAUAGAAGACGCAGCCAGCAAGCCUAUGAAAACAAGAUGAGAAAAUCCAGAAGAGAAAAAUGGCAAAACUUAAGAUUACUAUAGAUGAUAAACAAGUGCUUGACUAGAAAGAUUACUUACAAAAACUUGCCAAUAAUGGUAGUAGCAAAGAGUUACUAGUACAUUAUGUGCUAUUUACUCAAACAAGCAUUUUAAUUUGAUGGCAAUGUGAUAAAAUAAUAAUAUAAGAAACAAGGACUCCUUAAAUAUUAGAGCAUCUCCGAGUGCAAUGCCGGGACCAAAUCCCGUCCACGCCCUCCUCCACCUUCAGCCUGCUAAAAAAGAUAUCAGCUAAUCAGGCUAUCACUGUUCAGAUAUAUGUUCUGUGUUAGCAAAUUGUUUGCCUAUCAUAUCCCCAAUAGUCCGCCCUACUCAUGCUUGCUGCACUCAUGUAAUUGAAAAAUAGAAGUAUAAAACUCCUAGCGAUUGCAUAUUUCAGUUGAAAAACACCAAUUGCUAUCUAAGUGUAGAUAAGCUGCAGGUGCCAACGUUAGUCAUUAUCUCCAAAGUAUACACAUAAUAAUAGAAGCAUGAGUAAACACGUCAAAACUACAGCAAGAAACAUUUUGCUCACCUUGCGUUCAGUCUUCUCAUCGACGAUGUCAGCUUUGAACUUGAGAAAUCCCACACGCGCUGAACAUGUCCACUCCUGCACAGCGAGAAAGCGCCAUUGAUUUCCUGCUCAAAGAUUUAAAUGGAGAGAAUGAGAGGAGGAGCGCCACAACAAAGCAUUUGGAUGGGAGCAGCGCCCCAAAAUGCCUGCGACCGUGGCCUCAUCAGGGAAACAGAGAAGGGCGGCAUGGUCUCGAGGAGGAUGCAGCGGGCGUGGUAGAGGAACGCCACGGUGGCUGGCUCCGGCCAGAAGCCCAGAACCCACCCAGCUAUAAGCCAACUGGAAGAACUGGAGCAAGAGGUCGGCGUGGUUGGAGGCAGCGGCAGCGGAGAUCACGCCAUGGACGAGCAGCGCCGAGAGCGUCCAGAAGAGCAGCCGCACGACACGGAGUUCUUCAGGUGGGUCGACGGCUUGCGUCACCAGAUCAUGUGGAGAAUUCUCCCGUGCAGAGGCUGCUCCUACCGAGCGCGGCUGCCUGCGGCGUCGGCGGCGUCGGCGGCGCCUCUUCCACCACCGGUGCUGCAACGGCUUCCUCCGGGGCCUCGAUGGCAGCGGUGGCGGUGGUUGUUGCAUCGAUGAUGGGGCGGCGGAGGUGGACGGGGCGGGAGUGGGAGCGUGGGGGCUGCUGGAGAGGAGCGGCGGAGGGGAUGCGAGCAGAUUGGAUCGAGACGGGGAAAGGAAGGAGACAGCGCAAGAUUGGAUCGGGGCGACGCGAGAUGAGAUAAUGGGGAUUAGUGUGGAACUGUGGGUAGUUAAAUGGGCUUCGUUCCGAAAUUUUGCCACCCAGCCUAAUUAACUUAAAAUUUUAAUUCUUUGCACGCAGGGGCAAAUAAAUUAUAUGCUUAAACUAGAAAAAAUCGUAGGUUUGACACGCUCACGUCAAAAAAAUGUGGGGAUUUUUUAGGGGUAAAAAAAUGAGGGUUUGACACAUACCAUGAACGUCUAUAAUCUGAUCAGAAAAAUUAGAAAGGCACGUACCAUAUUUGUGUAUAAUCUGCUAAUAUAAUAAAGAGUAAAAAGGCACCAGGGGAUCUUCUUUUUUCCAGGGACCAGGGGAUCUUUCUUUUUGAAAAAACAUACCAUGUACGCGUAUAAUCUGAUCAAAAAAUUAUGAAACAUUGGGGAAAAAAGUCUGCUCUACAUGUGGGUUAGACAUAAAUACAAAUAUUUGUUGUGCUAGAAUAGCGAAAAAUACCCGCAGAUAAAAUUUUCACCUCCGAAAUAUUCCUACCGUAGGUCGUGUAGUACAAUGACAUAAUAAAGAUAUAUUCGCAUAGUUUAGAUCAACGUGUGAACUCUCUCUUGUUGGAAAUCCCUACAGGAAAAACCAUGUGGGAGGGAGUACUUUUUUUGUUUGCCAUACCCAUCAGCUCACUGGCGCAACCAAUGAGCUUCUUUUUUGGCCACUACUUAUUUAUAUUACACUCAGAAAAUAUUUACAUUGCUCCAUACGCCGUAAAGAAAUUCUCAUGGGUCCUACGUGUGGACGCCAUAGAUAAAUACCGAAGCAUAGUCCGUGACUGUAGCAGGUUCGUCAUGAAAAUUACCAAAACUUCAUAGAAAUUGGUACCUAGGUGGUGCUCAGCGUUCGAGUCGAUUCAAUGACAUUAAGCGUCACUGAUUUACUAAAAUCAGUGACACGACCUCUAGACUGUCACACAUUAGAUACAUAUGUGACGUUGUCAACCACCGUCACGAGGAUUUUCGUCACAGUAUCUCAAUUUUCUUGUAGUGGACGUUUGAGGGACUGAAUUUGCCAAGUCCGACUGUAGAUGCUCCGACUGUUGGAAAUAUGCCCUAGAGGCAAUAAUAAAUUGAUUAUUAUUAUAUUUCCUUAUUCAUGAUAAUCGUUUAUUAUCCAUGCUAGAAUUAUAUUGAUAGGAAACUCAGAUACAUGUGUGGAUACAUAGACAACACCAUGUCCCUAGUAAGCCUCUAGUUGACUAGCUCGUUGAUCGAUAGAUGGUUACGGUUUCCUGACCAUGGACAUUGGAUGUCGUUGAUAACGGGAUCACAUCAUUAGGAGAAUGAUGUGAUGGACAAGACCCAAUCCUAAGCAUAGCACUAGAUCGUGUAGUUCGUAUGCUAAAGCUUUUCUAAUGUCAAGUAUCAUUUCCUUAGACCAUGAGAUUGUGCAACUCCCGGAUACCGUAGGAAUGCUUUGGGUGUGCCAAACGUCACAAGUAACUGGGUGGCUAUAAAGGUACACUACGGGCAUCUCCGAAAGUGUCUGUUGAGUUGGCACGAAUCGAGACUGAGAUUUGUCACUCCGUGUGACGGAGAGGUAUCUCUGGGCCCACUCGGUAGGACAUCAUCAUAAUGUGCACAAUGUGACCAAGGAGUUGAUCACGAGAUGAUGUGUUACGGAACGAGUAAAGAGACUUGCCGGUAACGAGAUUGAACAAGGUAUCGGGAUACCGACGAUCGAAUCUCGGGCAAGUAUCGUACCGAUAGACAAAGGGAAUUGUAUACGUGAUUGAUUAAGUCCUUGACAUCGUGGUUCAUCAGAUGAGAUCAUCGUGGAACAUGUGGGAGCCAACAUGGGUAUCCAGAUCCCGCUAUUGGUUAUUGACCGGAGAACGUCUCGGUCAUGUCUGCAUGUCUCCCGAACCCGUAGGGUCUACACACUUAAGGUUCGAUGAUGCUAGGGUUAUAAAGGAAGUUUGUAUGUGGUUACCGAAUGUUGUUCGGAGUCUCGGAUGAGAUCCCGGACGUCACGAGGAGUUCCGGAAUGGUCCGGAGGUAAAGAUUUAUAUAUGGGAAGUCCUGUUUUGGUCACCGGACAAGUUUCGGGGUCACCGGUAUUGUACCGGGACCACCGAAAGGGUCCCGGGGGUCCACCGGGUGGGGCUACCUGCCCUGGGGGGCCACAUGGGCUGUAAGGGGGUGCGCCUUGGCAUAUAUGGGCCAAGGGCACCAGCCCCAAGAGGCCCAUGCGCCAAGGGAUAAGGAAAGGAAGAGUCCUAAAGGGGGAAGGCACCUCCGAGGUGCCUUGGGGAGGAUGGACUCCUCCCUAGCCGCACCCUUCCUUGGAGGAAGGGCCAAGGCUACGCCCCCCCUCUCCCUUGCCCCUAUAUAUGUGUGUGGGGGUGGGAGGGCAGCCACACCUUUGCCUUUGGUGCAGCCCUCCCCUCACCCAAGUCCUUCUCCUCUCCCGUGGUGCUUGGCGAAGCCCUGCAGGAUUGCCAUGCUCCUCCACCACCACCACGCCGUUGUGCUGCUGCUGGAUGGAGUCUUCCUCAACCUCUCCCUCUCUCCUUGCUGGAUCAAGGCAUGGGAGACGUCACCGGGCUGUACGUGUGUUGAACGCGGAGGUGUCGUGCGUUCAGCACUUGGUCAUCGGUGAUUUGGAUCACGACGAGUACGACUCCAUCAACCCCGUUCACUUGAAUGCUUCCGCUUAGCGAUCUACAAGGGUAUGUAGAUGCACUCUCCUUCCCCUCGUUGCUAGUUUCUCCAUAGAUAGAUCUUGGUGACACGUAGGAAAAUUUUGAAUUUCUGCUAUGUUCCUCAACAGUGGCAUCAUGAGCUAGCUCUAUGCGUAGUUUCUAUGCACGAGUAGAACACAAAGUAGUUGUGGGCGUUGAUUUUGUUCAAUAUGCUUGCCGUUACUAGUCUUAUCUUGAUUCGGCGGCAUCGUGGGAUGAAGCGGCCCGGACCGACCUUACACGUACUCUUACGUGAGACUGGUUCCACCGACUGACAUGCACUAGUUGCAUAAGGUGGCUAGCGGGUGUCUGUCUCUCCCACUUUAGUCGGAUCGAAUUCGAUGAAAAGGGUCCUUAUGAAGGGUAAAUAGCAAUUGGCAUAUCACGUUGUGGUUUUUGCGUAGGUAAGAAACGUUCUUGCUAGAAACCCAUAGCAGCCACGUAAAACAUGCAAACAACAAUUAGAGGACGUCUAACUUGUUUUUGCAGGGUAUGCUAUGUGAUGUGAUAUGGCCAAAAGGAUGUGAUGAAUGAUAUAUGUGAUGUAUGAGAUUGAUCAUGUUCUUGUAAUAGGAAUCACGACUUGCAUGUCGAUGAGUAUGACCACCGGCAGGAGCCAUAGGAGUUGUCUUAAUUUAUUUAUGACCUGCGUGUCAACAUAAACGUCAUGUAAUUACUUUACUUUAUUGCUAACCGUUAGGUGUAGUAGUAGAAGUAAUAGUUGACGAGACAACUUCAUGAAGACAUGAUGAUGGAGAUCAUGAUUAUGGAGAUCAUGGUGUCAUGCCGGUGACAAGAUGAUCAUGGAGCCCCGAAGAUGGAGAUCAAAAGGAGCAAUAUGAUAUUGGCCAUAUCAUGUCACUAUUUGAUUGCAUGUGAUGUUUAUCAUGUUUAUGCAUCUUGUUUGCUUAGAACAACGGUAGUAAAUAAGAUGAUCCCUCAUUAAAAUUUCAGGAAGGUGUUCCCCCUAGCUGUGCACCGUUGCGACAGUUCGUUGUUUCAAAGCACCACGUGAUGAUCGGGUGUUUGAUUCCAACGUUCACAUACAACGGGUGUAAGACAGAUUUACACAUGCAAACACUUAGGUUGACUUGACGAGCCUAGCAUGUGUACAGACAUGGCCUCGGAACACAGAAGACCAAAAGGUCGAGCAUGAGUCGUAUGGUAGAUACGAUCAGCAUGAAGAUGUUCACCGAUGUUGACUAGUCCGUCUCACGUGAUGAUCGGACACGGCCUAGUUGACUCGGAUCAUGUAAUCACUUAGAUGACUAGAGGGAUGUCUAUCUGAGUGGGAGUUCAUAAGAUGAACUAAAUUAUCCUCAACAUAGUCAAAAGGUCUUCGCAAAUUAUGUCGUAGCUCGUGCUUUAGUUCUACUGUUUAGUUAUGUUCCUAGAGAAAAAUUAGUUGAAAGUUGAUAAUAGCAAUUAAGCGGACUAGGUCCGUAAACUGAGGAUUGUCCUCAUUGCUUCAUAGAAGGCUUGUGUCCUUAAUGCACCGCUCAGUGUGCUGAACCUCGAACGUCGUCUGUGGAUGUUGCGAACAUCUGACAUACACGUUUUGAUGACUACAUGAUAGUUCAGUGCGUAAUGCUAAAUGGUUUAGAGUUGAGGCACCGAAGACGUUUUGAAACGUCGCGAAACAUAUGAGAUGCUUCGAGGGCUGAAAUUGGGAUUUCAGCCUCGUGCCCACGUCAAGAGGUAUAAGACCUCAGACGAUUUUCUUAGCCUGCAAACUAAGGGAGAAAAGCUCAAUUGUUGAGUUUGUGCUCAGAUUGUCUGAGUACAACAAUCAUUUGAAUCGAGUGGGAGUUGAUCUUCCAGAUGAGAAAGUGAUGUUUCUCCGAAGUCAUUGCCACCAAGCUGCUAGAGCUUCGUGAUGAACUAUAAUAUAUUAGGGACAUAUAUGAUGAUCCUUGAGAUAUUCGCGAUGAUUGACACCACAAAAGUAGAAAUCAAGAAGGAGCAUCAAUUGUUGAUGGUUGGCGAAACCACUAGUUUCAAGAAGGGCAAGGGCAAGAAGGGAUACUUCAUGGAACGGCAAUUCAGCUGCUGCUCUAGUGAAGAAACCCAAGGUUGAACCCAAACCCGAGACUAAGUGCUUCUGUAAUAAGGGGAACAGCCACUGGAGCGGGAUUACCCUAGAUACUUGGUAGAUUAGAAGGCUGGCAAGGUCGAUAGAAGUAUAUUGGAUAUACAUUGUGUUGAUGUGUACUUUGCUAGUACUCCUAGUAGCACCAGGGUAUUAGAUACCGGUUCGGUUGCUAAGUGUUAGUAACUCGAAAUAAAAGCUACGGAAUAAACGGAGACUAGCUAAAGGUGAGCUGACGAUAUGUGUUGGAAGUGUUUCCAAUGUUGAUAUGAUCAAGCAUCGCACGCUCCCUCUACCAUCGAGAUUGGUGUUAAACCUAAAUAAUUGUUAUUUGGUGUUUGCGUUGAGCAUAGACGUGAUUGGAUUAUGUCUAUCGCAAUACGGUUAUUCAUUUAAGGAGAAUAAUGGUUACUUUGUUUAUUUGAAUAAUACCUUCAAUGGUCUUGCACCUAAAAUGAAUGGUUUAUUGAAUCUCGAUCGUAGUGAUACACAUGUUCAUGCCAAAAGAUAUAAGAUAGUAAUGAUAGUACCACCUACUUGUGGCACUACCACGUAAGUCAUAUCGGUACAAAACGCAUGAAGAAGCUCCAUGUUGAUGGAUCUUUGGACUCACUCAUUUUUUGAAAAGUUUGAGACAUGCGAACCAUGUCUAUUGGUAUAUAUGCAUGAAGAAACUCCAUGCAAAUGGAUCGUUUGGACUAACUUGGUUUUGAAUCACUUGAGACAUGCAAAUCAUACCACAUGGGCAAGAUGACUGAAAGCCUCGUUUUCAGUAAAAUGGAACUAGAAAGCAACUUGUUGGAAGGAAUACAUUUUGAUGUGUGCAGUCCAAUGAGUGCUGAGGCAUGUAGUGGAUAUCGUUAUGUUCUUACUUCACAGAUGAUUUGAGUAGAUGUUGAGUAUAUUUACUUGAUGAAUCACGAGUCUGAAUUAUUGAAAGGUUCAAGUAAUUUUAGUGUGAAGUUGAAAGAUCGUCGUGACAAGAGGAUAGAAGAUCUAUGAUAUGAUCAUAGAGAUGAAUAUCUGAAUUACGAGUUUGGCACAGAAUUAAGACAUUGUGGAAAUUGUUUCACAACUGAUACAGCCUGGAACACCAUAGUGUGAUGGUGUGUCCGAACAUCAUAAUUGCACCCUAUUGGAUAUGAUGCAUACCAUGAUGUCUCUUAUCGAAUUACCAUGAUAGUUUAUGGGUUAGGCAUUAGAGACAACCACAUUCACUUUAAAUAGGGCACCACGUAAUUCCUAUGAGAUGACACCGUAUGAACUAUGGUUUAGAGAAACCUAAGCUGUCAUUUCUUAAAAAGUUUGGGGCUGCAACGCUUAUGUGAAAAAGUUUCAGGCUGAUAAGCUUGAACCCAAAGCGGAUAAAUGCAUCUUCAUAGGACACCCAAAACAGUUGGGUAUACCUCCUGUCUCAGAUCCGAAAGCAAUAAGAGAUUGUUUCUUGAAUCAGGUCCUUUCUUGAGGAAAAGUUUCUCUCGAAAGAAUUGAGUGGGAGGAUGGUGGAGACUUGAUGAGGUUAUUGAACCUUCACUUCAACUAGUGUGUAGCAGGGCACAGGAAGUUGUUCAUGUGGCACCUACACCAAUUGAAGUGGAAGCUUAUGAUAGUGAUCAUGAAACUUCAGAUCAAGUCACUACCAAACAUCAUAGGAUGACAAGGAUGCGUACUACUUCAGAGUGGUAUGUAAUCCUGUCUUGGAAGUCAUGUUGCUAGACAACAAUGAACCUACAAGCCAUGGAGAAGCGAUGGUGGGCCCGGAUUCCGAUAAAUGGCUCGAGGCCAUAAAAUCCGAGAGAGGAUCCAUGUAUGAAAACAAAGUGUAGACUUUGGCGGAACAGCUCGAUGGUCGUAAGGCUGUUGAGUACAGAUGGAUUUUAAAAGGAAGACGGACAAUGAUGGUAAGUAUCACCAUUAAGAAAGCUCGACUUGUCGUUAAGAUGUUUUCCGACAAGUUCAAGGAGUUGACUACGGUGAGACUUUAUCACUCGUAGCGAUGCUAAGAGUCUGUUGGAAUUAUAUUAGCGAUUACUGCGUUAUUUAUGAAAUCUUGCAGAUAGGAUGUCAAAACAUUGUUUCCUCGACGAUUUUUCUUGAGGAAAGGUUGUAUGUGAUACAACCGGAAGGUUUUGUCAAUCCUGAAAGAUGCUAAUAAGUAUGCAAAGCUCCAUCUAUCCUUCUGAGGACUGGAGUAAGCAUCUCGGAGUUGGAAUGUAUGCUUUGAUGAGAUGAUCAAAGAUUUUGGGUGUAUACAAAGUUUAUGAGAAACUUGUAUUUCCGAAGAAGUGAGUGGGAGCACUAUAGAAUUUCUGAUGAGUAUAUGUUGUUGACAUAUUGUUGAUCAGAAAUGACGUAGAAUUUCUGGAAAGCAUAUAUGGUUAUUUGGAAAGUGUUUUCAAUAGAAAGCCUGGAUUAAGCUGCUUGAGCAUUGAGCAUCAAGAUCUAUAAGGAUAGAUCAAAACGCUUAAUGGAACUUUCAAAUAAGCACAUACCUUGACAUGAUCUUGAAGGUGUUCAAGAUGGAUCAGUCAAAGAAGGAGUUCUUGCCUGAGUUGUAAGGUAUGAAGUUAAGACUUAAAGCUCGACCACGGCAGAAUAGAGAGAAAGGACGAAGGCCGUCCCCUAUGCUUAAGACAUAGGCUCUACAGUAUGCUAUGCUGUGUACCACACCUGAAGUGUGCCUUACCAUGAGUCAGUCAAGGGGUACAAGAGUGAUCCAAGAAUGGAUCACAGGACAGCGGUCAAAGUUAUCCUUAGUAACUAGUGGACUAAGGAAUUUUCUCGAUUAUGGAGGUGGUAAAAGAGUUCGUCGUAAAGGGUUAUGCCGAUGCAAACUUUGACACUAAUCCAGAUUAUUCUGAGUAGUAAACUGGAUUCGUAUAGUAGAACAGUUAUUUGGAAUAGCUCCAAAUAGAACGUGGUAGCUGCAUCUAGGAGAUGACAUAGAGAUUUGUAAAGCACACACGGAUCUGAAAGGUUCAGACCCGUUGACUAUAACCUCCCUCACAAGCAUAACAUGAUCAAACCCAGAACUCAUCGAGUGUUAAUCACAUGGUAAAUGUGAACUAGAUUAUUGACUCUAGUAAACUCUUUGGGUGUUAGUCACAUGGGGAUGUGACCUUGAGUGUUAAUCACAUAUCGAUGUGAACUAGAUUAUUGACUCUAGUGCAAGUGGGAGACUGUUGGAAAUAUUCCCUAGAGGCAAUAAUAAAUUGAUUAUUAUUAUAUUUCCUUGUUCAUGAUAAUCGUUUAUUAUCCAUGCUAGAAUUGUAUUGAUAGGAAACUCAGAUACAUGUGUGGAUACAUAGACAACACCAUGUCCCUAGUAAGCCUCUAGUUGACUAGCUCGUUGAUCAAUAGAUGGUUACGGUUUCCUGACCAUGGACAUUGGAUGUCGUUGAUAACGGGAUCACAUCAUUAGGAGAAUGAUGUGAUGGACAAGACCCAAUCCUAAGCAUAGCACUAGAUCGUGUAGUUUGUAUGCUAAAGCUUUUCUAAUGUCAAGUAUCAUUUCCUUAGACCAUGAGAUUGUGCAACUCCCGGAUACCGUAGGAAUGCUUUGGGUGUGCCAAACGUCACAACGUAACUGGGUGGCUAUAAAGGUACACUACGGGCAUCUCCGAAAGUGUCUGUUGGGUUGGCACGAAUCGAGACUGGGAUUUGUCACUCCGUGUGACGGAGAGGUAUCUCUGGGCCCACUCGGUAGGACAUCAUCAUAAUGUGCACAAUUUGACCAAGGAGUUGAUCACGGGAUGAUGUGUUACGGAACGAGUAAAGAGACUUGCCGGUAACGAGAUUGAACAAGGUAUCGGGAUACCGACGAUCGAAUCUCGGGCAAGUAUCGUACCGAUAGACAAAGGGAAUUGUAUACGGGAUUGAUUAAGUCCUUGACAUCGUGGUUCAUCCGAUGAGAUCAUCGUGGAACAUGUGGGAGCCAACAUGGGUAUCCAGAUCCCGCUAUUGGUUAUUGACCGGAGAACGUCUCGGUCAUAUCUGCAUGUCUCCCGAACCCGUAGGGUCUACACACUUAAGGUUCGAUGAUGCUAGGGUUAUAAAGGAAGUUUGUAUGUGGUUACCGAAUGUUGUUCGGAGUCCCGGAUGAGAUCCCGCACGUCACGAGGAGUUCCGGAAUGGUCCGGAGGUAAAGAUUUAUAUAUGGGAAGUCCUGUUUUGGUCACCGGACAAGUUUCAGGGUCACCGGUAUUGUACCGGGACCACCGGAAGGGUCCUUGGGGUCCACCGGGUGGGCCACCUGCCCCGGGGGGCCACAUGGGCUGUAAGGGGGUGCGCCUUGGCCUAUAUGGGCCAAGGGCACCAGCCCCAAGAGGCCCAUGCGCCAAGGGAUAAGGAAAGGAAGAGUCCUAAAGGGGGAAGGCACCUCCGAGGUGCCUUGGGGAGGAGGGACUCCUCCCUAGCCGCACCCUUCCUUGGAGGAAGGGCCAAGGCUGCGCCCACCUCUCCCUUGCCCCUAUAUAUAUGUGUGGGGGUGGGAGGGCAGCCACACCUUUGCCUUUGGUGCUGCCCUCCCCUCUCCCAAGUCCUUUUCCUCUCCCGUGGUGCUUGGCGAAGCCCUGCAGGAUUGCCACGCUCCUCCACCACCACCACGUCGUUGUGCUGCUCUUGGAUGGAGUAUUCCUCAACCUCUCCCUCUUUCCUUGCUGGAUCAAGGCAUGGGAGACGUCACCGGCCUGUACGUGUGUUGAACGCGAAGGUGCCGUGCGUUCGGCACUUGGUCAUCGGUGAUUUGGAUCACGACGAGUACGACUCCAUCAACCCCGUUCACUUGAACGCUUCCGCUUAGCGAUCUACAAGGGUAUGUAGAUGCACUCUCCUUCCCCUCGUUGCUAGUUUCUCCAUAGAUAGAUCUUGGUGACACGUAGGAAAAUUUUGAAUUUCUGCUACGUUCCUCAACACCGACGUGCUAGUUCUAAUACGCAUGCACGGUUAGAGCAUCUCCAGCCGUGCCCCUAAUAAGGCCCCCAGGCAACUUUUUCGCCGCCGGCGCCGAAAAAUCGGCCCAGUCGCGCCCCCAAGGGCUCACUUUUCGCCGGCUCGGGCCGAAAUUGGCGCCGGCGGACCCAGCCCGAACCCGGCACGCUGGGGGGCGCCGGGCGAAUCGUUUUUGACGCGAAAGAGCCGCGGGCCCUCCUUGCCAGCGACUCGUCUCUCUUCUCGUCGCUUCGUCGUCCUCAUCGCCUCGUUUCCCGCGGCGAAUCAAUGACAAAGCUGCCGCGCGCUGUCGUGCCAGUCAGCCUCCUCCAUUGAUGCCUCACGGGCGGCGCAGUGAAGACCAGACGACGCGCGUCCCUCGCCCGCCACGCGUAUGCACGGCGGCCAUGCGUACGCGCGGCGCCCCCGCCUAUAUAAGCCGACCCCCAGCGCGUCGGUCACGCAUAGACUUUCCACCGCCGACGCGCCGUUUCUCCCCAAUUCCUCCCUCUCCGCUCGUCGUCUCCAGUUCAAACCAUGGCCGAUUGCUUCCCAGGUGACGGUGCGGCGGUGAACGGCUUCGGCCGCCACCACCUUCAUGAGGACGAAGCUCGGCUCCUCUACGAGGCCGAGUACCCGGUCCCGCCAGACAUGCGGGUGCCCGGGUCGUGGAGGAUCAGCGCCGGCGGGGUCCCGGUGCCACCACCGUCCAUCGGGGCGGCGCGGCGUGCGGAGAUCGCGCGUAUCCGCGCCUCUCUGCCGCGGGCAGCGAGGGAAAGUCCACGGUACGUCCCUGACAGCCCGCUGUGGGAGCCCUACUUCCGCCGCCGCCACGUCGAGCAGCUCGAGGCCACCAACGGCGUCGUGACCUCCAAAAGGCUCAACUCCGAAGACCGGCGCCGAUGGUGGGGCAUGCCCGGUCGCACGCUGGAGGCCUUCCUCGAGUACAUCAAGGUCGGCAACACGCCGAGGCUGGAGUACCCCGCUCCCCCGUCCUUCUCUCGCCGGCGUGGGAGCUCGUGAACGCCGAGGAGCAUGGACCCCGGGGCGUCCUCCUCCUCAUCCGGCCGCUCGUUCGGCUCUCCCUACCUCCGCCCCGUCAAGCCGGAGCCCCAGGACACGCCUGUCAGCGCGUGCAUCCGCCGCUCCGGUGUCCGCAUCGACGACUCCACCCCCGCCUCUGGCCAUUUCGUCCUCGUCAGGCCGAAGCCGGAGCCCGGCCUCCCCGUGGAGUAUGAGGAGAUAGCCCGGCGCGGCUUCUCCGACGCGGACGCCCUACAGUGUGCCCGGGAUGACUACCUCUGCGACGAGAUGGUCCGGCAGUGCCGGGCCCUGGAGGAGAUAGCCGCCCGCAAGCGUGGGCGCGAGGACGAGCAUGGCGUGGUGAUUCUCAACAGCGACGAGGACGAGGAAGCCCCCGGAUCGUCCAACCCGCCACGCCAACCUGGGGAGGGUUGCAGCAGGGACGGCGGCCGCGGAGGAGGCGACAACGACGACGACGACGACGGCGGCGGCGACUACACGCGGUUCUACAGCCUCCUCGGCAUGUGGAGCUGCAAGGGCGACAGGCGGUGAGGAGCGGCAAGGGAGACGGCGGGCCUAGUAGCGUUUUUUUUUUCUUUUUUUGUAAAAUAUUUUAUAUAUGUAUGAACUCGUCGAAAUUUGGUUAAAUUUGCGCCGUAUUUAUGCCUAAAUUUAAUUUUUUUAAAAACUUGGGCGCCGCGACUGAGGGGCAUCACGCCCUCAACGCGUGGUUUGCGUCGGUGCGUCCCAAAAAGCGAUUUUUAGCGUCUCCUAAUAGGCCAACUGCUGGAGAUGCUCUAACUUAUGUAUGUGCGCGCGCAUUAUAUGUGCGCGCGCAUUAUAUGUGCGGUCAUGCGUCGCAGAGGAAGCUGCGUGUAUAUAUGCAUUGUCUGCCUGGACUGCCAAUGCGUGUCACUGUGUCGUUCGUUGAUAUAUUUGUGUCUGGACGGCUCAUGUUCAGGGCCGGGCCGACAAAAUUUGAGGCCCCGUGCCAAACUCUAAAAUGAGGCCUACUUUCUUAGAAAAAUAAAACUAUAAUUAAUUUAUCUACAACUCCUUUACGAUGUUGAAUUAAAUCCUCUAAUUCUUUUUUUCUUUUCUUAUGUUUCUGGUAACCAGAUUCAUAUUCCCUAGAUAGAUUUUUAGAGGAUAUAACUUGGCUUUUGAAACGCAAGACGACUAGACCAAUUAAUAUAAAACUAUCCAAAUGAUGGAAAAAUUAAAGGGAUACACAUCAAACAGUUAGCAGCAAACUAUUUUUUUGAGAUCUAGGAGCAAACUAUUCGUUGAACUAAGACAGCAGAAUUCACAGACGUGAAACUUGCCUGGUUGAAUUGUUCCUGGACGAGGCAAGAGGGGCUCAAGGAGUGGAGAGCAGCCCGGAGGCGAGACGCCAUCACGCCGAGAUUGAUUGACGAAGACGAUGCACCUUCAUUAGUAUUACUAUGAUUUAAAAAAGAAGAGGGAAAGUGGCAACGAGGCGAUCUAGCAUCUGUCAUGAAGGAUGUAGUCAGUGCUCCUGAAUAUUUAAUUUGAAGGUUCAUUUGGUUAAGCUGAUUUAGGGCGCGCGUCGCCGGAAACCAGCCGUGUGCCUGUCCUACUCACCUACUGUUGGGGCUCAUUUGGUUGUUGGGGAUGGAAAAGCCAGGGUAGGAAACCCCAAACAGGGAUUUCCCUGCUCAUAUGGUAUCCCCAUACAAACCAUGGAAAAUAUAAUGUUGCAGUUUGGACGCCAGAGGAGGGGAGAAGGAGGACUGGAGGCCUAUGGCAAGGGGUUGUCGCUGGAUGGAGACGACAGAGAAUCAGGCACCGCGUCAUGGGUUUCCUCCCCGACCCCUGGUGACGUGGAAAACUGCCCCGUGGAAACGACGCAGAUCGGGAUCCAUAAUCCCUGAUGAACGAGCAACCAAAUGCUCCUGUAGUUUUCCGCGGGCCGACUUUGCCCCGUGGGCUGUAUGCCCCGGUUUUGCACGGGGAUCCCCGAGGGAUUACGUGGAACCAAACAAGCCCUUGUUGUUGCCAUGCCUCCCAGGGUUGCGGGCCUUGCCGCCGGUCCUGUGCUGCGUCGUUAGUCUGCAGCUGCGAUCUGGCUACUGCGCCCUUAGGGUUAGUAUCGUAGAUCGGGGUUGCCCUGCGCUCACGACUGUAGAUCGUGAGAACGAUCGGUAUUCUUUCAGGCCAUCGGUAUCCGGGCCUUUCGGCCUGCUGGCUUGACUAGGCCUAUAGAAAAAAAAUUGUCGCCCCCAAAAUUCAUGGGCCCUGUGUUGGCCGCACGUUUUGCACAACUAUAGGCCCGGCCCUGCUCAUGUCGCACCUGAGGGCCUGAGUCCUGUGUCUGCGUCUUUUGCUUGCUUCCACUACAAUCCCGCAGAGGUCCAAAUCGCAUGGGAACUUCACGUCGUCCUAAUUGCAUUCACAUAUACUCGCUCCGUCUUAAAAUAAGUGUCUUAAAUUUAAUAUAAUUUUAUACUAAGAUUAAUAUAAAAUUGACAUUUAUUUUGGAACGGAUGAAGUACUUCCAUUCUCAUAGCAGUUGCUACUGCAGAAGACCGUCAAGCUGUCUUGCACAGUAUAGUAGUAUGGCACGGUGUAGAUUUAUUUUUUGGAAGAGUCAAGCGAAAAAGAAAAAUUUUAUUUCCUUUUUUGUCGGGCCGUUUUAUGCUUCGCCAUGGGCCUGUGUGUUUUUGUCUCUCUGUGUGUUAGUUGUUAUAUGAGCCAUGUGUUUGUGAGGGCUGCUAUUUUCUUUUUCCUUUUUAUUUUAUUUUUAUGUCCCCUUUUAUAUUGUUAUUUUUUGUUUUUGUUUUCUCAUUUAUUCAUUUGAAAUAAACUACUUUGAAUAUGUGAAUAUUUUAAUUUUUUUAAUUUUGAAAAUAUUUCCAAAUACUUUCGGAAAUAGCAUUUUUCGGAGCAUUGAUUUUUUUGUCACGCCUUCUAGAAUGUGAUCUCAUGAUGAAAAUUUGCAAGCACUUAGAUCAUUUGUCAAAGUUUACCACAAAAAAUUCAUAAAAAAUUGAAUUUUUUAUUUUCAAUUUUACUAUUCAUGUUAUGUUCUCUAUGUUGCAUAUGUAAACACGCAUGUGAUAUGGCAUCAAAUAGAGAGAAGGUGAUGUCCAAAGUUUGAAUUUACAUCCGAGACAAGCAUCUUUUGACCACAAAAUUCAUCUCAAGAAACACAAACCAAGGCAACCCUGCAACCAAUAAUAUCGAGGAAACACAAAUAACCAGAGUAAAGUAAAGGCAUGUCACAAAAUGGUAACCUUUCCUAUACGCCACGCUACUGGAAAGGGCCCUAUCUGAAACAGGUCGAAGGCCCGCCACAAAAAGGGUGCGUCAAUUUGUGACCUUUAAACACAUUAGGUAGAGAAACCACCAUAGAUGUCUAUUUUAGUCUUGGCUCAAAUACGUUUCAUGGCAAUUUAACCCAUGGGUUUGGAUUCGUGGAUACCAACUCCCAUGGAUUGAGUAUUGGUAUGAUUUUUCAUCCAUAAGUAAAAUUCAUGAGUAACUCAAAAAUUCAAUGCCAUCAUAAAAAAGAAACCCAAAUAUUCAUGGGUAGGGGCUGGUUACACAUGGAUCACCAAACAAAAUUUGAAUAAGUACAUGAAUAUAUUAUUAUUAUUAUACAUGGCAUGUGAAGCUAUAUGAUGUCCAUGAUAGUAAACACUAACUCUCUAGUUAAUAUGUUGUAGUUGUUGUAUAAACUAGACGAUACCCCGCAUUUUGUUGCAGGUGUGUUUGCAAUAUAUUUCAAUGAGAUAUGGUUGUAUGGAACAUGAAUACUCGUGGAGUAAUAAUGAGUGAACUAGCGUAUGCCAGCCGUCCAUGAGAAGUCAACCCGGUGACAAGCAAGUAUGGCUACAGAAUCCCCUCCAUUACGCCGGCCUCGGCGGGCGCGGCAACAACGCUCCCACGUCCCCGCCAGGGGCGGCGGUGUCCUAGAGGCACGGCCCUGUAGCGGGCGGCGCUGACCAUCCCAUGACGCCUGGCAAGGCGUGCCAUAGUACCCGGCAGCUGGUCGUACCCGUGCCCGGCGGCCCCGGUACGGCCCUCACCCGGUGGACCCGGUGACUCUCGCACCUGGCGGACCUGGUAGACCCAACGGCCCCCACUGUAGGAUCCUAGAUGCUUACACCAGGGCACGCACCCAUGUAGCAUUACCAUUGUAACCUCGGAGGGCGGCCUAUAAGACCCCCCCCCCCCCCGGUGCCCCUUCAUGCAAGGGGCCGGUCGAUCAAUCUUUAGCGCACACACACACAGAGGAGCAGCGCACGAACUGGCCGGUCUUCCUUCCUCCCCAGAACAGCUCUAGGAGAAAGUUUGUAUCCACCUUGUAUAAACCACACUUGGCAAGACUAGGGGUACUAUCUCUCUGGAGAGCCCCGAACCUGGGUACGUCUCGUGUUCCUCGCGUGCUCGUGCCAACCUCGUCUCUCGAGCCCACCGGUGCCCUCGUGCAUGUUCCUCUCUUUAGCCAUCCCAUGGCAUCUGCCGUGAGCUCACCAAGACAACAGUCGAACCUCUCAAACCCGCCUCAUACACCCGGGCAAGCUGCCCGGUCACUGACCGGUCACGUUUUUUCGACACAAACAGACGCCUCAAACGGGCCUCAAACGCUCGGGCUGACCGGCAACCCCUAUAUCUAUCCCAAAUAUGGGGCGGAUACGGAGACGCCCUGGGCACGCCCACCACGUGGACCUGACCCAAGCUGGCCCACCCGACCCCACUUAUAUUCGCCCCCACCUUCUCACGGAGCAAACCCUAGCCACUUCACUCCACUCCCCAUCACUUCCCUCUGCCACCCAAGCUCACCUCUGGCGGUUUUCGGCCUUCUCCGCCAUGGCAGGCAGCGGAUCGAACUCCGGCCAGUCUGGAUAUGUCGAUUAGGAUGUCACCCCGUGUGGGUUGAAGGAGGCAAUGAUAGUCUGCAUUGCACUCCGCCGCUCCCGGGAGGACAUCGCCCGGCCGACGGACGGACCCGUCCGCCGCGACGCCAUAGCGUCGUCUCAACGGGUGCUCGGGGUCCUCUGGUGCUAGAUCCUCGCGGUCCCGGCUAGAACACCUGUCCUUCCUCAUCACCGGUCGGGCAGAGUAUGAGUCCCACCGAAAACGGACGGCCCGCCGUGGGAAGGAGAAGAUAAGGGCCGCCGAGGCCCGUAUCACGACGAAAAUGGUGACGGCGGAGGCGGCUGUUGCGGCGGCGCGGGCGGCCGCGAGGAAGCCAUCCGUGCCCACAUUAUGAAGAAACGACAGCGGAGGAACACGCGCGCCCUCGCCCGAGAGCAGAAAUCGAGCGGUCCGUGUCAUGGCCGGAUUGCCACCGAAGGAGGAGAAGGAGGACAACAACAGCGAGGAGAGCUCUGACAAUGAGCAUAUCCAGCUCGACUGGUACUUCCGCGAGAAGGACGGCAAGGGCGACGGCAAGGACAAGGGCAGCCGUGGAUGAACUCCACCAUAGCCAAACAUGACAAAUUUUGGUAGUCCGAUGCCAUGUUUAGUGUAGUGUGAUGGAGUAGCUGAACGAUGCAUGUGCGUCGACGUAGUUGCAUGAGUUUGUACAGAUUUAAGAUAUGAUAAUUGAGGUGUCAGUAUAUGGAUUACAUUUUUUGAGAAGUGCUCGGUUAAUGUCCGCGGACGUUUGAGGGGCCGGAUAUGUUAAGUCCGGCUGUAGGCUUCGGCUAAGUGUCCGUUAGAGAAGUUCUCUUUGAGGAUCGGUUAGAUGCUUUUACUCUGUAUCUGGUUGUAUUCAAUCUAUUUUCGAUCAAUUAUAGAAGUGACAUAUAAUUUAGAAAAACUGACGCAUUAGUACCAUUUAUAAUAAUGAAAUAUACAUGGGUUUGGUCUAUUUUGUUUAGUUUUCAUUCCAUGCCGACAAUUCCAGCUUUCAUUUUCCGGAGCAAACAAGAGGGACUUUUGCAAGCGGAGAGAACGUGUUUCAGGGACUGUAUCCCCCGUGUGUCAUCACUUCUACCUCGAGAACAAGCUGAGACGUGGUAUCCCGGACGCGUCCAGUAGCUGCACACGUCCGGCCUCUCUUUAUUUUUUUUUUAGAAAAGGAGGAUGACCCCCGGCCUCUGCAUCUGGAAGAUGCAUACAGCCACUUUAUUGAUUAUUCACGAUGACCAUACAAAGUAUUACACCAAUGUGCCUGAAUCCACCAUCUUGGCAACAUAUGCCACUACUCCUAUCCAAUAUGAUGAAAGAGAGCUAGCCGGGCCACUACCCAGACCACUCACGUAAUCCUAACAUCAAUAGCUGGAAGCCGAAACACAUUCGGAAGCCCCAGCCGAGCCACAUACCUGGUCUGGGGCAUAAUCCGGUCAGACGCACUCGUGUGUCGCCGCCGCCAUCUUCCACAGGUCCGUCUUCAGAUCAAAUUGAGGCAUCUACCAUGUCUGGCCACUCCGCCAUUGACGCCACCAUGACGCCAAACAGCAACCUCCUCCUGCGCGAGUCCAUCUCCGUGCAUCGGACGUCGAGCCUCCACAGCGCCACGCCGCCGACAUCCGCCGCCAUCAAUGAGUGAGAUGGAGCACCGCUCCACCCUCCCCCCAGCCAACGCUUACUCCAAAACGGCACCCCCAGGAGAACCUGGACGCGUCGGAGGAAAAGCGGAGGCUUGGGCGAAGAAGGGCACGCCGUCAGCAGCUGUUACCCACCCCAAACAGCGCCCGCCACCACCCAGCCCUCAAGGCGGCGCCUUCAAGAAGGUCACGGCGCCAAAGACGCCGCCGCCGCCCACCGGAGUUAGGUUUUCACCCGAGAAGCUAGGUGGUGGGGAGUGGAAGGGCAGACCUUGACAGACGUCUCCAUGAAGAAAUCGGCGCCCGCAGGCGUCGUCGUCGUCGCGGCCGGCCGGAGCCGACCCGGGUUUCCCCCGAUCUGGAUCCCGACCACCAAAAUCGCAUCAUUGGGAGGCCCUUAGGCGGCAGCAUAGGGAGGGGAGGCGAGGGGUGCGGCGGCGGCGCUAUGGGGCGUCACCACCACGCCAGAUCCCUUCCUCGCCGCCAACAGCAGCCGGCGGCCAGAUCGAGCGCGGACCAAAUCUGGCGCCUAAGCACCCGCACGCCUACGCCGCCGCCACGGCCGGCCAAGCUCCAGGCCAAGCCACUCCACCCACCCAGAGAAGGAGAAGCGCGAGACGAAGCAGAGGGCCGCCGGGGAGCGCCGCGACGGCCGCAGCGCCGGAGGCCGAGCCUUCCCCACCUGGAGCGGUCGCCGUCGGGAACNNNNNNNNNNNNNNNNNNNNNNNNNNNNNNNNNNNNNNNNNNNNNNNNNNNNNNNNNNNNNNNNNNNNNNNNNNNNNNNNNNNNNNNNNNNNNNNNNNNNNNNNNNNNNNNNNNNNNNNNNNNNNNNNNNNNNNNNNNNNNNNNNNNNNNNNNNNNNNNNNNNNNNNNNNNNNNNNNNNNNNNNNNNNNNNNNNNNNNNNGCGCGCGCGAGCGGGAAGCCCCGCCGCCGCCGUCCGCCGCGCGGGCUUCGCCCGGCGGUUUCCUCCGGCGGCGGCGCGGCAGGGGAGCCGGGGAGAGGGGGUGGCGGCGCGGCGGGCUAGGGUUCCCCCGAGUCGCCUCCCAGGCGACGCGGGGGUCGGGUACUGAAGACAAUUUUUCAGUAUAAAUGAUGGUCCCGGCCUCUCUUUAUGGGCUAGUCACCAGUCACCGGCUCCCGCCGGUCAGCCCACUCAUGCCUGCACACGUAGCGCCUCUGACGAUCCUAUCCCCUCGCCGCAAACGGCUUAUAAAUGGCGCCUCGUGCUGCACCUGCUUCCACAACCACGAGCUGCAGACUAACUGAGGAAGUGAGGAAGACAACAUACCAGAUUUCUGAGAUAAUCAAGAUCAACACCUGUGCAAGAUGGAGCACGGCCAGGCGACUAACCGCGUCGACGAGUACGGCAACCCGGUGGCCGGGCAUGGCGUCGGCACCGGCAUGGGGGCGCACGGCGGCGUGCGCACCGGCGCGGCCGCUGGUGGGCAUUUCCAGCCCACGAGAGAGGAGCACAAGGCCGGAGGGAUCCUGCAGCGGUCCGGCAGCUCUAGUAGCUCCAGCUCGGUGCGUAUACGUAUACUUCUUGCUUCUUGCUAGCACUAGUUGUAAUUUGCAUUUUUCCCGUUUACAUUUAAAUUAAACGAAUCAAUGGCUGAAUUUUCUCGUUGGUCGUGAUAGUCUGAGGAUGAUGGCAUGGGCGGGAGGAGGAAGAAGGGCAUCAAGGAUAAGAUAAAGGAGAAGCUUCCGGGUGGCCACGGCGACCAGCAGCAGACCGCUGGCACCUACGGGCAGCAGGGUCACACCGGAAUGACCGGCACCGGGGCGCAUGGUACAGCAGCCAUUGGCGGCACCCACGGGCAGCAGGGACACACCGGAGUGACCGGCACGGGGACGCACGCCACCGACGGCACUGGCGAAAAGAAGGGCAUCAUGGACAAGAUCAAGGAGAAGCUGCCCGGACAGCACUGAGCCCGGCCCGCGGCCGCUGCUUGUGAAAGUUUGAGGUGCCGGUCUGGCGACCGUAC
rnacentral:lncRNA from 1 species